AAUAUUCUGCAACAGUUUCGACUGCAGGUAAUCAAGUUUCUCUACCAAUAAUGGGCCUUUUUGGCUCUCAGUCGAAUACCCUUUAGUGGUGUGCCACGGGAGCUCCAUUUCCCUUUGCGUGUACGCAACAGACUGCAAAGUCACAUGACCAAAUUAAAACUCACCGGAAUAUGGUCGCAUUAGAUUCGGCUGCCUUUUUCCAAUCGACGUAAACCGGCAGCGUCAAGAGGCAAUCACUAGCUAGGGUUUCUGAUGCCGUCAAUUCGUCGCCAUAUCUAAACAUCACACAGUAUGUAUUCCUUACUAAAAUGAAGGAUAGGAUAGGUAGCACUCGCCCUUAGCACGAGGAGGCAGGCAACAUCUCUGAAACCUCAAGAUACAGAGUGGUAUUCAGAGUUUAGAAAACAGAACAAAAGCAGAGGAAGCUAACUACAUGACAGAGCAGAGUUGAGAAAACAGAGCCACCAGAAAAAAAAUACCAAAUCGGUCAAAGAAAAAGAAUAGCAUCGCCAUCAGUGUCUUCCUCCAUCCUCUGUUCUGGUGAUGCAUCAAACCUCAAGCUACAGAGAAAAGAGAGCAAAAGCAGGCACAUAUUCAGAGUGGAGAAAACAGAGCAAAACAGAGGUUGCAACAUGCUUAGUUUAGAAAGCAGAGCUACACGCAAGCACAACUGCAGUCUGUAUCUAUAUAUAUAUAUGUAUCAGUUGUGAUUGUCCAUCUUUGUCCACUGCCUUCUGCCUUCACCCUCGCUUGCUGGAGCAAUCCAGACCAUGGGCUCAAGAGACAGAAUGAAUUGACGGUGUCCAUCAUCAAGGGGUCUUCGGCAGGUACAACUCAAGUACAUAUAUAGACCAUCAGUGUGCACUCAACACCACGCUGCAGAAACAGAGCACACAAGGCACAACCUACACUCUGUUCUGGUACCUUCCCAGCCCAUUAUGGUAACAUUAACCUCAGUUAAGGUACUGUACUCCACAAGGAAGACACGUAGAAAUAAAACUUGAGUUUCAAAGUUUCCUUGGCAACAUCCAAGGACUCUUAUUUGUUUGAAGGAUUAACAGAGCAGGAUAUACUCGUGCCUGCUACGGCCAGCAGGGAUGCAUAGAGCGAAUUGCUACUGCUUUUUUAUUAUUAUUAUUAUUUCGCCGAACCUGUAGGAAUUACCUCACAGAGUGUAAAUUGCUGCCACUUAAGUCCAGAAAGCAUGCACAAGGGAAAACACAAGAUCCUUCCCACAAUCAUUUCGCCUCAACGACAUCUUUCCCAGCACCUUUCUCAGGUCGUCCUGACCGUGUUUGUCCGUUCCCGCAUCCCUUGUUCCUCCCCUGCCUGUACAUAAUUAGGCAGUCCACCUAAAAGAAGCUAAACCUUUAAAGAUUUAUUUACCUUGAGAAAUAUACCUCCUCACUUAAUCUCAGUUCUACUCACAAGGUCAACAACAGAGGAUUAUGAGAAUUUAAGACACCAAAAACAGUACUUAGUUGAUGUAAUGAGACUAAUGUUUUCAAUAUCCAUUCUUCAUUUCCUAGCUAAUCUGGCUCAUGCAAAAGGAGUUCAAUCAGCUUACUUCUGUUGUUUUAUAGGUAAUCUGGACCAUGCAUCAGCGUAUUUGUGUUGGAAAAACAGUUAUGAUCUCUCCCCCAUGACGAUCUCUUAAGUGUUUGUGUUCCCAUUGCCUGUGUAUUUUUGCAAUCUGGUGUGUUUGUUACAAGCUCCAUCCGCAGCAUGGUGAGGGUGUUGCCACGUACUCCCUCCGUUCUAAAAUAGAUGACUCAACUUUAUACUAACUUUAGUACAAAGUUGGGUCAUCUAUUUUGGAACAGAGGGAGUACUUGUGUAUGGAGGAACAAAUAAAUUUUACUGCUUUCUCCAUCAAGUUACAUAUAUCUGAUGUGGGUAUGCUUGAUUGGAUUGGAUUGGAUUGGUGUGUGAUUGACAAGCAAGCGACACUUGAUUGCUUGCUUGUUUGGUUUCUGGCUCUAGCUUGGUGUGGUGUUCACGACCAAGAUGGCCGGCUUAAUUGUGUUGUUUUAUACUAAGAGCCAUAAGAGGGGUUGUUUGUGCCCAGCCGUGCAACCUAGCGAGGUGUGUAAUAAACUAUUACUACCCAUGAGUAUUUUGCGAUUGUACCAAAGAGUUUGAGUAGUAUUGUACUCCCUCCAUCGGAAAAUAAGUGACUCAACUUUAUACUAACUUUGGUACAAAAUUAGUUACGAAAUUGAGUCACUUAUUUUGAGAUGGAGGGAGUACUUGCUAUAUUCUUUUAGCAAUUUGGGGCCAACGCAUUUACUGUCGUUUCAUCUCCUUGCACGGAUCUUGGGGCAAAGCUAGUGACAUGUGAGGUUGUGUAUUCGUUCGCUGGGACGUCCUAACCAAGGGAAUGUUUUCAGCAUCCUUUUUNNNNNNNNNNNNNNNNNNNNNNNNNNNNNNNNNNNNNNNNNNNNNNNNNNNNNNNNNNNNNNNNNNNNNNNNNNNNNNNNNNNNNNNNNNNNNNNNNNNNNNNNNNNNNNNNNNNNNNNNNNNNNNNNNNNNNNNNNNNNNNNNNNNNNNNNNNNNNNNNNNNNNNNNNNNNNNNNNNNNNNNNNNNNNNNNNNNNNNNNUCCCGACGAGGUGUUGUGAGGUAUUCGGCAAUUCCAGGUGCGACCACCUCCAAGUGGAUGCACCGCGGCCAUCUCGAAGCGGUGCGAAGUGUGGCGAUUGACGGUGACGGUGCGGUGAGAGAGGAACAAGGUCUUGUUGAUAGUCAUGUGGCUCCAACUCCCGAGCAGCGCAAUGUAGGUGAAGAGGGGCCUAGCAGUCUGCACCGCGGCCACCUCGAAGCAGCAUGGUGGACGGGCGCUUGACAAUGAUGGCACAACCCUCCGCAUUGGAGACAUUGGCAGUGGAGGUCUCAAUCUCUCACCCCCACCCCCACCCGCUCCUGCGAUGUGCCCCGCAAGCGCGUCACGGGAGCUCUAGAUCCGCCGUCGGCGCAAGGCGCCCCCCCUCAUCCACCCCUCCACCUCACCGCUGCCGGAGGGCGUCCGUCGGGAGAAGCCCGUGCGGCGCUCGCAAUGGCGGGGCUACUCUCCUCCUACCCCUUGUCCGGAUCCCGGCGACGCGGGCUACGCGGAUGCGCGGAUUCGAUGGCUUAGUCCGGCGUGGCCUUGGACGCCGGGGAUGCGCGGAUUCGAUGGCUUCUGCACUGGGAGGAGGCGGUGCGGCUUCGCUGUGGUGGCGAUAGGGGUUUGCUCCAAUGGCGGCCGAUCUGGAUCCCUAUGGCCUGCGGGUGCUGCGGGGGGCUGCGGCCACCAUUGGAGAGGGUGCCUCCCCAAAUCGAUGUGGUGGUGGCGCCAGCGCUAUGGUGCGUCGUCUCGGCCUUGCUAGGCGGCGAGUUGGCAGUCAGCCGGGACCUGAUCUGAAGAAGAUGGAGGCUUCAUCGGCGCCUGUCCUCCUCUGCUGGACGGGCUGCGGGCCUCCCCGGGAUUUCUACUCAGCUGUUUAACCCCUAUUGCAAGCAUCCGCAACUACAAAAGAAGUAUUAAGGUAAAACUAACCAUAGCAUGAAACAGAUGGAUCCAAAUCAGCCCCUUACGAAGCAACGCAUAAACUAGGGUUUAACCUUCUGUCACUCUAGCAACCCAUCAUCUACUUAUUACUUCCCAAUACCUUCCUCUAGGCCCAAACAAUGAUGAAGUUUCAUGUAGUCGACGUUCACAUAACACCACUAGAGGAAAGACAACAUACAUCUCAUCAAAAUAUUGAACGAAUACCAAAUUCACAUGACUACUUAUAGCAAGACUUCUCCCAUGUCCUCAGGACCAAACGUGACAACUCACAAAUCAUAUUCAUGUUCAUAAUCAGAGGGGUAUUAAUAUGCAGAAAGGAUCUGAACAUAUGAUCUUCCACCAAAUAAACCAACUAGCAUCAAUUACAAGGAGUAAUCAACACUACUAGCAACCCACAAGUACCAAUCUGAGGUUUUGGGACAAAGGUUGGAUACAAGAGAUGAACUAGGGUUUUAGAGGAGAUGGUGCUGGUGAAGAUGUUGAUGGAGAUUGACCAGUUAUUAUUUAUUUCCUUAUAUCAUGAUAAAUGUUUAUUAUUCAUGAUAGAAUUGUAUUAACCGGAAACAUAAUACAUGUGUGAAUACAUAGACAAACAUAGUGUCACUAGUAUGCCUCUACUUGACUAGCUCGUUAAUCAAAGAUGGUUAAGUUUCCUAACCAUCGACAUGAGUUGUCAUUUGAUUAACGGGAUCACAUCAUUAGAAGAAUGAUGUGAUUGACUUGACCCAUUCCGUUAGCUUAGCACUUGAACGUUUAGUAUGUUGCUAUUGCUUUCUUCAUAACUUAUACAUGUUCCUAUGACUAUGAGAUUAUGCAACUCCCGUUUACCGGAGGAACACUUUGUAUGCUACCAAACGUCACAACGUAACUGGGUGAUUAUAAAGGAGCUCUACAGGUGUAUCUGAAAGUACAUGUUGGGUUGGCGUAUUUCGAGAUUAGGAUUUGUCACUCCGAUUGUCGGAGAGAUAUCUCUGGGCCCUCUCGGUAAUGCACAUCACUAUAAGCCUUGCAAGCAAUGUAGCUAAUGAGUUAGUUACGGAAUGAUGCAUUACGUAACGAGUAAAGAGACUUGCCGGUAACGAGAUUGAACUAGGUAUUGGAUACCGACGAUCGAAUCUCGGGCAGGUAACAUACCGAUGACAAAGGGAACAACGUAUGUUGUUAUGCGGUUUGACCGAUAAAGAUCUUCGUAGAAUAUGUAGGAGCCAACAUGAGCAUCCAGGUUCCGCUAUUGGUUAUUGACCGGAAACGUGUCUCGGUCAUGUCUACAUAGUUCUUGAACCCGUAGGGUCCGCACGCUUAAGGUUUCGAUGACAGUUAUAUUAUGAGUUUAUGAGUUUUGAUGUACCGAAGGAGUUCGGAGUCCCAGAUGAGAUCGGGGACAUGACGAGGAGUCUCUAAAUGGUCGAGACGUAAAGAUCGAUAUAUUCGACGACUAUAUUCGGAGUUCAGAAAGGUUCCGAGUGAUUCGGGUAUUUUUCGGAGUACCGGAGAGUUACGGGAAUUCGCCGGGGAGUAUAUGGGCCUUAUUGGGCCAUACGGGAAUAGAGGAGAGAGGCCGAAAGGAAGGAGGCGCGCAGCCCCCCUCUCGUCCGAAUUGGACAAGGGGUGCAGCCCCCUUUUCCUUCCUCCUCUCCCCCUCUUUCCCCCCUUCUCCUACUCCAACAAGGAAGGAGGGAGUCCUACUCCCUGUGGGAGUAGGACUCCCCUUGGCGCGCCCCUCCUAGGCCGGCUGCCCCUCCCCCCUUGCUCCUUUAUAUACGGGGGCAGGGGGGUACCCUAGGACAACAACAAUUGAUCCCUUGGAUCUCUUAGCCGUGUGCGGUGCCCCCCUCCACCAUAGUCCACCUCGAUAAUAUCGUGGCGGUGCUUAGGCGAAGCCCUACGACGGUAGAACAUCAAGAUCGUCACCACGCCGUCGUGCUGACGGGACUCUCCCUCGACACUCGACUGGAUCGGAGUUCGAGGUACGUCAUCGAGCUGAACGUGUGCUAGAACUCGGAGGUGCCGUAGUUUCGGUGUUUGAUCGGUCGGGCCGUGAAGACGUACGACUAUAUCAACCGCGUUGUUCUAAUUCUUCCGCUUACGGUCUACAAGGGUACGUGGACAACACUCUCCCCUCUCGUUGCUAUGCAUCACCAUGAUCCUUGCGUGUGCGUAGGAAAAUUUUGAAAUUACUACGUUCUCCAACAAUCAUGUUGCAAGUAAUCAUGUGAACUUGAUAUGUAUUCGAUAUUUUGAUAGUAUGUAUGUUGUGAUUCCCUUAGUGGUGUCAUGUGAACGUCGACUACAUGACACUUGACCAUAUUUGGGCCUAAGAGAAUGCAUUGUGGAGUAGCAAUUAGAUGAUGGGUUGCGAGAGUGACAGAAGCUUAAACCCCAGUUUAUGCGCUAUUCCGUAAGGGACCGAUUGGAUCCAAAAGUUUUAGUGCUAUGGUUAGAAUAUUAUCCUUAAUACUUUUCUCGUAGUUGCGGAAGCUUGCGGGAGGGUUAAUCAUAAGUAGGAGGUUUGUUCAAGUAAGAACAACACCUAAGAACCGGUCCACCCAGAUAUCAAAUUAUCAAAAUACCGAACAUGAAUUAAACCAACAUGGUAAAAGUGAGUAGAUGAAAAUCCCGUGUACCCUCAAGAACGCUUUGCUUAUCAUAAGAGACCGUAGCCUGUCCUUUGCCUUAAAAGGAUUGGGCUACCUUGCUGCACUUUUGUUAAUACUAUUGUUACUUGCCCGUUACAAAUUAUCUUGCUAUCAAACUACUCAGUUACUUGCAAUUUCAGCACUUGCAGACAUUACCUUAUUGAAAACUACUUGUCAUUUCCUUCUACUCCUCGUUAGGUUUGACACUCUUACUUAUCGAAAAGAGCUACAAUUGAUCUCUAUACUUGUGGGUCAUCCAGGCUAUUUUCUGGCGCCGUUGCCGGGGAGUGAAGCGCCUUUGGUAAGUGGAAUUUGGUAAGGAAACAUUUAUACAGUGUGCUGAAAUUUAUUGUCACUUGUUACUAUGGAAAACAAUCAUUUGAGGGGUUUGUUCGGGGUAUCUUCACCUCGACCGGAACCACAAUUAGCUACCCCUCAACCUACUGCACCUACUGAAAAUAUUGAAUAUGAAAUUCCUUCGGGUAUGAUAGAACGUGAUGCCUAUAUAAUGAUCAUUGUCAGGAUAUCGUUAUGAUUAUUUGAAGUUCUAUCAAUUGCCUAACAGUAAUUUGUUUACCUACUGUAUGCUAUUUUUUCGAGAGAAGCCACUAGUGAAAUCUACGGCCCCCGGGUCUCUUCUUUAUUGUAUUUGCCUUCGCGAUCUAGUUUUAUUUUCUUUUAUUUUCAGAUCUAUUAAUCUAAAAACCAAAAGAUAUCUCGUUGAAUUUUAUUUGCUUUUAUUUGCUUUUAACAAUCUAUCACAACUUUUAUCCCGUCUACUUGCCAAUUUCUGGCGCCGUUACCCGAAACGGAUUGACAACCCCUUUAAUACGUCGGGUCGCGAGUAUUUGUUAUUUGCGUGCAGAUGCCAUUCACGUAGUAUUGCGUGGUUCUCCUACUGGUUCGAUAACCAUGGUCUCGUCAUUGAUGGAAAUACCUACCAUUGUUGUGCUGCCUCAUCCCUUCAUUUUUGGGGAAAUACGGACGUAGUUCAAGCAGACAUUAGUCGCCUCCACGCCGAUAGGCCUGCUGCCUGCACUGGGGGACGGCGGUGCCGGCUUCUUCCACCUCGCCCACAAGGUGUUCGAUGUUUCGUCGGGAAGGUACAAAUGGAUAGUGGAGAUAAGGACUUUUUCAUGAACUUCAUUUGUGAUUCCGACGAUUAGUCGUCGUCAGACGAUUCAACUACAAAAUGAGGCUCUUUUGGGGUGAUUUGGUUGCAUAUGUGGGCUCACCUUGGCAACCAAUAGAUAUAUUGGCUCUUUUCUUUCAAAUGAAUAUGUGGCAAUUUAUAUUUCAUUUGGUUUGUAAAUCAUGAGACUUUUAUUUGGUUAUAAAAAUAUGACAUUUUUAUUUAAUUAUGAAAUAUGCGAACUUCGGGCAAUCUUUUCGAUAUGUAUGCAAAAAGGGUGCAAAAAUAUGGCUGCAUGCCGACCCACCGAAGAAAAUGUAUUGGUGAGUUGGGCGCAUAGAUCCAUCCAAACAUGGAAGGGGACGGAUGCCGAUCCAAACGGAUAAAAAGCGGACAAACUGCGUGUCCGUUCACGUUGGUGCCUUGGAGUUGCUCUAAGCAUAAGCAUGCGAACCUUGCUUUAUCCUUGUCGUGUAGAAAUGGGUGGUACGUGUGUAAACUAAUCAGCACAUCGGUGGUGGAACAUUGAUACUACUAACUAAAGUAAAGUAGAGAGUCGUGCCGAAAGCUGAAUCGUUCUCCAAAAAGGACUUUUGACGAGAAUAUAUAUGAUGCAAAGGUGGGAUGAAAAGUCAUACAAAAAGUCGUGUUAACGGGAAUAUAUAGAUGAUAUUGGAAGAAUUCGUUGGAUAUGAGGCAUAUAUCAUCCUAGUGGGGAAAGCAUAAAAUUCCUUCAUUAUUGUACCACAUAGAUUCCAACAGCAACAGCCAACAAGCUAGAUAGCUUGUCCAUCUAGUCUAGCUAUAAGGACGCGCGCAGGAGGACACAGCUAGCCACUCCCCCUUGCCACACAAAGAAAAGAAACACACUCAUUUUAUCUCAACCGAGCAACCAGCUACCGAGAGAGAGCCAUGGACCUCGCAACGGGGGCCAUGGGUAGUCUGCUCCUCAAGCUUGGCGAACUCCUCAAGGAGGAGUACCACCUCCAGACCAGCGUCAAAAAAGACGUCCAGUAUCUCGAGAGAGAGUUGAUGAGCAUGCAUGCUGCCCUCCGCAAGGUUGGGGACGUGCCACGGGAUCAGCUCGACGAACAGGUCAAGCUCUGGGCCGAGGAGGUCAGGGACAUGUCAUAUAAAAUGGAGGAUAUCGUCGACAAGUUCCUGGUGCGUGUCGAGGGCACUGAGCAUGCCGUCAAGCCACGCAAGCUCAAGCGGCUCAUGAAGAAGAUGGGCGGCUUGUUCACCAAGUUCAUGACAUGCCAUGCCAUUGGUGACAAGAUCAAAGGAAUCAAGGCCAGUGUCCAGGAGGUGGCUGACCGGCGUGACCGGUACAAGGUCGAAGAUGUGGUCCCUAAUCCAGCUGGCCUAGCCACGGUCGACCCUCGCCUAUCGGCUCUUUACAAGGACCGGAAAGAGCUAGUUGGCAUUGAUCAUUCAUUGAAUGAGCUAACCAAGAUGUUGAGUGAUGGGGAUGGUGAUGAAUCCAAGCGACUCAAGAUACUCUCUAUUUUUGGAUUUGGAGGCCUUGGCAAGACAACUCUUGCCAAAGCGUUGUAUGAUAGGCUCCAAGAGGAAUUCUAUUACAGCGCUUUUGUUCCCGUAAGACGGAAUCCUAGUGUGAAGAAACUUCUCAAUGACAUUCUCUUUGCAAUUAAAAAGCAAAUGUACCCGGGAUUGGAUGAAAGGCAGCUUAUUGACGAACUCCGAGGAUUACUUGAGAACAAAAGGUACCCACCAUAUUAUGUAAUUUGAAAUUCAUCAAGUAGUAAAUGAGAAAGUUACUGCCAAAAAUAAGAAGAGUGAAUUUGACACGAGCCAUAAUCUUUUUUUGAGAUAUUAUACAUUUGAGUUUGGAUAGAAUAUGCUAGUUCUAUUUUUUAAAUAUAGUAAAAAUACCAUGUUUCCUUAACUUCUUUACUAUCAUUUGGGUCGAUAGCUAGUGACCACUGGAGUAUUUUAGGACUUCCUAAAAUAAGUGUGAACAAAAGAUAUGUAAUUCAUAAAUUCUUUAAUUUGAGAAAUUUGAUUUAUCGAUGAUGAAUGAAAUCAAACUUGUGCAUGUCUCUGUCAUGAACUUGUCCUUAUUCCAAAUGUGGAUUCCUUAAUGAGGAGGCUAGCUUUCCUACAUCCUCUUUUUUAAGGUAUUUUACAUACUUUGGCACCUUGCAAAAUAGUUUUGCUAAUUUAUGACAACCCUUGUGUUAUGAAUGAAAAUUACAGGUACUUCAUCGUUAUUGAUGACAUAUGGGAUACACAAACAUGGGAAAUAGUUAAGCUCGCUUUGGUGUGUAAUAAUUGUGGAAGCAGGAUAAUUACAACUACUCGUAUACUCGAAGUUGCCACAAUGACUGGUGAAGUAUACAGGUUACAACCGCUUUCCCAUGAUCUAUCCAAGGAUUUAUUUCAUAGAAGAUUAUCUUGUGGUGAAAUAAAACAGCCAAGUCAUCUUCCAGCAGAGGUAUACAAUAAAAUUCUACAUAAAUGUGGUGGUGUACCAUUGGCUAUAAUCACAAUAGCUAGUUUGCUCAUCAAUAAACCAGUGGAGCUUUGGUCCAAGGUAUACACCUCAAUGGGUUUUGGGCAUGAAGAGAACAAAGAUGUGGAUAACACGAGGAAAAUACUUUUAUUUAGCUAUUAUGAUCUACCUUAUCACCUAAGGACUUGCUUAUUGUAUCUGAGCAUAUACCCGGAAGAUCGUCUGAUUGAAAAAGAUAGCUUGAUAUGGAAGUGGGUUGGCGAAGGUUUCAUCCACGACAAACCAGGGGUAGGACUAUUUGAGAUUGGUGAGAGGUACUUCAACGAGUUGGUGAACAAAAGCAUGUUAAUGCCGGUAGAGACCCCACAAUAUCAUGGCAUCAUAACUGGGUGUCGUGUCCAUGACAUAAUACUUGAUAUGAUAUGUCUAUUGUCAAAGGAAGAAAACUUUGUUACUGUAUUGGAUAAUAAUGAGCAAUAUACAAAUUCACAUUGCAAUGAUCGUAGGCUAGCUGUUCAACAAAGCUUCAAACCGUUGGCUAGCACUUCUACAUUUCAAGCAAGGUCACUUAAUGCCAUGUGCAAUGCUAAGAUGUUGCCAUCACUUUCAUGCUUUGAAGUUUUGCGGGUCCUAGCUUUGGAAGGCUCAGCUAGUUCGCACAAUCCUAAUUAUCUUGAGCUUGUUGGAAAGUUAGUUCACUUGAGGCACCUCAAAGUAGCUAGCAUGGGUAUCCGUAAGCUCCCAAAGGAAAUAGGAAAUCUGAAGUUCUUGCUAGUAUUGGACUUGGGUGGAAACAGCGUAAGUAAACUUCCACAGAGUGUUGGUUGACUAAGUCAACUCAAGUUCUUGAACAUCAGUGAAACAGACAUUGAAGUGCCAAAUUGGAUUGGGAAUUUGACUUCUCUGGAAGAGCUAUGCCUAUAUAAAGUUGAUGAGCACUCGAACUUUGUGAUAGAGCUGUCCAAGUUGACAGAGUUGAGGAAGCUCCGCGUUUCUAACACUUUAGAACUGUGGACUGACAGUGCAAGGAAUGCUUGGGCAGAGUCUAUAGCUAAACUGAAUAAGAUCCAAACCAUUGACAUUAAUCUUAUUGCCUCGUUUAGAAUUCCUGCUGAUGAGAGCACCUGGGAACGGUAUGCCCUCUGUCCACAACUCCGUGUUCUACACAUGGCCUACGGAGAACCUGGGCUAGUGGCAAGGAUCAAUCCCCGUCUUCUUCCGAACCUCUCCCAUUUAGAACUAUUUGUAUGCACCUCGGAACUGGAGGUCUUUGGAAAUUUCCGAGAGCUUGUUACCCUGAAGUUGUGCUCGUGGUCAGCUCUCCACCAUGACACCAUGGGUGGUGCAGGUGCUUUCCCCAAGCUAAGGGUAUUCAAGACAGAAGCAACGAUUGGCUCAUUUUUAAAGGGAGAUAUGCCGAUCCUUGAAUCUCUCCAGUUUCGCGUUGUAGCCCAAUCCAAUGGUGAUGGCGUUAGCUUUGACUUUGACUUUGCUAGCCUAGGGAACCUCCCUUUGCUUCAGUUUGUCAAAGUCUUUUUACUUGCCCAUCCUGCGGACCACAAGAAGGCUGAGGAAACGGUGAGGCGUGCAAUUGAUAUGCUUCCCAACCGUCCCAGCCAUCGUAUCCAUUCAUAUGAUAUAAUAAUAAAUAGGAGGUAAGUACAUGUAUAUAUCAUUCAGGAUCGCUGAUCUCAACGGGCAGCUAGCCGUGUAUCUAACGGAUCUUCGUUUUUAAUUUCUUUUUCCAGCUAAACUUAUUGAUCUAAGCUAGCGGGUAUCUCGACAGCAAUCAAGGUACAUAUGUACGCUACCUAUCUAUCUAAGCAGUAACUUUUCCAAUCCAAAAUAAGUGUCGUAGUUUUGAGUUGAGGUUAUUUCAAAACUGGGACACUUAUUAUCUGCACGCCUUGUCUUUCUUUUCUUUCUAGAGUAAAUAACAUCAAUUGCAUGAAGAUCAACUGUAAAAAAAAAAGCAGUUCCAAUCUGAAUGCACGCUACAUAUAUCGUUCUCAUCAUUUUAAAAUAACCAUGCAUACUCCACAUGUCUGGUUUCUGAGAGUCACUUCAUACAUGUAGGCUGGCAGUAUUAACCAAUCACCGCGGAGAAAGAAAGAUAGUGAGAGACUUCCCUUUGUUUGCUCUAUGUAUUGUCUUUGGAAGCAAACAAAAAAACAUAUCUUUGCUUUGUUUUCUUUUGUAGCAAAUUGAAAAAAAAAUGGAAAGCAAAACAAAAGUGUCUCUUUGCUAUGUUUCUUUUGUAGCUAAUGAAAAAAUCACAAAAAAAUGAUUGUUUUACUGUCUUUUGUAGUAAUAAAGGAAAAAGAGAAUCACAAAAAUAUGUUUAUUUUGUGGAGUCUAGUAGUAUGUUAUUUGGUGGUUUAGCUAGGAGAAAAAAAAUCCAAAAAACUUGUUGGGUUCUCGUACCAUUUGUGUGUUGUGUCUUCCUGUGUACAUGCGUAUGUGUUUUGCAGGUACGUUUUGUGUGUAUUUUCUGGGGGGUUGGUUAGGAGGCAGGUGCGUGUGUCNNNNNNNNNNNNNNNNNNNNNNNNNNNNNNNNNNNNNNNNNNNNNNNNNNNNNNNNNNNNNNNNNNNNNNNNNNNNNNNNNNNNNNNNNNNNNNNNNNNNNNNNNNNNNNNNNNNNNNNNNNNNNNNNNNNNNNNNNNNNNNNNNNNNNNNNNNNNNNNNNNNNNNNNNNNNNNNNNNNNNNNNNNNNNNNNNNNNNNNNNNNNNNNNNNNNNNNNNNNNNNNNNNNNNNNNNNNNNNNNNNNNNNNNNNNNNNNNNNNNNNNNNNNNNNNNNNNNNNNNNNNNNNNNNNNNNNNNNNNNNNNNNNNNNNNNNNNNNNNNNNNNNNNNGCUAAUAAUGAUAUUUCACUUCAUGUUGCAUAGCCGGUCCCAAGCCCGGAAAAAGGAGGAGGGGCCAAACUACUAUUAAUUACGAAAUCUCGUGACCAUUUUAUGUUCUGAUAGACGAUUGUAACCUUUAUUUGUAGCAUUUGCUCUUUGUUUUCUUCAAAAAAAAUUGAUCAAGUGUAUAACAUAUCAUAGUUUAACAUAUAUGGUGGUUCAACUUUGACUAGUUUGCAACAUUCAGGGGACAAGUUUUGUACAAAAUCAUUACCCAAGGAAGAAGAGACCACUUGGGUUCCUUUGUAGGGCUUCUCUGCCAAUAUAUAGGAGUGAUGUCUUAAAGGGUGAAAGAAAGUACAUAUCAGGUAUGCCAUGUUUGUUUUCAAUACCCAAGCCUAAAGUCACAUUUAAGUCUCACGAAAGCAUCAGAGAUGCGUGCGAGCAGUUUCUCUUAUUUUUUGUACCCAAAGUUGGGGAGACGAUAAUCCUCAAAUGCCAUUGGGAUAGUUUGCUAGAGCAUAAAAUAGAUCGAGGUAGAAAAUGUUGAUGAAUUAUAUGCAGAGCUCGUCAGCGGAGUUGUAUAAUAACCAAGUAAAGGAUUCUGUAAUGGAGAAUUAAUGCUCCUGAAGGUGCCCUUGCUAAGAUUUAUGUUUUUCAGUAAAGGGUGUAUUUUAUUAACUCAUAAUUUCGCAUUAAGAGUAUACAAAGCAUCAUGAACUCACACCUGGCCUUUGUAUAACUAGGAUGGACACAACCAACACUCGCACUCACACAAAAAAGGGGAAAUGAUGUCGCCUCCAAAAUCCUGUCGAAGUGAACUGUAACAUGCAGCAAAACCAUCAACAUCAACCACCACCGAUAAUAGCACCCCCAACAUAGGGAAAGUGCUUCAACAACAGCGCCUUUAAGAAGGAAACGGCACGCGAGCGCCACCAUCGCCAGAUCCACCCACGAAAGGUUAAUCUUGGAUUUUCACCAAGAAGAGGAAGUCUUAGCAAACUUCAAAUGAUGCCUUGAACAAAGGAAUGAUGUAAGAACAACACCGUUGCUAGGUACAACUAUCCUGCCCUGCAUCGAACCCUUGAAGUUGAGAAUAUGCUCCUCUUCCUUCUCCAUUCAUUCAUGGAUGAUCAUCAUCACCAUCUAGUCUUCAUCUCCUCCGUCAUCGCGGUACGAAUCCGAGUCAUCGAUGAACUCCUCGAAAAUGAACUGUUCAAGCUUCGAUUAAGCAAACUCAUCCUCUGACGAAUCCAUUGUUUGCCUACAAAUAAGCAAAACAACCUAAAAAACAGCUCCGACAUUUUGUCAAACGCAUGUGUGCGAAGUGUAUGUCAGGUGGAGUAGGACACACCUGUGCGAACGAGGGACGGUGUUGUGGGAACGACAAAGCUAUGGUGGGGAAGUAGGACGGUCAAGGGACGUGGCGGACGAGAACAAAACAGAAAGAUGACAGGUCGGGCGAUGGUGAAGAUCGAUUUGGGGGGAUCUGGCAUGGGUCCGGCAUAUUGUGACCGACGUGACAAACAUGUCCGCAUGACCCCAAAUAUGCCCCACCUAUGGGCUAAGUUUUUCUUUCUGAACACAGUACAAACACAUGUGCUCAUAUACAUGCGCAUACACUCACCCCUAUAAACACACACACGCACACCCUAUCCCUAUAAGCUCCUCCGAAAGACUGAGCUGGCAUAUCAUCUUGAAAUUUACAAAGUCACCACCCGCCGUCGACGGAAACGUCUCCUCCCACUGAAUGCGCAUCGCCAGAAAUCACUUCAGGAAUAAAUUUGAGCACCAUGAUUUGAACCCUGGUGGAUGGCGUGAAAUAUGCCCCACCUAUGGGCUAAGUUUGAAGGGUGUCCAGUAUAGUGCACCGAAAGAAUCUGUUUUGGGGACGUGGGUUGGCUAAAAGAUGGAUGUUGACACUUGACAGAUUUGUCAACUUGUCCUUCUGCUUUUUCGAAUUCAACCCGCACAGCACAACGCAGGUUGCUCUCCCCCUCCUCGCCCUUGCUCACGCGCUCCACUCCACGCUUCCACACAGGAGAAAGGCGUGUUGGUUGGGGCGACUAGACGAGAGGAGGAUUCGGACACCGUCUUCACCAUGCUCGACAACCCAGCCGACCUCGCCCGCGCGUCCGCUACCCUCUUCAGCAUGCUCGACGACCCGGCCGACCUCGCCCGCGCAUCCGCCGUCUCCCGCUCCUGGAGGCAAUUCGGUGCGUACCAAUUCCUCUCUCUUUCUGGAUCUGACCUACGCCUCCCUCUCCCUUCCUAUGCUCUAGCUGCUCAACAGUACCGAUCUCCGAUCCAUUAGAGCACGUAAUCGCCCAGGCCACCUGCUGCUGAUUUGCUAAUCUGCUACGCUACCUUGUACUAUCUGUUCUGAAUUCUAAACUGAAUCUCUUCUCUUAUCCAGUGAUCGCCAACCAGUUGAGCAAGCUGCAGUGCCUGCGGGCCUUCCCGGAGCUCUUCGCCUUCACGCACGUCGACGUCACCACCACAUCCGGCUACAGCAGCAGCAGCCUGGAUCAGCCCCACCGGGAACACAGGGUGUACACGCACCUCGCCCAGGGCCUCCUCUCGGAGUACAAGCCCAGGGACUGCAUCAUCCACUGCAUCGGCGCUUCCACCACCGACAGCUUCCCGGAGGAGAGCAUCCAGAACACCAUCGAGCCCGUCGACCCCGUCGAGGUUAGGCCCUCCUACUGGUCCAGCCGCAGCAACGGGGAUCCCGACGCGCCCGAGUGCCUCAUAUACAGGCUCCAGGCGGAUCUCUGCCUAGUCGAUGAGAUCAAGAUGCAGCCCUUCAAAGGUUUCUUUGUUUCUGUUCUGUAUGGAGCAAAAGAUAAAUAAAAGAAUGACAUAAGGUGCCUCCUGUCCUGUGUUAAUUAUCUUUAUUAUUUUGCAGCAUUUUUCCAGCUUGGUGACCCCAUAUAUUCGGCAAAGAGCAUCCAGUUCCAGAUGGGCUAUCCAAGGUCACCUCUACGCCCUGAAGCACUUGUCUCCGAUGAAAAUGAAGGGCAGUUGAUUGAUGACAGAAACUAUGUCUGGACCUACACAUCUCCACAAUUUCCAAUGCUGCAGGUCAGUUGAAUAGUACAUAAUCAUAUUCAGAGGCUCAUUAUUUUUACUCGCUGAACACAGAAUCUUGUGCUUGUGCAUAAAUGAGCCAUACAGCUGAGCCAGAACUUUCUUGAAAGGCCCAACAUGAAGAAACUGCAUUUGAUCAAUAUAUAUAUAUAUAUAUAUAUAUAUAUAUAUAUAUAUAUAUAUAUAUUGUACCAGUGUUCUAGACGUGUUUAUUACAAAGCUCACUUGGAUUUUGUUUAAUAGUAAUAUCUACUCCCUCCGUCUCACAAUAUAAAAUCGUUUUUUCAAGCUAACAUAGCAUGCAAAAACGAUCUUAUAUUGUGGGAGGGAGGGAGUAGAUCUUUGUAGUCCCCUUGUGCCGUAAACCUCUCGAGUAAGUAACAUGAUGUGUGAUAUUUCAGGAAAAUGUUCUGCAAUCCUUCAAGUUACCAUGCCCGGUUCUUUGUAUUGGUGGGGUGGUGAAGGUUGAGCUUCUUGGGAGAGCUCAGAAGCAGGAACUUGAUGGCCUCUACUACGUAUGGUGAGUUCUUGAGCUACUUUAAUUGGAGAUAGGAACUACUACUCCCUCUAUCGCAUAAUAUAAGAGCAUUUUUUACACUAGUGUAGUGUCAAAAAGGCUCUUAUAUUAUAGGAAGGAGGGAGUACUAUAUUGUUUUGCUCUGAACUAGCAAAGUGGCCCUCGCAAAUGCGAGGGCAUCAUCUUUAGUGCACCGGAAUCAUUAAAGUAUUUAUUUAUAUUAUAUGUAGAGUUUUUUUACUGGCAUUUAGUCACUUGUCAACAAAAAAAAUUCUAUGUAUCUCGUCUUUAUUUCGACACACCCGCCUUACUUUUCAUAAGCCGAGUACUAUUUUUUGUGUUGUGUUUUCGGUUAGAUGCACGGCUUAGAUGCAUGUGAACUGAGAACCCGUGUUUUGACACUUGGUGUACAUGUUAAUACUCUGUAGCGUGUGAUUUUUCUAUAAUGAUUAAUUAUCAAAAACAUAAGUUCAUAAGAUCAGUUGUUUAAAUGUUAAGAACUAAGAUGUUUAUGUCAAUUUAACAUAUACUUGUUUUUAUAGUUCAGUCAGUAAUCAAGAUGUGCAUUUAAAGUUGUUUUGUGUGCGAGAUCUGCUUAAGUGCAAGGAUGAAGAUAUAGCUAUAGUACGUUUCAACAAACAUGAAAAUUUGCCGGCUGUGAUUAUAAUGAGAUACGAAUAUCUACUUGUUAUGCUAUGUUUCAACAAACAUGAAAAUGUAAGUAUGUGGUCUGUUUAGAUACGGUUAUGUAGAUCUAGCUAUAGUAACGUAUGAAGGAAUAAACAAUAGAAUACCAGGUAAACCCAAGUAUGUGGCAGUACCUGUAGGAAAUGGCAACAUAAAAAUUUCCAUUGGAAGGCUCUAAAAUUUAAUGACGAUGUUGGUUGGUCAUGAAGGAGCAUAAAUGUAUAAACAAAAAUAAUAAGCUCCUGAGCACCGGGUUAAAAAUUCUAUAGACUGGUCGGCUUUAUACCAAUGGGUUAUACUUAACAUUGAUACCCUAUAUCAUAUCUGACUUUUGAAAGCACUUAUAGAUGAAAAUAUGUGCAAUGAAAUAAUAAAAUCAAAAUUUCUGCAUGUAUGCAACACAUAUUAUUCCCAACGUGAACACUACAUGGUCGCGAUCACAGUAUGACAUGACAAUUGGAUUCUAAUGCAUCAAUAUGCUUUUGCAUCUUAGUUGUGUCUCAAUAACUGUUCAUGUCGCUUUUCCCACCACCAACAAAUUUUUUCAAAUGCUGUAUUUGGAAGCUGAUGGACCAUCACGUCCACAGAGAAAAAUUGUGGAAAAGAAGAUGACGGAGUAUCAUGAAGCCUUGGAUGUGUAGCAUCGUUAAGUUGAUACUUAUUUGAAAUUCUGUUUUACAAUUCAAAUUGAAAGAUGUGUACAUGCGUUUAAAAAAUGUACUUAUUCAUCGAAAUUAUUUCAUUACGUAUAGUACUAUUUUCGACCACUGAACCUAUCCAAACAGUGAUCUUCUAGGAUUGUAAAUAGAAGGUAUACUUACCAUGAUGUUUAAUAGGAAAGAAAUUAGGAUUACUUAUGCUUGGUUAUGUCAAGUGAAUAGGAAGAUAUCAUAUAUAUCAUGCAUAUCGCUUCAGCAUACAGAAAUUUAUGAGUUUCUGCGUAUCAAGUUUAACUGCCAUCAACACUUCUAAAAAAGCCCACUUGAAUGUGAAGUAUUAUCUCAUGUGUGCAAUACCUGAAAAGAAGAGCUUUAAUGCAACAUUAACAUUCGUGCAGUAGCCUGGCCUGGACACACGGCACAUCGUGUGACAUCUCUGAUCAAGUGCACGGCAGAUCAACAUAGAAGCAACAUGUCAUGCAUGAAGGUAGUCAUCCACCGUACAUGCUGCAGAUUUUCGAAAAAAACCAAAUUAGUAGGACAUAAAAACCUAGAUAUCUGCUGUUAUUGUUGCAAUAAGGUUGUCGUUCACGUACACAUUAUAUAUUUUCUGAAAUAGAAGGACGAAUAAAAAUAACUAAAUAUCUAGUGUAUCGGAAAAUAUGUGUUAGUUGUAAUUCGUAAGUACGGAUGCUUACCUUCAUCAGCUGGGACAUGUGCACACGGGCAUGCAGCAAGUCAUCUUGCCUGAUGUCGUGGACGUGCAUGCAAGAAUAGAACACAUGCAUUCUACCUUUAUUUGUCCGAUACCGAUCUGCAUAGUUUGGAGCCCGUCAACAUAUGUGCCAACCGAUCUACUCAUAUUAAGUUAAGGCACAUGAUGCCGUUAGAAUCCUAGCUUUCAUUCAUCUAGUUGGUUUAAGGGAACUGGGCUCCUGCCGUCCAUGCAUCCGUACUUUCAUUCCUCCAGUGUGGUGCCAUGAGUUUUCAUGUCCUCUAUAGCUUUAUAUCGCUGGAAGCAAAACACCAUAUAAUCUGCUAAUGCGGAGGCAUACACCAGUGAACCGACAGUCAUCAAGCUAAACAUGUAAUGCAGAUUGGACGUUUGUCUGUGCAUCGGAACUUUUUUUUAAAGAACAGGGAGGAGACUCCCCGGUUACAUUAACUCGAAUCAAAGUAAAUCUUUCUUAGAUGUCCUGAUCCUCACUACCUUGUUCUUCCAUGGAUGUCCGUCAUCUAUCCUCUGCAGCAGUACGGGAGUAAACGGGAGGCUUCCACCGACAAUCUCAUGUAGUUUCUAGGAUACUCAUCCAAAAAAGCACCUUUGAUCUUCCAUGGUAGGAUGGGAAGAAAAGAGGAGUUUCUUCCCUGGAUGUAUAUGUAAGUAGUAGGUCAAGAUGUCUCCAUGCGUGAGGGGGAUUCCUUUCUCUUUUUUUUUUCUUCCUAUGAUGGAUACGUGAGGGUUUAGUUCUAUCCCCUGGAUGGAUGCGUGAGGCAUCCAUCAGGUUGCGUGAGGGGGAUUUUUUUUCCUUGGAUUGAUACGUGAUAGGUUAGGUCUUUCUUCCAUGGAUGGAUUUGUUAGGAGUCCACCAGGUUACGGGCAUCUAACAACCCCGGUUUAUUAACUAAUAUAAUAUCUAUUAAAUCAAUGGUCAGAUAUAACUAAUUAUUGUGGGAUUUUCUAGUCCAAUUCUCUUUUUUCUGGUUAGCCCGUAAAGCACUUUUUAUAUAUAAUAGAUAGAUAAUCAUUUGCACUGAUAUUAAUAAUCAUGUACUUUUUGUUCCAGUGUGUCUCAUGUCCAAAUACUGGGGAAGCCACUGUCACGAGAGCUCGGGGUCGUUCCUCGUGGGAACGGCCUAGUCCUGAAUUACUAUCUGGAUCCCCGUACAUGUGGCAUUCCCCGCUGUGAGUCAUCAGGGGAUGAUGCCGCAGCAGAUGGCAUAGCUUGGCGUCGAACAUCUGGCAUUCUAGAAUGGCGCGAGGGAGUGGAGGGCUGAACCAAACGCUGUUGAGCAGCCUGCUCGGUGCUCCGUUGCAGCUUGUGGUCGUAGCCGACGCAUCAGAGGAGGUGGAUCUUCCUUAGAAGAAGAGCAAUAAUUGUGUUUUUUUGGAUUUGAUCCUGGAGAAAAGAAACAUAUGAUAAUUACUGCUACAUACAUAUAAGACUGGCUGCCCUUUGUGGUGCUGUUUGAAAAGUAUUUUUCUUGUAACAGAAGACAGCACAAUGAGAUGCAUCCAAUCAGCUCACCUGUAGCCAGAUCAAUGUCACUGUUGUGAUUGAUUAUUACCUAGUCAGAGAAAAUCAUCUCUUCAAUCAAAGAAUGAGUGAAUAAGAUUAUGUCAAUAUCUUCAGUCCAUUUGGAUAUGCAAAUUGAAUGGAAAAAAAUAUGAAAGCACCUACUGGAUGUAGAUAAUAAUUAAUAAAUGAAUAAAUUCAUCAGAUCAAUGCUGCUGUUGUUUAUGUUCUAGCUAUGGAAAAUAUAUGUGUGAGCCUCUUUGAUCUGUGCGUGGUUUAGCAUCUCACAGAUGUUGUAGCAGGAGCUGGCAUGAGAGACAAAGAUUCCAUCAAAGACUCUUGCACUCCUGACCCUCCAAAGCUCAGCAGCACAAGCGGCUAUAAUAACCAUCCACCAACGAUCUUCACACAACAACUUUUCAAUGAACUGCAACACCGAGAAAUCCUCGGUGGUACUAUGCAGGACACCCAGCCUGUCCCAAAUCUCAUGAGCCAGGGCACAGCGUAGGACUAAUUGAUCCGCAGUUUCAGCUCCAGGGCAUCUAUACCUAUACCUAUGUAUCUAUAUUUAUAUCUAUAUCUACACCUAACAAUAAAGGGGCUAUUGCUUCUGACAGCACAUCAUCGAAAUUGCCUCCAAAGUUGUAAAAUAUUACCCACGGAUGCCACCAAUAAGUAAUUAAAAACAUUUCACACACGGGAAUGCCCGCAUGUGCUGGCUCAUGCAGUACGAACCUUAUAUACUACGCUCUGCACGCUCGGAGAAGAUACAGGGCGCCUCUUUGGGCCGGCCCUUGUCCGGGCAGCCUGUUUUUUAAAUUUCGUUUUCCCUUUUUAGUCUUUGUUUUGUCCUACUUCAAAUAUUUUGUGACUUCAAAAAAGUUCCAUAAAUUUCAAAAAAUGAGAAUUUUUAAAUAAAUCUAUCAUGAUUCAUAAAUGCUUGUGGAUUCAGAAAAUAUGCUCUUAAAAAAUGUUCGCAAUUUUUAAAACAAAUGUUCUGGAAAUAAAAAAUGUUCAUUAUUUAAAAAAAUCAUGUACUAAAAAAUUAAAUAAAAUUGAAGAAAAUUUCGCCAAUUCAAAAAAUGUUCAUGAAUUGAAAAUAUACUAAAAAUUCAAAAACUGUUCGUGACUUACAAAAAAGUUUAUUGAUUCAUAAAAUGUUCGCUGAUUCAAGAAUAUAUCAUGCAUUUCAAAAAUUGUUCCACCAAUUUCCAAAAGAAUGUUCGUCCAUUCUAGAAACGUUCACCGAUUCAAUAAAAUUGAUAAAAAAAUGUUUGCAAAUAGUAUAAAAUUUUCAUAAAUUCAAAACAUGUUUUUGAUUUUCGAAAAUGUUAAAAAUUUCUAAAAAUGUUCAUGGAUUUAAAAAAUGUUCACGGUUUCAAAUAUGUUCAUGAUUUUAAAAUAAGUUCAUGAUUUCAUGAAAUUUAGAGUGAUAGUGUAUUUCGGUGAUGCAGCAAAAUGUGAUCAUGGCCAUUGAAGAUUAUGAUUUUUUUUUCUCCCGUUGCAACACUGCCCAAUGUGCCAUCACCUACUGAUGUGAUGUUAUCGAUGCCAAUGUUGCCCAAUGUCAUUUAUAUUAGUGAGUCUGGUAAUUAUGUGAUAUGCAUCUAUAAUUGCUAGUACUUUGAUCCAAUAAUGGUGUUGAGUUAUAUAUGCUCCCUCUCCACGCAAACAUGUGACAAUUUUCAUUGUGCAGUAUAAGUUGAUGGUGGUCCAAAUGAUGAUGAACAAGGAAAAUAUUUUGCUAAGAAACAUGGUCUGAGCGCUCAGGUGAUAGAUCAGAUGAACAAGGGAAGUUCUAAAGAGGAGAUGGAAGGAAUAGCAGGUUUAGAGGGUCAGCCGAUGAAAGACUGCACCAAGGUAAUUUAUAGAUUCCAAUUGUCUAUAUUCUUCUAAUUCUUCUCCUAAAGAUGUAGCUAGCAGAACUGGGGCGGAGUUAGAGAGUGAUAUUCUUGAGAUAAAUAAGUCUAUAUUGCUUUUCAAUUGUUACCUUGGUUGUCGUCUGAGCUGGUUUGCAGAAACGUGGCCUACGAAACAGACAGCGCCUGUGUGCGAGGUUGUCGUCACUGAUGAAAAUUGGUUUCUUUCGUCAGAGAAGUAGACGGGGGCUGUUGGUGCCUUGACAGGGUUAAUCUUGCUCAGGACAGGGACUGGAGUGUGCUUUGAGUAUCAGGUUGGUGUUUUUGUUGAACUGUCACAUACAUUGUAAUGUUGGGUUGUUGUAUAUCUCCUUCUUUGUAACAAGGUAGGCCUAGUCUUUAGGGAUAGACCUAAUCUAGCGCCACCAUCCGGGACGCGCCCUGCAUGUAGGGCUGACUUUCUAUAUGUACGUGUAAACAGUUAUGGAGAUACAGUGUGAUUGCUCGCUCAGUUUGGUAUCGGAGCUAUGGCUUCCCCUUCCUCCUCUCCCGAGUGAACGGCAGAUGCCGCCGCCGCCGCUGCCGCCGCCUCCGGCAACCCCGUCGAUGCGCCUUCAUGCGCUCUGGUUUCUGGCGAGACCUCUGGCUCCGGUGGUCUUCCUCUUGCAGCCAUCCCACCCACCCACUCAACCCUGCCUUCCUCCUCCAAUCCUCCCCCACCUCUCCUGUCCAGCGUCGCCGGCGUCAUCGACUUCAAGCUCGCGCUCGACGGCCGCAACUUCACGCGCUGGAGGAACUACAUCACCCUGCUGCUUGCGCGGCACCACGCCGAGGAUCAUGUUCGGGCCGUCUCGACUCGUCGGCUGGCCGACCCGGCAUGGCGUGAUGACGACACCACCGUCGUCCUUUGGUUCUACACCAUGAUCGAGGGGGGCCUCCUCGACAUCGUCGCCCCCGCCGGCUCCUCCGCCUUCACCAUCUGGACGCGGCUCCACGAGUACUUCCUCGCCAACGAAGCUGAACAUGCUAUGCAUCUGGGCCAGGAGUUUCAGGCGUGUGUGCGCGGCGACCUCACCGUCCACGAGUACUGUCGCCGGCUGCAAGGCAUCGCGGCCGCCCUCGCCGAUGUCCGUGAGCCCGUCACAGAUCGCACCCUCACCUUGCAGAUGCUCGAUGGGCUGGGGCCCAAGUUUGCGAUGCAGUCGGCAAUCCUCCAGUCCACCGUGCCCCUGCCCAACCUUCAACCAGGCGCGCGCCCGUCUCGUCCUCGCCGAGCUAUCCAUGGACAAACUGAAGGAAAUAUGCCCUAGAGGCAAUAAUAAAGUUAUUAUUUAUUUCCUCAUAUCAUGAUAAAUGUUGAUUAUUCAUGCUAUAAUUGUAUUAACCGGAAACAUGAUACAUGUGUGAAUACAUAGACAAACAUAAUUUCACUAGUAUGCCUCUACUUGACUAGCUCAUUAAUCAAAGAUGGUUAUGUUUCCUAACCAUACAUAUGUGUUGUCAUUUGAUUAACGGGAUCAGACUUGACCCACUCCGUUAGCUUAACACUUGAUCGUUUAGUAUGUUGCUAUUGCUUUCUUCAUUACUUAUACAAAGUUCCUACAACUAUGAGAUAAUGCAACUCCCGUUUACCGGAGGAACACUUUGUGUGCUACCAAACGUCACAACGUAACUGGGUGAUUAUAAAAGAGCUCUACAGGUGUCUCCAAAGGUACAUGUUGAGUUGGCGUAUUUCGAGAUUAGGUUUUGUCACUCCGAUUGUCGGAGAGGUAUCCAAGGUCACCUAUACGCCCUGAAGCACUUGUCUGUGAUGAAAAUGAAGGGCAGUUGAUUCAUGACAGAAACUAUGUCUGGACCUACACAUCUCCACAAUUUCCAAUGCUGCAGGUCAGUUGAAUAGCACAUAAUCAUAUUAAUUCAGAGGCUCAUUAUUUUUACCCGCUGAACACAGAAUCUCGUGCAUAUAUAAAUGGGCCAUACAAAUGAGCCAGAACUUUCUGGAAAGGCCCAACAUGAAGAAACUGCAUUUGAUCAAUUAAUAUAUUGUAGCAGUGUUCUAGACGUGCUUAUUACAGAGAUCACUUGGAUUUUGUUUAAUACUAUCUAGACAUUUGCAGUCGCCUUGUGCCGUAAACCUAUUGAGUAAGUAACAUGAUGUGUGUUAUUCCAGGAAGAUGUUCUACAAUCUUUCAAGUUACCGCGCCCGGUUCUUUGUAUUGGUGGGAGAGCUCAGAAGCAAGAAUUUGAUGGUCUCUACUACGUGUGGUGAGUUGUCGACCAACUUUGGAGAUAGAUACUAUUACAGUAUUGUUUUGCUCUGAAUGAUCAUUUGCACUGAUAUUAAUAAUCAUGUACUUUUUCAUCCAGUGUGUCUUAUGUCCAAAUAGUGGGGAAGCCACUGUCACGAGAGCUCGGGGUCGUUCCUCGUGGGAACAGCCUAGUCCUGACUUACUAUCUGGAUCCGCGUACAUGUGGCAUUCCCCGCAGCGAGUCAUCAGGGGAUGAUGCCACAACAGGUGACAUAGCAUGGCGUCGAGGAUCUGGCAUUCUAGAAUGGCACGAGGGAUAGGAGGGCUGAACCAAACGCUGUUGAGCGGCCUGCUCGGUGCUCCGUUGCCGCUUGUGGUCGUAGCCAACGAAUCAGAGGAGGUGGAUCUUCCUUAGAAGAAGAGCAAUAAUUGUAUUUUUUGGAUUUGAUCCUGGAGAAAAGAAACGUAUGAUAGUUACUGCUACAUACAUAUAAGACUGGUUGCCCUUUGUGGUGCUGUGAGAAGGGUUGUGGCGCACCGUGCAAAUUGCCUUUAAUAUUACUCCACCGAGAUCGGUAAACACGUUAUUUGGGGUGUGGCUGCUUGGGAUUGAGUCCGAAACAGCCAGACACAUUCGUGUAGGAGUAUGUGCGUUAUUAUGGACAAUUUGGAAUUGCAGGAAUGAUUUGGUUUUUAAUAGGACAACAAAUACUCAUUUUUUGCAGGUGUUGUUCCGGGCUACGGCGCUGAUCCGUACUUGGUCCUUACUCACUCCGACGGAGGCCAGGGAGCGUUUGGUUACUGGAUCUGUCCGGUGGGAGACGGUAGCGCGGGAUAUCUUCAACCGGUUUGGAUGGCGAUCAUGUAAUAGGAUAGACAUUUAGUUUACCUACCUGCUAUUAUGCCAGCCGGUUUGUGGCUUAUCUCAUUUCUGCCUUGCAGUCGAUGCUCUAUGUGAGCUAUAGGCUGCUUUUAUUCCUUUGUUUGUAAGACCUUUGUUCAGAACCUGUUUAUUUGGUUAAUAAGAGAGGCCGUAUGCAUCGAUCUGAUGCAGAGGCCGGGGAAUACCCCCUUUUCUAAAAAAAACAGAAAACAGCACAAUGAGAUGCAUCCAAUCAGCUCACCUGUAGCCAGAUCAAUGUCACUGUUGUGAUUGAUUAUUACCUAGUCAGAGAAAAUCAUCUCUUCAAUCAAAGAAUGAGUGAAUCAGAUUAUGUCAAUAUCUUCAGUUCAUUUGGAUGAAAAAACAUAUGAAAGCACCUUCCGGAUGUCGAUAAUAAUUAAUAAAUGAAUAAAUUCAUCAGAUCAAUGUUGCUGCUGUUUAUCUUCUAGCUAGGGAAAAUAUAUGUGUGAGCCUCUUCGAUCUGUGACUGGUUCGGCAUCUCACAGAUGUUGUAGCAGGAGAUGGCUUGAGAGACAAAGAUUCCAUCAAAGUCUCUUGCACUCCUGACCUUCCAAAGCUCAAUAGCACAAGCGGCUAUGAUAACCAUCCACCAACGAUCUUCACACAACAACUUAUCAAUGAACUGCAACAGCAAGAAAUCCUCGAUGGUACUAUGUAGGACACCAAGCCUGUCCCAAAUCUCAUGAGCCAGGGCGCAACGUAGGACUAGUUGAUCCACAGUUUUAGCUCCAGGGCAUCUAUACCUAUACAUAUGUAUCUAUAUUUAUAUCUAUAUCUAUACCUAAUAAUAAAGAGGCUAUUGCUUCUGACAGUAUGUCAUCGAAAUUGCCCCAAAGUCGUAAAAUAUUACCGACCGAUACCACUAUUAAGUAACUAAAAACUUAUAUACUGCACUCUGCACACUCGGAGAAGAUACGGGGCGCCUCUUUGGGCCGGCCCAUGUCCGGGCUGUUGGGGAACGUAGUAAUUUUAAAAAAAAUCCUACGCACACGCAAGAUCAUGGUGAUGCAUAGCAACGAGAGGGGAGAGUGUUGUCUACGUACCCUCAUAGACCGAAGCGGAAGCGUUGACACUAUGUAGAGGAAGUAGUCGUACGUCUUCCCGGUCCAACCGAUCCAAGCACCGUUACUCCGGCACCUCCGAGUUCUUGACACACGUACAACUCGAUGAGGCACCCCGGGCUCCGAUCCAGCAGAGCUUCAGGGAGGAGUUUCGUCAGCACGACGGCGUGGUGACGAUCUUGAUGUUCAACCGUCGCAGGGCUUCGCCUAAGCACCGGUACAAUAUGACCGAGGUGUAAUAUCGUGGAGGGGGGCACCGCACACGGCUAAGCAACGAUCACGAAGAUCAACUUGUGUGUCUAUGGGGUGCCCCCCUCCCCCGUAUAAAAAGGGGGAGAGGAGGAGGGGGCCGGCCAAGGGGGAGGCGCGCCCUAGGAGGGGGAAACCUACUCCAAGUAGGUUUGCCCCCUCCCACUAGUAGAAAACGGAGCUUUAGCGCCGGUUCGUAAGGGCCUUUAGUGCCGGUUCCAUAACCGGCACUAAAGGGUGGUCACUAAAGGCCCCCCCCCCCUUUAGUACCGGUUCAGCACGAACCGGCGCUAAAGUGCCACCACGUGGCAUGAGCUCGCGCCCCGGUAUGGGGGACCUUUAGUACCGGUUGGUGUUACCAACCGGUACUAAAGGGUUUUUUUUUUGAAAAUUUUGGAAUUUUUUUUUGAUUUUUUUGUCGAUUUUUAAUUUUUCUGAAUUAUUUGAUGAUUUAGUCUCUAAUCCCCUCUCUUAACUGCUCAAGUGUGGAUCACUCAUUCCAAAUCAUCUAACUUCCCGACCGGUCACCCAUCCCUCUCACUACUCUAGCCCGAGCACGCUUAACUUUCGGGUUCUAUUCUCCUUCGUUUCCGAGUCUGCACUUGUUGUUUUCCUGACAAUAGUAAGAUGUUAAUCCUAUUAACCCUUAGGAGUUUAGCUUGAGCAUGAAGUCACACAUUUUACCGUUUGAGUUUGAAACUAUUAUUCUAAAAAACAGUAAUUAUUUAGUAACGCUAAUAUUUCUUGAAUAAGUUUGACCAUAGUUUGACCAUAGUUUGACCAGAUUUGACCAAAAUUCAAAAAAUUAAAAUAAUUAUUUAGUAACACUAAUAUUCUUGAAUAAUUAUGUAGUAACAUUAAUACUUCUUGAAUAAGUAGUUUGACCAGAUUUAACCAAUUUUUUUAAAAAAAACUGAAAUUAUUUUACCAUAUCUUUUUUCCUUUUGGAAUUUGAGGAUUCUAAAUAAUUCCAAAUAGGCUGUAGGCUGUCUCCAUCGGAUGCGGAUUUUCGUGCUGAAUUUUUUGAUAUAUUAUACGUUUUUUUCCGACAUCGUAUGGAAAAGUUAUAGCCGUUUUACAUUUUCCCUACACUUUUAGUGUCGGUUUGUGUCACAAACCGGUACUAUAGGUCAGACCUCUUUAGUAACGGUUCGUGGCACGAACCGGUACUAAAGGGACCUUUAGUACCGGUUCGUGCCACGAACCUGUACUAAAGGUGAUCGUGGGGCCCCGGCCUGACGCCAGCCUGCCACCACCCCUUUAGUACCGGUUCGUGCCACGAACCGGUACUAAAGGUUCAACACGAACCGGAACUAAGGCAAAUCCGUUCGAACCGGCACUAAUGGUACCAUUAGUACCGGGCCAAAAUCAAACCGACACUAAUGUGCUUCACGUUUGACUCUUUUCCUACUAGUGUCCCUUUCCUAUUAGGAGUAGAAGAGGGAAGGAAGAGAGGGGAGGGAAGAAGGAAGGGGGGGGGCGGCCCCCCUCUCAAUUAGGAUUGGGCUUGGGAGGGCGCGCCCCCUCCUUUGCUCCUUCUCCCUCCUUUCCACUAAGGCCCAAUAAGGCCCAUAUACUUACCGGGGGGUUCCGGUAACCUCCCAGAACUCCGGUAUAAUCCCAAUCUCAUCCGGAACCUUUCCGGUGUCCAAAUAUAUCCGUCCAAUAUAUCAAUCUUUUUGCCUCGACCAUUUCGAGACUCCUCGUCAUGUCCGUGAUCACAUCCGGGACUCCGAACAACCUUCGGUACAUCAAAAUACAUAAACUCAUAAAGUAACUGUCAUCGUAACUUUAAGCGUGCGGACCCUAUGGUUCGAGAACAAUGUAGACAUGACCGGGACAUGUCUCUCGUCAAUAACCAAUAGCGGGACCUGGAUGCCCAUAUAGGUUCCCACAUAUUCUACGAAGAUCUUUAUCGGUCAGACCGCAUAACAACAUACGUUGUUCCCUUUGUCAUCGGUAUGUUACUUGCCCGAGAUUCGAUCAUCGGUAUCCAAUACCUAGUUCAAUCUCGUUACCGGCAAGUCUCUUUACUCGUUCCGUAAUACAUCAUCUCGCAACUAACUCAUUAGUUGCAAUGCUUGCAAGGCUCAAGUGAUGUGCAUUACCGAGAGGGCCCAGAGAUACCUCUCCAACAUUCGGAGUGACAAAUCCUAAUCUCGAAAUACGCCAACCCAACAAGUACCUUUGGAGACACCUGUAGAGCACCUUUAUAAUCACCCAGUUACGUUGUGACGUUUGGUAGCACACAAAGUGUUCCUCCGGUAAACGGGAGUUGCAUAAUCUCAUAGUCAUAGGAACAUGUAUAAGUCAUGAAGAAAGCAAUAGCAACAUACUAAACGAUCGGGUGCUAAGCUAACGGAAUGGGUCAUGUCAAUCAGAUCAUUCAACUAAUGAUGUGAUCUCGUUAAUCAAAUAACAACUCUUUGUUCAUGGUUAGGAAACAUAACCAUCUUUGAUUAACAAGCUAGUCAAGUAGAGGCAUACUAGUGACACUCUGUUUGUCUAUAUAUUCACACAUGUAUUAUGUUUCCGGUUAAUACAAUUCUAGCAUGAAUAAUAAACAUUUAUCAUGAUAUAAGGAAAUAAAUAAUAACUUUAUUAUUGCCUCUAGGGCAUAUUUCUUUCAGUCUCCCACUUGCAAUAGAGUCAAUAAUCUAGAUUACAUAGUAAUGAUUCUAACAACCAUGGAGUCUUGGUGUUGAUCAUGUUUUGCUCGUGGAAGAGGCUUAGUCAACGGGUCUGCAACAUUCAGAUCCGUAUGUAUCUUGCAAAUCUCUAUGUCUCCCACCUGGACUAGAUCCCGGAUGGAAUUGAAGCGUCUCAUGAUGUGCUUGGUUCUCUUGUGAAAUCUGGAUUCCUUCGCUAAGGCAAUCGCUCCAGUAUUGUAACAAAAGAUUUUCAUUGGACCCGAUGCACUAGGUAUGGCACCCAGAUCGGAUAUGAACUCCUUCAUCCAGACUCCUUCAUUGGCUGCUUCCGAAGCAGCUAUGUAUUCCGCUUCACACGUAGAUCCCGCCACGACGCUUUGCUUUGAACUGCACCAACUGACAGCUCCACCGUUUAAUGUAAACACGUAUCCGGUUUGCGAUUUAGAAUCGUCCGGAUCAGUGUCAAAGCUUGCAUCAACGUAACCAUUUACGAUGAGCUCUUUGUCACCUCCAUAUACGAGAAACAUAUCCUUAGUCCUUUUCAGGUACUUCAGGAUGUUCUUGACCGUUGUCCAGUGAUCCACUCCUGGAUUACUUUGGUACCUCCCUGCUAAACUUAUGGCAAGGCACACAUCAGGUCUGGUACACAGCAUUGCAUACAUGAUAGAGCCUAUGGCUGAAGCAUAGGGAACACCUUUCAUUUUCUCUCUAUCUUCUGCAGUGGUCGGGCUUUGAGUCUUACUCAACUUCACACCUUGCAAUACAAGCAAGAACCCUUUCUUUGCUUGAUCCAUUUUGAACUUCUUCAAAACUUUGUCAAGGUAUGUGCUUUGUGAAAGUCCAAUUAAGCGUUUUGAUCUAUCUCUAUAGAUCUUAAUGCCCAAUAUGUAAGCAGCUUCACCGAGGUCUUUCAUUGAAAAACUUUUAUUCAAGUAUCCCUUUAUGCUAUCCAGAAAUUCUAUAUCAUUUCCAAUCAAUAAUAUGUCAUCCACAUAUAAUAUUAGAAAUGCUACAGAGCUCCCACUCACUUUUUUGUAAAUACAGGCUUCCCCAAAAGUCUGUAUAAACCCAAAUGCUUUGAUCACACUAUCAAAGCGUUUAUUCCAACUCCGAGAGGCGUGCACCAGUCCAUAAAUGGAUCGCUGGAGCUUGCACACUUUGUUAGCUCCCUUUGGAUCGAUAAAACCUUCUGGUUGCAUCAUAUACAACUCUUCCUCCAGAAAUCCAUUCAGGAAUGCAGUUUUUACAUCCAUUUGCCAAAUUUCAUAAUCAUAAAAUGCGGCAAUUGCUAACAUGAUUCGGACAGACUUAAGUACGGGUGAGAAGGUCUCAUCGUAGUCAAUCCCUUGAACUUGUCGAAAACCUUUUGCAACAAGUCGAGCUUUGUAGACAGUAACAUUACCGUCAGCGUCAGUCUUCUUCUUGAAGAUCCAUUUAUUCUCAAUUGCUUGCCGACCAUCGGGCAAGUCAACCAAAGUCCAUACUUUGUUCUCAUACAUGGAUCCCAUCUCAGAUUUCAUGGCUUCAAGCCAUUUUGCGGAAUCUAGGCUCACCAUCGCUUCUUCAUAGUUCGUAGGUUCAUCAUGAUCUAGUAGCAUGACUUCUAGAAUAGGAUUACCGUACCACUCUGGUGCGGAUCUUACUCUGUUUGACCUACGAGGUUCUGUAUUAACUUGAUCUGAAAUUCUAUGAUCAUCAUCAUUAACUUCCUCACUAGUUGGUUUUGAUGUCACAGAAACCGGUUCCUGUGAUGUAUUAUUUUCCAACAAGGGAGUAGGUACAGUUACCUCAUCAAGUUCUACUUUCCUCCCACUCACUUCUUUCGAGAGAAACUCCUUCUCUAGAAAGGAUCCAUUCUUAGCAACGAAUGUCUUGCCUUCGGAUCUGUGAUAGAAGGUCUACCCAACUGUCUCCUUUGGGUAUCCUAUGAAGACACAUCUCUCCGAUUUGGUUUUGAGCUUAUCAGGUUGAAGCUUUUUCACAUAAGCAUCGCAGCCCCAAACUUUAAGAAACGACAACUUUGGCUUCUUGCCAAACCAUAGUUCAUAAGGUGUCGUCUCAACGGAUUUUGAUGGUGCCCUAUUUAAUGUGAAUGUGGCCGUCUCUAAAGCAUAACCCCAAAACGAUAGCGGUAAAUCAGUAAGAGACAUCAUAGAUCGCACCAUAUCAAGUAAAGUACGAUUACGACGUUCGGACACACCAUUACACUGUGGUGUUCCGGGUGGCAUGAGUUGCGAAACUAUUCCGCAUUGUUUCAAGUGUAGACCAAACUCGUAACUCAAAUAUUCUCCUCCACGAUCAGAUCGUAGAAACUUUAUUUUCUUGUUACGAUGAUUUUCAACUUCACUCUGAAAUUCUUUGAACUUUUCAAAUGUUUCAGACUUAUGCUUCAUUAAGUAGAUAUACCCAUAUCUGCUUAAAUCAUUUGUGAAGGUGAGAAAACAACAAUAUCCGCCACGAGCCUCAACAUUCAUCGGACCACAUACAUCUGUAUGUAUGAUUUCCAACAAAUCUGUUGCUCUCUCCAUAGUACCGGAGAACGGCGUUUUGGUCAUCUUGCCCAUGAGGCACGGUUCGCAAGUACCAAGUGAUUCAUAAUCAAGUGGUUCCAAAAGUCCAUCAGUAUGGAGUUUCUUCAUGCGCUUUACACCGAUAUGACCUAAACGGCAGUGCCACAAAUAAGUUGCACUAUCAUUAUCAACUCUGCAUCUUUUGGCUUCAACACUAUGAAUAUGUGUAUCACUACUAUCGAGAUUCAUCAAAAAUAGACCACUCUUCAAGGGUGCAUGACCAUAAAAGAUAUUACUCAUAUAAAUAGAACAACCAUUAUUCUCUGAUUUAAAUGAAUAACCGUCUCGCAUCAAACAAGAUCCAGAUAUAAUGUUCAUGCUUAACGCUGGCACCAAAUAACAAUUAUUUAGGUCUAACACUAAUCCCGAAGGUAGAUGUAGAGGUAGCGUGCCGACCGCGAUCACAUCAACUUUGGAACCAUUUCCCACGCGUAUCGUCACCUCGUCCUUUCCUAGUGUUUGCUUAAUCCGUAGUCCCUAUUUCGAGUUGCAAAUAUUAGCAACAGAACCAGUAUCAAAUACCCAGGUGCUACUGCGAGCUCUAGUAAGGUACACAUCAAUAACAUGUAUAUCACAUAUACCUUUGUUCACCUUGCCAUCCUUCUAAUCCGCCAAAUACUUGGGGCAGUUCCGCUUCCAGUGUUCAGUCUGCUUGCAGUAGAAGCACUGAGUUUCAAGCUUAGGUCCAGACUUGGGUUUCUUCUCUUGAGCAGCAACUUGUUUGCUGUUCUUCUUGAAGUUCCCCUUCUUCUUCCCUUUGCCCUUUUUCUUGAAACUAGUGGUCUUGUUGACCAUCAACACUUGAUGUUCCUUCUUGAUUUCUACCUCCGCAGCCUUUAGCAUUGCGAAGAGCUCGGGAAUCGUCUUAUCCAUCCCUUGCAUAUUAUUGUUCAUCACGAAGCUCUUGUAGCUUGGUGUAAGUGAUUGGAGAAUUCUGUCAAUGAAGCUAUCAUCCGGAAGAGUAACUCCCAGUUGAAUCAAGUGAUUAGAAUACCCAGACAUCUUGAGUAUAUGCUCACUGACAGAACUAUUCUCCUCCAUCUUGCAGCUAUAGAACUUAUUGGAGACUUCGUAUCUCUCAAUCUGGGCAUUCUUCUGGAAUAUUAACUUCAACUCCUGGAACAUCUCAUAUGCUCCAUGACGUUCGAAACGUCGUUGAAGUCCCGGUUCUAAGCCGUAAAGCAUGGCACAUUGAACUAUCGAGUAGUCAUCAGCUUUGCUCUGCCAGACGUUCUUAACGUCGUUAGUUGCAUCAGCAGCAGGCCUGGCACCCAACGGUGCUUCCAGGACGUAAUUUUCUGUGCAGCAAUGAGGAUAAUCCUCAAGUUACGGACCCAGUCCGCGUAGUUGCUACCAUCAUCUUUCAACUUUGCUUUCUCAAGGAACGCAUUAAAAUUCAACGGAACAACAGCACGGGCCAUCUAUCUACAAUCAACAUAGACAAGCAAGAUACUAUCAGGUACUAAGUUCAUGAUAAAUUUAAGUUCAAUUAAUCAUAUUACUUAAGAACUCUCACUUAGACAGACAUCUCUCUAGUCAUCUAAGUGAUCACGUGAUCCAACUCAACUAAACCAUAACCGAUCAUCACGUGAGAUGGAGUAGUUUUCAAUGGUGAACAUCUUAUGUUGAUCAUAUCUACUAUAUGAUUCACGCUCGACCUUUCGGUCUCCGUGUUCCGAGGCCAUAUCUGCAUAUGCUAGCCUCGUCAAGUUUAACCUGAGUAUUCUGCGUGUGCAAAACUGGCUUGCACCCGUUGUAGAUGGACGUAGAGCUUAUCACACCCGAUCAUCACGUGGUGUCUGGGCACGACGAACUUUGGCAACGAUGCAUACUCAGGGAGAACACUUCUUGAUAAUUUUUAGUGAGAGAACAUCUUAAAAUGCUACCGUCAAUCAAAGCAAGAUAAGAUGCAUAAAGGAUAAACAUCACAUGCAAUCAAUAUUAGUGAUAUGAUAUGGCCAUCAUCAUCUUGUGCUUCUGAUCUCCAUCUCCGAAGCACCAUCAUGAUCACCAUCGUCACCGGCGCGACACCUUGAUCUCCAUCGUAGCAUCAUUUGUCGUUUACGCCAUCUAUUGCUUCUACGACUAUCGCUACUGCUUAGUGAUAAAGUAAAGCAAUUACAGGGCGUUUGCAUUUCAUACAAUAAAGCGACAACCAUAUGGCUCCUGCCAGUUGCCGAUAACUUCGGUUACAAAACAUGAUCAUCUCAUACAAUAAAAUAUAGCAUCAUGUCUUGGCCAUAUCACAUCACAACAUGCCCUGCAAAAACAAGUUAGACGUCCUCUACUUUGUUGUUGCAAGUUUUACGUGGCUGCUACGGGCUUAAGCAAGAACCAAUCUCACCUACGCAUCAAAACCACAAUGAUAGUUUGUCAAGUUGAUGCUGUUUUAACCUUCGCAAGGACCGGGCGUAGCCACACUCGGUUCAACUAAAGUUGGAGAAACUGACACCCGCUAGUCACCUGUGUGCAAAGCAUGGCGGUAAAACCAGUCUCGCGUAAGCGUACACAUAAUGUCGGUCCGGGCCGCUUCAUCCAACAAUACCGCCGAACCAAAGUAUGACAUGCUGGUAAGCAGUAUGACUUAUAUCGCCCACAACUCACUUGUGUUCUACUCGUGCAUAUAACAUCAAACCAUAAAACCUAGGCUCGGAUGCCACUGUUGGGGAACGUAGUAAUUUCAAAAAAUUUCCUACGCACACGCAAGAUCAUGGUGAUGCAUAGCAACGAGAGGGGAGAGUGUUGUCUACGUACCCUCGUAGACCGAAGCGGAAGCGUUGACACUAUAUAGAGGAAGUAGUCGUACGUCUUCCCGGUCCAACCGAUCCAAGCACUGUUACUCCGGCACCUCCGAGUUCUUGACACACGUACAGCUCGAUGACGCACACCGGGCUCCGAUCCAGCAGAGCUUCAGGGAGGAGUUCCGUCAGCACGACGGCGUGGUGACGAUCUUGAUGUUCAACCGUCGCAGGGCUUCGCCUAAGCACCGCUACAAUAUGACCGAGGUGUAAUAUCGUGGAGGGGGGCACCGCACACGGUUAAGCAACGAUCACGAAGAUCUACUUGUGUGUCCAUGGGGUGCCCCCCUCCCCCGUAUAUAAAGGGGGAGAGGAGGAGGGGGCCGGCCAAGGGGGAGGCGCGCGCUAGGAGGGGGAAACCUACUCCAAGUAGGUUUGCCCCCUCCCUUUCCUAUUAGGAGUAGGAGAGGGAAGGAAGAGAGGGGAGGGAAGAAGGAAAGGGGGGCCGGCCAACCUCCCAAUUCGGAUUGGGCUUGGGGGGGCGCGCCCCCUCCUUUGCUCCUUCUCCCUCCUUUCCACUAAGGCCCAAUAAGGCCCAUAUACUUACCGGGGGGUUCCGGUAACCUCCCGGAACUCCGGUAUAAUCCCAAUCUCAUCCGGAACCUUUCCGGUGUCCAAAUAUAUCCGUCCAAUAUAUCAAUCUUUAUGUCUCGACCAUUUCGAGACUCCUCGUCAUGUCCGUGAUCACAUCCGGGACUCCAAACAACCUUCGGUACAUCAAAAUACAUAACCUCAUAAAGUAACUGUCAUCGUAACUUUAAGCGUGCGGACCCUACGGUUCGAGAACAACGUAGACAUGACCGAGACAUGUCUCCGGUCAAUAAUCAAUAGCGGGACCUGGAUGCCCAUAUUGGUUCCCACAUAUUCUACGAAGAUCUUUAUCGGUCAGACCGCAUAACAACAUACGUUGUUCCCUUUGUCAUCGAUAUGUUACUUGCCCGAGAUUCGAUCGUCGGUAUCCAAUACCUAGUUCAAUCUCGUUACCGGCAAGUCUCUUUACUCGUUCCGUAAUACAUCAUCUCGCAACUAACUCAUUAGUUGCAAUGCUUGCAAGGCUUAAGUGAUGUGCAUUACCGAGAGGGCCCAGAGAUACCUCUCCGACAGUCGGAGUGACAAAUGCUAAUCUUGAAAUACGCCAACCCAACAAGUACCUUUGGAGACACCUGUAGAGCACCUUUAUAUUCACCCAGUUACGUUGUGACGUUUGGUAGCACACAAAGUGUUCCUCCGGUAAACGGGAGUUGCAUAAUCUCAUAGUCAUAGGAACAUGUAUAAGUCAUGAAGAAAGCAAUAGCAACAUAUUAAACGAUCGGGUGCUAAGCUAACAGAAUGGGUCAUGUCAAUCAGAUCAUUCAACUAAUGAUGUGAUCUUGUUAAUCAAAUAAUAACUCUUUGUUCAUGGUUAAGAAACAUAACCAUCUUUGAUUAACAAGCUAGUCAAGUAGAGGCAUAGUAGUGACACUCUGUUUGUCUAUAUAUUCACACAUGUAUUAUGUUUCCGGUUAAUACAAUUCUAGCAUGAAUAAUAAACAUUUAUCAUGAUAUAAGGAAAUAAAUAAUAACUUUAUUAUUGCCUCUAGGGCAUAUUUCCUUCACGGGCAGCCUGUUUUUUAAAUUUCGUUUCCCUUUUUUGUCUUUGUUUGUUCCUACUUCAAAUAAUUUGUGACUUCGAAAAAGUUCCGUAAAUUUAAAAAAUGAGAAUUUUUAUAUAAAUAUUUAAUAAUUCAUAAAUGCUUGUGGAUUCAGGAAAUGUUCUCUUAAAAAAUGUUCGCAAUUUUUAAAACAAAUGUUCAGGAAAUAAAAAAAAUUCAUGAUUUGAAAAAUUCAUGUACUAAAAAAGUAUAUAAAAUUGAUGAAAAUUUCGCCACUUCAAAAAAUGUUCAUUAAUUGAAAAAUAUCUUAAAAAUUCAAAAACUGUUCGUGACUUACAAUUUUUUUUAUUGAGAAAUAAAAUUUUCGCUGAUUGAAGAAAAGAUCAUGCAUUUAAAAAAUGUUCUCUUUCAAUAAAAAAAUGUUCAUGAAUUUCAAAAAUUGUUCCACCAUUUUCCAAGAGAAUGUUCUUCAAUUCUAGAAAUGUUCACCGAUUCAAGAAAAUUGAUAAAAAAAAUGUUUGCAAAUAGUAUAAAAUUUUCAUGAAUUCAAAACAUGUUUUUUGAUUUUAGAAAAUGUUCACUAUUUCAAAUUGUUCACAAUUUUUAAAAAAAAUGUUCAUGAUUUCACGAAAUUGAGAGUGGUAGUGUAUCUUGGUGAAGCAGCAAAAUGUGAUCAUGGCCAUUGGAGAUUAUGAUUUUUUUUCUCGCAUUGCAACACUGCCCAAUGUGCCAUCACCUACUGAUGUGAUGUUAUCAAUGACAAUGUUGCCCAAUGUCAUUUGUAUUAGUGAGUCUGGUAAUUAAGUGAUAUGCAUCUAUAAUUGCUAGUACUUUGAUCCAAUAUUGGUGUUGAGUUAUAUAUGCUCGCUCUUCACGAAAAUAUUUUGCUAAGAAACAUGGUUUGAGCGCUCAGGUGAUAGACCAGAUGAACAAGGGAAGUUCUAAAGAGGAGAUGGAAGGAAUAGCAGGUUUAGAGGGUCAGCAGAUGGAAGACUGCACCAAGGUAAUUUACAGAUUCCAAUAGUCUUAUAUUCUUCUAAUUCUUAUCCUAGAGAUGUAGCUAGCAGAACUCGGGCGGAGUCAGGGACUGAUAUUCUUGAGAUAAAUAAGUCUAUUAUAUGGCUUUUCAAUUGUUACCUUGGUUGUCUUCUGGACUGGUUUGCAGAAACGAGGCUUACAAAACAAACAGCACCUACACGCAAGGUUGUCGUCAUUGGUGAAAAUUGGUGUCUUUCGUCAGAGAAGUCGACGGGGGCAGUUGGUGCCUCGGCCGGGUUAAUCUUUCUCGGAACAGGUUUGAGGUGAGUUUUGGUGUUGUAAGUAGUUGUAGCCUCUGUUGUCUUUUGAGCCUGUGAACAUUGCGCUAUCAAUUUCUGAUGCGGUAAUGGCAGACUCUCAGGUCCUUGGUGAACAGGGACAACUACGGCUAGGGGGAUUUAACUUUUGAUAAACUAGUAGAGCUUGUGUUUGCGUACGAUUAUAUGCACCAGGGAAGAUUAGACAGAGCGCUUCAUGGUAUGCAUCAACGUGAAACUUGCUGACUGUUCAAUCGCUAACCUCUUGGUAAGUAGCCUAAUACUCUGUAACUUCAACUGUUCUUCAGGUAAGUGUGAGAAUAUUCAGUCGUGGUGGGGAGGAGGAAGAUUGUCAGGCCCCAACUCCCAAGUCGAAUCGACCUGACGCCUCAAGCUACAGCCAAAUAUUCAGAGUUGAGAAAACAGAGCAAAAGCAGAGGAAGCGACAUGCAAGUAUUCACAGUUUAGAAAGGAGAGCAAAAGCAGAGGAUUAGAGUUGAGAAAACAGAACGAAAGCAGACUCAUGCUUGUGGCAAAGGACUGAAAAGGAGUACUUUGCAUGCGAUUCCAAAAAAAAAAUACGUUUAGAUCAGACUCAUGAAAAAAUAAAUUUGUGGAGAUAGCGAACCACUCAUGCCGAGCGGAUCAUUUUCUAUUGUUUUGGAUGGACAUUUAGAAGUGUUUCUUUCCAUUAAACUUGUUGAGUAUACACCUUGGCGAUAUCAGGCAAAAUGAGUGUGUAGCGGAUACUGUCAGCGGUUCGCUGUAGGAAUGAACCCCAAUUUACAAGUUUGAUUAACCUGCACUGCAAAACAACAUAUAACAUAAAUCUUAGACAAGCCCUCCCACUUUUAUUUUUUGCAUGGUAAAGAGCCCUCCCACUUUCAACAGCAUCCUGCAUCACAUAAGCUUUCUCUCACACACACACUUACACGCACACAUGUCCGCAGAAAACAAACGUGCGGAAACGAAAUGGGCCCAAGAACGCGUGAAGCCGGGGAGAGAAAUGGUCGUCGGCCCACCACGCUUGGCUGGGCUUCUCUCUCCCUCUCUCUCUGUCGAAGAAAGGGGAAAAAAAGACAGAAACCAAUUCCGUCGCCCUCUAGGGGUGGGCGUUCGGUAUAAACCAAAAAUUCGGUUUCUACCAAUCGGUUUUUUUCAAAGUUCGGUUAGGAAAAUCAGAAACCGAAUAUGACAGCUUCAAAUGGAUAACCGAAAAUUCGAUUAACCAAAUAAUUCGGUUCGGUUCCCGGUUUAUACCGAAAGAACUACACGUGAGCAACUGUGGCUACAAAACGCAGCAGCGACACCCUAUAUAACCAACAAUAUGUGCUCGUUUCCUCGACUAGGCGAGGUGGUACUAAACAAAUGUUGUUUACACACACGCAUGGAAGUGGAACACACUAGCAGAUUUACUGCGGCUCACCCUUGAAUAAAAAGCCCAUAUUAAAUUGGGCCUACAUCUUUGCAUGCACCUGGACACCUUACUCUCGUAGGGAUCCGGCUUGCCUGCUCCCUCGCCAUGCUCCCAUCCGUCCUCCCACUCCAUCCUACGGUUGUCCUUUUUUCCUUUUUUUUUCUAAUCUAAUCAUCUUCCCCCUGAUUUUAAGGGGGUGGGACCGGGCCUUAUUUUGUUCCAAUUAAAUCAUGCCACGUAUGUGGGAGCACGGAUGGGAGCACGCUGGAGGAGCAGGCAAGUCUCGUCCCUCUCGUAGGGCCACCCUCUUUGGAUACGCAGAACAGAGUCUCCGCAGAAUGUGCUGGUCGCUAGCGACGUGGAGCAUGACUCACGAGAGUAGGGGCAGGACAGGCGUCGUGCUUUUGGUUAUUCUUCACGCUGACUUUUUUUUGAGGGUGUACGCUGACUCACUUGUUCGGUGUUUGUUCGGUUAACCGGUACAACACCGAACCGAAUAAAUUAUGUUCGGUUACUGGAAGUGAAAACCGAAUUUCUGUGUGCCAGUACAGCAAACCAAAAUUUCGGUUUAUUCGGUUUCGGCAUCGGUUCGGUGUUCGGUUCCUCGGUUUUAUGCCCACCCCUAUCGCCCUCCACCACACCUCCACGCCGCCGGCCACGAGCCUCCGCCACCGCUCUAUCCAUUCCCCCCCUUCGCGCUGGGGGCCGCGGCCGGAGAGGAGGGAUGUGGAGGUCCGGCGCGCAUCGGCCAUGGGGCUUCACUGCUUAUGCCGUUACAGUUCUGUCCACCCAGGCAUUAUAUCCUUGAAACGCGAUGCAAGUCCAAGGCUCUUCAAGUGCGGUUUAGAAUGUGAAUCCACUUCAGCCGAAUCUCUUCAACACAAGUAUAUAUUCCUCAGUGUUUUGGCUGUUUUAUUACCAGACGAAUUCCAGCAGGUAAUUUUCCUUUGACAUUCCGCGUGCCUUCCGUACGAAUUGAUGUUCCUUUUUUCAGUAAACUUGAAAGCUGUGUAAUUUUCUUUCUCUAAUGCAUUCAGACAUGUUGAUCCGGAAGAAGGGGUCAACAUUGCGGAGACUGACACUGGAUUGUAACUUGGAUGACUGCAGUCUUGUGUUUCAGGUGAAUCUCUGCAAUACAAGUACGUAUUAUUCAGUGUGUAGGCAAUUUUGAUCUGUUACUAGGCGAAUCUCAAUGGGUAAUUUCAGUAUUAGCCUUCACUUUUACUGAAAAAAACGAACAUUUGUAAGAAACUAAAUGCAGAAUGUCAAAGCUAAUUUUCUUUUCUCUAAUGCAGAUUUGUUGAUUGGUAAGGGACUGCCACUGGACUGCAACAUUAGAAUGUUGUCUCCCUAAGGGGAAGGGGAUUUAACUUCGAUAACUACAGCCUUGUGUUUGUGUAUGCACCAGGGAAGGUAACCAUCAAAAUGUAACAUGCUUACUAAUCGAUCCCUAACCUCUAUGUAAGUAGCCUAAUUACUGCGUAACUCCAACUGUUCUGCAGGCAAGUAUGAGAAUAUUCUAUCUUAACUGUCUUCACAUCGCAAAAGGCACUUCAAUAUCUGCAUCAUGGUGGUGUUACCCGGUCUGUGAUCUCAUGGUAAGUUAUACAACAAUGAAAUAAAAACUAUUUACACGGGAAAGCUCCCAACAAGUAAGAAGAAGAACUGGAAAUAUUUUUGGGUUUUCUAUUUAAUUAUUACUACUACAGCAGGAAGAAAUAAACUACUACUAAUUUUUUGGUUUUUCUAAGGUUUAUUAAACACACAAGAAGAAAGCAGGAAAAAGGAAAAUACACAAGCAUGGAUAUUACAGUGAAAGAGUAUGAGCACCGACAUCUAGCAAUGAGUGUGUGUGAACAUGAAUGUAAUGUCGGUGGAAAAUACGUACUCCCCCAAGCUUAGGCUUUUGGCCUAAGUUGGUCUAUUGCCAGGGAUAGCCUGGCUGAUAACCAUAGGUGUAGCUGGGGUCGUACUGCGAUGCAGCGGCUACCGCCUCCUGAGCAGCAGCAUGGCGUCGAGCUGCCUCCGCUCUCCUCUCGUACUCAUCUGCCUCCUCUUUGGUAAUAAAUAUAUCUUCCUCUCGUCUGAAAAUCAAAGAAGGCAGGAGCAGGAAGAGUAACAUGGACAACAUGCCGUUUGUUAAAGAUUAGUCGAUACUGGAAAGGUGGUCCAGUCCUCUCAAUGAACUCAUGGGAAAACAUAGAAUCAAGAUCUAAAUAUGAAGGAGGUAACUCCAUGUCACCCUCACGAAUGUCUACAUCAAGAAAAUUAGCUAAGCGGGUUGCAUAAAUUCCUCCAAAGAAAUCUUCGUUAUGUCUAUUAUGAUGCAACCUACGAGCUACAAUGGCUCCCAUAUGAUAAGAUUGGUCCCCUAACACAGCACUUCUGAGAAUGCUGAGAUCAGGGGCACACAUGUGACAUGCUUCAUCCUUAGCAUUUAUGCAUCUACCAAUGAAGAGAGCAAAGUAAUGUAUAGCAGGAAAGUGAAUGCUCCCUAUAGUGGCCUGCGCUAUAUCUCUAGAUUCCCCCACAGUUAUUCUAGCAAAAAAAGUCUCUGUAUUCAGAUUUAGGGGGAUCCCUGAUACUACCCCAAGAUGGAAGUUUGCAUGCAAAAGUGAAAUCCUCUAAGUCCAUGGUAUAAGAUUUGUCAUAAAGGUCAAACAUGACUGAAGGAGAAUUACGCGAAGAUGAAAACUCAAAUCUCCCCACAAAUGAACUUGUGAGAUCACGAUACUGGGGGCAUUUAUCAGCUUCAAAGACCUCAAGACCGGCAUUACGCAAAUAUGCGUAGAAUUCUUCUUUAAUUCCCACUUGAUUCAUAAAAAUUUUCGAAGGCCAUUCACAGGGCCUCACGAGAGCGUCUCUUGGUGGUUCCUCGUCACCAUCACGCAUUGCAAGCCUGGGACCUUGCUUCCAUGAAGAACCACCUUGGAACAUCUUCCUAAGCAUAUUGUUUUCUCCGAAAAAUAAUUCUAAAAUUUUUAGUAACUUCAAACAAAAGUGAACCAACUUCAAUAAAACUGAUAGCAACUACUCAUACAAGUGCCUAGAGCAUAUAUCAAGCAUUACAACUACUGGGAACCAUAUGAAUUUGACAUGCAAGCUCAAGAACAUGGUCACCUAUGCAGCACAAAUUUGCAAUGAAUAAAGCACUAGAACAAAAACUAAUUGGACCAAUGGAGGAGUCACAUACCAAGGAACAAUCUCCCCAAGCAGUUUUGCGAGAGGUGCUUUGAGCAAGGAGAUCGAAAGUCACAGCAAAAGAGGCUGGAACACGAGCUUGAGUUGGUUUUUCGGGUUUGUGUGAGACAGAGGAAGAAGAUGGGUGCAGGGAUAAGUGGAGGAGGGCCACCGUGGGCCCACGAGGCAGGGGGGCGCGCCCAGGGGGGUAGGGCGCACCCUCCACCCUCGUGGCCAGGUGGCAGCUCCCCCCGCGGUAAUUUUUUCACUAAAAAUCCUAAAAUAUUCCCGACAAAAUCAUAUUAAAUUGGCAUGGCAUUCUGAGGACUUUUAUUUUCGGGAUAUUUUUAUAUUGCACGGAUAAAUCAGGAAACAAACAGAAAAAUACUAUUUUACUUUAUUUCUACUAAGUAACAGAAAAUAUAAAGAGGGUACAGAAGGUUGUGCUUCUAGUUUCAUCCAUCUCAUGCUCAUCAAAAAGAAUCCACUAUGUUAACAAACUCAUUCCGAUAAUCAUGGAACCGGAGAAAUUUCGAAUAACACUAUGUUACCUCAACGGGGAUAUGAACAUCCCCAAUAAUAAGUAUAUCAUAUUUCUUCUUGACAGCAGGGAGAGGAAAUUCAAAACCUCCAAAUAUAAUCGAUGGAAUUUUUCCAAUAGAGUUGAUACUAUGAACUUGAGGUUGUUUCCUCGGAAAGUGUACCGUAUGCUCAUUACCAUUAACAUGAAAAGUGACAUUGCCUUUGUUGCAAUCAAUAACAGCCCCUGCAGUAUUAAGGAAAGGUCUUCCAAGAAUAAUAGACAUACUAUCAUCCUCGGGAAUAGCAAGAAUAACAAAGUCCGUUAAAAUAGUAACGUUUGCAACCACAACAGGCACAUCCUCACAAAUACCGACAGGUAUAACAGUUGAUUUAUCAGCCAUUUGCAAAGAUAUUUCAGUAGGUGUCAACUUGUUCAAGUCAAGUCUACGAUAUAAAGAGAGAGGCAUAACACUAACACCGGCUCCAAGAUCACAUAAAGCAGUUUUAACAUAAUUUCUUUUAAUGGAGCAUGGUAUAGUAGGUACUCCUGGAUCUCCAAGUUUCUUUGGUAUUCCACCCUUAAAAGUAUAAUUAGCAAGCAUGGUGGAAAUUUCAGCUUCCGGUAUCUUUCUUUUAUUUGUAACAAUAUCUUUCAUAUAUUUAGCAUAAGGAUUCAUUUUGAGCAUACUAGUCAAUCGCAUACGCAAAAAGAUGGGUCUAAUCAUUUCAGCAAAGCGCUCAAAAUCCUCAUCAUCCUUUUUCUUGGAUGGUUUGGGAGGAAAAGGCAUGGGUUUCUGAACCCAUGGUUCCCUUUCUUUACCAUGUUUCCUAGCAAUGAAGUCUCUUUUAUCAUAACGUUGAUUCUUUGAUUGUGGGUUAUCAAGAUCAACAGCAGGUUCAACUUCUACAUCAUUAUCAUUACUAGGUUGAGCAUCAUUAUGAACAUCAUCAUUAACUUUUUUACUAGGUUCAUGUUCAUUACCAGAUUGUGUUUCAGCAUCAGACAUAGAGAUAUCAUUUGGAUUAUCAGGUGGUUCAGCAAUAGGUUCACUAGAAGUUUGCACAGUUCUAUCAUUUUUCUUUUUCUUCCUCUUAGAAGAACUAGGCAUAUCAAUAUUAUUUCUCUGAGAAUCUUGCUCGAUUCUCUUAGGGUGGCCUUCAGGAUACAAAGGUUCCUGAGUCAUUCUACCAGUUCUAGUAGCCACUCUAACAACAUAAUCAUUUUUCUUACUAUUCAUUUCAUCAAGCACUCCUUUCUGAGCUUUAAGUACUUGUUCUACUUGAGUGGUAACCAUAGAAGCAUGUUUGCUAACAAGUUUAAGUUCACCUCUAAUAUCAUCCAUAUAAUCACUCAGGCCUUUAAUCAUAAUGGUAUUCUGUUUUAAUUGUCUACCAAAAUAAGCAUUAAAGUCAUCUUGCUUAAGCAUAAAGUUAUCAAACUCAUCCAAGCACUGACUAGCAAUUUUAGUAGGAGGGAUUUCAGCUUUAUCAUAUCUAUAGAGAGAAUUUACCUUUACUACCUGUGUCGGGAUAUCGGGAGGUUCUUCAGUAAAUAAGUAAUUGAGAUCAUAUACUUCUUCAACAGGCGGUAAAUUAAGACCAUGUAUUUCUUCAAUAGGAGGUAAAUUCUUAACAUCUUCAGCUUUAAUACCUUUUUCUUUCAUGGAUUUCUUUGCCUCUUGCAUAUCUUCGGGACUGAGAAAUAGAACACCUCUCUUCUUCGGAGUUGGUUUAGGAAUAGGCUAAGUAAUUGGCUCAGGAGCUGGCUCGGGAGGUGCCCAAUUAUUUUCGUUUGCCAACAUAUUAUUUAAUAGAAUUUCAGCUUCAUCAAGUGUUCUUUCCUUGAAAAGAGAACCAGCACAACUAUCCACGUAAUCUCUGGAAGCAUCAGUUAGUUCAUUAAAAAAGAUAUCAAAUAUUUCAGGUUUCUUAAGAGGAUGAUCAGGCAAAGCAUUAAGUAACUUGAGAAGCCUCCCCCAAGCUUGUGGGAGACUCUCUUCUUCAAUUUGCACAAAAUUAUAUAUAUCCCUCAAAGCAGCUUGUUUCUUAUGAGCAGGGAAAUAUUUAGCAGAGAAGUAAUAAAUCAUAUCCUGGGGACUUUGCACACAACCAGGAUCAAGAGACUUAAACCAUUUCUUAGCAUCACCCUUUAAUGAGAACGCAAAUAUUUUGAGUAAAUAAAGGUAGUGUGAUCUCUCAUUAUUAUUAAACAGGGCAGCUAUAUCAUUUAACUUAUGAAGAUGUGCCACAACAGUUUCAUAUUCAUAGCCAUAAAAAGGAUCAGAUUCAGCAAAAGUAAUUAUAUCUGGAUCAACAGAGAAAUCAUAAUAAUCCUGAUCGGGAACACAGAUAGGUGAAGUAGCAAAAGCAGGGUCGGGUCUCAUCCAAUCUCUAAAAGAUUCUUUACUCCAUUUAACUAGCAACCUCUUAAAUUCAUAUCUAUCCUGGCAAGCAAGAAUGGCUGCAGUAGAUUCAACAUCGAAAAGAUAGCCCUCAGGAAUAGCAGGCAUAUUAUCAUCAUUACUAACAUCAUCAUGUUCAGUUUCAAUAAUUUCUCUUUCUCUAGACCUAGAAAUUUGUUCAUCUAGAAAUUCACCAAGGGGCACAGUAGUAUCAAGCAUAGGAGUAGUUUCAUCAUAAGUAUCAUGCAUAGCAGAAGUGGUAUCAUCAAUAACAUGCGACAUAUCGGAACGAAUAGCAGAAGCAGGUUUAGGUGUCGCUAGCUUACUCAUAACAGAAGGUGAAUCAAGUGCAGAGCUAGAUGGCAGUUCCUUACCUCCCCUCGUAGUUGAGGGAUAAAUUUUUCAUCUUAGCGUCUUUCAAGUUCUUCAUAGUGUCCAGCAGAUAUAAAUCCCAAGUGACUCAAAGAAUAGAGCUAUGCUCCCCGGCAACGGCGCCAGAAAAGGGUCUUGAUAACCCACAAGUACAGGGGAUCGCAACAGUUUUCGAAGGUAGAGUAUUCAACCCAAAUUUGUUGAUUCGACACAAGGGGAGCCAAAGAAUAUUCUCAAGUAUUAGCAGUUGAGUUGUCAAUUCAACCACACCUGGAAACUUAUUAUCUGCAGCAAAGUGUUUAGUAGCAAAGUAAUAUGAUAGUGGUGGUAACGGUAACAAAGUAAAGACAGCAAAAGUAAUGUUUUUGGUAUUUUUGUAGUGAUGAUAACAGUAGAAACGGAAAAGUAAAUAAGCGUAAACCAGUAUAUGGAAAACUCGUAGGCACCGGAUCAGUGAUGGAUAAUUAUGCCGGAUGCGGUUCGUCAUGUAACAGUUACAACAUAGGGUGACACAGAACUAGCUCCAGUUCAUCAAUGUAAUGUAGGCAUGUAUUCCGUAUAUAGUCAUACUGUGCUUAUGGAAAAGAACUUGCAUGACAUCUUUUGUCCUACCCUCCCAUGGCAGCGGGGUCCUAUUGGAAACUAAGGGAUAUUAAGGCCUCCUUUUAAUAGAGAACCGGAACAAAGCAUUAGCACAUAGUGAAUACAUGAACUCCUCAAACUACGGUCAUCACCGGGAGUGGUCCCGAUUAUUGUCACUUCGGGGUUGCCGGAUCAUAACACAUAGUAGGUGACUAUAGACUUGCAAGAUAGGAUCAAGAACACACAUAUAUUCAUGAAAACAUAAUAGGUUCAGAUCUGAAAUCAUGGCACUCGGGCCCUAGUGACAAGCAUUAAGCAUAUCAAAGUCAUAGCAACAUCAAUCUCAGAACAUAAUGGAUACUAGGGAUCAAACCCUAACAAAACUAACUCGAUCACAUGAUAAAUCUCAUCCAACCCAUCACCGUCCAGCAAGCCUACAAUGGAAUUACUCACGCACGGCGGUGAGCAUCAUGAAAUUGGUGAUGCAGGAUGGUUGAUGAUGACGACGGCGACGAAUCCCCCUCUCCGGAGCCCCAAACGGACUCCAGAUCAGCCCUCCCGAAAGAGAUUAGGGCUUGGCGGCGGCUCCGUAUCGUAAAAUGCGAUGAAACUUUCUCUCUGAUUUUUUUCUCCCCGAAAGCCAAUAUAUGGAGUUGGAGCGUCAGAGGGCCACCAUGGGGCCCACGAGGUAGGGGGCGCGCCUAGGGGGGAGGAGCGCGCCCCCACCCUCGUGGAUAGGGUGUGGGCCCCCUGGUCUUCAUCUUUGGCGAGGAUUUUUUAUUAUUUAUUCUAAGAUAUUCCGUGGAGUUUCAGGUCAUUCCGAGAACUUUUGUUUUCUGCACAUAAAACAACACCAUGUCAAUUCUGCUGAAAACAGCGUCAGUCCGGGUUAGUUCCAUUCAGAUCAUACAAGUUAGAGUCCAAAACAAGGGCAAAAGUGUUUGGGAAAGUAGAUACGACAGAGACGUAUCAACUCCCCCAAGCUUAAACCCUUGCUUGUCCUCAAGCAAUUCAGUUGACAAACUGAAAGAGAAAAAGAAAGAAAUUUACAAACUCUUUUUGCUCUUGUUGUUGUAAACAUGAAAAGCCAGCAUUCAAGUUUCAGCAAAUAUUAUGAACUAACCAUACUCACAAUAACACGUAGGUCUCAUAAUUACUCAUAUCAAUAAUAUAAUCAGCUAGCAAGCCAUAAUAAUAGAACUCAGAUGACAACUUUUUCUCAAAAUAAUCAUAACAUGAUAUUACGAAAUGGUAUCUCGCUAGCCCUUUCUGAGACCGCAAAACAUAAAUGCAGAGCACCUUUAAAGAUUCAAGGACUGACUAAACAUUGUAAUUCAUGGUAAAAGAGAUCCAGUCAAGUCAUACCCAAUAUAAACCAAUCAUAAUGAAUGCAAACGACAAUGUGCUCUCCAGCGGGUGCUUUUUAAUAAGAAGGGUGAUGAUUCAACACAAAAGUAAAUGGAUAGGCCCUUCGCAGAGGGAAGCAGGGAUUUGUAGAGGUGCCAGAGCUCGGUUUUGAAAUAGAGAUAAAUUAUAUUUUGAGCGGCAUACUUUCACUGUCAACGCAACAACUAUGAGAUGGUUGUAUCUUCCAUACUACAUGCAUUAUAGGCAGUUCCCAAACAGAAUGGUAAAGGUUUAUACUCCCCCUCCUCCACAAGCAUCAAUCCAUGGCUUGAUCGAAACAACGAGUGCCUCCAACAUUCAACGGGUCCCAGGGGGAGCUUUGCUUAAUUAUUUUGAUUUUCUUUGAUCUUUUUGGAUCAUGGGACUGGGCAUCCCGGAUACCAUCCAUUUUCUCAUGAAUGAGGAGCGGAGUCCACUCCUCUUGAGAAUAGCCCACCUAGCAUGGAAGAUAUAGGCAGCCCUAGUUGCACAUGAGCUGCUCGAGCAUACAAAACAGAAUUUCAUUUGAAGGUUUGGAGUUUGGCACAUACAAAUUUACUUGGAACGACAGGUAGAUACCGCAUAUAGGAAGGUAUAGUGGACUCAUAUGGAACAACUUUGGGAUUUAAGGAGUUUGGAUGCACAAGCAGUAUUCCCGCUUAGUACAGGUGAAGGCUAGCAAAAGACUGGAAAGCGACCAACUGAGAGAGCGACAACAGUCGUAAACAUGCAUUAAAAUUAAUUUACACCAAAUAUAAGCAUGAGUAGGAUAUAAUCCACCAUGAACAUAAAUAUCAUGAAGGCUAUGUUGAUUUGAUUCAACUACAUGCGUGAACAUGUGCCAAGUCGAGUCACUCUAUUCAUUCAAAGGAGGAUACCAUCCUAUCAUACCACAUCAUAAUCAUCUCAAUAGCAUGUUGGCACGCAUGGUAAACCAUUAUAACUCAUAGCUAAUCAAGUGCGGCACAAGCAACUAUAAUCUCUAAAUGUCAUUGCAAAUAUGUUUACUUCAUAAUAGCUGAAUCAGGAACGAUGAAUCAUCAUAUUUACAAAAACAAGAGAGGUCGAGUUUAUACCAACUUUUCUCAUCCCAAUAAGUCCAUAAUAUAUCAUCGUUAUUGCCUUUCACUUGCACGACCGAACGGUGUGUAUAAUAAUAAGAGUGCACGUGCAUUGGACUAAGCUGGAAUCUGCAAGCAUUCAACUCAAGAGAGAAGACAAGUAAUAUGGGCUCUGAGUUAAAUAAACGAUCAUGCAUAUGAGAGCCACUAAGCAUUUUCAAUAUGGCCUUCUCGACCCCCAAAGAAAGGAAAAAGAAAUAAAAACUAUUUACACAGGAAAGCUCCCAACAAGUAAGAAGAAGAACGGGAAAUAUUUUUGGGUUUUCUAUUUAAUUAUUACUACUACAGCAGGAAGAAAUAAACUACUACUAAUUUUUUGGUUUUUCUAAGGUUUAUUAAACACACAAGAAGAAAGCAGGAAAAAGGAAAAUACACUAGCAUGGAUAUUACAGUGAAAGAGUAUGAGCACCGACAUCUAGCAAUGAGUGUGUGUGAACAUGAAUGUAAUGUCGGUGGGAAAUACGUACUCCCCCAAGCUUAAGCUUUUGGCCUAAGUUGGUCUAUUGCCAGGGAUAGCCUGGCUGAUACCCAUAGGUGUAGCUAGGGUCGUACAGUGAUGCAGCGGCUACCGCCUCGUGAGCAGCAGCAUGGCGUCGAGCUGCCUCCGCUCUCCUCUCGUACUCAUCUGCCUCCUCUUUGGUAAUAAUAUAUCUUCCUCUCGUCUGAAAAUCAAAGAAGGCAGGAGCAGGAAGAGUAACACGGACAACAUGCCGUUUGUUAAAGAUUAGUCGAUACUGGAAAGGUGGUCCAGUCCUCUCAAUGAACUGAUGGGAAAACAUAGAAUCAAGAUCUAAAUAUGAAGGAGGUAACUCCAUGUCACCCUCACGAAUGUCUACAUCAAGAAAAUUAGCUAAGCGGGUUGCAUAAAUUCCUCCAAAGAAAUCUUCGGUAUGUCUAUUAUGAUGCAACCUACGAGCUACAAUGGCUCCCAUAUGAUAAGAUUGGUCCCCUAACACAGCACUUCUGAGAAUGCUGAGAUCAGGGGCACACAUGUGACAUGCUUCAUCCUUAGCAUUUAUGCAUCUACCAAUGAAGAGAGCAAAGUAAUGUAUAGCAGGAAAGUGAAUGCUCCCUAUAGUGGCCUGCGCUAUAUCUCUAGAUUCCCCCACAGUUAUUCUAGCAAGAAAGUCUCUGUAUUCAGAUUUAGGGGGAUCCCUGAUACUACCCCAAGAUGGAAGUUUGCAUGCAAAAGUGAAAUCCUCUAAGUCCAUGGUAUAAGAUUUGUCAUAAAGGUCAAACAUGACUGAAGGAGAAUUACGCGAAGAUGAAAACUCAAAUCUCCCCACAAAUGAACUUGUGAGAUCACGAUACUGGGGGCAUUUAUCAGCUUCAAAGUCCUCAAGACCGGCAUUACGCAAAUAUGCAUAAAAUUCUUCUUUAAUUCCCACUUGAUUCAUAAAAAUUUUCGAAGGCCAUUCACAAGGCCUCACGAGGGCGUCUCUUGGUGGUUCCUCGUCACCAUCACGCAUUGCAAGCUGGGACCUUGCUUCCAUGAAGAACCACCUUGGAACAUCUUCCUAAGCAUAUUGUUUUCUCCGAAAAAUAAUUCUAAAAUUUUUAGUAACUUCAAACAAAAGUGAACCAACUUCAAUAAAACUGAUAGCAACUACUCAUACAAGUGCCUAGAGCAUAUAUCAAGCAUUACAACUACUGGGAACCAUAUGAAUUUGACAUGCAAGCUCAAGAACAUGGUCACCUAUGCAACACAAAUUUGCAAUGAAUAAAGCACUAGAACAAAAACUAAUUGGACCAAUGGAGGAGUCACAUACCAAGGAACAAUCUCCCCAAGCAGUUUUCCGAGAGGUGCUUUGAGCAAGGAGAUCGAAAGUCACAACAAAAGAGGCUGGAACACGAGCUUGAGUUGGUUUUUCGGGUUUGUGUGAGACAGAGGAAGAAGAUGGGUGCAGGGAUAACUGGAGGAGGGCCACCGUGGGCCCACGAGGCAGGGGGGCGCGCCCAGGGGGUAGGGCGCGCCCUCCACCCUCGUGGCCAGGUGGCAGCUCCCCCCGCGGUAAUUUUUGCACUAAAAAUCCUAAAAUAUUCCCGAAAAAAUCAUAUUAAAUUGGCAUGGCAUUCUGAGGACUUUUAUUUUCAGGAUAUUUUUAUAUUGCACGGAUAAAUCAGGAAACAGACAGAAAAAUACUAUUUUACUUUAUUUCUACUAAGUAACAGAAAAUAUAAAGAGGGUACAGAAGGUUGUGCUUUUAGUUUCAUCCAUCUCAUGCUCAUCAAAAAGAAUCCACUAACAAGGUUGAUCAAGUCUUGUUAACAAACUCAUUCCGAUAAUCAUGGAACCGGAGAAAUUUCGAAUAACACUAUGUUACCUCAACGGGGAUAUGAACAUCCCCAAUAAUAAGUAUAUCAUAUUUCUUCUUGACAAUAGGGAGAGGAAAUUCAAAACCUCCAAAUAUAAUCGAUGGAAUUUUUCCAAUAGAGUUGAUACUAUGAACUUGAGGUUGUUUCCUCGGAAAGUGUACCGUAUGCUCAUUACCAUUAACAUGAAAAGUGACAUUGCCUUUGUUGCAAUCAAUAACAGCCCCUGCAGUAUUAAGGAAAGGUCUUCCAAGAAUAAUAGACAUACUAUCAUCCUCGGGAAUAUUAAGAAUAACAAAGUCCGUUAAAAUAGUAACGUUUGCAACCACAACAGGCACAUCCUCACAAAUACCGACAGGUAUAGCAGUUGAUUUAUCAGCCAUUUGCAAAGACAUUUCAGUAGGUGUCAACUUGUUCAAGUCAAGUCUACGAUAUAAAGAGAGAGGCAUAACACUAACACCGGCUCCAAGAUCACAUAAAGCAGUUUUAACAUAAUUUCUUUUAAUGGAGCAUGGUAUAGUAGGUACUCCUGGAUCUCCAAGUUUCUUUGGUAUUCCACCCUUAAAAGUAUAAUUAGCAAGCAUGGUGGAAAUUUCAGCUUCCGGUAUCUUUCUUUUAUUUGUAACAAUAUCUUUCAUAUAUUUAGCAUAAGGAUUCAUUUUGAGCAUACUAGUCAAUGCAUACGCAAAAAGAUGGGUCUAAUCAUUGCAGCAAAGCACUCAAAAUCCUCAUCAUCCUUUUUCUUGGAUGGUUUGGGAGGAAAAGGCAUGGGUUUCUGAACCCAUGGUUCCCUUUCUUUACCAUGUUUCCUAGCAAUGAAGUCUCUUUUAUCAUAACGUUGAUUCUUUGAUUGUGGGUUAUCAAGAUCAACAGCAGGUUCAACUUCUACAUCAUUAUCAUUACUAGGUUGAGCAUCAUUAUGAACAUCAUCAUUAACUUUUUUACUAGGUUCAUGUUCAUUACCAGAUUGUGUUUCAGCAUCAGACAUAGAGAUAUCAUUUGGAUUAUCAGGUGGUUCAGCAAUAGGUUCACUAGAAGUUUGCACAGUUCUAUCAUUUUUCUUUUUCUUCCUCUUAGAAGAACUAGGCAUAUCAAUAUUAUUUCUCUGAGAAUCUUGCUCGAUUCUCUUAGGGUGGCCUUCAGGAUACAAAGGUUCCUGAGUCAUUCUGCCAGUUCUAGUAGCCACUCUAACAACAUAAUCAUUUUUCUUACUAUUCAUUUCAUCAAGCACUUCUUUCUGAGCUUUAAGUACUUGUUCUACUUGAGUGGUAACCAUAGAAGCAUGUUUGCUAACAAGUUUAAGUUCACCUCUAAUAUCAUCCAUAUAAUCACUCAAGCGUUUAAUCAUAAAGGUAUUCUGUUUUAAUUGUCUACCAAAAUAAGCAUUAAAGUCAUCUUGCUUAAGCAUAAAGUUAUCAAACUCAUUCAAGCACUGACUAGCAAUUUUAGUAGGAGGGAUUUCAGAUUUAUCAUAUCUAUAGAGAGAAUUUACCUUUACUACCUGUGUCGGGAUAUCGGAAGGUUCUUCAAUAAAUAAGUAAUUGAGAUCAUAUACUUCUUCAACAUGCGGUAAAUUAAGACCAUGUAUUUCUUCAAUAGGAGGUAAAUUCUUAACAUCUUCAGCUUUAAUACCUUUUUCUUUCAUGGAUUUCUUUGCCUCUUGCAUAUCUUCAGGACUGAGAAAUAGAACACCUCUCUUCUUCGGAGUUGGUUUAGGAAUAGGCUAAGUAAUUGGCUCGGGAGCUGGCUCGGGAGGUGCCCAAUUAUUUUCAUUUGUCAACAUAUUAUUCAAUAGAAUUUCAGCUUCAUCUGGUGUUCUUUCCCUGAAAAGAGAACCAGCACAACUAUCCAGCUAAUCUCUGGAAGCAUUAGUUAGUCCAUUAUAAAAGAUAUCAAAUAUUUCAGGUUUUCUUAAGAGGAUGAUCAGGCAAAGCAUUAAGUAACUUGAGAAGCCUCCCCAAGCUUGUGGGAGACUCUCUUCUUCAAUUUGCACAAAAUUAUAUAUAUCCCUCAAAGCAGCUUGUUUCUUAUGAGCAGGGAAAUAUUUAGCAGAGAAGUAAUAAAUCAUACCCUGGGGACUUUGCACACAACCAGGAUCAAGAGAAUUAAACCAUUUCUUAGGAUCACCCUUUAAUGAGAACGCAAAUAUUUUGAGUAAAUAAAGGUAGUGCGAUAUCUCAUUAUUAGUAAACAGGGAAGCUAUAUCAUUUAACUUACGAAGAUGUGCCACAACAGUUUCAGAUUCAUAGCCAUAAAAAGGAUCAGAUUCAACCAAAGUAAUUAUAUCUGGAUCAACAGAGAAAUCAUAAUAAUCCUGAUCGGGAACACAGAUAGGUGAAGUAGCAAAAGCAGGGUCGGGUCUCAUCCAAUCUCUAAAAUAUUCUUUACUCCAUUUAACUAGCAACCUCUUAAGUUCAUAUCUAUCCUGGCAAGCAAGAAUGGCUGCAGUAGAUUCAGCAUCGAAAAGAUAGCCCUCAGGAAUAGCAGGCAUAUUAUCAUCAUUACUAACAUCAUCGUGUUCAGUUUCAAUAAUUUCUCAUUCUCUAGACCUAGAAAUUUGUUCAUCUAUAAAUUCACCAAGGGGCACAGUAGUAUCAAGCAUAGAAGUAGUUUCAUCAUAAGUAUCAUGCAUAGCAGAAGUGGUAUCAUCAAUAACAUGCGACAUAUCGGAACGAAUAGCAGAAGCAGGUUUAGGUGUCGCUAGCUUACUCAUAACAGAAGGUGAAUCAAGUGCAGAGCUAGAUGGCAGUUCCUUACCUCCCAUCGUAGUUGAGGGAUAAAUUUUCAUCUUAGCGUCUUUCAAGUUCUUCAUAGUGUCCAGCAGAUAUAAAUCCCAAGUGACUCAAAGAAUAGAGCUAUGCUCCCCGGCAACGGCGCUAGAAAAGGGUCUUGAUAACCCACAAGUACAAGGGAUCGCAACAGUUUUCGAAGGUAGAGUAUUCAACCCAAAUUUGUUGAUUCGACACAAGGGGAGCCAAAGAAUAUUCUCAAGUAUUAGCAGCUGAGUUGUCAAUUCAACCACACCUGGAAACUUAUUAUCUGUAGCAAAGUGUUUAGUAGCAAAGUAAUAUGAUAGUGGUGGUAACGGUAACAAAGUAAAGACAGCAAAAGUAAUGUUUUUGGUAUUUUUGUAGUGAUGAUAACAGUAGAAACGGAAAAGUAAAUAAGCGUAAACCAGUAUAUGGAAAACUCGUAGGCACCAGAUCAGUGAUGGAUAAUUAUGCCGGAUGCGGUUCGUCAUGUAACAGUUACAACAUAGGGUGACACAGAACUAGCUCCAGUUCAUCAAUGUAAUCUAGGCAUGUAUUCCGUAUAUAGUCAUACGUGCUUAUGGAAAAGAACUUGCAUGACAUCUUUUGUCCUACCCUCCCAUGGCAGCGGGGUCCUAUUGGAAACUAAGGGAUAUUAAGGCCUCCUUUUAAUAGAGAACCGGAACAAAGCAUUAGCACAUAGUGAAUACAUGAACUCCUCAAACUACGGUCAUCACCGGGAGUGGUCCCGAUUAUUGUCACUUCGGGGUUGCCGGAUCAUAACACAUAGUAGGUAACUAUAGACUUGCAAGAUAGGAUCAAGAACACACAUAUAUUCAGGAAAACAUAAUAGGUUCAGAUCUGAAAUCAUGGCACUCGGGCCCUAGUGACAAGCAUUAAGCAUAUCAAAGUCAUAGCAACAUCAAUAUCAGAACAUAAUGGAUACUAGGGAUCAAACCCUAACAAAACUAACUCGAUCACAUGAUAAAUCUCAUCCAACCCAUCACCGUCCAGCAAGCCUACAAUGGAAUUACUCACGCACGGCGGUGAGCAUCAUGGAAUUGGUGAUGGAGGAUGGUUGAUGAUGACGACGGCGACGAAUCCCCCUCUCCGGAGCCCCGAACGGACUCCAGAUCAGCCCUCCCGAGAGAGAUUAGGGCUUGGCGGCGGCUCCGUAUCGUAAAACGUGAUGAAACUUUCUCUCUGAUUUUUUUCUCCUUGAAAGCCAAUAUAUGGAGUUGGAGUUGGCAUCGGAGGGCCACCAGGGGGCCCACGAGGUAGGGGGGCGCGCCUAGGGGGGAGGGGCGCGCCCCCACCCUCGUGGACAGGGUGUGGGCCCCCUGGUCUUCAUCUUUGGCGAUGAUUUUUUAUUAUUUAUUCUAAGAUAUUCCAUGGAGUUUCAGGUCAUUCCGAGAACUUUUGUUUUCUACACAUAAAACAACACCAUGGCAAUUCUGCUGAAAACAGCGUUAGUCCGGGUUAGUUCCAUUCAAAUCAUACAAGUUAGAGUCCAAAACAAGGGCAAAAGUAUUUGGAAAAGUAGAUACGAUGGAGACGUAUCAUGUAGGUCUGCCACUGUGAGCCUAGAAUUGCUGAUGUGAAUCCCCAAAUAUUUGGUGAGGAAGGAGCCUAGUCUACAGUUAAGCCUGUCGGCCAUACCUUGGCACUCCUCCUGGGAGUAGCCAAGGAUCAUCACCUCGCUCUUGUCGAAGUUGGUCGUGAGGCCCGACAUCUGCUCAAAGUAGAGGAGGAGGAAUUUAAGGUUGGUGAUGUCAGAGUCUGAACCCUCGAUCAUGAUGAUGGUGUCAUCUGCGUACUGUAGGAGGGAGACCCCUCCCCCUCCCACCAGAUGAGGUACCACCCCUUGGAUAUGACCAGCAGCCUUGGCCUUAUCAAGGAUAGUUGCUAGGGCAUCGACCACCAUGUUGAAAAGGAACAGAGAGAAGGGAUCACCCUGGCGUACCCCACAUAGGGUGGGGAAGUAGGGUCCAAUCUUGUCGUUGAUGUUUACUGCGGUCCGACUGCACGAGACUAGCUGCAUGACGCGGUGACCCAACGAUCGUUGAAGCCCUUGCGGAGGAGGACUUCACGAAGAAAAGCCACCGAACCGUGUCAUAGGCUUUAUGGAAGUCAAGCUUCAAAAAGACCGCAUGCUGGCGCUUUGCGUGGACUUCAUGCAGGACUUCGUGGAACACCAACACCCCAUCGAGAAUGAACCAGCCCUGGAUGAAGGCAGAUUGGUUGGGGUGGGUCAUGGAGUUAGCCAGCAGGGUCACCCUAUUGGCGUAGCCCUUCUCAAGGAUCCAAAACAUCACGUUGAUCACCGUGAUAGGGCGAAACUGGCGGAUAUCCGAAGCACCCGGGACCUUAGGGAUUAGAGUAAUAAUUCCAUAGUUGAGGCGCAGGUCCAUGGAUCCCACAUAGAACUCAUUAAAUAGCACCAUAACCUCGGGCUUGAUAGCUUGCCAGAAGGUAUGGAAGAAUUUCACCGGGAGACCAUCUGGUCCGGAACUGAGGAAGGGUUCAUGCCCUUAAUCGCGGCGAGGACCUCUUCCUCCCUGAAGGGGGCUAUAAGGGCCUCAUUGUCCAUAGUCGAGACCAGCUGGCAACCCAACCAAGUAUCUAAGGCCAGAGAGGCGCCACCCCGAGGGGUAGAGGAAAUAGGGCUUUAUAAAAGCCGUCGACGUGGGCGCGGAUCUCCGUGGGUCGGAGGAGGAUGGUGUCCCCAUCCCAUAGGCAGUGGACGGAGUUGCGACGUCGCCUACCGUUGGCGAUUGCUUGGAAGUAAGCGAUGCUAAAAUCCCCACGGAGCACCCACUGUUGGGUGCCCCAUUGGUGCCAAUAGGCCUCCUCGUCGGUGUAUAUGACCGAUAGCUGGUCUUCGAGCUCAUAGCGCCCGGUGGUGUCUGCCCGGGCGUCUAGGGCUUGAAUGGAUGCUAGCAGAGUGGAUUUUCGCUCCCUAAGGUCCGGCCAAGGUUGGCCCCCCAACCAUUCAUGAACUGUAGGGACAGUUUAUCACAAAACUUCCAGGUGUCAAUCGCGGAUAGGGACCUGUGCGGGCUUCCCCAGGCCUCCACCCACCGAGCGCCCACCGCGUCCACAAAGCCCGGUUGGUUUAGCCAGAAUAGCUCAAACCGAAACCGGGGCGGGAUGGGAGGGCGGUCGUAAGGUAUAAAUAAUGUCCGAUUUCGAUUACAAGCAAGCAAACAAACAGUCACAUAUAUUCAUUUGUUGUUACAACAUAAUAAUAACAACAAGAGUUUGGGUAACAAUCAAGUGCGUAAUAAAACCUAGUAUGAAAUAGAGUAGCAAAGUGUUGGCUCCCUGCUUGGAUUAUUAUUAUCAAGUUACAUGACAAUACCGGCCCCUUCAAAGUGUUCCACCGAAAAGAAAUAAGGAGUAACACCGGCCUGCCAUACAGACAGAUAUAGAUACAGAUACAGGUGCUCGUCCACAAACCUAACUUGUAAGCUUGCAUAAGUAACUUGGAUGGGCAAACAACAGAUCAGCCGGAGGAGGAGGGUUGUUCCCCAUUUUCCUUGCUGUGGUAAAAUCUUAUGCCCUCUGGGGAAGGAUGGAUACAGGAGAUAUCGAAGCAAGGGAGGAAGCAAGCAAGGCUAAAGAUGAAUAGCCGCCAUAUAUGUAUGUAUGUAUAUAGUUGAAGAUGAUUGCGAUGAUGAAAUAACCAAUCAAUUAACCUGCAAAUCAAGACGACGGUUGGUACAAGUAAGUGUACGUGUCAGUUUUGACUUUCGGUUUGAAUUAUUUUUCGUCCUUGGCCGAAAUGAUCGAAUUUCGGACAUUUCAAAUAUUUCGGCAAAAUCUCAGACGAAAUUUCGCAAACAAAAUUUGAAUUUUUGGAUGAAAUUUGGUGAAAUUUGAACAGAAUUUGAAAUGAAACAGAGCAUAAGUACAGCAAGGCAAGAACCAUCGGGAGAAUUAUACAAUAUUUAGCAAAUAAGCUCUAGGGAUUAAUAAAACUGCAUCCGUCCAACAACCAUCAGCCUCCAACGUAACAUUAUAACAAUACUAACAUCAGUUCGAACCAUCUUUGUCGCCCUUGAUGCUGCUGCUGCUGCUCCGUGCUCCUGCCUGCAUUGAACUGGUCCGCUCGUGCACGGUCACCUCCUUUGCCGCAGCAGUCGAGCACCAUGCCGUAGCCUUGGAGAAACAACAGAGAGGAGGUGGCUGAGGUGGAGGAAGCUAGGGGACACUGGAGGUGGGGCGCCUUGGCCGGAGAACCAAAAGAGCCCUGUGCGCGGCGGCGGUGGCGCACACAGGAGGAGAACGAGAGGAAAAGAUCUUUCUAGGGUUAGGCCGCUCGGUCUCCUCGUUUUGUAUCACCCGAUCCACAGUAGGAACUCGCUGGAAGCUGGGCUGGGCCAAAAAAAUUUAAAUUGGGCCAAAAUUUUUGGCCGACAGAGACAUAUGCCGGGCCCUAGCGAAAUGGCCGAAAUUCGGCCGAAAUUGGUUUUUUCGGCCGAAAAUCAAAACACAAGGUCCCAAGGACCCAAGGUCGCUCAAGUGAUCCUUGAUCCACCAUGGAAUGCUCAUGUGUUUUUUGCGUACAAUUAGACCGCCCAAAUCACUGCCAACACCAACAUCAUCCACUUGAAUGGACAGGACCUCCCCAGCUAACUCGGACGCAAGAUGACUAAUCUUCCAAGCUUGGCGGAUGCACUCAGGCACUAAUCCUUCCAAUUUCGAAAGUUGACUAACUUCCCAGGGUAGUACACUGACGAACACGCCUAAUUUCUCCAGCUUCUUUAGCACCCCGAUUUCCCUUGGUAUCUUCAUCACCCCUGUAUCAUGCAACAUCAGAUACUUCAAAUUCUGCAGUUUCCAGAUCUCACGAGGAAGCUGCGCGAGCUCCAAGUUCCGACUCAGGCCCAAGGUCUCUAAAUGCUGCAGGUCACCGAUUUCACUAGGUAGCUUUGUGAUCCGUGACCUGCCCACCUCCAGCGUUUUUAGAUACUGCAACUUCCCAAUCUCCCGAGGUAGCUCUUUGAGCUUGGUGGCAUGCAGGUUCAGAUUCUCCAGAUUCUGGAGGUUCCCGAUUUCACGGGGUAGCUCUCCGAGCGUGCUGUUGUAACUCAAAUCCAGUCUCCAAAUGUUGCAGGUCUCCAAUCACCCUGGGUAGCUCUGUCAGAUUUUGGUUGUCACUCAUGACUAGAGUCUUCAAUUGUUGUAGGUCUCCAAUCUGACUGGGUAUCUCUGUGAUCGAUGUGAAUCGUACCUGCAAAGUCUCCAAAUACAGUAGCCUCGCUAUUUCGGUAUCUCACUAAUUUUCGUCCCCUCUAGGCCGAAUAGGUGCCUUAUACGGAGCAGUGCACAUAUAUCCUUCACAUGAUGAUUCCCAAGAGCCUUUCUGACAUUAAAAUCCCGAAAAUAACCAACAGGCAAUUCAGGAUACUGCUGAUGAUAUUGAAGAUCCAACACCCGAACACGUUCCAACUUCUCUAAAGGGACAUAUCUCUUAGCACCUUCAAAAACAACAAGAGAUCGGGACCAGUCCAUCGCACUGCCAUCAACUCGAUAAUCGUCGAUGCACAGCCGAUGGUUUCCACAUGCAUUUGCCAAUGUGAUAUCGGAACUGCAAGCAAUGAAAUUAUCUUCACGCGAUUUCCAUCUAAGGAAAUUUCGUAUCACCGGAUUCAUUUGGUAGGCCUUGUCAUAUGCCCGCAGCAUCGUCCAACCCUUGUUGCUAAGCUCUUCGAGAUAAUCUUUUGCUGCAUCCACUUCAUAAGUAAAUCCUUCAGCGACCCAUCGCAUGACCAAAUCAUUCAUGGGAAAACAGUAAUUCUCAGGGUAUAUACUGCAGUACAACAAGCAGGUCUUCAUCAUAUGGUGAGGAAGAUCGUCAUAGCCAAGCUGCAAGCUCUCUACCAACGGUUCAAACCCUGGAGUGUUCUGAAUUCCACUUUGCUUAACUUGCUUCUCAAUGAUAUCUUGCACAUCACGUGCCUUUACAUGUACCCCUAGUUGUUCUUGUUGCUCUCGGAGGACCAUUGCCAUUGCUGAAAACAUGCAAAGUAGUGCUAACAGGACACCACCACACAUGCGCACAAUAGGAUGGUCACAGUCAAAACCUUCUCCAACCAUGUCAGGCUUCAUCCGAGUGGCAAUAUCUUCCUCAUCAGGUCUGUACAUCCAUCUUCUCUUUGUAGAACUCCAUUCAGGAUUGCUUAUCGACAAGAGACUAUAUUUAGGAUUCAGUCUGAUGCUGAUGUAGAGCUCGUUAUUAGCGAAAUCAUCUCCUGUUACAGAAUCAAUGCGAGUUGUCAUGACAAUUCUACUGCCCAGAUUAUUUUGUGGAAGAGACUUGUUGAUGAUGUCCCAUUUUCCACGAUGCCAUAUGCCAUCAAUUAUUACUAGGUACCUAAGGCAAGUUGGUUGCACAAGAUAGUAAUUAGUAGGCAGCUUGACCAAAUUAAAUUUAGAAAUCCAGGACUGAAAUCCUGAACCUGGCAGUAAAUAUUUCUAAAAGGAUUAACUAAAUUUAAACUUUAAUAAUAAUUUGCACACCUUUUGUCAUCUAGGAAAUUCGAUAUGGCGUGGAUAAGACCUUCCUCUGUCCUUGCUUGGGUGCCAGCAGGGGGUUCAGCUCCUACUUGCUUGAGAAUGCUUGUGAGAACCUCCUUCAUGUUGGGAGUUGGAGUGACGGACACAAAAGCCCGGGACUGGAACUUAUUUCCAAUCUCCCCAUACACAAGGCUGGCAAGGGUUGUUGUGCCCACACCACCCAUCCCAACAAUGGAUGCCAUUUUGAACUGCGGCUGCGCCAUUGUGCUCCCUUCUUGUCCUACCAGGUACCUAAGGCAAGUUGUUGAUCACAUUCAAAAGCUGAUCCUCGGUCAUCAUCGAUCCUCGUUUUUUUUUCAGUACAAUAAAAUUUACUCCCUCUGUAAAGAAAUAUAAGAGCGUUUAGAUCACUAUUUCUUUACGGAGGGAGUACUUAUUACCUAACCUCAUUGAUAUGCGCUUGUUUCGAGUUAGCUGCAUCCAUAUUCUAGUGCUUUACCAUUCUUUAUUCUUGGCUGGUGUUUAUCCAGUAAUUUCCCUUUUUUAGCUUUUGCAUUUAAAUCAAAAUAUAAUUCUAAUGCUGACUCUUUAUGCACAGUCUUGCUCGUCAAUGUUCUCAACUUUGGUUGAAAACACGAGAAGAAAUUGGUUAUCCACUGGGCACUUACCAAGAGGCUAGUCUUGUAUACCCCCAUGUCUCUGAAAAGCUCAGCAGAAAGGUAUUUAGUUUAUAUUGGCUAUGUAUUGCCGAAUGUGUUAUUUUUAAACAUAUAAUGUUGUGAAUGUACAUGUCACAACAUCCAACAAACACACCUUCUGACCUUGGACUUUGGUUUCUGUCAUUUAGGAAGUGCUGGGGCAGGCACAGACGUUUGUUCUUGAAAUAGGAACAGAAGAGUUGCCGCCCCAUGAUGUGGUAGAAGCAACUGAACAAGUAAGUUUCUAUUUCAACAUGGUUUUCCAUCCUAGUGUAAACAACACAGUUAUACUUGCUGAACAUUUAAGUUAUGAUUCUGUCCUUUUGAUCUUCCCCAGCUUGAGAAAUCUCUAGUUCAAAUACUAGGGAAGCGUAGACUGAGCCAUGGGAAGGUGCUCUCCUAUGGGACACCACGGAGAUUAGCGGUAUAACUACCAGCUUGACACUUCUAUCUUACAUUUAAUUUCUCAACCAGCUUUCAAUGGAUUAUUAUAUCAUCAUAUUAGUCCCACGGGCACAGUGUUUGAACUUCUGAUGCCUUGAGACAAAAAUAAGCUUGAUGAAAUAUCAUAUCCAGUGCAAAGUGCAUGAUGGAGAAACAUGAAAUCAGUCAGUAGGGUUAUCUGUCCUUUCCUUAGUAGCAACAGAACUGUAGACAGAGUUAGAAUAUAUCUUUUUUUUGUGUUGUAUGUAAAUUAAUAGAAAAUUGAUAGGCUUUAAGAAGACGACAUCUCUUAAAGAAGAGGUAUCUUGGUAGUCAUCUUUUACUAAAUAUGUUUGUUUUGUGCUGCUAUACAAGUUUCAGCUUUAUUUUGCAGGCUGUUGUUGAAAAUCUAAGUCUGAAGCAAAUGGAGGAAGAGGUUGAGUUACGCGGUCCGCCAGUUACAAAGGCAUUUGACCAAGAGGGAAAAACCACUAAGGUUAGCUAUCCAACGAGAAGCUGGACUUAUCCCUGGUAUCCUUCUGUUGCGUAUUCCUUGGGUUUCUCUGGUUAUCUGCCCUGUUUUUAAUAUUUCUCCAUUCUAUUUAGGCUGAGUAGGGAUAAUGUUUUGGAAGUCUUUCUCUCUGUUCUAAUUCAGGAAUAUUUUUCUCUGUUCAUUUUCAGGCUGCUGAGGGGUUUUGUCGGAAAAAUAAUGUUCCCUUAGAUUCCUUAUACAGAAAAAUCGACGGUAUGCAACUCAUGCUUUUGCCUUCAGAAAGUUGGUUGCUCACUUCGAGCUCUAUGUUUUGUUUUUCUGAAAUUUUCAUUUCUGUGGCAUAUUAGCAUUUGUGUGUAGCUUAUUGGGAAGGGAUUUCUAGAUUUCAUCUCCCUUUCUUAUUUCUGCUUGAUCUACCUUGGAACCGAUGAUCCAAAGGUCCUUCGUUGUUCCCAUGAAGGAUUUCUAGCACAAUGUUAGGUUCAACUCUCAAUUCUUAUUCUGCAUAAACUAUUUCAUACCAAACAACUGGGGUACUAUUUUGAUUAGAUUAAUCCAAUUCACAAACACAAAUUGUAGGCCUGGUAACUUCACUCUACUUAAUGAAAAGAUGUGCAAACACGCUUGUUACAUUCUCUAGAAAAAGCAUGCUAACUCUGAUUUACUGUAUGGCUAUAUUGAGACUCUCCACUGAACUACAUGUUUGAAUCGUUUCCUGUUCUAUGAAGAGGUCUGAACUUUGUUGAGCUUAUUCUUUUCCAGGUAAAACAGAGUAUAUAUAUGCCCGUGUCAAAGAGUCUGCACGAUACGCUGAUGAGGUUAGUUUUCAUUCUUCAUAUUUUUGACAGAAUUAUAUCAGGAAAAUGCAGUAAGUAGGGCCUUUGGUUGUUGAUAAAAGCAUAUGAUUCCUUGACACUUAUUUCAUCAACAGUAUUUGCAAAAGAAUUAAAAAGGUGUUCCUUGGUUCUGGGGGGUUUGAGGUACGAGCUUUUGGGUGGUGGGAAUGAGAAUGAUAACCUGUCUGAAUUUCUCUGUGGUACCUGCUUGUAUUUCUUGUCAAGAAAUCAGCCUUUAACUUGUUUAACAACUUUUGGAAAAAUUUCUAGAUUAAGAAAAUUAUAGGUACUCCAUCACCCGACAUUAUUUAUGAUUUGUCAAGGAGCAAACUCCACAGUUCAUAAUAAACUUAGUGACAUGUCCCGGUGCUGCCGCGUUAGUAUUUUGUAGGAUGAGAAACUAUAAUUGGCUAUUUAUGAUUGGUGAUAAUUUAAAUCUCGUGCUCAGCACGCUGUGCGGUGCAGCGUUCAGCAUCUAGCACGCUAGAAUGCAUACUGUAGUUCCUGGCUUCCAUUUUCUCUGCCCCUGUUCAACAACUGUAGCAUGUGAAUUGCAGGUCCUAUCUGAAGAUUUACCUACUAUUAUAUCUGGCAUUUCAUUCCCCAAGUCAAUGCGCUGGAACUCAAAUGUACGUGUAGAUCACAUUUCAGGUUUAAUUCAUAUUUGCAUGCUAUUUAAGUUUCUAUUCCGUAACAUUUGGGGGGUUAUUUCACUUGCAGAUUGUGUUUAGUCGCCCUGUACGCUGGAUCAUGGCACUUCAUGGAGAUCUUGUUGUGCCAUUUUCUUUUGCUGGCAUCUCAAGGUAAUAUUUUAGUGUGUGAUACACUUAAUUUAUAUUUUUUUAGUGUGAUGAUGUGCAUAAAGAUUAAAUGGAAUAAAACUCCUAUGCCUUUUGUUGUGUGUUUUUCCGUACAAAAAAUCUUAAAACCACCAUGAUUUGUUAUUGGGACAGUGGGAGCCAGUCAUGUGGCCUUCGUAACUCCUCUUUGGCGAAUUUUAAGGUACAGAUUGAGCAAUCAUGUGUAUAAAUUUAUUUUUGUACUCCAGUUCUGACUUCUAUUUUGAGAUAAAUAUUGAUGUGUAAACUGUCAAGCCAUAUCAAGUUACCCACAUUGUAUUGCCAAGAUCGAUAUUGAAAGACUUUAGUUCCAUUUCCCUUUUCAGGCUAAUAAUAUCUGUCCUGGCUCUUGUUGCGGACAAAAACCAUGUUAAUUAUAGUAAAAUCUAAUCAGUUAAUGCUCUUGACAGAAUCUCCCUCUGUUGAGAAAAAAAAGUGCUACUCCAGUGAACUAACUGCUGUGUCCUCUUUGGAGUAUCUUAUUUUCUGUAGAGGGAUUUCACUCUUUGUUGUGUGACAGGCUAACAGAUGUGGUUGCUAUCUCCAAUGUUCAGGUGGAAACUGCAGAAUCAUAUUUGCACACUGUGGAAAAAGCUGGGAUCGUGAUUGAUAUGCAGGUGAGAUAAGCAAAUAUAAGGCUUUCAUAUGCAGUCCGAGAUCUCAUGUUCUUUUUGCAGAUCAUUAACACAUGCUCAUUUGGUAGGUUCCAUACCAGAAUGUUAUAAUUUUGUGCGCAAUCUGAUUCACUUGAGAAUAUAAUUUUGUGGGCUAACUUGUUUAGCCUACAGAAAACAAGGAAAAGAUGCAAUUGGCUGAAGGAGUAUUCCGUUAAUACUUUUAGUUAAUUAGUACUCCAGGUUUCAUUGUGCCUCAGUUUUUAUAUAACACUCCAUUGCAGGAGCGCAGAGCUAAAAUCUUGGAUGACCCUAGUACAUUGGCUAAAGGAGUUGAUGGGGAUUUCAUUGCACCUGAUAGCUUGCUGCAGGAGGUAGAUGUUUUUUUUUGGCAUAUUGUUUUGGUUGAAACUGGAAGUUAUCCUGAAACAUUUGAAACCACAAUGCAGGUUGUCAAUCUUGUGGAGGCGCCUGUGCCCAUUCUUGGACGAUAUGAUGAUUCCUUCCUAGAACUUCCGAAAGAUGUGUUAACAACGGUAUGCUCAGAUUUGGACAGCGAUGCCUAUAAACUACACUACAUUUUUUUGGUUCUGAUGAUGCAGGCACCAAAUGAUAAGUCCAAUGACAUGUUUUGUGCUUUAAGUAUUACUCAACUGAAAGGAAUUAUCUCAUAACAUGCAUGUUUUCUAAUGAAAAUUACAACUGCAGGUCAUGCAGAAACACCAGAGGUAUUUUCCUGUAACCUCCAAGUCUACAGGCGAUCUGCUACCAUAUUUUAUUACCGUGAGAUGAUUUCUGCACUUCUAUAUACUUUACAAUUGGUUAGUGAUUAGUCUUUGUUCUAAUUCAGCAUUUGUUGUUAGGUUGCUAAUGGUUCUAUUAGUGAAGAAGUGGUCCGUAAAGGCAAUGAAGCUGUACUCAGGUUAUGCAAAGGUCCAAUGAAGAUUUUCUGAAUCAUUAUUUUACUGUGCAAAUUUUCGUUUUAGAGCCAAAGUUUUGGCAUGAACAAAUAGUAGCACAGUCAAGUUACUAGCACUAUUUUUGAAUUGUUUUUCAUCUUGGCCUCUGCCUUUUUUAAUUUGUAAAGAGAACUUUAGACAAAUAUACAUUCUGAAUUGGCGUACAAAUACAGGGCAAGGUAUGAGGAUGCCAAGUUCUUUUAUAAGAUGGAUACACAAAAGAAUUUGUCUGAAUUCCGAGGCCAGCUGAAGAGCAUUCUCUUUCAUGUGAGUUAUGCUGAAUUUUCCUUGGUUUCUUGUGUUCUGCUUAUUCUUAUUUUAUCUGCAUCACAUUGAAUAGGAAAAACUUGGUACAAUGCUCGACAAAACAGCGCGUGUUGAAAAUGUUGUCGCAGAGGUGACCCUUGUUCUCGGGAUAAAUGAGGGGAUGAUCCCAGUUGUCAAAGAUGCAGCUGCAUUGGCUAUGUCAGAUCUUGCCACUUCCGUUGUUACGGAAUUAACUUCACUCGCUGGAAUUAUGGCACGCCACUAUGCUUCAAGGGACGGUCUUCCAGAAGAGGUACAUUUGUUGCCAACUCUUAAUAGGGAAAGUUAAGCUGGUCCUCAACUUUGGCUGAGCAAAUUUUCAUGUCAAAGAUUGCAGAAGCACUAUUCGAGAUAACACUUCCAAGGUUCUCUGGCGAUGUUUUACCAAAAUCAGAUGUUGGCAUAGUCCUUGCGGUUGCUGAUAGGUACUUCCUACACAUAUAUUGACAUCGUUAAACAGAUGCUAAACUGAAAAUAAAAUAAAAUGUUGCUAUAUUCGAGUCAUAGCCCACUAUUUAGAACUAUGAUAUUCGGAGAACCUUGCUUCUGCUAAUGAUUUUUUUUCACAGAUUGGACAGCCUAGUGGGUCUGUUUGGAGCUGGAUGUCAGCCAAGUUCUUCGAACGAUCCAUUUGGACUGAGAAGGAUCUCUUAUGGAUUGGUAAGGGGAGCUGAAACUGUAAAUAUCAUUACAUAUAUAAUAUUUUUUAUACAGGUACAAGUAUUAGUUGAUAAUAUAUUUUAUACAGGUUCAAAUAUUGGUUGAUAAUAAGAAGAACUUUGACCUCACGAAGGCCUUGACCUUGGUGGCACAGGUGCAGCCUAUAAGAAUAGACAAUGACGUUAUAAAUGAGGUCAGUAUAUAUUUCAGAUCAUCACUAUGUUACUAUGUUCAUAUGAGUACAUGGUUUUUGACAACUCUGAUCAAAUUUAUUCUUAGGUAGUGCAAUUUGUAACACGGAGACUGGAACAACUUUUGGUAUGUAUCUCCUUCACCUGUAAUGACAAUAGAGUUAUUACUUAUUACACAUAAGGCUGUUCUUCUCCGAGAUUCUUGUAUUCUACCCUCUUGGGAUGUACUGAGAAAGAAAUAUAAGAUACACCCUCUGUUCCAUACUACACUAGAACUUUGCGUAAUUCUUGUUGUGGUUUUAGUUCAGAUGAAGUACAUAGACUAUAUGUGAGUAAAUUUCAUGUCUUUUGAAAUGACUCGUUUGUUCCUCAUUUUUCAUCAGGUGGAUGAGGGAAUUAACUAUGAAAUAGUUCGGUCGGUGCUUAUGGAGCGUGCGAACUGCCCUUAUCUGGCAUCACAAACGGCAGCUGAAGUAAGAAAUUAUAGUUUUCAAGUUUUAUGUGCUUAGCACCUCUGCUGAAAUUUGUGGAAGCAUCCUGGGUUUGUGGUGAUGGUCUUGCUAUGUGGAAACUGGCAGAUGGAAGCAUUUUCAAGAACUGAAGAUUUCCCAAAAAUCGUUGAGGCGUAUUCCAGGCCAGUUCGAAUUAUACGUGGGAAGCAAAUCGAGUCUGCUUGGGAGGUACUGGCUGUUUUUACGUAGACACGUGCCAUCACAAUUGAGUAACAAACUCAGAGCGCAGCUUGAAUUAGGAGCUAAGCUUGCUGCUGUAGCAUCUACUGACGACUUGCCUCACCAUGAAUGCAAAUAUGCAGGUUGACACAAGCGUAUUCGAGAAGGACGAAGAAAAGGCCUUGUGGAGCGCCUAUUUGGAGGCUGUCGACAAGAUCCAUCCUGGUAACAGAAGACUAUAUUCAUUUCUCAAAGCGACAUGUAUCAGGUCCACACAGUUCAUACAGCUCACCUCUGCGCUAUUCUGUUCACCGCUCUUGCAGGUGUUGACGUCAAAACCUUCGUCGAGGCCUCCCUGCUUCUGAUACAGCCUUUGGAAGAUUUCUUCAACAAUGUUUUUGUCAUGGCGGUGAGAGUAGAAACUCUUUGUUUUCCAGAUCUAUUGUGAUUCAUAUCAUUUUACCGUUUGACGGUGUGUAGAUGCACAUGUGACUUUGCUGAUUAACCUUUGUUUGUAUCUCGUGAUGGCGCCCAUUGGACAGGAAGAUGAGAAGAUCCGCAACAACCGGCUGGCACUGCUACAAAAGGUUGCGAGUUUGACGAAGGGGAUAGCCGACCUCUCGGCUUUACCAGGGUUUUAGUUAGCCUUGAAGCGAGCUGAGAGCGUGCGUCCCAUUUUUGAGCUGGUGUCAUUAAGUUGGAGCCAUUUUUUUGUACUUUUGUUACUGGUCAUUCAUCUGGUGGAAACUUACUGGGAGAAGAAUGAGAAUGUAACUACAAGGGAUCGUCUUUGAUUGGAGGGUAUCAGUUAUGAGGUGUAACUACAAGACGAACCAAUAGACAAAAUGAGGUGUUGUUUAUGCUAGUUGUUAAAUGCAUUUUCUUCUUCUGUGUUGUGUUGCUGACAUUAUCUGGGGUUGUCUUUGAUUGGAGGAUGGUGACCUAGAGAAAAUUUAUUUGGCAUUCAUUUAGAUCUUACCAAUUUCAAGCAGAUCGGGCGGGCGCUCCUUGAUGUUGAGAUUUGUUAGUCGAUGUAUAACUUUGUUUGAAGAAGAUUGAAAUGUUUGCAGCUAGCCUUCCUUCCUUUUGUCUGUUGGUUCCUGGUCACUUUGGUUAAUCUUGUAGCAAAAAAUAUCAGUUAGCUUUUGCCGGGUUGUUGUAGUUGUACUAUAAUCCGGGUCAGUAACAUACGUAGUUGUUUUAGUAAGGGCACCUAUGUAUGUAUGUUUGUACUCCUAUGUAUUAAACCAAAAUGUUGCUGAAUUCUUCCGGCAACAAUGUCUGUGAUGUGACUUGCUUUUUACCCGUGUAUGAUAUGGUUGCGUUAAGUAAACUGAACCAAAGCCACUAGCUAAUGUCAGACGGAACACGAGUAUUGCAAGUGCAGUAAAAGAAGGAAAAACAUGUUCAGCCUUUCCUUUAUUUUCGGUUGAAGGUUACGACUCUCAAGAAAUAAACAAUUUCAUCUAAAAGAAUAAACAAUUUGAAAGAAAAAUCAUGAUUUCACACUCCUAGAGCAAAUUAAUCUAUACCAAACUACGAGUAAAUACAUUUCAGAACAGCUGACUGAAUAUCAUCGGGUCCAAAUUGCUUUUUAUUCAGAGUUUGAAAAAUCUUGAACAAAAAAAUAGGGCAAGCUAGAGACUGAAUUCGAUGUUCGAAAAGUAACUGAGAGCUCUGUUUUACUGAACAAAUAAAGCUGGGUGAUGGAGAUGAAGACCGUAGAAAGCAUCAAAACAUUAUUGGAACACAAAUUACAACUGGAAAUAACAUCUAGUGACUAAAAACUCGGAUGUUUCUGCAGGCACUUUCUCUGGAACUCAUUCAUGUCUUCUCUUUUUAUAUCAUCAUCAGCGGAGUGCUCCCAGGAAAUUCAGACUGAGAAUGAGACACAGCCCGCACUGCAUGGAAAUAUGAACGGAAACUCUGUCAUUCAAUUCAUGGAGCAAACUGGAUAAAGUAAAAAUUAUAGUACAAAGCAAGGACAAGGUAAGUAACUUACUCAUAUCUUGAAUGCAUUGAACCUUUAUUCAGUUCACCGUCUCAGCAAGCCAUCACGGCACACAGAAUUUGGUGGCCCCUGUAUGGGCGUGUGGCAAACAAACUCCACACAGGCGGUUGCCCAUCAGGGGUCCAUGAAUGAAUCUCAACCACCUUUUCAUCAGUAGAAUUGAUUGGACGCCCAAUAACAAUCAGCCGCUCACCACACGCUCGGAAACCCAUGUCCCUGCCAUCAUUUUGCUUAGACUGUACAGGCAAUUUGCCAAGAGUGAUCCACCUGUUGUCGAGCUUAUCAUACUGCUUCAAAUCAUUAUUCUCACUGUAAUCAGCAGCAUAAAGCUCAUUGUUGACAACUGCAAUGAGCGGAGGAGCAUACCAUGUUGACAUGUUGACAACUUCAAUGCUGAGCCCCUGAGCCAUGUUGUCGAUGACCCUCCAUGACCGCCGGUUUAAGUCAUACUCCUCACCGCUUGUCAAUAGCUCGCGGCUACUGCUAUUACCACCGAUCACAUAGAACCUGCCAUCCAUGAACGCACCAGAGCAUCCGUACCUAGCCCUAUUCAUGCUGGGAAGGGGUGUCCAAGUAUGUGUCUCCGAGUCAUACAUCUCUGCGGAGCUCAAUACAUUACCAUAAGAAGAAUCACCGCCUCCCGCGACAUACGCCUUUUCACCGACACUUGCUGACCCAAACCUGUACCGCGGGGUGUUCAUCUCAUCCGCCAGCCCUGUCCAUGAAUUGGUAAGGAUGCUGUAUCUCAAGGCAACCCUUUCACUCCCAAACACCAGCAGCUCGGUUCCUACAGCGAGCGACUCCCAGAGGAUGCAUUGAGCCGGUGGCAUCUUGGGCACUUGGAUCCAGCGCCCAGUGGACGGGUCAUAAGCCUCCCACUCCGGAGGAUUAUUACCGCAAGAGAGGUAGAGCCAGUGCUCUGCGAUCCCGUUCUUGCGACGCAGGCGGUAGAUGUCCCCGUUGCGAACCACGGAAUUGAAAUCACGGUUGAGGGAGGCGAUGGCGCCAUAUUCCCACCUGGAGAGGCGGUGAAGGCAAUAGAUGAAGAGAUCACGACCUAUCACACCAAUCAUAUUGCUCCAUGACACCUCUCCACCACCAUCAGCUCCCGCUCCUGACAAAAGUCGACAAAUUAAUAAUUGACGGGUAAUAACUUGUCACCUGAAGCCUGAUGGCAAAUUGUCUCUGUCAGAAAAGUAUACCUGGAAAUGGAACAUCCAUCGGGCAGGAAGUGGACUUCGGUGACCUUGCUGAUAUCCUGCAGAUUACAACAACCAUUUGAACAGUUAAUUUAGGUAGAAGAAUUGAAGAGUUACAACAACCAUGUAGCUCGGCACUACCUUUUAUCACCAUGGGAACCAGAAUCCACUUCAUGUUGCACGUCAAUUAUAGGAUUGCUCGGAUGAUUACUAACUACGCCGAUCCUUGAGAGAUACUUCACAUCAGCAGCUGCACCCCCAAAUUUAGCGGAGACCUCUCUAAGGCCUGUCAUAUGGUCGAUGCUGAUUAAUGCAGUACCAUGUCGAUAUUGUUUCCACUGCUCAGACUCCGAAAAAAGUUCAAGUCUUUGGUCCAUUUGGGGGAUGACGUCGAAAACGAGCCUGAGCUUCAAGAGAUUAGGCAUUGUGUCCGCCUCAAAUCUUAGCCAAGCUAUUCCACUCAUGAACCUCAGCUUCAAGUACUUGAGAGCUGUGAGUCCAGCAGUCGUGCCAAAGAUUAUCUUAAUAUUAGGCGACUUCUCCACAUACAACGACAGAACAGUGAGGGCAGGCAACCCUCUAAGAAUAUCAACAUCAUUUACUGACAGUCCAUCCACUGCAAUCUUCAGAAUGCAUAACUUGCCAAGUUGGAUCGUCCACAAAUGCAUAUUGCGAAAUAUGACGGGGCUGUGCGGUGAGACCUCAAUUCUCUGGACAUGGUGGGUAAUUUUAUCCAAAAUCCACUCAACUCUUGCGUCUGAUGCAUCACCAUAGCUAACCGAGGAUCCGUGAGCCACCAGUUUUAUACUUUUCAGGCUGUCAUGUCCAUACCUUAAAUAAUCCAGAGCAUACAUGCUUCUCUUCAGACGGUCGUAAUCUGAAGAAAGUGGUGUAGAAAUGCAAAGGUCCUGCAGGAGGUUCGGCCUGCAAAGGCUCGGAUCGUCACCGAUAGACCAAUCCAGCAGAUUUAUGUGAGGAGGAAGACUGAGGUGCAACAAGCGUGAGAGAUAUAUAAUGUCCCAUGGAACAUAAGUGCCUCUUGGUGUAUCCAUAACAUCCAGUGUCUCCAAACAUUGCAGCCCUCUCAUACGGUUUGGAAGUUUUAUGCAGACAUCACAAACAAUCUUCAGAUAUAUAAGAUGGAACAGUUCGGAUAUCCCAGUGAGAUCUAUGGUCAGGUCUUGGUCACCAUUAUAAUGGCCGGAAAGUAAGGUUCAGAACCCGGACAAGCUUGAACUCUGCAAUGCAAGGCAUGCACUCUGAUAAUCCAAAAACUCCAAGUGAACGCACUUGUGACUUUCUGAUGUUUGCCGGUAUCUUGGCAUAUUUUGCAUCACCAAGUUGGAGAGAUAGUCGACGGACCUUAUGAGAAAGUGCCAAAAUCUUUCGAUUGUGAUCUACUACCACAACGAAAUUCUCUUCUGCAGACUUGUGUGCAAUAAGAUCAUGAACCAUGGCCUGAACUGUGCAGGACACCACCUCAUUGUUGAAGUUGAUGGACACAGGUUGGAUAAAUCUUCUAUCAACAAGUUCAUCAAAAUACAUUCCGGCAACUCGUUCCAUAUUUUGACCUUCACUUGCAGCAAGAAACCCUUCAGCCACCCAUUGCCUGACCAGGUCAUGUUUGAAGAUUACGGAGCAAGCACGUCUUGAGGUAAUGAGGAAGGCUGUUGUAGCUGAGGUGCAAUACUUGUCUCGUUCUUUCUGAAGCUGAAUCUGAUGACAAACAAGACACUAGCGAAUCAUGUAUGUGUGUCACUAAAUCCACUGAUACAGAAGGCAGGUUUGCUAAAAGACUAGCAAUGCUGAUGGUGGCUAGCGGCAAACCACCACAUAUUUCUACAAUUUGGCUUGAAACUUGUUUCAAUUCUUCAGGACAGUUAAUUUCAGAACAAAAAAGCCUGCCAAAGAAUAGCUUCCUUGAGUGAUCAUCAUCCAAAGGUUUCAUCUCAAAAACUUGCUCUGGGUCAUCGCAGCAACAUGCUAAUGCAACAUCUUCGAUCUGUGUAGUUGUUAUUAUUCUGCUUCCUUGACUACACUUGGGGAAAAGCUGAUUAAUAACAUCCCAUGCAGAUGUAUCCCAUAAAUCAUCAACAAUGAUUAGGUACCUGCAUGUCAAGAAUUCACACAUGUCACAUUUAUGCGUCAGGCUAACAGUAACAGCAGUUAGAUAUGCUAGGAAAGAAUGAAAUUUUGCUCCAUACAUGUCCAGGACUUAUGGUAUUAACCUGAAGUUAAAUGUACGUUACUACCAGCAUCAAGUUAGUGCUGACUUGAAGAGUAAAAAUAAUGUACUAUAACGCUUACUAUCAAGCUUUUUCAGCUCACUGUAAAUCUUGUCGGAGAUACAUCUUUUCAGAAAUUGACUAUAUAUCAUCAUGCCUUUUUUUUGUGAAAAACAAAACAGCACCUGUAGCGAUUCUGAACCAUGUGGAAAAUAAGCAGUACAUACCAUGCUAUACAACUAGUACAUACUAUUUGCAUGUGGAAAAUAAGUACCUCUUGGCAUGUAGAUAAUUCCUGAUACUUUCAGCAGUAAUGUGAAGUUCAUCAGAAGUGUCUUCGCUUGCUUGGGGAUGCUUUCGCUGGAUUUGUGAGAGCAUGUCGCGGAAAAGCCUUUUCAUAUCAGGCGUUUUGGACACCCGGAUGAAAGCCCGCUAAUGGAAUUGCCUCCCCAAUUUAUUAUACAACACUUUGGCAAGCAUUGUUUUACCAAGACAUCCAGAUCCGUGAAUAGACACCACCCUGAGCUGCCGAUUCUCAUCAUUAGCCAGCUGGGAGUUGAUAAACUUGCUCAUCCGACCAUCAAUUACUAGUCCGGAACAAGUUUUCUCACAAGGCUGUGGCGGCAUUGGCAUCAUAGGCCCAAUGGCCGAAAAUCUACUUGCCACCGAGGUGCUAUAACAGUGGACCUGGUAUCUGUCAUACCGUCGAACCACCUCCUGGGCAUAAAUCCUGAAUUCUGAUACCUUUUCAACAAUCUGCUGGUACCACUUGAGCCUCCUGGGAGCACAAAUUACAUCAACACGGAUGGUUUUGGAGAUUACAUGUCCUGACACAUCAAGAGCUGCAUAUUCAAUCUGUUUCUGCCACUUGAGCCUCUUUGAAAUCUUAACAUGAGUCAUCUUGUGGUCAGAUUUGUAGCCAAGAGACUGAUCAGGGGGCACAAAGUUGUCAAUACAAUCUAGGAUGUCAUAAGAUAACUCAUGUGCCUCUUUCAUCCAACACUUGGCUGCCAAGGGAGGGUCCUCCACCUCUAAGAGAUCUUCAAGGUAUGCGGCUAUUUCUUCAAGAUCAUCUUGGAGGAGUUGCGACCUAUCAUUGACCCCCUUGGUCAGCUUGCAUCCAUGAGGACCUAGCAUCAUGUCAAGCUUCUUAAGAAGGGGUCUCAUGGCGCCCAGAGAAACACUGAAACUGGUAUCCACCUCUCUGCCUCUACCUCCCAUUGAAACAUCUGAAAAGAAACAUAGACGAGAAAGAACGAUUUAAUUUAUACAACGGGUGUUGGAUGUAAUACAUAACUACCAGUAAGUGUCACACUCGCAUCUAUUUCUAUUCACAUAACUGACAUUUAGAAAAAGCAAAAUAUAUUGAUUUUACGUUGUACUUCACUCAUCAUAUCCACCAACGCAUUUAAAUUGCAGAGAAAACAAAUUGCUUAUAGACAUUUGUGGACUUUAUUAACUCAAAAUGAAGCAUANNNNNNNNNNNNNNNNNNNNNNNNNNNNNNNNNNNNNNNNNNNNNNNNNNNNNNNNNNNNNNNNNNNNNNNNNNNNNNNNNNNNNNNNNNNNNNNNNNNNNNNNNNNNNNNNNNNNNNNNNNNNNNNNNNNNNNNNNNNNNNNNNNNNNNNNNNNNNNNNNNNNNNNNNNNNNNNNNNNNNNNNNNNNNNNCUACAUGAGUAGGAUACACACAAUAAACAGUAACAUACAUAAAAAUCACACAUGCAAAGAGAAAGUUCAUAAAAGACUGAGGCUCUGCCUACUUUUAUUCAACCAGUUGUGGUCAUGUUUUAUUUUUAGUUUUAGUUUUGUCUGGUACUCGAUGACUUGAACUUGUUUUCAAAUUUAAUAAAAUUAUUUGUGUGCAUGUUGUGAUGCAGAGGCUAGGGUACUACACUCCCUGGUGUCUGAAGUUCUCCCCACUUUGCUAUCUUUUGGGAACCUCAUCUCCCACCACUUUAACCCAAAUAUACCAAAAAAGGCUUUGCCCUGCUUUAUAUAUAAAGCAACGAUCCACAAGCACCACGAUACAAACUCACGCCACCACCGCAACACAUACACCCAAGGCAAGAUACAAAGGUGCCGAGCACCGCCACACCACCCGAAUGACUACCAAGCAACUACAUAUGAGUGAGGACGAACCGCUUGGAGCCAACGGAUACCUCCAUUCCUCCGAGGAGAGGUGAGGCGGAAAAUGAUGGAGCAAGGACUCCAAGAUGGUGCCUCCUAGAAGGGAACGACCACUGAUAGCAGCCACCAUCCGAUCCCAAGGAUCAGGUUUUCACCCAGAGCAACUCGAAGGAGUAAGGACACCGCGACGGAGCCUUCAUGAAAGAUACGAUGUCCAUGGAAGCCGCCGCCGUUGGCCAAUAAAAGAUUGGGCAAGUGAUUUACCCUAGCACGCUCACCCCUCCGACGCAUCCUAGCUCCGCCAACCACCAGCGACCACCCACCCACAUGGCCAUGGCCGCUCGCCCGCAUCCGAGGCACAAGUUCCGGCCGUGAACACCGUGACUCCCGCCGCUAGGGCCAUCGCCCUGCAUGCAGACACUCCCAAGGCCGACCAAAGUGACCGGCUUUAGGCCAAAGGAUGCACCCAAUAGAAGAGACCGCGUCAGCCCACACACGGCCGGGGAAUGGGGGAGGAGGGGGAACGGACACAUCCGGGCCGACACACCCCCGUGCCAGUGAGGUGUGGCCCAAGCUCGUCGACGUAUCCCAUCCCUCCAGCCUGCCUCCCCACCGGACACCUCCUGUGUCGCCCCACCUCGACAGCGAAGGCAGCUCCACGCGAGGCCACCAACACACAUCCGCUCACCGGCAAGGAGAGAUCCCAAGGACCACCCCAAUUGUGAAGGAAGCUCACCGAGGAGCCCAUCUGCGAUGCCUACCGUCGUCCNNNNNNNNNNNNNNNNNNNNNNNNNNNNNNNNNNNNNNNNNNNNNNNNNNNNNNNNNNNNNNNNNNNNNNNNNNNNNNNNNNNNNNNNNNNNNNNNNNNNNNNNNNNNNNNNNNNNNNNNNNNNNNNNNNNNNNNNNNNNNNNNNNNNNNNNNNNNNNNNNNNNNNNNNNNNNNNNNNNNNNNNNNNNNNNNNNNNNNNNNNNNNNNNNNNNNNNNNNNNNNNNNNNNNNNNNNNNNNNNNNNNNNNNNNNNNNNNNNNNNNNNNNNNNNNNNNNNNNNNNNNNNNNNNNNNNNNNNNNNNNNNNNNNNNNNNNNNNNNNNNNNNNNNNNNNNNNNNNNNNNNNNNNNNNNNNNNNNNNNNNNNNCCAGGUCUGGCCUUGACCUACCAUCCCUGGAGACCAAGGCGCCCCCGCCACCGCCGCAUCGCCGUCGUCGACCAGCCCCGGAGGGAUAUCAUGUUGCCCGGCCCGGCGCCCAGCGUGGCACCCAGGCUCGGGUGAGCCGCCUCGCGCCUCGCCACCCGCGUGAGGGGAAGAAGAGCAGCCCCGCCAUCGGCGCGUGCCGGGCUUCGCCCAGUCAAGCCCCUUGCGGCGGCGAGGGAGGGGUGGAGGGAGGAGGAGUGCCCCGCCGACGGCUAGGGUUAUCCUCCGUGCGCCCGUGGGGGGGGGCGUCGCGGGAGGAGGAGGGAGUCUAUACUAGUCUAACGUAAGCAUAGUAACACUUAAAAUAUACAAUGGGCCGAGUUUGAUAAUAACUCCACCCGUGAGUUCUUCUCCACACACGGCAUUGCUCUCCUCAUGUCGUGCCUCUACACUAGCCCACAAAAUGGCCACGUUGAACGUAUCUUACAAACCCUAAAUGACAUUGUCCACAACCUUGAAAUCCACGUCUCCAUGCCAUUUUCCUUCUGGGUGAAAGCAUUGAACACCUAACAGACGUCCAUGCCGUCCUCGGCACAACCUCACUCCAUUCUACCCACUCUUCGGUGCUCACCGAGACUACACGAACAUGCGCGUGUAAGGGUGCCUAUGCUAUCCUAACACCACGGCCACCACUGCUCACAAACUAGCUCCUCGCUCGAGGCCAUGCAUGUUUCUCGGCUACUCACCGGACCACAAAGGGUACCGUUGCUACAACCCAUCGACCGGCAGAGUUCUCAUCUCAUGUCAUGUAGUUUUCGACGAAAACUCCUUCCCUACCGCACCACUGAACCCACAACUCCUGUGUCGGCUGAUGGUGAUGAAAUCUAUCAAUCACAGGGCCCUCGACGUCGUCAGACAACCCCUAGUACCUCACCAGUGCCCACGGCCGCGGCCACCUCCACCGCGCCUUCGACGCCCUUGUGCCAAUCAUCACCAACACCCACCCCCAUCCGAUCACCAACUCCACCUCCCUCUCGGCGCACACCUCCGAUCAUCGAAACCCCAUCGCCAUCUACGUCACCUCCCCCUCCUGCCAAACCAACACAACCCCGAGGGCCUCUUGCACCCACGCAACGCAUGGUCACCCGGCGGCAUCAAUGACAUCUUCCAGCCAAAUCCCAAGUACGGGCUCCAGGCUCACGUAAUCACCGUCUUCCCCAUUUCCAAAUCGGUGCGCACGGCAUUGCGCGAUCCGUUUUGGCUAAUAGUUAUGCAGGAGGAGUACCGGGCAUUGACGGCGAACAAACCUGGACGUUGGUGCCAUGCCCACCUGGUGCCAACACUAUCACUUGGAAGUGGUUGUUCCGGCACAAGCUCAAGGCUGAUGGAUCCCGGGAAUGGUACAAAGCCAGGUGGGAGGUGCACGGCUUCUCGUAAUGACCGGGUGUGAACUUCGAUGAAACCUUCAGUCCUUUCGUCAAGUCUGCUAUAGUUCAUGCCGUACUCACCAUUGCCACGUUGCUAGACUGCCGCGUCCAUCAAAUGGACGUGAACAAUGCCUUUCUCCAUGGGCAGCUAGCCGAGCGUGUCUACUGGUCAACAACCGGCCGACUUCAUUGACCACGACAACCCCGACUACAUCUGCCUCCUCGACAAGUAGCUGUACGGCCUCAAGCAGGCACCGCACGCCUGGUUUGACAGGUCCGCCACGUUCCUAUGCACGGUCGGCUUUGCAGCGACACGCUCCGACCCGUCGUUGUUCGUGUACUACCACGAUUGCGGCCUGGCGUACCUCCUACUAUACGUCGACGACAUCGUGCCCACCGCCUUGUCUAGCCAUCUCCUCCAACACAUCCAGCAGCGCCUCUUUGCCGAUUUCUCGAUGAAGGACCUUGGACCUCUACAUUAUUUCCUCGGCAUCAGCGUCACAUGCAGAAGAUCUGGCUUCUCCGUGUCGCAGUACAAAUACGCGGAGGAGCUCCUGGACCGUGCCAACAUGACCGUGUGCAAGACCUCCCCGACGCUCGUGGACACACGUGCCAAGCUAUAUGCAUCCGAUGCCUCACCUGUUGCCGAUUGUUUGGAGUACAGAAGCUUGGUCGGGGCACUCCAAUAUCUCACCAUGACUCGCCCCGAUCUCGCCUACGCCAUCCGGCAAGCGUGCCUCUAGAUGCACAACCCGCAGGACCAGCACUUGACGAGGACACAUGUCCUUCAUCUUCAUCGCUCGCAAGCACUCGACCUCGUCGCCUAUUCGGACGCCGACUGGGUCGGCUGCCGCGACACGCGCCGUUCCACCUCCGGCUACACCGGUCUUCCUCGGCGAUGCCUUGAUCUCUUGGUCCUCGAAGCGCCAAGCCACGGUGUCCAACGUCGCCAACAUCGUCGCCGAGUGCUGCUGGCUCCGGCAGCUUCUGGGCGAGCUGCGUGUCGACGUCCCCAGGGCCACGGCGUGUAUUGUGACAACAUCUCCGGUGUCUACAUGGCGGCCAACCCUGUCCAUCACUGACGCACCAAGCACAUCAAACUCGACAUACAUUUUAUUUGGGAGAAGGUGGCGCUUGGUGAGCUCCAUGUCCUACACGUCCCGAUGUAACAGUUUGCUGACUGGAUGACAAAGGGGUUACCUACAGUUGUGCAUCCGGCCGCCGGACGCUCAAACGAUGGCGGGAUGUCGACGGAUAUCUGGUGGUUCACCCAGCCCACUCUCUACACGACCUAGUCUCCCCCCUCUCUGCGCACUAGGCGCACGAUCUCCACCUCUGCACGACUGCGGAAUGGCUGUACUAUCAAACUGUAUAUAUGCAGAGCUAACGCAUCGGCAGUGCACUACGGUGCAUUGCAUUCUUCUUUCCUCCAUCACAAAAACCUACUACCUUUCUACUUUCUUCUCCGAACCUACCAUCCCACGACGUUUGAUGUGAGCUAGGUGUGUGUACUUGCCGCGAUCACCGCGUCAUGCCAUCCCAUGACCAGAUCAAGGCUGCGCCUAUUCAGCUAAACUCACUAGCAGAAGAAGUCAGCUCGACCAAGUCAUCAUGUACAGGCACAAGCACAUGCCGUUUAUUUUGCUAACUUGUAAGAAAAUAACAGCAGCAGGGUUUAGCGCAUCAAGAAAAGAAAAGCAGCAGAUGGAUAAAAAAAAGGAGAGAAACGAAGUGUCACCUUGGGUUGGAUAAAACAGGACAACCCUCUCCUGCUCAUCCUCCUUCUCAAGAAUGCCAUGAUCCAUCAUCUUGUUGCGGGAGUCGCUGCAGUCUUCACAGGGUUCGGAGCCGACCCUCUUACAGGCUUGGCAGACCAAGGCCGGGCUCGGCCUUGGGGCGGCGUCCAGGAGAGGCCGCAGCCUGCCGGCCCGGUGCAGCUGCCUAACAUCCUCAGGGCCGCCGACGAGCCGGCCGCCCACGAGGAGCUGCGGGAGGGAGAAGGCGCAGCCCCGAGCCGCGAGCAACGACUUGAGCUCGCAGCGCUGCGCUUUGCUCCUGGACACGUCGCGCUCGUCCACGGCCAGGCCGUAGCCAUGCAGCAGCGCGCGCAAGGCGUAGCGGCCGGCGGAGGUGCGCGCUCUGCGGCGCGACGCUGAAGCUGAUGACGCCGUGUAGAGAACCACCUCCGGCUGCAGCUCCUCCUUGCCGCGCGGCCGGGACGACGAGCUGCCGCCAUGGUCAUACAUGUCCGGUGGCCUCAUCCGCAGAUGAGUGUCGAUGGCUAGAGUUCCGGCCAGACGAGACUAAGCGAAGUGGUGGCUUUGUUGUGUGUCUCUCACUCUUCUUCGUCUCCUUCUCGCAUGCAUCACACGCUAUGCAUCACGUGCUUGUGCCUUAUCUUUAUUACUGUACAAAUUACGUCCUCAAACGCUAUGCCUGUGGCCCUAUGCGCGCUCCAUUAAAUUAUCUUGUGUUUCUUUCCAAGCACUGGGAUUAGACUCGAUCAAAUUAUUUUGUGUUUCUUUCGAAGCACUGGGAUUAGACUGGAUAAGUUCUCACUGGAUUCCUGAUCCUACAAAGGGCCACCAUUUUCCCUCUGAAUUUACGUUUUUUGCAUCCCGUGAGUUUUGUUCCAUCACUCGAGUUCCGCCCAGACGUUUAGGGGGGAGGUAAAGUGUCCAGUUGUAGAUGCUGUAAGAAAGGCCGCGACAAGACCAUUCAUGUUGUUUUUCACCCCUCCUAAGGUUGCCUCUUAGGGCAUCUCCAGCCGCGCCCCCAACAGGCCCUCUCCAGGCGAUUUCGCCGCGCCGGCGCCAACAAAAGUCCCCAGUCGCGCCCCCAGAAGCCCGUUUUUCGCCGGCUCGGGCCAAAACUGGUGUCGGCGGACCCAGGCCGAACCCGGCGCCCUGGGGGGCGCUUGGGGAGCCGGCGCAAGCGAAAAAGGCGCGUGGGCCCGCACUGGAGGCGACCCGAGGGCCUUUUCCCGCCGCUUUGCUGCCUCUUUUCUCACUUCUCUCCCGCUCGCUCGCCUUGCUCCCGCCAUUCUCCCCCCCUUUCUCCCGCCAACCCCGCUCGCAGCCCGCCGCCAUGCCGCCGAAGAAAUACACCAUGGCGCGCGCCGCGGCGACCGCGACGGGCGCCGCUACCCAAUCGAAACAGAGGAAGCCGAGGGCGCCUCCAACGAAGCCGCCGGGCAUGUCGAACGCCGAGUGAAGGGUGGAAGUACAGCGCCGAGAAGCGGUCACCGCCGACAGGCAGAACCGGGGGAUAGCCAAGAAGGCCCGCGACAACGCGGCGCGCGCGGCGGUGUCCUCCUCUUCUGUCGAGGCUCCCGUCGUCAGCCACGCCCACCAGUACGCGCCCUGGGGACAGCAAGGCGCCGGAUCUCCAUGGGGUUCAUCGUCGCCCGGCUACGCCGACGGCGACGCGCACAGCGGGUUCAACCAAACGUGACCUUCCCUCAUGGUCACCCCGCUACGCGCACGCCAUCGCUUGCCUUCGCCGGUGUGCAGUACCCAGCAUACAACUACUCGCCGCCCCCCCGCCUACGCGACCACGCCAACGCCACAUCUCUACCGCGGGCCGCUGCCCUUCUCGCACCUCGGCGACGCCGACGACACGGGAGCCGACAUGGACGACAUCAUCGCGACCGGAUCGGCCGUGGCCGCCUCGUCUCCCGGUUUCGCCACCCAGGAUGAGGUAGUCGACCUCAGCGGCGACAUGGAGGCCGAGCUCGGCUACGUCUACGGCGACGAUGCGCAGGAGCCCGAGGAGGAGGACGAGGACGAGGAGGAGGAGGAGGAGGAGCCGGCUCCUGUUCUGACGAAGGGGCGCCAGAAAAAGAAGCGGGUGGCGAGGUCGGGCGAGCCGCGCAUCAAAUGGACGUCCAAGGAGGAGGAAUGCCUCGCCGAAGCGUGGAAAGUCGUCUGCCUCGACCCGACCACCGGCGCGAACCAAAGCUUGGAGACGUACUGGGACCGCAUCAAGGCCGAGUUCGACGAGGGGAAGCUCGUCGACCCCUACUUCAAAGGCGUGUACAUGCAGCGCGGGGCCAAGGCGAUGGCGAACCAUUGGGGGCGUAUCCAGUUGGCGUGCAACAAAUGGCACGGAAUCGUCGAGGAGGUCGUGGCUCGCCCGGAGAGCGGCGCCAGCGUUGAAGAUCAGGUACGCACGCCGUUCGCCCGCACAUGUUCAUCCCCUGCGCCCGCGGUUCGCCAACUGUUCGUCCGUCCGCGCAGCUGCUGCGCAUGUUCGCCAUGUUCCGGGGUGACAACCAAGACGCCGACUUCAAGCACCUCCACGUCUACAAGCGCAUUGACAAGUGUGAGAAGUGGGCGGAAGUCCGACGUGCCCUCGACAAGGCCAAGGAGACGUACAAGCCGGACGCGCCGACUCCGGGCGCGUCGGAAGGGCGGCCGGACGACCACAAAUUGGCCAAGAAGGGGAAGAAUGCCGACGCGGCAACCGCGCGAGUGCAGGAGUCCAUCGAGCACUGCCUCGCCGACGUCCAGGCCCGGGCCGUCCUACGCGAAGAGAAGACCGAGUCGCGGUGGUCGGCGCUAAUGAAGAACAACGCCAUCAAGCUCGACCUGCUCCGGACGAACGUCGCCGCGAAGAAGAGGAACACCGACAUGGCUUUUCUGAUGGGUGCGGCGGACUUGCUUCAGAGCAACGACGAGAAGCUCAAGGCGUGGUACCUGGUUCAGCGCGGCCUCAUCCUGAACGAGCUGCCGAUGGCAACGCCCACGACGCCGACGACGCCCACGGCCGCACGGACGCCAAGCCCGAGCGAAGCCUCUACGUCGCCGCCUAGCAGUGUCGAAGCCGCGCCGGCGCAGCCCAACACCGAAGCAGCUCCGACACCGCCGAGCUCGCGCACGCCGACUCGGCCAACACCUGGGACCAACCCCGCCGAGUGAUCGCCGAGGCGGCGGCGCUCUAUUUGAGUUUGAAUUAACCGCGUUCUGGGGCCGGCGCGUGGGUGCGUGACUGGGAGCUAGCUCGCCCCCAGGGGCCGAGCUAGCGCCGGCACGCCCCCAGUAUGCCGAAUUUAGACGCCCUGGGGGGCCGAACGGCUGGAGAUGCCCUUAGACUAGGCCUGCUAAAGUCGCAAAUGCUUUGACUGCAUUUUAUUGAUCUUCUUCAAUCGACAUUGUCCCGUGUGUGGAUGGUUACGAACUUACCAUUUGUUACUUUCAAGCGUUCGUUUCAGGUUUUCCAUUGUUUAAAAAUAUUUUUCAAAUUAAAGAAAAAAGUACUGCAAGACACCAAGUAUAAUAUAAGCAUUCACACCUCACAUAUUUUACCUUUUGCUCCUCCUGCUAUUUGAGCUAGGAGCCUAGGAGUGGCGCAAGCACCUGUAAGCCCUCGGAAGUGUCUGGUUGCUGCAGAGCUUGCCGGCCGCUCUCAUCUACCCUUCGUUCUCAUCCUCCAUCAUUCAUCGGAUUGGCGCUUGAUUUUUAUUUUAUCGAAUGCGAAGAUUGAAAAAUUGUGAAAAUGUUGUGUCGGUAAUACCUCCGUUGUGAUUUAUUAGUCCCCUCGUAUUUAGGUUCAUAUUUUCACCACGAUUUGAACUAAUAAAACAUAAGUUAUACAUAGUAAAAUUAAUAUUAUCAGAAACUAUGUUCGAAUACGAAUCCAACGAUAUAAGAGCAACUCCAACGGGCCGACCCAAACGGACGGCGCUUUUGUCCCUUUUUUGUUCGUUUGGGUCGGCCGCCUGCCCAGUGUCUGCUCUAUUUUAAAUUUGGGACGGCAGUGCGCCCAACGCGCCGACCCAUUUCAUGCCGCACUCAGUUUUUUUAAAAAGGCCCGCGGCCAUAGAUCAUGCCAGCGGCCAUGUCUCAUGCCGACACCAUGCCAGCGCCGGCAUACAAUGCCGGCUUCAAAAAAUAUCACCACACAGUUCAUGCCGGUGCACUCGCCAGCGGCCUGCACACAUGCCAGCACACAAAAAAGGGGUGGGACUUCAGUGCGCACCACCCUCGAAGACCAUGUUCUGCAUGUAGUCCUCGUCGCCGGCGGCCGGCAUUCCGUCGAACAGGUUGCGUGCGCCCGGCAGCACGUCGGCUGGCAUCUGCCGCGCGCGUUUCCUCAUGCCUUCGAAUGACGAGCCACCGGCCACCGGUGUGGCGUUGAGGUCGAUGGGCGCGGGCGCGGGCGUGGAAGGCGCGACCACGCUCACCUCGGGCAAGCAAUCCCCGGAGAGGCGGGAGGCAUGCGGGUAGAUGUGGAAGCUGGGCAUCAGGGUGCAAGCCGACGCGCUGGGCGAGUCGGGCAGCACCAUCCAAGGGAACGCGGAUGAGCCGGUGUUUGCCUCGGCCACGGCGGCGUUGACGAGGCCAUGCUGGCUAUGGUUUAACCCUAGCAUAUAGAGCACCUCCCUCGUUGUCGCCGCGACGUGGGCGUUGGUGACCUCCUGCUGCGCGGCAGCGGCGACGGCGGCCGCCGCGAUGGCUUCAUCCCUCGCAUCCGCCUCAUGCCUCCGGUCCUUCCUCUUGACCGACUCCCUUGCCCGCUAUUCGGGUGUCAACGCCUUCUUCGGCUUGGGCACGGCGGUCUUGCGGGGGACGCGAGGCUUGCCUUUGCCGAAGGGGGCAGUCGGCAUGCCGGACGAAGCGAGGGAGGUGAGGCCGGCGGCAGCCUCAAGGUCGUCGUCCAUGGCGGGGGUGGGCCGUAAGCGCGCACGGGCGGGAUUCUUUUUGGGGGAAAUGGAGGGAAAUGGUGGAGGCUGCCACCGACCAGCGGGCCAGGGGAAGGAGAAGGCGCGCACGCGCGUCCGUCUCCUAUCCGCACCGACGCAAAUCCGUCUCAAAAAUGGGCCGGGAAUGGGUCAGCAGGCGGACGCCAAGCAGACGCGCGUCCGUUUGGGUCGGCGCAUGGGGCCGAUUUUUGUGUCUGCGCCGACCCAAACGGACGCCAACGGACGAAAUGGAUCGCCCCGUGGAGUUGCUCUAACAUUUUGGGACAUGCUCUAAAAUUUUGUAAGUUAAAUCUAUGGUCAUAAAUUGAUACAAAUUACGAAGGAGGCCAAUAAACCAGAAAGAAGGUAGCAGGUGUACAUGUACCGUGAAAGACUUGUGAAUUCAUUAGUCCAUUCAAGAGACAUUGUGUUUCCAUUCAAUGCAAAGUGAAGUAAACUAAAUGCACCGCCAGCUGCUUGGAUCAAUUAGCUGACGAGGCGUGAAAGAUCCACGAGUUAAUUAGUACAUCUAAUGCAUCAGUCUAUCUUGAAUUGGCAAUCUGACACAUUGUGCAUAUCGAUACGGUGCCAAACUCUGCUUACCAGCUUAAACUAAUACAGUGUCAGCUACUUUGGAUCGACGAGCUAGGUGGAACAAACGGGAGCUAAGUUUAACCAUCAAGUGAAAUGGCGGCUUGUGGGGCACUAUAGUUUGUAUUUUGCCAGAAUCAAUGCAAUUUCUCUCUACGUAACCGUGAACUACGGAGGCAACUUGUGAAGUUUCAUGGAGAUUUAGGAAACUUGCACUGCUUUGAAGUAGGUUAGUGCACCUCGACGUAGGCUAACACCAACAUGUUAAAGAGGACUCCGUAGGGCAAGGUGGGGCAACCGCCCUACCUUGAUUCUUUUGCAAAAAUAUAUCACACAAGUAUGCAUCAUUGCAUCGCUACUUUUGAAAUUCCAGAACAUUGCGGGAUUUCAACUUUCUAAAAGCUCAACGCUAACAUUGCGUGUUUUGAGCCAAUACAAAGUAGAGUUAAACUAGUCCGCCACUAGCUGCUUGGAUUGAUGAGCUGACAAGCUAUGCGUGAAAGAUUCGUGAGUUGAUUAGUCCAACUAAUGUAACACUGGCUGCCUUGAAUUGGUCAGCGCUAAACUAAAUAUNNNNNNNNNNNNNNNNNNNNNNNNNNNNNNNNNNNNNNNNNNNNNNNNNNNNNNNNNNNNNNNNNNNNNNNNNNNNNNNNNNNNNNNNNNNNNNNNNNNNNNNNNNNNNNNNNNNNNNNNNNNNNNNNNNNNNNNNNNNNNNNNNNNNNNNNNNNNNNNNNNNNNNNNNNNNNNNNNNNNNNNNNNNNNNNNNNNNNNNNNNNNNNNNNNNNNNNNNNNNNNNNNNNNNNNNNNNNNNNNNNNNNNNNNNNNNNNNNNNNNNNNNNNNNNNNNNNNNNNNNNNNNNNNNNNNNNNNNNNNNNNNNNNNNNNNNNNNNNNNNNNNNNNNNNNNNNCUAGCUUUGACAACUCGCAGAGCAGGUGGCAAGAUACCAGAGCGACACAAUCCAAAAGGUUGUAAAAAUGUAGUUUGGUAGGUAUAGUGUGGAUGACUUGUGAGUUCUCUAGUCCAUUCAACAUUGAUACAUAGUGUUUCGACUCAAUGCAAAGUUGAAUUACACCCAUGAACCACUAGUUGUAAGCCCUCGGAAGUGGUUGGUUGCUGUUGAGCUUGCUGGCCGCUGUCAUUCUCCCCUUCAUUCUCAUCCUCCAUCACUCAUUGCAUUGGCGCUUGAUUUUCAUUUAAACGGAUGCGAAGAAAGACUCAUGAUUCAUUAGUCCAUUUAAUGUGAACACACCGUGUAUUUGAAUUCAAUGCACAGUUGAAGUAAACUAAAUGCACCCCCAACUGUUCGGAUCGAUGAGCUGACAAGGCAUGAAUGAUCCAUGAGUUGAUUAGACCAUCUCAUGUAGUAACACUCUCUAUCUUGCACUGGCAGUCUGACACAUAGCUCAUAUUGAUACGGUGCAAAACUCUUCUUACCAUCUUAAACUAAUACAUUGUCAGCUGCUUGGAUCAACGAGCUAGGCGGAGAAAACAGGAGCUAAGUGCAGGCUGCUGCUGCCCGCCGGUGAUCCCCUCCUCAUCCUUGCUUACGGCUAAAGAAACCGUGGUCGCGGAAGCCUCGCGCGAGAUUGAGGGGGAGAGAAGGGAGAGUGGUGGGUCAGGAGAGGUCCCAGUUCCUUCUUUUUUCUGUUCGAUUGAUUCCUCAAAAAGAAUCAAUCAAUCGAACAGAAAAAAAAGGAGCAACCGAGCCGUUGUCUGGGCCGACGGCCCAUCGUUGCGUGUAGCAAUUUAAGUUCUUUCCGGCCUCCCACCUUGUGGAGUACGGUUUUUUUUCUGAAAGAUAACAUGUCUACAUCACCACGUUUGUUCUUCUAAUUUUUUUAGAAAAGGAGGAUGAUCCCCGGACUCUGCAUCUGGGCGAUGCAUACGGCCACUUUAUUAAUUAUUCUCACAAAACCUUACAAAAUCAAUAUAACAAUAAGACUAAAGCCACCGUCUAAGCAACAAACUAUCGCUACACCUAUCCAGUUGAUGAAGGGCGCAGAUAGCCUGGGCCUAAUACCAAACAGACAUCGCAGCCAAGACUAACAUCUAAGAGUUGAGGCCCCAACCUAGCCACUUGCCGGGUCUGGGGCACACACUGGUCUCGCGUGCUCUCAGAAGCCGCCGCACUACUAGGAGAACGGCUAUAGAUAAAAUGGACACUAAUGGCGCACCACAUGUGUGGUGCGCCAUUAGUAUAUACAAUGGCGCACCUGGUGCGCCAUUAGUAAUAUAUUACUAAACCUGGUGUGUGGUGCGCCAUUAGUAGUUUUGAAAAAAAUAAAAAAUAAAAAUUGUUACUAAUGGCGCACCGUGGGAUAGUGCGCCAUUACUAGUUGAUAUAGUAAUGGCGCACCACACCCACCGUGCGCCACUACUAGUUUUGAAAAAAAAAUAAAAAAAAAUUGUUAGUAAUAGGGCACCUGUGGACAGUGCGCCAUUACUAGUUUUACCAUUACUAAUUUUUUUUUUAAAAUGAUUUUUAAAAAAAAACUUAAUAAUGGCGCACCAGUGCAUAGUGCGCCAUUACCAUUACUAAGUUUUUUUCAAAAAAAAAAUCAAUUUUUUUUCAAAACUAGUAAUGGCGCACCGUGGGUGUGGUGCGCCAUUACUAGUUUUCGCCAUUACCACACCCACGAUGCGCCAUUACUAACUUGGCCCAAAAGUUUCACAGAAUGCACCCCCCCAAAGACCGCCUUUUCAGUUUAAAAAAAAUAAAAGAAAAUGAUGGAAAUGUCAAAAAAAUAAAAGAAAAGAAGUUUCCCAUGUGAUAUGUGGUCUAGUUGUUGGGAAAAUUUACAAAUAUGAAUUUCGACUUUAUUUGCAAAAUCUCUCUGAAAAUUUGUAAAAUGGGCAUAACUUUUGCAUACGAACUCGGAUUAAAAAGUUUUUUAUAUGAAAAAUCAUCUACUCGAAAAGUUACAUUCGAAUUUAACCGGGGGAACCCCAUUAAACAUUUUCAAAAUCCCCAAAAACUUAAAUGAAAAAAGUUACGGGGCUUUCAAGAUCUAGAGGCAAAAAAAUUCAAAAAAUUUCAAACUUACUAGUGGCGCACCGUUUGCUAGGUGCGCCACUAGUAACAGAAAAAAAUGGUUUCGACAAAAAAAUUUCGAAUUUUUUUUCAAAAUAUGAUACUUAUUAUGACCGGGAAGUUUGAAAUAUUUUUUCAAAAUUUCAUCAUACUUAUGAACAUGAACAAAGUCCUAGACAUCAAGAAGGUUUAAUACGAUUGAUAUGAUAGAUAUAUCAACAAGUGCCUGUGAAGUGAGCUGGUGCUGGGUUUGGAUAGAACUGUGAAGUUAAGCGUGGUCGGGCUGGAGUAGUGUAAGAAUGGGUGACCUUCCUGAAAGUUUGACCACAGAGUGUGAUUUGACUUGAGAUUAAGCAUAUUGACCCGAGAUUAAGCCAUAGUGACCUGAGAUUAAGGAAAAACAAAAAAAUUGAAAAAAAAAUUAAAAAAAACUUCUAAAUUUUUUUUUGAAAAAAAUUGUUACUAAUGACGCACUUUUAUGUGGUGUGUCAUUAGUAUCUGGUAUACUAAUGGAGCACCGUGGGCUAUACUAAUGGCGCACCAUUAGAGAAAAAAAUCUAAUGGCGUGGUGCUAGUGGCGCACCUGUAGUGCGCCAUUAGUAGCGAAAACAGGUGUGUCACUAGCAACCCUUUUUCUAGUAGUGCCGCCGCCAAUUGCCACCGCUCCAUCUUCAGAACUGUACUGAUGCAUCAACCUUGCUCGGUCCAGCUAACGUCGAUGCCACCACGGCGCCCAACGACACCUCCUCCCUGCGCGCAAACAACUGAACACGUCGCGGUCGCCACUGAUACACCUCAGCGCCGUGUUGCCAAGUACCACCAGCCGACACAGCUUGAAGCCCUUGGAGGAUCUGUCGUGCGUAGCACCUGCCGACCAGGCAUGACCAAGCGUAAAACCUGUCGGUCAGGCAUGAAUUGACAUCUCCACCGAAACUCCGUGCAAGACGAAGCCCCUCCACAUCCUGCCUUUGACUUCCAGCGCUGCUCCACAAAACGAUGCUCCCAAGAGAGAAACGAAACUGCAGUGCCGCCAUCGUCCGGUCUGGAACACCAGAUCCUAGGGUUUCCCCCGGAGCAAUACGAGUGGGUCGACGGUAGUCACAUGACGAUGCCUUCAUCAAGGUAACGACGUGGAACUCCGCCAUCGCCCGCCAUCGGCUCGGUUUUCACCGGCAACUACGUCUACACGACUCGCAGAUGGUGCCAGAUAACGGAUCCCGAGAUCCGAACACCCAUCCUCAGGCCGACCACCUCUGACAGAAGAGAUGACCACUAUCGCCGGCUGCACCGGUCAGAACAGAUCUGAUCGGAGGUGCCGCCGACGAAACCACGAGGCCCUCCACGCCGCCAUCGCAGCCAAGCCGGCCGCCGCCACCGGCUUCGCUAUUCACUUAAUUUAUUUUCCAUAAUAAGUUGCAGGCAAGUGUGAUAAUAUUCAGUCUUAACUGCCCUUCACAUCCACAAAAAGGCACUUGAAUUUCUGCAUCAGGGUGGUGCUACCCAGUCUGUGAUCUCAUGGUAAGUUAGUACAACAAUGUGCAUCAUUCUAGAUGCAUCUGGUUUUAAUGUUUCAAAAAUAGAAGGGAGAGUUUUGAAUCGCUUUUUCGCAGAUUGUUCACCUUUUGCACAUUGUCUACAUUUGUCACAUUGCUUAGGUUUUCGGUUUGCGAGCGACAGCCAACAGUUAGUUUAGGUUCACACUAGUGCGAGAGAGGGGGUACGAACCAACGCCUCAAGAAGUACUACAUUAUGUAUGAUGAGACAUGUCAUGUAACUUGUAUAGCUAUAUUGUGAUUAUGAUGUGACAGGCAUGAUUUGUGUUGGAUGAUAUAAUGAGACUAUUAUGUGUAUGAUAUUAUGAGCAUAUUGCAUGUUUAUAAUAUGAUUAGAAUAUUGUAUAUAACCUGUACAAAAACAUCGCAAAUACGCAGCAAAAAAAAAAGAUAUAUAUGAGAAAAUAUAGUAGUAGCGCUCUUUAGCGCUCUUUAGCGCUGGACAGGAAAACACUACUACUAAAGCACUUAGCAGUAGCGCUGGUUUGGAAAGCGCUACUGCUAAGUAGGUAUAGCAGUAGUGCUGCGCUAUUGAUACACCAAAUACUCACGCUACUGCUAGGCUUUUCCCUAAUUGUGUCUCAUAGUCGAAGGAAUAUGUAUUUGAUAUGAAGAAAGCAAUAGCAAUAAAACUGAACGGUCAUUAUGCUAAGCUAACGGAUGGGUUUUGUCCAUCACAUUAUUCUCCUAAUAAUGUGAUCCUGUUAUCAAAUGAUAACUCAUGUCCAUGGUUACGAAACCUUAACCAUCUUUGAUCAACGAGCUAGUCUAAUAGAGGCUUACUAGGAACACGGUAUUUGUUUAUGUAUUCACACAUGUAUUUAAGUUUCCAAUCAAUACAAUUCUAGCAUGAAUAAUAAACCUUUAUCAAAAGAAAUAUAAAAUAACAACUUUAUUAUUGCCUCUAGGACAUAUUUCCUUCACUUAUAUGUCCCUAUGACAGUUUUGCAAUUCCCCUGACUAAUAUUCUGUCCAGCUCUGUUGGAAUUAACCACGGUCUGUGUCUGGAUUGGACAGGAAGCUAGCUGGAGUACUAUGUCCCCUUGUAAUCAAAUGCUGGUUCAGAUAAAUAAGAUCACUGGAGCAACAUGCCUUUGUGUGUUUUCAGGUGAGUGUCUCUGCGUUCCGCCGCUGGAUUCGUACUUGAGCUCAAGAAAAUCCAUCCACUUGCCUGCCUGCUUCAAAGCCAACUUCUACAUGAAUUGCGUUGCAUACCAAAAGCAUCGUGCCCGUGGUUGCAGCUCGCUGUGGUGAAGGGCGACCGCGUUGGCCAGCGUGGUGUCAUGUUUUUUUUUUUUAAAUGAGACCACGCUGGCUCGGCUUCUUGUAGUUCAUUGGAGACCUCCUCGAUUGCUUUUGGGUCGCGACCAUUAUGUCGUCCGUCUCCGUACUCUGACCGUGUGCCUCUCUAUAUGACCAGCAUAGACAUCUGUACUAAACUUAAUGCUGUCUGUACUGAAAGUUCAACACUGACAUUGAAUUCUUGGCCUGCUUUUAUUGUCUGUGCUAAAUGUUGGAUGUUACAUGAUGCAAGUCUUGGAGUGAAUCUCACACAAAAAUUUAGAGCCUAUUGAAUUACGCAAUGUCCCUGAUGAACGUUUGCUGUGCAUUAGAUCAAGGUUUCAGAAUCUUUCUGCAGGGUAUAUCAGGUGCCAUCGAAAUUGUGCCUUGCAUUGCUCCCUUCCCAGUCACCAUAUCUGGGAUUGGAGAAACAAGAUUAGCUUUCACUUUUGCUGAUAAGCCAACCUGAAUGUGAUGGUUUCCAAAUGAUUGUUCUUCGGAAUCUGAACAAUCUUCAACAGGAAAGACUACAAGACUGAACUUGUUGUUGGGAAGUGACUUAACUUACAAUUCAUCGUCUGAAUAAAACCUACUAGAGUAAGUUCAAGUAACGGAUCUGCCGAAAUGACAGGAAGCUAGCAUCAUGAAGAAGAAUAUAUGAGUUCUACUAUGAUGGCAUCACCUCAAAAUUAUCCGCUCAACCUCUUCGGUUCCAUCGCAAAUGUCCAAAGGCUCAACAAGACAGCCGAGCUGUCGAAGCUACAGCUAGUUAAAACACCAACCUGAGCAAGAUUAACCCAGUCAAGGCACCAACAGCCCCCGUCGACUUCUUUGGCGAAAGACAACGAUUGCCACCAGCAAUGACAACCUCGCACGCAGAUGCUGUUUGUUUCGUAGGCCUCGUUUCUGCAAACCAGUCCAGAAGAGAACCAAGGUAGCAAUUGAAAAACCAUAUUAUCCUCAUUUAUCUAAAAGAAUAUCACUGCCUAACUCCACCCCAGUUCUACUAGCCACAUCCCUGGGAGAAGCAUUGGAAGAAUAUAAGAUAAUUGGAGUCUGUAAAUUACCUUGGUGCAGUCUUCCAUCUGCUGACCCUCUAAACCUGCCAUUCCUUCCAUCUCCUCUUUAAAACCUCCCUUGUUCAUCUUAUAUACCACGUGAGCGCUCAGACCAUGUUUCUUAGCAAAAUAUUUUGCAUCCUUGGUGUUAGCAAACUAUUUUCCUUGUUCAUCAUCAUGUUGACCACCAUCAACUUGUACUGCACAAUGAAAAUUGUCACAUGCAUGCGUGAAGAGGGAGUAUAUAUAACUCAACACCAAUAUUGGAUCAAAGUACUAGCAAUUAAGCAACAGAAGAUGCAUAUCACUUUAUUACCAGACUCACGAGUAGAAAUUGCAUUGGGAAAUGGCAAAAACCAGCUGCAUACUCUAGUUCUGCAAAUGCUGCAGGUAAUGGGUAGAAUCAAGCAUAAGAAGAUAAGAUGGUCACACAAUUUCAUAAUAAACAGAGUUUGGCCCCUCCUCCUUUUUCCGGGCUUGGGACCGGCUAUGCAACAUGAAGCGUACCAUCAUCUUUGCAUAGGCGGAGUUACACCCCCACUCCACACACACCCAUAUAUACAUCGAACCCCACUAAACCAAAAACCAAAACCCAAAGAACAAGACACACAAACACGCAUAAGCCUGAUCUCCAAAACCAAGACCCAAGAUACAAACCCAAACGACACACACCAAAAAAAUAGUAAUGAAACCCGAAGACCCUCUGUUAAUUUAUUUUUUCCCGAGUGAACAUGAAAGCAUACUCGACCCUAAAAAAAGUGUGAUUUUCAUUCUCCAUUACUACAAAAGGCAGAGAAACAUUUUGCGAUUUUCAAGCACUUUUUUUUGUAAUUUUUUCAUCUGCUAACAAAAGAAAAGAUAGCAAACAAACAGGCAUUUUUUUGUAAUUUUCCAUUUGCUAAAAUAAAGAAAACAUAAUAAAAAAACAUUUCUUUUUGUUUUUUGCGGUAUCAUUUUCCAUUUCAUGAAAAGAUAGUAAGAUAAUUCGAUUUUUUUUGUGUUUUUUUCUUUGCUUCGGACGACAAUAAAUAGAGCAAACAAACGGAAGCCUCCCGAUAUCUUUUCUUUCUCCGGGGUGAUUUGUGAACACCACUGCCAGCCUGCAUAUAUGGAGUAACUCUCAGUAUAUGCAUCGUGCAUGCAGAUUGGUAAUCGACUUUUUUACGGUUGACUGGCAACUGCUGUUAUUUAUCCUAGAAAGAAAAGAAAGAUAAGGUGUACAUAAAUACAUAUAGAUAGGGAGGGUACGUACCUCUUGAUUCCCGCAGGUGAAGAUGCACGGCAAGCUUAGCCCUAUCAGUUUGUCAAUCUGGAAAAAAAGAAGAAGGAAAAAGAAGAUCUGUGAGAUACGUGGCUAGCUGCCCGUGGAGAUCAGCACUAACGAAUAAAUAAAUAUACACUUGGUUACCUCUAAGUCCAGUCCUUUAUAUCCCUUGUGCUGAUAUAAGGAAUGACACGGCUGGGCAGCGUAUCAAUUGCACGCUCUACCAUUUCCUCUGCCUUCUCGUGGUACGCAGGAGGGGCAUAUAAGAUGACUCUGACUACCUUAAGCAAAGGGAGGUUCCCUAGGCUACCAAAGUCAAAGUCAAAGCUAAUGCCAUCAUCAUUGGACUGCGCUACAACGGUGAACUUGAGAAAUUCAAGGACCGGCAUAUCCCCCUCUUGAAACGAGCCAACCGUUGCAUCUGUCUUGAAGACCCUCAGCUUGGGGAACGCAUCUGCACCGCCCAUGGUGUGGUGGUGGAGUGGUGACCACGUUUCCAGCUGGAGGGAAACAAGCUCGCGGAAACUGCCAAAGAUCUCCAGUUCUGGACUUAAUACAUACAGUUCUAAAUGGGACAGGUUCGGAAGAAGCCUGGGAUUGAUCCUUGCCACCGGUCCAAGUUUUUUGUAGGCCAUGCGUAGAACACGGAGUUGUGAAGAGAAGGCAUACUGUUCCGAGGGGUUCUCUUCAUGACUGGAGUCUCUCCACCCACAAACUGAAUGAAUGUCUAUGACUUGGAUCUUGCUCAGUUUGGCUAGAGACUCAGCCCAACUAUUCAUUCUGCUAUCACCAUUUACAUAUAAUGUAUAACGAAUGUGGAGCUUCCUCAACUCUGUCAACUUGCCCAGCUCUGUCACAAAGUUGGAGUCGUUACCAACUUCUCCUAUGCAUAGCUCUUGCAGAGAAGUCAAAUUCCCGAUCCAGCAAGGCACUUCAAUGUCUGUUUCACAGAUGUUCAAGCACUUCAGUUGACUUAGUCGGCCAAUACUCUCUGGAAGUUCACUUAUGCUAUUUUUACCCAAGUCCAAUACCAGCAAGAACUUUAGAUGUCCUAUUUCCUUUGGGAGCUCACUGAUACCAAUGCUCCCUAGUUUGAGGUUCCUCAAGUGAACUAACUUUCCAACAUGCUCAAGAUGAUUAGGACUGUCCCAACCAGAGGGACCUUCCAAAGCUAGGACGCGCAAAACUUCAAAGCUUGAAAGUGAUGGCAACAUGUCAGCAAUGCACAUGGCAUUAAGUGACCUUGCUUGUGAUGUGGAUGUGCUAGCCAGGGGUUGGACUCUAUGAUGAACAACUAGCCUACGAGCAUUGCAAUGUGAAGUUACAUAUUGCUCAUCGCUGUCCAAUACAGUAACAAACUUUUCUUCCUUUGACAAUAGGCAUAUCACACUAGUGCAGAACCGGGCAUUAGCACCGGUUCGUAAGGCCCUUUAGUGCCGGUUACAUAACCGGCACUAAAUUGUGGUCACUAAAGCCCCCCCCCCCCUUUAGUACCGGUUCAGCAUGAACCGGUGCUAAAGGGCAACCACGUGGCACGAGCCAGCUCUGGGGGCCUGGAGCCCUUUAGUACCGGUUGGUAAGACCAACCGGUACUAUAAGGUUUCGGGGGUUUUUAGUUUUAUGAUUUCUUUUUCAUUUAAUUUUGUGUUUCCAUUUUAAUUCUUUUUCGUUUGCUGGUAUUUUACGAUACUACANNNNNNNNNNNNNNNNNNNNNNNNNNNNNNNNNNNNNNNNNNNNNNNNNNNNNNNNNNNNNNNNNNNNNNNNNNNNNNNNNNNNNNNNNNNNNNNNNNNNNNNNNNNNNNNNNNNNNNNNNNNNNNNNNNNNNNNNNNNNNNNNNNNNNNNNNNNNNNNNNNNNNNNNNNNNNNNNNNNNNNNNNNNNNNNNNNNNNNNNNNNNNNNNNNNNNNNNNNNNNNNNNNNNNNNNNNNNNNNNNNNNNNNNNNNNNNNNNNNNNNNNNNNNNNNNNNNNNNNNNNNNNNNNNNNNNNNNNNNNNNNNNNNNNNNNNNNNNNNNNNNNNNNNNNNNNNNNNNNNNNNNNNNNNNNNNNNNNNNNNNNNNNNNNNNNNNNNNNNNNNNNNNNNNNAACCAAUCAUGCAUAUAUAUAUCAUCAAUGUCUCACAAACCACCAUAUUAAUUAAUUCACACAUACACACAUGUAUAGCUAUAUACAAUUUCUCCUACAUAUGAAUGUUGCCUUCGGAGCCAGUGGCAUUAGCCUAAUUGGUGCCUUCGGAGCACGAUGACAAUUGGAAGUGGUUUUCAUGGGGGCGGUAGCGGGUAAUAGAAUUCUCCCUUCGGAUUUAUGACCUGGUCGAGCAAAAAUCCCGCUAUUUCCUCUUGAAGUGCUUGUAUGCGCUCCGUUUCUAUGAGCUUCUCCCGCACCUCUUUGAACUGUUAAGAAGGAGAUCAAUAUGCAUGUGUAUUAGUUGUGUGACUAGAUAUCGAUAAUGGUGUAAAAAUUGUGAAUAGUGUUCUGACAAGCGUAUCCAUUCCUGUCUUUGAGAUCUGCUCCUUUCGGAUGCCAUCAUGCGAAUGUUCUCGCAAACGCAGAAUGCACAAUGAUCAGUCCCCUGCGCCUCCUUCAGGGCCUUUAUGAGAAUGGAAUUUGAUUAGAUAAUAAUUAAUCAAGCAUGAUAAUUAAAGAGAUGGCAGCUAGCUAGCUAGCUAGUACUACUUAAUUACUUACCUUGGGUCGAAACCAUUUAAGCUUUUUUUUCCAUUCGCCGGACGUGACGCUGAUAAACCUUGCCCAAGACCUGCCCGCCGACAAAGAAAAUGAAUAAAGGGGUUAUUAAAUAGUUCAUAUCAUGAAAUGACGAACUAAAUAGGCCGAGAUAUAUAAUUAAUAAUGAUUGAAAUUACAUGUUGACUAUCCCAUACAAGAUGUUAUAGUUAGUUUUUUCUGAGAUUAGUGAGUCCAGUACUUCAACUGUUCCGGCGUCAACUUUAAUGAUACACAAUACCCAGUGAAAUCUGCAUGCACACACAUUUGCAUGUCUUAAUUAAGCGGACAUAUGUAAGCAAAAACAUGUAGCUAGCUAGUAGGCAAAAACAGAGAAUUUGUAGUACAAGACAUUGUGACUCACUGGAAGUUGUAAGGAAGUAGUAUAUCUUCAUUGUAUUUGAGGCGCUUCAAGAACUCUAGCAUGCUGUCCUCUACGUUCUCUGACGUUCAUUUAUAGUCCAUGUGUAUUCAUUAACGGUGUUUGGGUCAAUGAACCCAAUGCCAAAGCGUCCACCUUUUCUCAUUUCAUAUAUCUUCAUCCUGCAUAAUACCACAGAAAAGAAUAUAAUGAGGAUAAUUACAGGUAAUGAUUGAUCAAAAGGAUCACUACAGCUAGCUUGAGACUUAAAUUAUAGAAACAAAUCACUUACAGACAAUAGCAACUGACGAUAGAUUUGUCGAAUGCGUCUUGAUUGUAUAACUGAAACAGUUCUAAAUACUCAACGGACACAUCUUUCUCAUGGAAGUAAUGGUCCUGCUUGACAUUCACCAUGAGGGACAAUCGAUCUGAAAUCUUGGUAAUGUUCAUGUACCAUUGAUGCAAUUCAUACAUUCUCGUUGGGAGGUUCUUGACCUUGUCUGGCGCGACCAAAGGUUGGCCCCGGACAUAUUUCCGUUUUAUUUCAUCCUCUCUAAGCAAAGGCAUGGGCUCGAUCUCGAGGAGUUGUCCAACAGUGAUGUUGAGAACUUCAGCCUGCAUUAUAUGCUCCUCCGUUAUUACCACAUUGCCCACCUCGGGAACGUGCACUGUUUGCCCACAAUAAUAUUGGGCGCGCGUACUGUCACCUGUUGUUGGCACAACAAGCGAGGGGAUCGAUUGCGCCACCUGUUCUCCCAGCUGGGGAAUGGUUUUCCCGCAUUUUUUGAUAGCUGCUUCUUGUUUGCUCGAUCCCGAUGUAGACGUGCUCGCCUCCCUUUGUAGACGUGCUUGAUAUAACUUCCUGAUUUAGCGCUCAUAGUCUGUGUCAACAGGCUUGGGAGCUGGUGGUUGAGCUAUACGAAUGAAGUGGUCAAUCGUUUCCUCAGGCACUUUCUCCAUUGGCGGCGUUGGCGGUUUCGGUGCAAAAUGGGCUUCCACCUCGGCCUUCGAUAUGGCUGUGAGUUCCUCCUCGGUCCUGUCAUAAGACCUCUGCGAAAGAGGCUUGAGGCUUGGACCAUAUUUAUAUCGCUUGCCUCCGCCUGUACUUCCUGUAAUACCUUGACUCGUACCUCUACGCACCAUAGCUGCGGGGUGUCUCUUCUGCGAUUGCUGAGGCGGCGGAGACGGCUGACGAGGCUGAGUUGGACGAGGAGGAGUGGCCUGAAGCUGUGCCAGACUUGAAGGAGGAGUGGCCUGAGGUUGUGCCGGACUUGGAGGAGGAGUGGACGUCUGACGCUUGGCGGACUUGGAGGAGGAGGAGUGGCCUGACACUUUGCCGGACUUGGAGGAGGAGUGGCCUGACACUUUGCCGGACUUGGUGGACUUGCAGGAGCGGGAGUCUGCUGACUCGGUGGCGGACUUCGACGAGGAGUCGGCUGACGCAGUGUCGGUGGCCUUCGAAAGAUGAUGCAAUCCUUUUUCCAUAGGAUGAUACGAUGUUUGGCCUCUCCGAGAAAGUGCUCGCCGUCACCUCCAGGAAUGUCAAGCUCUAGGUCCGAAUAUAGGUCCAGCACCUCAUCAACCAAGACACGAGCAUAGCCCGCUGGAAUCGGGUUGCAAUGCAAGGUUGCCCUGGGGGGAUUUGUAAAAGCAAGGGCGUCCGCCACCUUAAUGGGUAUGUUCUUCAUCUUGACAUGUAGCUCGCAAUUAGUGUUCUCCGUGAUGUCAUCCACAGGGUAUCUAUCCAGCAUUGCGGAGUCCGGGGCGGAACCCACGCUGCUUCUCGGCAUGGAUGGGGCGGUGCUAUCCAAUGCUGGAUCAUUCGCUAGAUGCUGCUGAGACCCCCUUUGCUGGGUAAGUGAGUCGAUCUGCUCCUGCUGCCGCUGGAAUUUGACUGCCAAUUCCGCUUGACUAGCUUCUAGGCCUUGAAGGCGUUUAUAGUCCCGCUUCCUCUGCUCCUCCUCCAUCUUCCUCUUCUUCUCCUCCGCAAUCUUCUUUCUCGCACGGGUUCUGUAGUCGAUGUUCCAUUCUGAGAACCCCUCAUACCACGGCAUAGCGCCCUUGCCUCGUGUUCUUCCCGGGUGUUCAGGAUUUCCCAGGGCACGCGUAAGCUCGUCGUUCUCUCUGUUGGGCUGGAACACCCCCGAUCGUGCCUCUUCUAUUGCAACAAGUAUCGCAUCGUCGGCUCCAUUUAGACUUGCCCUCGUCGAGACAUUGCCUAUCUCCGGGUCCAACACCCCCCCCCAUGCGCAUAGAACCAAGUCCUGACCCUGGGGGGCCAGCUCUUAGUAACCGGAGUGACACCUGCAUCCUCCAUCUCUUUCUCAGACUUAUCCCACUUAGGCAUUGCCACCGCAUAGCCACCUAGCCCCAGCUUAUGGAACUUAUCCUUUUUUCGGCAUUCUUCUUGUUUAUUCUCGACCGUUCCUUAGCUAAUUCCGAAUCCUUGAAUUUCACGAAAUCGUCCCAAUGAGCACGUUGGUUCUCUAGUGUUCCCUUGAAUACUGGAGUCUUCCUUCCUCCCUUGACGUACUUGUUCCAUUCACGAUUCUUGUGGUUCUUGAAUGCAGUCGCCAUCAUUAUAAGAGCAGCCUCCUUGACUUUCUGCACAUCUGCUUCUGUGAAAUGAUCUGGUAGGGUGAAAUGUUGCAUGAGAGUAUCCCAAAGCAGAUCUUUUUGAUUCUUGUCGACAAAAGUAACAUCUGGACGUGGCUUUGCUGGCUCUCUCCAUUCUUGAAGUUUGAUCGGGAGUUGGUCCUUCACAAGAACUCCGCACUGACGAACGAACUUGUACGCAACCUUCUUAGGUGCUAAUGGUUUGCCAGUAGGGCUGCAUGCCUCGAUAUUGUAUUUUACGCCCUGCUUCAACUUUUUGUUCGGGCCUCGUUUCGUCAUUUUGCCUGAAGAUUUGCUCGAUCCGGAUGGCUGAAAGAACAAAGAUUGAUUCGUUAAUAUAUCUUCAAGUCAUUUAAAACAUGUGAUGAUCACCAGAUGCCUGCUUAUAUAAAUAUAUAUACCUCGCCGGUCUUUGUUGUUUCAGGAUCAACAUGUUCUUCGUCAUCGUCAUAAUAGUAGUUCAUGACUUCAUCAUUUUGGUCGUCGCGAUCGAAUAUCAUAUCACCCUCUCCGGUGUUGUUUAGAAAUUCGGAGCCGUCAUAAUCUUCUUCAGUCUGAUCAUCAUCUGGCCCACGUAUCAUAUCGAACAUGGUCUGUUCUCCCUCUCUGUCGGUAUUGUCUGCCAUAACUUUUAUUUAACUAAUCCAAAAGAAAUAUAAAACAAUUUAGUAUUCAAAUUACAUUGUCUAGAAUAAUAGAUAUAAUCUCGAAUACAUCGUCUCGAAUAAUAUAUAAUAUUGAAUAGUACAUCACUGGCUAUUAGCUAAUAAAGAUCAAAUACAACAGAAGAAUCUAGGACACUCGCGGUUCCUGCGGCGCGGGCGGUGGACACCCAAAGAGAAGGAACCCUCACAGGAUCAUAACUGAAGUGAGAUCCCCAAAGAAACUGCCAGGUAUUGGAGAACCUGCCGCCCUCUAACGCAACCAUGUAGCGAUGGACAUGCUCGUCCUCCUCCCUGACACGGCGACGUACCACCUCCGGCGGGGCCGGGUCCCUCCGCACAGAAACUGGCCCACGCGAACGCCACCAAACGAGAUCAGGGUCAACGACGGGACCCGGGGCCGGGUUCCUCAUCAAGCGGCGCGCCCCUCCAGGCAGCACCUCCCAGUGCCAGCCCGGCGGAGCCCAGUCCCGGACAUGGGUCGGCUGGACGUCGUCGCGGACGGGUCGACGGCGAGGAUGCGGGCCGGGCAUCGUCGAGAACAAAUACUAGCUAUAUGCAUGCAAAAAGUAACAUUUUUUUAAUGAUUGGAUUUUGAUAACUAAAUUUCUAGCAUUUCUAUAUAACUAACAUUUCUAUAACAUUUCUAACAAUGCUAUAUAUAACUAACAUUUCUAUAACAUUUCUAAAACUUCUAUAACUAAAAAACAGAAAAAAAAAUUAUAACAUUUCUAUAUAUUUAACUAACAUUUUUAUAACUAUUUCUAUAACUAAAAAACAGAAAAAUUUCUAACAAUUCUAACUUUUUUAUAACUAUUUCUAUAACUAAAAAACAGAAAAAUUUCUAACAAUUCUAACAUUUCUAACUAUUCUAACAAUUCUAACAUUUCUAACUACUUCUAAAAAACAGAAAAAUGUCUAACAAUUUCUAAAAAACAGAAAAAUCUAUAACUAAAAAUGUGUGUGUGUGUGCGCGCGCUCACCGGCCGGCGAGGCGAGAGGCGACGGGGGGNNNNNNNNNNNNNNNNNNNNNNNNNNNNNNNNNNNNNNNNNNNNNNNNNNNNNNNNNNNNNNNNNNNNNNNNNNNNNNNNNNNNNNNNNNNNNNNNNNNNNNNNNNNNNNNNNNNNNNNNNNNNNNNNNNNNNNNNNNNNNNNNNNNNNNNNNNNNNNNNNNNNNNNNNNNNNNNNNNNNNNNNNNNNNNNNNNNNNNNNNNNNNNNNNNNNNNNNNNNNNNNNNNNNNNNNNNNNNNNNNNNNNNNNNNNNNNNNNNNNNNNNNNNNNNNNNNNNNNNNNNNNNNNNNNNNNNNNNNNNNNNNNNNNNNNNNNNNNNNNNNNNNNNNNNNNNNNNNNNNNNNNNNNNNNNNNNNNNNNNNNNNNNNNNNNNNNNNNNNNNNNNNNNNNNNNNNNNNNNNNNNNNNNNNNNNNNNNNNNNNNNNNNNNNNNNNNNNNNNNNNNNNNNNNNNNNNNNNNNNNNNNNNNNNNNNNNNNNNNNNNNNNNNNNNNNNNNNNNNNNNNACGCGGCCGGGACGGGGCGGCGGUGACGCCGGGGAUGACGGGGACGGGACGACGGGGCGGCGACGACGGGGCCUGGGCGGCGACGGGCCGGGGCGGCGACGAGGGAUAUGGAGACGGUGGGGGCGGCGGGCGACGGUGCAGAGGAGAAGAAGCAGAGGGAGAGAUGAGAAACUGACGAAAUUUUGAAGUGUUUUCUUAUAUAGAAGGCACCUUUAGUACCGGUUGGAGCCACCAACCGGUACUAAAGGUCUGUUUUGGCUAGCCCAAGCGGCGGGAAGCGACCCCCUUUAGUACCGGUUGGUGGCUCCAACCGGUACUAAAGGCCCCCCCUUUAGUACCGGUUGGAGCCAUGACCCGGUACUAAAGGGUGUGCGCUGCCAGGCGAGGGGCACAAAAGUUUAGUCCCACCUCGCUAGCCAAGGGGCACUCGCACCUGCUUAUAAGCCCCGCCGUCGCUGCUGUCCCGAGCUCCUCUCUUAAGCAGGCCUUCUGGGCCUACCUCUUCUGUGAUGCCCUGUUGGGCCUACUGGGCUAGCGGGCCUGCAUCCUGGCCCAACUUGAAUUUGGGUUUCUAGUCGUAUGCAGGCCGCUGUGGCCCAGUAGGUGGGCUUUUUUUCUUAUUUUUUUGCUUUAUUUAUUUUUGUGAAUAACUUAACUUUGAAAAUAGAUUUUUCAGUGAUUCUUUUUUCUUAUGUUUAAUAUUAGUGUGUUUUAUCAUUAUAUUCAAUUUGGUAAUGCUUAGGUUAUUUAAAAAAUGAAAUGCCUUUGUAACGGAUGAGUUUUCGUCCGAAAUCCUGAUACUUCGAAACAAAUUGUCCAUUUUGUACACGAAGUGCAUCCAGUUUUUGCGGUAACCCUCUCGACUUUUUUGCACAUGUUAUGUGGGUGAAACUAUGAUACCAUGCCAACUUUCAACCUUUUCAGAGUUCAUUUGAAAUGCUUUUCAAUUUCAGGGUCAUUUAGCUGAAAAAAAUCAGUAAAUGCAUGAAAGAAUUUGCUUGCACAUAAAAUUUCUUCGCGUUUCAAAUGCCAAAACACAUAGCUACCCUAACUAUUACAGACAUUCCCUCCUGGGUGUGAAACACAGAAGAAAGUGAUGAUAGUGAAGCCGAUCACAUCCCAGAUCUUUGGGUGUGAAACUUUUUCUUCGCGUGUGUCCCUUUGCGCCGUAACCAUGGAAAAUCUUCAUCAUUUAACGGGAUGCUCGGGUCAAUAUUCACUGUGAAUGGAGAAAUUUCAUCAAACUUUUCAUAAUAUUCUGACUUGUCUGUCUUGUCAUCCACUCCCACGAUGUUUUUCUUCCCAGAAAGAACUAUGUGCCGCUUUGGCUCAUCGUACGAUGCAUUCGCUUCCUUAUCUUUUCUUUUUCUUGGCUUGGUAGACAUGUCCUUCAUAUAGAAAACUUGUGCCACAUCAUUGGCUAGGACGAAUGGUUCGUCUGCAUACGCAAGAUUGUUGAGAUCCACUGUUGUCAUUCCGUACUGCGGGUCUUCCGUUACCCCGCCUCGUGUCAUAUUGACCCAUUUGCACCGAAACAAAGGGACCUUUAAACCACAUCGAUAGUCAAGUUCCCAUAUGUCCUGUAUAUAACCAUAAUAUGUUUCCUUUCCCGUCUUGGUUUCUGCAUCAAAGCGGACACCACUGUUUUGGUUGGUGCUCUUCUUAUCUUGGGCGAUCGUGUAAAAUGUAUUACCAUUUAUCUCGUACCCUUUGAAAGUCAUUAUAUUCGAAGAUGGUAACUGGGACAACAAGUACAGGUCAUCUUCAAUAGAGGUGUCAUGCAUGGUACGUGUCUGCAACCAGCUGGCGAAACUCCUGGUUUGUUCACGUGUAAUCCAGUCAUCAGACCGCUCCGGGUGUUUGGAGCGUAGCAAAUUCUUGUGUUCAUCCAUAUACGGAGCCACCAAGGUGGAAUUCUUUAGAACUGUGUAGUGUGCUUUAGUGAGAGAAUGUCCAUCCAUACAUAUUAUUUGUUCCCCUUCUAGCGUGCCUUUUCCAUCCAGUCUGCCCUUAUGCCGCGAUUCAGGAACACCAAUCGGCUUAAGGUCAGGAAUAAAGUCAAUACAAAACUCAAUGCCCUCCUCAUUUUGAUGGCCCUUGGAGAUGCUUCCUUCUGGCCUAGCACGGUUAUGAACAUAUUUCUUUAAGACUCCCAUGAACCUCUCAAAGGGGAACAUAUUGUGUAGAAAUACAGGACCCAAAACGUUAAUCUCUUCGCAUAGGUGAACUAGGACGUGCGUCAUGAUGUUGAAGAAGGAUGGUGGGAACACCAACUCGAAACUGACAAGACAUUGCACCAAAUCAUUCUGUAACCUUGGUAUGAUUUCUGGAUCGAUUACCUUCUGAGAGAUUGCAUUGAGAAAUGCGCAUAGCUUCACAAUGGCUAAUCGAACGUUUUCCGGUAGAAGCCCCCUCAAUGCAACCGGAAGCAGUUGCGCCAUAAUCACGUGGCAGUCAUGAGACUUUAGGUUCUGGAACUUUUUCUCUGCCAAGUUUAUUAUUCCCUUUAUAUUCGACGAGAAGCCAGACGGUACCUUAAUACUGAGCAGGCAUUCAAAGAAGAUUUCCUUCCCUUCUUUGGUAAGAGCGUAGCUUGCAUGACCCUGAUGUAUGCCGUCUUCUCCGUGCAUACGUUGCUGGUCCUCCCGUGCCUCAGGUGUAUCUUUUGUCUUCCCAUACACGCCCAAGAAGCCAAGCAGGGUCACGCAAAGAUUCUUCGUCACGUGCAUCACGUCGAUUGCGGAGCGGACCUCUAGGUCUUUCCAAUAUGGCAGGUCCCAAAAUAUAGAUUUCUUCUUCCACAUGGGUGCGCGUCCGUCAGCGUCCUUCGGAACAGGUUGUCCGCCAGGACCCUUUCCAAAUAUCACCUUCAAAUCCUUGACCAUAUCAUGUACAUCAGCACCAGUACGGUGGCGAGGCUUCAUACGGUGAUCCGCCUCACCUUUGAAAUGCUUGCCUUUCUUUCUUACGGGAUGCCUGCUUGGAAGAAAUCGACGAUGUCCCAGGUACACAUUCUUCUUACAACUAUUCAAAUAUAUACUGUCGGUAUCAUCCAAACAGUGCGUGCAUCCGCGGUAUCCCUUGUUUGUCUGUCCUGAAAGGUUACUGAGAGCAGGCCAAUCAUUGAUGGUCACGAACAGCAAUGCCUUUAGGUCAAAUUCCUCCCCCAUGUGCUCAUCCCACGCACGUACACCUGUUCCAUUCCACAGUUGUAAGAGUUCUUCAACUAAUGGCCUUAGGUACACAUCAAUGUCGUUGCCGGGUUGCUUAGGGCCUUGGAUGAGCACUGGCAUCAUAAUGAACUUCCGCUUCAUACACAACCAAGGAGGAAGGUUAUACAAACAUAGAGUCACAGGUCAGGUGUUAUGGUUGCUGCUCUGCUCCCCAAAAGAUUAAUGCCAUCUGCGCUUAGACCAAACCAUACGCUCCUUGCGUCAUCUGCAAACUCCUUCCCGUACUUUCUUUCGAUUUUUCUCCACUGCGACCGGUCAGCGGGUACUCUCAACUUUCCAUCUUUCUUACGGUCUUCUCUGUGCCAUCGCAUCGCCUUGUCAUGCUCUUUGUUUUGGAACAAACGUUUCAACCGUGGUAUUAUAGGAGAAUACCACAUCACCUUGGCAGGAAUCUUCUUCCUGGGGCGCUCACCCUCGACAUCACCAGGCUCAUCGCGACUGAUCUUAUAGCGCAAUGCACCACAUACCGGGCAAGCGUUCAAAUCCUCGUACUCACCGCGGUAGAGGAUGCAAUCAUUAGGGCAUGCAUGUAUCUUCUGCACCUCUAACCCUAGAGGGCAGACAGCCUUCUUUGCUUCGUACGUACUCUCGGGCAAUUCGUUGUCCUUUGGAAGCAUAUCACUUAUCAUUACCAGCAACUUUCCAAAUCCCUUGUUAGAUACACCAUUCUCUGCCUUCCAUUGCAGCAAUUCCAGUGUGGUGCCCAGCUUUUUCUUGUCACCUAUGCAAUUCAGGUACAACAAUUUUUUGUGAUCCUCUUACAUGCGCUGCAACUUCUUCUUCUCCAAAUCACUUGCGCAGUUUCUCUUUGCAUCGGCAAUGGCCCGACCUAGAUCAUCAACGGGCUCAUCUGAUGCCUCUUCUUCAGCUUCUUCCCGCAUUGCCGGCUCAGCUUCUUCCCGCAUUACCGGCUCAGCUUCUUCCCCCAUUGUUGUAUCAUCGUAUUCAGGGAACCCAUGGCCAGGAUAGAUGUCGUCGUCCUCUUCUUCUUCAUUGUAUUCCAUCAUAACCCCUCUUUCUCCGUGCUUGGUCCAAACAUUAUAGUGGGGCAUGAAACCGGAGUCAAAUAGGUGGAUGUGAAUGGUUCUUGACGUAGAGUAAUUGCGACCAUUCUCACAGCCAGCACAUGGACACGGCAUAAAACCAUCCGCCCGCUUGUUUGCUUCAGCCGCAAGCAGAAAAGUAUGCACGCCCUCAACGAACUGGGGAGAGCAUCGGUCAUCGUACAUCCAUUGCCGGCUCAUCUUCAUUACACAACACCGAAUAGACCAAAUUAAUACAAGUUCAUACAUAAAGUUCAUACAACACUUAAAUGCAACAAACAAAUAACUCUCUAGCUAAAGCAUUUAAAUGCAACAACAAAUGCGAGCAAGAUCGCAACUAAGGUAACAAUUGAUCCAACAGCAUAAUGAUACCAAGCCUCACUAUCGAUGGCAUAUUUUCUAAUCUUUCUAAUCUUCAAGCGCAUUUUCUCCAUCUUGAUCUUGUGAUCAUCGACGACAUCGGCAACAUGCAACUCCAAUUCCAUCUUCUCCCCCUCAAUUCUUUUCAAUUUUUCUUUCAAGUACUCGUUUUCUCUUUCAACUAAAUUUAACCUCUCGACAAUAGGGUCGGUUGGAAUUUUCGCUUCACAUACCUCCUAGAUAAAAAUAUCUAUGUCAACUUGAUGGGCAUAAUUUUUCAUAAACACGAAAUGUAACAAAUAGUUUUAAAAGAGAAUAUACCACAUCCGAAUCAUAACAAGGACGAGGGCCGAUGGGGACGGAUAUCAAAACCAUGGCACUAUGUAUAACAAACCACAUACGGGUAAGAUAAUUAUUACAUGAUUAACUAUAUAUCCAAAUCACACAAACAUCAAUUUUUUAUAUAAAAUUUCAUGAACAAGAGGCUCACCACAAGGUGGUGCCGGCGACGGGACGGUGCGGGCGAUCGACGGUGGUUACGACGGAGAUUUAGAAGGCACUAAGUAAACCACACCUACAUAUGCAAACUAAGUGUUAUUUUUGACCUCAAAUUGCAUAUAAAUCAAAUACUAGCACAUAUAUAUAUUUCCUCCCAAAUUACUAAACUCACAAAUUAAUAACUAUAUAAAGCAUUGCAAGAGCUAAUCUAGCAAUGAGAGAUGAAAGGACAAAGUUGCUAACCUUUGUGAUCACUUGAAUGGAUGGGGGCCUUCAAAUCUUGACAAAUUUUGGGCAAAAUGUGGGAUGAGCUCGAGGGGAAGAGGAAGAACAGAGAGGAGAGGAGAGGGGAAAGGGGGAAGAACAGAGCGAGCUGGACGAAGGGUUUAUAUGCAGGAGGACCUAUAGUACCGGUUCGUGCCACGAACCGGUACUAAAGGUGCUGGAGGGGGCCCAGACUGACAACAUCCUGCCACCACCCUCAUUAGUACCGGUUCGUGGCACGAACCGGUGCUAAAGUUUCGCCACGAAACGGUACUAAUGAGAGCGGCCCGGCUAGCCAUUGGAACCGGCACUAAUGUACACAUUAGUGCCGACUCUAAUUCAAACCGGCACUAAUGUGCUUCACGUUUGACCCUUUUUCUACUAGUGUCAUAUCCAACACCAUAUCAUGGACGCGACAUCCAAUUAUGGUUCCAUGAUGCAUUUGCUUGCUUAAAUACCAGGAAUCCUCUACCGGCAUUAUCAUGCUUUUGUUCACCAGCUCGUUGAAAUACCUCUCACCAAUCUCAAACAGUCCUACCCCUUGUUCCUCAUGGAUAAAACCUUCACCGAUCCACUUCCAUAUCAAACUAUCUUUUUCAAUCAGAUAGUCUUCAGGAUAGAUGCUCAGAUACAAUAAGCAAGUCUUGAGGUGACAAGGUAGCUCAUAAUAGCUAAAUAAAAGUAUUUUUCUCGUGUUCUCCACGUCUUUAUUUUCUUCAUGUCCAAAACCAAUUGAAGUGUAUACCUUGGACUAAAACUCUACAGGUUUACUAGCAAGCAAACUAGCAAAUGUGAUGAUAGCCAAUGGUACACCACCACAUUUAUGUAAAAUUUUAUCAUAUACCUCUGCUGGCAGAUGAUUAGGCCCUUCUAUUGCACCACAAGAUAAUCUUCUAUGAAAUAAAUCCUUGGAUAAAUCAAGAGAAAGUGGUUGUAGCUUGUAUACUUCACUGGCCGUUGUGGCGACUUCGAGUAUAUGAGUAGUUGUGAUUAUCCUGCUUCCACAAUUGUUACACACCAAUAUCUUUAGCGCAGAGUAUAUAUCAAAUUAGUGGAAAUAUUUUAUAAGGUCCCUAAGUAUUCAAAAUAUCUGUAAAAAGAGGGUGCAUGCAUGUCAGCCAAUAUGUUGAGGAAUCUAAAGUUACAUUGUUGACUCAGGACAAGGAGGGGUCCAGGAGAGAGACAUGUAUGCAUGAACAGAGUUUAAUUCCAUUUCAUCGUCCAGAAUUCUAGUUUUGGUUAACAACAUUUCCAAAUCUAGAUACUUUCAGUUAUUAGAUAUAUUUUUGAAUUGACACGAAUUAUAAGAAGUUCUAGAAUAUCAACACCGGCAACGAUUCGAGGGUAAGUCGCAACCCAAAUUAUAGCAAAGAAGAUAUGAAAACUUGAUACAAUACACUUUUUCGNNNNNNNNNNNNNNNNNNNNNNNNNNNNNNNNNNNNNNNNNNNNNNNNNNNNNNNNNNNNNNNNNNNNNNNNNNNNNNNNNNNNNNNNNNNNNNNNNNNNNNNNNNNNNNNNNNNNNNNNNNNNNNNNNNNNNNNNNNNNNNNNNNNNNNNNNNNNNNNNNNNNNNNNNNNNNNNNNNNNNNNNNNNNNNNNNNNNNNNNNNNNNNNNNNNNNNNNNNNNNNNNNNNNNNNNNNNNNNNNNNNNNNNNNNNNNNNNNNNNNNNNNNNNNNNNNNNNNNNNNNNNNNNNNNNNNNNNNNNNNNNNNNNNNNNNNNNNNNNNNNNNNNNNNNNNNNNNNNNNNNNNNNNNNNNNNNNNNNNNNNNNNNNNNNNNNNNNNNNNNNNNNNNNNNNNNNNNNNNNNNNNNNNNNNNNNNNNNNNNNNNNNNNNNNNNNNNNNNNNNNNNNNNGGCGCAGCCGGGGACUACGGCUGCGGGGCAUGCGCUGCUCUGGUUCACAUCGGAGGGUCUUGGAUCUGGGAGGCGGCCCCCGGUGAGGCCCCUUGUCGCCUGCGGCGAGCAGUGGGGUGGGCACGGUGUCGGCGAUCUGGUCGGGUGGCCGGCGGAUCUUCGGUGGGCUGGGACCUCAAGUGGCUGCCCUGGUGGCUGGCGGUGUCAGAUCUGGCUGCUGGCCAUCUUCCCCUGCUCGGUGCGUUUCACCCUCGAUGGUCCCUCCGGAUCGAGCACAACUUCGGUAAGGAGACGAGGCCCGAAGAAACAGUUGAGCUCGGAUGAAAGGUUUGAGAUCACAGCAAUCGCGCCCGACGGCGAACCGAUUGAACCCAUCCAGACAAAGAACCCAUUUUCUGCUCAGUGCGGGGUUCUUGUUAGGGACAAGAUCCCGAUCAGCAUCCAGCAAUGGUAUAAGCCUAAGGAGGAAGACCCUGAGGUGUCUUAUGUCAAUGAUAUGGAGAAAGAUGAUCUUUGGACUCAGCUGAAGGCAAAUUUCACCCUACCGCCAGAGGAAGAUCCGGAGAAGCCAGUUAAAGAGCAAUUAAUCAAGUCUUGUGCUCUUUAGAAGAUGGCAAACCUAUUCAGGAGGUGGAGGAAAGAGCUGAACAAGUUUGUCGACAAAGAAGAGACACCAGAAUUCAUCGGCAAAUAUGAGAAGAUCAAAGAUCACUGGCCCGCAUUUGUGGCCCACAAGACAUCGGAAAAGAGUAAGAAGAUGUCGGUGACAAACAAGCAAAAUGCUGCGAAGAAGCAGUUUCACCAUCGCACGUGGUCAGCUGGCUACCUCAAAGCCCGGCCUAAGUGGUUCGUAAGGGCCUUUAGUACCGGUUCAUGAACCGGGACUAAUGGGUCGUUACUAAUACCUCCCCCCUUUAGUCCCGGUUCUAACACAAACCGGGACAUAUGGGCCUCCACGUGGCCUUACCUCCCCCCUUAAGAAUAUCCGUCCCUGCAUAUUAUUGAGUCCUUUCCAAGCGUGCCUUUUCCAGUCAGUCUCCCCUCAUACCGCGAUUUAGGGAGACCUAUCUUCUUAAGGCCAGGAAUGAAGUCAACACAAAACCCGAUGACAUCCUCUGUUUGAUGGCCCAUGGAGAUGCUUCCUUCUGGCCUAGCGCGGUUACGGACAUAUUUCUUUAGGACUCCCAUGAACCUCUCAAAGGGGUACAUAUUGUGUAGAAAUACGGGGCCCAGAAUGACAAUCUCGUCAACUAGAUGAACUAGGACGUGCGUCAUGAUAUUGAAGAAGGAUGGUGGGAACACCAGCUUGAAACUGACAAGACAUUGCACCACAUCACUCCUUAGCCUUGGUAUGAUUUCUGGAUCGAUCACCUUCUGAGAUAUUGCAUUGAGGAAUGCACAUAGCUUCACAAUAGCUUCACUGAGCAGCGCAUUCCCUUGGACCACUUACGCCGGGCUUUGAGGAAGCCACCUGACCCCGUGCGAUGGUGAAGCUUCUUCUUCGCAGCAUUUUUCUUGUUUGUCUCCGACAUCUUCUUACUCUUUUCCGAUGUCUUGUGGGCCACAAAUACGGGCCAGUGAUCUUUGAUCUUCUCAUAUUUGCCGAUGAAUUCUGGUGUCUUUUUUCCUUGACAAACUGGUUCAGCUCUUUCCUCCACCUCCUCAUUAGGCCUGCCAUCUUCUUAAGAGCACAAGACUUGAUUAAUUUCUCUUUAACUGGCUUCUCCGGAUCCUCCUCUGGCGGUAGGGUGAAAUUUGCCUUCAGCUCAGUCCAAAGAACUUCUUUCUGCAUAUCAUUGACAUAAGACACCUCAGGGUCUUCAUCCUUAGGAGGCUUAUACCAUUGCUGGAUGCUGCUCGGGAUCCUGUCCCUAACAAGAACCCCGCACUGAGCAGAAAAUGCCUUCCUUGUCCGGAUGGGUUCAAUCGGUUCGCCGUCGGGCGCGAUUUCUAUGAUCUCAAACUUUUCAUCCGAGCUCAACUUUUUCUUCGGGCCUCGUCUCCUUACCGAAGUUGUGCUCGAUCCGGAGGGCUAGAAAUUAUAAGGAAGAAAGAUGACAGUAAUUAAUAUGUGUACAUAUACCAAAACAAUGGAUGCAUCAAUUAACUAGUCAGCACGGGCUUAACUAAUAUAUAUAUACCUGGCCGGACUCGGUUCGGUGACCGGAGCAGUCAGCACGGUCUCCUUCAUCUUGUACCUCCAUUAUGUCACCGGAGCCAUCAUGAACAUAGUCCUCCUCUUGUACUGGCAUUAAUGGGUCGAAGCCAUCAUAAACAUAGCCGUCUUCUUCAUCCGGCUGACCAAUGGUGUCGAUCAGAAAUGACGCAACAUCAUCACUUCCAUUUGCGAUUAUCUCCCCCGACAUCGCUUCUGUUUCUUCGUCUCGGGAGUGCUCCAUAGUUUCUGCAAAUAUUUACAACAUGUCAAUUAUUAUUCAAACAUGGUACAUAGUGGCAAACGUAGAUCUAGCUAGCUAAUCACAAUAAGGAAUCAUGUUAGUGUCCUCGAUGCUGCUUCUCUAGGGUUUUGGGGUCGCCUCGACACAAAGCUUCAAGGGUUUGGGGUGGCCUCGACGAUAACGCUCUUUUAACUUGAUAAAUUUGGGUGGCCUCGAGAGAGUUAAUUUGUCAGGUAGGGGCGCGGCGGGAGGGGGUAGGAGACCUGCAACAUCGUUUUCUCUCUAGGGUUUGGGUGUCCUCGACAUACAUAUACAUGGGAAAAUAAUGUUAUCGGGGAGGGGGUAUCGGUACCACCCCCUCGUGUUGAAGUUUCUUCUUUCUCCUUUCCUUUCUUUCUUCUUCUCCUCUUCUUUUUCUUCUUCUCCCUCGAGAAAGGAAAAUAAUUAAGGAAAAGGAAGAAAAGAGGAAGAAGGAAGAAGGAAGAAGAAGAAGUAAAAGAAGAAAAAAAAGGAGAAGAAGAAAAAAUAGAAUUUUUUUUUCUUCUUCUCCUCUAUUCCUUUCUUCUUCUCCUCUUCUUUUUCUUCUUUUUUCCUCUUCUUAUUUAUUUCUCCUCUUCUUCCUCUCCUCUUUUUCUCCUUUCUUCCUCUUCUUAUUUUCCUUCCUCUCAUUCUUUUUCUUCUUCUUCUUCCUUCUUCCUUCUUCCUCUUUUCUUCCUUUUCCUUAUUUUACUUUCUCCUCUACACUAACCUAAAAUGCACUAACCUAAAAUCGAUCGAUAUCUACUAACAACCUAAAUAUAAAAUUAAUACAUAUAUGAAAAAACAUAUAUAAACAAAAAAAUGCUAUGAACAUUAUAUUCAUACAUACAUAUAUAGCCACAUCCAUUCAUCAUAUAUAUAUAGCUACCACAUACAUAUAUACAUUAUACAUAUGAAAAAAUGCAAUGAACAAAAAAAUACACUUAUGAAAAAAAAUACUAUGAACAUGUACACAUAUAUACACAUACAAACAUAUAUACACAAAAAAAUGCAAAAAAUGCUAUNNNNNNNNNNNNNNNNNNNNNNNNNNNNNNNNNNNNNNNNNNNNNNNNNNNNNNNNNNNNNNNNNNNNNNNNNNNNNNNNNNNNNNNNNNNNNNNNNNNNNNNNNNNNNNNNNNNNNNNNNNNNNNNNNNNNNNNNNNNNNNNNNNNNNNNNNNNNNNNNNNNNNNNNNNNNNNNNNNNNNNNNNNNNNNNNNNNNNNNNNNNNNNNNNNNNNNNNNNNNNNNNNNNNNNNNNNNNNNNNNNNNNNNNNNNNNNNNNNNNNNNNNNNNNNNNNNNNNNNNNNNNNNNNNNNNNNNNNNNNNNNNNNNNNNNNNNNNNNNNNNNNNNNNNNNNNNNNNNNNNNNNNNNNNNNNNNNNNNNNNNNNNNNNNNNNNNNNNNNNNNNNNNNNNNNNNNNNNNNNNNNNNNNNNNNNNNNNNNNNNNNNNNNNNNNNNNNNNNNNNNNNNNNNNNNNNNNNNNNNNNNNNNNNNNNNNNNNNNNNNNNNNNNNNNNNNNNNNNNNNNNNNNNNNNNNNNNNNNNNNNNNNNNNNNNNNNNNNNNNNNNNCUCCAACCGGGACUAAUGCCCCCUUUAGUCCCUGUUGGUGCCACCAACCGGGACCAAAGACCUCUUUUUCGGCAGCCCAAAGGGCGGGAAGCUGCGGCCUUUAGUCCUGGUUGGUGGCACCAACCGGGACCAAUGCCCCCCCUUUAGUCCCGGUUGGAGCCACCAACCGGGACCAAAGGCCCCUGUGCUGCCCGCAUCGGGGCCAAAGUUUAGUCCCACCUCGCUAGUUGAGAGGGGCGCGCAGUGGUUUAUAAGCCCCACUGCCGCACCCCUCUCGAACUCCUCUCUACUGCAGGCUUAUGGGCCUACUUGCUACUGCUUUGCCUGAUGGGCCUUCUGGGCCUACUGCAGGCCUGAAUCCUGGCCCAAAGUAGGGAUUCAAGUCGUAUUCAGGCCGUGGGGGCCGAGUAGGGGGUAUUUUUUUUGUUUUUUUGUUUUCUCUACUUAUUGUUGCUAUUUUUAUUUUUUCCAGUUUUUUUUGUUUUGUUUUCUGCAUUAUUUAUUUUGUUUUGUUUUUUUGCUUUAUUUUUUAAUUCUUUUUGCUUUUAGUUUUAAGGAAAAUUAUAAACUUUCCACUUUUUUUGUUUUUUGUUUUCUUUCUUGCUUUAUUUAUUUUAUUUUGUUUCUACUUACAACAAAAUACAUAUUGUUGCUAUUUUUAAUUAUUGCGAGGGCCGAACCAUAAGACAUUAAAGCAUUUCAAAUGAACUCUGAAAAAGUUGAAAGUUGGCAUGGUAUCAUAAAUUGACCCACACAUAGCAUGUGCAUGUACAAAACGGACAAUGGUAUCAUACUCGUCAGUUACAAAGUUGGCAUGGUAUCAUCAUAAUAGUUGCAGGAGAAAGUCUUCACUUUUUCUUCGCUUGUGUCAUUUGCUUAUUGCGCCGUAACCAUGGAUAAUCUUCAUCGUUUAUCAGGAUGCUGGGGUCAGCCUUGACUUUAAAGGGAGGAAUUUCAUGAAACUUUUCAUAAUCUUCAGACAUGUCUGUCUUGUCCUCCACUCCCACGAUGUCCCUUUUUCCUGAAAGAACUAUGUGGCGCUUUGGCUCAUCGUAUGAUGUAUUCGCUUCCUUAUCUUUUCUCUUUCUCGGUCUAGUAGACAUGUCCUUCACAUAGAUAACCUGUGCCACAUCAUUGGCUAGGACGAACGGUUCGUCAGUGUACCCAAGAUUUUUCAGAUCCACUGUUGUCAUUCCGUACUGUGGGUCUACCUGUACCCCGCCUCCUGACAGAUUGACCCAUUUGCACUUAAACAAAGGGACCUUAAAAUCAUGUCCGUAGUCAAGUUCCCAUAUGUCCACUAUGUAACCAUAAUAUGUGUCCUUUCCCCUCUCGGUUGUUGCAUCAAAGCGGACACCGCUGUUUUGGUUGGUGCUCUUUUGAUCUUGGUCAAUCGUGUAAAAUGUAUUCCCAUUUAUCUCGUAUCCUUUCCAAAUCAAUACAGUCAAAGAUGGUCCCCUGGAUAACAAGUACAGCUCAUCACAAACAGUGUUGUCACCUCUGAUACGUGCUUCCAACCAACUGCCGAAAGUCCUGAUGUGUUCACAUGUAAUCCAGUCGUCGCACUGCUCCGGGUGUUUAGAGCGCAGACUGUUCUUGUGUUCAUCGACAUACGGGGUCACCAAGGUAGAGUUCUGUAGAACUGUGUAGUGUGCUUGAGACCAAGAAUAUCCGUCCCUGCAUAUUAUUGAGUCCUUUCCAAGCGUGGCUUUUCCAGUCAGUCUCCCCUCAUACCGCGAUUUAGGGAGACCUAUCUUCUUAAGGCCAGGAAUGAAGUCAACACAAAACCCGAUGACAUCCUCUGUUUGAUGGCCCAUGGAGAUGCUUCCUUCUGGCCUAGCGCGGUUACGGACAUAUUUCUUUAGGACUCCCAUGAACCUCUCAAAGGGGUACAUAUUGUGUAGAAAUACGGGGCCCAGAAUGACAAUCUCGUCAACUAGAUGAACUAGGACAUGCGUCAUGAUACUGAAGAAGGAUGGUGGGAACACCAGCUCUAAACUGACAAGACAUUGCACCACAUCACUCCUUAGCCUUGGUAUGAUUUCUGGAUCGAUCACCUUCUGAGAUAUUGCAUUGAGGAAUGCACAUAGCUUCACAAUGGCUAAUCGGACGUUUUCCGGUAGAAGCCCCCUCAAUGCAACCGGAAGCAGUUGCGUCAUAAUCACGUGGCAGUCAUGAGACUUUAGGUUCUGGAAAUUUUAUUCUGGCAUAUCUAUUAUUCCCUUUAUAUUCAACGAGAAGCCAGUCGGGACCUUCAUACCGAGCAGGCAUUCAAAGAAGAUUUCUUUCUCUUCUUUCGUAAGAGCGUAGCUGGCAGGACCUUCAUACUGCUUCGGAGGCAUGCCCUCUUUUUCGUGCAAGCGUUGCAGGUCCUCCCGUGCCUCAGGAGUAUCUUUUGACUUCCCAUACACGCCCAAGAAGCCUAGCAGGUUCACGCAAAGGUUCUUCGUCACGUGCAUCACGUCGAUCGAAGAGCAGACCUCUAGGUCUUUCCAGUAGGGUAGGUCCCAAAAUAUAGAUUUCUUCUUCCACAUGGGUGCGUGUCCCCCAGCGUCACUCGGAACAGCUAGUCCGCCGGGACCCUUUCCAAAGAUUACGUGCAAAUCAUUGACCAUAGCAAGUACGUGAUCACCGGUAUGCAUGGCGGGCUUCUUCCGGUGAUCUGCCUCGCCUUUGAAAUGCUUGCCUUUCUUUCGACAUUGACGGUUGGUCGGAAGAAAUCGACGAUGGCCUAGGUACACAUUCUUCCUGCAGCUUGCCAGGUAUAUACUAUCGGUGUCAAGUAAACAGUGCGUGCUUGCGUGGUAUCCCUUGUUUGUCUGUCCUGAAAGGUUACUGAGAGCGGGCCAAUCGUUGAUGGUCACGAACAGUAACGCCUUUAGGUUAAAUUCCUCCUGUUUGUGCUCAUCCCACGUACGUACACCAUUUCCAUUCCACAGCUGUAAAAGUUCUUCAACUAAUGGCCUUAGGUACACAUCAGUGUCAUUGCCGGGUUGCUUAGGGCCUUGGAUGAGAACUGGCAUCAUAAUGAACUUCCGCUUCAUGCACAUCCAAGGAAGAAGGUUAUACAUACAUAGAGUCACGGGCCAGGUGCUGUGAUUGCUGCUCUGCUCCCCGAAAGGAUUAAUGCCAUCCGCGCUUAAAGCAAACCAUACGUUCCUUGGCUCACUUGCAAACUCAUCCCAGUACUUUCUCUCGAUUUUUCUCCACUGCGACCCGUCAGCGGGUGCUCUCAACUUCGCGUCUUUCUUACGGCCCUCACUGUGCCAUCGCAUCAACUUGGCAUGCUCUCCGUUUCUGAACAGACGUUUCAACCGUGGUAUUAUAGGAGCAUACCACAUCACCUUCGUAGGAACCCUCUUCCUGGGGGGCUCGCCAUCAACAUCACCAAGGUCAUCUCGUCUGAUCUUAUACCGUAAUGCACCGCAUACCGGGCAUGCGUUCAGAUCCUUGUACGCACCGCGGUAUAGUAUGCAGUCAUUAGGGCAUGCAUGUAUCUUCUGCACCUCCAAUCCUAGAGGGCAUACGACCUUCUUUGCUGCGUAUGUACUGUUGGGCAAUUCGUUAUCCUUUGGAAGCUUCUUCUUCAAUAUUUUAAGUAGCUUCUCAAAUCCUUUGUCUGGCACAGCAUUCUCUGCCUUCCACUGCAGCAAUUCCAGUACGGUACCGAGCUUUGUGUUGCCAUCUUCGCAAUUGGGGUACAACCCUUUUUUGUGGUCCUCUAGCAUGCGAUCGAACUUCAGCUUCUCCUUUUAACUUUCGCAUUGCGUCCUUGCAUCAACAAUGACCCGGCGGAGAUCAUCAUCAUCGGGAACAUCGUCUGGUUCCUCUUGAUCUUCAACAGCUUCGCCCGUUGCAGCAUCAUCGUGCACAUCGUCUGGUUCCUCUUGAUCUUCAGGAGCAUCACCGUAUUCAGGGGGCACAUAGUUGUCAUCGUACUCUUCUUCUUCGCCCUCUUCCAUCAUAACCCCUAUUUCUCCGUGCCUCGUUCAAACAUUAUAGUGUGGCAUGAAACCCUUGUAAAGCAGGUGGGUGUGGAGGAUUUUCCGGUCAGAGUAAGACUUCGUAUUCCCACAUACAGGGCAUGGACAACACAUAAAACCAUUCUUCUUGUUUGCCUCAGCCACUUCGAAAAAAUCAUGCACGCCCUUAAUGUACUCGGAGGUGUGUCUUGAACCGUACAUCCAUUGCCGGUUCAUCUGCGUGCAUUAUAUAGUGAAGUGACCAAAUUAAUAGAAGUUCAUCAUCACAUUAAAACCAAAGUACAUACAUAGUUCUCAUCUAACAACAUAAAGCUCUGCAGAGCAUCUAAAUUAAUUAAACCAUACACUGAAACUAUGUAAAACAUUUCAAUGCGAAAACAAAUGCGAUCAUAAUCGCAACCAAUGUAACAACUGAUCCAACGGCAUAAUGAUACCAAGCCUCGGUAUGAAUGGCAUAUUUUCUAAUCUUUCUAAUCUUCAAGCGCAUUGCAUCCAUCUUGAUCUUGUGAUCAUCGACGACAUCCGCAACAUGAAACUCCAAUAUCAUCUUCUCCUCCUCAAUUUUUCUAAUUUUUUCCUUCAAGAAAUUGUUUUCUUCUUCAACUAAAUUUAACCUCUCGACAAUAGGGUCGGUUGGAAUUUCCGGUUCAACAACCUCCUAGAUAAAUAAAAUCUAUGUCACGUUGGUCGGCAUAAUUGUCAUAAACAAUAAAUGAACCAAUAGUUAUGAAAAGAUAAUAUAUACCACAUCCGAAUCAUAGACAUGACGAGGGCCGACGGGGGCGGAUACCAAAACCAUCGCACUAUAUAAGAUGCAAUAAUAAAAGUAAGAAAAUAAUACAAGUAUCUAUCUAAACAUACAAGUAAGAAUAUUUUUCCUUUCAGAAAGAAGAUAAGAACAAGAGGCUCACCACGGUGGUGCCGACAAUGAGAUCGGCACGGGUGAUCGACGACGGUGAAGACGGGGACGGGGCGUGACGGACCGCUAAACCUAGACAAAUAUUGAGGAAAGUGGAGCUUGGCAGUCGAGCUUGGAGAGGAGAAACCUUAAGUAGUGUGGCUCGGGCAUUCCAUCGAACACCUUGUGUGCAUAGGAGGUGAGCUAGAGCACCACCAAACCCUCUCCCCCUCGGCCAGAAAAAACAGAGCAGUGUGCUCUGCUCUUGCGCGAGGGGGUAUAUAUAGGCACCACCAUUGGUCUCGGUUGGUCGCAUGAACCGGGACUAAAGGUUUGCCUUUGGUCCCAGUUCAUGCCACCAACCGGGACCAAUGGUGGUGGGCCAGGAGCGAGGCCCAUUGGUCCCGGUUCGUCCCACCAACCGGGACCAAAAGGUCCAGACGAACCGGGACCAAUGGCCCACAUGGCCCGGCCGGCCCCCGGGGCUCACGAACCGGGUCCAAUGCCCCCAUUGGUCCCGGUUCUGGAUUGAACCGGGACUAAUGGGCUGGACCGGCCUGGACCAUUGCCCCCUUUUCUACUAGUAUCUUUUAUUGCUAGAUCUUCGGGUCCUUGGGAUGAUGUGAUCCAUGAUUUUGUUUCUCAUUUACUUGUAAAUAACAUGAAUAUCAUAUGAGAAAUAAAGUAUUAUUUGCUGUCAAAAAAAGUCCAUGCAUGGCUGAACCAACUAACUAAUUGGCCAACUAAUUCCUAGGAGCUAGGUUAAGACUGGAACAAAAGUCCUCAAACAAUCUAGUAUGUAAACCCUGAGUCGUGAUGUUUGCAAGUUGCUGACUGGUCGGGAUGUGCAUGGUGCACAAACCAAGAGUGACCUUCUCUCGAACGAAGUUGAUGCCCAGUUUGUUGUGUUUUGUGCGGCGGUCAGGCACGUGGUUUUGGGGGAGGUAGACAGCCGAGAAGUUGUCACAAAAGACCAUUUUUGCUUAGUCGAUGCCGGCGUGCAGCUCGAGGAGAAGUUGGUGGAUUAAGUAGAAAUCGGCAACGGCGUUGGCCACAACAUGAUAUUUCUGCUUCUGCACUCAAACACAACAUGGUGGGCUGCCAUUUUGAGGACCAAGACAUCAAUGAGGCACUGAGGAAUAUGCAAUAGCCCUUGGUGGAGCACCAUGUGUCCUGAAAGCCUGCCAAGUCAGCAUCGUCUACAUGUGGGUCUCAGUUGAACCUGCCUGAGGUAAAACAUGCUAAAAACCAUCAUCUGCACAUAGUGUGGUUUCCUGCAUCUAGGUUGUCUACAUCAAGGAAGCAAUAUUUACCAGUGUUUGGUUGUCUGCAUUGCACUGGGUAGAAAAACUACAUGUUGUUUGGUUGCGAGUGACAUAAGGUGCGAUCAACACUUCUCACAAGUGGUGAACUUACCACACAUGAUUUAAACAACAUUUCAGUCCUAGAUAGAAAACUAAUGACAAUUCAUCCUAGCUACUAACAAAUAGCAGUACAAAAUUAACAGUCAACUGGCUCAAUAGGGGAAAGUUAAUCGAUGCCGAACUAGGUGGAAGUCCAUUAUCGUCCUCUUAUUGCUCUGUUGUUGUUGUUGUUGUUGUUGUUGUUGUUGUUGUUGUUGUUGUUGUUGUUGUUGUUGUUGUUUCUUCUUCUUCUACCAUUGUUGUAGCUUCUUCUCUUCUGCUUCUGCUACUGUUGCUUCUUUUUCUCUUCUGCUACUACUUACUCUUCCGUUGUUGCUUCCUCUUCUUCAGAUCCUUGUCUAACCUUUGUUUUCCCACGUUGCCCGAGCCCACUCCAUUCUUUUGUUCUUCAAUGCAAGGUCAAUACCGUGCCACUAUUUCCCAAUAUGUCCCGAGCCACAUUUGACCAUGGGUGGGACCAAGCAUACUGACCUCGGGUUCCUGAUCUUGCUCCUCCAUGAUAGUGUCGGCGGCCUUCAAGUUUUGCAUCAAGGUGUUUGGAUUGAUGGUCCUCCGGUCAAGGGUGCGUUGCUGGCCAAUAUUGCUGACAUGAUGCAGGUACUGUCACACUUUCACCUAACCAAAUUGCUAUAGAGUAAUAAUAUAUUUAUAUAUUCACUCAUAUGGAAAAUAUAUUUUUAUUUUUUUAUUAAACUAUAAUAUAUUUUUAUUGUUAGUGCACAGCUAUAUUCUUACAGGUGUAUUUAAGUUAAUAUAUAAAUUAUAUAUUUUAUGGGCACCAGUUUUUUUUGUCAAACCUGGAUGUUGCUCUUUCAGAUAGUAGAGCUAUAAUAUAUAAAACUGGAUAGUGGUUUUACCCUGCAGUGAUAAGUUUCAAAAAUAUAUAUAAGAAUGAAUACAAUAUAUUUUCCGAUCAUUCAUUGCCUGAAGUUCUAGUCUUUAAUUUAAAACUAUAUUAAAAUGGUGCAUAAGCUCUAAAUUAAAUGUGAAUAUGGAAAAUUUAAUAAAGAAAAGACAUUACCGGAUGAUAUGGACCAAUCACAUACAUAUUAGUGUUCUAAUAGUUGAUGUCAAUUUUUUUUAAAUGAUCUUUAUUUGUUAUUUAAGAUAUAAGGAUGGUUUUGACACAAUUUCCAAACUUAAGAACAAUUCAACUAUCAUAAAUAUAAUUGUAUUUUUGAUAAGUUUGUAAUAUUUUGUUUGACAUAAAAUAUCAUGUUUAAUAAAUAAAACUAUACUUAACUAAAAUAUAUGUUGUCACUCACCAUAAUACCAUAUACCAUCGUUGAUCUCUAUGAUUUCUUAUUUGUUCAUGUCACAAUUGUGCAGAUUAUUACAAAUGGGAAGUUCAAGAGCGUGGAGCAUUGAGUUUUGCUCAGACCAACUGUAGAGGCACAUAUCAGUUGCAUGCUUUCUAAGCAUUGAUGAUCUUGAUAGGCCAUAUGGGCCGGUAAAGGAGCUUUUAUCAAAAGACAAUAAGCCCAUUUAUGACCAAGUAAUAUUCCGUGAACGCAUGAAGAAGUAUAAACUAUAAAUUAAACCAGUGGUCUUGAACUCUAUAUAUCCCAUCCUCUUAGAAUAAUGUUGUGAUUAGUGACAAUAAUAAUGCAGAAUAGUGAAACCAUAGAAAAUUCUAGAUAUGGAUAUAUUUAUUAUUAUAGGUGACCAUGUGUAUGUUAGAUUUUUAGUGGUAUUGUGCAAUGUAUCUCCUAUUUCAUAAUCGAUCUAGUAUAUGGUUUGCUGAAUAAUUAUUGGGAUUUUCAAUGUGUCCAUUUAUUGUAGGUUUUUUUUGAUAAAGAUCAUUUCAUUCAAUUUAUAUAUCGAGGUGAUAAAACCGUAUUGAAAGAAUGCCACUUAUAAGAGGCCUUGGUUCGAGAAGAUGCAGGCCGACAUGGUCAAGUUCGAUGACGAGGAUCUAUGGCGGAGAGCGCCAUCUUUUUCUUGGCCAGCAAGUUUGCCGGCAUGACCAUGGCUGAGAUGGCGUGGUUGAACUCCAUCCUUUUUCUGUGUGCUGGCAUGUGUGCCGGCCGCUAGCAAGUGCGGCAGCAUGAACUCUGUGAUGUUUUUUCGGAGGCUGGCAUGUAUUCUGGCCGCUGACAUGGCGUCGGCAUGAACUCUAGACGAUGGCUCAUGGCCGCUGGCAUGAUCUAUGUAGGCUUGCAAGUUGGGAUGCAAAAAGGAGAUGCAUUUAAAUAACUAUAUGAUGAAGGAUCAAUGGAUUCGGGAUAGCAAGAGGGGUGCCGGAAACGGUAUGCAUGUUUGAUCUUGACAGGUUUUAUUUUGGCAACAUGUAAAAACAGAAAAGCAAACCGGUAUCACUGCUAGAAAACAAAACCAAACUACAUAGAGUACAAUUUUGGACUAGGACCAUUGAUCGUUUGUUACAGGGAGAAGAGAAUACAACCUCUGGGAAUACGAGGCUCUGCCUCUACAUGCAUAUAUUAGUGUCACAUACAUACAAUUUGGUAGCGAUGAUGAUGAUAUAUAUUGUGUCUGCGCGGCGGGGCACACAAAACCAUAUAUUCCAGGUCAGUCAAUGCCGUCUUCUAUUUGAGACCAGAGAGGGCGAUGAUAAUGUAUGGGGAGAGUUCAACCAUGAGAAGCACUAGGACCGGCACUGCAAAGUUCCACCCUGCCCUCUUAGUACGAAACCUCCUCACCAGGACCCUUUUGUCGAGGUAAAAAAUGGUCACCGCAUUGAGGCCCCAAACGGCUUCCAACGCCAGGAGUGCGAAAGCCGUAAAACAGCAACAAAGGAGGGCUUUAGUGCGCUCCACCGGAGCCAGCACCGCGUACAUCCCAAACGCAAAGGCGGCCCCAAGGCACCUAGCGGAACAAGCCAGGAAAAUUUCGGAGAGGACCAAGUAGACUAUGCGUUCCUGUAGUCUUGCGCCCAACCCUGCGACCAUGAGAAGGACGAUGGAUCCACUGGAGAAGAUGAAUGCCAGUGUGUUGGCCAUGACGAACGCGUCGAAGGCGUACUUCCCAGCCAGCAACGGCGUGCCGUCUGCUCGGUAGCCACCUGGCACUGCAAAGGCUGCAGCGAACGUAACCGUCGUGAUGAGCACGGAGGCGAUACCAAUGAUCUGCGUGCGGUCGAGGAUGCUCUGUGAUGUGUCCUUUUCGUUGUUGUGGAUUGUUCUCGGUAAGAUAUUCAUCCGUGGGGAAUCAGUCCAACGGGCGGCAGUGACCAACAUCCCGUUUAUCCUAGACCGUGUGUUCUGCAAUGAAAGAAAAGAAAAUACAUGACUAGUUCUACCUGUACCACAAUACUUGUAGCUGGGGAAGUAAGUAUUGUGGUACAGAGGGAGUAUUAGCUAGCUAAGUCCGCGGAAGAGAGAGAGAGAGAGAGAGUGUGUGUGUGUGUGUGUAACUGAAAAACUGAUAGGAGUAUAAAUAGUAUAGAUAGCUUACCCGAUAGCUGCGGUUUGUCUCUUUUUGUCUGUACCUGGAUGCAAGCUCCCAUGGGGUUUCUCCCUUCUUGUUGGUUAGAUUUAGCUUAACCUCUGGUGUUGACAGCAGAGCAUGGACUAUAUAUACAUCCCCGACCUCAACAGCGAGGUGCAGCGCAGUGUUUCCUUGUUGGUCCUGCAUGUUCAUGACUGAGGAUGCAAACAUCGUCUUGCGCAGCUCUUGGCAAGCGCACUUGACCACAUCGCACCUUUCAUCCUGGACGGCAACAUGGAGGAAAGUCCUGCCCUGGCUAUCGCGUAGCUGGGCGCAGUAAGGGCCGCACCUAUUCUUUUGUAGCAAGGCCAGAACAGUACCAGGUUGGCCGCUUGACGCAGCCAGAUGUAUGGGAAACGACCCAUUCUUGUCUGGCAGAUACGCUGGAGAUGGGUCGGCCUCCAGUAGCAACUCGGUCACCCUUGUCUCCCCAAAUAAUGCUGCGUAGUGAAGUGGCGUCCGUCCGGUGGGUCGGUCUGCUUGUUUGGUAAGAUCUUUGUUCCUUUUCAAUAGCUUUUUUAUUGCCUCUGCACGCAUGCAUGCAAUGGUUAGCUAUCAUUAUUACUUCAAACCAGUGGCGACGCUACACACAACUUAAUUUCUUUGUGAUGUCAAGUGACAAUUUUUCUGGUUUCUCCUCAUUGUACCAUCUCUACAUCAUAUAUCUCAUAUACUACCACCUGGGGGUAGUUACCCCACAUGUCUCAUAUACUACCAUGUGGUAGUAUAUAUUCUACUUUAUCAUUUUAAGUAUGUUCAUAUACUAUAUAUAAGAUACUCCAAAGUGAGUUAUCUGAAAAAAAUUGCAAAUUUGUUUUUAUUAUAUUUGUGAAAUACGUACAUAUUUGUACGUAAAAAAGAGCAUACUCAAAAUACGAUACAUACUAACAAAAAAAUAGUAUAUAUACUACCUAAACAUACAACAUACUACGCGUACAUACUCUCCGAUUUGAUAGAUACUACAUACAACAUACAAAACUCAAGUGGUGGUAACUACCACUGGUGGUAGAUAAAAUUUGUCCCCUGGUUAGGGAUUGUCUAUUCGUCACCCUGGUUGAGGAAUAGUUAUUCUUCACCCCCUCUAUUUUACCACCAAUGCACUGUAGUUUUACAUUUCGUAAGUUUUGUCUUAUUUCUGACGUAAAAAGAGAUAGCAAGAAAAUAUACAAUCACCGUAAAAAAUAUUUUAUGUUAUGUGAAAUUACAAACGUAAAAACAUAGUGUAAAAUAUGGGGAUUGUCUAUUCGUCACCCUGGGUGAGGAAUAGUUAUUCUUCACCCUCUCUAUUUUACCACCAAUGCACUGUAGUUUUACGUUUCGUAAGUUUUGUCUUAUUUCUGACGUAAAAAGAGAUAGUAAGAAAAUAUGCAAUCGCCGUUAAAAAUAUUUUAUGUUAUGUGAAAUUACAAACGUAAAAACAUAGUGUAAAAUAUACAUGAACUCCACUUUUCUUGUCUAAUGACCAAUAUUUUUUUUCUUAUACCAAAAUUUACGCAGUGAAUCAAUAGGAAUGUAAUUAUUUGAAUUUCAAAUGUAAUUUAAUUAUAGAGUGAUCGUAAAAUUACCUCGGGUGAAGAAUAACUUAUUCUACACCUUGGGUGAUGAAUAGCAUCAAUAGGGAUUGUUUAUUCGUCACCCUGGGUGAGGAAUAGUUGUUCUUCACCCCCUCUAUUUUACCACCAAUGCACUAUAGUUUUACGUUUCGUAAGUUUUGUCUUAUUUCUGACGUAAAAAGAGAUAGUAAGAAAAUAUACAAUCGCCAUAAAAAAUAUUUUAUGUUAUGUGAAAUUACAAACGUAAAAACAUAGUGUAAAAUAUACAUGAACUUCAAAUUUUCUUGUCUUAUGACCAAUAUUUUUUUUCUUAUACCAAAAUUUACGUAGUGAAUCAAUAGGAAUGUAAUUAUUUGAAUUUCAAAUGUAAUUUAAUUAUGAAAUGAUCGUAAAAUUACCUCAGGUGAAGAAUAACUUAUUCUGCACCUGGGUGAUGAAUAGCAUCACUAUAUAUAUGCAUGUUUAUCUUGACCUAGUAUAUCAAGAUGGUAAUUUCUAAAAUAUACAUGGAAAACUGGUAGAAUAUUAAUCAAUAAAGGAAUUGCCGUAUUCCUAUUUAAUAAUUUGAUCAAAUGAUUAACUAUUUGAAUAUAUCCUACGAGCAACAAGGGUUUUCGUCAUCUAAAUUAAAAAAGGUGAUACCUCAUAAGUUCUACUUUUGAAGAACAAAAACUGAGGCCGCCGAGUAAUAGAGAGUAUGUUGUACAAGCAAGACAAGUAAUGCUAGCUGUGUUUAUCAAGUGAUUUGAGAUAAUCAUCUUGGAAAACACUAAUUAAUGCAUACAAAUUAAAUUCCUCGACGACCAUAGCCUUAAAGCACAUGUUAAGAUACUUCAAGGAUUGUGUGGGUCAAUCAGGAGUCAACUCAUAUGUGAAAACAAAAACAAACAAAAAAACAUGGACAAAAAGGAGAGAACAGCUAGUAGGGAGAAAGUUCUUACAAAUUUCGGGGGAGGCAUUUUGGUUCCCGGGAGCAUUUGCUAUCUUGUGCCAAUGCACGGGUUUUCAACAAGUCACACUAAAAUGAAGAAAGACUACAUCUUGUGACAUGUGUGAAGUGAGGCAAAUUAAGUGCUAUGACAACAUCAGAAACUUCAGACGUAAACACCUAAAGAAACAUGGGAGAGAAGGUUAUAUAUAUGUACAUAUAUAGAGUACUCACCCUCGCCCCAUUUCCACUGUAUGGCUGCGUGUUAGGCGUUUUGGCAGUCCGGUCCAGAGUAAGACAGCUUGUCGUCUUUCUCGAAGAGCAGCUUUGCAAUGUCCAUGUGACCCAGCAAGAGGGCCAAGUACAGUGGUGAGGCGCGGUCGGUCAGCGGAACACGAGCUAGCUGUGAGUCCGCCGACACUAGCUCGCCGAUCAUGUCCUUGUCUUCCACGCGGACGGCUUUGUGCAGCACCGUCUCUCCCUCCCCAUUUUGCAUUCUUAGGAUCGCCUUCACACUCUCAUCAUCACCGGUGCCGUCCCUGGCCCUUGCCAGAGCCAAGAGAUGAGAGACCAUCCUAGCAUUCUUGAGCCGGGCGGCACAGUGCAGGGGGGUGUCGCCCUCCCCAUUAGGGGCGCUGAGGAGGUGAUUGGCCUUGCCAACGAUCACCAUUGCACACUCCAAGAAUUCAUCUCCAUCUCCACCAGACGCUACUACAUGCAGGAUGGAGUCCCCUGCACCGGUGACCGCUUCUGAGGGGGGCGUUGCAGCUGGCUUGUCGACGUCGUCGGUGAUGGUAUCCUCGACGACGUCGAGGACAACUUGCCGCGCUGCAUCUUCUUCUUCCCUUUGAAGAAGAAGAAGGCGCUUUAUUUCAUAGGAGUCGCCAUGCGCCGCAGCAAUGAGCAGCUCGGGAUGAUGCAGCUGGAACCCCUCAUUCGGCUUGCUGGGAAGGCUGGGAGUUUGCUCUAUGUUCACUAUACCCAUUACGUGAGCUACACGUACGACAGUAUGGAGGAGUAGGGAAUGGUAUAGAUGGAGUAGGAUGGUGGUCGCUGAGAAGAAAUAUAUAUAUAGCAGAGAUGCAUGGCCUUAAUCUUGCACCGCAGGUUUAAGAGCAGAUAUUUACAAGACUUGACACAUCUGCUUUGGAUGCCAAUCUAUCGACGAAUCUGCACAAGAUUGCGGCCACGUUCUAUUAAAGCAAAAGGUACAUCGUAGGACAGGAACCUUCUUGCGGGCUUGAGGAUCACAACCAAGUCUUUUUAUAUUGGGUGUGUCUAGCUCUCCACAUCUAGAUAAUAAAUAAGUAAGUCUUAUCUAGCUGCUAUACCAUUUUAUUUGGAGUGAAGAUUCUUGUGAAAUCUGCCUGAACAUCGACACAAACCGUCGACUCCCUCUGUUGCUAUUAUUUCGUCAUUCAACACUAAUCCUAUUUUAUCCCACCAAGUUCCCGGUACUCAUAGAACGAAGGAAGGUUUUUAUUUUUCUUUUGAUCUUCCCAUCCAGGUGCUCCUUGGGACAACUCCACAUGUCUUUUAUUGCUUUUCCCUCGCAAAGUUUCUCACCUCGAACAAACCAAAAAUCAACUAAGUGAUCGUUCUAUGGUUGCUGCUCCUUGUUUCCAACCUUCUCGCUGGUAACCGUUGCUCCAAACUGUGGGCUAUGUCAAAUAGCGGGCUAUAUAUUCUAAAUAGCGGUGGUCCUCCAAAACAGCUAUAAACGGCUAUUUCAUAACUUCAUCGGAAUAGCAGCGAGUACUCCCUCCGUUCCAUAAUGUAGUGCCUAUAGUUUUUCUGAAAAGUCAAACCUCACAAACUUUAAUCAAGUUUGUGGAGAAAAAUAUUUACAUCUAGAGUGCGAAACAUAUAUCACUAGAUUCAUCAUAAGAUGUAGUUACACAUUAUAUAUUUUUGCUAUUGUAGAUAUAAAUAUUUUUCUCUACAAACUUGGUCAAAGUUUGUAAAGUUUAACUUCUCAAAAAAUCUAUAGGCACUACAUUAUGGAACGGAGGGAGUACCAUUUAGCGACACCCUGCUCAAAGCGCUAUAGCGAAUCUAUAGCCGUCUAUUUAAAUCUUUGUUGGGAACCGAAGAAAAACCAAGCAAAGAUUUAUUCAUUUGUAUUCCAUGUUGCAGCUUGUCUGGCAUGAUCCCUGACGCCCUCUAGCUUUUCUCUCUCCAUCCUUCAACCCUGGGACCAAGCAAAACCCAAAGCAAAAGGAUUCUUCUAUUGCUUUCCACUUGCCAACCUUCUCGCUAUGUACCAAAGCAAAUAAACCAAGCAAAGAUUUAUUCUUUAGUUCUUCCGUGUUGCAGCUUCUUUGGCAUGAUUCCCUGACGCCUUCUAGUUUUUCUCCCUCCAUCCUUCAAGCCCUGGGACCAAGAAAAACACCCAGAAAAAGAAUUGAAACAAAAAAAAACAAAGGCUCUUGUCUUCAUCGGUUGUAGCUUCCAUAGCAUAACUCUCGAUCAGCAGCCUGCAAUUCUCCGCACUCGAAAUAUCGUUUGUAAUUUUUCUUCUAGAUGAGACAAAGACCAUUUACCUUGCUUUAGUAUUUUGUUUUAAAGAUUGCUUGCUGAAAUCAAAGUUAUAAAGCUACGACCUUAGACGAUAGUAGCUCCAGGUUUCUUGGAGAGAACAAAAGGUCGAUCCCUUAGACGAUACAUGUGCCAGGAUUUCUGUCUUUCAUAACAGUCUUCAAGGUGACAAAAUUUCUGUCCAGCUAGAUACCUUAGACGAUAGAUGCUUUAGUUAUCUUUACGUCUAGCAGAGGUUCAAGUGAAGACUCCUGGUCUUACCAUACUCGUACCUUUUUAUAAAGAAAAGGAAAAGAGAGAAAAUAUACCAAAGAUGAAGAGCAAGCCAUAUCGAAAUGGCAUGCAUGAUUGCACCCACCCUCUGUCUGCAAUGUAUAUGGCGAUUGGCAUCUGCGCACUCAGACCUCCAAAAAAGUUCCCAGAUUGAUCAUACAGAAAUUGAGUCUGGUCUGGUCGCUCACGUCGCUCUCAGGUAACUCUGAAUAUUCGUUUUAUUCGGUCUGGUAAAUAGGGUUUUUGGUACAUACAAUAUCAAUACUUUGGUAAAUAAUACGGCAUGAAAUUAAAAUAUGGUUCGGUUUCCAUAUAUACCAUAAUAUUUUCGUAUGGUUUCAAUACAUACCAAACUAUAGAAACGGAGACACGGGAAGAGGCCGAACGCAUAAAGGUCUAUAUAGAGAAGUCCAUGCGCGAUGAACGCGGUGAUUUGCUAGUAGCAGCGACUUGGUUUCUUCCGCAUAUCCGAGAUGUUGAUUCAGCAGAGCUUAUGGCAAUUGGAAAUGGAAUAUACUUGUUGGCAAAUUUGGGGUGCAACAAUGUGGAGAUUGAAUUUGAUUGCUCGUUUGCGGCGGAGAUAUCCAGCAAAUGGACUCUUAUCUACCACCCGACGUUGCAUUGGUCUCUGAAUGCAAGCAGUUGGCAAUAGACUUUGCUAAAAUAUUACAUAAACACUGUUUUCGAGAAGCUAAUCAGCUAGCAGAUGAGCUAGCUAAGCAUUCUUUUAUUGCUAGAUCUUCGGGUCCUUGGGAUGAUGUGAUCCAUGACUUUGUUCAUUUACUUGUAAAUAACAUGAAUAUCAUAUGAGAAAUAAAGUAUUAUUUGCUUUCAAAAAAAGUCCAUGCAUGGCUGAACCAACUAACUAAUUCACCAACUAAUUCCUAGGAGCUAGGCAAAGACUGGAACGAAAAUCCUCAAACAAUCUAGUAUGUAACCCUGAGUCGUGAUGUUUGCAAGUUGCUGAUUGGUCGGGAUGUGCAUGGUGCACAAACCAAGAUUGACCUUCUCUCGAACGAAGUCGAUGCCCAGUUUUUUGUGUUUUGUGCAUGCACGGGGUUUUGGGGGAGGUAGACAGCCGAGAUGUUGUCACAGAAGACCAUUGUUGCUUAGUCGAUGUCGGCGUGCAGCUCGUGGAGAAGUUGGUGGAUUAAGUAGCAAUCGGCAACGACGUUGGCCACAACAUGAUAUUUCUGCUUCCGCACUCAAACACGACAUGGUGCGCUGCCAUUUUGAGGACCAAGACAUCAAUGAGGCACUGAGGAAGAUGCAAUAGCCCUUGGUGGAGCGUCGUGUGUCUGGAAAGCCUGCCAAGUCAGCAUCGUCUAUAUGUGGGUCUCAGUUGAACGUGCCUGAGGUAAAACAUGCCAAAAACCAUCAUUUGCACAUAGUUUGGUUUCCUGCAUCUAGGUUGUCUACAUCAAGGAAGCAAUAUUUACCCAGUGUUUGGUUGUCUGUAUUGCACUGGGUAGAAAAACUACAUGUUGUUUGGUUGUGUCGGGGAUAUACCCCGCGGUAUGACCCGGCUGGGACUUGGUAUUUCACUAGUAAACCGCCCGAGGACUGACGACUCACUGAUGACCCUGCCUAGCCGGAGGCCCAUUGGUGAGCCGGCAGACAGUGGUAAGCCGACAGACAGUUGUAAGGCGGCAGACAGUUAUAACCCGACAAAUAGUGAUAAGCCGGCAGAUAGUGGUAAGCCGGCAGACAGUGGUAAGCCGGCAGAUAGUGGUAAGCCGACAGAAAGUGGUAAGUCGGCAGAUAGUUAUAACCCGGCAGGCAGAGUCGCCUAGGGUUAAUAAGCUCUAGACGUUCAGAAUCCCAAGAUGUUAAGAAGCCCAUGGAGAGAAUCUCGUGAUGAGAAGUCAGAAUAGUUUAAAUCUUAAUCCAACUAAGACUGUAGCGACCAGACCUCAAAGAGUCUGAUCUCUGUGCUUUAGAGUCAUCCCUGGAUCAGUAAUGCUGGCACACAUAGUACUUGAAGGAUUUAUAAUAGAGUAGCAAUAACACACUUAUUACACCGAAUGUCUCAAACGAGAACUUAUUACAAUAAAUAUGGCUUAAGGCCAUCUAAUAACGAUAACAACGGAAGGCUUGGAAGAUAAGCGAGUCCAUCAACUCCAACGUCAUCACUGAGUAUAGAACCACGACCUAAGGCACCUUACUCGUCGUCUGUAAAAUCUGCAACAUGAAUGUUGCAGCCCGAAAACGGGUCAGCACAUGGAAUAUGCUCGCAAUGUAAGACAUAGAGAGUAAUGAACAGAAAUAGGCUAUACUACAUGCAUAUAUGGCUGGUGGAAAGCUCUAUGGUUACAGUUUUGUGUAAAGCCAAUUUUUCCCUACUGCAAAGGAAUAAAUAUUAUUUAACUAUCAUGGUGGUUGUUAAACAUUGAGAGUGUAGACACCCUCUCAAUCCCAAUUAAGCAUCAUCAUUAAAACCCAACAAAAUUAAUUAAAGUGACAUGAUGAGAUUCACAUGAUAAUCAAAGUACUAGAUACUCAAGAUGUCCAUAACCGGGGACACGGCUAACCAUGAUUAGUUUAUACACUCUGCAGAGGUUUGCUCACUUUUCCCAACCAGACUCGAUCUCCUCCGUUGGGAUUCUCGCAAUACAUGGUGUUUGAGAAACGGACGACCGAGACAUAGUCUUUCAGAAGCGCUAGCACCUUACGAUCGGGUAGACAGUUACACCUACUUUCCCUUACAUCUGCUAGUCUACCACUGUAAGAGUUCGCACUACUUAAUCAACUAUGCUAGAACCCAUAGUAACUUGUGACUGCACACGGAAGUUUCUAGCAUGAAUAAUCUCAUGAUCCCUUUGAGCCUGGGUGGCGGUCCAUAAAAAAACAACAGGCAAUGGCUGGAAUACCCAGGUGCCUCAAUCCACCCAGAUGUGUGUUAAAGUUGCCACCUUAAGUUGAACCAUUAAAUAAAAAUCUCACAUCUGUCAUGGAUACACUCACCCAAUCCACGUCUACUAGCGUAGCAUGGCAUAAGCAAAUGUAGAAGUAACUCCCAAGGGUUUGAUAAUAAAACAGGUAAUAGGUACUAUCUCAUCUACUUCCCAAAACCCACAUAUUAAUCAGAUCAUAAUCAUGCAAUUGUUUGAGGAUUGAUCUAAUUCAAUAAAACUGGGUAGUAAAGAGGUAUGAUCAAAGUGUUACUUGCCUUGCUAAUGAUCCGUGAAACCGAGAGAUUCGAAGUAGCAAGCGGCGCACUCCGGGUACUCUGUCGCAAACAAACAGGCAUACAAUAAGCACUCAUCAAAUGCAAGGGUCAAACUCAAAUAACGGAUCUAACUAGAAAGUUCAACUUAAGAACUCUAAAUAAAAUUUUACAGAAGCAAAAACUUGUUUGAGUUGGUUAAACGGAAAGAGGGUUUCGAUACGAAACUCUAGGCGCUUGAAUCACCUGAUUCCGAUAAACGAGCGAAAAGUUAUACUAAAACGAAAAUCGGAUCAGAAAUCGCGAUCGAAAAUAAUCGCGGAAAAUCCGAGAAAAAGAAAAACGGACGAACAGGCUAACAAACGAAGGUUCGCUGUCUGUGGCUAAACGACAAAAACCGUUCGUUAAAACGAACGUACGGACGAACGUCUGCUAAAUAACUAAACCGGAAAAAAAACUAAACCGAUCUAUUAAAAUAAAUAAACCGCGGCUUAAAAAAACCGGGCGGUUUUUCUUAGAAAACCGCCGGCGGCGGGGUGGCUACCUCCGGCGAGGUCCGGCGUCGGGCUCCGGCGGGGCGGGGCGGUCGGCGGCGGCGGGUGGUGGCGGCGACGGGCGGCGGGGCGGCGGCUAGGGUUUUGGCCUGGGGUGGGUUGUUGGCCUUUAAAGGCCGCCCGGGCGCAGUGUCCAGGUCGGACACGGCCCGGUAAGGCGGUAACUUUUUUUUUGAAAUAUUACGCGCAAAAAAAUAAAUAAAAGAAAUACUAAACGGACUCCAAAAAUCCCAAAAUAAAAUUUCCCAGACUUCUAAAAUCAAGCCGGACAAGAUGAACAAUUAUUUGGGGCCUAAAUGCAAUUUUGAAGAAACGCGAAUUUUUCCUAAAUUCAAAUAAAAUAGCAAUAAAAUCCAAAAUAAAAUCUUAUUUGAUUUUAUUAUUAAAUCCUUAAUAUUUCUUUAUUUUGGGGAAGUCAUUUCAUACCCUCUCUCAUACUUUUAUAAUAGAAAUAAUUGAAGAUAAAAUAAUUAAAAUCAAAUGAUCCUAUUUUCAAAUUUUGAGAAGACUCAAAUAUGAAAAUAACGAAAUCCCCAACUCUCUCCGUGGGUCCUUGAGUUACGUAGAAUUUCUGGAUCAGGCCAAAAACAAGAAAAUAUGGUAUGCAAUGAUGAUCUAGUGUAUAACAUUCCAAAUUGAAAAUUUGGGAUGUUACAAACCUACCCCCCUUAAGAUGAAUCUCGCCCUCAAGAUUCGGGUUGGCUAGAAAAUAGGUGAGGGUGGUCCUUCAGCAGAUCUUCCUCUCGCUCCCAGGUGGCUUCAUCCACGGUGUGGUGGCUCCACUGAACUUUGCAAAACUUGAUAACCUUGCUGCGGGUGACUCGGCUGGCAUAUUCGAGAAUCUUGACUGGUUUCUCCUCAUAGGUCAAAUCACUAUCUAACUGAAUUGCUUCCAGCGGCACAGUAUCUCUUAGAGGUAUAUCAGCCAUCUCUGCGUGGCACUUCUUCAACUGGGAAACGUGGAACACAUCGUGAACUCCUGACAAUCCUUCGGGCAAUUCCAAUUUGUAAGCAACUUCUACCAUGCGUUCCAAAACUUUAUAUGGUCCCACAAAGCAUGGUGCUAACUUUUCCUUAACUCCAAAGCGCUUAACUCCUCGAAGUGGAGAUACACGAAGAUAAACUCUAUAUCUGACUUCGUAAACUGUCUCCUUGCGCUUAGAAUCUGCAUAGCUCUUUUGCCUGGACUGGGCUACCUUGAGCCUAUCGCGAAUCAACUUCACCUUCUGUUCAGACUCCUUAAUCAAAUCUGGUCCAAACAACUGGCGGUCUCCAACUUCAUCCCACAACAACGGUGUCCUGCACCUCCUUCCAUACAGAGCUUCGAAAGGGGCCAUCUUCAAACUGGAUUGAUAACUGUUGUUGUAAGAGAACUCCGCAUAUGGAAAAUUGUCGUCCCAACUAGAUCCAUAAUCUAGCACACAAGCUCUCAACAUAUCCUCCAAAAUCUUAUUGACUCUCUCGGCCUCUCCAUCUGUCUGCGGAUGAAAGGCUGUACUGAACUCUAGUCUGGUACCCAAAGUUUCGUGCAACUGAUUCCAGAACUUUUAGGUAAAAUGGGUUCCUCUAUCUGAUACAAUGCUCCUCAGAACUCCAUGCAGACAUACGAUCCUGGUCAUGUAUAUCUUUGCUAACUUAGCACUGGUGUAAGUGGUCUUCACUGGGAUGAAAUGAGCUACUUUCGUCAAACGAUCAACUACAACCCAUAUCAAGUCAUAGCCUGAACGAGUCCUGGGCAAUCCCGUGAUAAAAUCCAUGCCUAGCUUAUGCCACUUCCAUUCAGGUAUCGGCAAUGGUUGUAGCAAUCCUGCUGGCUUCUGAUGCUCUUCCUUCACUCUCUGACAUACAUCACAUACUGCUACAUACUCCACAAUAUCCUUCUUCAUUCCGGUCCACCAGAAAGUGUCUUUCGAAUCCAAAUACAUCUUGGUAUUCCCUGGGUGAAUUGAGUACGGCGAAUCAUGGGCCUCUUGCAAAAUCAACUUCCUGAUCUCCGGAUCAUUAGGCACAUAAACGCGGUCCUCAAACCAUAAGGUAUUGUGCUCAUCCUCACGAAAUCCUUUAGCUUUUCCUUUGCUCAUCUUCUCCUUUAUAGAGGCAAUCUCCUUGUCAGUCUUUUGAGCAUCUCUGAUCUUAUCCAUCAAAGUAGACUGAAUCUCCAGUGCUGCUACAUAGCCUUUCUGAACUAUCUCCAAGCAUAGCUCUCGAAGAUCCUCGGCUAACUCCUUUGGUAACUCUCCGGUCAAGAGUGUGUUGACAUGGCUCUUGCGGCUCAACGCGUCAGCUACUACGUUAGCCUUUCUGGGAUGAUAAUGCAAUCUCAUAUCAUAAUCCUUGAUGAGCUCCAACCAUCUCCUUUGUCUGAGAUUCAACUCCUUCCGCGUGAAGAUGUACUUCAAACUCUUGUGAUCCGUGUACACCUCACAAUGGUUUCCAAUGAGAAAAUGUCUCCACGUCUUCAAUGCGUGCACUAUGGUUGCUAACUCCAAAUCUUGUGUAGCAUAAUUCAACUCAUGGGGCUUAAGCUGUUGUGAGGCAUACGAAACAACUCUUCCCUCCUGCAUAAGCACUGCUCCAAGUCCUCGACGUGAAGCGUCGCAAUACACCUCGUAAUCCUUGCGCUGAUCUGGCAAAAUCAACACUGGUGAUGUAACCAAACAUUUCUUCAACUCCUGGAAACUGGCCUGACAUUCUUCAGUCCAUUUGAACUUGGUAUCCUUCUUCAGCAACUCCGUCAUAGGUUUUGCAAUCUUCGAGAAAUUCUCAAUGAAUCUCCGGUAGUAUCCUGCAAGUCCAACAAAACUACGGAUCUCUCCAACUAUCGUUGGUGCUACCCAAUUUGUCACAGUGACAACCUUGGUGGGAUCUACUGCUAUUCCUUCUCCGGAUAUAACAUGUCCGAGGAAUCCAACUUCCUUCAACCAAAACUCACAUUUGCUGAACUUGGUGUAUAACUGAUGUUCUCUGAGCUUCUCAAGUACUAAACGCAAAUGCUCCUUAUGGUCUUCUUCAUUCUUUGAGUAGACCAAAAUAUCGUCAAUGAACACCACGACGAACUUAUCCAGAAACUCCAUAAACACCUUGUUCAUCAUGUUCAUGAAAUAUACAGGUGCGUUAGUCAGACUAAAUGACAUAACGGUAUACUCAUACAGCCCGUACCUGGUGGUAAAAGCCGUCUUAGUUAUAUCCUGCUCUCUAAUCUUCAACUGAUGGUAUCCUGAUCGUAAAUUGAUCUUGGAAAAUACCUUAGCUCCUUGCAAUUGGUUAAACAAAUCGUUGAUCAUCGGCAAUGGGUACUUGUUCUUAAUUGUCACUUCAUUCAAUCCUCGAUAAUCAACAACCAUCCUCAAUGAUCCAUCCUUCUUCUCCACUAGAAGUACUGGCGAUCCCCAAGGUGAAGAACUUGGGCGAAUAAAGCCUUUAUCCAGUAACUCCUUAAUCUUCUUCUUAAUUUCCUCCAAAUCUUGUGCGGGCAUCCGGUACGGUCUCUUAGAUAUCGGCCCUGUGCCUGGCAAAAGCUCAAUCAAAAACUCAACGUCUCUAUCCGGUGGCAUGCCUGGCAACUCCUCAGGAAAUACGUCAGGGUAAUCCUUCAUCACUGAUACUUCCUCCUGCACAACUCCUGGUAAGUAAUUUAUACCUAACCGACCGAUGAUAUGGUCGCCGGCCGGCCGUUGCAGGUUUCAGGACUGGGGAUUGGAGAAGGGGUGGGGUGACACUACUGAGACAUGCAGAGAAACACUCAACUUCCUCUCGGAAGUGCUCCAGGCGCCGGAUCCUAUCAACAUGGAGAAGUUCUUCAGCAGGGUGCCGUCGGUGUUCAACAUCGUCAUCUUCUCCAUCCACGGUUACUUUGGUCAAGAGAAGGUGCUUGGGUUGCCCGAUACCGGCGGUCAGGUACAGUGAUCAUUAUCUCAUCCUGGUAUAUUAUAACCCUGAAUCAACAGGGAUUCAUGCUUGAAACAGAAGCCAACAUUUCAAUCUUUCCUUGACAGGUGGUUUACAUCCUGGACCAAGUUAGAGCUCUUGAAGAGAAACUUCUGCAAAGAAUCAGGAAGCAGGGCCUGAAUGUUACCCCAAAGAUUCUUGUGGUAAGCUUCGACCGCCUUCAUUAAACUACGAUGGCCUAACAGUCCAGGGAGGGGGCAUAUGACAGCUCCUCGCUCGUGUCGAUCGCAGUUAACAAGACUCAUACCGGACGCAAAGGGCACCAAGUGCAACGUUGGGCUUGAACCGGUCGAGCACACUAAGCAUUCAAGCAUCCUCCGUGUGCCAUUCAAGACCAAUGAUGGGAAAGAUCUUCGCCAGUGGGUCUCCCGGUUUGACAUUUACCCUUACCUGGAGAGAUAUGCCCAGGUAUGUUCAGCUAGGAAUUUUACUAGGCAUUGGCAACACCUUGUGAACGAACUGAAUGUGGCACUGAUAAUAAACCUUUAUCGUGGUGGUUUCAGGAUUCUUCUGUCAAGAUUCUUGACAUUCUGGAGGGGAAGCCAGACAUGGUCAUCGGAAAUUAUACCGAUGGCAAUUUAGUAGCAUCCCUCUUGUCGAGCAAACUCGGGGUCACCCAGGUGAAAAUGAGCUAUCGAAAUGAAAUACUGAAAAAAAUGUUCUUCUGUCACCAAAGAAAUCUGACAUCACAACCAACAGGGAACAAUUGCUCAUGCUCUUGAGAAGACAAAGUACGAGGACUUAGAUGUCAAGUGGAGAGAAAUGGACCACAAGUAUCACUUCUCCUGCCAACUUACUGCUGACAUGAUCGCCAUGAACACUAGCGACUUCAUCAUCGCUAGCACCUACCAGGAAAUAGCCAGAAGGUCAGUAACUCAGUAAACCAAGACCAUCUUGCCCUGUCUCUCAGCGACUCAUCCCAGGAUUCCCUGACAAAAUGCAGCAAAGACAAACCUGGCCAGUAUGAGAGCCACUACGCCUUCACAAUGCCAGGGCUGUCUCGCUACGCCACAGGCGUCAACGUCUUCGAUCCCAAGUUCAACAUCGCCGCCCCUGGUGCUGAUCAAUCCGUUUACUUUCCAUUCACACAAAAACAGGCUGGGCUGACCGACUUGCACCCUCAGAUCGAGGAGCUACUCUACAGCAAGGAGGACAAUAAUGAACACUUGUAAGUAUAUAUAUUCCUUGGUAAUAGAAUUUUUUUAUUUACCAUUGACAACAUUAAUUGCUAAUAACUCUGAACUGUGAUAUGAUUGAAUCAGAGGGUACCUAGGGGACAGGAGCAAGCCAAUCAUCUUCUCCAUGGCAAGGCUCGACAAGGUGAAGAACAUAACCGGGCUGGUCGAAUGGUACGGUGAGAACAAGAAGCUCAGGGACCUUGUCAACCUGGUCAUCGUUGGGGGACUCCUGGAACCAUCACAGUCAAACGACAGAGAAGAGACCGAGGAGAUCAACAAGAUGGACAGCUUGAUGGACAUGUACCAGCUCAAGGGACAGAUCUGCUGGAUCAAAGCACAGACCGAGCGCGUGUGCAACGGUGAGCUGUACCGUUGCAUUGCAGAUACCAGGGGCGCCUUCGUUCAGGUAAAAAAGAACUCAAAUACAGUUUUUUUUUGAAGGCGCUAGCAAAUUGCUAGCCUCUAUAUUAUGGGGUAGGGAGCAGUAUAUACAAGACCGCGUUCGCGGUUCUGAAAUGAGAAAAGCAAAGAGAAGGAAAAGAUUACAGGGCCCUUAAGCCAUUGUUGGGCGAUCUCUCACGUCGGAUCCCCGAAAGGGUGCUGCAGACAUUUUGCUCCCGCUAUCCUCCAAGCCUCCAUGGAUCCCCGCUCUGCCUGAAUGAUGGCCCCCGGCUCGGCGAUUUUCUUCUGGAAAACACGUCGGUUCCUCUCUAGCCACAGUUCCCAUGCAAUGAGCAUAGUGAGCGACCUGAUUCCUUUGCGAUAUUCUGGCAGGGUGCUGUCGAUGAUGAGAGCCCAGAAGAUCUCUGAUUUGUCCCCCUCUGGCCAUGAGCUUGGAGCGAGGGCAGCGCAGCCAUGCCAUUGCGCCGCAGCAGCCCAGAUCACCCGUGCCACCGGGCACUGCCAGAGGAGGUGCACUGAGGUUUCAAGGUUUCGAACGCAUAGCGGGCAGAAAUAGUCAUUCGGCCACCCGCGCCUUUGCAGCCUGUCAGCGCACCACAGCCUGUCAAGCAUCAACAGCCAGGUGAAGAACUUGCAGCGUGGAGGAGCCCAGGCUUUCCAGAACAUAGUUGCAUAAUCUGAUCGGAUCCUGCCGGCGAACUGAAGCUUGUAAGCGGCCGCUGCGCUGUAUGUGCCAGUGGUGGAUGUCUUCCAGGUGAAUACAGUUAAGCAUGAAACUCAAGCACUGACCAUGUGACUGAACCGUGUCUUUCAGCCUGCACUCUACGAGGCAUUUGGACUAACGGUCAUCAAGGCGAUGAACUGCGGGCUGCCAACAUUCGCGACAAAUCAAGGAGGACCAGCAGAAAUCAUCGUCAACGAGGUUUCGGGUUUCCACAUCAACCCGCUCAACGGCAAGGAGGCAAGCGACAAGAUCGCAGCCUUCUUUCAGAAAUGCAAGGAGGACCCCACCUACUGGAACAAAAUGUCCACUGCCGGACUCCAGCGCAUCUAUGAGUGGUACCGUACAAUCAUCAUCUUAGAAUACUUAUGGAUAAUUAUGCUUCUUCUUCACAAAGUAAUUUAAUAAUCUCUUGUCUGUGAUUUUAGUUACACGUGGCAGAUUUACGCGACUAAAGUUCUGAACAUGGGGUCGAUGUACGGCUUCUGGAGGACUCUGAACAAGGAAGAGAGGUAGGCCAAACAGCUCUAUCUACAGAUGUUCUACAACCUUCAGUUCAGGCAGCUGGUUAGUUCAGAAGAAGCAGUGCAACACCAACACCAACAGAACCCAACCCCAUUUUCACUGAUGUUCUACAUUUGUUAGUACUCUUUUCAGGUAAAGACAGUCCCAAAACUGGGCAAACAACCCGCACGGCCUACGACAGGAAGCACGGCCCCCGCUAGGAUUGCGCCGAGGCCAAGAGAAAGGCAAGUGUGCCCGCUGCUAUGAAAUUUACUGAGGAGAUAGCGGGGAAGCAACUGACUGACCUGACCGUUUGUUGUUUCGACGGUGCAGAAGGCCGCAGACGAGGAUUCAGAGGUGAGAGUUGUCACCAAUCAUCAAGCUGCAAAACAGCAGAAGAAGCAUCAGGUCACAUUUGCAUAAAACUGAUGAAUAUCUGAAUAAUGUGUUUGCGCAGGAUUGCGACCAGCUUACUCGGCCCGGUGCUCCCGACGUCCAACUUCUCUCAGGAUGCAGCUUAAAGUGAAGACCAAAUAUCAUAAGGACUGUGCUUGUGUGUGUGCCAUUGAUUUGGAAAGUUCCCAUGAAACUGGAACUGUCCAUGAUGAUUGUGAGAAUAAUGCAAAGUGUGAGCCCUGCACUCAUCAUGAGUUAACUGCUUCUGCAUCAUGCAAAAGCAAGAAAAAUAAAGCAAGUUUAGAAACGAGAUUUCAAGCUCCAGACCCUUAAAAGUACUCGAGAUUCAACAUUUACAACAUAACAAAGUAGACACGUAGAUGGUACUUCAGCAAACAUAGACCAGCAUAGUACAGCGCACAAGACAGCGGCUGGCGGAUUAUUACUACUUUCUUCACAUAAUUACAACACUACUAAGAAAAGGGUUAUAGAUAGGACUGAUUCUAAUGGCACACCAGAUAGACAGUGCGCCACUACUAUAUACUAAUGGCGCACUGGUUGCGGGUGCGCCAUUAGUGUGGAAGACACUAAUGGCGCACCAGUCUCACGGUGCGCUACUACUAUUGAUUUUUUUCCCAUUUUUCUAUACAAACUAAUGGCGCAUGAUGACAAAGUGCGCCAUUACUAGGUAGAACUAGUAAUGGCGCACGGCCAAGACAGUUCGCCAUUAGUAUAUUUUUUUUUUACUUUUUUGCAAACCUACUAAUGGCGCACGGUAUCACAGUGCGCCAUUAGUAGUUUAAACUACUAAUGGCGCACUUUUCCACAUUGCGCCAUUAGUAUACAUAUGUUUUUUUUUAUUUUUCUGCAAAAAGUACUAAUGGCGCACCACCUGCAGGUGCGCCAUUAGUAACCAGGGUUACUAAUGGCGCAUUAUGUGGUGGUGCGCCAUUAGUAACCUGGGACCAACAAGAUAUUUUGGACAGCCCACCUACCCACUCACAUUCCCCACUUCAUUCUCUCCACCUCCUCCUCCAAGCUUAUCUCGGCUGCCUCCUCCUCACCUCAUUUCCACCAUAGAUUCAUCAAAAUUAAGUGGUGAAAUUACCUUUUUUUGAUAGGUAAGUAAGGGAAAAUCUAUCUUCAUGAUGUAGAUCUACUUUUUUUCUCCCUAGCUCGCUCCAACAACGUGCACAUGCACUUUUUGUGGCCUAGCUAGAUCUAUGUAUGUUUGUGGUGUUGCAUAUAUGUUUGUGUUUGAAGGCACCGGUAUUUGAAAUGCGAUAGUUGCCAAUAUUUUGCCGAAAUGUUUUGAUUCAUUUCCGUUUCGGCGAGAAUUUUAGCACUAUGCAUUCUUUUUGGUCCUACUUUUAGGGAAGGUCAUGCCAAAUUUUUUCUUGGUUCUAAAAUAUCGUUUUACUCUACCCCGCAGGCGACCAUGGUCCGCACGAUGACUGAAGGCAUCGUGAAUAGGUUUUUGAGCUCCGCGAAGGCCGGGAUGCUUCAAAAGAACGAGACAGAGAUAAGAUGUCCGUGUCGAAGAUGCAAGCUGAAGAGCCUUAUUGCGGACCCGGAUUCCAGGCAGGUGCGGGACCACCUGCUCUUGCGUGGUUUCAUUGAUGGCUAUCGGUGGCAAGGUGAUGAAGAUGACUAUGAAGUCGUCCAUGGGGGCCGGGAAACAAAUGAGGAAGGGCAACAAGACAAGUACCACCGCGGCGAGGGCGGGCGAGAAGACAAAGAAUAUCCAGGACAUGAUCACGGCGGUGAUGCUGUACACAGUCAUCAUGUAGAAGAUGUCGUAAAUGAUGAUGGGGAAGAUCAAGACGAAGGGCAUGAUCAUGAAGAUGAAGAUGCCGGAGCAGACGACGAUGGAGGCUGGGUGCAGGACCCUCAUAUUCAAGAGCUGCUUCUCAACCAGACGGAUAACGCAAGAGCUGCCGCCCGAGAGAAAGCCAAGCUGGAUCAACUGGAGAUAGAUGCGGUUACUCCAUUGUAUGAAGGAUGCAGGCCCGAGGAUACCCGCCUGAAAGUAACGCUCAUGGCUCUGGAGAUGAAGGUAAAACAUAAAAUGACCGACGCAUGCUUCGACGAGAACAUGUCAUUCUGGCACGAACGUCUUCCCAAGGGGAACAAGUGCCCGACCAGUUUCGAGGAGGCGAAGAAAAUCGUGUGUCCUCUGGAUUUACCGCACGUGAAAUACCAUGUGUGCAUGAACAAUUGUAUCAUUUAUCGGGACGAGCACGCGGAGUCUACCAUAUGUCCAGUGUGCGGCGUCACUCGAUACAAGAAGAGGAAGAAAGCUCCUCGAAAAUCGGUGUGGUACUUUCCGAUCACUCCUCAUCUGCAGCGGUAUUUCGUGGACCCUAAGGUAGCAAAGCUCCUGCGUUGGCACGCAGAUAGGGAGGAGAAGAAGCGGGAAGAUGACGAAAAUGAUCCGGAGAUAAAUAAAAAAGACAAGAUGUUGAGUCACCCUAAGGAUGCGAGCCAGUGGCAAGCGUUGAACUUUGAAUACCCAGAAUUUGGGAAGGAUCCAAGGAACAUCAUGCUGGGCGCGAGCACCGAUGGAGUCAAUCCGUUUGGCAGCCAGAGAAGCACACAUAGCACCUGGCCUGUGUUUGUGUGGAUGUACAAUCUUCCCCCCUGGUUGUGCAUGAAGAGGAAGUACAUUCACAUGAGUAUGCUAAUUGAAGGGCCGAAACAACCAGGGAACGACAUCAAUCAGUAUCUGGGGCUGCUGAAGGAGGAGCUAGACACGCUGUGGAAAACGCCAGCCAAUACGUGGGACGCCGCAGAGAAAGAAUAUUUCCCUAUGAGAGCUGCACUACUCACGACGGUGCACGACUAUCUCGGUUACGGAUAUCUCGCGGGGCAGGUAGUCCACGGAUUUUCUAGAUGCGUAAGGUGCAUGGAUGACACAACGUAUCGCCAGCUAGAUAGAGAUCCCGGGUCUUCAAAAACCGUGUUCAUGGGACAUCGAAGGUGGCUUCGCGACGAUGACCCGUGGUGGAAACGCAAGGAUCUGUUCGAUGGUGAAACCGAACCCCGAAAACGCCCGUGUACGAGGAGCGGCGAGGAAAUAGACGAGCUGUUGAAAAAUUAAAAAGACUGCCCACUGCCGGGAAAGAAGCAAAAGGCGCCAGAGUCGGGAAAGAAGCGAAAGGCGCCAGAGCCGCUGCUGAAUGUAUGGAAAACGAGGUCUGUUUUCUGGGACUUGCCGUACUGGAAGAUCCACCGUGUGCCUCACAGCCUUGAUGUCAUGCAUAUCACGAAGAACGUGUGCGAGAGUCUGCUUGGUACCCUGCUCAACAUGCCAGAGAGGACCAAAGAUGGGCUGAAAGCAAGGGCAGACUUGAAAUCAAUGGGCAUCAGGCAGGAGCUUCACGCUAAUGAUGAUGAUGAUGAUGAUGAGGCGAAGCAGGACACAUAAAGUCGUCGCAAAGGCAAAAAGGCCAAGAAGACUGGAAAUGACUACCCUCCCGCGUGCUUCACUCUAAGUCAGGAGGAGAUCGAGCAGUUUUUCACCUGCCUCCUAGGAGUAAAACUUCCUUACGGUUACGCGGGGAAGAUAAGCAGAUACCUAGACCCAGCGAAGCAGAAGUUUAGCGGGAUGAAGUCUCACGACUGUCACGUGCUAACGACGCAAAUACUUCCAGUUGCAAUCCGUGGGAUCAUGGACGCGCACGUCCGUGAAACGCUAUUUGGCCUAUGCAACUUUUUCGACGUCAUCUCUCGGAAGUCGAUUGGCGUGAGGCAACUCAGAAGGCUACAGGAAGAGAUCGUGGUGAUACUAUGCGAGCUUGAGAUGUACUUCCCACCCGCAUUCUUCGACGUUAUGGUACAUCUGCUGGUCCAUAUCGUGGAGGAUAUCAUCCAACUCGGGCCGACAUUCCUGCACAGCAUGAUGCCGUUCGAAAGGAUGAAUGGUGUCAUCAAAGGAUACGUUCGCAACAUGUCACGUCCAGAGGGAAGUAUAGCCAGGGGCUUUCUGACCGAAGAGUGCAUCUCCUACUGCACGAAUUAUCUAGGCAUCGAGAACCCCGUUGGUCUACCCGCCAACAGGCACCUCGGCAGGCUCGCUGGAUGGGGUCACCGUGAGGGUCGCCGCGAAAUGCAUGUCGACUUCGAGGGUCGACUCGCCGACUUUGAAAGAGCAAACCUAGUCGUGCUACAACACAUAGACGUGGUCGAUCCUUGGGUGUUAGAGCACAAAACCUUUAUUGAGAAGACGUACAAUGACCGAGGCCAACAGAGGACGAACGGAGAUAUACUCAAAGAGCACAACUCAUGUUUCACGCGUUGGUUCAAGCAGAAGCUUCUGUCGUACCCUUUACAUGAAGAUUCUUCCGCGGAAGAACAACUCAUAUUCGCCUUGUCACAGGGCGUCGAGCACAACCUGAUGACCUAUGAGGCGUACGAUAUCAACGGCUACACAUUCUACACCGAGGACAAGGACAUGAAGAGCGAUGGUUAUCAGAACUCCGGGGUAACGAUGGAAUCCUACACCGGUAAGGACAGGGACAGAUACUACGGAAGGAUCGAGGACAUCUGGGAGCUGAGCUAUGCUGGAGAGAAGGUGCAGAUGUUCCGUGUCAGAUGGGCCAAGAGCGUCCUAAAAUAAGACCGAUAUUUCACCACCAUGGUUAUAGCCGAAGCCAAAUCCAAGACCGCGGGCGCAAACGUCACCGCGAAAAAUGAGCCAUGGGUACUGGCUUCCCAAGUGGACCAAUGCUUCUUCAUUACCGACCCGUCAAAGCCCAGUCGUGUUGUCGUGAGGAGAGGCAAAAGGAAUAUCAUCAGAAUGGAUGGAGUAGCCAAUGAGCAAGACUUCGACAAGUACGGUGACCCGAAGAUCGAACAUGACGACGACGAUGAAGUAGCAGCACACACCACAAGAAGAAGAAGGACCACCCUUCCUAAAGGACGUCCAUUCCACAGAAGAACUCCAUUUGCGAAAAAGAAGGGCAAGAAGAUUGUGAACAGAUAGCUAGCUAAGAUCGAUUGUAUUUAAAUCGUAGUCUUCAUUUCUCGAUUGUAUUUCAUGCGCACUUUUUGAUAUCAUGAAUAUUUUUAAAUUUCAUGGGCACUUUUUGAAUUCAUGAGGACACUUGAUCUCGAUACCCCUCCAUCUCGAUCUCGAUUCCCCCUCCAUCUCGAUCUCGAUCCCCGCACCCACCCCCGCUCCACCGCCGCCGCCGAUGAUAUUUUCAAGUAACAAAUUUGAACAUAUUUUUAAAAAAAUUAUUACUCUUUUUAUAAAAAAAAUAGUACUGUUAUGAUUUAAACAAGUUUGAACAUAUUUAAACACAAAUAAAUAUAAAGAACAGCAUUUAAAAUGUAUAAAAAAUAUUGGGGAGCCUGGGAAUCGAACCCAGGACCUCCUGGUGUAUGUGCUGCAUGCUGACCAGUCGGGCUAGUGGGUGGGUUCUGUUAUAGAUAGGGUUAGGUUGUAGAUAUGGUUAGUGGGCUAGAUUAAAACAAAAAUCUAAUGGCGCACCGAGGGGUGGUGCGCCAUUAGAAUAGUCAUACUUAUGGCACACGACUGGUCGGUGCGCCAUUAGAACCCUCCCCCUAGCUAUCCCCUCUCUCUCGCCAGAUCCCCUUCGACCCUCUCUCCCAAGCCACCAGAUCCACCCGCGCGCUAUCCCCUCUCUCUCUCACCGGACUCCACUCCCGCCGCCCCCGCGCCCCCACGCCCCCACCCCCGCCGCCCCGACCCUCGCCGGACUCCUCCUCGCCAUCUGCGCCUUCUUCCACAUCCUCCAGGCCUCCGCCGCCGCCGGCCGCCAAGGCACCAACCACCUCCUCGGACGGGGCGCUCUUCCUCGCGCUCUCCUCACCAACCACGACGCCGGCCACCUGCUCCUCACCAACCACGACAUCGGCCACCUGCUCCGUCGUCUCCGGCAGAGGUUACUCCACCUAGCUGCAACACUCCUGCGCUUGGCGGCUAGGGUUUGCCUCCAGCCUCUCCCCUCCCCCAUCAACGAGAGGAGCAUCCGGUGCCCCCGCCCUCGAGUUCGUCGACGGCGCCGUCCUCCAGCCGCAGCCGCCGCAGAUACAGAGCCCCCGAUUCCAUCUUCCCCCUCGCCCCCAUUUUUUUCCUCGAUCCAACCCAUCUUUCAGAUGCAACUCUGUGAUCUCCAUCUUUCAGAUGUUAUAGUGUACAGGAGCAACUUUGCACCAAUGCAUGAUUCUAGUUAAAGUGCCAAACAUUUUUAAACAAAUGAAUUUUUUUGCAAUUUGACAUGAUUACUUUGAUCUUCUAGAUGCUUCAGUCUCAUUGUAGAUUGAAUUUUUUCAUGCCAUACAUCUGUGUUGUGCUUCAUAGGCAGCAACAAUCGUUCUUAUCAAUUUCACAGGCUAGUUUCCAACAAACAAAGCCUAUGCUUAUGAAGAAUAAAUCAGCUGAAAUGAGAUACUGAUCCUUUUUUACUUUGUUUGUUCAGAUUGUUGGAAAUUUUAAGCCCUCAAUCACUGAAGGCCACUGUAGUUCUUUGAAUUCAACCAUUUAGGUGAGCUACAACUAGGAGGAUUUUGGAGUAGUACUCUGAAACUGUUGCUGUUAGAACAUGCUGUUACUUGCUGUCAGUUAACUGAAUCAGUACAAAACUCUAGUGUAUUUUCUUCAGUCCCUAACUGACAACACAAUUUCUUCAGUCUAGUGAUGCAGCAAUUUCUUUAGUCUAGUGUAAAUGUAACUGACUACUGGUCAAAUACUCUAGUGUAUUUAGUGUAAAUCUAGUCUGAAACUAGUAGAGCUCUUGGUGAUUUGCAAAUUCAGUUUAAAUAAAAAUUUGGUACAUGACUACUGAUCAUGUAUGAAAGAUGUUGCUACUGGAUGAGCACAAGAACUACUCAAUAGAUAAUUGAUUUUGUAGAACAAGUCUUGUUGGCAGUCUUGAACCAAUAGAUAAUCUUAACUGAAAUUUGACCAUGUCUUGUUGCCAGCCCUAAUGAAAAAAGCAACUGAAUUUCCAACAACCUGCUAGGUAGAACAAUCCAUUUCCAACAACCUGCUAGGUAGAACAAUCCAUUACUACAUGAUUGCAACUGAAUUGUCAACUCUAUGUACUAUGUAUGCUGUGGCAUGUGGUGUGGUCCGAGUGAUCAGGUUUCAAGUGAUUUUGAAUUUUUAUGAUUUUUAUGCACAUAUAUAUGUGUAUGAUGAUCCUCCUUUCCUGCAGUAGUAUAACUAGGAUAUAUACCAAAAAAGAUUGUUAUAUUCCUCCCUGGUACAAUAAAUAAUAAACUAAAAUAGUUCCUCGUACAAAAAGAAUAAACUAUACAUAGUUCAUUUCUUCAUCUUUGAAUUGUUUCAGAAAUUGGUAUGACCAAAGAUGCUAUUGUAUAUAAAUUGGCUGUUGUAGAACUGUUCUUCAUCUUUACAGUGCUGUUGUAUAGAAAUAUGCUGAAUUUUCUACUCUGAUUGUUGCUCAAAGAAAUUUAGCAAAAAAAAAAGGGGUCCUGGGAGACGCCGCUGCUGCUUGAGGCCCUUGAGAGGCCCUUCGUGUCGUGAUGAUUUUGCAGGUACCCCGAGAGGCCCUUGAGUUUGCCAGAAUGUCGAUUAACUUCCGUUCCGGCAAAUUCGGGUACUCCAUAUGUCCUAUUUUCAGCAAAGUUCAUGCUGAAUUUUUCCGUGAAUUUUAGCAUGACUUUGCUAAAAAUCGGACAUAUGAGGUACUUGCUACUAAUGCAUGGGCCGGCGUAUCUUAGUACUUAAUUAAGUAGGAUCAACUGCCCCUUUAUUCUUGCUGUAUUAAACCAUAGGUGGCAAUAGAGCCAAGUGAUUAGUGCCAAGUGAUUAGGCCCAACCUAGGGUGCCUCGGCAUCGAUAAACCCUAAAUGAUGAAAACUUAACUUGGCUGCCCCGGACGCCUCUGUGUCGAUGAGAACCUAAAUGAUGUACGCUUAGGCUUUUAGGGUGCCUCGGCGUCGACAAACUCUAAAUGAUGAAAGCUUAGGCUUUUAGAGUGCCUCGGUGUCGACAAACCCUAAAUGAUGAGACCAUGAUCUUGUUUCUUGACAAUAACCAACUUUUUAACCAAACUUUUUUCCUAUUUAGAGAGAGCCAUGGCCCACAACAAUGAGGCCGAUGGUUCGGGCGGCAAGCAAUUCUGGGAGCUGUCCCAGGAGAUGGAGGAACAACCUCACCGCUAUGAGGACGCCGCGGAAGACACCGAUCCUGAUUACACAACCCCUAGUGGCGUCGGGGAUGACACCACUGAUGGUGCCGCCGAGGAUGCCACCACUGAUGAUGGCGGCGCACACACAGAUGGCAGCCAAUCGAAGAAGCAAAGGAAGGACCGGCGUCCGAAUGCGCUCCGCACGUCAAGGAGGAAUUCACUCAAGUGGACUCCGACGAGAAUCCAACGGAGCCCAAACAUAUAGUCAAGGGGUACUCGGUUCAGCUCGGGUGCAUUCUCCGGAGCACCGUCUCGAUCAACACCGAGAACCUUAGGCAUAAGGACCGAGGGAAUUUGCGCAACCUCCUCUUCACGAAGCUGCACGAACGAUACAAGUUCCCCGCCGAAUUUGAAAACACACGCCUCUCAGGGAAUAAAGUGAAUAGUGCCGCCCUCACGAAGAUGAGCACGACCCUGUCUACUUGGAGAAGCGCGGUGAAGAAAAUGAUUGAUAAAGGUGAUAGUUAUGAGAAGAUCAAGGCGAAAUAUCCUUUGAUGAGCGAAGAUGAGUACAAGGAGUUUGAGAUCAAGUGCUCGAGCAGUGCAACCUCCGAAUCAAGUCAGUGGGGGAAAGAAAUGCGGGAGUUGAACUUAGGGGAACACAAACUCGGUCCCGGCGGUUACAGAGUGGCGGAGCCUAUAUGGGACAAGGAGGACGCGGAGCGUGCCGAGCAAGGCCUACCGCCCCGCUUCGAGAAAUACAGCGGAACAAGCAGACCAGGAACUAUGUCAGGGCCCGGUACAAGGAGGACCCGAUAACAAAGGAGCUUACCACGGAUUCGAAGACCAGGGCGCUUGAGCUUGUUCUGGUAAGGAAUACACCCCCGCGUAAUUAGCUCCAUAUGGUUGCACUCUAAUUAAUCCCCAUUAUUUCUAAAUGGUUCACAUUCCUUUCGCAGGACACUGAAAGCAGUAGCGCGGGGUCGUCUCAGAGCUCCCCUUUCGACACCCCUUUAAAUACGGCGUUGAACAUAAUGAAAAACAAGGAUAAGCUCACUAAGCCGACGUCAGCUGGUCGUGUGGCCGGCAAAGGCUUGUCCACAAAAUGGGGGUCAUACUAUACCGCUGAUGUGCGGAAGGAGAAAAAGGCCAGCUCGGAAAGCCAGACGCGCGAGGUUGAAGCACUCAAGGCACAAGUGGCGCGGAUUCCGGAGCUUGUCCAAGAGCAAGUGGAACAACAACUGGGAACGAAGCUCAACGCCAUGGUGCCUACGUUGAUUCAUGGGCUGACGAUGUGGAUUGCGGGCGGCCAACAGGGGCCUCCCCCGGUUCCCAGCUUCACGGCCAGCAACUCACACAGCGCGCAGGCGGCGCCAUUGGUGUCUCCGGCGGCGCCGCCAUUGGUGUCUCCGUCGGAGGCGGUAUUCGUGUCUUCGGCGCCGGCACGGGCAUUGGAGCUUAAUGCACCCGGGUGUACGCCGGCCGGCACCUUGCCAGCAAGCGCCCCCUCCGUCAGUUGCACGCCCGCCGUUGGCGGUGCCUCGACAUUAGCCGAGCUCGACGGCAUCACGGUAACUAAGCCUCUCGGCCGAUGACUUCAUCUCCUUGCCUUUGAUUGGGCAUCCCUGACACCCUGUACAUGUUUUCGCAGGGCACCGCUGACAUUCCUUGCACUCUUCUGCACUUCGUGGGUGCCGAGUUGGUCGAUGUCGCCAAGGGCAGAAUCGUUCAACCGGGCAACCCCAUGUUCCACGGUAAUCCGAUGCCACCCACAAUGUAUAAGGUUGAAGUGGUUCGGGUGCUGCCAGGCUGCGACGAGCUGCUACCUCCGGUUCGACCCGCUGGGGCCGACGAAGAAGAUGAGAUGACCCUCAGCGCCUGCGUAAACUGGCCCCUGCUUUGGCCGAAGAGCCAGAUUCGUUUGGGGGCAGGGGACACCACCCCACAGACAAGACCGCCAGUCGUGCCGGCGCCAAGCCAUGGCAAGAACGCUGCAACGUUACCGGACCUGCCAGACUUCCCUAUGUCGGACAUCCCUAUGGCACAGGAUCCGGACAGCCCUAUGGCACAGGAUCCGGACGACGACGACAACGACGACGGUACAUUUACCAAAGUCGAUAAGUACUUUGCCGAACAUGGGUACGCUGACGAGUUCUAUGGGCCUCUUUCUCAAGAACCCAACCAAGACGACCGCAAUCUAGCUGGUACGGCGGAGAAAUCCAAUUGCAAUAGGCGUCGUCUGGCGUUCAGUUCUCAGGAGACGCCUCUAGCUCCCGCCUUCACCGAGCCUCAGAUAGCUGAGGUGCGAAAUAUUAUCAGCCCCAACACGCUCAAGAAGGCGGUCUGUGAGCAGAACUCGGUCCCAUUACAGGAGAUCAAGAAGAAGGGACGGAAACGAAAGACUAACAAGGGCGCCGCUGCGAGCCAUCCGGCACCGAGUUCGAUCCGUGCUCAGGACGGGCCACCUUCACCUAAGGAUAUCUCGAGGAGGGUGCAUGUGGCAGGUAGGGCGAUGCUACUACCAAAUAUGCUGAAUGCUGCAACCGGUGCUAUGCGGAGUCUGCACGACAGUGUUCUUUCUUUGGAGAAGCGACGUCUCAGAGAGAAGGAUGUGGCAUACCUGGUUUUCGUGGCCAAGGUGCCAGAGGGCAAGGGCUUUGUGGAUGGCGACAUCGGGGGUACGAUCGUCCUGCGGUUUGAUGACAUCUUUGCUAUGUUUAAACUUCAUCCGCUGCACUACACCUUCGUUCGGCUAUUUUCGCUGAGUAUGGAGAUGCGGAUCAUUAGAGACAAGACCCCGGACAUCGUGAUAGUCGACCCCUUCUACAUGUGUGCCAAGCACUUGAGCAGCGUUGGGGACCGCCAAGUUGCGAGUUCACACCUGAAGGCGUCAUUCUGGCAAACCCAAAUAAGGAUAACUUCCUUGUGGCUUACUUUCCCGAGUAAGUCAUCCCUUAACCGCCCCGUAACAUAUGAUUUCUUAGAUUUCGAUCGUUCUUUUUUUUUCUAACAUUCCGUGUUCUGUGCAGUGACACACAUUGCACACUCAUCCUCUUAAGCCCGAAAUAUUCCAUGGCCACGUAUUUCGACCCGAACCGUAACUCCAAGAUAGACUACACAAAUGUCAAGAAAGUUCUUGAUGAUGUUCUCCCAGGCUACGCCAAAUCUGGAGGCACCUUCACCAGGACUGUUUGUAAGUACGGCAAGCACAUGUUCUCACACACACUAGUAGAAAAAGGGUCAAACGUGAAGCACAUUAGUGCCGGUUUGUAUUAGAGCCGGCACAAAUGUAUACAUUAGUGCCGGUUCCAACAGCUAGCCGGGCCGCUCUCAUUAGUACCGGUUCGUGGCUAACCUUUAGCACCGGUUCGUGCCACGAACCGGUACUAAUGAGGGUGGUGGCAGGAUGUUGUCAGUCUGGGCCCCCUCCAGCACCUUUAGUACCGGUUCGUGCCACGAACCGGUACUAUAGGUCCUCCUGCAUAUAAACCCUUCGUCCAGCUCGCUCUGUUCUUCCCCCUUUCCCCUCUCCUCUCCUCUCUGUUCUUCCUCUUCCCCUCGAGCUCAUCACACAUUUUGCCCAAAAUUUGUCAAGAUUUGAAGGCCCCCAUCCAUUCAAGUGAUCACAAAGGUUAGCAACUUUGUCCUUUCAUCUCUCAUUGCUAGAUUAGCUCUUGCAAUGCUUUAUAUAGUUAUUAAUUUGUGAGUUUAGUAAUUUGGGAGGAAAUAUAUAUAUGUGCUAGUAUUUGAUUUAUAUGCAAUUUGAGGUCAAAAAUAACACUUAGUUUGCAUAUGUAGGUGUGGUUUACUUAGUGCCUUCUAAAACUCCGUCGUAACCAGCGUCGAUCGCCCGCACCGUCCCGUCGCCGGCACCACCUUGUGGUGAGCCUCUUGUUCAUGAAAUUUUAUAUAAAAAAUUGAUGUUUGUGUGAUUUGGAUAUAUAGUUAAUCAUGUAAUAAUUAUCUUACCCGUACGUUGUUUGUUAUACUUAGUGCCAUGGUUUCGAUAUCCGUCCCCGUCGGCCCUCGUCCUUGUUAUGAUUCGCAUGUGGUAUAUUCUCUUUUAAAACUAUUUGUUGCAUUUCAUGUUUAUGACAAAUUAUGCCCAUCAAGUUGACAUAGAUAUUUUUAUCUAGGAGGUAUGUGAACCGGAUAUUCCAACCGACCCUAUUGUCGAGAGGUUAAAUUUAGUUGAAAGAGAAAACGUGUACUUGGAAGAAAAAUUGAAAAUAAUUGAUGGGGAGAAGAUGGAAUUGGAGUUGCAUGUUGCCGAUGUCGUCGAUGAUCACAAGAUCAAGAUGGAGAAAAUGCGCUUGAAGAUUAGAAAGAUUAGAAAAUAUGCCAUCGAUAAUGAGGCUUGGUAUCAUUAUGCUGUUGGAUCAAUUGUUACCUUAGUUGCGAUCUUGGUCGCAUUUGUUGUUGCAUUUAAAUACUUUAGCUAGAGAGUUAUUUGUUUGCUGCAUUUAAGUGUUGUAUGAACUUUAUGUAUGAACUUGUAUUAAUUUGGUCUAUUCGGUGUUGUGUAAUGAAGAUGAGCUGGCAAUGGAUGUACGAUGACCGAUGCUCUCCCCAGUUUGUUGAGGGCGUGCAUACUUUUCUGCUUGCGGCUGAGACAAACAAGCGGGCGGAUGGUUUUAUGCCUUGUCCAUGUGCUGGCUGUAAGAAUGGUCACAAUUACUCUACGUCAAGAACCAUUCAUGUCCACCUGUUUGAGUCCGGUUUCAUGCCCCACUAUAAUGUUUGGACCAAGCACGGAGAAAGAGGGGUUAUGAUGGAAGACAAUGAAGAAGAAGAGGACGACGACAGCUAUCCUGGCCAUGGGUUCCCUGAAGACGAUGAUACAACAAUGGGGAAGAAGCUGAGCCGGUAAUGCGGGAAGAAACUGAGCCGGCAAUGCGGGAAGAAGCUGAAGAAGAGGCAUCAGAUGAGCCCGUUGAUGAUCUAGGUCGGGCCAUUGCCGAUGCAAAGAGAAACUGCGCAAGUGAUUUGGAGAAGAAGAAGUUGCAGCGCAUGUUAGAGGUGCGGGAGAAGCUCAUAGAAACGGAGCGCGUAGAAGCACUUCAAGAGGAAAUAGCGGGAUUUUUGCUCGACCAGGUCAUAAAUCCGAAGGGAGAAUUCUAUUACCCGCUACCGCUCCAUGAAAACCACUUCCAAUUGUCAUCGUGCUCCGAAGGCACCAAUUAGGCUAAUGCCACUGGCUCCGAAGGCAACAUUCAUAUGUAGGAGAAAUUGUAUAUAGAUAUACAUGUGUGUAUGUGUGAAUUAAUUAAUAUGGUGGUUUGUGAGACAUUGAUGAUACAUAUAUGCAUGAUUGGUUCUACUAGAAAUUCUNNNNNNNNNNNNNNNNNNNNNNNNNNNNNNNNNNNNNNNNNNNNNNNNNNNNNNNNNNNNNNNNNNNNNNNNNNNNNNNNNNNNNNNNNNNNNNNNNNNNNNNNNNNNNNNNNNNNNNNNNNNNNNNNNNNNNNNNNNNNNNNNNNNNNNNNNNNNNNNNNNNNNNNNNNNNNNNNNNNNNNNNNNNNNNNNNNNNNNNNNNNNNNNNNNNNNNNNNNNNNNNNNNNNNNNNNNNNNNNNNNNNNNNNNNNNNNNNNNNNNNNNNNNNNNNNNNNNNNNNNNNNNNNNNNNNNNNNNNNNNNNNNNNNNNNNNNNNNNNNNNNNNNNNNNNNNNNNNNNNNNNNNNNNNNNNNNNNNNNNNNNNNNNNNNNNNNNNNNNNNNNNNNNNNNNNNNNNNNNNNNNNNNNNNGUGUACAAUGUGUAGUAUCGUAAAAUACCAGCAAACGAAAAAGAAUUAAAAUGGAAACAUAAAAUUAAAUGAAAAAGAAAUCAUAAAACUAAAAAAAACCCAAACCUUAUAGUACCGGUUGGUCUUACCAACCGGUACUAAAGGGCUCCAGGCCCCCGGAGCUGGCUCGUGCCACGUGGUUGCCCUUUAGCACCGGUUCGUGCUGAACCGGUACUAAAGGGGGGGGGCUUUAGUGACGACAAUUUAGUGCCGGUUAUGUAACCGGCACUACAGGGCCUUACGGACCGGUGCUACUGCCCGGUUCUGCACUAGUGACAAUACGAAGUUCUGCUGCGUCAAGCAGCCGCCUUGCGGUCAGAAGGAUGCCUACUAUGCCCUCCAUCACAUGCGGGCGAUCGUAAGGGACCAUCAUCAACUUCUGCUACCAGAUAAUCUCAAAGAUUGGGCCGCGAACUUGUCGGCAAUCCAGGACGCGGACCUCAGACAAGAAUUCUUUCGCAUCCAGUCGGACUUUGCGGACAUCAUCCAUCAAGAUGUCCUUCAUACGUCGGGGCAGUUCUUCCUCAGAUAUCAACCGUCCAACAAUAAGAUAGAUGGAAUGCUACAAAUGCAGGGUGACAACGACCGCGAUUUCAUGACCAUCGCGACAGGCGGCGGCUUCAUCCACGCUCCUGUCCGAUGAGUCGAGUCGAAAGUAGUGAUGUGUAGUUCAGAAACAUUGAUUGGCUCAUGUUGUAAUUAAACUUUAAUGAAUUCGUAUGUCUCUUUGGUUUGGAGAGUCGUUCAACUUAGAUGUAAUCGAUGCUAUUUAUUAGUAGGACCAUGAAUCGUGCUAUUAAUAUCUUGCUUUUCUCUUCCGAUCCUUUUGUUGCAUACUUACAUAUUGCUUAUGUAUUGUCUGUUGUUUGGCUUGUGCAUAGAGAUGCCGUCGUAUGUCGUGUACAAGGGUAAGGUUCCCGGAGUCUACGACGACUGGGAGGAGUGUCGGAGACAGGUUCACCGUUUCAGCGGUAACAGUUACAAAGGGUACACCACUAGGGCGGAGGCCGAAUCUAGAUACGCCCGCUAUCUAGCGGGAGAGAGAGGAGGGAGCGUUGGAGGAACCGGAUGAAGAUCAGUUUGAUCGCGAUGAUGCUCAUCGUGAUGACCACAACUCUCUUCUAUGUGAUGGUAGUUUAGAUGGUCGAUAUCGACUUGUAAUGUGAAGACAAACUCGCUACUCGCGGUCUCGAGACUUGUAGUGUUCUAUCUUUGUUCGGUCUUUUGAAUUCGGAGACUAAUAUGAUGAUUUGUAUUCGGAGAUUAAUCUUCUAUUGUAUUCGAUGAAUCUGCUGUUGUUGUGGGGUGUUGUCUAAAUUCUGUCCAAUAAUAUAUUUUGUAACCGGUGAAAAUAUCAGAAAAGAAAAAAAGUCCCUAAUAUUCAUACUAGUGGCGCAGCACACAAGACACUAAUGGCGCACUGAGAUAAUCACACUAAUGGCGCAUCACACGCUGGUGCGCCAUUAGUAUGCCAAAGCACAUGGGUACAUAUGGCCCCCUGGGAGGAAUUCUAAUGGCAUACUGUGGGCAAUACUAAUGGCGCACUAGGUGGUGCGCCAUUAGAACACCAGAUACUAAUGGCCCGGUGAAUUCUAAUGGCGUGAUGCUACUAGGAAAAGGCAUGCUAGUGGUGCAUCAGUAGUGCGCCAUUAGAAGGCAAAACUGGUCCGCCACUAGCAUGCCUUUUCCUAGUAGUGAAUGACAAGGGACGACACGCUGACAUAAGGAGCAAUUUAAGCUCCGCCUUCACAGGCUUCAGCAGUAGAACAUGACGUUCUUCACAUUGUCCUUGAGGGCUGGAAGGGGCUUAACAGCUGCACCGCCGGGGGCCCGAGUACCGCGCGACGCCGACGAGCCGGACGUCGGUCCACGCCCACCGGGCCCACUUGCCAUAGAGCCACUGUCAGAGCUCUCUGGCUCCAUGUAGAACCGGGCGCGGAAGGCGGCCAGAUGAGCAUAGUAUGCAGGUGGAACUGCAAUGGAACAAUUCAGGAAAGAUGGCGGCUUCAGUAAGGAGACAAAGUAGUGGAAAUAUUGUUCACCGAAACAAGGCAGUAGAACUUUGGCAGUGAUCCCUGGAAGAAGGUGACUUACCAAUCGACACCGAGCGAGUGCACCUCGCGUAGCUGCAGGAGUGGUUCAAGUUAGAAAUGAACUUUCUAAAAAAAGAAUUAAGACAGAGAGGGUGCUUAGGUGUAGCAGAGGUUGUUGGUGAGAGUCUGCAACCCAUCAGCUGUGAAGUUGUUCUCGUCCCACAAGACGUGAUAAUGAGCGGGACGGCUGGUGCCCUAGAGACAAGAGAAUAUUACAUUAUAUAGAUUGUUUGUUGCACCCGUAGAUCAGAAAACCAGAUGUAAGCAAAUUCUGUCUGGUUGUUUACCUUGAUGCCAGCAUGACUGCACAAUUAGAAGUCGAAUUCAGUCGGAUGACAGAUCUUCGUGUCCACAACCGUACCUUCAGAUGUAGAGUAUUCGGGAAGGAGGCCCGUUUCAGAUCAAUCAGCAGCAGCAGAGUACAUUGGUGAGAAUAUAGUAGCAAUAUAUGAUGUGAGUUGUUUAUAAAAUUUACGUACCAAGGAGUAUGUUCCCACUCCUGUCCAUCGAGUUCUUAUCAUUGUGAUUGUGCGCAAAUAGUCUCGUGUGGUGGCGUUUCUGAACCACGGUGAAAGUCACCUGUGGCUGGUAGUUUGCCUCCAGGGAAGCACAGGCCUGACUCACACACAAUGAGAUCAGAAUUUAAUGGAAACAUCUGAGUACGGAUAAAUAAAGAACUGGAUGGAAAAGUAGGUACUUACUUUUCGGAUCGCAUUGAGUUCAAACAACAGAACUUGGUAAAACUGGCCCUCGCUAACGCCAUCCCUGGUAAACGUAUACAAGACAGGGCAUUAGUGAAAGCAGACAGCACAUGACCUGGUGUUAUCUGAUUGGGCAUGCACAAACCUGUAGAAUAUUAUCCGCUGGGGCUUCUCACCGGUUGAUUUCUUAAAGGAUAUAAGUAGCUCCCUGCAUUUUUGUAUUGUAAUGAAUUGUUGGCGAUGUUCAUAAGGAAUAGCUAUUUAAAAAAAAUGAGCAGUGUACCUAAUCAUGCCACUACUGACUGGUCCUUUCUGUGGAUCUUGCCGGACCUUGUACAAAUCCUCUAUCAGCUCUUGCUGGUGCGCCUGAGCAGAAACUAACCCCGCGUACCUCGUAACCUCCGGCCAAUCUUGGGAGGCUACUACCUACAAGACAGCAUACAGUGACUCAUCAGCAGAGUACCUAAAAUCUCUUGCCAAAAAAAUAGUCAAGACUCAAGAACAGGUACUCAGGUACUAGUAUUUUCCAACUUACAGCAGCGAUUGAGGGACUGCUGUCCUCGCCAGGAUGAAGAUGGGUCACAUCAGCACCGAAUAUGAUUGUAGGUUUGUCAGUGACCAGAGGGAUACGCCGCGACAAUGCAUCCACCAGCACAGUGUUCCUGCCCCCCACCUUAAUUACAGAAUAAGCGAAAACAGGAUAAGGAACAUGGAACAAAGAUGUAAAUUGUGAAGAAAAGCAGCAUCAGGGCAAACUAACCUUGACGUUUAUCUUCAGUGCAAUAUUGGCAUAAAUUUGCUUGUUCAGUUUAAACACCUGCUUUGUGCAACAGCAUUGCGAAACUAUUCCGAGAUCGAUUUCGCACACACGCUUCAGAUCACCUAGCAUCAGAUAAAGAAACAAGUAACUGUAACAACGAACAUCAUGAACAGUAAAGUUAGGAAGGUUUGCAUUUAUCAGAUACCAUAAAGCGAGCCGUUGUUAUCAGGAAGGAUCCCAAUAAGCAGAUCGAGCUCCCGGCGCUGGGGGUCCAAGAAUGUUCAUUGCUUCAUGGUACCGAGCUUUGAGAGCUCGCUCCACUUGAUCCGGGCGUGCACCCAUGGGUGGAAGAACAGACUCCAGAGCGAAGUCCUAUCAUGAUGAUGCAUGAUACUGUUACUGUUGCAGAAAACUAGAUGGAGAAGACUGAAGUACAAAGCCUACGAUUCAUGUUGAUGCUUUUAUAUCUAUGGAUCUUGGUGAGAUUUCUUCAUGUUAACUUUGCAGGAAGCAUGCCAAGAAUACUUUCCAUUCCCGAGUCUUGGCACAUCUGAGCAAGCUUGUCUGGCACGUUACGGGCAAAAUUGACGCACAUCCAGCUUCUGACUUUACCACCAUUGAUCAUUUUCUGGUUAUGAAAAAUGAAAAGGGGCAAUAGAUAUUUAUGGAGAAUAAACAAAUAAAAAGAUAGCCUUUGCUCCCGAAACAAAAGAUGAGUGAACUUUGUGAACAGAAGAAUAUUCAUGUGAUUACCUUGUUCAUCAUAUUCCACUGACCAACUUUAGGUAAACAAUCCUUUUCUCUACCAGUCUCGUUGUACUUAAGCUGCAUCAAGAGAAAAAGGCGGCAAAAAGCAUCACUUUCUGUACAGCCAAUGAGCCAAAGGAAGGAUGCCCCAUACGCUCAGCGCAACUGCACUGCCGGGAGAUGACCGAGGGUACGGCGGCGAAAUAGCGAGUAAAGUUCACAAUAAGUGGGACGGCCUACCCGUGGGGCCGGUAAAAUCCGUGCAUCCACUGAUGCCAGACGAUCGCUGAUCUUAAUGCCAAACUCCUUCCAUAAGGAUCCUCCUGAUAAGCAUUAUGUUUGACCAUCUGUGUUUCUAAUAAACAGAACAAAAAAAGAGAGGCAAGAGUUACAUACUGAAGUUGCACAAACAACUGUACGAAGAAACACGUCAGACAUGAAAAGCAAGAAACUUCAUGCCUGGGUUAUAUCACGCUCCCGGUCACGCGGGUACUGACAUGUCUCAUCCAAGAGAGCUCUUAUCUGAUUCUGAUUUAGUUGUGGAAUUUGUGGAAGCGUCUCAACCCCCAACAUGGGAGCCCGCAUGGUAUAUAUUGAUUGAGGCGAGGCCGACUCUCACAGAGGCAUACAAGUUUCGGUUGUUAACAACCAGAGAGAUUACAUGGAGAGAUAAGGAGAAUAUCAAGUUAAAGGAUAGCUAUGCUAACAACUAGAGAUCUCCUAACUACUCCAAGUCUUGGCUACCAAGCAAUGCUGCGCCGUGACACAUGUUGACACAUGUAUGUUUAACACUCCCCCAUAAUCACAACUAGCACAAGUUGAGAUUACGUUUGAACUCUUCAAAACCUUUGAAUGGCAAUGCCUUUGUGAACCCAUCUGCAAGCUGAUUUUUGGAAGGUAUAAAUCUGAUCUCAAGCUGUUUAUUGGCAACACGUUCUCUUACAAAAUGAAAGUCUAUUUCAAUGUGCUUUGUCCUGGCAUGGAAAACUGGAUUAGCAGAUAAAUAUGUAGCACCAAGAUUGUCACACCACAAACAAGGAGGCUGAAUCUGAGUCACUCCAAGUUCUCUAAGCAUAGACUGAACCCAAAUAAUUUCUGCCGUUGCAUUUGCUAAUGCUUUAUACUCUGCUUCUGUACUUGACCUGGAAACAGUAGCUUGUUUUCUUGCGCACCAUGAUAUCAAGUUAGGUCCAUAAAAGAUAGCAAAACCACCUGUUGACCUUCUGUCAUGUAAACAACCAGCCCAGUCUGCAUCUGAGAAGGCACUGACACGUGUGGAAGAUGACUUGCUGAAUGUAAGACCCAAGUGUAUAGUGCUUCUUAUGUACCUGAUAAUUCGUUUUGCAGCUGUCCAGUGAGCUGUGGUAGGUGCGUGAAGAUACUGACACACUUUAUUGACUGCAAAAGAAAUGUCAGGUCGAGUAAGAGUCAGGUACUGAAGUCCACCGACUAGACUCCUGUAACUUGUGAUAUCCUCUUGAUGCAGAGGCUGUCCUUCUGUCAAGGAUAAAGGUUCUGAACUAGACAAAGGUGUUGGUGAAGAUUUACAAUUCUGCAUGCCAAUUCUACUUAGCAGUUCAGUAGCAUACUUUGCCUGAGAUAGAUGAAUACCAUUACUAUGUUUCUUGACCUCAAUGCCCAAGAAGAAACGCAGGUCUCCCAAGUCCUUGAGUGCAAACUCAGAGCCUAGAUCCUUGAGUAAUGCUGUCACAGCUCCAUCAGAAGAACUAGUGACAAUUAUGUCAUCAACAUAUAUUAAAACAAAUAUGGAUGUUUUGUGCUUGUUAUAGAUGAACAAGGAGGUGUCAGAUUUUGAUGGAACAAAGCCAAGUGACUGGAGUUUCAUACUUAACCGUGAAUACCAUGCCCUGGGUGCCUGCUUCAACCCAUACAAGGCCUUAUCAAGCUUGCAGACAUAGGAUGGCGCAUCUUUAUCUUCAAACCCAGGAGGCUGUUUCAUGUACACUUCCUCUUACAGAACACCAUGAAGAAACGCGUUCUGAACAUCUAGCUGCCUCAGACUACAACCCCUGGACACAGCUAUUAAUAACACAAGACGGAUUGUUGCAGCUUUAACAACAGGACUGAACGUGUCCUCAUAAUCUAUUCCAUAUCUUUGCUUGAAGCCCUUGGCUACAAGUCUUGCCUUGUAUCUAUCUAUGGUGCCAUCACACUUCUUCUUGAUUCGAUAGACCCACUUACAAUCAAUCAGAUUUUUGCCUGGUCGAGGAGGCACCAGGUGCCAUGUUUUAUUUUUACGCAGCGCCGUGAUUUCAUCUUCCAUGGCCGCCUUCCACCUAGGAUCACCAAGUGCUGUCAUUAAACUGUUAGGUUCACCAGUUGUGCAGGACAUACCAAUUUUAGAGAAUUUUUUGUAAUUUAAACGAGUGGUAAUUCCCUUCUGUAGCCUGGUGCGCGGCGCCACAGGAGAAACCACAGGAGACGAAACCGCAGGAGAUCCACGGGUCGCAUCAGCCUCAGGUGCUGGCGACUCAGAUCCCGAGGAGGAUUGUGUCGCGCCUGUGGGCGACCGCCUCGGUGGUGAAGCGGCGGGCCCGGUCGAAUCUGGUGUAGUGGCGGGCCCUGGCGCAGUGGCGGGCCCUGGCGAAGCCGACGCGGACCAACCAGGUGAGGCGGGGUCGGGUGCGCGAGUAUCUGUCCGCCACGCGUCGUCAGGCGGUUGGCGCGGGGCAACGCCGUCGUUGUCCUGAUCACGCGCCCGCUCGAGGUGCUCGGGCCCCGAGGCACGACCAGGUGCUGCGCGCCCGGAUCCCAGAGAGGAUAUUGGGGCGGAUCCUCCUCGAUGUGCGUCCGUGUCGCCAGUCAGGGGGCACAUAAAAUCACGUCUGUUUGAACUGCAAUUUCCUUCUUCUUCUGAAUUUAAAUCUGCAGCAGUAAUCUCAGGCAUAACAUGAUGAUUAGAGGCAAGUUGGUCAGUACUAUUAUUCUCUCCACCAUGAUCAACGCCGGUUAAGGUAGAGGGCAACAGAAGAAUUUCUUUGCGAAGCAAAGCGCCGGCAUUUGGGUGGAGUUUAGCAAAGGGAAACACCGUUUCAUCAAAGACAACAUCUCGGGAUAUAUACACGCGUCCCGUGGCUACAUCAAGACACUUGACACCUUUAUGUUGUGCACUGUAGCCUAUGAAGACACAUUGUGUUGAUCGAAACAUAAGUUUCCUAUUAUUAUAGGGACGAAGGUUGGGCCAACAUGCGCAACCAAACACACGAAGAUGAGAAUACUCAGGCUUGAUAUGAAGUAGACGUUCAGUGGGUGUCUCAAAGUUGAUGACAGGACUAGGUAAAAUAUUUAUGAGGUGCACCGCGGUGAGGAACGCCUCAUCCCAGAACUUGAGUGGCAUGGAUGCUCCGGCAAGGAGGGAAAGACCAACAUCGACAAUGUGUCUAUGCUUGCGCUCCGCUGAACCAUUUUGUUGGUGAGCGUGAGGGCAAGAAACAUGAUGAGAAAUCCCUAUCCGUUGGAAAAAGGAGUUAAGUUUCUCGUAUUCCCCUCCCCAAUCUGAUUGCAUGGCAAGUAUUUUGCAAUUGAAUUGUCGUUCGACAAGAGCUUGAAAGUUAAGAAAGACUUGGAAAACAUCGGAGCAUUUCUUAAGGAGGUAUAUCCAUGUAUACUUGCUAAAGUCAUCGAUGAAACUCACGUAAUAGGUGUGCCGACCGACAGAGGAGGGGGCCGGUCCCCAUACAUCAGAAAACACAAGUUGCAAGGGUUUUGUUGAAACACUAUUGGAAAUGGGAUAUGGCAACUGGUGGCUUUUUGCUCUUUGGCAAGAGUCACAAAUAGUUUCAUGAUCAUGCUCGUCAACAAAUGCGAGCUUAUUUUUGCUAAGAAUUUGAUAAACAACGGAAAAAGAUGGGUGGCCUAAACGAUUAUGCCAUCGUUCUGAGGACACCUUGAAAGCUCCAUAUGCUUGCUUAUUGAACUUGGAAAUUGUGGGGAUCAACGGAUAGAGACCUUGCACACAUCUACCGCGAUAAAGCACCCUCCUCGUGACCUGAUCCUUGAUCAAAAAGAAGAAGGGAUGAAACUCUAUGAAGACACCAUUGUCAAGAGUAAUACGAUGAACUGACAGAAGAUUUUUUGAUGUAUUAGGAAUAUGCAGAACAUCAUCUACACGAAUAUCACGAUGUGAGGUUUGAAUAAUAGACUUGCUAACAUGACUUAUCAUCAUACCUGGACCGUUUUCAGCAGUGUGGACUUGAUCUUGGCCUUGGUACUUCUCGUGCAUGGUCAUCUUCUCAAGCUCAGAGGUGAUGUUCUCAUUUGAGCCAGAGUCAAGAUACCAGUUUGAGUCAACUCCGUAUGAGGCAUUUGCUGCGGCUGCAACACGCCUCCUUCUGGAAUUGUCCUCUGCAUACCGCCAUUUGCAUUCUUUUGCGAUAUGGUUAGUUUUCUUACAGAUUUGGCAUUUGUUUUCAUACUGCUCGUACCCCAUGAAGAGAGCGCCUUGAUUGUUGUUGUAGUAGUGGCGAGGGGGGCCGUUGUUGUUGUAGUAGCCCCCGCCGCCGCCGCCACGAUGGCCACCGCCUUGGCCACCGCUGUUGCCGUGGUUGUUGUAGCCGCCGCCACCACCAUGAUUGUAGGCGCCGCCACCAGCGCCAGGAUAGCCGCUGCUGGGGUUUUGGCCACCGCCGCCAGGAUAGCCCCCGCCACGGCCGCCGUGCUUCUGGUUUUGGUAGCCGCCUUUGCCUCCGCCCGAGCGACCUCUGGAGGUUGUGUUGGCCGAUGACUUGAAGCCACCGGCGCCGUUGAACAUCUCAACGCGCUGAUCGAAGUUGGCCACCAUGGAGAAGAGCGCGUCGACGGUGAUGGGCUCGGUGCGAACGUCGAGUGCGGAGAUGGUCGGUUGGUAUUCCAUGUCAAGCCCGGGGAUGAUGAAGGAGAUGAGCUCUCCCUCCCCAAGCGGCUUGCCCGCCGCCGCAAGCUCGUCAGAGAGGGCGCGCAUCUGCCCGAAGUAGGUGGAAGCAGAUUGAGAUCCCUUCUGGGCGUUGGUGAGGGCAGAUCUGAUGUUGUUCACGCGAGACAGGGAGACUGCAGAGAACAUGUUUGCUAAUGCCGCCCAGAUUGCAUGAGAUGAUUCAAGCGAAGCCACUUGAACCAGCACCUCCUUGGACAGAUUACGAAGGAGAUAUGCUACGAUUUGUUGAUCCUGAACUAACCAGGGAUUAUGGGCAGGAUUGGGAACUACCUGCUCCUUACCAUCUUUAUCUUUGCUAGUGAUUGUUUUGGGAGGCUCCUCUAUGGUUUGAUCUAUGUAGCCAAACAGGCCAGCGCCCAGUAUCUGGGAUCGCGCCUGGGCUCGCCAGAGAACGUAGUUCGUCCGGCUGAGAGGUUCUGAUGUGUUGUAGUUGAGGCCAGAGGAGGUGAUUGCGGUGGAGGAGGACAUGGCUGCGGCGUGAUGGAUUGAAGAUGGAGAGGAUGGAGAAGGAUGAGCUAGAUGCUAUGGAAGAGGCCUGCUCUAUAUACCAUGUCGAAUUUGUGGAAGCGUCUCAACCCCCAACAUGGGAGCCCGCAUGGUAUAUAUUGAUUAAGGCGAGGCCGACUCUCGCAGAGGCAUACAAGUUUCGGUUGUUAACAACCAGAGAGAUUACAUGGAGAGAUAAGGAGAAUAUCAAGUUAAAGGAUAGCUAUGCUAACAACUAGAGAUCUCCUAACUACUCCAAGUCUUGGCUACCAAGCAAUGCUGCGCCGUGACACAUGUUGACACAUGUAUGUUUAACAUUAGUCUCUUGGAGUACCUCUGUCCCUCCACUAUUUUGCAGACCUGAACAAGCUCGACUCUGUGUCAGAAACAUAUCCAAAUAAUGAAAAUGGUUUGAACAUUGAAUUGCUUUGGGCACUUGGCUUACCUCCAUAGGCAAGUAAUUUGGACGCUGCUGGUUGCCAACUUGGAGGCAGGGCAGGUACGUGUGCUGGAUGGCAAAGCCUUGCUGCCUUCAGUCGUUUGGCAUUUCGUUCAGUAGCAGAACAGCUAGUAUAUCUAGACUGCAGCCGAUUUGUGAACACUUCAUGAUGCAUGUAGUGGGCGUGCUGUUGCUAUCCUUGGUUCCUUGGUGCACACCUCUAUUAUUUAUAAUUUUGGUGUCCUUGGUGAUGCUUGUUUCUGCUCAAGUUGAAUUAGUACAGGCCCUGCGAAUUCCCUGUUUUCUGAUUUUAUACUCUGUUUGAAUUUAUACCUUGUUUUCUACUGAAAACCCCCUGUUUUCUGACCCCGCAAAAAAAAAACCCUGUUUUCUGAGACAAAUAUGCACAUGUACUACUUGAGACUUGAGAAUGACAUGCACGUGUACUGUUCCCGCGAAAUUGGCGAAAUGACUUAUUUUAAAGUUUGCUUUCCACAGAAAACCUCUUGGGCCAUCGUAUCUGUAACUGUUGAUGCAUGGCUAAUUUUCGCAGCAGGCUCACUUCCCAACAGUUUAAACAUCGUUAACCGUUUCUUUCGUUUCAAACAAGAGCUUGGCACAUCCCGGGUAAUUCUCUGUUUCUCCUUUCCACUCCUUUUUUGUUUCGUCGCUCACUUCAUCAUGGAUGCCGACCUCUUUAAGACAUGCCAGGGACUAGAUCUUUUUGCCACUGAAGUCAUUUAGAUCCUUGCGUAGGAUCUGGAGUGACUCGAUGCGCGACAGAGAUCCCUCUCGGAUUUCCAGCUCAGUUAUGACUUCCACCAGGACACAUAGGCGUAACAGGCAUCUGAAUUUAUCAAGUCUGAUGAUGAGCCUGUCCAGUUGAGUUGCGAUCAGCUUCAGGUACUCAGAGCUCGUGCACUUUGCUAAUGGCAGCAAGGAUGUCACCGCUCUGGUUAUCACCACGAACGACAAGCACAAUUUAGUGAGACCACACAACAUGAUAAUGAACCGAGGCAUCUGGCUGCAUUUGUUCGCUUGUGGCUUGAGUGACAUAAGGUAGUAGGAGUUAUGCUUAUCUUGGAGGAAAUUCAGCAAGUCUCGAGACUAUUCAUCACUGAUGUUCAGCGAGACUGAAAGAACUUUGUUUGGAUCAGUGCCUCUAUUGAUCAAAUCCUAGAUGGAUUUUGAGAUAUGACUCGAAUUGCAACUAUAAUCGGUGGUUGAUUCGCACCAUAUUUUCACCAUUGUCAGGUGCUUCACAUGCUCCAUUAUCUGUGUGCAACUUUGGCUCAUGUUGUCCAACAAAUCUGCCUAGCAUUUCCAAUUAACUUUUAUCAGGCAAUUCUGUAGCCUUCGCAUUCUCCGGCUUCCUUCAUUUUGUUGGAACUUGAACUUUACAAACAGAUGAAUUAAACAUGGCGGCUCCAUGAGUUGUUUGGACAAAAUCUCUUAUCUUGGUUUUCUUACAUACAGUGUCUCCAAUAAUUUGAGCUAUGACCGUAACAACUAGUUAGCAGUAAUGGCCGGAUCAAGGCCAGGCCAGGAGAUGAAACCUGACGAAGCGCACAUAGAUCAAUACUGCAAGAAAGACGCGCCUCCUAAGAAGCCCUGUGGAUUACAUUAUUAAUUAUCCUCGUGCAGUGCAGUCUACUCCACCGAGAAUCUCUUUAUUUUUUUAGUCUAGCAUCUAUUUGCGUUAAUUAAUUGCAUUCCCCAAGACUUUGUCUGGCUGCCUCUCUCAUGCCCUGAUCUGAUGCAGGUUGCCUUUGGAAGAGGGAUCAACAGGAUACUACCAAUCAAAGAGCUAGCGGUGAGAAGAGAGUGCUAGGGGUUCCUGAUUGAUUGAUGCUGCGAGAGUUGAUGGAGGAGGUGCAGAUUGUACCUCUCCUUGAGCAAAAGGUAUGAUCUCCACCUAAGGAUGAGGAUGAGGAGGAGGAGGCUGAGGAAUCUCCUCAAGUGCACAGCAGCGUCUUCUCCGAUCCAGGUCCUUCUACCAGAGGUGAGCCCGAGAUCAGGAGCUCAUCUCACUUGACUUGCUAAUGACUGCUUACAGCUAGAAAGGAUGUACUAUUUAAUUGCUUACAAUUCACCCCUGCAAACUAUGGAUUUCCGCAACCAAUUUCAUGAAAAAUGAGGACACAGCUUUAAUCUCCCCCCUUCUUCUAUGGGAUCUUUACUUGAUGUAAGGAUUGGCAAUGCUGCUUCGUGGCCAUGGCUCAUUAUUUUAUAAUUUUGACAGUAACAUGCAUUAUUUGUUAAUGAAUUAUAGCUUUGUUUUUGUAUGUUUAGAUGUUUUGAUCCGAGGAAAAGAGAUUGGGGCCCCUCCUUCACAAGGAUGCUCCAUGAGACCCCUUGUUGUGAAGCUGGAUAUGCUUAUGCAAGCUCCUCUUUCACAAGGAUGGUCCAACUCCAGGAGGGUCAAGAGGUUCAAGGACGGGAUGCGCCGCCUCAAAGAUGACGUUGAAAAGAUGGGCUCCUAGCUUGAUCAGCUGUCAGAGGUGGAGGACCCUCCCCUGGCAGCAAAUUGCUGGAUGAAUGAGGUGCGUAAUCUGUCUUAUGACAUGGAGGAUUACAUUGACAGCUUAAUAUUUGUGCGGCUUGAGCAUCCCUCCCUUGUUCCCAACAACAUCAAGACCACCUGGUCCGGCCUCAAAUUCAAACUCUGCCUCAAAUUCUACGGUCAUGCCAAGACUCCCAAGACUCAGCUUGUUAGUAUUGCGGAAACGCUAUCAGAAUUCAGGAUGUAUGUCCAGGUGGCGAUUGAACGGCACCAAAGAUACAGUCUUCAUUCUUGCAGCACAUUGAAGCGUAGGCUUGUGCCUACGCUUCCAAUUCCAACACUGUAUGAUGAAGAAGCUGUGCACAUCAUAAUCGAUGGUUGGAUUAAUGAAUUUAUCAACUCACUGGUAACUGAAGAAGUGGAGGAUCUAGAGCAGCAGCAGCUCAAGGUGGUAGCUCAGGUUUACGUGUAGCUUACCCGCAAAAAAAAAGGUUUAUGUGCAGCUUGGACCUGUUUGGGUGUUUUAUUUUCCGUACAACAGUAACAUUAAUCGUAGAGCUAAGAUAGAUCAAUUAUAUAGACCAGACGGUCAAGAUAUUUUUAAUGAUGUGGAUUAAUGUGGAAGCUCGUAUGAUGCAGCCAAUUAGUAAAUAUAUACUAGUCGUCAACCCAUGCGCCUGCACGGGCUAGGAACUACUCCACAUGAAGGCACUAUACAUACUCCAUGAUGGUACAUAUGUUAUAAUUGUAUGCUUCUAUGGAUAUUAUGUUAGUAAUUAAGGCAAAAUCGUAAAGAUGUCUAGUUCUCCAAAAAGGAUAUAAUUUAAUCAUAGUUAGAUUUCUAUAGGAUCAUGCAUAUAGAGUGGGCAUCAUUGAUUAUAAUGUGCCUACUGUCAAUGAAAACAUAACCGAAAAAAAGUAUGCAAUGAUACACACUCAACAUAACUAUUUUGCAACCACUUGAUAACUGAUUUUUUUGACACAUAUAAGAAAACAAUUCGCAUGUCUAUCACCAAUUGUUUCUCAGAAUUGUAUUGCCAAAAAUGAUGGAAACAAAUAAACGAAAAGGAGACAACUUGAGACAUAUUUUAAAAAAUCAAUGAAACGAACAAAAUAGCAGAAUAAAAAUAAAAGUUAGAUUAUACAUUCUCAAAUUUAAACCAAGGAAUGGUAAUCAUACGUAACUGCCUUAACCUAAAAAAAACCUAAAAAAACAUAUGCACACACGGCUGAAAUUGGCACUUAUAAUUUUUGGAUUGAUAUUAAUGGGCAAUUAUUAUUUUAAAAAUUCAUAAUAUAGGAAAAAGAUCUCACAUUUAUUAUAUGACAGCUAUGCAACAGAAUAACAAAUAGGUAUACAAAUCUCUAGGAUGUUUUUCUGAUAAACAAAGUGCUCUAUUGAUUUAACUGAAGGUAAUGAACGUAUGCCAACACGACAUUCUCAGAUUAUUAAAGAUGAUUUUGUUAUUAAAGGUGCAUGCACAACAACAAUUAUAUUAGUGUUUAAAGGAAAGAAAGAGAACACGCCAGGGAGAUGUUGGGGUUACUUUUGUUCAUGAGGUAGCAUCUUCUAAAUGACCUUGACUAUCAAAUUUAAAGGAAAGAAGUCAAGUUUUUUUUUUGUUUAUUCAGUACAAAGACGUGGGUGUUUUUUCUUUGCAGCUACCUUAGACAUGGUCGCCGUGGACCUUUUUUUUGUACGUAUGGGCUGUUAACUCCCUAGAAUAUCUCCCAUCCUCAACACACUCAAGAGAUUUUAGCGUUAGAGAGAAAGGACGUUAAAUGUAAAAAUAAUUUAUUUUUGACUAUUUUUUUGACGUGAGGUUUCAGGUCUAUUUUUAUGUACGUGCGUGGAUUUUGCUUUUUCAAAACUGAGAUUUGGACUCCUUUUUGACAUGGUGCUUCAAGACUUAUUAAUUUUUUUAGGGGAUUCCAGACUUAUUAUCUUCAUAUUUUUUUUGAAGCUUUAUCUUCGUAUUAUUUGAACACCAAUCUGUGUGUGUUUUGAAGGAAAGAAGGCAUGCUGUUUUUAUUUUUUUCAGAACGUAGAGGUGGGCUUUUUCUUUUGUACGUGUGAGCUGAAUCCUAGCACGUUCUAAUAUAUCUUGACCACCAAAUUUAAAGGAAAGAAACAUUUUUUUUACAGAGCCUAGACAUGUGUUUUUUCUUUUCUUUGCAACUAACUUAGAUGUGGGCGUUGACAACUUUUUUGUACGUAUGGGCUUAGUCCUAUUCAUGUACGUACGCGUUUUCUCUUUUGUUAUUGAGGCAGCGUCUUUUUAUUAGAUCUUGACCAUCAAAUUUAUAAUCAAUGGCUAAAUUAAUUUUGAUGAUGCGGAUUAACGUGGAGCUUAUUAUGGUGCCUCCAAUUACUAAAAAUGAAAAAGUAGUAUAUAUACUACCACAUAGUAGUAUAUGAGAAAUGGGUGUAGCUACACCCGGUAGUAGGAUGCAUAUAUAUGAGAAAUUGAAUUCAAAGUUUUCAUACCAUUUUGUUCUCAAUUCAUAUAAUGAUUUGACUUUAAUUUGGACUAACCUAUUGAUGAAGUGCAAGGAAAGCCAGAUGCAUGUGUAUCUGUCUGUUAAUUACAUGAUCUCUUGAAAUCCAAUUUUUUUUUCAAAUAAACUAUUUGCACAGACCUAAUUAUAAAGUGGAUGGUUCUGAUCAGCGAGUUUGAGAUGAGGUACAGAGCGGUGAAGUUGAAUGACCUUGCACAUGUGUUCCCAGUGGGCUCGGAUGUCUACUACACACCUUAUUCUUAUAGACUUGUAUUAUGCCUCCAAGCACAGAGUUUUGUAAUGCGGGAGGCGUAGGAUGAAGAUUGUCUCUCUCAAACAAUCCUGCGACCAAAUACAAGAAAUCUCUUGUGUCCCCAACACACACAAUACAAUGGAAAAUUGUAUAAGUGCACUAGUUCGACGAAGAGAUGGUGAUACAAGUGUAGUAUGGAUAAUAUAGGUUUUUGUAAUCUAAAAACAUAAAACAGCAAGGUAGGAAGUGAUAAAAUGGAGCACAAACGAUAUUGCAAUGCUUAAAAACAAGGCCCAGGGUUCAUACUUUCACUAGUGCAAUAUCUCAAUAGUGCUAACGUAAUUGAAUCAUAUAACAAUCCAUCAACAUGCAACAAAGAAUCACUCUAAAGUUCUUAUCUAGUGGAGAAUACGAUGGAAUUGUUGCGGGGUACGAAACCACCUCAAAGUUAUCUUUUUCGAUCAAUCUAUUGAGCCAUUCCUAUCAAGUGUCUGCUACUUCUUGAGCUUGCGUUGGUUUUUCCCUUGAAGAGCAAAGGGUGAUGAAGCAAAGUAGAGAUAAGUAUUUACCUCAGUUAAGAACCAAGGUAUCAAAUCUAGUAGUAGAACAAGCAAGUCCCGAAUCUAUGCACAUGCACAAACAAUCAAACACUUGCAACCCACGCGAUAAAAGGGUUGUCAAUCCUUCACGGUCACUUGCAAGGAUGAGAUCUGAUAGAGAUAGAUAUAAAAGAUUACUAAAACGUAAAACAAAAUAAAAGUAAAUAAAUUGCAGGAAGGUAUUUUUGGGCUUUUUGGUUUAUAGAUCUGAAAAUAUAUGAUGGAAAAUAGACCCGGGGGCCAUAGGUUUCACUAGAGGCUUCUCUCUUGAAGGCAAAUAAUACGGUGGGUGAACAAAUUACCGUCGAGCAAUUGAUAGAAAAGCGCAAAGUUAUGACGAUAUCCAGGGCAAUGAUUAUGCAUAUAGACAUCACGUCCGUGUCAAGUAAACCGAAACGAUUCUUCAUCUACUACUAUAAACGCCUUAAGUAAGAUGACAUGAUGUAGAGGGCUAAACUUAAGCAAUAUGAUGAAAACCCCAUCUUUUUUACCCUUGAUGGCAAAAAUACAAAUACGUGCCUCGCUACCCCUAUUUUGUCACUAGGUGAGGACAUCGCAAGAUUGGAGCCAAAACUAAGCACCUCUCCCAUUGCAAGAAGAACCAAUAUAGUUGGCCAAACCAAACCGAUAAUCAGGGCCGGUCCUGAAAUUUCGGGGGCCCGGGGCGAAACUAAAAACUCGGGCCCUUAACAUAAACUUUAUAUAAUACUCGAAAUGUAUUCAAUAAACACGUAAAUACGUCCAAAUGCAGUAUUAAUAUCAAUGAUUUAUAUGUGUUACCUUCAAAAGAAAUCUUGUUCCUUGGUAUAAAUUCAUUUAUGAUCAAUGUUAGGCUCAUCCAAUAAUUUCUUCUCUAUGCAUAUCGUUGCCAAAUCAUUCAAUCUCUCUUGUGUCAUUACUGAACUCAAAUAGUUCUUCAAUAAUUCAACUUUGAAAAGCUUAUUCAAGCUGAUGCGAUAGUCAUAUGUGCAGUAACUAAGAUGUGAUAAGCAAUGGAAACAUUAGGAUAAUAAUCAAACUCUAUCACAAGCUCAAAAAUCUUCAUAUCAGACAUUACGCCAUCUGGCAAAGUGAAUUUUAUAACCAUUAUUUGCAAAAUAAAAUCAUAUACCUCAACAUCAGAUGAACCAUUGAGAGACAAAGUUUAUGCAAUUUUUGUGUAACACUCUUGAAGUUCAAGAUCAUUGAAUGGCUUCAGUGUGCCGGCUCUCAAUAAAAAUCCGAAUAUAUCUUCAAACACCUUGAGUAUCGGCAAUUCAUCAUCUUGGUUCAUCAAAGCACUAGUAUACUCUUGAAUUUAUUUAUUUUGGCAAUAGCUCCUCUAUGUGAUUCCACGAAAAAGACCUCGGGUUGUUUCCUUUUUGUUUUAUUGCUACCAAAUGAGUACUUUUUGGACGACAUGAUAACACAAUGCUGAAAAUACAAAAAUUGUAUCAGAGGCUGCAUAGUGUUAAUUGAAGGUAAAUUACUUAAUUAGCAAAUAGCAACAUUUAAAGGAUUAGGGAAUAGGAAAUAGGGAAUGAUUAUUUGAUAUAUACCUAAUAUCAUGAAUUAGUCGAGAUCUCGUGGCGAUGAAACUUGGCGAUGACGCGAUGUACGUGUAUGCGUGCGUGAAGAAUGGAGAGUGAGGCGCUCGACGAUGUUGUGCGUGCUGCACCCCUGCGCCUCCGCUGCCGCAUGAGAUGGGAAUUGGGAGUUCUGGAUCAGGGGAAAAGAGAGUAUGUAAUUAGAGAUCUCACGAGCGUUUUUUAACGAAUGUCUCACGAUCAAAGGAAAACUGCAGUCUUUUUAGGCAAAUCAAAGGAAAUACGUGAGUACCCCAUCGCUAACGCUAACUGCAUGCGUACGCUGGGCCUUUUCUUUCUUAGAAUAGCGUACGCUGGGUUACCCCUUUUGAGAGAAGGUAGAAGUCCUUAUGGGCCACUUAUCUAUUUACAGCAUGAAUACCCUGGGAGGGGGCCCCUGUAUUUUGGGGGCCCGGGGCGGCCGCCCCCCCUGCCCCCCCUCAGGGCCGGCCCUGCCGAUAAUUCGAAGAAAAAUACAAAGAUAUCAAAUCAUGCAUAAGAAUUCAGAGAAGAUUCAAAUAAUAUUCAUAAAUAAUCUGAUCAUAAAUCAACAAUUCAUCGGAUCUCGACAAAAACACCGCAAAAGAAUAUUACAUCGGAUAGAUCUCCAAGAACAUCGAGGAGAACAUGGUAGUAAGAAUCAAAGAGAGAGAGAAGAAACCAUCUAGCUACUAUCAAUGGACCUGUAGGUCUGAGGUAAACUACUCACUGGUCAGUCUUGUGGAGCUCUUGGACAUUGUGCUUAAAAUUUCUGGUGCGCUAAAGGUGGAUUCUAAUAGUGGCGGAGCUACCACAAAAAGGUUGGGCGGGCCAUAGACUACAAAUUGUGUUAUCAAAUUGAAAAUAAAUGCAGGAUGUUGCAUUUUACUCCCCAAUCCUUUGUUUGGUUCUAUAUGAUGGGGGAUUAUACGUGUGAAUUUGGGAUGGGGGUUUCUUCCCCAAGUACGUAUAGUAGAAAGGAUUGUUUCAGUUAGAGGUGAAAACACAAACUUACAGGAUGUUCGCUGACAGAAAGCACUAGUUAUCCUUUUUUGGUAAAGCACUAGUUAUCCCCCAAAUCUCCUCCCAAUCAUUCGGUUUGCUCCUCAACACGGCUGCUGCCCUAAUUUUUGGCCCUCCCCUUCAUACACGGCGGCCAGAUACAGAAAGCGUCAGAAACCCUAGCGAGGUACAGAACAGAGCACUUACAAAUCAAGCCGCCAUGACUCGACCUCUGCCCCCUAAGACAAGACGCGGACGCCGGGGCAGGCGGGCAACCUCCUGCCGGUAGGACCAUCCAUCCUCAUCUCGCGCGUCGUUUCGUGGUCCCUGCUCUCUCGACUUCUCUGCUCAGGUGACGAACUGAGACGGAGACCGAAGCAGAGCACCAUGGUUACUCUUCUCUCUAGUAGUCUACUAAAAUAAUAUAGAUCUCUGCUUUGUUUUCUCUUGUAGGAGUAUACAUGGUCUAUUUGGGAAAGUUUGGCUGCCAGAGGUCAAAUCUUUUUAUUUUAGCGGCACUUCUUCUUUUAUUUUCCGUAGAUAUUAGGGCAUCUCCAACUCUGACCAUCCAAAACAGGCACUCUAUUUGUUCAUGGACUUGUCUGGAUCAAUCCGCCGACAUCAAUGCGGAAGCUGGCGAUCCAACCGCAUCCCCUAAACGUCGGGUCAAUUUGAAUUUCAAAUGCAUAGCAAUAGUAAGUUAAACGCCUGCCCAGGUCAUGGCUUCUUGGAUGGUGUACCAUCGAUGGACGAACGACUUUGUCCUACUCUGGCUGGUGGGUAUACGUGCUCGGCUGCAAGGUGUACAGGUUCGGCUGCAAGGUGCACGUGCCCGGCUAGGUGUAUGUGUCGGACUGUGUGAACGUGCCCGACUGCUGGCCGUGCAUCUCUGGCUUCGAGUCACCCACUUGCUGCAAUUCCAUGCCCACGAAGGGAAAAAGGCCCCGCGGCAUCUAGCAUGCAACCGUUUUGAUUGUUUGAGCAUUCGAUCUUUUGAACUUUAGGGGAUUUCAAAAUUUUGAAAUAUAACUUGUGGGAAUUUCAAAAGCUUGAUUUUUUUUUAAAUUUCAGAACUUAAGCAUCAUUCAGAAAGAUCAACUUAACAUCCGAGAGAGUGAGAGAGUGUGUUUGUCACGUGGUGGUCCCUCGUGAUUUUUCACACUUUCAUGUCACAAGGCACAUGGUGGGUUGAGAGAUUUGAUACCCACUGAACGCCUUGGGCGGUUGAGCUCACCCGCUCAAGGCCUAUGGGUGCGCUCUGUGCCAUUUGUCGCAUGCCACAGAACGCCUUGGGCGGGUGAGCGUGCCUACGUUUCAGAGACUCUUCCCGAUACUAAUAGUCGAAGAAGAGUACAUGUAUCUUUAUUUUUUUUUAAUGCGAGAGUACAUGUUUUUUUUUAGAAAAGGAGGAGGACCCCCGGCCUUUGCAUCUGGGCGAUGCAUACGACCACUUUAUUAAUUAUUCUCAUAAGACGUUACAAAGUCAUACAACAGUAAGACUAAAGCCGCCGUCUAAGCAACAAAUGUCGCUACACCUAUCCAGUUGAUGAAGGGGCCCAGAUAGCCUGGGCCUAAUACCAAACAGACAUCGCAGCCAAGCCUAACAUCUAAGACCUGAGACCCCAACCUAGCCACUUGCCGGGUCCGGGGCACACACUGGUCCGGCGUGCUCUCAGAGGCCGCCGCCGCCAACUGCCACCGGUCCAUCUUCAGAACUGUACUGAUGUAUAUUGGAUUCUCUAAGAUAUCAGAAACGAAGUACGCCUCCUUCCUAUCAAUCAAUCAAAAGUAUAUAAUACUCCUACCAGUUGAUCAGCAAUCAUGUAGGUAAGCCAUGAUACGAUCAGCUAGUACAUCCCACAAAAGGAAACCAGUCAUAUAAGUAUAUGGACAAGGAAAAGGUGGUGGGCUUUUGUAGAUCAAGAAUCCAAUGAGAUCUCUUCUCCAAUCCAAUUCCAGUGUUUCCAACUAAGUUAAUCGAGGUCACUUGAUAUAGAUAAGGCAGCAGGCACGACAGAAGAGGCUCAAGCACGUGAUGCACAGCGUGCGAUGCGUAUGAGAAAGACACGAAGAAGACUGAGAGAGACACAGCAAAGGCAACACUUCGCCUAGUCUCUUCUUGCCGGAACUCUAGCCACGGACACUCAUAGUCAUAUGCUACUCGGCUACGGCGUGGACGUGGACGAGCGAGACGUGUCCAAUAACAUUUGGUGUUAACCUACGUCGGGAUGCACUAACCUACUUUAAAGCAGUGCAAGCUUCCUCAAUCUCCAUGUACCUUUUCUUUACAUCAGAAUCCGUAGUUAACGGUUACGUAGAGAGAAACUGCUGCGAUCCGCACGCGAGGGGUGCAGCAGCAAUACUUCGAUGCCUCCAAGAAGGUAAACGACGGCCACUGCCAUCGCUCGUCACGACCACAAUCGAGACAGGGUUUUCACCCCAAGCUCCUAGCACCACCUCAUCCGCACAUCAUCUCACAACGGCGACCACCUAGAACAACCACUGAGGCAGCUCAGAGUCGAAGAUGCCCACCAUCAAAGUAGCGGAGACCGCCGACCAGCACCGACCGCUUGAUCCGCCAAUCACUGACUAAAGUCGGGUCACCAUACGGAUCAUGAUCAACCUCCAAUCCUUGCCGAGCACCACGCCACCACUUCUGGGUUUGAACUCGGGACAAGUGAUCACUUCUUCUAAAAGUGAAGAGGCAGUCAGUUUGAAAGAAAUUUGUGAAAAACAUAGACAAAUACCCGUUGGCGCAUACUCCUUCCAUGAGGAAUUACUUGUCGGGAAAAUGGAUGUAUCUAGACGUAUUUUUAUUCUAGAUACAUUCAUUUUUAUACAUUUCUGUGACAAGUAAUUCUAGACCGGGGAAGUAUUUGUUAGGAUAGUAACAUGAUGUUUUUUCAAAUUCUUAGUUGAUUUAUGCGAGAUCAUUAUAGGAUUACAUAUAAGAAUAUGGAACAUAUUACUAUUUUGUUUAUCCAAGUCUUUCAUGUCCCCUCGUCUUCAUCUCCUUUAUUUUUCUUCUUCCCUCGAUCUGACAUGUUAUAAUAUAUUUGUUGUAAUUUGUAAUGUAUCUAAAAAGUAAUUCUAUCAAGUUAGUUUCCGAGACUACUCUGCAUAUUUGAUUUUUAAGUCUUUUAGGAAGAAAAAAAACAUCAAUCAAUAGUAAAAAGAACGACAAAAUACAAUUCCUUCAGCUAGAAAGUAACAAUUGACAUAUUUAUUCACGGCCAUUCCAUUAGUUAAAGAUACCUAUGAGAGGAGCACUAGCUACAGCAAUGGAUCACAACAUUUCUUGCAUCAAGAGAGAGCGUAGAGACAAAUUACUCUCAUGCGUUGUAAUGGUUGUUUCUUCAUCCAUUGGGUUGGAGUAGAGAUAAAGAAAACACUCGACGGGGAAGUCAAUAUACAUCGAAUAUUCUGAGAGAUUUAUGUAACAUAGUUUAUGGAGAUGUGGAGUUUUUCCUUGUCCUGUUUACCGUAGAUACAAAAUGUUCUAGCUGCCAGUUAGCCAAGGUUGAGAUGCGACCUUGGGAGGUGCCAAAAUAACAUCGGAUGCUGCUGGUACUGAGUCGGGAUUCACAAGACGCUGCUUAGAAUAGAGUAUUGCGUUGGGGUGUAGUACUAACUUCUAUUAAAGCACUGCAAGCUUCCUCAAUCUCCAUGUAACUUCACAAGAUGCCUCCGCAGUUCACGGUUAAGCAGACAGAGAUUAUAUUGUUUAUCCACUGCUGCCGCGACACCCGCUCUGCAAAUUGUUAAACUUAGCUCCCGCUUCUCCGCCUAACUCGCCGAUCCAAGCAGCUGACAUUGUAGUAGUUUGCUGGCACGCAGAGCUUGCUACGGCAUCGAUCUGAACUGCUUGCCAGACUGCCAACUGUAGACAGACGACAGUGUUACAAUAGAUUGACUAGUCAGCUCAUGAGUCUUCCACGCCUUGCAUGUCGGCUCAUCAAUCCUGGCAGCUAGUGGUUCAUGGGUUUACUUCAACUUUGCAUGGAGUCGAAACUAGACUGUAUUAACGUUGAUUGGAGUAGCGAACUCAUAACUCUUUCACAGUACACCUACCAAAACUACAUUUUCCCAACUUUUUGGAUUUUGACUCUCUGGUACCUUGCCACCUGCUCUGCUAGUUGUUAAACUCCCCCUAGCUCGCCGAUCCAUGCGACGUCCAAAAAAAGUUGGUCCAUCCAAGCACUGUAUUAGUUUAGUGCUGGCCAAUUCAAGGCAGACAGUGUUGCAUUAGUUGUACUAAUCAACUCACCAAUCUUUCACGCCUAGCUGAUGAGCUCAUUAAUCCAAUCAGCUACUGGUGCACUAGUUUAAUUCCACUUUGCAUUGGCUCGAAACACACAACGUUAGCGUUGAACUUUUGAAAGUUGAAAACUUGCAGUGUUCUAGAAUUUCGAAAGUAGAGAUGCAAUGAUGCAUGCUUGUGUGAUUUAUUUUUGCAAAAGAAUCAAGGUAGGGUAGUCGCCUGACCUUGUCCUACGGGGUCCUCGCUAACAUGUUGGUGUAGCCUACGCCGAGGUGCACUAACCUACUUGAAAGCAGUGCAAGUUUCCUCAAUCUCCAUGUAACUUCACAAGAUGCCUCCGUAGUUCACGGUUACGGAGAGAGAAAUUGCAUUGAUUUUGGGGAAAUACAAACUAUUGUGCUCCACAAGCCGCCCUCUGACUUCAUGGUUAAAGUUGGCGCCGGUUUCUGCGCCUAGCUCGUCGAUCCAAAGCAGCUCACAUUGUAUUAGUUUAAGCUGGUAAGCAGAGUUUGGCACCGUAUCGAUAUGCACAAUGUGUCAGACUGCCAAAUCAAGAUACACAAUGUUACGUUAGAUGGACUAAUCAACUCGUGGAUCUUUCACACCUCGUCAACUCAUUGAUCCAAGCAGCUGGCGGUGCAUUUAGUUUACUUCACUGUGCAUUGAAUGGAAACACAAUGUCUCUUGAAUGGACUAUGAAUUCACAAGUCUUUCACAGUACAUGUACACCUGCUACCUUCUUUCUGGUUUAUUGGCCUCUUUCGUAAUUUUUGUCAAAUUAUGGCCAUAGAUUUUACUAACAAAAUUUUAAAGCAUGUCACAAAAUGUUAUAACAUUGGAUUCAUAUUCGAACAUAGUUUUGAAUUAUUUUUUUCUUAUGCAUAGUUUAUAUUUUAUUAGUUAAAAUCAUGGUGAAAAUAUGAAACUAAAUACGAGGGGCUGAUAAAUCAGGACGGAGGUAGUACCGAUACAACAUUUUCACAAUUUUUCAAUCUUCGCAUUCGAUAAAAUAAAAUCAGGCUCCAAUACUAUGAAUGAUGGAGGAUGAGAACUAAGGGUAGAUGAGAGCGGCCGGCAAGCUCAGCAGCAAUCAGACACUUCCGAGGGCUUAUAGGUGCUUGCCCCACUCCUAGCUCAAAUAGCAGGAGGAGCAAAAGGUAAAAUAUGUGAGGUGUGAACGCUUAUAUUAUACUCCCUCCAUCUUAAAAUAAGUGUCUCAACUUUGUACUAGUUCUAGUACAAAUUUGUACUAAGCUCAAGACACUUAUUUUGGGACGGAGGGAGUACUUAGUGUCUUGCAAAAUUUUUUUAAUUUGAUAAAUCUUUUUAAACAAUGUAAAAACCUAAAACGAACGUUUGAAAGUAACAAAUGGUACUCCUUCGACAAUUAAUUGGAUGGAGGGAGUAAGUUCGUAACCAUCCACACACGGGACAAUGUCGAUUGAAGAAGAUGAAUAAAAUGCAGUCAAAGCCCUUGCGACUUUAGCAGGCCUGGUCUAAUAGGCAACCUUAGGAGGGGUGAAAAACAGCAUGAAUGGUCUUGUCGCGGCCUUUCUUACAGCAUCUACAACUGGACACUUUACCUCCCCCCUAAACGUCUGGGCGGAACUCGAGUGAUGGAACAAAACUCACGGGAUGCAAAAAACGUAAAUUCAGAGGGAAAAUGGUGGCCCUUUGUAGGAUCAGGAAUCCAGUGAGAACUUAUCCAGUCUAAUCCCAGUGCUUCGAAAGAAACACAAAAUAAUUUGAUCGAGUCUAAUCCCAGUGCUUGGAAAGAAACACAAGAUAAUUUAAUGGAGCGCGCAUAGGGCCACAGGCAUAGCGUUUGAGGACGUAAUUUGUACAGUAAUAAAGAUAAGGCACAAGCACGUGAUGCAUAGCGUGUGAUGCAUGCGAGAAGGAGACGAAGAAGAGUGAGAGACACACAACAAAGCCACCACUUCGCUUAGUCUCGUCUGGCCGGAACUCUAGCCAUCGACACUCAUCUGCGGAUGAGGCCACCGGACAUGUAUGACCAUGGCGGCAGCUCGUCGUCCCGGCCGCGCGGCAAGGAGGAGCUGCAGCCGGAGGUGGUUCUCUACACGGCGUCAUCAGCUUCAGCGUCGCGCCGCAGAGCGCGCACCUCCGCCGGCCGCUACGCCUUGCGCGCGCUGCUGCAUGGCUACGGCCUGGCCGUGGACGAGCGCGACGUGUCCAGGAGCAAAGCGCAGCGCUGCGAGCUCAAGUCGUUGCUCGCGGCUCGGGGCUGCGCCUUCUCCCUCCCGCAGCUCCUCGUGGGCGGCCGGCUCGUCGGCGGCCCUGAGGAUGUUAGGCAGCUGCACCGGGCCGGCAGGCUGCGGCCUCUCCUGGACGCCGCCCCAAGGCCGAGCCCGGCCUUCGUCUGCCAAGCCUGUAAGAGGGUCGGCUCCGAGCCCUGCCCAAAGUGCAGCGAGUCCCGCAACAAGAUGCUGGAUCACGGCGUUAUUGCCGACGAGCAGGACAAGGUUGUCCUUUUUUAUCCAACCCAAGGUGACACUUCGCUUCGCUCCUUUCUACUCCCUCCGUUCCUAAAUACUUGUCUCUCUAGAGAUUUCAAAUGGUCACCACAUACGGAUGUAUAUAGACAUAUUUUAGAGUGUAGAUUCACUAUAUACAUCUAUAUACAUCCGUAUGUGGUGACCAUUUGAAAUCUCUAGAAAAACAAGUAUUUAGGAACGCAGGGAGUAACUCCUAUCCCUCUACUACAAAAAGAAAUGAAAAACCCCGAGAUUGAACUUGCUUAGAGAGCCGUUUCCUUUUCUUGAUGCUGACAUAACUCGAUCUGGUUGCGCAGCUCAUUUCUUCUGUUAGUUUGUAUUACAUGCAACAUCUGCUUGUGUAAACUAAAUCAUUCUUCCUUGUCUAUGUUUCUUUUUAGAUGUUUCAGCGGGAGGUAGAGGCAGAGAGAUGGAUGCGGGUUUCAGUGUUUCUCUGGGCGCCAUGAGACCCCUUCUUAAGAAGCUUGACAUGAUGCUAGGUCCUCAUGGAUGCAAGCUGAGCAAGGGGGUCAAUGAUAGGUCGCAGCUCCUCAAAGAUGAUCUUGAAGAAAUAGCCACAUACCUUGAAGAUCUGUUAGAGGUGGAGGACCCUCCCCUGGCGGCCAAGUGCUGGAUGAAACAGGCACAUGAGUUAUCUUAUGACAUCCUAGAUUGUAUUGACAACUUUGUGCCCCCUGAUCAGUCUCUUGGCUACAAAUUUGACCACAACAUGACUCAUGUUAAGAUUCCCAAGAGGCUCAAGUGGCAGAAACAGAUUGAAUAUGCAGCUCCUGAUGUGUCAGGACAUGUAAUCUCCAAAAUCAUCCGUGUUGAUGUAAUUUGUGCUCCCAGGAGGCUCAAGUGGUACCAGCAGAUUGUUGAAAAGGUAUCAGAAUUCAGGAUUUAUGCCCAGGAGGUGGUUCGACGGUAUGACAGAUACCAGGUCCACUGUUGUAGCACCUCGGUGGCAAGUAGAUUUUCGGCCAUUGGGCCUAUGAUGCCAAUGCCGCCACCGCCUUGUGAGAAAACUUGUUCCGGCCUAGUAAUUGAUGGUCGGAUGAGCAAGUUUAUCAACUCCCAGCUGGCUAAUGAUGAGAAUCGGCAGUUCAGGGUGGUGUCUAUUCACGGAUCUGGAUGUCUUGGUAAAACAAUGCUUGCCAAAGUGUUGUAUAAUAAAUUGGGGAGGCAAUUCCAUUACCGGGCUUUCAUCCGGGUGUCCAAAAAGCCUGAUAUGAAAAGGCUUUUCCGCGACAUGCUCUCACAAAUCCAGCGAAAGCAUCCCCAAGCAAGCGAAGACGCUUUUGAUGAACUUCACAUUACUGCUGAAAAUAUCAGGAAUUAUCUACAUGCCAAGAGGUACUUAUUUUCCACAUGCAAAUAGUAUGUAAUAGUUGUAUAGCAUAGUAUGUACUGCUUAUUUUCCACAUGGCCCAGAAUCGCAUGUAGAUUAAAUCCCUACAGGUGCAUGAUGAUAUAUAGUCCGUUUCUGAAAAGAUGUUUCUCAGACAAGCUUUACAGUGAGCUGAAAAAGCUUGAUAGCAAGCGUUAUAGUACAUGCCUGUCCAGUAACCGGACAUUAGUUUUACUCUUCAAGUCAGCACUAACUUGAUGCUGGUAGUAAUAUUUAACUUCAGGUUAAUACCAUAGGUCCUGGACAUGUAUGGACCAAAAUUUCAGUCUUUCCUAGUGUAUCUAACUGUUGUUACUGUUACCCGGACGCAUAAAUGUGACAUGUGUGCAUUCUUGACAUGCAGGUACCUAAUCGUUGUUGAUGAUUUAUGGGAUACGGCAGCAUGGGAUGUUAUUAAUCAGCUUUUCCCGAAGUGUAGUCAAGGAAGCAGAAUAAUAACAACUACACAGAUUGAAGACGUUGCAUUAGCAUGUUGCUGCGUUGACCCAGAACAAGUUUUUGAGAUGAAUCCUUUGGAUGAUGCUCACUCAAGGAAGCUAUUCUUUGGCAGGCUUUUUGGCUGUGAAAGUGACUGUCCUGAAGAACUGAAACAAGUUUCAAGCAAAAUUGUAGAAAUAUGUGGUGGUUUGCCACUAGCCACCAUCAGCAUUGCUAGUCUUUUAGCAAACCAGCCAAAAUUAUCAAUGGAUUUAUUGACACACGUACAUGAUUCCUUAAUCUCCUGUUUGUCAUCGAGUUCAACUUCAGAAAGAACGAGCAAAGUUCUGACGGUCAGUUACAACAGCCUUCCUCAUUACCUCAAGACAUGCUUGCUCCAACUUGGUAUGUACCCAGAGGGCUUCAUAAUCUUCAAACAUGACCUGGUCAGGCAAUGGGUGGCUGAAGGGUUUCUUGCUGCAAGUGAUGGGAAGAAUAUGGAAGAAGUUGCAGGGAUGUAUUUCGAUGAACUUGUUGAUAGAAGAUUCAUCCAACCUGUGUCUAUCAACUUCAACAAUGAGGGGGUGUCCUGCACAGUUCAUGCCAUAGUGCAUGAUUUUAUUGUGCACAAGUCUGCUGAAGAGAAUUUCCUUGUGGUAGUAGAUUACAAUCGAAAGAAUUUGGCACUUUCUCAUAUGGUCCGUCGACUGUCCCUCCAACUUGGUGAUGCAAAAUAUGCCAAGACACCAGCAAACAUCAGAAAGUCACAAGUACGUUCACUUGGAGUUUUUGCAUUAUCAGAGUGUAUGCCUUGCAUUGGAGAGUUCAACCUUGUUCGUGUUCUGAACCUUCAACUGUCUGGCCAUUAUAAUGGUGACCAAGACCUGACCAUAGACCUCACUGGGAUAUCCGAACUGUUCCAUCUUAUAUAUCUGAAGAUUGCUUGUGAUGUCUGCAUAAAACUUCCAAACCGUAUGAGAGGGCUGCAGUGUUUGGAAACUCUGGAUGUUAUGGAUACACCAAGAGGCACUCAUGUUCCAUGGGACAUUAUAUACCUCACACGCUUGUUGCACCUCAGUCUUCCUCCUGACACAAAUCUGCUGGAUUGGUCUUUCGAUGACGAUCUGAGCCUUUGCAGGCCGAACCACCUGCAGGAUCUUUGCAUUUCUACACCGCCUUCUUCUGAUUCUGACCAUCUGGAGAGAAACAUGUAUGCUCUAGAAUAUUUAAUGUAUGAACAUGAAAGCCUGAAAACUGUAAAACUGGUGACUCACGGAUCCUCGGUUAGCUAUGAUGACACUUCAAAAGAAAGAGUUUUGUGGGCGUUGGAUAUACCUAACCACCAUAUCCAGAGAUUUGAGGUCUCACCUCACAGCCCCGUCAUAUUUUCUGAAAUGCAUUCGUGGGAGAUCCAGUUUGGCAACCUAUGCAUUCUGAAGAUUGCAUUGAUGAACUAUCAGUAAAUGAUGUUGAUAUUCUUAGGGGGUUGCCUGCCCUCACUGCUCUGUCGUUGUAUGUGGAGAAGUCGCCUAAUAUCAAGAUAAUCUUUGGCACAGCUGCUGGAUUCACAGCUCUCAAGUACCUGAAGCUGAGGUUCAUGAGUGGAAUAGCUUGGCUAAUAUUUGAGGCGGACGCAAUGCCUAAUCUCUGGAAGCUCAGGCUAGUUUUCGAUGCCAUCCCCCAAAUGGAAAAACAACUUGAUCUUUAUUCAGAGGGUGACCGGUGGAAAAAAUACCGGCAUGGUAAUGCAUUAAUCAGCGUCGAGCAUAUGCCACGCCUUAGAGAGGUCUCCGCUAAAUUUGGGGGUGCAGCUGCUGAUCUAGAGUAUGUCUCCAGGAACUGCGUAGUUAGUAAUCAUCGGAGCAAUCCUAUAAUGGACGUGCAAUUAGUGGAUUCUGGUUCCCGUGGUGCUAAAAGGUAAAUGAUUGUUGUUGCUGUCGUAACUCUUCAGUUAUUCAAUUUAACCCGAUUUGACUAUUCAUGGUCUAAAUCUGCAGGAUAUCAUCGAGGUCACUGGAGUCAUCUUCGCGCCUGCAUCCUCCAGGUAUGCUUUUCUGUCAAUGGGAGUUCUAAUAGAGACGUGUCCGUCAUCCCCUUGCUCCAAAUCAAACAAACAAUUAGCAAAACGAUUGUUAACUUUUGUCAGGUGUAGCGGGUGGAGAGCAGCAGGAUGUGGUCUCGUGGAGCAAUACCAUUGGUGCGAUAGGUCGUGACCUCUUCAUCUAUUGCCUCCACCGUCUGUCCAGGUGGGACUAUGGCUCCAUCGCCUCCCUCAACCGCGACUUCAAUUUGGCGGUUCGCAGCGGGGACAUCUACCGCCUGCGUCGCAAGAAUGGGGUGGCGGAGCACUGGCUCUACCUCUCUAGCAAUCAUGAUUCCCACGAGUGGGAGGCUUAUGACCCGUCCACUGGGCGCUGGAUCCAAGUGCCCAACAUGCGAGCGUUUUGGAGGUCCAUCAUCUCGGGCUGGCAGUCGGUCGCUGUAGGAACCGAGCUGCUUGUGUUUGUAGACGGAAAGGCUGCCUUGAGAUAUAGCAUCCUUACCAAUUCAUGGACAGGGGUGGCUGAUGCGGUGAACAUCCCGCGGUACUCGUUUGGGUCAGCAAGUGUCGGUGAAAAGGCGUAUGUCGUGGGAGGCAUGGAUCUUUCUCUUAAUGUAUUGAGCUGCGCAGAGAUGUAUGACUCGGAGACACAUGCUUGGACACUCCUUCCCAGCAUGAAUAGGGCUAGGUCCAAAUGCUCUGGCGCGUUCAUGGAUGGCAAGUUCUAUGUGAUCGGUGGUCUUGCCGGUAGGUGGACGAAUGUAUUGACAUGCGGUGAGGAGUAUGACUUGAACCGGCGGUCAUGGAGGGUCAUCCACAACAUGUCUCUGGGGCUCAACGAGAUAAGCCACGGAGCUCCUCUGCUCCUUGCAGUUGUCAAGAAUGAGCUUUAUGCCGCUGAUUACAGUGAGAAUAAUGAUUUGAGGCAGUAUGAUAAGCUGGACAACAAGUGGAUCACUCUUGGAAAAUUGCCUGUACAGUCUAAGAAAAAUGGCUGGGACAUGGGUUUCCGAGCAUGUGGUGACCGGCUGAUUGUUAUUGGGCCUCCAAUCAACUCUACUGAUGAAAAGAUGGUUGAGCUUCAUUCAUGGAUCCCGGAUGAGCAACCGCCUGUGUGGAAUUUGGUUGCAACACGGCCAAUCAUGGGCUACGAGAUUCAGUGCGCCGUGAUGGGUUGCUGAGUCGGUCAACUGAAUAAAGGUUGGAUGCAUGCAUGCUAGAUAUGAGUAAGUUACUUACCUUGUACUCGCUUUGUAUAAUUUUUUCUUUAUCCGAUUUGCUCCGUGAUUUGAAUGACAGAUUUCUGUUCAUAUUUGCAUGCAGCGCUGGCUGUGCCUCAUUCUCAGUCUGAAUUUCCUGGGAGAGCUCCGCUGAUGAUACAAAAAGAGAAGACAUGAAUGAGUUCCAGAGAAAGUGCCUGCAGAAACAUCCGAGUUUUAGUCACUAGCUGUUAUUUCCAGUUGCAAUUUGUGUUCCAAUAAUGUUUCGACGCUUUCUACGAGAUUCAGUCAGCUGUUCUGAAAAUGUGUUUACUCGUAGUUUGGCAUAGAUUAAUUUGCUAUAAGAGUGUAAAAUCAUGAUUAAUUUUUCUUUCCAAUUGUUUAUUUUUCUUGAGUGAUUUGAACAACCUGCAACCGAAAAUAAGGAAAGGAUGAACAUGUUUUUCCUGCUUUUACUGCACUUGCAAUACUCGUGUUCUGUGUGACGCUGGGAUACAAACAGUGAAAUUCAUGUCUAGAUAUAGCUAGUAGCCUCAUACUGAUCGGCUCCUGAGUACAUGCAUACAAAUAAUGUGUACUGAUAAAGAUAGUACUGACUCUUGAAUACAUCUAGUUCCUCCAUUCAGUUACAGGAUCAUCUAUCUGUAUUAAGUUCCUGCAUUUUGCAGAGUUGUCAUUUUUCUAUUCCUUUUGGUUUCUGAUUGAAUGAAACUACUGCACAACCGAUCUUUUUAUCCCUAUCCCGUAUAAAUCGACAUCUUUUUAUCCCUAUUUCUGAACUAGAAAUUGGCACAUAAUGUGAAUGUGAGAAAGAAAAAAAAAUGCAGACUCCUCUGCUGCAGCGACUCCAUCAUAUGGACGGAGGGAGACCCUCACGCUAAUGGCGGAUGCUCGGCCACUAGUCUAAAUAUUGCGAGAAUCCCCACCUGAAUCGAGAGCAUCAUGAAUUCUCUCUCUGACUGAAUUUUCACCCUAUUCUUACUGAUAAUUACUGAAAAAAAAACCUUACAAUCCGAACUUCAAAAUUCAAAUGUAACAUCUCAUUUCCCCGUCGAUAAUAGAUCACCGAUCUGAGUGACAUCCGAGACGUAGCUAGGGUUUUUGAUGCCGUAUAUCGACUAUCACACAGUCUUGUGUGUAUUAUCCUCGUCCUUUUGUAUGUUAAAAGAAAGAAAGAGAGGGUAGAUAAGUACAUGAAGACUGAUCUAUAAGUGUGUGGAGGCAUCAAGGAGUUCAAGAGAAAGUGCAUGAAGAAACAUCUCAGGGCUUCCUGAGUUGCUUACUGUUGUUUUUGUUAUAAUUUUGGUGUGCAUUCAGAGUUUUGAUGCCUUCUGGAGGAGAGACUGAGAGAGAAAAGAGAGAAGGAGAGCAAGGCAACAGCAAGGCAAAUGGGAGGAAAUUGGGGCCUAAAUCCUAAUUGCUUUCUGCUGAGCAUCCUGUAGUACGUAGCUUUUGUUUUUAACUCUGAUCAAACUAAAUCCUUUUGCAUCCACAAGGAAGGAAGCAGAACAGUAUGUUUCAAGCUACUACUAGCAGUCCUUUUUUGCAUCUACCUGUCUAUGCUUUGUAAAGCAAAAUUUGGUUGAUGGAACAAGAAAUAGUAUUACUGUCAUGAAUACUUUCUUGCUUAUAAGGUACACCAAUUUGCAAUUGCCAUGAGUGCUUUGCUGAUUAUACGGUAAUCUUGUGGUGCUUAUCCUAGUAGUACUGCGGCUUCAGACGAUAACCCAACUACUAAUAUGCAUCUGCAUGUUGUUGCUCUGCUCUUCGCUACUGGGUGUGCCUACAUUGUCGCACCGUGCAUGAGCAGCAGUAGCCGCCGCUGCAGUAGGUGCGAGCAGAUUGAACAAGGGACAUACAGACACACACUAACCUUACCAAGUACAGUUAUAGCUAUCAAGAUGACCAAAGGAGACCGAAUCCCGCCGUCGACGGGAUGCGCGAAAUAAUCAGUACCCCUGAUGUCAGUAAUCGAGUUCAAGUUGAGUUACUUAAUUUGUCUCUGUCAUACGGUAGCGCGUUUAGCCGUCAGUUGAUUUGGAUUGUUCAUACACCUAUUUUUUCUUGAUACAAAGCACAGAGACACCUGAGGAUGUAGAGAUAUGUAGCUCAGGCUCACAGAGAAACCUGAAAUCUGAAGCUACAGGCAAGUACUCAGAGUUGAGAAAACAGAGCAAAAGCAGGGGAAAGCUAGCCACGAGCAAGCACAAUUGCAGCCUGCAUCUACAUGUAUCAGUUCUUAUUGCCCCAGUUCUGAAGCUACGGGAGCUUCACAGCUCGCUGAUAAUUGCAGGCUGGCGCAUUGGGUUUGCAAUCCAGGACCUUGUCUCAAAAGACAGACAAAAUUAACAACAUUAUCAUCAACGGAUGUCCGGUAAGUAAGCUUCACAACUCAAUUACUUGAGAAGAUGACACACAGGUAAUAACAAAUUCCAGCUGUCUUAGAUUCUUCCAAUGCUAUCCUAGUGAUGUACUCCCUCCGUUCCAAAAUAGAUGAAAGUUAGUACAAAGUAUGGAGGAACGUCGUGCCCAUCCUGGGCGACGGUUGCGUGUUUAUAUAGCCAGGUCGCGACCUCCUGGUAUAGCGUACAAGUUGGUUCAGAUUACAACUUGGAGAAGAAGAGAUAAGAGAGGUUACAAAGAUAAACGCAUAUGAGUUAGAUCCUAGUCUAUCUUCGGUUGGAGUCCUUGGCGAUGGUUUAUCUUCAGGACUCUGAAUCUCUGUCACGUACAGCACUAGGCGUUGCCAUAUUACGUUCAACAUCCUCCCUUAAUCACAACUUGGUCAAGUUGAGAUUACGCUUGAACUCUUCAAAAUUUUGUGUGGGCAAAGCUUUGGUGAAUCCAUCUGCAACCUGAUCACGAGAAUGAAUGAACCGAAUUUUCAACUGCUUGUUUGCAACUCGUUCUCUAACAAAGUGGAAAUCAAUCUCAAUAUGUUUUGUCCUUGCAUGAAACACAGGGUUAGCAGACAGGUAAGUAGCACCAAGAUUAUCACACCAUAAACAUGGAGCUUGGGUAGUCUUCACACCAAGCUCUCGUAGCAUGGACUGGACCCAAAUAAUUUCAGCUGUGGCAUUGGCCAAGGCCUUGUACUCAGCUUCAGUACUGGAUCUUGAUACAGUGGCUUGUUUCUUUGCACACCAUGAUAUUAAGUUUGGACCAAAGAAUACUGCAAAACCACCAGUAGAUCGUCUAUCAUCUAAACACCCUGCCCAGUCAGAAUCAGAGAAUGCACUAACAAGUGUAGAUGAAGACUUGUUGAAAGUGAGGCCUAGAUUAACUGUGUCCUUCACAUAUCUCACUAUACGUUUAGCAGCUGUCCAAUGAGUUAUAGUGGGUGCAUGAAGAAACUGACAAACCUUAUUUACUGCAAAUGAAAGAUCAGGUCUUGCCAAAGUCAGAUACUGAAGUGCACCUACCAAGCUCCUGUACCUGGUACUGUCAUCUUGACCCAAGGGCUUUCCUUCUGUAAGUGACAAUUUUUCUAUGCUGGACAGUGGAGUUGGUGAGGAUUUACAUCCUUGUAACCCAACUCUUCUUACCAGAUCAGUGGCAUACUUUUCCUGAGAAAGGUGAAGACUAUUUCCUUGUUUCUUGACUUCAAUCCCUAGGAAGAAGUGCAAGUCACCCAGAUCCUUGAGAGCAAACUCAGCAUUUAAAUCCUUCAACAUUCCUGAUAUAGCCUCAUUAGAUGAGCUUGUGACAAUAAUAUCAUCAACAUAUAUAAGAACGAAUAUUGUUGUUUUCAACUUGUUGUAAAUAAACAACGAUGUGUCAGACUUAGAAGGAACAAAGCCAAGAGUUUGCAAUUUGUGGCUUAAUCUAGAAUACCAUGCCCUAGGAGCUUGUUUGAGUCCAUAUAAUGCUUUAUCAAGCUUGCACACAUGGAACGGCUUAUUCUUGUUUUCAAAACCAGGAGGUUGUUUCAUAUAUACUUCCUCUUUCAGAACACCAUGAAGAAACGCAUUCUUGACGUCUAGCUGGCGAAGGCUCCAUCCCCUGGAAACAGCAAUAGAGAGCACAAGACGAAUAGUUGCAGCUUUAACAACUGGACUAAAGGUGUCCUCAUAGUCUAUACCAUACCGUUGUUUAAAACCCUUUGCAACUAGUCUGGCUUUGUAGCGAUCAAUGGUUCCAUCAGCCUUCUUUUUAAUUCUAAAUACCCACUUGCAAUCAAUCAAAUUUUUACCAUGCCGUGGCGGAACCAGAUGCCACGUUUUGUUUUGGAGAAGAGCCAUGUGUUCUUCCUCCAUGGCUGCCUUCCAAUUUUUGUCGCUGAGUGCCUCGCCAAGAGUACUUGGUUCAUCUGUGGAGCACAUUAAACUGAACUUUGUCAAUUGUUUGUAAUUAACUGGCUUUAUUACCCCUUUUUGGAGACGUGUCCGUGGAACAGCAGCAGGUGGUGAUGCAGAAAAUCCUGGGACGGCGGCGUCAGAAGAUCCCGUUAGAAUCCCCGCCUCGCUGCCAGCAGGAUCCUCUGCGCCAACGCGGUUGGGAGACGGUGUAGACGCGACGGAACCAGGCGCAGAAAAUCCUGUGCCGUGGGAGACAUCCAGCGCAGACCCAUCAUGGCACAAUGAUGAGGCAAAUCCAGGCGGGCCCGUGCCGGAUCGCGCGCCGGCAGGAGCUGACAGGGCCGAAUCUGCGGUGGGAUCAGCGCCUCCACCUGGCUCCUGGCGCUCCUGGCGAUCCCCGCCUGUCGGCUGGCGGCGUACGUAGUGGCGGGGCCCAUCACGGGCCCAGCGAGUCUCGGGCUGCCGUGUGGGGGCAUCCGAGUGGUGAAGGCGGGCCGAAUCGCCCUGGCCCAUGGCGAGACGCCGAGUGGCAGGCGCGGAGCCGCUGCUCGGCUGGCUGGCGGGCGACGCGGGUUUCCGCGCGGCGCUGCUCCCGGGCGACCCUGAUUCCGAGGAGGAUCCGCUGUCAGGCUGCGGUGGAACUGAUCCCGAGGAGGAUUUGUCCCCCAGCCCUGGACACAUGAAAUAUGGCGUUGUAGGCAGAUUUUCUUCGCCAUUUUGAGCGUGUUCUGCACCGUUUUCUGCGUUGUUCUCAGUUGCAUCAUCAUAGAGCUCAUGCACUUGGUUAUGAACAUUAGUCAAUAUUGGAUCACCACAAUCAUUAUCCCCAUCAGAGAUGCCGGUAAGACUAGAGGGUAGAAGGAGAAUUUCUUUGCGAAGUAGUGCCCCGGCAUUUGGGUGGAGUUCAGAGAAAGGAAAUUUUGUCUCAUCAAAAAUGACAUCGCGAGAGAUAUAAACUCGACCAGUGGAGAUAUCAAGGCACUUAACGCCCUUGUGUUGAGCACUAUAGCCAAGGAAAGCACAUUGCUUGGAGCGAAACAUGAGCUUGCGAGUGUUAUAUGGGCGGAGAUUUGGCCAGCAAGCGCAACCAAACACACGAAGAGUUGUGUAGUCGGGUUUUAUGUGGAGGAGACGCUCAAUAGGAGUUUCAUAGUUGAUGACACGGCUAGGUAACAUAUUUAUGAUAUGUACCGCAGCAAGAAAAGCCUCGUCCCAAAACUUUAGGGGCAUGGAGGCGCCGGCUAGUAAGGCAAGACCGACUUCAACGAUGUGUCUGUGUUUGCGUUCAGCAGACCCAUUCUGUUGAUGGGCGUGAGGGCAUGAUACGUGAUGAGAGAUGCCAAUUUCCUGAAAGGACGAGUUUAACUUCUCGUACUCCCCUCCCCAAUCAGAUUGGAGAGCCAGGAUUUUGCAAUCAAAUUGGCGCUCAACAAGAGCUUGAAAAUUCAGAAACACUUGAAACCCAUCGGACCUUUUUUUAAGAAGGUAAAUCCAUGAAAACUUGCUAUAGUCAUCUAUGAAACUCACAUAAUAUGUGUGUCUACCAACAGAGGAGGGGGCAGGCCCCCACACAUCAGAGAAAACAAGUUGUAGAGGCUUGGUAGAAACACUGGUAGAAAUUGGAUAAGGUAGCUGAUGGCUUUUAGCCUUUUGACAAGAAUCACAAAUUUUCUCAACAUCACGCUCUCCAACAUAUGGGAGCUUAUUUUUCUUAAGUAAUCUCUCAACUAAGGAAAAAGAUGCAUGUCCAAAACGAUCGUGCCAUCGUGUUGAAGACACUUUGGUGACACUAAAAACUUGUUUAUUGAACCUUCUAAUUUCCGGAAUCAAGGGGUAAAGCCCACGAACGCAUCUACCUCGAUAUAGCACCUUCUUCGUUGCCUGAUCCUUGAUCAGAAAGAAGUAAGGGUGAAACUCAAGAAAGACAUGGUUGUCAAUGGCAAUGCGAUGAACAGAAAGAAGGCUUUUUGAAGCACUAGGGACAUGCAAAAUUUUCCUAAGAUGAAUUUUUCGAUGAGGGGUUUUAAUAAUUGAGUGACCAACAUGACUAAUUUUCAUACCUUCUCCACUUGCUGUGUGGAUGUGAUCUUUGCCACGGUACUUGUCGCGCAUGGUCACCUUCUCCAGCUCACCGGUGAUGUGGUUUGUGGCACCGCUGUCGACAUACCAGUUGGUGUCGACGCCGUAGGAGCCAUCAGCAGCUCCAGCCACCUUCUCAUCUUGUGAGGAAUCAUCUUCGUCUUCUUCAAAACGGUACCAACAAUCUUUUGCCGAGUGUCCCGGCUUGCCACAGAUUUGGCACCUGAUUGCAUCAGGGCGUGAUCUGUUGUUGGAGGAGUUGCCGCGCCGGCCUCGAUUGUUGGAGGAGAAAGGCCGGCCGCCGCAUGUGUUGUUGGCGCCGCUGCUAGUUCCAUCGCCGGAGCCCCGGCCCUUGCCACUCCGAGGUGGGCCGCGGUAGCGGGAGCCUCCGCCCAGGCCGCGCGUGGCAGCGUUCGCUGACGACUUGAAGCCGCCCGCCGCGCCUGCUCCCUGGAACAGAGCCACCCGCUGGUCGAAGUUGCUCAUCUGCCCGAACAGCUCGUCGAGAGUGACCGGGGUGGUGCGGGCGUCGAGGGCGGACACCAAGGGCUGGUACUCCAUGUCAAGCGCGUUGAGGAUAUAAGAGAUUAACUCAUCGUCCUUCAACGGCUUGCCAGCCGCGGCGAGCUCGUCGGCGAGUCCCCGCAUGUACGCGAAGAAGGUGGCCACCGAUUGCGUUCCUUUCUGCGCAUUGGUGAGGGCGGCGCGGAUGUUGUUGACACGGGACAGCGACGUGGACGAGAACAUGCUCGCCAGCGCCGUCCAGAGUUCGCGUGCGUGCGCGAUGGAAGUGACCUGCACUAGCACCUCUUUGGAUAGGUUAUUCAAGAGAUAACCGAGUACCUGCUGAUCCUCUCGGAACCAGACGGCAUGGAGUGGGUUGGGGAUGGUUGCCUCCUUUCCAUCCUUGUCCUUGCCGACGACGAACUCGGCCGGCUCUGCCAUGCUUCCGUCGACGUACCCGAAGACUCCAGCUCCUCUCAGCUGCGGCGUGAUCUGAAUGCGCCAAAGAACAUAGUUGGUGCGGGUAAGGCGCUCGGUGAUCUGGCCGGAGAGAGGGGAGGAGGUGGCGGCGGAUGAGGCCAUGGCAGGAAGCUUCGGUGGAAGGAGGAGAGCUAGAUGGGAAGAGUUAGGCUCUGUAUACCAUAUGGAGGAACGUCGUGCCCAUCCUGGGCGACGGUUGCGUGUUUAUAUAGCCAGGUCGCGACCUCCUGGUAUAGCGUACAAGUUGGUUCAGAUUACAACUUGGAGAAGAAGAGAUAAGAGAGGUUACAAAGAUAAACGCAUAUGAGCUAGAUCUUAGUCUAUCUUCGGUUGGAGUCCUUGGCGAUGGUUUAUCUUCAGGACUCUGAAUCUCUGUCACGUACAGCACUAGGCGUUGCCAUAUUACGUUUAACACAAAGUUGAGUCAUCUAUUUUGGAACGGAGGGAGUAGCUAGUAGAGCUGAGGUGAAGUUAGGAAGUAGUAAUAUUCUUGAGUUAAUAAAUCUAUUCAGGUGAUAAUAGGAAGCCGAUGGAUAUAUUAUUUUUCGUAGCUAGAGGAGAAGUCUGGCAGUGUGCCUUGGGGUGGAGAAUCAAAGAUGGGAAAACUUGAUUCUGAGACCAUUGGGGGUGAAUAGGGUGGGUUUAGAAAUGAGGAUGAAGAUAGUUGUGCUAGAAGUAGACGCAAAUGUAGUUUGGGAGAGCAGUAGAGACGUAAUUAUGUUUUCCUGGUAGAACUGUAGAAGUAUACCCAGAUGUAGUUUCGUUGUGCUACUGAGACUGUUACCACAGUCUUUUUUUACCCUGUUUUGUGAAUGUUUGUGGAAUGUGGGGAACAAUCCUCCAUCCGAAGUUCCCAUGUGUAAUCCCCGUUCUUUUUUGCCAAGUCAAGUGUUUCGGGUGAAAUGCAACAUUCUAUUGUCUUUUCAUGCUAAGGUAAGAUUAGUACACACAAUCAGCACGCAUAAUUCAGGACACGCAUCAUCAUGUUUUAUACUAUUUUUGCGAGAAAAAGGGUGAUUUUCAUGAAACCAAUGGCUCGCUACACAACCAGCACAAUAGGCAUAUAGCUUAUCACAGUUUUCAUGUACAAUCAAAUGGGAUAUACAUGUGACCCGCGGUAUUUACUCGCUCCAAAUGAACUUAUCAGAAGCCCACCAAAUUAACAUAGGUUCAGGUUCUUUUGGUCCUUACAGGCUGCCUAUUUCUGCAUUUGGACCAAAUAUAUGUCCAACAACAACAACAUACAUGGUGGACUCUGUCACAGGACAGCAGAAAGCCACCAAAUCUGAAUUCAUGACAACAAACUCAUGGCGUUCAGGACGAACUUAUCAAAAGCACUUGAUCAACUUCACGAGACGACUCCCCAUAGCCGUAGCAGACAGUCUGGUACACCCAGCACCUGAGAAUACACCAUUAGCACAUCACAAAUUGUCAGCACAAUGUCCAAAGGCUCAUAAGGACAGCCCAGCUGCUGCUGAAGCAACAGAAGCCACAACUACUUAAAGCGGCAACCUGACACUGAAUGACUCGAAGCAAACCGCAGUCCCAUGCGGAGUAAGGCUAACCCAGCCCAGGCACAAACCGCCUGCAUAAAAAUUGGAAAACCGAGGCAGCAGUAGGAAACAUGUUUUUAAAGGCAACAUUUUUACCUAUCCAUAACUUCCAAACUAAAGCAGCAACUAUGGCAACCAUCAAAUUUCUGCGAGCUGAUAUACACAUGGCGCUGACACACAGGCGUCUCUCCGAAGCAGAGGAGUAGAGAGAGAUAUGCGGAAGAGGCGGCUGGUGAAUAAUUAUGCCGGCGGUGGUGGAAGUUACUCGACACCGGCGUCGGCUGCAUCCCAUAGCAGGCUCGAGUGGAGUCGUCGCUGCUUGAUCUGUAAGUGUUGGGUUUGUAUCUAGCUGUGGUUCCUGAUGACGUCGAUUCCGCGCUGUUAUCUAAAUAUCAGACAGUCUAGUGCAUAGUAGCCGGAAACGGGGAACGGUAGGCCGUCCCUCGACCCCGAUCAUCGACCCGGAAUCGGAUUCGGGAACGAGGUCGGAUCCGGUACGAUUCGAUGAAGAUUCGGCGUCCCCGUAGCCUGCUCCUCGAUUCAGGUUCCAGGAUCCAACAGCCAAAACGCGAGGCAUAAUUUACUCACGCCGUCGUUUCUUUUCUCAAGGAACCCUCGUUCUUCCUCCAGUCCAUUAAUUGCAAAGGAUCCAUUAACAGCAAGGAAUGCUGACCGUCAGGGAGUCUUCGUUCUUCAGGAACUGCGUUCCUCGACCCAUGGUACCGUACCGGGUUCAUCAUACCCAAACGGAUUGGAUCGCAUCCCCGCUAUAAAAAAAUCGUUCGAGAGAUGUAUACCCUUGUUGUACCCUAGUUUUUUUAGCCACCGACUCUCGUCCCUCGUUCCCGUUCCUCGUUCCCACCGUACCGGAAACAUGGCAACUAUGGUCUAGUGUGUACUCUCCCUGCUAACAAAAAGAACAAGAGGAUAUGUAGCAGCCUCCAUUAACGUGAGGAGGCAGGCAGCAUCUCCGUCUGUCCCGUGGUCGAAAGGAGGAAGAUUGUCGGGCCCCAAGUCAGAGUCAACCUGACGCAUGAAACCUCAAGCUACAGCCAAAUAUCCACAGUUGAGAACACAUAGAAAAACACAGAGGAAGCUAGCGAUAGGCAAAUAUUCAGAGUUGAGAAAACAGAGGAGUAGAGGAGGCUAGCUACAUGCAAUGUAGAGUUCAGAAAACAGAGAAAGGGCAGAGGUUGCGACACACAAGUAUUCAGAGUUUAGAGAGCAGAGCUAUAGGAAAGCACAACUGCAGUCUGUAUCUACAUAUGUAUGUAUGUAUGUAUGUAUCAGUUCUGAUUCUCGAUCUUUGUGCACUUCAUUCUGCCUUCACCCCUCGCUGACAAUGGCAGGCUCGAGCAUGUGGUUUGCAAUCCAGGCCCUGGGCUCAGGAGACACACAGUAUGAAUUGACGGCGUCCACCAUAUAUAUUGACUCUUGCUAUUUAUUCAGGAUGAUGCUUCUGAAUUCUAUCUACUCAACAUAAGAAACAAACACCGCCGUGUACGUGCAAUGGUUCAUUAAUUCAUGCCUUGUGAGCUUUAGCAAUCUGCUCUCCAUGGCUUCCUUAACUUGCUCCACAAGGACUCCAAUUUAGGACACAUGGGAUCAAAGAACAGCACGAGGCUUGCAGCCAGCCCCAUCAGUGCCCCCACCUCCUCCUCCUGACGGGAGCGUGCGGCCGGCGCGGAGGCGCCUCCGGCAGCAAAGAUUGGAGGACCGCGGUCGGGCGAGACGCAACGCGUGGCCUUGCAGGAGAGCGCGGCAACAGCGGGGCCGCGGAGCAGCCGAUGGCGGCGUAGGCGGCGGCGGGGGAGUCGCCAUGGGAUGGGAGUUCCGAUGGCACUGCGCUAGGCCCGGCAGCGCCUAAUCUUCUUCUUCUUUUACAUUAUUUUAUUUUAUUUUUUUACAUGUAUUUUUAGGGGUAAAUUACACAAAUAUCACGUGUUUGGAAAAUAAAAUAUGCAUGUGUUUCAAAAGUUAUUAUUCUCGGGUAUAAAAAUGUGCAUGUCUAUUUCAAAAAAAAAUUGUAUAACAAAAGAGUUAUCAUACCAUCAAACGAGAUACAUUCUUGUAUUUUAAAAACAAUGUCCUCGUAUGCCCAAAAACAUUUCCGUGAACAUAAGAACUGUAUGUGUACAGCGGCAAAAAAAAAACUGUAUGUGUAAUUUAGUAAAAGUUCUCCAUGAUUUCCAAAAUAUAUAACAUUGUCUGUAAAAAUGUUCAUCAUAUAUUUGAAAAAAAAUCAAUGUGUAUGUGAAAACAAAUCAAUGUCUGAUUUAAAAAUAUUACCGUGGCCUUAAAAAAAGGUUCAUCUAAUAAUUCAUAAAUAUUAAUCUUGUAUUUUAUAAAUAUUCAAGGUGUAUUAUAAAAUCCUCAUUGUGCAUAUAUAAAAUAAAAGGUUGACUGUGUAUUAACAUGAUGUUCAGCAUUUAUUUCAAAAAUAUUCGUCGUGCAUCUAAAAAUGUUCAUUGCGCAUCAAAACUAUUUAUUGUGUAUUUACGAAAAUGUUCAUCAUGUAUUGACAAAUGCUCACGUGUAAUAAAUAAAUAUUCAUCGUCUAAUAUUAAAUUUUCAACAUGAAUUAAAAAAUUAAAAUGUAAUUAAAAAUGCUAAUAUUUUCAUUUUAAAAUAAAAAUUGUGUAUUUUAAAUGUUCAGCAUGUAUUUAAAAAUACUCAUAGGGCAUUUGAUGUGAAAUGUCCAACAUGUAUUAAUAUGUUCAUCAUAUAUUUUGAAACAUCAUGUAUUAUAAAAAAUAUGAAUUUUUCAAAAUGUCAUAUAUUUUAUAAGGAAUAAGCAAAUAUUAUGUAUCAAGUACUUUUAUAAUAAAAAACAUACUUUUUGAAAUUUAGAAAAAAAAUUCAGGGUGAAAUAAAUGGUCAUGUACUUGAAAAUUAUACUUUAAAAAAUGUUAAUCCUGGAGAGAAGAUGAUAUGACUUCUUCCAUUUAUUUAAAUGACAAGGGGUGUUGAAAAUAUUUGAAUUUCAUUUGGAAAAUAUUUCCAACCCAAGAACUUUAUGCAACUCAAUGAUUUUCACGAGCGAAGAUAAAAUGACUUCUUCAAAACAUAUGAAAUAUGAGUUGGGAGUUUCAAAGAAUUAAAUUCAAAGUUCUUUUGAAUUUAUUUUCAAUUUGGAGUUAUUUGAGUUUUAUUCAAAUUAGUUUUCUCUGAAAAUAAAAUAUAUGGAAAAUAGGGUAACAUGAUUCCCUACAUCAAAAAAUUGGAGAGAAAUAAAUUUGAAUUAAUUUUGGUAUUUUUAAAAUGAUUUUUACUGGAUUUUACUAGAGAAGAAGCACUCUUUGUUUUAUUUGAAUUUGUGUGUAUUUUAUUUGACUUCGAAAAAAUGUUCAUGUCGUAGAAAAUCUUUUUCUUAAAACGUUGAUAUAUAAUAUGCCCAUAUAAAAUGAUAAUUAUAUUUUCGUUAUUCAGUUUUCCUUUCUGUUUCUAUUUAAGAAACUGUACGUGCGACCCAUAAGUAUUUAUCGCCCACGCGCGCAUCAUAGUAACAGCAAGCGCCCCAUCUUUUCUUUCCUAUAUGGGCCAGGCCCAGCCAGCCUUUUAUUUUUUAUUCUUAGGCCGAAUUUUGUAAAAAAAAAAACUGCUGCCGCAGCUUACGCGCGCGCGGCCGGCCGAAGGCCUCUAGGCCCAUGCGAGGCGCCUCUUCUUCUCUGUUUCUUUUCCUUUCAUCUACGUUUAGUCCCACAUUGUCUAACCUUUGACCCUGAAGCCUCUUUUUCACCAAUAAAUAUAGACCCAUAGAGCCUUCAAAAAUCAUCUGAUUCAGAUUUAAUCAAUGUUUUGGUUUGACUAGAUUCAUUUAAGAAAAAUAUUUUUCUCCUCUCCGGCGCGGCUUCUGUAAAUUGUCUUUUCUCUCCGAAGUUGUCUUUUCUCUGCCUUAUAAAGGUAUAUUUAUUCGUUCUCUGUAUUUAUAUGUUAGACCUAGAAUUCUUUUAGCCGUAGCUAUUUUUUCUUCUUUUGUAAAACAGCUUGGCCCUGAUUUUCCAAAUAGUCAUAACUUUUUACUCAUUCAUCCAAAUUAAAUGAAACCAACGUCCACUUCUUCGUUACGAUCUUCUCUAUCCAGUAAUCUAACUUAAACGUGAUUUUGAAAGUUUAAAAUUUGGUUUUCAAACAGAUUUGUAUUUGAACUUUGUUUGAUCAUAACUUGAGUUUUAUAACUCCGUUUGAGUUGAUUCUUUUUGCAAAUCGAAGCUCUUGAACCAAACUUUCUGAUAAGUACAAAUUCACAUAAUUUUGGUACUGUUAGGAAUUGUUUUAUGUUGCAAGAGUUAUUCGCUUGGUUUUGAUGUUUUCCGAAUCGUACUCUUCGUUCUUUCCGAUCUUUUGAGUGAUUGCUUAUGUGUGGUUACUAUUGUUUGCUCACGAUAGAUUGACCGGAGUUUUGAGUGCGAAUCAUCUUCAUCAACAUUGCAGGCUAGUUCACACUUUGAUCAUAUCCCUUCAUACCCAGUUUUUAUGCAUUAGCUUCUUCCUCAAACAUUGCAUGAUUAGGAUGCCUUUAAUUUGUGGGUUGGGAAGUAGUUGCUGAGGUAGAACCUAUUGCCCUGUUUAUUAUCAAACUCUUGGGAGUUACUUCUACGUUAUGCUUACGUUGUCAUGCUAUGCUCGUAGACGUGGAUUGGGUUUGAGUGAUAUCCAUGACAGAUAUGAGAUUGAUAAUUAAUGGUUUACUUAAGGUGGCAACUUUAAUACACAUCUAGGUGGAUUGAGGCACCUGGGGUUACCAGUGAUUGCCUGUUUUAUUUUUGGAAAUCCCGGGGUUACCGUGUGAUUCUCCUAUGGUCCGCCACCCAGGCUCAAAGGGAACUGAGUCUAUUCAUGCUAGAAAUUUCCGUGUGUAGCCGCAAGCUAUUAUGGGCUCUAGCAUAGUUGAGUAAGUUGCGUGAAGCUCUUGAAGAGGUGGAUCAGUAGGUAGUGGGUUUGUAGGUUUGGUAUGGUCUGCCCGGAGUAGAGAGUUAAUGCUUCUGAAAGACUGUGUCUCGGUUAUCCGUUUGUCAAACACCAUGUAGUGCGAGAAAACCAACGGAGGCAGUCGAGUCUUGCGGGGAAAAGCGCGCAAACCUCUGCAGAGUGUACAAUCUAAUCAUGGUUAGCCGUGUCCCCGGUUAUGGACAAUUCUGAGUAUCUAGUACUUUAGUAUUCGCAUGUAUCUCAACACUCUUAAAUUAAUAUUGUUGGUUGUUAAGUACUUUUAAUUGGGAUCAUUGAGUUGGGGUUACCUUCUCAAAUGAUGUUUCAACCACCAUGAUAGUCAAAUUAAAACAGAUUCCUUUGUAGUAGGAAAAAAUUGGCUUUUCGCAAAAACUGUAACCAUAAAGCUUUCCACCAGCCAAAUAUGCAUGUAGUGAUAGUUAUUAUUCAUCAUUGCUUUGUGGUGUGAAUUUGCCAGUACAUUCAAUGUACUGACGCUUGUGGCCGCAACGUCUCAUGUUGCAGGAUCUUACGACGAGUAAGUGAUACGUUAGGGUUACGAUUUCCUAUACUCAACUUUGCCGUUGGUGUUGAUGGGAAUCCACAACCUUGUUGCUUCCGCUAUUUUGGAUUGAGGUAAUAGUAUUUACGUUAUCUUAUACAUGUGAUUUACCUCUGUUAUAAAUCCUCGAGUACUGUGUGUGUCAGCAUACCGAUCCAGGGAUGACACGUAAGCACAGAGACUUGACCCAUUCGGGUCGGGUCGCUACAACAAUUUUGCAACAAAUAUAUGGUAGGUCCUUCACGAAAAAACCUCAUUUCGGGCACUCAGAAAAUGGAAAAUAAAUUUUCCGUGCAAAGAAAAUGAAAACUCAUUUAGGCAACAUUGUUUGGAAUUCCAAGAUGCCCCCUUGUGCAUGAUAUGAGAUCAUUUGAACAAACUAUGCCAUGAAUGUGGCCAUAAGAUUGAUCAUUUGGCUUGAAAGCCAUGAAUCUUCACGCAUGAUAGCUCGUUUCUAAGAACACUUAUUAAAAAUAAUUUCCGUAUUACAAAUUUAUUAUUUUCCUGGAAACUUGGUCACAUACGAUGACACAAUGCGCAGUUUUUCCAAUUUUUUGAUUUUUUUUGAAUUUUUUAUGCUCAUUUCAAAAUGCGGUCAAAACGGCGGGCUUGACUGUUCCUAGCUAGUGGUUGAAUCUUGGAUUUUUUUGGUAUUUCUAUGAUUAAAUAGAUACUUAUUUACCUAGAAAUGAUUUUUGGAAAAAAUAAAGAGCAAUAUGGGGCACCUGCAGUUCAAAUUUGACCCGCUUCCAGCUGAAUCGGCGGGAAUUUGUCUUUUUCACGAGAGGUGGAUCAAAACUUUUUACACCCAACCAUUUGGUCAAUUGUAUAUUAAAUAUGUCCUAGUAUUUUAUAAAAUUGAUUUGGUACAAUUUUGCAACAAAUAUAUGGUAGAUCCUUCACGAAAAAACCUCAUUUCGGGCACUCAGAAAAUGGAAAAUGAAUUUUCUGUGCAAAGAAAAUGAAAACUCCCUUAGGCAACAUUGUUUGGAAUUCCAAGAUGCCCCCUUGUGCAUGAUAUGAGAUCAUUUGAACAAACUAUGCCAAGAAUGUGGCCAUAAGAUUGAUCAUUUGGCUUGAAAGCCAUGAAUCUUCACGCAUGAUAGCUCAUUUCUGAGAACACUUUUUAAAAAUAAUUUCUGUAUUACAAGUUUAUUAUUUUUCCUGCAAAUUUGGUCACAUAUGAUGACAUAAUGCGAAUGUUUUCCAAUUUUUUGUUUUUUUUGAAUUUUUAUGCCCGUUUCAAAAUGCGGUCAAAACGGCGGGCUUGACCUUUCCUAGCUAGUGGUUGAAACUUGGAAUUUUUUUGGUAUUUCUCUGAUUAAAUAGAUACUUAUUUACCUAGAAAUGAUUUUUAGAAAAAAUAAAGAGCAUACUAUGAGGUAGCUACAGUUCAAAUUUGACCCGCUUCCAGCUGAAUCGACGGGAAUUUGUCUUUUUCACGAGAGGUGGAUCAAAACUUUUUACACCUGACCAUUUGGUCAAUUGUGCAUUAAAUAUGUCCUAGUAUUUUAUAAAAUUGAUUUGGUACAAUUUUGCAACAAAUAUAUGGUAGGUCCUUCACGAAAAAAACUCAUUUCGGGCACUCGAAAAAUGGAAAAUGAAUUUUCCGUGCAAAUAAAAUGAAAACUCCCUUAGGCAACAUUGUUUGGAAUUCCAAAAUGCCCCCUUGUUCAUAAUAUGAGAUCAUUUGAACAAACUAUGCCAAGAAUAUGGCCAUAAGAUUGAUCAUUUGGCUUGAAAGCCAUGAAUCUUCACGUAUGAUACCUCGUUUCUGAGAACACUUUUUAAAAAUAAUUUUUGUAUUACAAGUUUAUUAUUUUUCUGGAAACUUGGUUACAUAUGAUGACAUAAUGCGAAGGUUUUCCAAUUUUUUGAUUUUGUUUUGAAUUUUUUAUGCCCAUUUCAAAAUGCGGUCAAAACGGCGGGCUUGACCGUUCCUAGCUAGUGGUUGAAUCUUGGAAUUUUUUUGGUGUUCCUCUGAUUAAAUAGAUACUUAUUUACCUAGAAAUGAUUUUUGGAAAAAAUAAAUAGCAAACUACGAGGUAGCUACAGUUCAAAUUUGACCCGCUUCCACCUAAAUCGGCGGGAAUUUGUCUUUUUCACGAGGGGUGGAUCAAAACUUAUUACAUCCAACCAUUUGGUCAAUUGUGCAUUAAAUAUGUCCUAGUAUUUUAUAAAAUUGAUUUGGUACAAUUUUGCAACAAAUAUAUGGUAGGUCCUUCAUGAAAAACCUCAUUUCGUGCACUAAAAAAAAUGAUUGAAAAUAGAUAGAAAAUCAGAAAUGCAUAGAAAAUGGUGCUCAUCCAUAAAAUGUGGUCUAACUUGAGUGAAAAUUUGUGUGAUGCCUUUUGCGAAAAUAGUUUUGAUAGCUACUUCACAAAAUCCCUCUAUUUUUAGUAUUGAAAACUAUUUUAGAUCACUGAUUUUCUGAACCAAUCAAAAUUCUUACCACGGAUCGAUGACAUGACGCCCAUCCGGCCAUCCAUCCAUACAUAUCUCCACAUCCGUCCAUCCAUCUAUCUACAGAAAAAAAGGAGAUACCCCCUCCCCCCGCAGCCCAAACCCUAGAUCAGAUCCCCCAUCGCACCCCUCCUCCCUGCUCCCAAUGUCCCCGCCGCCGCCGCCACCUCCUCCCCGUACUCGCCCCAUCCCGAUCCAGUCCUCUCCCACCCACCGCCGACCUCGCCGUCCUCCUCACCCACCACCGCCGACCUCGUCCCUCCCUCCCCUCUCCGCAUCUCCCGGCCACCUCUACGUCCGAGGAGAUCGAGUGAGCGCCCGAGUGCGCCCGUCCUCGCAGCCUCCUCCCAGGAUUCCCCGCACCCAAGCCCCACAAGAGGAGCUCCUCCUGUGUGUUUGUACGCCGCCGCCGGCGACCACCAGCCACAGCUUGCCGGAGCCAGCAGAUGAGUGCCACCCUUCUUCUCUGUUCUCUUCUUCCCGUGCUCUCUUUCUUCCUCCUUUCUCUCUCACACACAUCUCGAUUUCUCUCUCUGUCUCAAACAGUGCACUUCGCCGCCAUGGACGCUCGCGUCCCCGACCUUGCAGCGUGCCGCCCCGAUGCGAACGGCGGACUCCUUCCUCUUCUUGGAAUUCUUCUCCGCCGGCCGGUCGCCGCCUCCGCCUCGUCGUCGGUGGAAUCCAUUCAUCGGAGAAGAGAAGAGAAGAAAAGAUGCUGCCUUGGAUCUUCAGCCGGAAGGGCGCCUCGGGCUUCUCCUGGGCCUCCACCGUCGACCACGUCACCGCCGGCAUCUCCGCGUCCGGCCUCACCGCAAUAGUCACGGGUGCGUCGAGCGGGAUCGGCGCGGAGACGGCGCGGGUGCUGGCGGCGCACGGGGCCCACGUCGUCAUGGUCGCCCGCAACCUCGCCGCCGCAGAGGACGUGCGCCAGGCCGUCCUCGCCGAGUCCCCCGCCGCCAGCCUCGACCUCAUGGAGCUGGACCUCUCCUCCCUCGCCUCCGUCCGCAAGUUCGCCGGCGACUUCGACGCCACCGGCCUCCCGCUCAACAUCCUCGUGUAAGGCAGCAGCCCCUCUCCUAAUCCCCACACCACUACCUAAUCCCCACACCACUACUAACUUGCAAUCAUGCGGCUCCACUGUUGCGAUUUGUGAGGACCAUCCAUUCAUUCAGGUUCAGGUUCAGUUUCAGUUUCAGUUUCAGUUAGCCAUUAAAUUCUUCUAUCCAGCGUGCGUGCUGAAUAUGUUCUCCACUGUCAAGGAUUUAUUUAUUGUCUUGUUAACUUCUAGCUACCUGCUGCUUGCGUUGCAUUGCAUUGCAUUGUGUGUCAAGUGAUUAAUCAGCGUGCGUGCUGAAUAUGUUCUUCACUGUCUAGAAUUUUCUGCUGUGUUUUUUUUUUACUUGUAAUAAAUACUGUUAAAGUAGGCAGCCACUGGGAUCUGAAGUUGCAACGCCAAGUUGCAAUUAGCUGGGAUGUGUAGCGUGGUUACUGUAGCUUACAUGACAUCCCUUGAGGAUGUUAGAGGAUCCGAUUCCGGCUAGCUUGUGUUGAUUGGUUUUGAGAUAUAACUAGAUCAUGGUUGGCACGCGUUGCUGCGCCCAUCUAUUUUGACGAUAGAAUGAUAGAAAAAAGAGAUAAACGCACCAUUGGUCAUUGAACUUUUACGAGAUGAGCACAUUGGUUACUCUUCUCUCAAAAUGUGAUAAACCGGUCACAACACUCAUAUAUAUGAGCAAACUGGUCACUCUGCCAUUUCCAGCCGUAACGGGCGCUGAAGUGCCGUGCUGACUCAGCGUCGGGCCCACAACUGCGGCACGUGCACAUAUUAGAGGGUGGGAUUCUUUGCAAGAAAGACCCUAAAAAUAUUAACUGAGAACAUGUCAUGGCUGCACCUGUUUCACACUAAAUUGGGACCACCUAUCAGCCUCUUACGGACCAUGCACGAGCAACUUAAACGCGGAUUACGAGCGCGAAACAGUGGCGACACACAUGUAGGCGCAGAAAGGAGCUACAGGAGGUGAGAUUGGCACAGGGGCUAUGCGGGAGUGAGGUCGCACCGGCUUGGGGUGGUGGGAGUGUGCGGGUUGGCCCCGGGCACUGAGCUCCAGCGGUGGCUGCAGCGCCACUAGGGCGCAUGCGGGCUAGAGAGGACAGCAGAGAGUGAGAAGAGGUGCACCAGCACCGAAGGCUCACCUAGAUCAUGUGUGAGCGGACUGAGAUGUCGGAGGCGAGGCCACGGCUGCCAGAGGCGGCGACCGGAGGAGGCUUGAGUGGUGAGGCCUUCUCUAGGAUGCGUGACAUGGUUGGAAUGUCACCAUAAGCUACAGACGAUUCCCACGGGGGCUACCAAGCUGAGAAUAAGAGCUGGGGUCUCCAGGGGUAGAUUGAUACGCGGCUAUCUUUCACCGGAGGGGGAGAAGAAGUGUGUGGCGCAGGUGCUACAUGGACUCCGGGUUCGAUUCCUAUGGCAGAAACUUAUAGGGAUUCUCGAUGAAGCCUUGGACAAGAUGGCGAGGCACAAAGUGGUUGUUGUCCGCACGUGCGACAAAGGACGCAGGCGACGGUGCACACUGGAUGCCGACACGAGCACUGUGGACUCCGCGAGCGUGGGUGUAGCUGCCUAGGCGGCGAUGUUUUGGUUAUUCGAUGAGAUGUCAUGGGGGAGAGAGACACUCAUGCGCUGGUCGACCACGGUAUUGGUAACGACGCGAGUGCUACCAUGCCGGAGAUGGAGAAGGGGACCGGGUCAGCCACAAUCGAGAAGGGGAGAGGUGUGAGAGGAUGUGGUUGACCUUCUGGUGAGAGCAAUUAUCAUGUAUCCUAUUCCUACCUGGCGUCCUGGCGGCGACGUCGGACGUCGUCGGCCGGGAGCCGGACCACCGGCGCAAGCAACACGAGGCGGUGCUCCGGGCGAGGUGAGCUUGCACAAAGCUACACCGCGUCCCACGGCUGCAUCUGAGCGUAGUACGUCCUCACGAACAGUAAGAAACACAGCGGGAGCGACACAAAUUCAGACAAAUACACGACGGUUGCGGAUCGAGGCUACUACGUCCAGGUUCCAUCAAAUCUACGGCCUUUUCUCCAGGUGGCUCGCUCGGGCGUAACAGGUGGCCACGGAGUGCAUGGGGUAGUGCGGUACAGCGGGCUAGCGGAUGAAGGAACCUCCAGUCCAAUUGAGGGAACACGACGCAACACCAGGAGUGGUCACCGAACGAAAGACGCAACGGGUUCGCGGUUGCGCUCGUCGGCGGUGGUAGCAACGGCGCAGGUGGCGCGCGAUGGCGGUGGUAGCAGUGCUGCAGAUCGCGUGUGACGGUCACGGUAGUGGCGUCGGGGCAUGGCAUGGCGUGGUGCAUCUCAGCAUGAGCGGCCUCGGCGACGGCCAUGGCGCCGCGGCGGUCGGCGGCACGCGGCAGCGUUCCUGGAUCCCGACGAGAGCCCAUGGCUCGGUAGCUUCGCGUCGAGUUUCUGUCAAGAACAAGGAACAAAAAAUCCUCCCGGCGUCCAAACUAUGCUCCACAUCUUCCCAGGGUCCUUCUUGCAAAAAAUCCAGACCUCUGAUAUGCGCAUGUGCUGUGGGCGUGGGUCCAAUAAUGCUGAGUCAGCACGCCACCUCAGCGACCGUUACGGUUGGAAACGGCAGAGUGACCAGUUUGCUCAUAAAAUUGAGUGUUGUGACCGGUUCAUCACAUUUUGAGAGAAGAAUGACCAAUGUGCACAUCUCACGAGAGUUCAAUGACCAAUGGUGUGUUUAUCUCUAGAAAAAAAUCUAUUAAUACGGAAGUGAUAUACAUAAACAAAACAUGGAAGCUGUAAUUGCAUGAAUUAAUCUAUAUAGUUGUUAAGAUACGAGUACAUGUUAAAUUGACAUGAAGCAAUAUAUAUUGUUCAAUCUUCAAUGGAGUAACUUAGGCAUGGUUAAGUCUUGAUUAUCAAGUAUCUUCAUGGGUCAACCUAUGCUAUUUCAUAAGAAAUGAAAAUAUUCAGUAAUUUGGAUUCUUAAAGAUAUUGUGUAGGUAUAUCCAUAUAGGCACCGAAUAGAUAGGAUGCGUCAUUAUUAAGUGGCAAACACCUUAGUUGAACAAUUUGUUCUUUAAAAUAAGUAUAUGUGUUGUAAUUAGUACAAGGAUUGUUAGGAAGUAACAUAUACAAGGAACACACACGUAGUUCUGAUGUAACAAGAUGUCUCAUCUAAGACUCUCAAGGCCAGGAGAUAUGUACGCAACGUAGUAUCCGUGAGCCUCCAAAUCCGAAGAUGGAUACUGAACAACAACAGGGCACUAAAUCUGAGAUGUUGUAUUCAGCGGCACCAAAUUAACAACAGGCCAUUUCUCCAUGAUUUCAGCUUGCGUAAAUCAUAUUUUCAUGUCGUGUAAAAGCCAAAAAAAAAUACUACACUUAAGGUAAAAACUACACAAGCGAGAAUCACCACCCAAACUUGUCAAAUCGAUAAUUGUCAAAUUAACUGUAAUAUCAAAAAGGCCGAAAUUCUAGAGCUACCCCAAGGAGCGGAUGAAGUACCAUGAAGAACCAUCCGACACUAAUAGCAGAGGUCUCGUGUUCCCUAUGUCAAAUCCAAAUAUGAAUCUUGGGCUAAUGUAUCCAUGGCUAUCCCUGGUAUUUUAGAUGGAGUGAGGAGCAUGAUUGCUUCAUGCAGCUGAUGAGGGACUCACAACAAUCUGAAAACAUGAAGAGAUGAGGUACGACAGCCCAUUGAACUAAUUUACCUCCUUGCAGACAUUGCAGAUUUUCGAGAGAAGAUUUCCCCAAAAGUUAAUACGAGAACCAGACUCCAAGAUUAUUUUCCCAUAGAACCAGGAGUCCUGGAUGAACACCACAUGUACAAAUCUGUGACUGGAAAGGCAGACACAAUGAAAUCGGGUAAAAUAGGGAAUCAUAGGGAAAAGAAAAAUGAAGACAGAGUGAAAACCUAGCCGAAAACCAUAGUUGCAGAAGGACCUGUGGGGGUGGGAGAGCGUAAGCUCACAUAUAUACAGGCGUGAAACUAAUGAAUCUGGGAAAACAAUAUCUUACUUCAUUAAUCGCUGCCGGUGAGUGGCGCACAUAAGCUCCCAUGAAGGAUUUUAGGAACUGAUGACUGAUUACCUCCCGGCGGAUCAACUUCACCUGCCUGCUUCACCGAACAGCCACGGUGCCGCUUCGCCUCUCCCUGCAAAUCAGUUCAAUAAUGGAGGCACACCAUCUCGUUUGGAGCCAAAGUACAGUGGGCAUGGGACGACGUCGGUCACAUCGGCCAGAUCACAUUGCAGUCGACAUGAGCCAUCUUCUGCCGUCACGGGAUGCCUGCGUCCGUGCGAACGAAAAGAGGGUUGUACAGGCUUUGAUUCUGGCUGGACAGACGGAAUGGUUGGAGUCUGUUACCAGAGCAGUGGCAAUCAUAAGGAAGUGAGUCGGCGUGGGCUAAAGAAAACCUGACAGCCGAAAACACCGAAAGCUGACGAUGCGAUGGCUGCGAAUGAUAAUAGCUUGCAGUCCAUUAAAAUCUGAGGGGGGAUCCUUUAUAUUUCACUUUGUUGUGUAAAUACCAUUCAAGUUCCACAAAGAAUAAUAUAGAAGGCUUACCUAUGCUGGAUGUGCACAACUCCCAGUUUUUUUCAAAAGAAAAUAAAAUCGAUUGUGCUUGCAUGGUGGAUGACAUCAAUCAAUAAGUAAUCGAUGGUGUAUCAUGGCACGAAGGGCAUUAACCUGUUCAGUAACCGAUGAACUUCAGUCGGGGACAUUGCAAUUGAAGUGAAGAAUCAGUACUACUCCAAGUACUGAAUAUUUCUUUAAAAUGCUAUAUUCAGAUGAUCUAUAUAUUUAACUAAAACAUGCAACCAAAGAAUGAGUUAUUAUAAAAUAAUGCCUCCAUUGUGAUUAAAGAGGAUGGUCAGAUUUGGCCAAUGCCUCAUAUAUUCCCAAACUGACGAUCCAAAUACUAAGAAGUGGUCAGUUCUGAUCAGUUUUGAGCUAACACAUUUGUACCUAGAACAUUAUUUAGAGACAAUUGAUGGCAUCUACUAUAAUGAUUCCAUUCAUUACUCCUCACACACACAAAAUAAUGCCGAUCGAGUGCAUGGUUAUUUUUGGGCAAAGCAUCAAACACAUAAUAUGCACAUCAACAUAUGGUUAAGGUAAUCAAAGUCUGAAUUAUGUAAAGAAAACAAACGACGUGAAGACUUAACCAGGAAGAUAGGCUGCGGCCAUUGCCCUUCUUGCCAUCAAAGAACCUCCCUCUUCCGCUUGCCUCUGGUCGCUUGUCGGCGCAGGGAACACCAAUGAAAUCUUCUACAUACAAGGAGUUUUGUGCCAAACUAAAUUCUAGCAAACCAAAAACAAAUAAAGGGGGAUUGAAGCUCGAAAUUAAAUCCAUGAAAAAUUUGUUGUACAUAUGCAAUCACAGAAAUCUCACCAUGGACGACUGGAACCUCGCCGUGGUAACUCUGCCACCGGUAACCAGUGUCUCUGAACAAAAAGAGAUUGAGGGCAACAACACAUCCUUCUCGUCGUGUUCCGACUUGGUUUUGAGUGGUGGAUCGAGAAGGAACUCGCCAUACCUCCGGCCGGGUGCUCAAGCGAGGUUGGAUCUAGCGGCGGCACGACACGAAGGAAAAAAAAUCUGGUUCAGCCGCCUCACUGGUGCACCACCUCAACCGAUCUGAGAGUGGAGCUCCUCCCUGGUAAGGACAUGAGAAGUAGAAUGAUGGCUAGGCGAAUACGAGGCGGCGCAACCUUCGCGAGGUGAGAGGCAAGAGGUCGGGUGGAACGGGAUGAAAUUCCCAGCGCAUAUCACGAUUGCCCAUACGUGAGAUCAGAAACCCUAUAGUGAAUGGGAGGACUCCGAUUUGUUUCGGGUGUAGCGGCCCUAGGGCCCAGGAGCAGCCCACGCGAAGAGAGAAAGCGCAUCAUACGGCCGAGAAUGAUCAGGACACGAAAUCUGACGUUCCAGAAUGAUGAGGGCGUGAGAGGCUGCCUAGAGUGCCCAGCUAUAAUGUCUUUAAAUUGGAAACUCAUUGUGUGUCAGUACAACAAACGUGAUGUUUUUUUAAUAGCAAACAUGCUGAUGGAAGUGUCCUUCCAUACGUGAUUCUAAUUUGCACUUCUCGGUCAGAGGCAUCUCCAGUACGUGACACACUUUGGAUGUGCAAACGAAUAUGUGCGUGUUUCACAUAUUACAUGAGCAAAUUUUGUUAGUUCUCGGCCAUUAUAAUUAGGAUCCGCAGCUUGUUUGCCUCGCUUUGCUAGGCUGUUUGGGAACGUAUGUCAUAGAUAGGCGUAGUUUUUUUUUUUUACAGGUACAUGGCCGUGUAGGAAUUGGACUCAACUCAUUGCUUUGCAUGGCAGUCUAGAAAUCAUAUGGGGUAUGGAGACAUCUAUACAUAGUUACUUUUUAAUAAUAUAAUAGAUUAGCUGUAAAUGUGCCCCCCUUACCGAAGAAGAUAAGAAUCCAUAUGGUUAUGCAAAAUUAACUUUGUCAUCUUGUAAGAGCUCUAGGCAGUGUCUAGAGGUUGAAAAAAUAUGAGAACAAAAAGAAUUACUGGAUUAAUUUACAACAUCCAUCCUUUACUUCGUCCAUGUCAUUGUUGUUUACCCCUGGGAGUAUUUUUAACUUGAAAAUCUCUGGUGAACUGCCAUUUAGAGUACAUUUGCUUGCUCUGUUAAUUUUUUUGGGUUACUCCAUCUUGCUCUGUUAAGUAAAAUUAGAUAUGUGGAGUAGCAGCAGUAAGCUAGACCCUCCAUCUUGCUCUGUACAUAGUCAAAGCUACUCCAAGUUAGCAGCAGUACUGUUAACUUCUCAAUUUGCUUGGAUUACAUUUAAAUUGUAGUACUCCAGUACUCCAGUAAUUUUGCUUAGAGUAUUUAACAAGAUUGAACUGUAUUUGUGCGGAGUAAUUUUUCUUGGAGUAUUUAACAAGAUUUAACUUUUCAACAUUUAACAGUACUUUUCAGUAAGUAUUCUGAACAUGCUUCUGAAUAUUUGCAGAUUCUGAACAUGCAAGCAAAUAUGCAAGAGUAAAGAAGUUCUUGCAGUAGAUAUUGUAAGUGUUUGUUCUGAACAUGUACUGUCACCGAAGAUAUUGCAAGUGGUCUGACAAGAUUUUCUUAAUUUGCAAGUUUAGUUACUUUUCCAGUUAAUUAACUGGACAUCUUGGAGUAGUUAGAAAAUCAUGAAUUAUUUGCAGAAAUAUGUAGAAGUAUUGUACUCCAGUGUGCAUUACUUACAUAAACUUGCUUGCAAGAUUAUUUUCUGACUUUCAUAUUCUGAAACUGAUAAGGCUUAGUUAAAUUCUAUUAAGUUUUAGUAAUAUUCAGUGGAGUGGAGUGUUUACCGUAAAUUUUGAACAUCACUUUCCCUUGCUGUUAACUUCUGUAGCAUUAGGAGUAGUUUUACUGCAGUACUGCUUGAACUACUCCAAGCAUUAGGAGUACUGUAAAGCGAGUAAAUGGAGGGCGAGGAAUUUUUACUGCAAUGUAGGAUUGCACAGGGAGUUGUUAGUAGUUGAUGUUGAUGAUCAUAGUCAGGAGAUGGAGGGUGACACACAGCCAUGGAGAGGAGCAGCAGCUCAAGGUCCUUUCUCCUCCACGCCACCUCUGCCCCUCUCUCGUUUUGAUUUGCUAUGUUGGGUUCCAAGAUUAGAAAUAUUUUUUGUUUCCAUCUUUAUGCAUGUGCUAUCAUUAACUCUGAGAAAAUGUUAUGUUUUUGCUGAUUAGUGGCAGUACAUCUUUGCUUUACUAUACCUAGCAGCUGCAGUUCAUCUACCAUAAACAUGUUGUGUACAUUCUGAACCCCCAAACAUGACACAAGUGAUAUGUAUAUGCAGCAGGGAAUCGUCAACUUGUACAGUUUGUUUACUGGAAUGUAACUUGUACACUUGAAUAUGUUCAGUUAUGAAGUCGUGUAGUUGUUUUUUCUCGUCAGUUCUAAACUGCAGUACUUUACUGAAUUGUUGGUGAUGCUGAAUGAAUCUAGCUUGUUGGGUUCAGUCUCUUGUUUAGAUGGAAUAGCAUCCCAUCACAUGUUGUUGUUGUUAUUCACCCUAUCCUUGCUGUUCUGUUUUCUUGUUGGCAGAUAUUUUGAGUAAAUUCAAUACGAAAGAUGUUCAAAGAAGGUCCAAGAGAUUCUUAUAUAGCAAGUUAUGUAAUAAUAGUUGGGUUAUCUGGGAAUUUAAUGUAUCUUCUCUCUGUUUGUGAAUGAAAUAGUAAUUAUGUAUGUGAAUUAAUGUAUCUUCUCUAUGUUUGUGAAUUUUAUGUAUGUUCCAGAAUUACAAUUUCUGUUUCAUAUAAAAUAGUAAUUAUUUAUGUGAUUUGAAAUGUGUGCAAUGGAAACAUGACUCAUGCGACCCACUUAUCAAAAUAAUUUGAGCACAUUUGACAUUUCUGACAUGUGGGACCAGUGUAUGAUAUUUGGGACAAAUGUAAAACAGUGGAACAUAAAAUGGCAAAAAAUAAAAGAUCAUACGCUGUAAAAGGCCGCAUCUAGAAAUAAAAAGGCUGAAUUGCUGGGCCAGGCCCAUGCAGUUAGCAAAAAUUAGUAGGAAAAACCAUGUAGAAAACCUAAUUGGACCGGGCUGAUUCUUGUGCCACAUUAGCUUGCCACGUUGGAUGCCUACGUGGCCUCGGGAGGUUGCUAGUGACCAAAACAGAACAGUAGGCAUAUUUUGGUCGUAAACGUCUAUGACCUUCUCAUAGAGAAGGUCGUGAAUGUCAGUUUACGACGGCCAGCUUUUGACCUUCUGUUUUUGGUCACAAUAAGGUCACAAAUGGAAAACAAUGACCUUUCAGUGACCAAUAGUCAAGGUCACAAGUUGACAUAUUUCUUGUAGUGUUGAUGCGUAGGUAAGAACGGUUCUUGCUAAAGCCCGUAGCAGCCACGUAAAAUUUGCAACAACAAAGUAGAGGACGUCUAACUUGUUUUUGCAGGGCAUGUUGUGAUGUGAUAUGGUCAAGACAUGAUGCUAUAUUUUAUUGUAUGAGAUGAUCAUGUUUUGUAACCGAAGUUAUCGGCAACUGGCAGGAGCCAUAUGGUUGUCGCUUUAUUGUAUGAAAUGCAAAUGCCCUGUAAUUGCUUUACUUUAUCACUAAGCGGUAGCGAUAGUCGUAGAAGCAAUAGAUGGCGUAACGACAACGAUGCUACAAUGGAGAUCAAGGUGUCGCGCCGGUGACGAUGGUGAUCACGACGGUGCUUCGAAGAUGGAGAUCACAAGCACAAGAUGAUGAUGGCCAUAUCAUAUCACUUAUAUUGAUUACAUGUGAUGUUUAUCCUUUAUGCAUCUUAUCUUGCUUUGAUUGACGGUAGCAUUUUAAGAUGAUCUCUCACUAAUUAUCAAGAAGUGUUCUCCCUAAGUAUGCACCGUUGCGAAAGUUCUUCGUGCUGAGACACCACGUGAUGAUCGGGUGUAAAACAGUUGCACACGCGGAAUACUCGGGUUAAACUUGACGAGCCUAGCAUAUACAGAUAUGGCCUCAGAACACGGAGAGCGAAAGGUCGAGCGUGAAUCAUAUAGUAGAUAUGAUCAACAUAAUGAUGUUCACCAUUGAAACUACUCCAUCUCACGUGAUGAUCGGACAUGGUUUAGUUUAUUUGGAUCACGUGAUCACUUAGAUGACUAGAGAGAUGUCUGUCUAAGUGGGAGUUCUUAAGUAAUAUGAUUAAUUGAACUUAAAUUUAUCAUGAACUUAGUAGUAUUUUGCUUGUCUAUGUUUGUUGUAGAUAGAUGACUUGUGCUGUUGUUCCGUUGAAUUUUAAUGAUGGUAGCAAUUACAUGGACUGGGUUCGUAACCUGAGGAUUAUCCUCAUUGCUGCACAGAAGAAUUAGUCCUGGAAGCACCGCUGGGUGCCAGGCCUGCUGCUGAUGCAACUGACGAUGUUAAGAACGUCUGGCAGAGCAAAGCUGAUGACUACUCGAUAGUUCGGUGUGCCAUGCUUUACGGCUUAGAACCGGGUCUUCAACGAGGUUUUGAACGUCAUGGAGCAUAUGAGGUGUUCCAGGAGUUGAAGUUAAUAUUUCAAGCAAAUGCCCGGAUUGAGAGAUAUGAAGUCUCCAAUAAGUUCUAUAGCUGCAAGAUGGAGGAGAAUAGUUCUGUCAGUGAACACAUACUCAAAAUGUCUGGGUAUAAUAAUCACUUGAUUCAACUGGGAGUUAAUCUUCCUGAUGAUAGUGUCAUUGACAGAAUUCUCCAAUCACUGCCACCAAGCUACAAGAGCUUCGUGAUGAACUAUAAUAUGCAAGGGAUGGACAAGACUAUUCCCGAGCUCUUCGCAAUGCUAAAAGCCGCGGAGGUAGAAAUCAAGAAGGAACAUCAAGUCUUGAUGGUUAACAAGACCACCAGUUUCAAGAAAAAGGGCAAAGGAAAGAAGAAGGGGAACUUCAAGAAGAACAGCAAACAAGUUGCUGCUCAAGAGAAGAAACCCAAGUCUGGACCAAAGCCUAGAACUGAGUGCUUCUACUGCAAGCAGACUGGACACUGGAAGCGGAACUGCCCCAAGUAUUUGGCGGAUAAGAAGGAUGGCAAAGUGAACAAAGGUAUAUGUGAUAUACAUGUUAUUGAUGUGUACCUUACUAAUACUCGCAGUAGUACCUGGGUAUUUGGUACUGGUUCUGUUGCUAAUAUUUGCAACUCGAAACAGGGACUAUGGUUAAGCGAAGAUUGGCUAAGGACGAGGUGACGAUGCGCGUGGGAAAUGGUUCCAAAGUCGAUGUGAUCGCGGUCGGCACGCUACCUCUACAUCUACCAUCGGGAUUAGUUUUAGACCUAAAUAAUUGUUAUUUGGUGCCAGCGUUGAGCAUGAACAUUAUAUCUGGAUCUUGUUUGAUGCGAGACGGUUAUUCAUUUAAAUCAGAUAAUAAUGGUUGUUCUAUUUAUAUGAGUAAUAUAUUUUAUGGUCAUGCACCCUUGAAGAGUGGUCUAUUUUUAUUGAAUCUCGAUAGUAGUGAUACACAUAUUCAUAGUGUUGAAACCAAAAGAUGAAGAGUUGAUAAUGAUAGUGCAACUUAUUUGUGGCACUGCCGUUUAGGUCAUAUCGGUGUAAAGCGCAUGAAGAAACUCCAUACUGAUGGGCUUUUGGAAUCACUUGAUUAUGAAUCACUUGGUACUUGCGAACCGUGCCUUAUGGGCAAGAAGACUAAAACGCCGUUCUCCGGAACUAUGGAGCGAGCAACUGAUUUGUUGGAAAUCAUACAUACUGAUGUUUGUGGUCCAAUGAAUGUUGAGGCUCGCGUCGGGUAUCGUUAUUUUCUCACCUUCAUAGAUGACUUGAGAAGAUAUGGGUAUAUCUACUUGAUGAAACACAAGUUUGAAACAUUUGAAAAGUUCAAAGAAUUUCAGAGUGAAGUGGAAAAUCAUCGUAACAAGAAAAUAAAGUUUCUACGAUCUGAUCAUGGAGGAGAAUAUUUGAGUUACGAGUUUGGUUUACAUUUGGAACAAUGCGGAAUAGUUUCACAACUCACGCCACCCAGAACACCACAACGAAAUGGUGUGUCCGAACGUCGUAAUCGUACUUUACUAGAUAUGGUGCGAUCUAUGAUGUCUCUUACUGAUUUACCGCUAUCGUUUUGGGGUUAUGCUUUAGAGACGGCCACAUUCACAUUAAAUAGGGCACCAUCAAAAUCCGUUGAGACGACGCCUUAUGAACUGUGGUUUGGCAAGAAACCAAAGUUGUUGUUCCUUAAAGUUUGGGGCUGCGAUGCUUAUGUAAAGAAACUUCAACCAGAUAAGCUCGAACCCAAAUCGGAGAAAUGUGUCUUCAUAGGAUACCCAAAAAAGACCAUUGGGUACACCUUCUAUCACAGAUCUGAGGGCAAGAUUUUUGUUGCUAAAAUCGGAUCCUUUCUAGAGAAGGAGUUUCUCUCGAAAGAAGUGAGUGGGAGGAAAGUAGAACUUGAUGAGAUAACUGUAUCUGCUCCCUUAUUGGAAAGUAUUUCAUCACAAGAACCGGUUCCUGUGACAACUACACCAAUUAGUGAGGAAGCUAAUGAUAUUGAUCAUGAAUCUUCAGAUCAAGUUUCUACUGAACCUCGUAGGUCUACUAGAGUAAGAUCCGCACCAGCGUGGUACGGUAAUCCUAUUCUGGAAGUCAUGUUACUUGACCAUGAUGAACCUAUGAACUAUGAGGAAGCGAUGAUGAGCCCAGAUUCCGCAAAAUGGCUAGAGGCCAUGAAAUCUGAGAUGGGAUCCAUGUAUGAGAACAAAGUAUGGACUUUGGUUGACUUGCCCGAUGAUGGGCAAGCCAUUGAGAAUAAAUGGAUCUUUAAGAAGAAGACUGACGUCGAUGGUAAUGUAACUGUCUAUAAAGCUCGACUUGUUGCAAAAGGUUUUCGACAAGUUCAAGGGGUUGACUACGAUGAGACUUUCUCACCCGUAGCGAUGCUUAAGUCUGUCCGAAUCAUGUUAGCUAUUGCUGCAUUUCAUGAUUAUGAAAUCUGGCAAAUGGAUGUCAAAACUGCAUUCUUGAAUGGAUUUCUGGAAGAAGAGAUGUAUAUGAUGCAACCAGAAGGUUUUGUUGAUCCAAAAGGUGCUAACAAAGUAUGCAAGCUCCAGCAAUCCAUUUAUGGACUGGUGCAAGCAUCUCGGAGUUGGAAUAAACGCUUUGAUAGUGUGAUCAAAGCAUAUGGUUUUAUAAAGACUUUUGGAGAAGCCUGUAUUUACAAGAAAGUGAGUGGGAGCUCUGUAGCAUUUCUGAUAUUAUAUGUAGAUGACAUAUUACUAACUGGAAAUGAUAUAGAAUUUCUGGAUAGCAUAAAGGGAUACUUGAAUAAAGGUUUUUCAAUGAAAGACCUCGGUGAAGCUGCUUACAUAUUGGGCAUCAAGAUUUAUAGAGAUAGAUCAAGACGCUUAAUAGGACUUUCACAAAGCACAUACCUUGAUAAAAUUUUGAAAAAGCUCAAAAUGGAUCAGGCAAAGAAAGGGUUCUUGCCCGUGCUUCAAGGUGUGAAGUUGAGUCAAACUCAAUGCCCGACCACAGGAGAAGAUAGAGAGAAAAUGAAAGAUGUUCCCUAUGCUUCAGCCAUAGGCUCUAUCAUGUAUGCAAUGCUGUGUACCAGACCUGACGUAUGCUUAGCAAUAAGUUUGGCAGGGAGGUACCAAAGUAAUCCAGGAGUGGAUCACUGGACAGCGGUCAAGAACAUCCUGAAAUACCUGAAAAGGACUAAGGAUAUGUUUCUCGUAUAUGGAGGUGACAAAGAGCUAGUUGUAAAUGGUUACGUUGAUGCAAGCUUUAACACUGAUCCAGACGAUUCUAAAUCGCAAACCGGAUACGUAUUUUUAUUAAACGGUGGAGCUGUAAGUUGGUGCAGUUCUAAACAAAGCGUCGUGGCGGGAUCUACAUGUGAAGCGGAGUACAUAGCUGCUUCGGAAGCAGCAAAUGAAGGAGUCUGGAUGAAGGAGUUCAUUUCCGAUCUAGGUGUCAUAACUAGCGCAUAGGGACCAAUGAAGAUCUUCUGUGACAAUACUGGUGCAAUUGCCUUGGCCAAGGAAUCCAGAUUUCACAAGAGGACCAAGCACAUCAAGAGACACUUCAAUUCCAUCCGGGACCAAGUCCAAGUGGGAGACAUAGAAAUUUGCAAGAUACAUACGGAUCUGAAUGUUGCAGACCCAUUGACUAAGCCUCUCUCAAGAGCAAAACAUGAUCAGCACCAAGACUCCAUGGGUGUUAGAAUCAUUACUAUGUAAUCUAGAUUAUUGACUCUAGUGCAAGUGGGAGACUGAAAUAAAUAUGCCCUAGAGACAAUAAUAAAGUUAUUAUUUAUUUCCUCAUAUCAUGAUAAAUGUUUAUUAUUCAUGCUAGAAUUGUAUUAACCGGAAACAUGAUACAUGUGUGAAUACAUAGACAAACAUAUAGUCACUAGUAUGCCUCUACUUGACUAGCUCAUUAAUCAAAGAUGGUUAUGUUUCCUAACCAUAGACAUGUGUUGUCAUUUGAUUAAUGGGAUCACAUCAUUAGGAGAAUGAUGUGAUUGACAAGGCCCAUUCCGUUAGCCUAGCACUUGAUCGUUUAGUAUAUUGCUAUUGCUUUCUUCAUGACUUAUACAUGUUCCUGUAACUAUGAGAUUAUGCAACUCCCGUUUACCAGAGGCACUCUUUGGGUACUACCAAACGUCACAACGUAACUGGGUGAUUAUAAAGGAGUACUACAGGUGUCCCCGAAGGUACAUGUUGAGUUGGCGUACUUCGAGAUUAGGUUUUGUCACUCCGAUUGUCGGAGAGGUAUCUCUGGGCCCUCUCGGUAAUGCACAUCACUAUAAGCCUUGCAAGCAAUGUGACCAAUGAGUUGGUUACGGGAUGAUGCAUUACGUAACGAGUAAAGAGACUUGCCGGUAACGAGAUUGAACUAGGUAUUGGAUACCGACGAUCGAAUCUCGGGCAAGUAACAUACCGAUGACAAAGGGAACAACAUAUGUUGUUAUGCGGUUUGACCGAUAAAGAUCUUUGUAGAAUAUGUAGGAACCAAUAUGGGCAUCCAGGUUCCGCUAUUGGUUAUUGACCGAGAAUAGUUCUAGGUCAUGUCUACAUAGUUCUCGAACCCGUAGGGUCCGCACGCUUAAACGUUACGAUGACAUUUUUAUUAUGAGUUUAUAAGUUUUGAUGUACCGAAGUUUGUUCGGAGUCCCGGAUGUGAUCACGGACAUGACGAGGAGUCUCUAAAUGGUCGAGACAUAAAGAUUGAUAUAUUGGACGACUAUAUUCGGACACCGGAAGUGUUCCGGACGUUUUCGGAGAAAACCGGAGUGCCGGAGGGUUACCGGAACCCCCCGGGAGAGUUAAUGGGCCACAUGGGCCUUAGUGGAAAGAGAGAGGGGCUGCCAGGGUGGGCCGCGUGCCCCCUCUCCCUCUGGUCCGAAUUGGACUAGGAGGGGGGGGGGUGGCGCCUCCUCUUUCCUUCCCCCUCUUCCCCUUCCUUCCCCCUCUUCCCCUUCCUUCCCCCUCCUAGUAGGAGUAGGAAAGGGGGAGUCCUACUCCUACUAGGAGGAGGACUCCUCCUCCUUGGCGCGCCCACAAGGGCCGGCCGGCCUCCCCCCUUGCUCCUUUAUAUACGGGGGCAGGGGGCACCCCAUAGACACACAAGUUGAUCUAUGGAUCGUUCCUUAGCCGUGUGCGGUGCCCCCCUCCACCAUAUUCCACCUCAGUCAUAUCAUCGCGGAGUUUAGGCGAAGCCCUGCACCGGUAGAACAUCAUCAUCGUCACCAUGCCGUCGUGCUGACGGAACUCAUCCCCGAAGCUUUGCUGGAUCAGAGCCCGGGGAUCGUCAUCGAGCUUAACGUGUGCUGAACUCGGAGGUGCCGUAAGUUCGGUGCUUGGAUCGGUCGGAUCGUGAAGACGUACGGCUACAUCAACCGCAUUGUGCUAACGCUUCCGCUUACGGUCUACGAGGGUACGUAGACAACACUCUCCCCUCUCGUUGCUAUGCCAUCACCAUGAUCUUGCGUGUGCGUCGAAUUUUUUUUGAAAUUACUAUGUUCCCCAACAUUGUCACCAUGUGCUUAUUGGAGUCAAGCUAGGAUGAUCAAUGAACUACUUUCUACCUUCAAUUGGUAUCUACUACAUCCUUCCAAUUCUAUCUCGGUAACAAGUAUCAUCAUCUACUACAUGCACACAUUAUUGCAUCAAUCGUUUGUAGAUUGUAUCAUGGCAUGCUAUUCUUUCUUUCUUGUGAUACUUGUUUCCUUUCUCAAAGCAUCCCAACAAUGAUCUCUUGUUGCUAGUUGUGAUGUCUUUGAUGGUUGUGUGGUAGGAAUUCAUUUAUAUACAAUAAGACCAUAUCUAGCCUUGGGCUAUGCUUCCAAGCACAUAUCUUAUUGGUAUAUGUAUGACUUCCUUUUGGAUAUCUUGUUCCUUCGUGUUGUAACUAUUUCGGGUGUACAUCCUUCUUUUUAGAUAUAUAUCGUCAUGAUUUCGUCAACCUAGACCCUUAUACACUUGAGAGAAAUUACAUCUCUAGAUGAUUUCCUUUCUUUCACGUCCACCUUGUCUUUCUUAUGUUAUUUCUUUGGUGGAUCUCACUAGUGCAGAACCGGGCAAUAGCACCGAUUCGUAAGGCCCUAUAGUGCCGGUUACAUAACCGGCACUAAUUUGUGGUCACUAAAGGCCCCCCCUUUAGUACCGGUUCAGCAUGAACCGGUGCUAAAGGGCAACCACGUGGCACGAGCCAGCUCCGGGGGCCUGGAGCCCUUUAGUACCGGUUGGUAACACCAACCGGUACUAUAAGGUUUGGUGGCUUUUUAGUUUUAUGAUUUCUUUUUCAUUUAAUUUUGUGUUUCCAUUUUAAUUCUUUUUCGUUUGCUGGUAUUUUACGAUACUACACAUUGUACACGUUAUGCAUCAUACAUCAUGCAUGCUUUGUUUAUCAACGCUGCUGCUAUGUUCAUUGCACCCGCAGAUAUAACAUGCUCAUGCAUGCUUUGCAUCAUUACAUCAUCAUAUAUAUAUAAUAACAAGUCCUACUAAUCAUGCAUCAUCAUACAACUUCUACUCGUUAUUAAUAAUAAGUCAUACGAUCAUCAUCCUCAUAUAUAGUCAUCGAACCCAACCCUACAUAAUUGUUCUUAGCACAUGAUCAUCAGUAUCAGGUAGGACCUAAACACCCUUAAGGUAAAAUAGCAUAAAACAAUAUAGACCCUGACUCUCCAUUAUGAAGAAUGACGAUCAUCCUGUCUCCAAUUCUUGCCUUUCGCUGCUUAUUGCUUCCAAGAAGCUCCUUAUGACUGUCCAUACAUUUUUCCAUUCUUUGAUUGUUAUGUCUCCACUUCUUUUAGAAACCCGGUAUGGACAGUUGAGAUUCGUAGGACGACCUGGUCGUAUGUUCAAAACAUGAAGGCUACCACGCGUAUACAUCAGAUGAGGCACACAAUCAUUCGGGAUUAUCUGUUGAAAAACAUAAUAAUAACUUUGUAGUUAGCAAUGAUGUACUAGUUUUAAAAGUGUGCAAAAAGAUGCACGGAUGUUGUAAUAGUAAAAAAUAAUCUUACCAGGGUAUCUCCAUGGUAAUUACCGUAGUUCAACACGUGCACUAGUGGCACGUAUUGACCAUAAUGUUGAGGAGUUUGAUUGUAGAUAUUGUAAUUCUCAAGAUCAGUACAAAAUCCGACCAGAUGAUUUUUCUCCUGAUAAGUUAAUUCGGAGCCUUCAGUGUAGUACGUUCUGUCUACCAUCUUCCGCACAUUCUUUGUAGAAUGAAAAUAAGCUGUCAAUGGAGAUAAGUUGUCAACAUUAUAUUUUGAAAUAAACAAUAUAAAUUACUUAAUAACUAUGUUUAGCUCACAUGAGGGAAGAACUGGAGGUGUAUCCACAAAGACCCAAAUCGAAGGUGUCUCUUGCUCGAUUGUAGGAUCACCAAGAUCCAUGGUGACAAGCAUACCCUCAUCAAGACCAUACAUCUUGCAAAAUGCAUUCCAAUUUUUGCAAUCAAAAUGGGUUACACUCUGAGCAUUGUACAACUUUACUUGAAAAUCCACACCAUGUUCGGUACUUAGGAUAAUUUUUUUGGUUUCGAAAUUUUCAUGGUCUUCAAAACCCAUCCUCUCCAAGACAUAGCGUCUUGCAAAGCAUGGGAUAAGCUAGUCGAAUUGGAAAAGAUGAAAAAUACACGUUAAAAUAGUUGAAGUCGUGCAUAAUUACAAAAAAAACUAUUGUCGUCGUUGCGUACCGUAUGAACAUCGCAGGUCUCCUCGAGCUUAAUGCUGAAGCGCCGAUCUUCGUUCAGCUCAAUGAACCUGUCGCAGAUACCUCGGUCGUCGUGGCACCAGUCGCACUCCCCCGGGCGGUUUUCGUCGUCCGAUGAGUACGACAUUUCCGGCCUACGUUCAUAAUUUAGUUUUAUUAAUUAAGUCAACUAUCUAGUUCAACUACUAAGCACUUACUAUAAAUAAAUAAGUAGUACUUACUAAAAACAAACUACUUCUAUAUAUAGUAAAAUAAAUUAGUUUAUUAAAUCAACUAGCUAGUUCAACUAUAUAUAAACUACUUCUUCUUUUUUUUCCUUUUUCUAAAUACUAUGAACAAAAAAAUCAUUAAAAUUCUAUGAANNNNNNNNNNNNNNNNNNNNNNNNNNNNNNNNNNNNNNNNNNNNNNNNNNNNNNNNNNNNNNNNNNNNNNNNNNNNNNNNNNNNNNNNNNNNNNNNNNNNNNNNNNNNNNNNNNNNNNNNNNNNNNNNNNNNNNNNNNNNNNNNNNNNNNNNNNNNNNNNNNNNNNNNNNNNNNNNNNNNNNNNNNNNNNNNNNNNNNNNNNNNNNNNNNNNNNNNNNNNNNNNNNNNNNNNNNNNNNNNNNNNNNNNNNNNNNNNNNNNNNNNNNNNNNNNNNNNNNNNNNNNNNNNNNNNNNNNNNNNNNNNNNNNNNNNNNNNNNNNNNNNNNNNNNNNNNNNNNNNNNNNNNNNNNNNNNNNNNNNNNNNNNNNNNNNNNNNNNNNNNNNNNNNNNNNNNNNNNNNNNNNNNNNNNNNNNNNNNNNNNNNNNNNNNNNNNNNNNNNNNNNNNNNNNNNNNNNNNNNNNNNNNNNNNNNNNNNNNNNNNNNNNNNNNNNNNNNNNNNNNNNNNNNNNNNNNNNNNNNNNNNNNNNNNNNNNNNNNNNNNNNNNNNNNNNNNNNNNNNNNNNNNNNNNNNNNNNNNNNNNNNNNNNNNNNNNNNNNNNNNNNNNNNNNNNNNNNNNNNNNNNNNNNNNNNNNNNNNNNNNNNNNNNNNNNNNNNNNNNNNNNNNNNNNNNNNNNNNNNNGCGGGGGCGGCGAGGGCGACGGCGGGGCAGACGAGCGGCGGGGGCGGCGAGGACGACGAGCGGCGAGGGCGAGGGCGAGGGCGUCGUCGGAGAUCGAGAAAAGUGGAACGAAGUGACGACGAUAACUGAUUUUUCGUAAGUGCCAUAUAUAUAGGGGGAGCCUUUAGUACCGGCUAGAGCCACCAACCGGUACUAAAGGCCAAUUUUGGCCAGCCCAAGCGGCGGGAAACGAGGCCCUUUAGUACCGGUUGGUGGCUCCAACCAGUACUAAAGGGCAACGCAUUAGUACCGGUUGGAGCCACCAACCGGUACUAAAGGCCGUGCGCUGCCACCCGCGGUGCGCUAUGUUUAGUCCCACCUCACCGAGCGAAGGGCAGCCGCACUGGUUUAUAAACCCAGCCGCGGCUGCCCUUUCGAACUCCUCUAUAUAGCAGGCUUCUGGGCCUAACUAUGGCGCGCUGCCCGGUGAGCCUCCUGGACCUUCUGGGCCUGCAUUUGCACACCCUAGGUCUUGUAGGCCCACCGGGCAGCGCCCCAACAUUUUUUUUCUUUUUUUUCUUUUCUGCAUUAUUUAUUUUCUUCUAUUUAUUUUUGAGUAAUUUUUUUAUAUAGUUAUUUAUUUUCUACAUUAUUUAUCUUGUAGGCCCACCGGGCAGCGCCCCAACAUUUNNNNNNNNNNNNNNNNNNNNNNNNNNNNNNNNNNNNNNNNNNNNNNNNNNNNNNNNNNNNNNNNNNNNNNNNNNNNNNNNNNNNNNNNNNNNNNNNNNNNNNNNNNNNNNNNNNNNNNNNNNNNNNNNNNNNNNNNNNNNNNNNNNNNNNNNNNNNNNNNNNNNNNNNNNNNNNNNNNNNNNNNNNNNNNNNNNNNNNNNNNNNNNNNNNNNNNNNNNNNNNNNNNNNNNNNNNNNNNNNNNNNNNNNNNNNNNNNNNNNNNNNNNNNNNNNNNNNNNNNNNNNNNNNNNNNNNNNNNNNNNNNNNNNNNNNNNNNNNNNNNNNNNNNNNNNNNNNNNNNNNNNNNNNNNNNNNNNNNNNNNNNNNNNNNNNNNNNNNNNNNNNNNNNNNNNNNNNNNNNNNNNNNNNNNNNNNNNNNNNNNNNNNNNNNNNNNNNNNNNNNNNNNNNNNNNNNNNNNNNNNNNNNNNNNNNNNNNNNNNNNNNNNNNNNNNNNNNNNNNNNNNNNNNNNNNNNNNNNNNNNNNNNNNNNNNNNNNNNNNNNNNNNNNNNNNNNNNNNNNNNNNNNNNNNNNNNNNNNNNNNNNNNNNNNNNNNNNNNNNNNNNNNNNNNNNNNNNNNNNNNNNNNNNNNNNNNNNNNNNNNNNNNNNNNNNNNNNNNNNNNNNNNNNNNNNNNNNNNNNNNNNNNNNNNNNNNNNNNNNNNNNNNNNNNNNNNNNNNNNNNNNNNNNNNNNNNNNNNNNNNNNNNNNNNNNNNNNNNNNNNNNNNNNNNNNNNNNNNNNNNNNNNNNNNNNNNNNNNNNNNNNNNNNNNNNNNNNNNNNNNNNNNNNNNNNNNNUUCUUCUUCUCCUCCUCCUUCCUUUUGCCAUAACAGAAGAAGUCCGGAGUUGUAAUAAGUUAUUAAAAAUGAAAAAGAGGUGCAACGCUCGUUAAUUUUCUUCAAGCCUUUUGGAAUAGUGUAAACUGCACUGCGCGUAGCUCCGUGCAAUCUACCAUAUUCCUAAAGGCUUGAAGCUAAGCAACGUGAGCAUUGAGCCUCUUCUUCAUCGUCUCUGCACCCAGGGCUUAUAAACCGCUCCUACUCCCUCUCUCUUGGCGAGGUGGGACUAAAAAACAGCUUACCCUUUAGUACCGGUUGGAGCCACCAACCGGUACUAAAGGUGGUGUGCUGCCUGCACAAAAUUUAAUUAGUGUCAUUUAGCUCAAAACAAAUCAUUAAAUGCAUGAAAAAUAUCAAAUGAAGGCAGAAAUGGUUGAAAGUUGAUGGCGUCGCUUUGAAUGAUGCAUACUGAAUGCACAAAAAGUCUGGAGUUGUAAUAAGUUUAAAAAAUGAAAUGUCUUUGUAACAGAUGAGUUUAAUUUCAUCAGAAACCUGAAUAGUUCGAAAGAGAUUGUCCAGUUUGUAAACGAAGUGCAUCCAGUUUUUGCCGUAACCCUCUCUACUUUUUUGAACAAUCUAUGUGGGUGAAAUGAUGAUACCAUGCCAAGUUUCAACUUUUUCAGAGUUCAUUUGUAGUGCUUUUCAAUUUUCAGGUCAUUUAGUUCUCAAAACAAAUCAUUGAAUGCAUGAAAAAUAGCAAAUGAAGGCAGAAAUGGUUGAAAGUUGAUGGCGUCGCUUUGAAUGGUGCAUACUGAACGCAAAAAAUAUAAGAGCAUUUACAUCACGAUCUUAUAUUUCUUUAGAGUCUAAACUGUCAAUAUGAUCUUAUAACAUCAAAAAUACUUUGAUCAUCAAUGAUCUUUGUGUGUACAAUCUGAAUUGUCAAUAUGAGUCAUCAACGAUUUAUAAACCGAUGAAGACUCAUAUUGCGGUCACAAAUUCUACACAUAGAGUUCAAUGAAGACCAAGUGCUUGUGAUAGUUUGAGAAAUAACAUAUUUAAGGUGGUAAAAGGCUUGUUAGGGGAGCGAGGUGGGACUAAAAACAGCUUGCAUAACCUCAUUAGUACCGGUUCGUGGUACGAACCGGCACUAAAUGGUGAUGGUGGGGCCAUAGCCUGACCACAGGCUGACACAUCCCCUUUAGUACCGGUUCGUGGCAUGAACCGGUACUAAAGGUUCGCCACGAACCAGUGCUAUUGAUCGCCGCCACGAACCGGUGCUAUUGUACACAUUAGUGCCGGCUGAAAUUCAAACCGACACUAUUGGGCUUCACGUAUGACCCUUUUUCUACUAGUGUCUAUGAAAGCUUUUGCCGUGAGUGCGUGUCUUAUCUCAUUGCAUCUUGAUGCACUCUUGUGUGUUGAAGAUUAUUUUUCUCAUGCUUGUCUUGACGAGGCUUUUCCCAUCUUAAUUGGUAUCCCCUGUCUUGAUGAUGCCUAUGUUUUCUAUCUUCACCUUGGGUUGUCACAAGUGUUGGUUAUUCAUUUUGCAUAUUUAGUGUUCUUGUGAACCCAUUUGCUUAGUUGUGUGUGAGAAUGAAAGGCUUUGCACCGUGUAUCUCAUUCAUUCGAGACUAUGUUGAUGCUUAUGCUCAUCCGUAUAUUAGUCUUCUCAUGUGCUUUGCCAUGGCUCACACACAUCAUUUUGGUUGAGCCUAUUCUUAAGUUGCCUCUUUUACAUGUUGCUCAACCAUGUGUUUGUUGCAAGUGCUAGGCUUAGUUUCCUUUAUGCUCACUUUCACUUGUUGUUUGUUUCUAUUGAUUUUGGGCGAGCUAUGAUCCUAUUUUGUGCACAUUGUAUCCAAAUACAAAAAUUAUUAUGUGUGCACAAAUCAUGGGGAGCUUCUCUAGCUUAUUUAGAACACUCGUUUGCUCAUAUCAUAAUAUCCUUCAUUCAUGUUGCUCAUAUCAUAAUAUCCUUCAUUCAUGUUGCUCAUAGGAUCUUUGGUCUAGUUGGUUCAAUUUAUAUCCUUUGAUUGCUUACUUCAAUUGGUAUCUUUUGAUUGCUCGAUUUCUUGUUUCUCUCUUUGUUAUGUCUUUGUGGCAUAUCAUUCUUUUGCAAUCUUUGGGCCUCAAUAUAGUUUGUCUUCCUCCAAGUAUUUACCAUUGGAUAUGUGUAUUGCAUUCCACUCUCUUUUUGAGAGAUACACAAUUUAUGGAGGAACCCUCUUUAUAUUGGCCUUCUAAGCUUUUCACCCAUUUUGGCAAUCGAUGCCAAUGGGGGAAGAGUUUCAGAGAGUUUUGUGGAGAAGUCUUCAGAGUUUUCUCUUUGCUUUGGUUUUGGUUCCUAAGCAUUUGCAUCCCAUUCUCAUGCAUCAUUGGUUGUUGCAUUGCAUGGUGAUGCAUAACUCCUUGUAUAAACUCUCCUAAAAGUGAUUGUCAUCAAUUACCAAAAUGGGGGAGAUUGAAAUAACAUGCGGAGCCCCCAUGUUUGGUUUUGGUAAUUGAUGACAAUCUCUAUAGACUAAUGGUUGCCUUGAGUUACAUUUGAAGGUCUUGUCCAAAGGAUUUUCUUGGAGUACAUGUGUUGGUUUCAAGGAGAGCUUGUGUCGACCAAUGUGCUAUUAAGGAAUUAUCCAAAGAUUGGUCAUGUGAGAGUUGAGCUUAUUGCAAGCAUGUCUUGAAGAAGAAGAUUGUGUGAUCAUUCAUGCUUACCUUCAAGGCAUUAUCCAAAUGAAGAGAGUUGGAAAGGUUCAAGGUUGAUCAAGACUAAUUCAAGAGUGAAUCAAGUUGAUCAACUCACAAAGCGUAGAAGAUGUACCGAGAGGGAUCAAGUGAUCCCAUGGUAUGGUAAGCACUGUCAAUUACGCUUUGUGUACUAACCCAUGGUCUUUGUGAGAGUUCUUUGUGGGGUUAGGUUGCGGUGUGCUCGUUCAACUGAUGCAUCACGAAGAGAUCAAGUGCUUGAAGCUUGCCAUCCAUUGUGGUGACAAUGGACUUGUGAAGAUGUGCCGAAGAGUGGCUCACUCAUAGUGGAGUAUGGGGGAGCAAUCUACUAGUCUUCACCGAGCCAACGCAAUCAAGAAAGGUGGUCCAACUUAAGGAAGUCAAGAUCGUCUACAUCAAGCUCAAGUCAACUUUGUGCAAGGCAAAUGUUUGCCCUUGAUGGGUUUUCUAUUUUACCGGUCUCAUGGUGGUAGUUGGGAGACCGGGUUAUAGGAUCGAUUGCCGUACUAUCAAGGGGGGCUCUUGAUGAAUAGCUUGAUCGUAUCGUUCGCAUAGAGCUCAAACCAUUGCAUCCUUGCAUCAUGUUUCUUGGUUCUUGUUUUGUUCUCUUUGUGAGUCUUAUAGCUUAUGGUCAUCUUGAUGACAAGCUUGAGUUCAUCGAAAACGGAGUUUGCAUGCGUCUUCUAUGAUGUUUUCGGUGUUGGAGGUUUUACCGGUCUUAUCCGAGGAAGAGUUCUCACCUUUUUAUUUUGGGCCUUUUCUCAUUUGCUUCUUAUUGGUAUUUCUAUCAAGAUUGUGUUAGCCCUUGUCGCUAGCUUUCCAACAAACUUGGUUUCAUCGAAUUCGGAGUCCGUUUGCAGAAGUUGUGUCAGUUUUGGUGUCCUUAAAAGGGGCUGCUGCGGAUGUAAUUUUUUAGUACCGCUCUUGGGAGUGGUGCUACUGCUUGGACUGGUACUACCGCGACUACUUCCGUGGCUACUUCCCCUUGGGACCAAAAACUUGUCACAAGUCCAGCGGUGGUAGGGACGGAUGUAAUUUUUUAGUACCGCUCGCAAGCACUAGUACCGCUACCCUUAACAGUAGUACCGCUCCUUGGAGCGGUAGUACCGCUCGGUGCGGGCUGUGAGCAUAACGGUUGGAUUUUUACCCACCUAUAAAAGGGGUCUUCUUCUCCAAUGAACCUUAUCCCUUGAGCUCGUGUUCUUCCCCCAUUGUUGACCUUCUUCGAGCAUGCUAACUCUCAAUCCCUCCAUGGAUUCUUGCUAGUUUUUGAGGGAAAAGAGAGAGGAGAUCUAGAUCCACAUUUCCAACAAUCACUUUCUCCUCUAUGUGACGAGAACCCCUUGGAUCUAGAUCUUGAAGUUCUUUGUGUUCUCCUUCUUGUUCUUCCUCUCAUCUUCCUCCCUAGCAUUAGUUGCUUCGGUGGGAUUUGAGAGAGAAGGACUUGGGCACUCCGUGUGCCCUUGCCAUUGCAUUUGGUACAUCGGUUUGAGUUCUCCACGUGAUAUGUGGAAGUUACAAGUUGAGAAGCUUAUUACUCUUCCCUUGAGCUUGUUACUCUUGGGUGUUUGGACACCCUAGAGCUUGUUCCUCUUGGGUGCCUUGGCGCCCUAGACGGUUGGUGUUAUUCGGAGCUCAAUCAUUGUGGUGUAAAGCUCCGGGAAAGCGCAGGGGUCUCCACUUAGGUUGUGGAGAUCGCCCUGAGCAAUUUGACGGGUACCAGUGACCGCCCCCAAGGGUUGCCAAAGUGUACUGGUUCGGUGACCGCCCCCAAGGGUCGCCAUUUGUACGGGUUCGGUGACCGCCCUCAAGGGUCCCUUAGUGGAAUCACGGCAUCUUGCAUUGUGCGAGGGCGUGAGGAGAUUUCGGUGGCCCUAGUGGCUUCUUGGGGAGCAUUGUGCCUCCACACCGCACCAAACAGAGAAUAGCAUCCACAACGGUGUGAACUUCGGGAUACAUCAUCGUCUCCGCGUGCCUCGGUUAUCUCUUACCCGAGCCCUUUACUUAUGCACUUUACUUUGUGAUAGCCAUAUUUUUCUUUGUCAUAUAUCUUGCUAUCACAUAGUUGCUUAUCUUGCUUAGCAUAAGUUGUUGGUGCACUUAGGUGAGCCUAGUUGUUUUAGGUUUUGUGCUUGACAGAUUAACUGCUAGGUUUAUUCCGCAUUUGUUCAAGCCUUAACCAUAAUUAUUUUAAAGCGCCUAUUCACCCCCCCCGCCCUCUAGGCGACAUCCUCGAUCUUUCACCUUCUAUCACAGAUCCGAAGGCAAAACAUUCGUUGCUAAGAAUGGAUACUUUCUAGAGGAGUUUCUCUCAAAAGAAGUGAGUCGGAGGAAAGUAGAACUUGAUGAGGUGACUGUACCUGCUCCCUUAUUGGAAAGUAGUUCAUCACAGAAAUCUGUUUCUGUGACACCUACACCAAUUAGUGAGGAAGCUAAUGAUAUUGAUCAUGAAACUUCAGAUCAAAUUACUACCAAACCUCGUAGGUCGACCAGAGUGAGAUCAGCACCAGAGUGGUAUGGUAAUUCUAUUCUGGAAGUCAUGUUACUAGACCAUGAUGAACCUACGAACUAUGAGGAAGAAAUGAUGAGCCCAGAUUCCGCGAAAUGGCUUGAGGCCAUGAAAUCUGAGAUGGGAUCCAUGUAUGAGAACAAAGUGUGGACUUUGAUUGACUUGCCCGAUGAUCGGCAAGCCAUAGAAAAUAAAUGGAUCUUCAAGAGGAAGAUAGACGCUGAUAGUAGUGUUACUAUCUACAAAGCUCGGCUUGUCGCAAAAAGUUUUUCGACAAGUUCAAGGUGUUGAAUACAAUGAGAUUUUCUCACUCGUAUCGAUGCUUAAAAGUCUGUCCGAAUCAUGUUAGCAAUUGCCGCAUUUUAUGAAAUUUGGCAAAUGGAUGUGAAAACUACAUUCCUUAAUGGAUUUCUUAAAGAAGAAUUGUAUAUGAUGCAACCAGAAGGUUUUGUCAAUUCGAAAGGUGCUAACAAAAUGUGCAAGCUCCAGCGAUCCAUCUAUGGACUGGUGCAAGCAUCUCGGAGUUGGAAUAUACGCUUUGAUGAUUUUAUCAAAGCAUAUGGUUUUAUACGGACUUGUGGGGAAGCCUGUAUUUACAAAAAGUGAGGGGGAGCACUACAGCCUUUCUGAUAAAUAUAUGUGAGUGACAUAUUGUUGAUCAGAAAUGAUGUAGAAUUUUCUAGAAAGCAUAAAGGAGUGUUUAAAAGGAUUUCUUCAAAGAAAGACCUCAGUAAAGCUACUUACAUAUUAAGCGUCAAGAUCUACUGAGAUAGAUCAAGAUGCUUGAUAAGAUUUUCAAUGAGUACAUACCUUGAAAAGAUUUUGAAAUAGUUCAAAAUGUAACAGUUAAAGAAAGAGUUCUUGCAUGUGUUGCAAAGGUGUGAAAUUGAGUAAGACUCAAAUCCCGACCAUGACAGAAAAUAGAAAGAGAAUGAAAGUCAUUCCCUAUGCCUCAGUCAUAGGUUCUAUAAAGUAUGCCAUGCUAUGGACCAGACCUAUUGUAUACCCUGCCCUGAAUUUGGCAAAGGAGUACAAUAGUGAUCUAGGAGUAGAUCACUGGACAUUGGUCAAGAAUAUCCUUAGUGAGGACUAAGGAAAUGUUUCUCGAUUAUGGAGGUGAUAAAAUAGUUUGUUGUAAAAGGUUAGAGCGGUGCAAGCUUUUACACCAAUCCAGAUGACUCUAAGUCUCAAUCUGGAUACAUCUUGAAAGUGGGAGCAAUUAGCUAGAGUAGCUCCAUGCAGAGCAUUAUAGACAUAGAAUAUUUGCGAAAUACAUACGGCUCUGAAUCUGUCAGACCCGUGACUAAACUUCUCUCACAAGCAAAACAUGAUCAUACCUUAGUACCCUUUGGGUGUUGAUCACAUGACGAUGUGAACUAUGGGUAUUAAUCAUAUACAGAUGUGAAUAUUGGUGUUAAAUCACAUGGCGAUGUGAACUAGAUUAUUGACUCUAGUGCAAGUGGGAGACUGAAGGAAAUAUGCCCUAGAGGCAAUAAUAAAGUUAUUAUUUAUUUCCUUAUUUCAUGAUAAAUGUUUAUUAUUAAUGCUAGAAUUGCAUUAACCGGAAACAUAAUACAUGUGUGAAUACAUAGACAAACAUAGUGUCACUAGUAUGCCUCUACUUGACUAGCUCGUUAAUCAAAGAUGGUUAAGUUUCCUAACCAUAGACAUGAGUUGUCAUUUGAUUAACGGGAUCACAUCAUUAGGAGAAUGAUGUGAUUGACUUGACCCAUUCCGUUAGCUUAGCACUUGAUCAUUUAGUAUGUUGCUAUUGCUUUCUUCAUGACUUAUACAUGUUCCUAUGACUAUGAGAUUAUGCAACUCCCGUUUAUCGGAGGAACACUUUGUGUGCUACCAAACGUUACAACAUAACUGGGUGAUUAUAAAGGAGCUCUACAGGUGUCUCCGAAGGUACAUGUUGAGUUGGCGUAUUUCGAGAUUAGGAUUUGUCACUCCGAUUGUCGGAGAGGUAUCUCUGGGCCCUCUCGGUAAUGCACAUCACUAUAAGCCUUGCAAGCAAUGUAGAUAAUGAGUUAGUUGCGGAAUGAUGCAUUACAUAAUGAGUAAAGAGACUUGCCGGUAACGAGAUUGAACUAGGUAUUGAGAUACCAACGAUCGAAUCUCGGGCAAGUAACAUACCGAUGACAAAGGGAACAAUGUAUGUUGUUAUUCGGUUUGACCGAUAAAGAUCUUCAUAGAAUAUGUAGGAGCCAAUAUGAGCAUCCAGGUUCCGCUAUUGGUUAUUGACCAGAAACGUGUCUCGGUCAUGUCUACAUAGUUCUCGAACCCGUAGGGUCCGCACGCUUAAAGUUUCAAUGACGGUUAUAUUAUGACUUUAUGAGUUUUGAUGUACCGAAGGUUGUUCGGAGUCCAGGAUGUGAUCACGGACAUAACAAGGAGUCUCGAAAUGGUCGAGACAUGAAGAUAGAUAUAUUGGAAGCCUAUAUUUGGAUAUCGGAAGUGUUCCGGGUGAAAUCGGGAUUUUACCGGAGUACCGAGGGGUUACCGAAACCCCCCGGGGGCUUAAUGGGCCAUAGUGGGCCUUAGUGGAGAAGAGGAGAGGCGGCCAGGGCAGGGCCGUGCACCCCUCCCCCUAGUCCGAAUAGGACAAGGAGAGGGGGGCGGUGCCCCCCCUUUCCUUCCUCUCUCUCCCUCCUCUUUCCCCCUCUCCUAGUCCAACAAGGAAGGGAGGCAGUCCUACUCCACCUACUCCCCCUGGCGCGCCUCCUCCCUGGCCGGCCGCCCCCUCCCCCUUUGCUCCUUUAUAUACGGGGGCAGGGGGCACCUCUAGAGACACAACAAUAGAUCAUUGAUCUCUUAGCCGUGUGCGGUGCCCCCCUCCACCAUAGUCCUCCUUGAUAAUAUUGUAGCGGUGCUUAGGCGAAGCCCUGCAAUGGUAGAACAUCAUCAUCAUCAUCACGCCGUCGUGCUGAUGGAACUCUCCCUCGACACUCGUCUGGAUUGGAGUUCGAGGGGCGUCAUCGAGCCGUACGUGUGCUAGAACUCGGAGGUGCCGUGCUUUCGGUGCUUGAUCGGUCGGGCCGUGAAGAUGUAUGACUACAUCAACCGCAUUGUUCUAACGCUUCCGCUUUCGGUCUAUGAGGGUACGUGGACAACACUCUCCCCUCUCGUUGCUAUGCAUCACCAUGAUCUUGUGCGUGCGUAGGAAUUUGUUUUGAAAUUACUACGUUCCCCAACAGCUCGACCCCCUCCCCCCUCCUCAUGUCGAGUUAUCGGGGAGGGGGUAUAUCGACCCCCCCCUCAUGUCGAAGUUAUCGGGGAGGUGGUAUAUCGACAACGACAUACCCAAUAGAAAAUAAGAAGAGGAAGAAGAAAAAAAAGAGGAGAAGAAGAAAGGAAUAGAGGAGAAGAUCGAAGAAAAUAAAAGAAGAAGAAAAAGAGGAGAAGAAGAAAGGAAUAGAGGUGAAGAAGAAAAAAUAUAGAAAUUACUCUGUUUUUUUCUUCUUCUCUUCUAUUCCUUUCUUCUUCUCCUCUUUUUUUUCUAUUUUUUCUCUUCUUAUUUAUUUCUCCUCUUCUUCCUCUCCUCUUCUUCUCCUUUUUCUUCUCCUUCAUCCUCCUCUUAUUUUCCUUUUUCCACUCCUUCUUUUUCAUCUUCUUCCUUCUUCCUUCUUCCUCUUUUCUUCCUUUCCUUAUUUUACAUUUUCCUCCACACUAACCUAAAAUGCACUAACCUAAAAUCGAUAUCUACUAAUUAACAACCUAAAUAAAAAAUUAAUACAUAUAUGAAAAAAACAUCAUAUGAAAAAAAACAUCAUAUGCACAAAAAAACAUCAUAUGAACAUCAUACGAAAAAAACAACGUAUCAACAUCAUCACAUAUAUGAAAAAAACAUCGGAAGGCCGCCGGACCGUGGGGCGGCGCGGCGACGGCCUCGGGGCAGCGGUGGCGCGGGGCAUUGAUGGCGUCGGGGCAGCGAGGGCAUCGGGGCGACGCGGGGCGGCGAUGGCGUCAGGGCGGCACGGGGAGGUGACAGUGACGGCGUCGAGACGGUGACGGCGCGCGGCGACGGCGUCGGGGCGGCUCGGGGUGGUGACGGCGCGGGGCGCGGGUGACGAUGGUGUCAACGGGGCGAGCUCGAGCAGCCUGGCAGCGUCGUCGGGGUGGGGCAACUGCAGAAAUGAAAAUGAAAACGCCUAAGUGUUUGCUUAUAUAGCAAAGCCAUUGGUCCCGGCUCGUGGCACCAACCGGGACCAAUUACCCCCUUUAGUCCCGGUUGGUGCCAUCGCCAAGUAAGAGUGUAGGGGAUCUAUCGUAGUCCUUUCGAUAAGUAAGAGUGUCGAACCCAACAAGGAGCAGAAGGAAAUGACAAGCGUUUUUUCAGUAAGGUAUUCUCUGCAAGCACUGAAAUUGUAUGUAACAGAUAGUUUUGUGAUAAGAUAAUUUGUAACGGGUAACAAGCAACAAAAGUAAAUAAAGUGCAGCAAGGGGCCCAAUCCUUUUUGUAGCAAAGGACAAGCCUGGACAAAUCCUUAUAAUGAGAAAAGCGCUCCCGAGGACACAUGGGAAUUAUCAUCAAGCUAGUUUUCAUCACGCUCAAAUGAUUCGCGUUCGUCACUUUGAUAAUCCGAUAUGUGGGUGGACCGGUGCUUGGGUAUUUGGACAAGCAUCCCACUUAUGAUUAACCCCCAUUGCAAGAAUCCGCAACUACAAAAGAAGUAUUAAGAUAAACCUAACCAUAGCAUGAAACAUAUGGAUCCAAAUCAACCCCUUACAAAGCAACGCAUAAACUAGGGUUUAAGCUUCUGUCACUCUAGCAACCCAUCAUCUACUUAUUACUUCCCAAUGCCUUCCUCUAGGCCCAAAUAAUGGUGAAGUUUCAUGUAGUCGAUGUUGACAUAACGCCACUAGAGGAGAGACAACAUACAUCUCAUCAAAAUAUCAAACGAAUACCAAAUUCACAUUACUACUAAUAGCAAGACUUCACCCAUGUCCUCAGGAACAAACGUAACUACUCACAAAGCAUAUUCAUGUUCAUGAUCAGAGGAGUAUUAAUAUGCAUUAAGGAUCUGAACAAAUGAUCUUCCACCGGAUAAACCAACUAGCAUCAACUACAAGGAGUAAUCAACACUACUAGCAACCCACAGGUACCAAUAUGAGGUUUGGAUACAAAGACUGGAUACAAGAGAUGAACUAGGGUUUGAGCGGAGAUGGUGCUGGUGAAGAUGUUGAUGGAGAUUGACCCCCUCUUGAAGAGAGGAUCGUUGGUGAUGACGAUGGUGAUGAUUUCCCCCUCCCGGAGGGAAGUUUCCCCGGCAGAACAGCUCCAUCGGAGCCCUAGAUUGGUUCCGCCAAGGUUCCGCCUCGUGGCGGCAGAGUUUCGUCCCGUAAGCUUGCCUAUGAUUUUUUCCAGGGUAAAAGACUUCAUAUAGCAGAAGAUGGGCAUCGGAGGGCUGCUAGGUGGCCCACGAGGCAGGGGGCACGCCCUGUAAGAGUGGGCGCGCCCCCACCCUCGUGGACGGUGGGUGGCCCCUCUCAGGUAUUUCUUCCGCUGAAUAAUUAUCAUUAAUUCCAAAAAUGACUUUCAUGGAGUUUCAGGACUUUUGGAGCUAUGCAGAAUAGGUCUCCAAUAUUUGCUCCUUUUCCAGCCCAGAAUCCCAACUGCCGGCAUUCUCCCUCUUCAUGUUAAACCUUGUAAAAUAAGAGAGAAUAGCCAUAAGUAUUGUGACAUAACGUGUAAUAACAACCCAUAAUGCAAUAAAUAUCGAUAUAAAAGCAUGAUGCAAAAUGGACAUAUCACAACACUGUUUCUAAUGACCUAUACUUGUUGGCGAGGGAACCAUCUUCGACUUUAAUGACGUACAAAGGGUACGAGAUAAAUGGGAAUACAUUUUACAUGAUCGCCAAAGAUCAAAAGAGCACCAACCAAAAUAGUGGUGUCCGCUUUGAUGCAGCAACCAAGAGGGGAAAGGACACAUAUUAUGGUUACAUAGUGGACAUAUGGGAACUUGACUAUGGAUAUGAUAUUAAGGUCCCUUUGUUUAAGUGUGAAUGGGUCAAUCUGUCAGGAGGCGGGGUAUAGGUAGACCCACAGUACAGAAUGACAACAGUGGAUCCAAACAAUCUGGGGUACAUAGACGAGACAUUCGUCCUUGCCAAUGAUGUGGCGCAUGCUUUCUAUGUGAAGGACAUGUCUAUCAAACCAAGAAAAAGAAAAGAAAAGGAAGUGGAUACAUCAUACGAUGAGCCAAAGCACCACAUAGUUCUUUGAGGAAAAAGAGACAUUGUGCGAUUAGAGGGCAAGACAGACAUGUCUGAAGAUUAUGAAAAGUUUCAUGAAAUUCCUCCUUUCAGAGUCAAGGCUGACCCAAGCACCCUGUUAAAUGAUGAACAAUAUCCAUGGUUACGGCGCAAUAAGCAAAGGACACAGGCGAAGAAAAAGUGAAGACUUUCUAUCCACAACUAUUAUGAUGAUGCCUUUGAUCCAGAAUAUCAUUGCAGUUACAUGUGAACAAGUGAAAUCCCUUUGUAACACAUGAGUUUUCGUCCGAAACCCUUAUACUUCCAAAGAGAUUGUCUGUUUUGUACGCGAAGUGCAUCCAAUUUUUGUUGUAACCCUCUCAACUUUUUAGCACAUGCUAUGUGGGUGAAAUGAUGAUACAUGCCAACUUUCAACCUUUUCAGAAUUCAUUUCUAGUGCUUCUCAUUUUAAGGGUCAUUUAGCUGAAAGAAUGAACUAAUAGCAAAAAGAAUGAACUAAAAAUAAUCAAUUAAAACAUUCUGUUGUGAUCAACUAAACAAAACUAUAAUAUCCUUCAAUAGCAAAAAGAAUCAACUAAAAGGCUUUUAGAAAACUCCAAUAGCAAAAUGAAUGAACUCAAAAACCUUUUAUAAACCUCUAGUAUUAUUGAAACUAAAAUUAUAUAAAAUUUAUACAACCAAAAUUACCAAGCUAUUUUCUGUUUGAAACAUUAAAGCAAAAAGAAUUUUCAUAAAAAUUUUUGUUAGAAACUUUAAUUGCAAAAAGAAUUAUCAUAAAGAAUUUUUUGUUAGAAACUAAAAUAACAAAAUAUAUUUUUGAAUAUAAUGAUAAAACACAGUGAUAUGAAAUAGCAGGAAAAAGAAUCACUCAAAAAUCUAUCUUUAUAGUAAAGUUAUUCAAAAACUAGUGAUUCACACAAAUUUUAAAAAAUUCAAAUCUAUACCUACUAAUAAAGCAAGGUGCGUUUCUCCGAUUUUUUCAUCCGUUCACCGACGAAAAGCUAUUUUUUAUCCGAGGUGGUACUAAAUUUUUGUUCAAAAGAAAAACAGAUUGUCCAGGAUUUCGUACCUAGGCCGUGCGCUGAGGCCCAGCCAAGCCAGACAGUUAUUUUCCAGCCCAUACAGCUCGCAGAACCCUAUUUCUGCAUGGAGCGUCAAAUACUCAAAGCUUCGCACAGGACCCCCAGUACUGGGCCGUCCAGUUUCGUUUUAUCCUGUGUUUUUUUUCUGCUCAUUUCUCCCUUUCUUUCAUAUUUCUUUUUACUUUUUUCCCCUUCCAAGUUCUUAGUAAAUUUGAAAUUUUCAAAAAAAAUCUCAAAAUUCAUUUUUUUAUGUUUUCGGUAAAUGUUCCAAAUUUAAAAAAUAUUUCUAUUUUCAAAAAUGUGAAGGAAUUUUUUCUUACUUCUUUUUAAAUAAACAAAUGUUCCCAAUUUUCAAAAAAUGUUUUUAGUUUCCACAAUUAUUCAUUAUUUCCAAUAGUUUUUUGCAUUUGUAAAAAUGCUUCAAAUUUGAAAAUGUUGUUGUUUUACUGAAAUUUGUAUGAAACUAAAAUAUUUUUGUUAAUUAAAAAACAUUUUCAAAUUUGUUCUGAAUGUUCAAACAUUUUACCAUUUAAAAAAUCGCUAAUUCAGAAAAUGUUUAAGUAAUUAUAAAAGGUUCAUGUUUUCAGAAAAUGUUUGUGAAUUUCAAAAAUAUUCCAAUUUAAUAUUUUGUUCACAUUUUUCUGAAAUAUUCAGAAUUAUCAAAAAGCUGUUUGGAAUUUGAAAAAUUGUUCAUGUUUCGGAGAAUAUACGCAAAUUCAUUCUUAUUUUUUAUGAUAAUUUCGAAAAAAAUCAGAAAAUGUUUCAAAACUGACGCUGCAUUAAAUUUUAAAAUAUUCAUGCUGGCCAUUUGUUGUUACGACGUGUUUCUGCGACUAGCUAGCAGCACAUCGUCGGGUCUUGGAUUUAUGUGCUGCAAUUAGUAAUGCAUCCAUCUACGUCGUGAUAGGAGACGCCAACAAACCCCAGCACUAUCAAGAUCUCAUACGGCAAACAUGACCCGCGACCACGGGAAAUCGCAGCUCCUAUCUUCGUCGGCCACCGCUGCGGAGACUCUUUUCGGAGGACACAUCAUUUCUCUCCCGUUGCUUCUUUUAAUAAAUAUAUCUCCCGUUGCAACACACGGGCAAGUGUGCUAGUUUGAACUAUUCAAAUUGGAAAAGAAAUGGCACUAACAGAAAGUUUAUAAAUUUAUUACCUAAAAGCAAAAAGAAUUAAAAAAUAAAGCUAAAAUUAACAGAAAAUAAAUAAUGCGAAAAACAAAACAAAAAACUGGAAAAACAAUGAAAAAAAUGCCACCUAAUGGGCCACCACGGCCUAGAUACGACUAGAAACCCAACUAGUUGUGCCAGGAUUUAUGCCCGCGGAAGGCCCAGCAGGCCCAGAGGCAUAGCAGUGUCAGUUUUGGGUGUGGCACCCCGGCUCAGAGCGAACGGUUUACCUUGCAUUGCCAACCCAUAGAUCAUGCUUCUGGCAACACACAACAUGUUGGUACAGAAAUCACCGCUUUAUUUAAACUAGCGGAAGCAUAGCUGUUACAUUACAUCAAGUAGCGAGGCCAAGCGACACACUCGGUGCGGCUGAACAAUAUGUACAUCAUUUAGUGAACAUAAAGGGGGCCUCGAGAACAACAUCUACACGGCAGCGGAACAACAACGUUGCGGGACUCCAUAGCACAGGGACACGAUGUGGACAUGGUGUAGAUGUCGUGGUUCUAAGUCUGACAGUAGAGUGGGGGGUAGGUAUAGAGAGGCAAGAUCCUAGCUAUGGAGAGGUUGUAAACACAAGCGAUGUACGAGUUCAGGCCCUUCUCGGAGGAAGUAAAAGCCCUACGUCUCGGAGCCCUGAGGCGGUCGAGUGGAUUAUGUGUAUAGGUGUUACAAGAGUGCGAACCCUUCUGCCUAUGGAGGGGGGUGGCUUAUAUAGAGUACGCCAGGACCCCUGCCAACCCACGUAAUGGAGGGUUUAAAGUAUAUUAAGUCUGGGGCGUUACUGGUAACGCCCCACAUAAAGUGCCUUAACUAUCAUUAUGUCUAUUCAAUUACAGGCCGUUGCAGUGCAGAGUGCCUUCUGACCUUCUGGUGGUCGAGUGUAUCUUCAUGGUCGAGUGAAUCUCCAUGGUCGAGUCCUUCUGGUUAGUCGAGUGGGUUCCUCGUUGGUCGACUGGAAGGUGAUCUCUUCUAAGGCUGUCCCUGGGUAGGACAUUCAGGUCAGGCCUAUGACCCUACCCUAGGUACAUGAAUCCAUCAUUAGCCCCCGAAUGGAUUGAGGCUUGAAUGAGGAAGGAGUUGAUGCUGUUUCCGAUUGACUUUUGCAUAUUGGCUAUGCGUCGUUCUGGAUUAAGAUCUUCUUUGUUGAUAAUCGAGCAACUUUUCUUCAGUCGACUCGAUCCAUUCUUGUCUUUCGUCGAGUGAUCUUUUAGACUUUGCUGGUUCCCGAGCGACGGAUCACAGGAAAUCUCGCGUCUGACAGACCGAUCUGCCGUUCGCGGAUUCCACGGGAUACGAAAUUUGGGGGAGCGCGCGAAGCGGAACGACCCGUGGCGCUCGGAUGGGACGGGACAUAGACGCCUCGAUCUCCGCGCCGCUUUUUCCGCCACGUAUCGUGUCGAUGCAACUGUUUCGGGAUAUGAUUAGGUUGCCUGGGUCCACCUGUCAUCCACUCGGAAGGGAUGUUAUAAAUGCAACCAGCGAGGGUUUUCUGAACAGUGCUCCAUUCUUUCUCUUCUGCUCCCCUCGUCUCCGCCCAAAUGCGCUCACUUUCGCCCCCGCAAAGCUCUUCCUCGCGCACCUCGCCGGUAGCCAUGGUCAAGGAGAAGAUGGCGGCGCUGGAGCGCGCAAAGAAGGCGUCGGCGACGGAGAAGGCGUCGGCGGCGGAGAAGGCGAAGGGGAGAUCCACCAGCCGGAGUGGGUCUUCGUCGAGAUCCCGCCUACCGAAGGGCUGGGUCCAGGGAGAUUGGAUCCAGUCGACCAUCAGGGAGAAGGAUCUCCUCGACAUGGCCGACGACGGGCUGAUCCCCCAUGGCGCCGCAAGACUUCCAGGAAAAGAGUGGCAACCUCAGCCGGAAGAGGGUGAGUGUGUGCUCCUGGCCACUCAUAUUGAUCGAGGAUUUUCUUUGCCUCCGAGCAUUUUCUUUCGUGGUUUUUUGAACUUCUUUGGAGCCCAACUCCACCACUUUACUCCAAACUCCAUCGCGUAUCUUGCUGCGUUUGUAUCCAUGUGCGAGAGUUUCCUGGGCUGUCGACCACACUGGGGCUUGUUCAAGCACAUCUUCACGUGUCGUUCUCAGACCGUGAAGAAGGCGAGUCCAGGCGAUGAGAAGACCCAAGUUGUCCAAAUGUGUGGGGGUCUGGGAAUUCAAGUGAGGAACAAGAGCACCUUCCCAGCUAUGACGUUUCCCGAGUCGGUCAGGGGCUGGCAGUCGACUUGGUUCUACUGCCAGAACGAGCUGACGCCGGGGCAGUCGAGUGGACUCCCCCCAUUCACCAUGAGUCGAGUGAACAAGCCCUCCUCUCUGAAGGUGGUUCCGGAGGAGAGAGAUGAUGUGAAGAUGUUGAUGGAUCGCGUGGUGCAGUUGGUUCGGGACGGCGUGACUGGCAUGGACCUUCUGGAGGUUUUCCUUCGGCGGCGAAUCCAGCCUCUUCAGUUCCGGAGCCAUGGCAUGUGGUUGUACCGCGGGACUGAAGACGAGACCCGAGUCCACCCGGAAGCAGUCGACGACGCCACGGUGGAAAGAUGGAUGGCCGCGGUCACUGGGAACAAGGAUAAUCCCCGUGGAUCCAGGAGGAUUCCUCCACUCGACCACCACACCGUUCCAGAUGAGGUAUAUUUGCUCUGCCUUCCAUUGUAUAUUUGUCGAAUUUGUUUCUGUAUGUUCUGUGACUUGGUCGACUGAUCUCUGUCUUGACGUCUUCCAGGCCCUCACCGACCUGUAUUCGAUGCCCAAUGGAGCUCUGGCUCCGACUGAGGAGUGAGAAGCCAGCGGGGGCGAGAGCCAGGAGGAGUGGGAUUCAGACGCUGCCGAAGAUGACGAUGAUGAUGACGACGAUGAUGAGGAUGAAGAAGAGGAGGUGGAGGAGGUUGCACCUCCGCGCUCGGAAAGGCGGUCGAAACUUGUCCAUGACCCUGCGACUGAAUGCGGUAAGGGGGCUGUGACUGCCCCGCAGUCGACCAAACGCCCUCGGACCGCUUCUCCGGUGCCGAGUGAAAAGGCGCCGAAGCAGUCGAAGGUGGCUCCGUCAAAACCUGCCAAGCUCCUGCCGAAGAUGAAGGUGUCCAUCCCCACCAUAUCCGAGUAAACAUGUCACUCGAGUCUCCUUGUUUUGUAUAGGCUUUAUCUCUGGUUGAUACUUGAGUUAGUCGACUGAUUCUUUGGAACUUCAGUGCUGCAACUUCUGAGACCUCAGGCAAGGCUGACGACCAUGAGAUGGAGGACGCAACAACCUCAAAUCCUGGUACUAUACUCUCAAUUCUGUCCUUAGUCGACUGACUCAUGAUUUCUAACUUUGAUUCUUUUUCUGAAGCUCCACCCCAUGACAUUAUCACCCUUCCUGAAGAUGAUGAUGAUGAGGAUGAAGAACCGCCGAGGCACAGGAUGAGCAGGAAGACGUCUACUGGUAAGGCAACCCAGGAUGCGACGGCGCCUGAGACUGUGGUCAUGGAGGAGGAGAACCCCACUCGACACACCGUGUCUUUCGCAGUGCCGUUGACGAGUGCUCAUCCCACUUCGUCGAGUGCUGCACAACCUUCGCUCUUCACAACACAUCAUGUCCCAGAGGACCAAGCCAGUGCUGCUAAGGAGGCGAUACGUCAAGCGGGGAUCAUGAUGGAGCAGGUGAAGAUCGUCCGGGAUGCAAGCCAAGCAGUUUAUGACGCUAGCUCCGCCCUUCAAAGCAAUGUUCAGGUCAGUCGACCACCGCCUGUUCUGUUAGGAUAUGCUAUCAAAACUUUUUCUUUCUGAAAUCCAUAGCAAUCACCCGCUGGGUGUGUGGAUAAAAAACUCCGUGUUAGCGGGGGCACGCUGAGUGCACCCGCUGGGUGUAGUCCCCAAGGCUAAGGUCGACUGCUGGCAGUCGGCCUUAGGCUUGAUAAGUAAAGGUUGUUCAUCAUUCGACUGGAUCGAAUGGUUUUCGACUGGUCGACUGGUCGACUCUGUCUUGAACAAAACUAGUGGGGGCACGCUGAGUGCACCCACUGGGUGUAGUCCCCGAGACUGUGGUCGACUGCUUGCAGUCGACUACAGUAUGAAGAGCACAUCUCCCCUUUUUUUUGGGUCGACUGGUCGACUCUGUUUUGAACAGAACUAGUGGGGGCACGCUGAGUGCACCCACUGGGUGUAGUCCCCGAGACUACGGUUGAAUGCUUGCAUUCGACUGUAGUCUUAGAAACGUAUGAUUUUUCCCUAUCCACUCGGAAGUGAAUCAUCUUUGAUAUUUUGUCGAUUGGUUCUUCGUAGAAAUCUUGUGACCUUGCGGCUCGCUAUACGGAACUGGAGCAGAAGCACAUUCAGCUCGAGCUGGAUCUGAAGCUGGUGCAGGAGAAUCUGACGAAGGCGAAGGAGGAGACCAAAGGUAUGUUCGGUGAGACCUCGAUGACACCUUUUUCCUUCCAUUUGUUUCAAAAUCUGACUUUGCUGUAACUUGCAGACAAGGUGCGGGAGGCCCAGAAGAAGAAGGACCUUGAGCUAGCUGAGAAGACCAAGCUUGCUGACGAGAAGUUAGCUUCAGUCACCAAGCUUGAAUAGGAAAAUCACAAUCUGAAAACUGCUCUGGCUAUUGCCUCCAAGGAUGUUGACCGACUGAAAGCUGACAAGACUACCCUGACCGAGAAGAUCAACCAAUUGACAGGGAAGAAGAAUGACCUGGAAGGCUUCCUGGGUGGUCUUGCCAAGAAAUUGUUCCUUAUGCUCGAAGGUAACCUUUUUCACUCGACCAACAUUUUCAACUGUGAUGCUUUCAUUCGACCAUUGUCUUGAUUCGGCGUUUUGUCCUUGCAGAAUUCUGUCGGAACUUUGAAGAAGAGACUAGCCAGUUGGAGCCGAACCUUGACCCUGUCAAUUCUCCGGUGAAUGAUGAAGUUGCCAUGAAUGUCUUCCGACUGGAGUCUCGCGUUGCAGCUGUCGUGGACUAUCUUGCAAGGCUGAAGGCCGCCACUUCUCGCAUCGACUCGACACUUUGGCCCGGGGCAACACUUCAGAAUGACCUCGAGUCAUUGAUGGCUCGACUAAACGCGGUCCCCGACCGUGUGCAAGAGUGGAAGAAGUCCUCGGCUCGGUGUGGCGCAGACGUUGCCCUGUGUCUGGCCCGAGUCCACUGCAAGGACGCGCGAGAAGAGAAGCUGGCGGCUCUCCGAGUGGCCAACACCAAGAAACACGACUUCAGAUCCUUCAUGGAAACUUUCAUCGCUGCUAAUACCCGGAUCGCAGACGGGAUCGACCUCGACGAGUUCGUUGCUCCUUCCAGCCCUCCACAGGAGGGGUAAAAAACUUUCUUUAAGCCCGACACUUUAAAUUUGCCUCGGUAUGCCGAGUGGAAUUGUAACCGGUAAACCUUAACAGGCUUAGUGCCUGAGCACUCUCGGUUCCUUUAGGUAUCGACCUAAACUUGGAUUUGAUGUUUGGAUAUGAUUGCUCCUGGUUCGAAUUGUCCUUUGCAGGUUCACAGCAAGAUGUCCACUGCAGUCGACUUAUUCCUUAGGCGAGCACUGGGCUGCAGCUAAGCCUCCGAGUGAGAGGUUUGCUCUUCACUCGGUAGGAUUUUUAUACCUUAGGCGAGCGCUGGGCUGCAGCUAAGCCUCCGAGUGAGAGGUUUGCUCUUCACUCGGUAGGAUUUUUUAUAACUUAGGCGAGCGCUGGGCUGCAGCUAAGCCCCCGAGUGAGAGGUUUGCUCUUCACUCGGUAGGAUUUUUCAUAACUUAGGCGAGCGCUGGGCUGCAGCUAAGCCCUCCGAGUGAGAGGUUUGCUCUUCACUCGGUAGGCUUUUUCAUAACUUAGGCGAGCGCUGGGCUGCAGCUAAGCCCCCGAGUGAGAGGUUUGCUCUUCACUCGGAAGGAUUUUUUAUAACUUAGGCGAGCGCUGGGCUGCAGCUAAGCCUCCGAGUGAGAGGUUUGCUCUUCACUCGGUAGGAUUUUUUAUAACUUAGGCGAGUGCUUGGACUGCAGCUAAGCCCCCGAGUGGAAGUCUGGCUUACCACUCGGUAGGAUUUUUUAUAACUUAGGCGAGUACUUGGACUGCAGCUAAGCCCCCGAGUGGAAGUCUGGCUUACCACUCGGUAGGAUUUUUUAUAACUUAGGCGAAACGGAUUCGCAGCUAAGCCUCCGAGUGGAAGUCUGGCUUACCACUCGGUAGGAUUUUUUAUAACUUAGGCGAAACGGAUUCGCGGCUAAGCCUCCGAGUGGAAGUCUGGCUUACCACUCGGUAGGAUUUGUACAAACUUAGGCGAAACGGAUUCGCGGCUAAGCCACCCGCUGGGGGAAAAAGUGACAAAAAUUAUGAAGGAAUUAUGGCACUAUUAUUUCGAGAUCCAUGAACUACAGAAGUAUUUUAUUACAACUCAUCCGAGUGGAAAACUUUUAAGUGUAAAACGGGCGGAGCAGAUCCGCAUUCCAAGCUCGGGGAUCUUCGAUGUUGUGUUCGACGUUGUAGAGACGGUAUGCCCCGUUGUGGAGAACUUUGGUGACGAUGAAGGGUCCUUCCCAAGAAGGAGCGAGCUUAUGUUGUUUCUGCUGAUCCACUCGGAGAACUAGAUCUCCUUCUUGGAAGGCUCGACCCCUCACAUUCCUGGCGUGAAAGCGACGCAAGUCUUGUUGAUAGAUGGUCGAUCGGAUCAGAGCCAUCUCCCUUUCUUCCUCUAGAAGGUCGACUGCGUCCUGACGCGCUUGCUCAGCUUCUGCUUCGUUGUAGAGUUCAACUCGAGGAGCAUUGUGAAGAAGAUCACUCGGCAAGACUGCUUCAGCUCCAUAGACCAAAAAGAAUGGAGUUCUUCCAGUCGACCGAUUGGGUGUGGUCCGCAAACCCCAAAGCACCGAAGGAAGUUCGUUGACCCAUGCUCCAGCCGCGUGCUUGAGAUCACGCAUCAGUCGGGGUUUUAAACCCUUGAGGAUUAAGCCAUUGGCUCGCUCCGCUUGUCCAUUCGACUGGGGGUGAGCGACUGAAGCGUAGUCGACUCGUGUGCCUUGAGCGUUGCAGAAAUCCUUGAAUUCUUCCGAGUCAAAGUUCGACCCAUUAUCCGUAAUGAUGCUGUGCGGGACUCCAUAUCUGAACGUCAGCUCCCUGAUGAAGGUUACUGCAGUACCGGCGUCAAGAUUCUUGAUUGGUUUAGCCUCGAUCCACUUUGUGAACUUGUCGACUGCGACCAGUACGUGCGUGAAACCACUUCGACCUGUUCUCAAGGGACCGACCAUGUCCAACCCCCAUACUGCGAACCGCCAGACGAGUGGAAUGGUCUUCAGAGCUGAUGCGGGCUUGUGUGACAUAUUGGAGUAGAACUGACAUCCUUCGCACUUGUCCACUAUUUUCUUUGCCAUCUCAUUCUCCCUUGGCCAGUAAAAUCCAGCUCGGUAUGCUUUGGCUACAAUGGUCCGACAGGACGCAUGGUGACCACAGGUCCCCGAGUGGAUUUCAUUAAGAAUGAUUCGACCUUCUUCUGGCGUUAUGCAUUUUUGACCCACCCCAGUCGGGCUUUCUCUAUACAGCUGUCCUUUGAUAACGGUAAAGGCUUUGUAUCGACGGACGAUCUGCCGAGCCUCUUCCUCAUCCUCUGGGAGCUCUUUUCUCAGGAUAUAUGCGAUAUAGGGAAUUGUCCAGUCGGGAGUGAUCACUAAAACCUCCAUGACCAAGUCGACCACUGCUGGGACCUCAACCUCAGUCGGAUCUGUGGCACUCUUGGGCUGUGGAGCUUCCUCUGUGAAGGGAUCUUCUUUAACUGACGGAGUGUGUAUAUGCUCCAAAAACACACCACUCGGAAUGGCUUCUCUUUUGGAACCUAUCUUUGCCAGAUCAUCUGCUGCUUGAUUUUUCAGUCGGGGGAUGUGAUGGAGCUCCAACCCCUCGAACUUCUUUUCCAGCUUCCUCACUGCAUUGCAGUAUCCAGUCAUGGCUGGGCUUCUCACGUCCCACUCCUUCAUCACCUGGUUGACCACUAAAUCUGAAUCGCCAUAAACCAUCAGGCGACGGACGCCGAGUGAGAUGGCCAUGCGCAAUCCAUAUAAAAGGGCCUCAUACUCUGCCUCAUUGUUGGAGGAAUCAAAGUGAAUCUGGAGCACAUAUCUAAGCUUAUCUCCUCUGGGGGAAACCAGAACAACCCCAGCACCAGAACCAUUCAGCAUCUUAGAGCCAUCGAAGAACAUGGUCCAAUGCUCCGAGUGAACUUGAGUUGGCUGUUGUUGUUCAAUCCACUCGGCGAGGAAAUCUGCUAUUGCGUAGGACUUAAUGGCUUUCUUUGCCUCAAACUUGAUAUCAAGGGGAAGAAGUUCAAUCGCCCAUUUCGCCACUCGACUAGUUGCAUCUCUGUUGUGCAGAAUCUCUAAUAGUGGGGCGUCGCUGACGACUGUGAUAGAAUGAUCAGAGAAAUAAUGAGCAACCUUCUUCGUGGUCAUGUAUAUUCCAUACACAAGCUUCUGAUAAUGAGGAUAUCUCUACUUGGAUGGAGUCAAGACUUCAGACAAAUAAUACACCGGGCGCUGAACUUUGAAGGCUUUUCCUUCUUCUUCCCGCUCGACCGUAAGUACUGUACUGACGACUUGUCCUGUGGCUGCAAUAUAAAGCAACAAAGGCUCUUUGCUGAUUGGAGCAGCAAGCACCGGCUGGGUGGAGAGCAGAGCUUUUAGCUCGGCAAACGCUGCAUCAGCUUCUGGAGUCCACUCGAACUUGUCUGCCUUCUUCAUCAGUCGGUAAAGAGGAAAUUCCUUUUCACCGAGUCGUGAGAUGAAUCGACUUAAUGCGGCCAAGCAUCCAGUAAGCUUCUGGACAUCGUGCACUUGCACAUGGCGUUUCAUUCGGAGAAUAGUGCCGAUCUUCUCUGGAUUAGCAUCGAUCCCUCGCUCGGAAACGAGAAAACCGAGUAACUUUCCACCAGGAUCUCCGAACGUGCACUUCGAUGGGUUGAGCUUGAUAUCGUACCUUCUGAGGUUGGCAAAUGUUUCGGCGAGGUCAGCAAGCAGGACGGAACCUUUUCGCGACUUGACGACGAUAUCAUCCAUAUACGCUUCCACAUUCCGACUGAUUUGAGUGAGAAGACACUUCUGAAUCAUACGCAUAAAUGUGGCUCCGGCAUUCUUGAGGCCGAACGGCAUGGUGAUAUAGCAGAAGCACCCGAAUGGAGUGAUGAAAGCUGUUUUUACUUCGUCGGGUCCAUACAGACGGAUCUGAUGAUACCCGGAAUAUGCGUCUAGGAAAGACAAUCUCUCACAUCCCGCGGUCGAGUCAACAAUUUGAUCUAUGCGAGGGAGAGGAAAGUGAUCUUUCGGGCAGGCCCUAUUGAUGUGCUUGAAGUCAAUGCACAUGCGGAGUGAUUUGUCCUUCUUGGGAACCAUGACGACAUUAGCGAGCCACUCGGAGUGGUAUAUCUCUCAGAUAAAUCCUGCCGCCAACAGUCGAGCCACUUCCUCACCAAUAGCUUUUCUCUUCUGGACAGCGGACCGCCGAAGAUGCUCUUUGACUGGUUUUGCUGAUUUGUCGACUCUGAGGCGAUGCUCAGCCAGUCCCCUGGGAACACCUGGCAUGUCAGCUGGCUUCCAUGCAAAAAUGUCCCAGUUCUCACGGAGGAACUGGAUGAGCGCUUCUUCCUAUUUCGGGUCGAGUGUCGUGGAGAUGUGGGUCGGGGCUGCAUCGGGGUCGGUCGGGUGAAUGUGAACAGGCUUCGUCUCACCAGACGACUGAACUGCAGAUUUUGUGGCUGGUUUCUUGGAUCGCAACAAAUCACUCGGAUCUGCGUUUUGCUUGUAUUCUUCGAACUCGACCGCUGUCACCUGGGAAUCGGCAAUCUUCGAGCCCUUCUGAAAGCACUCUUCUGCCUUUUUCCGAUCGCCAGUGACAGUGAUCACUCCUUUGGGACCUGGCAUUUUCAGUUUGAGGUACACGUAACAUGGUCGAGCCAUGAACCGUGCAUAGGCGGGCCUCCCCAAAAUGGCGUGGUACACGCUCUGAAAAUCCACAACCUCAAAGGUCAACUUUUCCUUGCGAAAAUGUUUUGAGUCGCCAAAAACUACGUCCAGAGCUAUUUGGCCGAGUGAGUUGGCUUUCUUCCCUGGUAUGACUCCGUGGAAACUCAUGUUGCUGGUGCUCAGUCGGGACAUCGGGAUGCCCAUUCCUUUCAGUGUGUCUGCAUACAACAAGUUUAGCCCACUACCACCGUCCAUCAGCACUUUCGUCAGUCGAGUGCCUUCGACAACUGGAUAGACCACCAAAGCUUGCCUCCCAGGGGUGGCAAUAUGAGUCGGGUGAUCAGAUUGGUCGAAUGUGAUGGGUGUUUGGGACCAUCUCAAAUAACUUGGUUUUGCUGGGGCAACCAUAUUCACCUCACGGUUAAUGACUUUCAGUCGACUCUUGCUUUCCACAUCCGCGAAGAUCAUCAAAGUGGAGUUGAUAUGCGGAUAUUCUUCCUCACUGUCCUCUUUGUCUUCGGCCUUGUCUGACUCCUUCUCCUUGUCCUUAGACUGUUUUCCCUGAAACUGCUGGAUCAGGAGUCGACACUGGCGAGUGGUAUGCUUUGGGUAAAUGAUGUUUCCCUCUUCAUCUUUCUUCGUGUGGAUGUGGCAUGGCAUAUCCAUCACGUCGUUUCCUUCUUUAUCCUUUACUUUCUUAGGAUUCCAGGAUCCUUUUGGCUUCCCUUUGAACUUCCCCUGAGCCACGGCCAAGGCCUCUCCAGGAGCUGCUGGCUCGGCUUUCCGCUUCUGUUUCCGACUGGAAUUUCCCUUCUCCGACUGACUUGGCUUAUAUUUGCCGCUCCGGAGUCGGCCCUCUUCCUCGCCAUUGGUGUACUUGGUAGCAAUCUCCAUCAUUCGACUCAGGGUCAUGUCCCCGGUUCAACCAAACUUUAGACUCAAUUCCCUGUUCUUGACGCCAUCUUUGAAAGCACAAACUGCUUGAUGAUCAGACACAUUUUCCACAGUAUGGUGCAGAGUGAUCCACCUCUGAAUGUACUCUCUGAGAGUCUCAUUGGUCUUCUGCGCACAAACUUGCAGCUCUGUCAAACCAGCUGGUCGCUUGCAGGUUCCUUCAAAAGUUCUGACGAACACUCGGAACAAAUCUUCCCAAGUGUAAAUACUGCUAGGAGGUAACUGAUUCAACCACGCUCUGGCUGAACCUUCCAGCAUGAGGGGCAAAUGCUUCAUGGACACCUCGUCAUUCCCACCGCCAAUCUGAACAGCCACUCGGUAGUCCUCAAGCCAAGUUUCAGGCUUGGACUCCCCAGUGAACUUGCUGACUCCUGUCGCCAACCUGAAAUUGGGGGGAAUCACUGCGGCUCUGAUAGCCCUGCUAAAACACUCUGGACCAGAAACAUGCACUCGACUGCUCGUGGGUGCAUCUCUCUCGGGUCCACCUCGAUGGGCUCUAUUUCGGUCGACCAAGCUUUGCACGAUAAUGGAUCGCGCGUCGAAGCCUGGUCCCCUGGGGUCGACUGGAACUCUUCGCCCCGCACUAAACUGACGCCUGUCAUCCUGUCGCCGAGGAGCGUAAGACCCUUCCCUCGGAGAGGAAACAGGCACUCGACGCCUGUCAUCUCGGUCAUGUCGGUCUCCAUACUGAUCACGCUGGUUGUCGCGCCCUUCCCGCCUCGGAAGCGAUCUGGGACUGUGAGCCAACUAAACCGUAUUCGCAGCGACGGAUCGACUGUGAAUUCUAUUGCGCGACUGCGACACAGCUGAGUUCUGGUCCCCUACUGCUCGGAGCAAAUCUCUGAUCUGCAUCAAGCCUCUCCCAGCUUCUGACUGUGAAGGCUGGAUGGACUCUGCUAUACGGGUUGCUGCUGCUAAAUUCUGAAUUGGCGUGCGGUAUACCUGAGUCGGCGGGAAGAGUCGACGUCGACUGGCUUCGGGGACUCGUUGCCGCGCGCGCUCGUCGAGUGCUCGCUGAAGGUUCUCCAGACGAGCGCAUUCAGCCACAUUGGCCAAACGUGCCUCCUCCAAGGCGCGAGCCUCGGGGGUUUCUCCCGCAAUGGGAGUAUGCAGGGCAUCCAUGUUCCUGCGGCGAAGCUCUUCUCUCUGCAGAGAGUCAAGUGUCUCGGGCUGGUACUCCUCGUGGUCCUGAGCGGGGCCACCUCCACCGCCUGCUCCGCCACCGUGGGCGAAACCGGGAGGACUGCGGGGUCCGUCGACCAUGAGAAUUUCCGCCGCUGGAUCACUGCUAUCGCAUUCGGAUGCAGUCUCUACGGAGCCAGUCGACAGAUCGAAUAGGCCGUAGAGAGACUCGUCGGGCUCGAUUGCCGCAACUUGUGCGAUGGCCGCCUGGCGAGCCACCGCGUGCUUCACCCACCGCUGAAGCCUCGACCGACCAGAGCGCUUGCGCUGGUGGGAGACCGGACGGGCGACCGAUAAAGGAGUCGACCGAUAGGGGGCCGACGGUUGCCGCAGCAGAACGCCGCGGACACAUGCGCGAAAAUGCGUCGCACCGCGGACGGGGAGCGCAUCAACGUCGAGUGGAGCCUCCUGGAGCCACGCGGAGUCGUCGGCGACAAAGGUGAGAGCGCCAAGACGGAUCUGGCGCCCCUCGACCAAAACUCCAGCAGUCAUCAUGAUGAAAGUACUCGGAAAUACUGCAACUUCUCCACAAAAUCGCUAAAACACCCGCCCCACGGUGGGCGCCAACUGUCGUGGUUCUAAGUCUGACAGUAGAGUGGGGGGUAGGUAUAGAGAGGCAAGGUCCUAGCUAUGGAGAGGUUGUAAACACAAGCGAUGUACGAGUUCAGGCCCUUCUCGGAGGAAGUAAAAGCCCUACGUCUUGGAGCCCUGAGGCAGUCGAGUGGAUUAUGUGUAUAGGUGUUACAAGAGUGCGAACCCUUCUGCCUAUGGAGGGGGGUGGCUUAUAUAGAGUACGCCAGGACCCCUGCCAACCCACGUAAUGGAGGGUUUAAAGUAUAUUAAGUCUGGGGCGUUACUGGUAACGCCCCACAUAAAGUGCCUUAACUAUCAUUAUGUCUAUUCAAUUACAGGCCGUUGCAGUGCAGAGUGCCUUCUGACCUUCUGGUGGUCGAGUGUAUCUUCAUGGUCGAGUGAAUCUCCAUGGUCGAGUCCUUCUGGUCAGUCGAGUGGGUUGUCACUGGAAGGUGAUCUCUUCUAAGGCUGUCCCUGGGUAGGACAUUCAGGUCAGGCCUAUGACCCUACCCUAGGUACAUGAAUCCAUCAGUAGACACGGCAGUACUCCGAUCCAGUUAGACUUUCCUGAAAGCUGGCAUAACACGCCAGGUCAGUACAUUGAAUGUACUUGCAAGCUCGCAACAAGCAAAACCGUAAUGACAAACAACAUCAUGAUAUUUAAACAAGUUCAAUGCAAAUAUCAAUAUGCUACUCAUGCAGUGACCAAACUUGUGCAUCGAGUCACUCGGACUCUCUUACCAACAGGUUACCUCGCAACCGAAUAGUGAUCACGAUAAACCACGAAUGAACCACUCUUGGUUCAACCGGUUACCUCGUAACCCAACAGUGGUCAUUCCCAGAUCACAAAUAGUACCAUAACCAUCAGGCUCACUAACAUCAUCGUAACUCAAUGGUACAAUGCAAAUAACUUAGUGUGCAAUUUUAUUGAAGUUCAUCCAUGGUGUGACUUACUUACGAACCGGACCCUUAUCCGCGGGCGCUGCUAUCGAUAGAUUAAUACACUCUAGAGAGGUAGCACACUUUACCCACACCACAGAACCCAUGGCCUCGCACUCCCAUAUGGGAGGAACAAUGGCAUACCGACAGAACCCUCCCAUUGCCAUGACACUCUUAUGGUCACUCCGACAAACUCCCCUCUGGGAUCAAUCCUGGGCGACCCCGCCUACCAAAGGCAACUACCACCGUCGUGGCAAAUAAACAGUCCGAAACGGGGACAACAACAGGUCCACAAGGUUAUGUCUCCUUACUGGGCAAGGGUAACGCACGCCCAUAACCUUCCCUAGUUGGAGGCACCGACAAGAGGCAUGACAACAGAAUGACUACGACCUCCCCAUACUAUGGCAAAUGUGGUUGCACUUGGCAGCCCGAUUCAGUGGCACCAUGACUCGACCAACUUUUAAGUUCAAGUUCAAUUAUCAUCAGGUUCAACUUGAAAAUAAAAAUUCCAAGGUCACAAUAUGCCAAGCUCAUACAACCAUGUAUCAUGCAUCAUAUAUCACUUUAACAAUACCAGGUCAACAUUAUUCAAAGUUCUACUUGCACCACCUCAACUUGCAACAUUUCUGGUCCUUUCUUACUGGUUACUUUUACUUAUUACUUUACUUGGCAUUUAUUAAAUAAAACUCAUUGUUCAUAUAGCAAAAUAAUGCUCAUGUUCAUACUACCAUAGUCAUGAAAUUUUUUACUUAGAUCAACUACUCAAGCUAUAACUCACAAGUUCAACCAUUUCUUUCUAUUAACUAAGCAUUCUGAUCAUAACAAACUAAAUAACACAACAUCAUUUAUUUUUAAUACUAUAUGCAAUGAAAACCAUAUAUAUUCAAGUAGAACAUCAUGGAUAUUGCAAUCCAUGAUCAUGUUGUUGUGGCUUGCCUUAGUGCAGAGGAGCUUCACACUCCUCCCGGAUGCCUUGAAGACAAGCUUCACCUUAUGAAAAUAAUUCAAAUGACAAAAAGAAAACAUCAAGAACACUUCUGAAAAUUACCAAAAAUUCUAGGAAGCAAAGAAAAUCCCCAUCUUGGGUGUGCUGCUAGGAUUUUCUAGUAAGAACAGAAUGCAAAAGGAAUCAACUCAUUUGGACUUGUAGAAUAAAAGUUAUAGCUGGUCAAAGUUCUGGUCAAAUUUGAACUAAAUUUGAAUUAAAAAGAAAAACUGGGAGGGGGGGGGGUGACGUCGAAGGCGUAAAACACCAUGGCGCCACCACUCAUAUCGCUUCGGGCGCGGCCUAAGGGGCUAACAGCGGGCCCCAGCUGUCAGGCCAGAGGGGGAGAGAGAGAGAAACAGAGGUGGGCGGCGCGGCGUUGGCGCUUUCUCCGGCGAGGAGUGCCCAGCGACGAGAUCUAGAGGGAUAGGAUUGACGAAGAGGUGGAGACGCACCUGCUCGUACCUGUAGCGUGGCUAGGGGUGGCCGGACGGGGUCGGAAUGGAGCUCUCCAGCGGCGGCAGCGGGCAGAGCUCGUCGGAGGUAGUGGUUCCGGUGAUGCAGGGCCAAUCCAGCUGCUCCAACAGCACCAGCACGCUCCAGUGGAUCACCACGAAAACGUCGGAGGGGUCAACUGAGAUCGAGCGGCUCUGGAGUGGGUGGGGGCAGAGGAGGUGGAUCGCCGGCGAGCUCGGGGCGGGGAUGGCAGCCAGAGGCCUGCCCGGCUGGGUUGCGACGCUCUACCGGUGUGUGGUGGUGUGAUGUGUGUGUGUGAGGAGAGGAACAAGCUCGGGGGAGCUCUAUGUAUAGCCGAGGCAGGGAUCGAGAGCUUGCUGGAGUUCUCUAGAGCCUCGGCCGACGACGAAUGGAGUCAGUGAGAGAGGGGGAAGACGCCGAAGGUCACGCGGCAGCUGUAGGCGAGCUGCGACGAGCACAUGAGCGCGGUACGAGACGAUCACAGGGGCACGGGCGCACUGUUGCAUUGGCCGCGACGUGCCCUUGCUCGCUGCGGCGAGCUCCAGCGUCGGUGAGUGCCAGGGUGCAGUUAAGGGGGCUCAACCGAAGAUGAUGGCGCGGUUUGGCAUGGUUUUGCAGCGAGGGCAGCGAGCACGCGCGAAACAGAGGCGUUGGCGCAACGCAGAGCGCGUCGGAUGCAUGCGAGCCACCUUGGACGAACAUGGUCACCGCAUGAACUAUGGCAUCAGGCUGACUAAGCCCAAACAACAUGUCUGGCAGCUAGUCCUUAGUGGUUUUAGUCGUUUCGCAUGCUUGGUUGAGUCACAGGUGCACUAUGGGAGUGGCUAUCUUUUUGGCAAGUUUUUGGACAGAAACUUGUGAGCUUAACUGAGAAUAAUCUAGUGAGAGUUAAGGGCUGUGCUUUGGGGUUUAGUGAUCUCUUAGGAAGGUAAUCAAGCUCAGUAAAGAUCAACCCUAAAAGAUCAAGCAAAAUAUACUUGUUGUGUAAAGUGAUCAUUUUGUCCAGAACAGAAAUGAUUUUCUGUAGCAAAAAUAUUACAAAAAGUUAUGCAAUAUUUUUCCGCAGGAAGUUGUCCUAGGGUUCAAAGAAUAUUUGUGAAUUACUCAGGAUUUUUGGAGCAAGAAAUCUAGGGGUCGCUUUGGAGCUUUCUUCUCUUAAGUGAUUUUCAGGGAGAAAAAUGAAUAUUUUUCUUUUAUGAAAAAUAUCCAUUGGGCUUUUGUGGGAGUUUUUCCAGAGAAGAGCAGGUGAGUUAGAGGUGGAUGGGUCACUUGGGUGAAAAUCAAGGGUAUGCCCAAGUGUUCAAGUCCAACUGAAUUGAUCCAAAACACCAAAUCCAAAGCAAAGGCAACUGAAUGUCCGGAAAAAGAGAGAAGGCAAAAACUAGGCUGUCACAAACCUCCCCCACUUAAGAUAAAUCUCGUCCUCGAGAUUCGGUUGCUUGGAAAAACAAUUCUGGGUAGGUUGUCCUUCAAAAUUCCUCUCUUUCCCAGGUUGCUUCUUCUUCUGUGUGAUGCUCCCACUGGACCUUGUAAAAUUUGAUAACUUUGCUGCGUGUGACCCUUUCUGCCUCAUCCAAGAUUAUGAACUGUCUCUCCUCAUAAGUUAAAUCCUUGGCAAUUUAAAUUUCUGACAUAUUAGUCCUUUUCUCGGGUGGUGAAAUACACCUUCUCAGCUUGUACACAUGGAACACGUUGUGUACAUCCAAUAAUUCAGGUGGCAAUUUCAACUGAUAAGCAAUGGUGCCAACUCGUGUCAUGACUGGGAACGGACCAAUAUAUCUUGGUGCCAAUUUGCCUCGGGUUUGAAAUCUCUUGACUCCCUUCAUGGGGGUGACUCGGAGAUACACUUGUUCACCGGGUUCAAAAUUGACUUGUCUAUGCUUGGCAUCAUAAUAACUUUUCUGUCGUGACUUAGCCAGCUGGAGUCUAUCUCGAAUUUCCUUGACUUGCUUCUCUGCCUCCAGUAUCGGAACAUUACUGAAGAUAGGGCUGUCUCCGGUUUGAGACCAAUUUAAUGGAUUGUGGCACUUAUGGCCUUAUAAUGCUUCAAAGGGUGACAUUUCCAGGCUGGUUUGAAAACUGUUGUUGUAUGAGAAUUCCGCAUAUGGAAGACAAUCUUCCCAUUUGGGUCCAUGGGCUAAGGCACAAGCUAUCAACAUAUCUUCAAGGAUUUAUUCACUCGCUCGGUCUCACUGUCUGUGUGUGGAUGAUAGGCGGUGCUAUAUUUAAGAGCGGUGCCCAAAGCUUGAUGGAGUCGGGACCAAAAUGCGGAGGUAAACAAUGAACCUCGGUCCAAAGUGAUUGUUCUUGGCACUCCAUGCAAACUGACAAUCCGAGAUACGUACAACUGUGUGAGUUGAUCAACAUGGAGGGUGGUGCGGAUGGGAAUAAAGUGAGCCACUUUUGUCAGCAUGUCCACUAUAACCCAUAUAGCAUCAUUGCCUCGGUGAGUCUUGGGUAGACCGGUGUAAAGUCCAUGCAGACAUCGUCCCAUUUCCAUUGUGAGACGGGUAGAGGUUGGAGAAGUCCGGCGGGUUUCUGGUGUUCCACCUUUACUUUGUUCCAGAUGUCACAACAAGCGACAAAAUAUGUGAUGUCCCUUUUAAUUCUAUCCCACCAAAAUAUCUCUCGAAGAUCUUCGUACAUUUUGGUGUUGCCUGGAUGUAUCGAAUAUGAAGAUUCAUGCGCUUCUGCUAAAAUUUUCUUCCUCAAAUCUGUGUGCUCAGGUACGCAUAUCCUUCCAUGGAACCUGAGUGUACCAGCGCGUCCUUUGAGAAAUCCUGAGUCUUGCCUUCAUGCAGAUGUUGGAGAUAUCCUUGCAGACAUUUAUCGUCAGCAUGUGCCAUGCAAAUCUCCUCUUCUAGAGUAGGAGGUACUUCCAGUAUAUUCGCAAGACCGGCAUUUACCAUUACCAAGUUUAGUUGAGCGAUCUCUUGGUGGAGUUUUGGAGGCAAAUACCCUAGCAUGGCGUUUUAACUGGCAGGCUUGCGACUGAGGGCAUCAGCGACCACAUUAACUUUUCCCGGAUGGUAAUUUAUUGUCAGACCAUAGUCCUUGAACAGCUCGAGCCAUCUUCACUGCCAAAGGUUCAAGUCUGGCUGAGUAAAUAUAUAUUUGAGACUCUUGUGGUCGGUGAAUAUUUGGCUUCUCUUCCCAAUGAGAUAAUGUCUCCAAAUCUUUAGAGAGUGCACAACCGCGACCAGCUCCAAAUCGUGCACAGGAUAAUUUCCUUCAUGAGGUCGUAGCUGGCGAGAUGCAUAAUCUACCACCUUGCCGUCUUGCAUAAGUACGCACCCAAUACCUUUUCUGGAUGCGUCACAAUACACAUCGAAGGUGCGGUAAAUAUCUGGGAGAGUCAGGACUGGUGCUGAUGUCAAUCUGGUUUUUAGCUCGUUAAAGCUCUGCUCGCAAUCCUCAUUCCAUUCAAACUUCUUGUCUUUCUUGAGGAUUUAUGUCAUUGGCUUGGCAAUUUUGGAGAAUCCUUCAAUGAACGGCGGUAGUAUCCAGCUAACCCAAGAAAACUCUGGACUUCGGAUACUGUCGUGGGUGCUGCCCAAUCAAGCACAUCUUUUACUUUGCUGGGAUCCACUGCAAUACCUUCUGCUGAUAGAACAAGCCCCAAAAAUCUGACUUGUUUGAGCCAAAACUCACACUUGAUGAAUUUUGCAUACAGCUGAUGGUCACGAAGUUCUGUAAAAUUGCUCGAAGGUGUUCCUUAUGUUCCUCGUCACUUUUAGAGUAUAUGAGUAUAUCGUCGAUGAAGACCACCACAAACUUAUCCAAGAAUUCCAUGAACACCUUAUUCAUCAUAUGCAUGAAAAAGGCGGGGCAUUUGUGAGACCGAAGGACAUCACCGUAUAUUCGUAAAGACCGUAACGAGUAGUGAACGCGGUCUUAGGAAUAUCUUCCUUCUUGAUCUUCAGUUGAUGAUAUCCGGUCCUUAAAUCAAUCUUGGAAAAUACUUUUGCACCACUGAUCUGGUCGAAUAAAUCAUCAAUCCUUGGUAGUGGGUAUUUGUUCUUGAUGGUGACAUCGUUCAACUGACGGUAGUCCACACGCAUUCUGAGACCACCACCUUUCCUGUCCACAAAUAUUGCAGGUGAUCUCCAUGGUAAAGAACUUGAGGGGAUAUAUCCUUUUGCAGCAUCUCAUCCAACUGCUUCUUUAAUUCGACGAGUUCAAAGGAAGGCAUUCGAUAAUACUUUCUGUACAACAGUGCAUUCCCGGGUAAAAGAUCAAUUGCAAACUCAAGCUCCCUGUCUGGUGGCAUUCCGGGUAAUUCUUCGGGGAAUACAUCAGGAAAUUCACUGACCACGGGAAUCAGAUCCAACUCUUUAGCUACUAUAGUGAAGACCAUCUCCCUUUUGGGUAUGCCUUUGCGGGCAUAAAAUUUUAUGGUUUUGCCUUCCUGUUUGGUCAGGGUGACUUCUCGGGUCGCACAAUUUAUGCAUACUUGAUAUUGAGUCAACCAGUUCAUUCCCAAAAUAACAUCGAGCUUGUCAGACUCGAUGACUAUCACAGUGGUUGGAAAACAGACUUCCUUGAUAUGAAUUUCCAAAUUUUUGCAGACCAGAUGGCUUUUGAUCACGGAGCCCGGGGAUUGAACCAGCAUACUUUUCACCAAAAGCGAGCAAGAAAAUUUGUUUUGGGCAACAAAUCUCCGAGAAACAAAAGAGUGUGAAGCCCCAGAGUCAAAUAAAAUUAUUGCAACUAUGUUAUUAAUGAGAAACAUACCAAUGAUGACUUCGGGGUUUUCCAGGGCUUUUUCUGCGGAGAGAUUAUUAACUUGACCUUGGAUGAUCCCCAUGUGAUUGACUUGCAAUCGGAAUGGAGCGUUUGACUUCUUGGGACACUAUCGAGCAUAAUGUCUGGUCAGGCCACAACUAAAGCAAGCGUUGUUGCGUUUGACGCUCUUCAUGCACUGGGCUGGUCACAACAUUCUUGAUUUGAGUAGUGGUCUUGUUCACAUUCUGCUGCCAAUUUGGUUUAUAUUCCACUUGAGUCUGUUGCCAGGUACGGGCCUUCUGAAUAGGCUGCCCAUCUGUCUUUGGCUCAAAUUUGCGCUUGUGGUCAUUAUUUGCGGGGCGGUUCUUUCAUAGGCUUGUACUCUCUUUCUGCAAUGAGAGCCUUGUUAACAAGAGACUGAAAAUCUGGAAAGUCGAGCAUGGAGAGAACACACCUGAGGUGCUGGUUUAGUCCUCCAAGGAACCAGUCUAUCUUUCUCUCUUCCGUGGCCACAUCAUAAAGGGAAUAACGGGCUAGAUGGUUGAACUUGCGCAAGUAUUCAUUUACUGAUAGACUGCCUUCAGUGAGACCAAGAAAUUCGCAGUGCUUGACCUUCAUGAUACCAGCUGGAAUAUGAUACUUGAGAAAUUGGUCCUUGAAAUUAUUGCACAUAAUUUCUUCUCCCGCAGGCCACAAUGCUUUAGCAUUAUCCCACCAUAUAGUAGCGGCUCCUUCAAGAUAGUGGGUAGAGAACGUAACCUUGUCAGCUUCAUCAGUGCGAGCAAUCUCAAGUUUCUUCUCAAUGGUUCGCAACCAAUCAUCUUCUUCCAAACGGUCAAUCGCUUGACUGAAACUAGGAGGCUUAGUUCUUUGAAAAUAUGAUAGCUUAGAUUGAUGUCCAUUUGGAUUUCCAUUCUGUCCAACCAUAGCUUGCACACCUUUUAACAACUCAAUCCGAUCAUUAUUUCUUGUUUCCUCAAACAUGCGCAUAAUUUGUUAAGUGGAGGGUGGAUUUGGCGUUGGAGGUGGUGGUUGCGGAUACGGCUCGGGAGAGUGUCCUGCCUAUCUUGCCAAACGACGAACACGGACAUCCUCACAAGCCUUCAAGCUGCUACCUCCCCGCUGUUUAUUUUUUCCAAUAAGAGCAACCGAGAUGAGAAACAUCCCAUCAUGGAGAGAAAAUCAAGCGACAAAACCCGGAAAAGCGAACAAACUGAAAACACAGCAAUCGAAUAAAAAGUUCCCACAUAAUUAUACAUAGACUCAUACAUGAAAGGUAAACAUCAUGACGGGUGCGAAUACUCGCAUACAUGCAUCAUAGCUCAUACAACUACAUCCGUACAUCUCAUGACUACUGCUAAUACUCAGACGCUCUAAGACUUGGUGCUGCCGGAUCCUCUCCUGAGUCAAACCCAGAUCCUGAACUGAGGACUCCAACCAAAAACUCCGGGUUAAAGGUAACACGACGACGCUGCCUCGAGGGCUCUCCCUCAGGGGCAGGUGCAGAACGAGAAGGGAUCACGGGAGCUGCGAGGGUAGCAAGAAGAGAUGACCACUCAACAGGAGCACUGUGUGGGUUCAUCAGUGAGGUUCCUUAGCUAGUCGUGGGGAUAACCGGAGAAACAGGCGAGCUAGAAUUGGGCACAAUAUAAGGAGUAAAUCCCAUAGAAGGUGGAGUAGGGUAGGAUCUAGCGGCGGCUAAAGCAGAACGAGCACGAUUCAGCUCUCGAGCCAACUCGUGAAUCAGAAUAUAACUAGAAGUGAUAUAUCGAGAAAGAUGGCUAGUAUCACUAUCAGACGCCGGAUCAACGGAAUGAAAGCGAACACGGCCAUCAUCGUGCAGGGAUGGGUAGAAACGAAAACCUGGGUGGUUCUGCAUCCGAGCCUCAGCAUAGCGUAACUCAAGAAGAAUCUCGAACGCAGCAUACUGGACGGCCUGAGUGGCGGUGGAUGCAUAACCUCUCCGAGAGGUACGAGUGUAAGAACCCGCUGAGGAACUGAUGCGCAGAGAAACCACAACAUGAUACUCAUACACGGAGUCGGCCAGACGCUCCCAGUACACCCGAUAUGCUGGGUCGUCACCGUGAGGGCACAGUCGGCGCCACACACCAUGGAGGAGAUGUGGAAAGAUGUAGGGCAUCAGCUGCAACUGACAUGGAUACAGAACCGGAGCCAUCUACACUCACAACCAUUAACAGGUUAGAAAUAACAAUAAGUCAAAUGCAUGCAAUGUAGUGUAGCAUCCAUUUGCAAAUUCUAAUGGCACCCAAUUAACAACUAGCUAACGUUUUCUUCGCGUGUUGGGGUCUAGCAUGUCCUACAGUCAACACAGCCCUGAUACGAAGCAUUGUGGCACCCUGGCUCAUAGCGACGGUUUACCUUGCAUUGCCAACCCAGAGAUCAUGUCUUCUGGCAACACACAACAUCUUGGUACAGAAAUCACUGCUUUAUUCAAACUAGCGGAAGCAUAGGUGUUACAUUACACAUCAAGUAGCGAGGCCAAGCGACACACUCGGCGCGGCUGAACAAUAUGUACAUUAUUUAGUGGACAUAAAGGGGGCCUCGAGCACGACAUCUACUGCGGAACAACAUAGCGGGACUCCAUAGCACAGGGACACCAAUGUGGACACGGUCUAGACACGGCAGUACUCCGAUCCAGUUAGAUUUUCCUGAAAGCUGGCAUAACACGCCAGGUCAGUACAUUGAAUGUACUUGCAAGCUUGCAAUAAGAAAAACCAUAAUGACAAACAACAUCAUGAUAUUUAAACAAGUUCAAUGAAAUAUCAACAUGCUACUCAUGCAGUGACCAAACUUGUGCAUCGAGUCACUCGGACUCUCUUACCAACAGGUUGCCUCACAACCGAACAGUGAUCACGACAGACCACGAAUGAACCACUCUUGGUUCAACCGGUUACCUCGUAACCCAACAGUGAUCAUUCCCAUAUCACAAAUAGUACCAUAACUGUCAGUCUCACUAACAUCAUCAUAACUCAACGGUGCAAUGCAAAUAUGAAAGCACAAGUGCUCCCUGGGUAAUUUUGGUAAUUAAUGUCAACAUAUCUCUUGUUGUACUAAUACUUUCAUCUAGUAUAUUUCAGGUAAGCCCAACAGUGAAGUAGCAUGGACAAGAGGAUGUGGAACCCCUUCAAGAUGCUAAGGAAAAUGGAUUGGCUCAAGCUCAAAGCUCAGGACUCUACAUUUUCCAUUUUCAGUGAUCAAAGAUCACAUUGAGUCCAUAGGAAAGCCAAUACUAUUAAAAGGGGAUGAUGUGUUGCUUAAUGGCCUGCUUGCUCAAAGUGCUUAGUGAUAUGCUCCAAAGCCCUCAACCACUUUCUCAUAUCCACAUAUGUCCCAAACCAAAAGUCAAACUCGGCCCCCCUGAUUUGAUCCAUCCGGCGCCACCGAAUUCAUUUGACAUAGCCACUGCCAAAAACCCUAAUCAGUUCAGUCACACCGAUGGGAUCUCGGUCUCACCGAGAUGGGCUUGCAAACUCUCUGUUGUCUAUUGCAAUAUUUUCGGUCUCACCGAGAAUAUGUAAUCAGUCACACCGAGUUUGCCUGACCAACUCUCUGUUUUGCUUAUUACCAAAUCGGCCCAUCGAGUUGUGUAAUCGGUCAAACCGAGACGAGGUUUUACCCUAACCCUUGCACAUCGGUCCUACCGAGUUGAUCAUAUUGGUCCCACCGAAAUUGCCUAACGGUCAAAUAUGUACCCACUGAGUUUGGUAUAAUGUGUGUAAUGGUUAGAUUUUGUGUGGAGGCUAUAUAUACCCCUCCACCCUCUCCUCAUUCGUGAGGGAAGCCAUCAGAUCGUGCCUACACUUCCACUACCCACUUUCUGAGAGAGAGCCACCUACUCAUGUGUUGAGACCAAGAGAUUCCAAUCCAACCAUAUGAAUCUUGAUCUCUAGCCUUCCCCAAGUUGCUUUCCACUCAAAUCAUCUUUCCACCAAAUCCAAUCCUAUAAGAGUGAGUUGAGUGUUGGGGAGACUAUCAUUUGAAGCACAAGAGCAAGGAGUUCAUCAUCAACACACCAUCUAUUACCUUUUGGAGAGUGGUGUCUCCUAGAUUGGUUAGGUGUCACUUGGGAGCCUCCAACAAGAUUGUGGAGUGAACUAAGGAAUUUGUAAGGGCAAGGAGAUCGCCUAAUUCAUGAAGAUCAACCCUAGUGAGGCAAGUCCUUCGUGGGCGAUGGCCAUGGUGGGAUAGACAAGGUUGCUUCUUCAUGGACCCUUCAUGGGUGGAGCCCUCCGUGGACUCGCGUAGCCGUUACCCUUCGUGGGUUGAAGUCUCCAUCAACGUGGAUGUAUGAUAGCACCACCUAUCGGAACCACGACAAAAACAUCCGUGUCUCCAAUUGCGUUUGCACACUCCAAUCCCAUCCCUAUACUUUCUUGCAAGUUGCAUGCUUUACUUUCCGCUGCUCAUAUACUCUUUUCAUGCUUGCUUGAUAUGUAUUGUGAAUGGUUAAACUUAUGCUAAAUGUCCACCUAAACUUGAGAAACUUAUAAUCUGCCAACUUUGUUUGUUGAGUGUCUAAUCACCCCCCUAGGCACCUCUUCUCGAUCCUUUCAAAAUAACUUAGUGUGCAAUUUUAUGAAAGUUGAUCCAUGGUGUGAAUUACUUACGAACUGGGCCCUUAUUCGCGGGCACGGCUAUCGAUAGAUUAAUACACUCUACAGAGGUAGCACACUUGACCCACACCACGGAACCCAUGGCCUCGCACUCCCAUUUGGGUGGACCAACGGCAUUCCGACAGAACCCUCCCAUUGCCAUGACACUCUUAUGGUCACUUCGACCAACUCCCCUCUGGGAUCAGUCCUGGGUGACCCCGCCUACCAGAGGCACCUACCACUGUCGUGGCAAAUAAACAGUCCCAAAUGGGGACCUGGUACCAUAACAACAACAGGUCCACAAGGUUAUGUUUGCUUACCGGGCCAGGGUAACACACACCCAUAACCUUCCCUAGUUUGAGGCACCGACAAGAGGCAUGACAACGGAAUGACUACGGCCUCCCGUACUAAGGCAAAUGUGGUUGCACUUAGCAGCCCGAUUCAGUGGCACCAUGACCCGACCAACUUUUAAGAUCAAUUUCAAUUAUCAUCAGGUUCAACUUGAAAAUAAGAAUGCCCGAGUCACAAUAUGCCAUGCUCAUGCAACCAUGUAUCAUGCAUCAUAUAUCACUUUAACUAUACCAGAUCAACCUUAUUCAAAGUUCUACUUGCACCAACUCAACUUGCAACAUUUCUAGUCCUUUCUUACUGGUUAUUUCUACUCAUUACUUUACUUGGCAUUUAUCAAAUCAAACUCAUUGUUCAUAUAGCAAAAUAAUGCUCAUGUUCAUACUACCAUAGUCAUGACAAAAUUUGCUUAGAUCAACUACUCAAGCUAUAACUUACUAGUUUAACCAUUUCUUUCUGUUAACUAAGCAUUUUGAUCAUAACAAACUAAAUAACACAAGCAUCAUUUAUUUUUAAUGCUAUAUGCAAUGAAUAUCAUGGAUAUUGCAAAGACACCAUGAUCAUGUUGGUGUGUCUUGCCUUAGUGCAGAGGAGCUUCACACUCCUCGUGGAUGUCUUCAAGACAAGCUUCACCUUCUGAAAAUAAUUCAAAUGACAAAAAACAUCAAGAACACAUCUGAAAAUUACCAGAAAUUCUAGGCAGCAAAGAAAAAUCCCAUCUUGGUUGUGCUGCUAGGAUUUUCUAGUAAGAGCAGAAUUCAAAAAGAAUCAACUCAUUUGGACUUGUAGAAUAAUACUUAGAGCUAGUCAAAGUUCUGGUCAAAUUUGAACUAAAUUUGAAUUAAAAAGGAAAAGCAGGGGGUGACGUCGAAGGUGUAAAAUGCCGGGGCGCCACCACUCAUACCGCUUCCGGCAUGGCCUGAGUGGUAGACAGCGGGCCCCAGCUGUCAGGCCGGAGGGGGAGAGAGAGAGAAACAGAGGCGGGCGGCGCGGCGGUGGCGCUUUCUCCGGCGAGGAGUGCCCUGAUACGUCCCCAACGUAUCUAUAAUUUUUUAUUGUUCCAUGCUAUUAUAUUACCCCUUUUGGAUGUUUAUGGGCUUUAUUUUACACAUUUAUAUCAUUUUUGGGACUAACCUACUAACUGGAGGCCCAACCCGUAUUGCUGUUUUUUUCCUCUUUCAGUAUUUCGAAGAAAAGGAAUAUUAAACGGAGUCCAAACGGAAUGAAACCUUCGGGAGCGUGAUUUUUGGAACAAAUGUGAUCCAGAGGACUUGGAGUGCAAGUCAAGAAGCAACCGAGGCCUCCAUGAGAUAGGAGGGCGCCCCCCUAUAGGGCGCGCCCCCUGUCUCGUGGGCUCCUCGGGCGUCCACCGACGUACGUGUUCCUCAUAUAUAAGCCUACAUACCCCGAAAACAUCUAGGGAGCCAACGAAACACAAUUUCCACCGCCGUAACCUUCUGUAUCCGCGAGGUCCCAUCUUGGAGCCUUCGCCGGUGCUCUGCCGGAGGGGGAAUCGACCACGGAGGGCUUCUACAUCCAAAUCGUUGCCCCUCCGAUGAGUUGUGAGUAGUUUACCACAGACAUAUGGGUCCAUAGUUAUUAGCUAGAUCGCUUCUUCUCUCUUUUUGGAUCUCAAUACAAUGUUCUCCCCCUCUCUUGUGGAGGUCUAUUCGAUGUAAACUCUUUUUGUGGUGUGUUUGUCGAGAUCCGAUGAAUUGUGGGUUUAUGAUCUAGUUUAUCUAUGAAUAAUAUUUGAAUCUUCUCUGAAUUCUUUUAUGUAUGAUUGAGUUAUCUUUGCAAGUCUCUUCGAAUUAUCAGUUUGGUUUGGCCUACUAGAUUGAUCUUUCUUGCCAUGGGAGAAGUGCUUAGCUUUGGGUUCAAUCUUGCGGUGUCCUUACCCAGUGACAGAAAGGGUUGCAAGGCACGUAUUGUAUUGUUGCCAUCGAGGAUAACAAGAUGGGUUUUAUAUCAUAUUGCUUGAGUUUAUUCCUCUACAUCAUGUCAUCUUGCUUAAUGCGUUACUCUAUUCUUUAUGAACUUAAUACUCUAGAUGCAGGCAGGAGUCGGUCGAUGUGUGGAGUAAUAGUAGUAGAUGCAGGCAGGAGUCGGUCUACUUGUUGCGGACGUGAUGCCUAUAUUCAUGAUCAUGCCUAGAUAAUCUCAUAAUUAUUCGCUUUUCUAGCAAUUGCUCGACAGUAAUUUGUUCACCCACCGUAAUACUUAUGCUAUCUUGAGAGAAGCCACUAGUGAAACCUAUGGCCCCCGGGUCUAUCUCUUAUCAUAUUUGCUUCCAAUCUACUUUUAUUUGCAUCUUUACUUUUUGUAUCUAUAUUAUAAAAUACCAAAAAUAUAUUUAUCUUAUCUUACUAUCUUUAUUAGAUCUCACUUUCGCAAGUGGCCGUGAAGGGAUUGAAAACCCCUUUGUUGCGUUGGUUGCGAGUUCUUUGUUUGUUUGUGUAGGUGCAUGGGACUUUUGAGGAGCCUUGUACUGUGUCGUGGAUUUGUCACGACAGAUGUCCUAGAGAAAGGACUUAGUCGUGGAGCCAUCGCUACGGGUUUACUUGAAGGGGUUAAAGCGGACACAAAGACACGAGGGUUUAUAAUAGUUCGGCCCCUUCGAUGAAGGUAAAGCCUACGUCUAGUUGUGAUGGAAUUGAUGUGGUAUCGAUGGCUAGGGAGCAAACAAGCUUCGCCUAGGCUCGAGUUGUUGUUGUCUGCCCUGAACCGCCGCCGGGUCAUCCCCUUAUAUACACGGGUGACGCCCUUCGGUCCAUAGAGUCCCUAACCGGUUCAUACUCGUAUUCCGGUUGGUAUCUCUCUAUUCCUAACUUACAAUACAAGUCAUACACAGGCCGGUUUACAGCUACAUGCUCUAACCGACUACAGGCCUUGGGCCUUCAUCUGUUUAUAUCACUAAUAAAGUUAACCCGGCCCAAGUAGGCCGGUUUACGCCUGGUGGUAAUAUCCCCAACAUUAGGCCCCAGAUUGAUUUGAACUGGUUCAUGUCAAUCCUUCACUCCAUCUUGCGUCUCGGAUGUCUUUUGUUAAUUGGUAAACCUCCAUAUCGUCAUCAUUUUUUGGUUGCUGUAAACCGGCAUGAUGUCAUCAGUGCUGGCUAUUAUGAACUGGCAUGACGCCAUCACAAAAUUUAUAACGCCCUUUCAAUGACAGCUCCUGGAUUCGCGCGCUUGACCUAGCCCAGUUGCCCUAUAAAUAAGGCCGAAGGGUCAUUUCUUUUCUUUUCCUCUUCGUCCCUUCUUCUUCUUCUUCCUCACGUUGCCGGCUUUGGAGCUCCACCACCACCGUCGACCUCUGCCUCGUCUCGGGCCGCUGCAUCAACCUGAGCGUACCAGAGUGUUGCGGCGUCUUUCCGCAUCUUCUCCUUCCCGGUAAGUUCUCUUUCCUUCUUACCCUAGAUCUGUUCUUAGGGUUCCAUGUUCUUGCCAUGUUCAUCGCGCGUUCAUGACUGUUCUCUGACCUUGACUGCAUCUGCGAACUCUUGCUGUGCUUAGUAGCGAUCCCUUUAGCAUCUGCUUGCUAUUUCUCAUCUAAACUCAUAGAUCUCCCGCACAUAUCCGCUCAAUGGUUCACUUCUGUUUCCGCCUUAGUCUUCGAGAUAUUUCCUGUUUUUGUGAACUUUCUGUAGAUCCGCGGCUGUAACACGAUUCAGUGAAACUUGUUUCUGCAUAACUAGUUAUCCAUAGCUUCAAUUGCUUCUGAUGCUUAGGCCAGGCGGUUUAACUCCACUAUAGAGAAAAAAUUGCUACACCGGUAUAUAUAUCAUUAGUCCCCUGGUUGAACCGCCAGAAUCCAUCUGAUGCCGCAUCAUAGAAGACCGGUUUAUGGGUAUUGCCUCCGGUUUACCGUAAUUAAAACAACACCUUUUUAUCCGGCAUGUCCUUGAACCGGAUCACCUGUUUCUUGUAGAUCUCGUCAUGGCCAAACAAGUGUACGAGUGCAACUGGGUUCCCUCCCGUGUCACUGAGUCACAGCUGGAUGAUCUAGUGCUGAUCGGCGCUUUAGAUGAUAAAGAUACGAUCCACUGGAGGGUUCCCGGAGAUGAGUGUCCUCCCACGCCCCAGGAAGGAGAGGUUGUGGUCUUCGCAGAUCACAUGGCCCGGGGCUUCAAACCGCCCGGCUCUAAAUUUUAUCGGGAUGUGUUAGCCAAUUUCCAGCUCCGUCCAUAGGAUAUUGGCCCCAACUCAGUCACCAAUCUAUGUCACUUUCAAGUACUUUCCGAAGCAUACCUUCAAGAGGAGCCUUCAGUCGAACUGUUUAGAGAUCUCUUUCAUCUGAACCGCCGUACUGAAUUCACCGAUGGUCCUAACACCGAACUGGGCGGCAUGGCCAUCCAGAAGAGGAAAGAAAUCACCUAUCCCCAUGUCAAACUUCAUACUCACCCUAAAGAGUGGAAUGCCACUUGGUUUUAUUGCAAGGAUACAUCUCCAGACAAUGAAAAUCCCUUGCCUGGCUUCCGUCCGGAACGGCUCAGCAAUACUCACCCCUUUCCACAAAGGCUAAGCGCCAAGGAGAGAAUCAAAUAUGCUCCCCAACUGUCCAAGCUUCGGGCCUUCAUGGCCAACGGUUUAACAGGAAUAGACCUUGCACGCUGCUGGAUAUCAUGGAGCAUUCUGCCUCUGAGCCGGCGCCCUAGUUUAAUGUGUGAAUAUACUGGCAGUGUCGAUGACCCACUCCGACAUAUCAAAAUCCAGGUCUCCGACGACGAGGUCACAGAAUCUGUGAAAAAGAUGUUGAAUGAACCGGAGCAUCUCUGUGCACAAACCGGUCUACUUCCUUACUGCACCACCAAUGAACCGCCAGCAGUAAGAUUUUAACUGCUCUAUUAUUGAACCUGUUACUAUUUUAUUUUGUCUGACCUUUAAUUAUUGUUGAUCCAGAGUGAUAAUCUGUUUUGGAGCAAAAAGCUUUCCCAAGAUAAAACGGAGAAAACAGGGCGGCCAACCCGGCCAAAGACCAAGGUUGUCAAGAAACCAGCUCGCAAGAGAAAAACCACCGCUUCAUCUGACCCAGCCCUUGAUGAUGAUGUGGGUAAUCCGGAUCUUGAGGUAGAACUUGAUUCACUUGGCUUGCUUUUUAUGCGCCUUAUUGAUGAUGAUGCUUGUCAGGAUGACGCUGAAGCCAGCAAUGCGGGAUUCGUUGAGGUAAUUAUUCUCUCUUCCGAUUCAGAAAUCUUGCCUUUGCCAAAAUUCCGCCGGGCAAACCGGAAAGUUAAAUUUUCUCAUCCGCUUGCUUAUUUGGAUCCCCAAUUUCUUAUGAAGACCCAGCAACACGAAACUCGCCGCACAACCCGGCACAGCGGCCAGGUAGUUACUUCUGCCGGUUUACCGAACAGCCCGGUUCGAAAACGCCGCUCCGAGGUCUCCGACCUUUUUAUUGAUUUAAAUCCUAAAGCGGGUUUCUUCCGUCAACCUCUUAAUCCAUCCGACUCCGAUUAUCAGGUCACUUCUCAUUCAUCGUCUGGUGAAUCAUCGGCCACUCAGCUACCACCCUUGAAAACAGUUGCUGGGUAAGUUUAAACUAAAUAUAUGCCUCCAGUAUGCUGCGUAACGGUUUAUGCUCUUCCUUGACUUUUGUUUUCUCCUCAGGGCUAAGCCGAAGCCAAGCAAAAAGGCCCGCCUGGAUAAAGCGACUGAAGAAGAUGUGGCCCCAGAACAUGACCAAGCACCGGAUCAUGAAGUGUUUACUUGUGAAGACACCCCCAAUGAUCCUCCUCUGCAAGACGACGUUAUCCCUGAAGAAGGGCUUAUUAAUGCUUCAGCCUCUGCUGAUCCGCCUGCCAACUCUGUCCAGAUUGAGAAAUCUCAUACUCCAGCUGAUAAACCGGCAGCGCCAACACAAACUGGCGAGUCAAAAGAUGAUGAUGUCGUGAUUACUGGCGUGGGCCGCUCUGAACCCGGGAAUCCUGCCACCCUUACGAGGCAUGUCACCAAAGAGGAUUUUUCCACUUUGAACAAAGGGAAAUGGGAUGUUGAAUUAGAAACAUACGCCGCUCUGAGUGCUCAAGAUCUUCACUCUGGCUAUCUAAACCGGCUUUACACUAGCCGUGAUUGUGAAGCUGGCCUGGUCAAAAUGAUGAGGGAUAAAUUUGAGGUAAAUUCCUUCUUUCCUUGCUGCCAUUGCAUUCAUCCUUGUAGCCCCCAAGGGCCGGUUUGUGACCUUGGUCAAGCCGGGACUUGAUCCUGAACAUUUUUGAAAUCCGUCGGCAUAACCCUCAAGGGCCGGUCUAACUUAGCAUAAGCAACCCGGGGCUUCAAAUAAAAAACUGUCCUUAGAACAUAACUUGAUCAAAUAGCCAUUAGCCCCCAAGUGCCAAGUUGAAUACUCGUAUUGAGCUUGGGACUUUGUAAUCUAGCAAUAUAUAAAAAUUGAAGGUGCAUUAGCCCCCAAGUAUCAGGCAUAUAACUUUGUUAUGUGAUUGAUACUUCAAUUUAUUGGAUCGCAUGUGCAAAGCUUAAAACGCUGUCUGUAUGCAGGCUGAGGUGAAAAUCAAGGAGGACCGGAUUGCCGAUUUGCAGGAGGCCUUGAAGACCCAGCAAGCUGAAACAGAUAAGUCAAAGCAAGAAUUAACCAGCGCCUUAAGCACGGCUGAACAGCUGAAAGAAAGCUUCAAGAAAGAGCGGGCUGAUUGGGCCACUGAGAAGGCCGCUUUAAUCGAACGAGCAGAAAAUGCCGAAGCUGCCCUUAAACCGGUGGUGGAUGAAUUGACUGCCGUACCUGCUGUAAUCUUUGGUAAGCUCCUUUUAACCUCUAUCAUAAUUUGGUAAGCUCCUUUUAACCUCUGUCAUAAUUUGAACCUGCUGUAGCAUAAACCCGGUUUGAGAUCCUUCCAAUCUUGUUGUAGGCACACGUAUUGGGCACUUAGGAAAUGAUGUACGGAUGAAACUGAAGGCUGCCUACACCUUGGUGGAACAACUGUAUACCGGAGCCCAACGGAUUAUCACCGCAGCGUCUCAUAACAACCUGGCGCCCUCCUUAAUCCAGGACACUCUUAGCCGGUUGUCAAUGCUUCCAGCCCGGAUUGAGGAGCUGAAAAAAUCCGCUGCCCGAACCGGAGCCAUCAAUGCCUUAAUCCGGGCAAAAACAUGGGUGCCCGAUUUUGAUCCUGUGGAAGCAGCCCAAGGCUAUCCCAGCCUGAAAGAGGAUGGCUCGGAAUUCAACGAGGAAGAUUUAAGGGCGAUAAACCGUGCAGUGCGCCCUCUGGCUUGCCAGCUAGCUGAAGAAGCAGAUUUGACGCAUUAUCAAGCGCAAUAUAAUGAGCAAAACAAGCGAGUGCCUGCCCCAACUGUUGAAGCGGAGAAUCUGAUCCCUCCAAUCCGUAAGCACACUUACGCCCCUGAUAUUGAACCGUCUUCCCUGAUCCAUGAAGAGGCUGUUUUCCAAGAUUUAAUGGGAAUCGACUGGGCCACUGUUGAUUUCCAGCCAAUGGGUAGAGACGAGGAAGCUGAAGCGGCGGAGGAUGAGGAGCAGGCUUGAACCGAAAGCCGGUUUGGAGAGUUAUUUGUAACAUCUUUCCACAAAAACAAUGAUCUUGUUUGGGCACCAUGCUGCCUUGUAAUAGGAUAAUUAAAACUUCUGCCUGGAAUAUGCCUUCGCGCAUAAGUACUGAAGCUUUUGCUUGAAAAACUUUUUAAUUCAUAUUUCCUGCAAUCAGAAAAAUUUGAACUUUGGUGGCGGUUAUACCGUCAGCCGGAUUAUGAUCUUGAUAUGUGUAUCAGAAAUAUAACCAAUAGCUGAUACAUAAAUACCUGCCAUGUUUGGGCAUAAAGCUGGCUUUAGCCAAGCCUGAAGCGGUGGGUUUAUAAACCAUUACCGUCAAAAAGGGAGAAGAUAGCUCCCGUAUACCCCGUAUUGAAUCAAUACGAGCUCCCUAGUUAUUCUUUGAUGUUAACAGGGAAAAGGUAAACCGGCCAGUCCCCUCCGGAUUAAAGGGGAAUCAAAAACCAUCAGUUUAACCGGAAAAAUAUGCUUGUUGACAUAAAGGAAAUCCAACAAAAACAAGAACAAACAAACCAUGAAAAUAACAUGGAAGCAAAGGCAAUGAUAAAAACCAUUUGCAAAUAUAUGCUAUACUGAGCUGUUCAGAUGGUAUUACCAUGGUCGGACAGGAUCAAGGCCCCCAAUAGGAGUGACAAUGAUUCAAGUCAGCCAGGUCCCCAAAUGACUCGUGGCAUGUAUGCCAGAUCAAGAGGCGUGACAAUGGUUCGGGUUCGACCAUGCCCCCAAGUGAUUUUGUGGCCUUUAGGCCGACCAAGAGGCGUGACUGGUUCAGGCUUGACCAUGUCCCCAAAUGAUCUGGUGGCUGUCGCCUAUCAAAGGGUGAUCGUUGGUUCGGACACGACCAAGGCCCCCAGCGAUAUAUAAAUAACAUAUGUCAAGGGGUAAACCGGAGGCCGCUUUUAACAGAACCACUCCGUGUAACCUCGCAUGAUGAAACAGAUAGAGACCCUGCUUUAGCUGAGGUUCCGGUUUAAUAUAUCAAAGAUAAUAUAUACAUUGUCAUGAUAUGUACAUAAUUAGAGCCGAUGGCUCAAGUAUAGUAAGGCCGAAGAUGAGCUAUGUUCCACGGCCUGUUGGUCUCCUCCUCUGAUGUACGUGAGUCUUGACGCUCUCGAAUAUCAAUCAGAUAGUACGACCCGUUGUGCAGAUUCUUGCUGACCACAAAAGGUCCUUCCCAAGGUGGGGAUAACUUGUGCAUAUCUGUCUCGUCCUGGAUUAAUCGAAGCACCAAAUCUCCUUCUUGAAAAGUUCUGGUUUUAACCCGGCGACUGUGAUAACGACGAAGAUCUUGUUGGUAAAUCGCCGAACGGGCAGCCGCUAGAUCACGCGCUUCGUACAAUAGGUCCAAAGCGUCUUGCCGUGCCGUCUCAUUGCCCGCUUCAACAUAAGCUGCCACACGAGGCGAAUCGUGCUGGAUAUCACUAGGGAGAACUGCCUCUGCUCCAUAGACCAUAAAAAAUGGCGUGUAUCCUGUGGACCGGUUUGGCGUAGUAUUGAUACUCCAAAGCACAGAUGGUAGCUCUUCAACCCAACAUCCUGGUGUUCGUUGCAAUGGGACCAUAAGCCGGGGUUUGAUGCCUCGCAGGAUCUCUUGAUUAGCUCGUUCUGCCUGUCCAUUGGACUGGGGGUGCGCCACUGAUGAUACGUCAAGUCGGAUGUGCUCACGUUCACAGAACUCCUUCAUAGCCCCCUUGGAUAAAUUGGUACCAUUGUCAGUAAUGAUACUGUGCGGAAAGCCAAACCGGAAAAUCACCUUUUUGAUGAACUGCACCGCUGUUGCUGCAUCGCACUUGCUGACAGGCUCUGCUUCAACCCACUUGGUACAUUUAUCAACUGCUACCAAAAGGUGAGUUUUCUUAUCCUUGGAUCUUUUAAAAGGUCCGACCAUAUCCAGCCCCCAAGUUGCAAAUGGCCAUGUUAUUGGAAUCAUCCUUAAUUCUUGAGCCGGCACAUGUGCACGCCUUGAAAUUUUUUGACAUCCAUCGCACCGCUGAACCAAGUCCUCUGCAUCAGCAUGUGCUGUCAACCAGUAAAACCCGUGACGAAAUGCCUUUGCCACCAGGGACUUUGAACCGGCAUGGUGUCCACAAUCCCCCUCAUGGAUUUCUCUUAAGAUUUCACAGCCUUCCUCAGGAGAAACACAACGUUGAAACGCCCCUGAUACACUGCAACGAUGCAAUUCACCAUUGAGAAUCGUCAUGGACUUGGAUCGCCGGACUAUCUGCCUUGCUAGAAUUUCAUCCUCUAGCAACUCCCCCCGGGUCAUGUAUGCAAUAUAAGGAAUCGUCCAAUUCGGAAUAGCAUGUAAUGCUGCCACCAAUUGAGCUUCCGGGUCAGGAAUAGCCAAAUCCGCUUCACCUGGGAGCUGGACUGACGGAUUGUACAACACGUCCAAAAAGACAUUGGGCGGGACCGGUUUGUGCUGAGAACCCAACCGGCUUAAAGCGUCCGCCGCUUCAUUCUUUCGACGGUCCACAUGAUCCACUUGAUAACCCUUGAAGCAACCUGCAAUAUUAUCCACUUCCCGACGAUAUGCAGCCAUGAGUGGGUCCUUAGAAUCCCAAGUGCUAGACACCUGGUGAGCCACAAGGUCCGAGUCACCGAAACACUUAACCCGGCUUAAGUUCAUCUCUUUAGCCAUCCGGAGACCAUGGAGCAAUGCUUCCUACUCAGCUGCAUUAUUAGUACAAGGGAACAUUAAACAGAGAACAUAAUAGAACUUAUCACCUCGUGGGGAAGUUAAUACGACUCCAGCCCCCGAGCCUUCCAAUUGCCUGGAUCCAUCAAAAUGAAUAGUCCAAUAUGUGUGAUCCGGCUUUUCCUCUGGCGCUUGUAAUUCCGUCCAAUCGUUGAUGAAAUCAACAAGUGCUUGAGACUUCACCGCCGUUCGAGGCACAUACUUCAGUCCGUGCGGCCCAAGCUCUAUAGCCCACUUGGCAACCCGGCCAGUGGCCUCCCGGUUUUGUAUGAUAUCACCCAAAGGAGCUGAACUGACCACUGUAAUGGGGUGCCCUUGAAAAUACUGCUUCAAUUUCCGGCUGGCCAUGAAGACACCAUAAACCAGCUUCUGCCAAUGCGGAUACCGUUGUUUGGAUUCAAUAAGCACCUCGCUGAUAUAAUAAACCGGCCGCUGAACCGGAUACUCCUUGCCUGCCUCUUUGCGUUCCACCACAAUGGCCACACUAACUGCCCGAGCAUUAGCUGCUACGUAUAAUAACAGUGGCUCCUUGUCAACCGGAGCUGCAAGAAUCGGCGGAUUGGCUAACUACCGCUUCAAGUCCUCAAAUGCUUCGUCAGCAGCCGGACUCUAGACGAAAUUGUCUGCCUUCCUCAGCAUUUGAUAUAAAGGGAUGGCCUUCUCUCCGAGGCGGCUGAUAAACCGGCUCAGCGCAGCGAUUCGGCCCGCCAAACGCUGAACAUCGUUGAUACAUUUCGGUUUAGCUAGUGAUGUAAUAGCCGUAAUUUUUUUCGGGUUAGCCUCAAUUCCUCUGUUAGACACCAGGAAACCCAGUAACUUGCCUGCCGGAACACCAAAAAUGCACUUGGCCGGAUUAAGCAUCAUCUUGUAAACUCGCAAGUUGUCGAAGGUCUCCUUCAAAUCAUCCACCAGCGUCUCCUUCUGCCUUGACUUUACUACAAUAUCAUCCACGUAGGCAUGCACAUUGCCGCCGAUCUGUUUAGACAGGCAAUUCUGCACGCACCGUUGAUGGGUGGCUUGGGCACUCUUGAGCCCGAAGGGCAUAGAUACAUAGCAGAAGGCUCCAAAGGGAGUAAUAAAUGCUGUUUUCUCCUUGUCCUUAACUGCCAUCUUGAUCUGAUGAUAUCCAGAGUAUGCAUCCAAAAAACUCAAACGCUCACAACCUGCGGUGGCAUCAAUGAUCUGGUCAAUGCGGGGGAGGGCAAAAGGAUCUGCCGGACAGGCCUUGUUAAGAUCUGUGUAAUCCACACACAUACGCCAAGUGCCAUUUUUCUUAAGAACCAGCACCGGAUUAGCAAGCCACUCUGGAUGGAACACCUCAACAAUAAAACCAGCUGUUAAAAGCCUGGCCACUUCCUCUCCAAUGGCUUUGCGUCUUUCUUCAUUAAACCGGCGGAGGAACUGUUUCACCGGUUUGUAUUUAGGAUCCACAUUAAGAGUGUGCUCAGCGAGUUCUCUCGGUACACCUGGCAUGUCAGACGGUUUCCAUGCAAAAAUGUCCCGAUUCUCACGGAUGAACUUGAUGAGCGCGCUUUCCUAUUUGGGAUCCAGGUUGGCGCUGAUAAUGAACUGCCUGGACGAAUCGCCGGGCACGAAGUCAACAAGCUUGGUCUCAGCUGCCGAUUUGAACUUCAGAUCUGAAUCAUGCUCUAUAGUUGGCUUCUUCAACGAGGUCAUAUCCGCCGGAUCAACAUUGUCCUUAUAAUACUUCAACUCUUCCGUGGCACAGACCGACUCCGCAUACGCCGCAUCACCUUCCUCACAUUCCAAAGCGACCCUACGGCUCCCAUGAACCGUUAUCGUCCCCUUGUAACCCGGCAUCUUGAGCUGUAAGUAGAUGUAACAAGGCCGCGCCAUGAAUUUGGCAUAAGCGGGCCGUCCAAACAAGGCGUGAUACGGGCUCCAGAUCUUCACCACCUCAAAGGUUAAUUUUUCUGUCCGAGAAUCGUGCUCGUCCCCAAAAGCCACAUCCAGGGCUAUCUUACCAACAAGAUAUGCAGAUUUGCCUGGCACAACACCAUGGAACACCGUAUUUGACGGUCUGAGAUCCUUGUCUGUUAGACCCAUGCGCCGGAAUGUCUCAUAGUAUAAUAUGUUAAUACUGCUUCCUCCAUCCAUGAGCACCUUGGUGAACUUAUAACCCCCCACCUGAGGGUCCACCACUAAUGCUAGCUGGCCCGGAUUAUCAACCCGGGGCGGGUGAUCUUCUCGGCUCCACACGAUGGGCUGUUCUGACCAGCGUAAGUAGCGUGGUAAGGCCGGUUCAACAGAAUUCACCGCUCGCUUGUGGAGUUUUCGUUCGCGCUUAUCCAAGCUAGUUGUGAAGACAUGGUAUUGCCCAUUGCUCAACUGCUUUGGCUGGCUCUGAUAACCCGACUGCUGUUGCCGCUGCUGGCCGUUUUGAUUAUUCUGGCUAUUGUGACCGCCCUGAUUGAAACCUGAACCGGAAGCUCCAUCGUGAUCCGGACCGUGUAAACCGGAUCCUGAACCACCACCUGACCCAUGGUCAUACUGGAAGGCAUUAGAGUUUUUAAACUCCUGCAUAAUAUAACAAUCCUUCCAAAGGUGGUUAGCCGGCGACUCCUUCGUCCCGUGCUUUGGGCAAGGCUGAUUCAACAAGUAAUUCAAACGGCUUGCGUUAGGAUUGGGACCCCCAUUACGAUUUGCCGCUUUACCUCUGCGCCGCUGCCCCCUGUCCUGUGCAUUAGUGUUGGUCACAAAAUCCAUGCUACCAUCCGCCUUGUGUUUGCCUCCGUUUCCAUGACCCGCCGGUUUAUAUUGCUGCGGUUUAGAGUUGCUAUUCUUUCUUCCUUUCCCUGCUUCAUCUUCAUCAGGUUCGGGAUCCUUGGUACUGUCCGAAUCAGCAUACUUCACUAAAGCAUCCAUGAGGGUUCCCAUGUCAUUACAGAGCCGCUUCAUGCGUACCAAUUUCAAUUUUAAAGGUUCAAACCGGCAGUUGCCUUCCAGAGUUAAGAUCGCGGAGUCAGCGUUAAUCCUGUCCGACGAGUGCAAAAUUUCUGAAACGCGGCGCACCCAACGGGUCGUUGAUUCUCCUUCCUCCUAAACACAAGCCGCCAGGUCUACUAUGGACUUAGGCUGCUUACAUGUAUCCUUAAAAUUCUGUAUAAACCGGGCCCGCAACUGGGCCCAUGAGCUGAUAGAAUUGGGUGGCAGGCUCUUCAACCAAGUACGAGCCGUGCCCUCAAGCAUCAUGGUGAAGUAUUUCGCACACGCGGCCUCAUCCACAUCCAACAUCUCCAUGGCCAUCUCAUAACUCUCUACCCACGCUUCAGGGGAUAAAUCUGCGGUGUAAUUCGGCACCUUGCCCGGACCCUUGAAAUCUUUGGGCAGGCGCACAUUGCGUAAAGCGGGGAUUAAACAAGGCACUCCCAAAGCGGAUGUAACUCCUGGUCCGGCGAAGGUGGUAGAGCGAACCGGUGUAAUCUGACCUGCAUUAUCCUGUGUUGCUAACUCGGCCUCCCUUCGUGCCCGGGCCCGGUCCACCACCUCCUGAGCAUCGCCGAUUCCACCUGCCGGGUUAUUGCCACGGGCCGCUUCACGGCCUCGCGCAUUGCUUGAUAUGGCCGGUUCAUCCAUGCGCCUGCUAUAGCUCUGGCUUGGACGGGGCGUAGAAUGAAUCCGAUCACGGCUGUAUGAGUAUGCCUCCUGCUGAAUCAGCGCAGUCCGGAGAAGCUCCUUAACCCGGCGCGUCUCUAUCGCUUGCGGGGAGUCUCCUUCGACCGGGAUGGCCUCCAACCGUGCAGCGGCCGCAACAAGGUUGUCCAUGGGAUUCGAAUAAUGGCCCAGGGGUGUCUGGACCGGCAGAGGGGCCACGAUGUUCUGUUGAGGGGGUUCCGUCAAGCGGGGCUGGACCGUCGCUCCUGGCCCCGGUGCUUCAAUCCGGUUUGCCUCCAGGUACUGCGGCGGAUUACUGGGCCCUGCUCCUGGAGUGUGAAAGAGAUUUCGGGGGUCAAACCCUAACGGCAGGUGUGAUCUGUGCUUCCGCUUCAAAACCUCCUGCGAUGCAUUCUGGUCGAGCAUAAGUUUGUAGGCCUGGGCGUCCAAAGCGGCCCGCUCUGCAGCCAUCCUGUCCCUCUCUGCCGCCAGAUCCGCUUUGGCCUGCACGAUCUGUUCUUUCACCUUUGCAAUCUCUGCGUCAUGAGCCUCCUGAUCCACCGGUUUGGCUUCCGCCACAAGCGCGGCCAGUGCGUCAAACAGGUCGGAUAGGACUUGAACCGGCGGGCGCAUAAGGCCUCCAACCCCUGCUGCCGCUGCCGCUGCUGACCCGGAGAGCAUUGCUGCGGUGGUCGAAAAAAGAUUCGCCGCCUGGGUGCCGGCCAUGAAUAUUGCAACCCGGUUGACCUGGCCUGGGGGGUCCGGAAUACUGUCGCCAUCGGAACAUCCCCUAACAUGGUCGUCCUGCAACUGGUAUAGCGAUUCGGUGUCUCCGGUCGAGGACUCAUCGCCGGAAUAAACGAUGGUCUCACCACCGUGUUCUGAUUUGUCCUCACGCUCUCCUCCGCGGAUGACCCCAACGAAGGCAUGCUUCACGGCCGGUUUAACCUGGGUAGGUCUCGCACGCUGAGCCGUCUCGACAAGGUCGGUGCAGAUGUCCGGCUCAGGCCCAGGCUCCCCAAUCUUGCCAAUGAAAACGUGUAUGCCGCCGAAGGGGACCCGGUACCCGUACUCGAUUGAAUCGGCCUCGGGACCCCAUCCCGCGUCGUCGAUGUAGAUCCUGCCGCGACGACUCUUCGUCAUCCGGCCCACAACAUAGCCUUCGAGUCCCUUGAGCUUGCCCUCCAAGAUCGUCAAACCAUCAUGCGAUAGCCCCACGGUGGGCGCCAACUGUCGUGGAUUUGUCACGGCAGAUGUCCUAGAGAAAGGACUUAGUCGCGGAGCCAUCGCUACGGGUUUACUUGAAGGGGUUAAAGCGGACACAAAGACACGAGGGUUUAUACUAGUUCGGCCCCUUCGAUGAAGGUAAAGCCUACGUCUAGUUGUGAUGGAAUUGAUGUGGUCUCGAUGGCUAGGGAGCAAACAAGCUUCGCCUAGGCUCGAGUUGUUGUUGUCUGCCCUGAACCGCCGUCGGGUCGUCCCCUUAUAUACACGGGUGACGCCCGUCGGUCCAUAGAGUCCCUAACCGGUUCAUACUCGUAUUCCGGUUGGUAUCUCUCUAUUCCUAACUUACAAUACAAGUCAUACACAGGCCGGUUUACAGCUACAUGCUCUAACCGACUACAGGCCUUGGGCCUUCAUCUGUUUAUAUCACUAAUAAAGUUAACCCGGCCCAAGUAGGCCGGUUUACGCCUGGUGGUAAUAUCCCCAACAUACUGGAUUGAUACGUUGGUUCUCAAAAACUGAGGGAAAUACUUACGCUACUAUUGCUGCAUCACCCUUUCCUCUUUAAGGAAAACCAACGCAAGCUCAAGAAGUAGCAAGAAGGAUUUCUGGUGCCGUUCUCGCGGAGGUCUUCGCUCAAGUCAAGACAUACCAAGUACCCAUCACAAACCCAUCUCCCUCGCAUUUACAUUAUUUUCCAUUUGCCUCUCGUUUUGCUCUCCCCCACUUCACCCUUGCCGUUUUAUUCGCCCUCUCUUUCCCAAUCUCCUCCUCCUUUUCCGCUUGCCCUUUUUCUGUUUGCUUGUGUGCAUGUUUGUCCUUAUGGCUUUUCCUAAGGGUUCCGACCACCUUCUUAGAAGGUUGGAAGAGAUUGAAUCAAAUAUAGAAGCUUUAUGAAUUUGCAAUUUGAGCAUAAUAAUUUCUUCAGAAAAGAGCUUAAGGAACAAAAAGGUUUUUUGGGGUUUAUGAACAAAGAGCUUGAUGAUAUGAAUAAAGAAUUUUAUGGUGUGAACUCUCACAUUGCCCGGCUUGAAGAUGCUAUAGCCAAAAUUUCUGAUAAGCAAGCCACCUUAGUCAAUAAGAUGGCCGCCAAACCAGAAAAGUUAGACGAAAAUAAUGAUGAAGAUCUUAAAGUUAUUGAUGCGUCUCCUAUUUGAUCUAUGUUUUGCAAUAUGAAUUUUGAUAAUUAUGGGACUGAUGAUAAACCAACUUUGCCUAGAAGGCGUCCCAAGAAUUCGGAAUUUUUAGAUCUUGAUGCUAAAUUUGGUAAAAGCAAGAUUGGAGAGGUUAUGACUUUAAAUAGUAUUGAACCCACUAUCUCGGAUUUCAAGGAAUUUGAUUCUGAUAAUUGUUCUUUAGAAGGUUGUAUUUCCUUGUUGCAAUCCAUUGUUAAUUCUCCCCAUGCUUAUAGUCAAAACAAAGCUUUUACUAAACAUAUUGUUGAUGCCUUGAUGCAAUCUUAUGAUGAAAAACUUGAUUUGGAAGUUUCCAUACCUAGAAAACUUAAUGAUGAGUGGGAACCUACUAUAAAGAUUAGAAUUAAAGAUCAUGAGUGUUUUGCUUUGUGUGAUUUGGGUGCUAGUGUUUCCACGAUUCCGAAAACUUUAUGUGAUAUUCUAGGUUUCCAUGAUCUUGAUGAUUGCUCUUUAAAUUUGCACCUUGCGGAUUCCACCAUUAAAAAGCCAAUGGGAAGGAUCAAUGAUGUUAUCAUUGUUGCUAAUAGAAAUUUGGUGCCCGUAGAUUUUAUCGUUCUUGAUAUAGAUUGCAAUCUUUCUUGCCCUAUUAUUCUUGGUAGACCUUUCCUUAGAAUGAUUGGCGCGAUUAUUGAUAUGAAGGAAGGGAAUAUUAGAUUCCAAUUUCCAUUAAAGAAAGGCAUGGAGCACUUUCCAAGAAAGAAAGUCAAAUUACCUUAUGAAUCUAUCAUGCGGGCUACUUAUGAAUUUAAUGCCAAAGAUGGCACCCGUUAGAUCUAUCUUCACUUUUAUGCCUAGCUAGGGGCGUUAAACGAUAGCGCUAGUUGGGAGGCAACCCAAUUUCCUUUGUCUUUUUUGUUUUUGUUCCUGUUCAGUAAGAAAUCUUGCAUCUACCUUCUGUUUAGAUGUGUUUUUAUCUUUUAAUUACUGUUUGUGCCAGGUAGAACCUAUAGGAUAACCUAUGAUGAUAGUUGAUUUGAUUCUGCUGAAAAACAGAAACUUUGCGCGCACGAAAAUAAUUUUGUUAAAUCACAGAGGCGUUCUUUUGCGUUGAUUCUUUUUUCUGCUGAUCAAUAAAGAGAUUGUCCAGGACUUCCUAUUUUGGUAGGAGUUUUGGAGUUCCAGAAGGUUGCGUUAGCUCCAGAUUGCUACAGACUGUUCUGUUUUUGACAGAUUCUGUUUUUCGUGUGUUGUUUGCUCAUCUAUGGCUAUUGGCUAGUAAAAUAGUUUAUAAACCAUAGAGAAGUUGGAUUACAGUAGGUUUAACACCAAAAAAAAUAAAAAAUGAGUUCAUUACAGUACUUAUGUGGUGGUUUGUUUUCUUUCACUAACGGAGCUUAUAAGAUUUCCUGUUGAGUUUUGUGUUGUGAAGUUUUCAAGUUUUGGGUAAAGCUUUUAUGGACUAUGGAAUAAAGGGUGGCAAGAGCCUAAGUUUGGGGAUGCCCAAGGCACCCCAAUACAUUCAAGAAUAGCCAAAAGCCUAAGCUUGGGGAUGCCCCGGGAAGGCAUCCCCUCUUUCGUCUUCGUUCAUUGGUAACUUUACUUGGAGCUAUAUUUUUAUUCGCCACAUGAUAUGUGUUUUGCUUGGAGCGUCGUGUAUUAUAUUAGUCUUUGCUUGUUAGUUUACCACAAUCAUCCUUGCUGUACACACCUUUUUGGAGAAGCCUAUUUGAUUAGAAUUUGCUAGAAUACUCUAUGUGCUUCACUUAUAUCUUUUGAGCUUGAUAGUUUUUGCUCUAGUGCUUCACUUAUAUUCUUUAGAGCACGGUGGUGACUUAAUUUUAAAGAAAUUGCUAGUCUCUCAUGCUUCACUUAUAUUAUUUUGAGUCUUUUAGAACAGCAUGGUAUUUGCUAUGGUUACAAAUUUGGUCCUAGAAUGAUGAGCAUCCAAGUUGGGUAUAAUAAAAACUAUCAUAGAAAAGAAUUGGAUGCUAUGAUCAAUAUGAUGCUUGAUAAUUGUUUUGAGAUAUGGAGGUAGUGAUAUUAAAGUCAUGCUAGUUGAGCUGAUUAUGAAAAAUACUUGUGUUAAGGGUUGUGAUUCCCGUAGCAUGCACGUAUGGUGAACCGCUUUGUGAUGAAGCUGGAGCACAAUUUUAUUUAUUGAUUGUCUUCCUUAUGAGUGGCGGUCGGGGACGAGCGGUGGUCUUUUCCUACCAAUCUAUCCCCCUAGGAGCAUGCGCGUAGUGCUUUGGUUUUUGAUGACUUCUAGAUUUUUGCAACAAGUACAUGAGUUCUUUUGACUAAUGUUGAGUCCAUAGAUUAUACGCACCCUUUCACCCUUCCAUCAUUGCUAGCUUCUCUUGUGCCGCGCAACUUUCACCGGUGCCAUACACCCAACAUUACCUUCCUCAAAACAGCCACCAUACCUACCUAUUAUGGCAUUUCCAUAGCCAUUCCGAGAUAUAUUGCCAUGCAACUUUCCACCGUUCUGUUCAUAUGACACACAUUACUUUUGUCAUAUUGCUCCUUGCAUGAUCAUGUGGUUGACAUUGUAUUUGUGGCAAGGCCACCUUCAUAAUUUUCAUGCAUGUCACUCUUGAUUCAUUGCAUAUCCCGGUACACCGCUGGAGGCAUUCAUAUAGAGUCAUAUCUUGUUCUAGCUUUGAGUUGUAAUUCUUGAGUUGUAAAUCCAUAAAAGUGUGAUGAUCUUCAUUAUUAGAGCAUUGUCCUAGUGAGGAAAGGAUGAUGAAGACUAUGAUUCCCCCACAAGUCGGGAUGAGACUUCGGACUUUACAAAAAAAAGAGAGAAAAAAAGGAAAGAAAAAAAAGAAAGGCCAAAAAGAAAAAGAAAGAAAGAAAAAAGAAGAAAAAAUAAAAUGAUAGAAAAUAAGAGAAUGGACAAUGCUACUAUCUCUUUUUCCACACUUGUGCUUUAAAAAUAGCACCAUGAUCUUCAUGAUAAAGAGUCUCAUAUGUUGUCACUUUCAUAUAAUAGUGGGAAUUUUUCAUUAUAGAACUUGGCUUGUAUAUUCCAAUGAUGGGCUUCCUUAAAGUGCCCUAGGUCUUCGUGAGCAAGCAAGUUGGAUGCACACCCACUAAGUUUAUUUUGUUGAGCUUUCAUAUAUUUGUAGCUCUAGUGCAUCCGUUGCAUGGCAAUCCCUACCCAGUCACAUUGAUAUCUAUUAAUGGGCAUCUCCAUAGCCCGUUGAUACGCCUAGUUGAUGUGAGACUAUCUUGUCCUUUUUUGUCUUCUCCACAACCACCAUUCUAUCCCACAUAUAGUGUUAUGUCCAUGGCUCACGCUCAUGUAUUGCGUGAAAGUUGAAAGAGUUUGAGAUUAAUAAAGUAUGAAAAAAUUGCUUGGCUUGUCAUCGGGGUUGUGCAUGAUUAAAUACUUUGUGUGAUGAAGAUAGAGCAACAGUCAGACUAUAUGAUUUUGUAGGGAUAACUUUCUUUAGCCAUAGUAUUUUGAGAAGACAUGAUUACUUUGAUUAGUAUACUUGAAGUAUCACCAUUUUCAUGUUAAUAUGAACUUUUAUUUUGUAUCAUUCGGAUCUGAACAUUUAUGCCACAAUAAAGAAAAUUACAUUGAGAAUUAUGCUAGGUAGCAUUCCACAUCAAAAAUUUCUUUUUUUAUCAUUUACCUACUCGAGGACGAGCAGGAAUUAAGCUUGGGGAUGCUUGAUACGUCUCCAACGUAUCUAUAAUUUUUUAUUGUUCCAUGGUAUUAUAUUACCCCUUUGGGAUGUUUAUGGGCUUUAUUUUACACAUUUAUAUCAUUUUUGGGACUAACCUACUAACCGGAGGCCCAGCCCGUAUUGCUGUUUUUUUGCCUAUUUCAGUAUUUCGAAGAAAAGGAAUAUCAAAUGGAGUCCAAACAGAAUGAAACCUUUGGGAGCGUGAUUUUUGGAACAAACGUGAUCCAAAGGACUUGGAGUGCAAGUCAAGAAGAAACCGAGGCCUCCACGAGAUAGGAGGGCGCCCCCCUGUAGGGCGCGCCCCCUGUCUCGUGGGCCCCUCGAGCGUCCACUGACGUACUUCUUCCUCCUAUAUAAGCCUAUGUACCCCGAAAACAUCCAGGGAGCCAGCGAAACACAAUUUCCACCACCAAAACCUUCUGUAUCCGUGUGAUCCCAUCUUGGAAUCUUAGCCGGCGCUCUGCCGGAGGGGAAUCAACCACGGAGGGCUUCUAAAUCAACAUCCUUGCCCCUCCGAUGAGUUGUGAGUAGUUUGCCACAGACCUACGGGUCCAUAAUUAUUAGCUAGAUAGCUUCUUCUCUCUUUUUGGAUCUCAAUACAAUGUUCUCCCCCUCUCUUGUGGAGAUCUAUUCGAUGUAAACUAUUUUUGCGGUGUGUUUGUCGAGAUCCGAUGAAUUGUGGGUUUAUGAUUGAUAACCCACAAGUAUAGGGGAUCAAUUGUAGCCUCUUUAGAUAAGUAAGAGUGUCGAACCCAACAACAAGCUAAAGGUAGAACAAAUAUUCCCUCAAGUUCUAUCGACCACCGAUACAACUCUAUGCACGCUUGACGUUCGCUUUACCUAGAACAAGUAUGAAACUAGAAGUACUUUGUAGGUGUUUCUGGAUAGGCUUGCAAGAAAGUAAAGAGCGGUAAAAUAAAAGCUAGGGGCUGUUUAGAUGAAGACACAACUAAAUUAGUUUUAGUAAAGAGCUUGUUGUCACGAGAAAGUUAUUUGUCCCUAGGCAAUCGAUAACUAGAGCGGUAAUCAUUAUUGCAAUUUUAUUUGAGGGAGAGGCAUAAUGAGGGAGUCCUGGAUUAGGGGGUGUCCGGAUGGCUGGACUAUCACCGUUGGCUGGACUCCUAGACUAUGAAGAUACAAGAUUGAAGACUCCGUCCGGUGUCCGGAUGGGACUUUCCUUGGCGUGGAAGGCAAGCUUGGCAAUACGGAUAUGUAGAUCUCCUACCAUUGUAACUGACUCUGUGUAACCCUAGCCCUCUCCGGUAUCUAUAUAAACCGGAGGAUUUUAGUCCGUAGUACGAACAACAAUCAUACUAUAGGCUAGCUUCUAGGGUUUAGCCUCUUUGAUCUCGUGGUAGAUCUACUCUUUUACUACCCAUAUCAUCAAUAUUAAUCAAGCAGGAGUAGGGUUUUACCUCCAUCGAGAGGGCCCGAACCUAGGUAGAAACAUCGUGUCCCUUGUCUCCUGUUACCAUCCGCCUAGACGCACAGUUCGGGACCCCCUACCCGAGAUCCGCCGGUUUUGACACCGACAUUGGUGCUUUCAUUGAGAGUUCCUCUGUGUCGUCACCUUUAGGCCCGAUGGCUCCUUCGAUCAUCAACAACGACGCGGUCCAGGGUGAGACCUUUCUCCCCAGACAGAUCUUCGUAUUCGGCGGCUUUGCACUACGGUCCAAUUUGCUAGGCCAUCUGGAGCAGAUCGAAAGCUACGCCCCUGGCCAUCAGGUCAGAUUCGGGAGUUUGAAUUACACGGCCAACAUCCGCGGAGACUUGAUCUUCGACGGAUUCGAGCCACAGCCAAGUGCGCCGCACUGUCUCAACAGGCACGAUCUAGCUCUGCCGCCGAACAGUACCCUGGAGGCUGCACCAGAGCCCGCUCCGACCCUUAGCUCGGAGCCGACUUCGCCGAUCGAGGAUGGGUGGCUGGACACCGCCUCGGGGGCUACGAUCUCUACGGCGAUCGAGUCGAACACCAUCCCUGUCCUUUGCGAAGAUCGUGACUCCAAGGUGCCGGACUCCUCUCCGGACUCCGAACCUUCCGCGCCCCUGCCAAUCGAAUCCGGUUGGGCGCCUGUUAUGGAGUUCACUGCCGCAGACAUCUUUCAGCACUCGCCCUUCGGCGACAUCCUGAACUCGCUAAAGUCUCUCUCUUUAUCAGGAGAGCCCUGGCCGAACUAUGGUCAGGAGGUUGGGACAAGGACGACGAAGAAAUUGAACGCGCACCCACCACCCACUUUGUAGCCAUUGUCGAUGAUUUAACCGACAUGCUCGACUUUGACUCCGAAGACAUCGACGGUAUGGACAACAAUGCUGGAGACGACCAAGAACCAGUGCCUACAGGGCACUAGAAGGCCACCUCAACUCAUGACGUAUAUGUAGUGGAUACACCUAAACAAAGCGAUAACGAGGAACAACGGGACGCUGCGAAGGAUAAUUCCCUCAAAAAGCAGUCAAAACGGCGACGUAAGCGCCGCUCAAAGUCCCGCCUCGACAAAGACAGCACCCAUACAGACCCAGCCAUAGAGCAGGGUGAACCGGCAGACGACGAACAUGCCAUCGAGCAACCAUACAGGAUAACUUGGAUAAACAAUCCGUCCCCGGCGAAGAUAACAGUCCGGACGAUCUCACGCCGGACACAUCGUUGGAGCAGAAGAACCUCCACAAAAGGCUCGUCGCCACUGCAUGUAGCUGAAAAAGCAGAAGCGGAAGCUCAAAACAGCGGAAGACGCACUCAGAAUGAGAUGGAGCAAAGUACUCAACUCCGCAGACAAAUACGGCGAUAGUCGCCAAACAAAGAGCUACCAGAAGCGCAAACUACUGCCCGAAUUUGACUAGGAGGCCGUAAAGCCCCCACAAUCAAAGAACAAAGAGGCCGCCCAGUCGGAUAGACGACCACAUGGCAAACAUAGAGCGGCAAGCGGCGCCGCACACAAGCCGGCACGCGAUCCGCAUAAGGAUCCGCACCAAAAGGAUGGCCCAGUCAGGUCUAUCUAUGGGCCAAGAAAGCAAGCUCUAGAAAGCAAUGCAACACGUCAAGUAUUCAAACACCACAGCACACCCAAAUACAGGGGUGCCGCACACCCACUAUGUUUCACCGAUGAGGUACUGGAUCAUGAAUUUUCAGUGGGAUUCAAGCCCGUAAACAUAGAGGCAUACGACGGAACAACAGACCCUGGAGUCUGGAUUGAGGAUUAUAUCCUGCACAUACACAUGGCUAGAGGAGAUGACCUCCACGCCAUAAAAUACUUACCCCUCAAGCUCAAAGGGCCAGCUCGGCAUUGGCUCAAAAGCCUCCCGGAAAAUACCAUUGGAAGUUGGGAAGAGCUCGAGGAUGCGUUUCGGGCAAAUUUUCAGGGGACUUAUGUCUGCCAUCCAGAUGCAGACGAUUUAAGUCACAUAACUCAACAGCCCGGAGAGUCAGCCCGCAAAUUCUAGAAUAGGUUCCUCACCAAAAAGAACCAAAUAGUCGACUGUCCGGAUGCCGAAGCCUUAGCAGCUUUCAAACACAACGUCCGAGAUGAAUGGCUCGCCAGACACCUUGUCCAAGAAAAGCCGAGAACAAUGGCCGCAUUAACACGCCUCAUGACCCGCUUUUGCGCAGGAGAGGAUAGCUGGCUGGCAAGAUGCAGCACCAGCGACCCAAGUACAUCCGAGGUCAGGGAUGGAAAUGGGAAACCACGACGCAACAAGGACCAGCGCCGGACCAAGGGAAAUAGUCCGAAGAGCACGACAGUCAACGCCGGAUUCAAAAGCUCUCGGCAGAACAAUAAAAAACUGCCUCUUAAGGACAACAGCGACGAGCUAUCCAAAUUAAACAAAAUCUUGGACAAGAUAUGCCAAAUCCACAGUACUCCCGGGAAGCCUGCAAACCAUACCCACAGAGAUUGUUGGGUCUUUAAGCAGUCCGGCCGACUUAACGCCGAACACAAGGGGCUCGACACACCAUGUGAGGACGACGACGAACCCCACAAGCAGAGCACCGGAAAACAAAAGAAUUUCCCGCAAGCGGUCAAAACAGUAAACUCACUUCAAGUGACAAAAGGGAAAAACAGAACAGCGCCGGCUGAAAUACACGCCGCACGGUCUACCCCAGCGGAGUCCCAACACUGGUUGUCAAAACCAAUCACCUUCGACCAUCAGGACUACUCCGGAAGUAUCCGGAACACAGGAUGUACUGCCUUGAUAUUAGAUCCUAUAAUCAACGGACUCCAAUUUACACAAGUCCUAAUGGACGGCGGCAGUGAUCUAAACCUGCUAUAUCAGGACACAAUCCGUAGAAUGGGGAUAGACCCAACCAAAAUUCGCCAUAGCAACACUUCCUUUAAAGGAGUGAUGCAGGCCCAUAUGCCCAUUGCACGGGCUCUCUACCACUAGAAGUUGUGUUCGGCUCAUCCGACAACUUCCGUCGCGAAAAGUUAGUCUUCCACAUCGCCCCAUUUAAAAAUAGCUAUCAAGCACUAUUGGGAAGCGAAGCUUUCGCCUGCUUUAACGCAAUACCGCAUUACGCAUCUCUUACACUCAAAAUGCCCGGUCCACGCGGCAUCAUCUAAUUAAAAGGGAAACUUCGAGUGUUCCUCGAAUACGGAAGAACGUGAGACUGCCUUGACAGCCACACACUAAUCCGGCUUUGCUGAUCAAAGCACCUAAACAGGUCAUUCAGACCCCGGACACGGUUAGGCGAGUCUGGCAUAAAUAAACAAGGGGCUUACUAGCCGCGUACCCCCUUACAAGGGGCUCCACGCAUGUACAACAAGAGAAAAUAAAGCUCAAUUUUAUUCAUUUAUUGAAUCAUACUCUGUUUAUUUUAAAAUACAUUUUCCGCACGAUCUUUUUUUCCCAACUAAGUUCUUCUCUUUUAGAGAUGAACACCGUGCUACACCCGUCCAGGAUAUGGCACAACAGAGACACAGGCGCAGACGUGCAAUAGGGACCCGUUGCAAUGAUUCUUUUCAGACUAAGACCCUGCGUAAACCUUUUUUACUGUCUCUUGUUGAUACACAUUGUUCGCACACGAACACAUCACCGUGUAUCUCCAACGCCGAGGGUGAUGCACCGCAGCUCACGUUGAAGGAGACCCGGCCGGAAGCGCGGUAUGCAGGCAAUCCGGCGGGUGCUUUUGAGGACCCGAAACCCCACACGCCCGGGACGGACCCCGUCUGGGCGUGCAGCGGCUAUGGGCUGUCCUAGGUCGACCUGACCGCCCCUAGGGCCUCGAGGUUCGCCGCCCUGCAACAAGAAGAACAGACGAAGAACAAGGAAGAAAAAGAACUAGGGUUAACGAGAAAAGAUAAAAGAUAAAAAGUGGUAGAUGAAUUGAUCGAUUGUGUGUUGUUCAAUCGGCCGUCACCCCUUAGGUAUAUAAGAGGCGGCUGGACUUCCCGUGCAAGGAAAAGGCUUGGAUUCACGUCCAAAACCCUAGUCAAAUUCGGAUUGGUUUUGUCCGAACUUUCCAAAACUGUUCAGUUUAAACUGGCUGCACCUUGCGGGUCUUUUUUGUGGUGGUAAACGAUCUCGGAUGGAAACAAGCCCAAAAGCAAUCUUGACCGUUUCGACGAGACGAACAACUUUUAUGUUGAACGUUUUUUUAUAAGAGAUCAUCUUGCGGGUCAAAGUGGUCGCGCAAAAUAGGCUAUCCCUCGCGCUACCCAUCAGACAGUGUGUCUGGUGGGGCGCGCCAGUUUUUGCCUCCUGACAGGGCUGUAUUCCAAUGGCUCUAAUUUUUGCAUCCGAACUCGGAUUGGAACGAUUUUUAUAUCAAAAUCGAUCGUUUCGACGAGACGAAGACAAUACCUGUAGAUAAUUUUUCCAUUUGAGGUCGUCGUGGGGGCUUAAUCAUCCAAACUGUACUCUGAAUAUAAGAUCUUAGUACUUUGAGCAUAGUUUCGGCCUUCGAGAUGAAAUCGGACUGUGAUGACCCAAACUUCAAAGAUGUUCAUAUCCACAAUACGGAACUCUUUCAUAAAGAUCACUUCUCCAUUUGAGGCCAUCUUAAAUAAGUUAUUGACCGUGCCAAAAUCUGGUGUCAACACAUGCCCCCCUGUUUUUCGGCAAAGUUUGUGUGCCAAAAAAUAACUUCCGCAUAGCUUGUUCUAAGGACGAUGUCAACACUCCAUCGACCAUUUUGCAUGUUCUUAGGAAGACAAGUAUAUAUCGGCCAUUGCUUGUUUGAACCUCUUGAUGCAAACUUGGGUGAAAACUUCUCAACUUCUAUAACAAUCCGGUGAUAAGGUUCCAUAGAUCUAAACCAUCCUCCGAACCAUAUUGUUCACCCUUUCGCUAGGAUUUUGCAGAUAAUCAAGAAUGAACUUCCUUCAAUCCUUACUUCGCCUGCAUAAAAGUUUCAUUAGUGGCCGAAGCGGUAGGCUUCGAUUCAGCCUUACCUAUGUUGACAAGACCUAGCAUCGGCUGUUGAUAGAAAUGCAAUACACGAUGGUUAACAUAGUAGCCGGACGCAAACCUUCGGCUUAACUGUUUUUGGCUUCCAUCCUUCUCUUUCUUCACUUUUGUAACACUUGUUGCAAUAGAAGGUUGCACAUCACUUUCAUUUUGACUGCUCCUCUUCAGAACCCAUGCCAUGUUCUUCUUUUUCAGCUCUUGUGCACUAAGUUUUUGUAAUUCCUUCUUUCGCCAAUACGAUAAACCGAGUGGGCAUCUCGGCUGUGAUUUUGUUUCAACAAAUGGCAACUCUUUUUGGGCCUUGUGCACCCUCAACUUCUUUUCUUCAGAUUUGGCACUCUGAUUUUUAUCAAUUGAUUGUUUUGUCUCAUUGCCUUUAGUAGCCAAUGUCAACACUUUAAUUGGCUCUUUUUCAUUUGUGAUCAAAUCUGAAAUUGCACUCUUACGAACAUCUCUUUUAAUGCGGUAAACCUGCUUGACCACCUCUUUCUUCUUCCUUGAGCUCUGGACCGAUUCCUUAUGAUUGAAACGGUCUUUGACGCGUGAUUGUUCAAAAGUUGAUCUUCUUUGAGCUGCAUAGUAUUGGUGAGAUGGUCUAGGAUAAGAUGUAGAAUGUGCCCUUGUAUCAUACCUGUCCCGUGAUGUAUAUGUAUCUAUAUGAGCAUAGGGAGGUAUCCACGGCAUUGACAUUGACGGCCCAAAAUAAGGAUAUGAAUAUGUUGCAUUAAAAUUAUCACUUUGCCAAUACCAAUCCUCAUAUUUGCACCUUGGGGGUGAUCUUGGUUUCUUUGCAUGAUUUGGCCGAUAAGCAUUCUUCUCUUCACUCUUCUUUUGAUAUUUUUCCAAUAGUUGUGCGAAAGUGACUUUCGGCUUUUUACCUUUGUGCUUACGUUGUUUUCUUUGAUUGUGCUUGCACCGAUCUUUGGAUUUGCUUGCUGCCCCCCAGUACUUGGUAUCUCCAUUGUAGCUUUGAUGGAAUUGUCACCCUCAAGAUUACGUUCAUUAUGCUCUUCAACAACUUCUUUACUUGAAAGCUUGAUCCCAUCACCUGUAGUUUUUACCUUCUCUUUAAAUGUAUCGGCUUGAAGCAGCUGUUGCAAAAACUUUUUGCCAUCAGGACCAAUCGGAAUAGACUGGUCAUCUCUUGUUGUUUCAACAAACUUCAAUCGUCCUUUUUCAAUGGCCGAUUUAACUAUUUGACGGAACAUGUUGCAAUCCUCAAAAUUAUGCUUGAACGAAUCAUGCAACUUACAAUACAUUCGUCCUUGGAUAGAUGACUCAACAUGGUGACCAAGAAUUCUUAUGUAAUUAUUUUUCAGCAAUAAAUCAAAUAUUUGGUCACACAUGCUUGAAUUGAAGGUAAACUUCUUAUUUUCUAGCCGAUCCUGCUGUGUGAACGGCUUUGGAGAUAAGCAAACGAAUGGUUCAGAUUUGGAAUCUCCCCAUUCGGCUAUACAUUGUGUUUUCCACUCUAUCUCUGGUGUCUUUGGAUAAGAUAUUAUAUUAGCAUCGGAUUUCUCAAAAGAAAUUAACCUUGGCUUUAAACUUCUGAAACGAAAAUAUUAAAGAACACACAUGUCUCAAUUGAGACGAAGUGCAAGCCAAGUACGAAAUAAGCAAAGCUACCCAACUAGAUACGAACUUUAGAUAAAGCAACGGGAAAAGCUUUGGCUGUAACAAUAAGUCAUUAUCGGUCUUUAUAAAUGGCGCAAUGUGUUGACCGAUAUGUUCCAUAACAAGUUUAUUGCUAACAAGUAAAUUACCCUUCUUCAUUGGUCUUUCAAAAUUAUUUAUGAGAAUAUUUCUUAUAGAUGCAUCAAUAAUGAAGUUGCGACCAAAUCUGAAAAUAGGCAACUUACUCUCUAUGCAUACCUCUUCAAAUAUGUUGGGAGAGCAUGAUGGUGGUGCCACUUGAAGAACAUCUUGCUCCGUCUUCGGAUGGCUCCACAACACCUUGUCAUCAUCUUUUUCUUGAUUCCAUGCAUCAUUGCUUUGAAGAUCCAUGUCAGUCGAACUUUGUUCGGCUACUUGUUCUUGUCCUUGAGGCUUGUCAAUUUCUAUGGCACGAAACUCAUAGGGCAGGAAGUAGGUUCCAUUGACUUUGGAAAAAUCAAGUAUGGUUGUUUUGCUAUGCUUUCCAUGCCCUUUCUCAAUAAUGCUUGCCUCUUUGGAUUUGAUGGUCUCAGAAUAUAUACUACUUGAUUCGGCUUUUCUAAUAACCGAAUUUUCUUUGUUACCUGAAUCAACAACUUUAUCUUUUUGAAUUUGCAAGGCUUCUCGCUCUCGUCUAAUUUUAGCCCACAUCUCAGCUUGGCGAGCUUUAAACUUUUUCAUCUCAAUUUCCAUCCACUCGUCAUGAGAUUGCCCCCUAAUACUUUGAGACUCUUUCGGCAAUGAGGUGCCGAAACAUUGCGAUUUUUUAGGUGGUACACUGGAUGGUACAGCACUGGGCGACUGCAUCAUUUGCACAAUUCUAGCUUUUAUAGCAGCAAAAUCAUGAGGCUUCCCGCCUUCUAUUAGUUCCUGGCGAAUAGAGUUGCACAAAUCCCAAGAGAAUAUAAGCUUGUUCUCAAUUACCCAGUCUGGAUAUGGUUGCCCCCCAAUGCUUUUAGACUCUUUCGGCAAUGAGAUGUUGCCGAAAUUCUGUAAUUGUGUAGGGGGGACAUGAUAUGCCACGGUAGUUGGUGAAGGAAUUUGUGCUCCUGCAGAAGUUUCACUUAUUCGGCCAUGGCCAUGAAGGUGCUGAGCCAAAUUAUGGACAUCAACAGUUGCGUAUGGUGCCAACAAAUUAGUAGCGUUAGCUGUAGCAUAUGAUGUUUGAGUGUAAUUGGCCAAAUAACUAGUAGUAACAUGCCAAUUCCCCUCUCCACCGGCACCUUUGGAUUAGCGUACUGCAAGUUAUUUGCCGAUGAAUAAAAACUUGAAACACUUUGUUGCAUACCAUUGGAAGUUCCUACAUAGGGUGUCUCAACUUGAUUAACCGAACUCAUCAUGUUAUUCAUCAGCAUAUAAAUUUGUGGGGUUGCCGAUGCAUGGGAGUUGGGAUACAUAUGUUGCAUGUUGCUAAAAUUAUAUGAAGUAGAAUCAUGGAGAUUUUGUUGCAUCAGCCCUUGCACAUAAUUAGAUGCAUGAUUGAUAAAGCUAGGGCUAGCCGAUACAUUAUGCUCAUUAGAUGAUCUAGCAACAACAUAUGCACUAUUUGCAUCAUAUGUGAAUUGGGUAUUCAUAUUACCUUUGUAGAUUGCAAACCCUACAUGACGAUCUCUUCGUAGCAAGAACGGGCCGGAGACCGUUCAAAGAUUCGUCCCCAGUGGAGUCGCCAAAAAGUGUGUUCGCACACGAACACGUCACCGUGUACCUCCAACGCCGAGGGUGAUGCACAGCAGCUCACGUUGAAGGAGACCCGGCCGGAAGCGCGGUACGCAGGCAAUCCGGCGGGUGCUUUUGAGGACCCGAAACCCCACACGCCCGGGAGGGACCCGUCUGGGCGCGCGGCGGCUAUGGGCUGCCCUAGGUCGACCUGACCGCCCCUAGGGCCUCGAGGUUCGCCGCCAUGCAACAAGAAGAACAGACGAAGAACGAGGAAGAAAAAGAACUAGGGUUAAGGAGAAAAGAUAAAAGAUAAAAAGUGGUAGAUGAAUUGAUCGAUUGUGUGUUGUUCAAUAUGCCGUCACCCCUUAGGUAUAUAAGAGGCGGCUGGACUUCCCGUGCAAGGAAAAGGCUAGGAUUAACGUCCAAAACCCUAGUCAAAUUCGGAUUGGUUUUGUCCGAACUUUCCAAAACUGUUCGGUUUAAACUGGCUGCACCUUGCGGGUCUUUUUUGUGGUGGUAAAUGAUCUCGGAUGGAAACGAGCCCAAAAGGAAUCUUGACCGUUUCGACGAGACGAAAAACUUUUAUGUUGAACGUUUUUUGAUCAGAGAUCAUCUUGAGGUUCAAAUCGGUCGCAUAAAACAGGCUAUCCCUCGCGCUACCCAUCAGACAGGGUGUCUGGUGGGGCGCGCCAGUUUUUGCCUCCUGACAGGGCUGUAUUCCGAUGGCUUUAACUUUUGCAUACGAACUCAGAUUGUAACGUUUUUUGUAUCAAAAUCGAUCAUUUCGACGAGACGAAGACAAUCCGUGUAGAUAAUUUUUCCAUUUGAUGUCGUCUUGGGGUCUUAAUCAGCCAAACUGUACUCUGAAUAUAAGAUCUUAGUACUUUGAGCAUAGUUUCGGCCUUCGAGAUGAAAUCGGACUGCAAUGACCCAAACUUCAAAGAUGUUCAUAUCGACAAUACAGAACUCUUUCAUGAAGAUCACUUCUCCAUUUGAGGCCAUCUUACAUAAGUUAUUGACCGUGCCAAAAUCUGGUGUCAACACACAUCCCCCGGUUUCUUGCUAUAACCGAGGAGGAGGCUGGCGUUUUGGCAUCGGCCGCGUCAGCAAUUUUUGCGCGUACCUGGACACUAGGGGCUUAGGGCAUUGUUCUGCCCGUUUUCAUAAAGAACGAAUACCUUAGGGAGUGUUCGGCGUCUUGAGUUAGGCCUUAUAUGCAUCAGCUCUGAAUCAUGUCUUUGGUCAAAUGUUGGGUUUGCCCGGCUCCUGUGUUUUGCUGCCUUACGUUCCGCUCUAUCGGCUAACGCUGCACUAGGAGAACUACUGCGAUUGUGCCCCGGUUCGGCCUAGUGAGCACCUCAGUAGAGAAAGCCGAAAACUGACUGUCAUGAUAUAGCGUGAGACUGGUCAACCACUCGAUGACCCACCGGAAUGUUCAGAAAUCCUCCGCAUUAACGAAGGACCGUUUCCCGGUCAGGCACAUACGCGCCCCGAAUUCGGAGAGCGUGGUGACCCUAGGGGCUAUAUAGUAGCCCCACCAUCGAACCCCUAUGGCUAAGUGAAAGUGAUAAAGCAUUAUACUCCGGUUGCCUAGUUUGCUACGCUAUCACCUCCUUCACAGGACCAAGACAUUGGAUUAAGUGUGAAAAUGCGCUUUUUUUGCAAACACCCCCGCACUAUGUGCGUGGGGGCUGAAGCCGAAGACUGCCAUCUUUCAGGUUAUAUACACAUAUACAUUAACGGCCGCAGAUGAGGUAGCUCAAUACUUGAACGCGCAAGUAUAGAAAGCCCUUAUAUUAUAUUGAAACAUCAUUUCACAAAUCAUACAUGUCAUUAGAACAUAAUAUCCUUCGAGCACUGCGUCUCUAUUAAACGAGCGCCCUGCAGGACUUCCUCAAAAUAGUGCUCGGCAGGUACUCGGCUUCUGUCCGAAUCCUGGAAUGCAACGUCGGUGGCCUUCAUCUCUGCCCAGUAUGUUUUGACACGGGCAAGAGCCAUCCGCGCACCCUCUAUGCAUGCCGACCGCCUCAUUGCAUCGAUAUGCGGCACCGCACCAAGGAACUGCUGCACCAAGCUAAAUAACUCUUCGGCUCGGGCCUUUUCGGCCACAAAUGAGUCACGACAUCCUUCAUGGCAAGUCCGGACAACCUAUUCAGCUGAGCCCAUUCGGCCAAACGAUCGGUCAAUAAAAGCGGACGCUCUGGACUAUGGAACUGCGACCAAAAAAGCUAUUCCAUUCGGUGAUCCUUUUGGCCUCGGAAGUGUGUGACUGCGUCUGCGACACUCGCCGCCAAAUCCAGAUAAGCAUCCUCCACACCCCACAGCUGGCCCAACUGAGCAUACGUCGGAUCCGUGAACUUCCUCCGUAGCAGAAAGGGCUUUCCAGCCGCGAUAUCCCCGGCUUGACGUAGCUCUUCUCCUUUAUAGCUCUCAUCGUGGAGCGGGCAUCCUUGGCUUCGGUGGUGGCCUUCUUCAGGUCCUCUUGCUCCGCUCGGUGUUCUUUUUCAAGAAACUUGCAGCGGUUGGUAGCAUUCUUCAACUUCCCGGCCAUCUCGGCCAUUUCCUCCGUGCUUCGGCAGUGAACAGCCUGUUCGGCUUUUAGCUCCUCGGCCGCCCUCAAGGCAGCCGCAUCACUUUUUCUGGCUUGCUCCUUGACUCGGGCUAGCUCCGCCCGAAGGUUCUCUAUAGCAGCGGCACCAUCUGCAUAAAGCAUAGAUGUUGUAAGGCAUGGGCAUCAAGCUCCCUUACCAGGUGUCCGCGGAGAAGUUGCAUACCUUGCAACUCGUCAAGCCGCUUAUUGACAAGCGCAAUGUCCGCAUCCGCCACGUCAAGUUGCCGCUUCAGUUCAGCAAAUUGAUCAGUCUGGCUGGCCACCGGACGCUCCGCCACCUAUAUAGGACAGGCGACAUCUUACAACUGAGAUUAUGAUCCUCGGCGCGCUGUCACUUUCGGGCUACUAUCUAUACAGGGCGCAUUCUAUAUGCAAAACUGUCAUAAGGUAUAUCAUUUUCGCAUACCUCAAACCCCGUCAGUAAACUUCUGACGGCUUCAUGCAAUCCGCUCUCAGCGGAUUAAAUCCUUUCAAUCACCGUACCCAUUAACGCACGGUGAUCUUCUGAGAUAGACGCUCGCCCGAGCAGAUCCUUCAGCUCCUCCGACCGUACACCAGUUGGUGCCGGACCUCCCGGCCCCGCCGGACUCGGGGAAACCCUCCGCGACGACACCUCAGGGUCGUCCGCCCCGCAUGACGGUGCGGCAGAUGGAGGCGUUUCGCUCUUGGUCGUCUCCGGACGAAGAUCCCCCGAAGAUGAGCUCUACUGAGAAGGGCUGAGAUCCGAACUACAAGGUAAAACUUCGGUUAUCUUCAGAAAUAAAAACAGGGAUGUCGCUUAUUACAAAACUCCCCUUUCUACUUACGGCUCGCUGGAGGGCUGAUUCCCUUGGGGAAAUAGUGCGGCCGGGGCUUCUCCUGGUGCAGGACCCUCUAGUGAAGAUUCCUUCCCCCGCUUUGAGGCCUUGGCCUCCGGAUCUUCAGAAGCGGUCCUCUUCUCCCCCUGGAGGGAGGGAUUCUCAAUCCCCCCUUUCUUGAAAGCCUCCUUCGCGGAGGCAGUAGCUUCCCUGUUCCCCCCUUUGCCCUCUUCCAAAGGCGCAGCCUCCAGCAUCUUGGUUAACACAGGAUCCGGCGUGGUCUCAGGGAGGGGGGUCGGACACCUUAUUAGUUUUGCUUUCGCUAUCCACUCCUAUUCAAAGGACAACUCUUUAAAGGGCAAGUUUAUGAUAAAUGUACGGAUAGCGUGUCUAGGCACAGGACUACUUACUUGAGUAUCCGGGCGAUUGCAGCUCAGACCUGCGUCCUCGGUCAAGUCCGGACACAUCUCUUGUGAUCUGAAGAACAGUUUAUACAUCUCCACGGUGUCGCACCCAUGAAGUGUUGGAGAGCUCGUGGUCCCUCCAGAUUAAAUUCCCACAGGCGCCGAAUCAGCAUGACCUGCGCCACUACGACCAGAUUGAUCUCUCUCUCUUGGAGGUCUUGAAUACGGCCCUGCAGCAGAGGUACAUCCUUGGACGGCCCCCAGUCGAGCCCUUUGUUGACCCAUGACGCCAGCCGCUAUGGAGGACCUGAGCGGAAGGCAGGUGGCACCACCCACUUGGUGCCCCUGGGAGCGGUGAUGUAAAACAACUCUCGUUGCCAUAAACCGAGCACCUCUUGAAAAGAGCCCUCGGGCCAUGGAGCGUCAGCAUUUUUGCUUAUAAUAGCCCCUCCGCACUCUGUCUGCUGCCCCUUGAUCAUCUUUGGCUCCACUUUGAAGGUCUUGAGCCACAAUCCGAAGUGAGGGGUAAUGCGGAGGAAGGCUUCGCAUACGACAAUGAACGAUGAGAUGUGGGGGAUGGACUCCGAAUCCAAGUCGUGGAAUUCCAGCCCAUAAUAAAACAUGAGCCCCCUCAUGAAGGGGUCUGUCGGGAAGCCUAAACCCCGAAGGAAGUGAGACACGAACACCACGCUUUCACCAGGCUUGGGAGUGGGAAUAACUUGCCCUUGGGCAAGUAGCCUAUGCGAAAUUUCGCCGGUUAGAUACCUGGCGUCUCUCAGCUUUAGCAUGUCUUCUUCCGUGAUGGAAGAGGCAUCCACCGACCUUGCAGGUCGAAGGCGGACAUCGUCGAAGGUCCGAAGCGCCUGAAUCUGGAGCUUUGGGUGUUGGAACUUGAGGCGAGGGGCGGAUUCGAUUGAGAUUGAAAGAAAGGAGCAGGUCUUGGUCUCGUUAUAAAGAGGUUGAAUACCAAGAGCCCUCCCCGUGGUUGUUUGGGACUCGCCUUCGAUAGAGGGGGCGUGCCAACAGGCACGCUUGGGUUACCCACGCCUGUAUUGAUGAGGAUCCCGGAAUAAGGGGGCAUGAUCUUCGCUUUGAUAAGACGUGCCAAGGAAACCGCAUCGCUAAAUGCGCUGAGGUGGGACAGUAAAAAACGAUUCGAAUGAAGGCCUGGCCGUGGUGUGAUGUCACGCCGCGGAAUACGUCAGUAGAUCUGUGUAAAGAUUAUUCUCUCUACGGUGGUAUGUGGAACUUGUUUUGCAGAGCCGGACACUAUCCUUGUGUUCAAAAUCUUCUAUGAAGUAUUCGGAGGAGGAACCCGCCUUGCAAUGCCGAAGAUAAUAUGCGCGCUGGACUCGUCGUCAUUGAAGCCUGGUUCAGGGGCUACUGAGGGAGUCCUGGAAUAGGGGGUGUCCGGAUGGACGGAGUAUCACCGUUGGUCGGACUCCUAGACUAUAAAGAUACAAGACUGAAGUCUCCGUCCCGUGUCCGGAUGGGACUUUCCUUGGCGUGGAAGGCAAGCUUGGCAAUACGGAUAUGUAGAUCUCCUACCAUUGUAACCGACUUUGUGUAACCCUAGCCCUCUCCGGUGUCUAUAUAAACCGGAGGGUUUUAGUCCAUAGGACGAACAACAAUCAUACCAUAGGCUAGCUCUAGGGUUUAGCCUCUUUGAUCUCGUGGUAGGUCUACUCUUGUACUACCCAUAUCAUCAAUAUUAAUCAAGCAGGAGUAGGGUUUUACCUCCAUCGAGAGGGCCCGAACAUGGGUAAAAACAUCGUGUCCCUUGUCUCCUGUUACCAUCCGCCUAGACACACAGUUCGGGACCCCCUACCCGAGAUCCACCGGUUUUGACACCGACACAUAAGCUAACAUACUUUCUCUACUUGGAUCAUAUGCACUUAUGAUUGGAACUCUAGCAAGCAUCCACAACUACUAAAGAUCAUUAAGGUAAAACCCAACCAUAGCAUUAAGGCAUCAAGUCCCCUUUAUCCCAUAUGCAAACAACCUACUUACUCGGGUCUGUGCUUCUGUCACUCACGCCACCCACCAUAAGCAAAUCAUGAACAUAUUGCAAACCCUACAGCGGGAAUCCCUCACACUUGCGGGACACGGAGAGCACCAUAGGACAGCACCAAUAAUAAAACAUGCAACUCAAACCAAUCUUGAUCAUCAAAUAGCCCAUAGGACAAAACCGAUCUACUCAAACAUCAUAGUAUAGCCAUACAUCAUUGGGAAAUAAUAUAUAGCGUUGAUCACCAUGUUUAAGUAGAGAUUACAGUGGGUAAGAGAGAGGUUACACCUCUGCAUAGAGGGGGGAAGAGUUGGUGAUGAUGGCGGUGAAGUUGUUGGUGAAGAUUGCGGUGAUGAUGCUGGCCACGGCGGUGUUCCGGCACCACCAGAAGAGAAGGGGAGAGGGAGCCCCUUUGUCUUCUUCUUCAUUGACCUCCUCCCUAGAUGGGAGAAGGGUUUUUCCCCUCUGGUCCUUGGCCUCCAUGGGGUGGGAGGGGCAAGAGCCCCUCCGAGAUUGGAUCUAUCUCUCUGUUUCUGCGUUCUGUUUCACCGUUUCGUGUAUAUAUGGAGAUCCGUAACUCCAAUUGGCCUGAAACUUUCGCCAUGAUUUUUUUUCAAAAAUUAGCUUCCUUGCGGCAAAAGAAGAGCGUCAAACGCCUUACAGGUGGGUCACGAGGGUCAGGGACGUGCCCUAGGGGGGGCACGCCCCCCUACCUCGUGCCCACCUCGGACACUGGUUCGUGUUGAUUUUUCAUCCAGAUUUUCCAAAUAUUCUGAAAAGUAUCUCCGUCCCUUUUUAUCCCGUUUGGACUCCGUUUGAUAUGGAUAUUCUGCGAAACCAAAAACAUGCAACAGACAGAAACUGGCACUGGGCACUGGAUCAAUAUGUUAGUCCCAAAAAUAGUAUAAAAAUUUGCCAAAAAGUAUUGAAAGUUGAAUAAUAUUGGCAUGGAACAAUCAAAAAUUAUAGAUACGACGGAGACGUAUCAGCAUCCCCAAGCUUAAUUCCUGCUUGUCCUCGAGUAGGUAAAUGAUAAAAAAGAUAAUUUUUUGAUGUGGAAUGCUGCCUAGCAUAAUCUUGAUAAUAUAUCUAAUCACGGCAUGAAUAUUAAGACACGAGUGAUUCAAAGCAAUAAUCUAUCUUUUGACAUAAAAACAAUAAUACUUCAAGCAUACCAACCAAGCAAUUCUGUCUUAUUGAAAUAACAUAGCCAAAGAAAGCUCAUCUCUACAAAAUCAUAUAGUCUGGCUAUGCUCCAUCUUCACCACACAAAAUAUUCACAUCAUGCACAACCCCGAUGACAAGCCAAGCAAUUGUUUCAUACUUUUGACAUUUCUCAAACCUUUUCAACUUUCACGCAAUACAUGAGCGUGAGCCAUGGACAUAGCACUAUAGGUGGAAUAGAGUAUGAUGAUGGGGGUUAUGUGGAGAAGACAAAAAAGGAAAGUCUCACAUCAACUAGGCGUAUCAACGAGCUAUGGAGAUGCCCAUUAAUAGAUAUCAAUGUGAGGAGUAGGGAUUGCCAUGCAACGAAUGCACCAGAGCUAUAAGUGUAUGAAAGCUCAAACUGAAACUAAGUGGGUGUGCAUCCAACUUGCUUUCUCAUGAAGAUCUAGGGCAUUUGAGGAAGCCCAUCGUUGGAAUAUACAAGCCAAGUUCUAUAAUGAAAAUUCCCACUAGUAUAUGAAAGUGAUAACUCAAGAGACUCUCUAUAUGAAGAACAUGGUGCUACUUUGAAGCACAAAUGUGGUAAAAGGUUAGUAACAUUGCCCCUUUUUUUCUUUUUUUUGCGGGCUUCUUUGGCCCCAUUUGUUAUUUAGGCUUAUUUGGCCUCUCUCUUUUUGGAUGGGGCAAUGCUCCAAUAAUGAUGAUCAUCACACUUUUAUUUACUUACAACUCGAUAUUACAACUCGAUACUAGAACAAAGAUAUGACUCUAUAUGAAUGCCUCCGGCGGUGUACCGGGAUGUGCAAUGAUCUAGCGUAGCAAUGACAUCAAAAAACGGACAAGCCAUGAAAACAUCAUGCUAGCUAUGUUACGAUCAUGCAAAGCAAUAUGACAAUGAAUGCUCAAGUCAUGUAUAUGAUGAUGAUGGAAGUUGCAUGGCAAUAUAUCUCGGAAUGGCUAUGGAAAUGCCAUGAUAGGUAGGUAUGGUGGCUGUUUUGAGGAAGAUAUAAUGAGGCUUAUGUGUCACAGAGCGUAUCGUAUCACGGCGUUUGGAUGCACCGGCGAAGUUUGCUCCAACUCUCGAGGUGAGAAAGGGCAAUGCACGGUACCGAAGAGGCUAGCAAUGAUGGAAGGGUGAGAGUGCGUAUAAUCCAUGGACUCAACAUUAGUCAUAAAGAACUUACAUACUUAUUGCAAAAAUCUAUUAGUCAUCGAAACAAAGUACUACGCGCAUGCUCCUAGGGGGAUCUAUUGGUAGGAAAAGACCAUCGCUCGUCCCCGACCGCCACUCAUAAGGAAGGCAAUCAAUAAACACCUCAUGCUCCGACUUCUUUACAUAACGGUUCACCAUACGUGCAUGCUACGGGACAUGCAAACCUUAACACAAGUAUUUCUCAAUUUCACAAUUACUCAACUAGCACGACUCUAAUAUCACCACUUUUAUAUCGCAAAACUAUUGCAAGGAAUCAAACAUAUCAUAUUCAGCGAUCUACAAGUUUUAAGUAGGGUUUUAUGACUAACCAUGUGGAUGACCAGUUCCUGUCAUCUCUCUAAAUAGAUAUAAGUGAAGCAAGAGAGUUUAAUUCUUUGUACAAAAGAUAUGCCCAUUCUCUAACAAAUAUAAGUGAAGCAAAAGAGCAUUCUACAAAUGGCGGUUGUCUAUGUAAAGAUAAACAGGCAAUCCAAACUUCAAAAGAUAUAAGUGAAGCACAUGAAGCAUUCUAUAAAGCCAUACUCAAAGAAUAUAAGUGAAGUGCGUAGAGCAUUCUAUAAAUCAACCAAGGACCAUCUCAUACCAGCAUGUUGCAUAAAAGAAAAAUGAAAGCUAAAUGCAAAAGACGGUCCAAGACUUGCAUAUAUCACAUGAAUGAAACGAAUCCGAAAACAUACCGAUACUUGUUGAAGAAAGAGGGGAUGCCUUCCCAGCAUCCCCAAGCUUAGACGCUUGAGUCUCCUUGAAUAUUUACUUGGGGUGCCUCGGGCAUCCCCAAGCUUGAGCUCUUGCCUCUCUUCCUUCUUCUCACAUCGAAACCUUCUCAAUCAUCGAACACUUCAUCCACACAAAACUUCAACAGAAAACUCGGUAAGAUCCGUUAGUAUAAUAAAGCAAAUCACUACUCUAAGUACAGUUGCAAACCAAUUAAUAUUUUAUUUUUGCAUUGUUUUUACUGUAAUAUAACUUUUUCAUGGCUUAAUCCACUGAUAUAAAUCGAUAGUUUCAUCAAAACAAACAAACUAUGCAUCAAAAAAAGAAUCUGUCUAAAACAGAACAGUCUGUAACAAUCUGAACAUUCACCAUACUUCUGUUACUUGAAAAAUUCUGCGAAAAUUUGGAAAAAUAAAAAAUUUGUAUAUCAAGACAGUGCAAAGAGAAUCAGAACCAUUUGAUGUUCCAGUAAAAAAGUAAAAUUCGCGCACUACAGCCAAAGUUUCUGUCCUGCACCGCACAAACCAACAAGCAUGGUAAACAUCCUAAAGGCAAACCUUGGCACAUUAUUUUUAUAAUAUAAUGGAAUUGUACAAGGGGAAAAUUAUUUUUGUUGAAAAUUUUCUGUAAUCAAGAUUCACAAAGUUGCCGUGAGCAUGAACAAAGUUCAAGGAGCUCUCCCACUUCAACAAUGCUUAUCUUUCUCACUUUCGCUUUCCUUUUUGAAAAAGUUUUGGGUUCCCCUCUUUAUUUUUGUUGUUUUUAAACUAUAUGAAAGAACUCAACAGAAAUAAAUGACCCUCUAAAACUUCUGGUUUGUCUCCCUGGCAGCGCUUUCUUUAAAGCCAUUAAGCUAGGCAUCAAUCGUUUGGACGUGGUAAAGGUUGUCGCAGCACCUGUAGUAGGACAGAGGACUUAUCGCGAUGCCCGCGGACCAAUUUACUAUGUCUCUGUCGCUGACGUUGGUCAAAGAGGCCACGUGGAUUGGCCUGGGUCUUCUUCGGCUAAUGAGACCUCGAUCCCAAAGCCUUCGGAGUGCUCAAGUAAUGAAUCGACCCGGAUCCCAAGGUAUAUCAAAGUCAAUUUUAAUUAGCAAUGAUUUGUAAUUUAGUAGUGAGCAAAAAGCAACAUAUAUCAUGUAACAACAGAGUCUAACUCUCUUCCUAUGCAUCGGCAUGUCAUAAAAUAACAAUUCAUGCACACAAAGUAAAGGCCAAUGCAUAGUAUAAACAGUUUCUUGCAAUUUUAUCGUGUUGGAAACAUAGAGAGGUGGAGAUAUAGUUCCUAUCUCAUAAUAAUUGCAAGUAUGAGCAGCAAGCACAUGCAUAUUAUAUUCAUCAAAAUCAUCAUGUGCAACGGUAAAAGGCAACCCAUCAAUAUAAUCAUUAAUAAAAGCAAACUUCUCCGAUGUAGUGUAGUUGGGAGAAUUCAAAAAGAUAAUAGGACUAUCAUGCGUGGGUGCAAUAGCAACAAUUUCAUGUUUAACAUAAGGAACUAUAGCAAUUUCAUCUCCAUAAGCAUAAUUCAUAUUGGCAUCUUGGCCACAAGCACAGCAAGCAUCAUCAAAAAGGGAUAUUUCAAAAGAAUCAAAGGGAUCAUAAAAGUCAUCAUAGCAAUCAUCCUUCAGCACUACAAAUAAAAUACACUUCGGUGAUGAUACGUGUUUGUCACAGUAGGUCGCGUUUUUUGUAAUGCAUGUACAUCCAUGACGAUUUUAUGACAGAAUCAAGAUAGUCAUACCUGUGCUGUCGUAGAAGUGUUCCAUGACAUUACCAAAAUUAUCAUCACAGAAGUGUCCACUUCCAUGACGAUAAAUCGCGCAUCACAGAAGUGCUUUCGUCAAGGGUGACCGACACGUGGCAUCCACCGUAACGGAACGCCGUUAAGCUAUCGGGUCGGGUUUUGGAUCCGAUAACCCGUUAACAGCCCCGACCAAUGGGGAUUUUCCACGUGUAAAAUCAUCAUUGGUUGGAGGAAACACGUGUCGACUCAUCGUUGGGACAGAUGUCAUCCACUCAUUGGACAAAAGGCGCCUAUGAUACGUCGACAUGUGGCACGGCCCAACAGAGGCCCAUUCCUGUGAAAAGGCCGGCCCGUUUGACUUGGUCAAAAGGUGGCAGGCCGGCCCAUGGAAAGACUGUUAACGGCCUGUUCGCAGCCCAUUUAUAGCCCACUAACCCAAGGCCUGUUACGCCCUAUCCGAAUUAGGCCCAGUAGCAUCAUCUGGGCCAUCCAAUAUGACUCCAGCCCAUUUUCACUUCUGGCCCAUGUAUGGCCCAUGACGUCUUUCGGCCCAUAUGAGGCCCUAUGUAACUCUUGGCCUAUUAACGGCCCGUGGUGAAACUAGCCCGCAAUGAACAGUGUAUCACUUUACACCCAUUAACGGCCCGUGGUGAAACUGGCCCGUAAUGAACACUGUAUCACUUUAUACCCAUUAAGGGCCCGUUAUUCAGUUGGGCCGUUUCAAGCCCAUGUUAUCUUUCGGCCUUCUUAGAGCCCAUUUAUUCUUGGGCUCAUUUCCAGCAUUCGUUUACUUAUGGCCAGUUACUGUCAUUUUUUGCUUGUGGGCCAAAUUCAGCUCGUGGUUACAAUCGGCCCGUUUGUGGUUCGUUAAUAUGUUGGGCCGUUUUCAUAGCGUCAUCAAAUGCGGCCUAUUAACGAUGGCCCGUUAUGGUCGGCCCAUGAAUGGGCGAUUCCAACUCUAGCUCGUUUACGACCAUAAUGCGGCCUGUUAUUGGCCCAUGUUUGGCGAAUCGAUCAUACGGCCCGUAUAAGGCCCAUUGAUGAUACGGCCCGUAGAAGGCCCAUUGUUUCUACGGCCCGUAGAAGGCCCAUUGUUUCUACGGCCCAUAGAAGGCCUACUGUUUAUAUGGCCCGUAGAAGGCCCACUAUUUCUACGGCCCAUGGGAGGCCCACUAUUUCUACGGCCCGUGGGAGGCCCAGUGUCACUACAGUAAAUAUUAGCCCAUGGUUAUUGUGGCCUAGUUUUAAAAAAUAGGUUAUUGCAGCCACUAGCAAACCGCGGAAAAAGAACUGCACUGACUACAGGCAAACAAAAAGCAAGUCAACAAGGAAAUAAAUAAGCAAGCAACUUAUGCUAGGCUAUCACGGCUAUUACACAUAUUACAUCCACUGGGCAUCAAAGUUAUUCACCAGUGCAAAUAUAGGGAACAAAGCAGCAUAUCAUAUACACUGGUUGUCAAAGUUGGCGACCAGCGCAAAUAAAUGCCGCAGCAAAACAAAUCCAGAACUGAAACCACUUCAGAAGAUCUCAAGAAACAAUAUCCUGGGGACCCAUAAUGCUGUCAAGAUGCUUAGCAAGCUUAUUAACUUUCUCUUAUUUGGCGCUUAAAUCCUCCAGUGCUUGCUGUUGCGCCAGAAAAUAUGCAUCUGAAUUCUGCAGGGACUUCCUCAGUCCUUCAGCUUCCUGUCACAGCACAUCUGAUCGAUGUCUUUCAACUUGAAGUUGAGACUCAAGAAGAUGAACUGAUUCAGGCAGUGAGUUCGAAGAGCUUGUGCCAGCAGUAGUGGCCAUUAACUCGAACACUACAGCAAGACAGGACUUUUGGGUUCCCUCACUGUCGUCAAGAUAGUUUUGGAUAACGCGGUACUGUUCCCUCACUGUCGUCAAGAUAGUGGCCAGUAACCUUAUCUGCAUUACUUCCUUUACCAUUGGAUAACGCGGUACUGUUCUCCAAUAUUUUGUCCGAAUUCUAAAAGAGAAACAAGAAGACACAUCACAUUUUUACCAUGUUGUAUAUGAAACUCAUUUUGGUAAAUGAGUUCAGUAGUAAAGUGGACAGGAUAACAGCAUGAAACAAACAUAUAUCUAUGUACCAUGGUCACUUUAUGGUCUAUAUCAUUCUAGUUUUUGUUGCCAAAUCAAGAUAGAGACACAGUUCAAAUAAUAUUUGUCAAGACAAAGCAGAAUAGACAGAAUAUAAGUGUGGGUAACUAUAGAGCAAUAACAACACUUGUAAUGUGCAUGCCAUGAGAACAUAAGUGUUUAUUCAAUUGAAACCGAAAUCAACAUAGAGCAGGUUACAACAGCAAACCAGUUAAAGAAACAGGUUUAAAACAUACCUGUUGCACCAUUGGAGUUUCAAUUCCAUCCUUCAAAUUUGAAAAUAGUUGGUAUUAGUAAAUACAGUAAUGCAACAACAAAGGAGUAUGAACCAUAGCUACAGAACCAGACCUGAGAACAAAUCUUCUUCUCCUUUAAGCAUUGAGUUGGGAUUCAGAGUGGUGGUCCUCGUGCUUUGGGCAAUACAGUUCCCUUACUAACUGCUCGUGUUUGGGUGCUCUGUGGUGGAGACGGUGCUAUGUCAACUGGAACUGGGUUACUAUCUGCCAGGGUUGGGGUUAGAAAGGGUGUAGCUGGUUCUCUGUCCAACUGGGUAGGGGUACAAUCUGUGAGAGUCUGGGUUAUGUGUGGUGGAUCUGGUCCUUGGGCAAGUACAACCGUGGUUCUAUCUGCAUCACCUGGUAGCACUAUCUUUUCUGAAGACCGUGUUGUUACUCCCAUAGAUACUGCCAUCACGCUCUCCAAUUCAAAUGGCUGAUAAACAAGAAAAGUAAUUGAAAGUAUAGACAUUGUAUGAUACACAGGUGCAAUGGAUAGUGGGGAAUGAAAUAAUUCAUAUUUAUGUUGUCUAACCAAACAGGAUAGCGUGACACAAUUUCACAUAUAUGAUGGCUAACUAAACAGGAUAGCAUGACACAAUUUCACAUUAUGAUGGCUAACUAAAAAAGAUGGAAAGACAUAGUUCAAAAUAUGAGACUAUGUAAAUAGGAUGACAUGACAUAACUAUAUAAUGUGUCUAUUAAAUAGGUUGGCAUGCCAUAAUUCACAUAAAUUCACGGAUAGAAUGCCAUAAUUCAAAAUAUGAUGCGUGUAAACACUAAACAGGAUGAGAUGAUAUAACUAUAUGAUGUCUUUAUUAAAUGGGUUGCCAUGCCAUAAUUCAGAUAGAUGAUGUCUAUGUACUAUGUAAACAUGAUGGCAUGAUAUAAUUCAAAUAUAUGAUUUAUAUUUUAAGCAAGUAAGCAGAUGGCAAUCCAUAUAUGAUGUAAAAACUAAGCAAUGCAAGACAACAUGCAUGACAUGGGUAAUAUAACCUUGUCAGUUUGACAAUAGACCUCAGGGGGGAAAUAGGACUGGUUAUCAGUCUCUGAAUCAUCCUCUGAGGAGCUAUCUGUAACCAGCAAGAUGUCUGCUUCAGCAGGUAGCAUAGUCUGCUGUGAAUACCUUGUUUUCACUCUAGAUACUUCCAUCACCGCUUUAAAUUGCUGAUGCAUAGGAAGAGUAGUUGGAUAUACAAACGUUGUCGAUAAAUGGAACACGUAAUACAAAAAAAUGAUAGCAUGAUAUAAUUCACAUACAUGAUGAUUGGCUAAACAGCAUGGCAUUGCAUAAUUCACAUAUAUAAUGCCUUUGCAACACGAUAGCAUUGUAUAAUUCACAUAUAUAAUGUCUUGCAACAAGAUGGCAAUGCAUAAUUCACAUAUAUGGUAAUUAGACACUGAACAGGUGGCAUUCACACAAAUCAUGUCUAAACUAAUCAAAUGACAUAGCAAUGCGAGACACCAUACGCAUGAUAUGAGAACCAUAACCCUGCCAAGUUAGAGCAUACACCUCGGGGGGGGGGGGGAAUAGGACUGGUCAUCUGUCUCUGGAUCCUCCUCUGAGGAGCUAUCCGUAACCAGCGAGAUAUGCGCUUCGUCGGAUAGCAUAGUCUGCUUUGAAGACCUUGUUUUCACUCCAGAAUUUGCCAUCACCGUGUCAAAUGGCUGAUGCACACGAAGAGCAGUUGAAUGUACUAACAUUGUUGACAAACGUAAUAUGUAACGCAAAAAAAAGGAUGGCCUGAUAUAAUUUACAUAUAAGAUGACUGGCUAAGCAGGAUGCCAUUGCAAAAAUUCACAAAUAUGAAGCCUGGCUAAACAAGAUGGUGUUGCAUAAUUCACAUAAACGAUGAAUAAACUAAACAGAUGGCAUUUACACAAAGGAUGUCUAAACUAAGCAGAUGACAUAUUUGAUGUAUAAAGUAAGCAAUGCAAGAGACCAUAUGCAUGAUAUAACCAACAUCAGCAUGCCAAGUUAGAGCGAAGACCUCGGGGGGUAAAUAGGAGUUGUCUUCUCCUUCUAAAUCCCCCUCAGAACAGAUAUCUUCCUCUCGAUUACAAUCCAAAAUGCAUGGAGGGGGGAUGCCUUUGCACCUACCAUGGAGCGAUGUCUGCAUGAAAUUUUAUUUCCAUGCAAGGCUCGUCUCUUUUGCUCUACAUGUUCAGUUCCAUUGUUUACAAUAACUGUCAUGCAUAGGAACAAAACAUAGUGAUAUUAUUUAAGGAGUGCAUGCAGAAAUCCAGAGUGAUGGUAGCAACCUGUGGAUAGACGCAAAACCAAUAAUAGCAGGCAGAUAAUGGUUUCAGUUAAAAAAUACAGAUAAUGGCUUCUUUACUGUUUGUUUCCCACCCAACAUGAAACUCAUAGUAGACACCGGAGAUUAACCAGAUAAUAGAUAUAUACUAUUGAUAGCGGCCCCGAUAUGUACCGCACAACCAUUUAUAAACUCAAGUUUGACCAUUAGUUUGGAGCUGACUUAGAGUCUAAUCGGUGAACAGGACGAUAAAGUAGCAUGUAAUAUUAAGCGAUGCAUAACGUAAGCAGACACGAAACAGUGCGACCUCUCUUGCGAACCCGUGUAGUCCUCGAGGUCAUCUGCUCAGUCGAUGAUGGUAAUACAGUUUUCAUGGCUGCCAGCAGCGGGGAAGAAGAUCUGAGGCGGCGAAAGACAGUCUGGAGGCCGGAUCCCUGCUAUGCUGGACCCUUCUGUCGUUGGAGCAACUGAGUUGGGGUGGACGACGGAGCAGCAGGAGCGGGACAAACCACGCAAGGUUUUCUUUGACAACUAUCUGUAAGAGAAGUAAUUCUGUAAGUGCUCGUUUGAAUUGGAGGAUUCCAACAAUGCAGGGAUAGGGAAUAGAAAUGAAUAGGAUUGGAAUACACGUGCAAAACAGAGAAUUUAAAAACACAGAAUUUCUGCCAAUCUGGGUGUUUGAUUCACAAUAAUUGGAAGAUCACAGCAUGCAAAGAAGCAUGGUGAGAUUAAGUCAAACCACAAGAAAAUGUACGGUUAUAAUGCUAUUAUGCUACUAUCUCUUAGUCUUCUGCUUCAUGAAUAGGAAUUUGAAAAGGAGGACACGCAAAAAUUAAUUCCUACGUUUUUUCUUUCAAGGAGACACUAAAGGAACAAAUUCGUAUGCUCAGUGGACAAUAUAUAUAACAUGUAGAGUAAAAAAGAGAUGCAACAAGUGUACGGCCUCUUUGGCGAAGCCAUGUCGAUCUCAGCGUGAUUGAGUUGGCCGGUGAGGAUGCUCCGGCUGAUUUUGCUGUCGGAGGAGGGGAAGAAGAUCAUUGGCGUCUGGAGAUGGAGCCUGAGGUACUGCUCCGCUGUGAUGGAGGGUUUCAUCGUUGGAGCAGCUCCGGUGAGUUGUACAAUGCUUACGCUGAAGUAGGACAAGAGAGACAACGAACAACGUUAACCCGAGUGGAAUUCUAAUAGCAUCUCCAAUACAUGACGUAAAAUACAUAACCACAACGUGCUAGAUGUAAAAUACAUCAGACGCUCAUCUCUGAACUUAACUGUCGAAACUGAACUUAACUGUCGAAACUGAACUUAACUCUCGAAACUGAACUUUGCUGUCGAAACUGAAUUUUGCUAUCGAAACUGAACGCACUAGCAAGGUGAGGCUACACAUCGGUCGACUGACUUUUUCAUCUCUGGUCAGUCGAUUUUGCAGUCGUUGGAUACGAAAUCAAGGGCAUGCGGUUCAUCUUCAACCUCCACCCCCUUGAGCCGCCAGCCACCACCGGCCAAACAGCAGCCCCCCGCCGCCCGCGGCCGGCGGUGCGCUGCCCCGCCCGCUCCGAAAACACUCCCCACCACCGGUCCGCCGCCGCCCCGGCCACCCCUCUAGGCCCCCACGUGCUGAGAUUUUUCUCCGGCGAUCCCCACGCCACCGCCCUGCCAACGCCCCACCACCGCUGGCGACCACCGCUCCCAUCCUGAACCCUAAGAUAGAUAGUGGGGUACCCCCCCGGCGAGCCCCCUCCCCGCUGUGACUAGUUCUUCCUUCACCCCGGCGAGCCCCCCCCCACCCCCUGAAAAUCGACUGACCCAAAAAUCGCUUCAGUCGACUGAAGUGUAGCUAAAUCAGAGCAGCAUCGCAAGCAAGAGCAAGAGCGAGAGCAGCAGCGCGAGCAAGAGCAAUAGCAGGAGCAGAGUAGGAAGGGGACCGAGAGCAAGAGCAGAGCAGCAGCGCGAGCGAGAGCUAAAGUAGCAGCAGCUCGUACUGAUGUGGAUGUCGCCGCCGAGGGAGCGACGCCGUGGAGGAAGUGGCUGGCGACGCCGCCGUGGAUGGAGCCGCGCCGUGUCGGCUCCGGACCGAGCGCCGGCAGCACCAUGAGAUCGAAUCAAGAAGAAAAUGCGGCGAUUAGUGUACAACCUCUUUGGUGGCGCCGAUUAGGCUGCAGCUUCAUCCGAGGAAACGGUGAUGAUGAUGCUCUUCCGGUGGUGCAGGUGAAGACGGCGGUGUGGGAAUGGAGGUGGCGCGAAAAUGAGGGGAACGUCGGGGCAGCUCCUUAGAGGUGGAGGACGGGGUGGCUGAACUGGUGGGACGAUGAGAUUGACGAUGGAUCCUCAUCCGGUACGGUGGAUGAGGGACGUCGAGGUGUUGUUGUGGACGACGUCGUCGAGGAAGAGGCUCCGGCUGGGUGGCGGACGGAGCAGGGUGUGGGGUUUCGUCGCGGGUUUUCGCGGCCUCGGUGUACGAAUGGAUGGGCGGAUGGGAUGGUAGUGGGGAACCAUGGCUUGAAGACGCGCUUAUCCGAAAUGUGGGCUGAUUUAGAAAGUACCCCCCACCGAUUUGAGGCGGUUCUUUCGGUUCAAGGGUACCACGGGCAUUUCGCGUGUCGGGAUUUCACAGGAGGUGGGAGUUUUCGCGCGCGUUGUAAUUUCGGAAUAGCAAGGCGCGGGUUGAGAUGGAGGGAGUUGUCGGAGCACAACGAGACAAAGAUAUAUCUUAAAUAUUUCGGGCUAACAAGGUGCGGGUUGAAAUUUCCGGACAAGCCUAACGUGUACUGUACCAAAUCAAUGCGCACUACAAAUGUCAUUCAAAACUUUGAAGCCAUGUUAUGUUCAAUUAAAAUAUUCCGCUACGUGUAUAAUGCAUGCAACCUACUACUCAAAUGAACAUCUUAGUGCAUUCCAAACGUAUAUACUACCGCUUCAAUAUGAACUAAAUUUGAAUUCGUUUCUCUACUUGAAUAAGAUCUACAGUAAUGAUUGUUGUGAAGUCAAAGCAUUUGAAUUUGUUUCUCUAUUUUAAUAAGAUCUACAAUCAUCGUUAUUGUGAAGUUAAACCAUCGUUUGUGUAUUAUCUUCACAGCACACCACAUGAUUAGUCUCGAGUUACAUAUGAACUAUGUGUACUAUAUGAACUCGAACUAGAUUUUUUGAAUCCACUUUAUUUUGAUUUCAAAUAACAUUACAUUUCUAGCUGUAGCUAGAUCUUCAUAAUCUAAACCAUGUCUCAUAUGUAUAAUGUGUUUAUCACAUUAUGUAUGGUGCCCCGCCCCCUACGCCUACAAGUAUUUAGAUGUGAGUUGCAAACACCACACAUUACAAAAAAUUCAAAUGAAAUGUGAGAAUGUUCGAUAUAUAGUAUUGUUUAGAUUGUUCGAUAUUUAGUUGUAAGCUGCAAACGCCACACAUUAUCACAAAUUCAAAUAAAAUGUGAGAUUGUUUGAUGUAUAGUAUGGUUUAGAUUGUUCGGCAUUUAGUUGUGGGUUGCAAACGCCAUGCAUUAUCACAUUUUGGUAUAACAUGUGCACAACACGUCUAUCACCUCUAUAUUCAUGCAUGCAAUGUUUAAAACACUAUGUUCUCCUGUUCAAAUAUACGAAUCCGCUUUCAUAUCAAAUUAUGAUCUUUGUUAGUCUCUUACACCCACACAAUCCUCUAACCUUUGUAGCUACCACUAACUUUCUCUCAUGCAUGCACACGCCCUCCUCGCCCUCCCCCUCCCUCGGCAUUCUAUCCACCAGGCACAUUCAUUUUUUUCUUUAGGUCGUUCUCCCAGAGUCUCCACAACUCCUUUCCGACACACACCGGUCGAUAAACCUCUCCAGCGAUGCCUGCCUACAACAUACACACACACCUUCAAUCUCCUCCUUUAUGUGUCCUUGCCUCGUGUCUCUCAUACGGUCAGACACACGUGUAAACUCUCGCCCCUCCUUUCAUCGAUCUCACAACAGCACACUCCUCCCCCUAUCUAGCUAGUAGUUGGGCCUCUCGCACCACCUCCUAGCUCCAUUCUCUCUGUCUAUCCAUCUCGCUGGGCCUUAUUUGCCUCUAACAAAUGGACGUACACCGACCGGUCUCUCGCUAUACAUAUAGCUAGCUAGGUCCUAGUAACUCGUUUUUACCCACAUGUCGAUCGAUCUACCUAAUUAGUUGUGUCUCUCCCUUCAUCAGACAAACAACAAUUGUUCUACCGAUCUAGUUAGGUUUGCUUACCAAACACAUGGUUCCCCUUCAUCAUCCAUGGAUGCGUCCCGACAGAUCUAUCACGCACAGGCACACACAGAAACACAUCCCCACUCUUAUUGAUAACAUUGCAGUUCCACCCUUAGUUUGUCUAGUAGGCCUCUCCCACCAUUUCCGAGAAGCAACUCCAUCACCCUUCCAGCACUCUACCCCUCUCCCUCCCUCUCCAUCCCUUUCUCUCUCUCCUCUCUCUCUCUCUCUCUCUCUCUCUGUCCCAUCAUAUUUCUCGUCCUUCAUUUAUGUAUGGAUGUCGACUGAUCUCCCUCAAGACAUAGCUGGGUCUCUCCUUCUCAACACAUAUAUGAGUCGUUCUACCUCUAUAGUUAGGCCUCGCCCUCCCCCUCGCCCCCCCCCACACACACACACCGAUACAUCGAGCACUCUAGUCAUGUCUCCCUGCCACACACAAACUUGACAUGUGCCCUCUACCGUUCCGGUAGGCCAGUCGCCCUAUAUCUUUGACUUGCACACACACACAAUUUCGAUGGCUCUCUUCAUCGAUCUCGCACCCACCCACUUGAUCCUCUCUUCAACUCUAUCGAUAGCUAUGACCCCUCCCUCUCUUCUCGUGGAUUGCCCAACCCUCUAUGUAUGAUAUGGAUAGGCCUCCAUUUCACACACAUUGCAUGCAAAAUUUUGUUUGAGAUGUCAUCAACACAUAUUCCCACAAAUAAUUCACGAAAUCAACCCCCACCCCAAAACAAAAAACACUCACGAACGCGGUUCAUAUCUCUCACACACACCCACGUAGGUGGGGGACGUGCAGGAAGAGAAGAGGUGCAUGCACGGCGCACGUACUCCCGCCUCUUUCCCAACCACACCCGCGCGGGUACACGGUGGAGCUCAAUUCUGUACGAAAAAGGCAGCCCACGUGGUAAUUUGGCACGUGUACUGGUUGUCCACUUGGUGGAGGGAGGAUCGUCUACCACGGGUGAACAAACAAAUUGCGACUUGACGUGUUAUGUCAAAAAAAGAGGCAAACCAUGUGGGGCCUACCUUAGAGGCAAGACUUUUGAUGUGUCCCGUCAACUCGCAGAAUGAGGAGAAGCUUGCUUAGUACGCCGUCUCCCCCGCCCACGGGCGCGGUGGCUCGCAGGAUGAGGUGAAGCUUGCUCCGCCUUGCGCCCGCUCCCUCGCCCAUGCGUGCGGUGGCUCGCAGGAUGAGGAGAAAAUUUUACUACUCCCUCCAUUUACUCCUCGUCCCUACCAGCUUUGUUAUAGAGAUUAUAUCAUGUUGUUUGGAAUAUAUAUGUCCUUUAGUAGAUUUGAAUAUGAACUACUAGUACAUACUCCAAACACUGAUGUAUAUAGACGUAUUUUAGAGUGUAGAUUCACUCAUUUUGCUUCGUAUGUAGCACUCUCCCUCGCCCCUCGACCCUCGCCCACGUGGUGGACGUGCAGCAAUUCAUUCGGUCUCAUAUAGCCAGAACGAUAUAUACUGCACUACCAUUAUUGCUCAACUUCCCGAAGAGGCGAAGAGCCAAUCGCAAGGUUAAUAUUUAGGAGAUGCCAAGCACAAGGUUAUAGGAGAACGAGUAGUAGGUCCGUGUCAUUUAUAAAUAAAGUUUUUUUUCUUCAGUGGCACGUACGCAAUAUGAUAGGUUCAUAUGGAGAGAAAAGGAAACCGCUCCACUAUAUACAUAGUCAGGACGGGCCAGCCUACACGGUUGCUUGCUGGGGUUGCUCUCUUCACACUCUCUCGCACAAAACGACUGUGGCCACAUAUCUAACAUCCUGGCGGAUCACGUCCGCUUGGGGAAGGGGUGUAUGCUUAGUGUAGAUGCGGUGGCCGUCGCCGACGGUGAAAACCCACUGUCGGCACGUCCCGAUCAGGGGUCCCCGCCGUUCUCUCUCACAAAGCCGGUGAGAUUGCCUUCGUCCCUUGCUCACUGCCGCGACGUGGGCAGUUGCCGCCUCCCGCCGCCCUCCUCAAGGUUGAGCUACGUCCCUCAAUUACAACUCCCUUUACAGCCGGCUUGCACCACUACUCCAGCUGCCCACAUCACUCCCUGUGGAUAUUUCUCUACUUCUUUGCCCCGCACAUACCUCUACUGGCUUCUACGUACUGUAUUUGUGAUGAGUUUAUGUCUCAUCAACUAGUCCUAGUAAUCUUAUUCUAAUCACGCUUCUUCAAUUUCUUUGCCACAGGGAUGCUCAUCUCGAUUUUGGUGAAACUGCACAAAAUGAUCCGAUGGUCAAAAGGUUGCAAACUUCAUUUAUUAGGAAGCUCGAACAUUGCCAGCAAAUUGAAGGCCGGUCAGGGUUCACGGUUCAAGGGCUAGGGACUGCAUGGAUCAUUUUUUUCUUUAGCUGCCUCUAUUCCAAAAUAAGUGUCAACUUUACUAGUAGUACAACUUUGUAGAUGAUGAUGUGGCUCAAAAUUAGAUGAUGGAUUAUUUUGUAGAUUAUUUUGAUGAUGUGGCUCAAAAUUGAUGAUGAUCGGGCUAGACGUUGAACUAAAUCAGUCCAUAAUAGCCGUCUGAUCUAGACGUUGAGAGGCUCCGCACUAAGCCACAUGCAAGCAUGCAGAAAUACCGUAGCACAUGCAUGUGAGUGGGUUUUAAAUCACAUCAACAUGUCUGCAUGCAAGCAUGCACCGGUAGCAUGCAUGUAAGUGAGCUUUUAAGUCCCAUUAACAUGUCAAAAAGAAAAAUAUAAUCCCAUUAUGCAGUAGGAGUUGGCUGAUCUUUUUUCCUUACGUGGGAUGAUCUAAAUGAUGAUGGGAGUUUAUUUAGUUUGGCUACCACAUUUGUCAUGCGGUUAUAGAGUUUUUUUAGUUCUAUGAAAUCGAUAAUUUUGUGCAGAGAGAUAUACCGCUGUUCCGCGGCAACGCGCGGGGACUCAUCUAGUAAUAUUUAGGAACGGAGGGAGUACUAUGUAAAGAGUUAGCUGUCGCACGGUGAUAGUGUGAGGUUGGCCAUGUAAUCACUGAGCCUGUGUGUUUUCGCUGCUCUUGCACUCCUCCGCUGUAAGAAUGGAGAAAAUUGUAAUCUAGUACGCCGAAAGCAUGGGACAUCCAGCAGUCCUACCACCUCAGUAAUAAAGACCAAUAAGCCGUCAAAUCACAUAGACCCAGCAGUAAGUUGGAAGGGCAAAGCAACCAUCACUCUUGCGCCAGUGAGAGGUCGCGUCCGCUCUGCCCAGGCAUGCAUGCAGCACCGAUUCUUUGGAGCGACGCUGACCAUUUCGGGCGGGAAGCACGCGCGGGCGAUGGAGGGGCUUUGGGUGGGCCAGGCUGGUCAGGAGCGGGCGUGGCAGCUGUCCGCAUGUCCCUACCGGACACACCCGGAAACGAGAGGAUGCACCGACUCUUGCGGCUAAAAUCGUACACUACACACCAUCUCUCUGUAGGAGUAGGUCGAUCUGUCGCACUCUCUAACACACACAUGUUGUUAAACACACACACGCACCUUGGUCCCGUUGCACCUUCUGACGUGACUUAUUACACCUAGACGGAGGGAGUAGUAAGUAUACGAGAUACGGUGGCACACUGACUUAAGUCGAAUACAAGUGCCCAAAAUUUGUGUGCAUGUUAUAAUAAGGAUUCACUUAAAAUAGUACGUGAGCGAACAGAGGGAUCAAUUGGACAGUGUUCCCGAGUAGUAGCGAGAUGUGUGAGGUAAGAUACACCGCUGGCGCUUUUAAUUUUUCUUAUUAAUUUAUCUGUUUCACCCUCUGACUGGUGGGACCCAAUGUACUACGUGGAGAGAGGUAAGGUGACUAAGGCUUCAUUAUUUCUGCACCACUGUGGAUAGUCUUACCACCAAAGCCACAUGACACGAUUAUGAUUGAAAUCUCAAUGACUCCCACACACACAAAAAAACACGGCAUGCUUGUCACACAAAUGCAGGAACGUAUAAAAGGUUAUUUUCCUCUCUUUGAACAUAACGGGGGGGUUGUGUAGCUGGUUAGCCUGUUCGCUCAUCAAACUUGAGGUCUCGGGUUCGAUAACUACACUUGAGCAUAAUCCUUGCCAGGAGGAUUCUUUGACUGGUCAAAAUGUUUUCUAGGGUUUGCACGCUUCACACUCUCUCUCCAGUAUAUAUAUACACGCUGGAGCCUCAGCGCUUGUUGUUGCUCUCUUCACACUCUCUCGCCCUCUCCCGCAAGAGCCUCAGUGCUUGUAGUUUCUCUCUUCACACUCUCUCGCCCUCUCCAGAUCUAAACAAGACUUCGUUGGCCUCUCUCUCUCCCCUCACUGCUGCUCAAAGAGCCGGCAGGAUCCGUCCACCGGGAAGGGAAGGAGGCUUAACGCUGUUGCUGUCGGCGAGGGAGGGAAUCCACUACCGGUGCAGUUGUUCACUUUCCACCCAGCGACAAUGCGGGAGGGCCUCCGACCCCUUCUUCUUCGCUGCCAUCCCGUCGCCCACCGAACCAGGCCCCAAGAACCUUAAGGUACAAUUUACUUACUACACAUGCAUUGCUCUAGCUGCAUGUAUACCAUGAAUAUAGGACGUGGUUCAAAGAGGAAAGGAGUGGGGGAAAGUAGUGGGAAAAGUUGUAUAUAUAGCAUAGAUCGAGGAUGUGGUUCAAAGAGGAAACGAAGGGGGAAAGUUGUAUAGCAUGAAUCUAGGACGUGUUUCAAAGAGGAAAGGAAUGUGGGAAAGUUGUGGGGAAAGUUGUAUCGCAUAAAUCUAGGACGUGGUUCAAAGAGGAAAGGAAGGGACAAGGCUGAAGAGUUUGAGCAGGACUAGAUUUGCUACGCUCACAUAGGGAAGCACUGUUUCGGAAGCUGACCUGUGGGCCUACUAAGUUGACGUACCAAGGGAUUUGUCAACUUAGUCAAUAUAAACGAUUCUAGCAGCAGUGACCGCACGAUGUCCAUCCAACGUCCGUCGUGCUUCUUCAACCUCUGGUCUUCUUGCUCCAGCCGCCCAAAGCAGCGCCGGUCGUGCCGCCUGCUCCUCCCUCCCAUGGCCGGCUGUGCUGCCGCGGAGGCCUCACCGCCCCCUACUACUCCCACCGCUGGCCAGGCCAUCCCUCCACUCACCCACACCCCCUGUUAUUCUAUGGCGACGACAGUGCAGCUGAACCAGUGAACCCUCGUACUCCUCUCCGUGUGUGCAUCCACUGCCGCAUCUUCCCCGGCUCCGUGUCGUCCCCUUCCUAGGCCUCGCCGUCGUCCACCGCCGUGGUGCUCUCGGCGCGGCAUGGUCAACGUGGUCAAGGAAGGACUUCCAUCGAACAUGGACUGUACGUGGAGAGGCUGGCAGCUGGGUCCACGGCAACCGCAAGGAAGUGCCUCCUUAUUACGUGCAAAAUAAUUAUUCCUACACCUGACAGCGGGGACCCACCGGACGGGCCAUCGUAUUUCGCAAAAAAAAUGAUUCGCCCCCUGACUUCUGGGACCCACGAGCUACAUCUUCGCACGCAAGGAAGUGCGUCCGGGAAAAAAACGAUUCGCCCCCCUAACUGCUAGGACCCACCAGCUACAUCUUCGCACGUAAGGAAGUGCGUCCGAAAAAAACGAUUUGCCCCCCGACUGCUGGGACCCACCUGCUACACCANNNNNNNNNNNNNNNNNNNNNNNNNNNNNNNNNNNNNNNNNNNNNNNNNNNNNNNNNNNNNNNNNNNNNNNNNNNNNNNNNNNNNNNNNNNNNNNNNNNNNNNNNNNNNNNNNNNNNNNNNNNNNNNNNNNNNNNNNNNNNNNNNNNNNNNNNNNNNNNNNNNNNNNNNNNNNNNNNNNNNNNNNNNNNNNNNNNNNNNNNNNNNNNNNNNNNNNNNNNNNNNNNNNNNNNNNNNNNNNNNNNNNNNNNNNNNNNNNNNNNNNNNNNNNNNNNNNNNNNNNNNNNNNNNNNNNNNNNNNNNNNNNNNNNNNNNNNNNNNNNNNNNNNNNNNNNNNNNNNNNNNNNNNNNNNNNNNNNNNNNNNNNNNNNNNNNNNNNNNNNNNNNNNNNNNNNNNNNNNNNNNNNNNNNNNNNNNNNNNNNNNNNNNNNNNNNNNNNNNNNNNNNNNNNNNNNNNNNNNNNNNNNNNNNNGCUCCCCUGACUGCUGGGACCCACCAACUGCAUCUUCACACGCAAGGAAGUGCGUCCGGGCAAAAAAACGAUUCGCCCCCUGACUGCUGGGACCCACCGGCUACAUCUUCGCACGCAAGGAAGUGCGUCCGGGCAAAAAAAUGAUUCGCCCCCCUGACUGCUGGGACCCACCAGCUACAUCUUUGCACGCAAGGAAGUGCCCGAUAGUCGGGACCCACCUGGUCUGAGCGUACGUGGCGUUGUCAUUCUGGUCGUGAACGUGUACGUACAUACUGGUCGUUGUAGAGGCGCGCAUGAUAACCCACAAGUAUAGGGGAUAGUUGUAGCCUCUUUCAAUAAGUAAGAGUGUCGAACCCAACGAGGAGCUAAAGGUAGAACAAAUACUCUCUCAAGUCCUAUCGGCCACUGAUACAACUCUACGCACGCUUGACGUUCGCUUUACCUAGAACAAGUAUGAAACUAGAAGUACUUUAUAGGUGAUAGGAUAGGCUUGCAAGAAAGUAAAGAACACGUAAAUAUAAACUAGGGGCUGUUUAGAUAAAGACACAACUAAAUUAGUAAAAGAGCUUGUUGUCACGAGAAAGUUAUUUGUCCCUAGGCAAUCGAUAACUAGAAAGGUAAUCAUUAUUGCAAUUUUAUUUGAGGGAGAGGCAUAAGCUAACAUACUUUCUCUACUUGGAUCAUAUGCACUUAUGAUUGGAACUCUAGCAAGCAUCCGCAACUACUAAAGAUUCAUUAAAGUAAAACCCAACCAUAGCAUUAAAGCAUCAAGUCCCCUUUAUCCCAUACGCAACAAUCCCUCUUACUCGGGUUUGUGUUUCAGUCACUCACCAACCCACUAUAAGCGAAUCAUGAACGUAUUGCAACACCCUACAGCGGGAAUCCCUCACGCUUGCGCGACACGGAGGGCACCAUAGGACAGCACUAAUAAUAAAACAUAAAACUCAAACCAAUCACGAUCAUCAAAUAGCCAUUAGGACAAAACAGAUCUACUCAAACAUCAUAGGAUAGCCAUACAUCAUUGGGAAAUAAUAUAUAGCGUUGCGCACCAUGUUUAAGUAGAUAUUACAGCGGGUAAGAGAGAGGUUACACCGCUGCAUAGAGGGGGGAAGAGUUGGUGAUGAUGGCAGUGAAGUUGUUGGUGAAGAUCGCGGUGAUGAUGAUGGCCCCCGGCGGCGUUCCGGCGCCACCGGAAGCAAGGGGGAGAGGGGCCCCCUUCUUCUUCUUCUUCCUUGACCUCCUCCCUAGAUGGGAGAAGGGUUUCCCCUCUGUUCCUUGGCUCCCAUGGCUUGGGAGGGGCGAGAGCCCCUUCGAGAUUGGAUCUAUCUCUCUGUUUCUGCGUUCCCUGAUUCUACCCCUUCACCGUUUCUUUUAUAUCCGGAGAUCCGUAACUCCGAUUGGGGUGAAUCUUUUGCUCAGAUCUUCCUUGUAAAAUUAGCUUUCUUGCGCCAGAAGGAGAGCAUCAACGGCCUUACGGGUGGAUCACGAGGGUCAGGGGCAUGCCUAGGGGGUAGGGCGCGCCCCCCUACCUCGUGACCACCUCGGAUACCGUUUCGCGUCGAUUUUACUUCCCAAAAAUCAUAAAUAUUCCAAAAAAAAAUCUCCGUCCGUUUUUAUCCUGUUUGGACUCCGUUUGAUAUUGGGUUUCUGCGAAACAAAAAACAUGCAACAGACAGGAACUGGCACUGGGCACUGGAUCAAUAUGUUAGUCCCAAAAAUAAUAUAAAAAGUUGCCAAAAAGUAUAUGAAAGUGAAUAAUAUUGGCAUGGUACAAUCAAAAAUUAUAGAUAUGACGGAGACGUGUCAGCGCACGUGUCGUAGUAGAGGCGCGCACGUAGCAUGUACACGUACGUAUAGCGGCCAGGGUGCAAGAAAGAAAAUACGGCCACGUAUGUGUACAUACUGGCGGGGUCUCGAAUGCCUACUCGCGCAUACGUACGGCCAGGACUCGUGUACAUGGCUGGGUCGGAACGGAGAAACAGCGUUAUCGUCGUGUUCAUGGGGAGGCAACGGAGUGCGUCGUGUUAAUGGGGAGGCAACGGAAUGCGUCGUGUUCAUCGGGAGGCAACAGAACGCGUGGGAGCCAACCGGCUUGGUUGGAACAUGCGACGGAAACGAGGCCUGGCGUACCGCACAAUGGAGGAAACGGACCUCCUACGUUCGAAACGUGGUCCUGUUGAUCAAGAGGGGUGUGGCGUACUGCAAAACGGAGGAAACGGACCUCCUACGGUCGAAACGGGGGUCCUGUUGAUCGGGAGAGGUGUGGCGUACCGCAAAACGGACGAAACGGACCUCCUACGGUCGAAACGGGGGUCCUGUUGAUCGGGAGGGGUGUGGCGUACCGCAAAACAGAUGAAAUGGACUUAUGUUGGAGCGCUACGGUCAAAACGGGGGUCCUGUUCAUCAGGAGGGGUGUGGCGUACUGCAAAAUGGGACUCCACGGGAUACUGUUCAUCUCCACCGUCGACCUCCUCCAGCCUCCACGGGCUACCAUCGACCUCCUCCAGCCUCCACGGGCUCCUGUUCAUCUAGCCUCCACUGCGCGCUACUCCACCGGCUACUGUUCAACCACCCCCUCCACGGGCACCCCUCCACCGUCUACUGUUCAUCCAGCCCUCCACACCAUGGGGUCUUGUUCAACCACCCCUCCACGGCCACCCCUCCACCGUCUAUUGUUCAUUCAGCCCUCCACACCACGGGGUCCUGUUCAUCCAGAGGCAACGCCACCGCUCACUGUUCAUCNNNNNNNNNNNNNNNNNNNNNNNNNNNNNNNNNNNNNNNNNNNNNNNNNNNNNNNNNNNNNNNNNNNNNNNNNNNNNNNNNNNNNNNNNNNNNNNNNNNNNNNNNNNNNNNNNNNNNNNNNNNNNNNNNNNNNNNNNNNNNNNNNNNNNNNNNNNNNNNNNNNNNNNNNNNNNNNNNNNNNNNNNNNNNNNNNNNNNNNNNNNNNNNNNNNNNNNNNNNNNNNNNNNNNNNNNNNNNNNNNNNNNNNNNNNNNNNNNNNNNNNNNNNNAUCCAAUUGAUCGGCUUCAGUUAGCAGCAGUAGCGAAAGAAUCGCUCCAUCGGGUUCAGUUAACAGCCAUUGAUCGAUCGCUCGGGUUUAGUAACGUGUAGCCUGCAGUGCAAUCGCUCGGGUUCAGUUAGAGCCCAACGCCUCGCUCGGUUCAGUUAGAGCCAAUGCCUCGCACACACGCGCGUAUGUGUACGAGAGAAACGCGCAUCGCGGCCCCCAACCUCCCACCGUAACCGGCAACUCCCUGAAAUUUUCCUCGCCCUCGCUUCCACCACGGUUUUUUCCAUCAUGGACGGCCCAAAGAAUGUCAUACAACUAUGUCUCCGGCCCGCCCAGGACGAAAAGCUCAUUUUCUGUCAUGAUUUUUUGUCAUAGAAGUAGGAGCCCACCACAUCUAUGAUGAUACCGGGUUUUGUCACAAUUAUCGUCACAGAAGUGUUAUAUGUAUGACAGAAAUUUUUUUCGUUCGGCCCAAAAUGUCACGGAUGUGUCUUUUUUUUGUAGUGCAGUAAGCACGAAGGGGAAUUAAACAAUGUAUGAGUUGAAGAGUUACUCUCAUUAGAAGGUGGGCACAGGUGAUCAAUCCGUUCUUCCUCCUUUUGUUCUUCACUCUCCUCCUCAUCUUUUUCAUCCAAUGAGCUCACAGUUUCAUCAACUUCUUCUUCCAUAGAUUCCUGCAAAAUAUUAGUCUCUCCUUGGACAGCAGAGACUUUCUCAAUAAGUGCAUUAAUUUCGUAAUUGUAUUCAUAAUUCUUAUAACAAUAUUUGAGGAUAGCUAAAUUUUUAGGUCUAUAAACAGCAUCAUCAAAAUCUUCAAACUCUUUAAACAUAGAUUCAAUUUCAUAAGCACCCAUAAAAGCAACAAAUUCUUCUAUUUGUUCCACAUCAUAAUAAUCAUAUAUACCAUUAGCAUAAAAAGCUAAGGUUUUAUUAUCAUUAAAUUUGCAUGAAAAGGGAAGGUGUGGAGCCUUCAUCCUAGAGCAACAAGUAUAAUCAUAACUCAAGCAUACUUGCCGAGCAUACCACUUCAAUAUAUGAAUUUGAUCCCAUAAUAGUUUCCCUUUUUGUGUCAAGCGGUAAUCCCUAAAGUAUUCACAUUGAUCCAACGUUACUCCCAUUACAUAAUUGAAUGGGGUUUUCUCAGGAUUAUCAAAGUAGUACAUAAUAUCUUUCACAUAACCAGCAUCGAGGGUUCUAGGAGGUUCCCCAUCUCCAUGGGUAGCAAGUACACCUAAUUUUUUUGGUAUUUCGUGUUCCAUAUCCAUAACAAAAGAUAGAUAACAACUAAGAACAACAAAUAAAAAUUACUUAGUGGUAAAGCAAACAAGCACACACGAGAAUAUUCACCCCACGCUAUGACUCCCCGGCAACGGCGCAAGAAAAAGGUCUUGAUAACCCACAAGUAUAGGGGAUAAAUUGUAGCCUCUUUCGAUAAGUAAGAGUGUCGAACCCAACGAGGAGCUAAAGGUAGAACAAAUAUUCCCUCAAGUUCUAUCGACCACCGAUACAACUCUACGCAUGCUUGACGUUCGCUUUACAUAGAACAAGUAUGAAACUAGAAGUACUUUGUAGGUGUUUUUGGAUAGGCUUGCAAGAAAGUAAAGAGCGAGAAAAUAAAAGCUAGGGGUUGUUUAGAUGAAGACACAACUAAAUUAGUUUUAGUAAAGAGCUUUUUGUCACGAGAAAGUUAUUUGUUCCUAGGCAAUCGAUAACUAGACCCGUAAUCAUUAUUGCAAUUUUAUUUGAGGAAGGGGCAUAAGUUAACAUACUUUCUCUACUUGGAUCAUAUGCACUUAUGAUUGGAACUCCAGCAAGCAUCCGCAACUACUAAAGAUCAUUAAGGUAAAACCCAACCAUAGCAUUGCUACGUCUCGAGCUUGCUUUGGUUUUCCCCGAAGAGGAGAGGAUGAUGCAGCACACUAGCGUAAGUAUUUCCCUCUGUUUUUGAGAACCAAGGUAUCAAUCCAGUAGGAGGUCACGCGCAAGUCCCUCAUACCUGCACAACACGAUAGCAACUCGCAACCAACGCUUAGGGGUUGUCAAUCCCUUCACGGUUACUUACGAGAGUGAGAUAUGAUAGAGAUAAUAUUUUUGGUAUUUUUGAUAGAUAGAUGCAAAGUAAAAAGUAAAGGAAAAGUAAAAGCAAAGCAAGUAAAUAAAGUGAUAUAGAAUGAUAUGAUGAGAAUAGACCCGGGGGCCAUAGGUUUCACUAGUGGCUUCUCCCAAGAGCAUAAGUAUUCUACGGUGGGUGAACAAAUUACUGUUAAGCAAUUGACAGAAUUGAGCAUAGUUAUGAGUAUAUCUAGGCAAUGAUCAUGUAUAUAGGCAUCACAUCCGUGACAAGUAGAUCGAAACGAUUCUGCAUCUACUACUAUUACUCCACUCAUCGACCGCUAUCCAGCAUGCAUCUAGAGUAUUAAGUUAAAAACAGAGUAACGCCUUAAGCAAGAUGACAUGAUGUAGAGGGAUAAAUUCAUGCAAUAUGAUAAAAAAACCAUCUUGUUAUCCUCGAUGGCAACAAUACAAUACGUGCCUUGCAACUCUUUCUGUCACUGAGUAAGGACACCACAAGAUUGAACCCAAAGCCAUGCACUUCUCCCAUUGCAAGAACUACCAAUCUAGUUGGCCAAACCAAAUGGAUAAUUCGAAGAGACUUGCAAAGAUAACUCAAUCAUACAUAAAAGAAUUCAGAGAAGAAUCAAAUAUUUUCCAUAGAUAAUACUGGAUCAUAAACCCACAAUUCAUCGGUCUCAACAAACACACCGCAAAAACAAGAUUACAUCGAAUAGAUCUCCAUGAGAGAGGGGGAGAACAUUGUAUUGAGAUCCAAAAAGAGAGAAGAAGCCAUCUAGCUACUAGAUAUGGACCCGAAGGUCUGAAGUAAACUACUCACACUUCAUCGGAGGGGCUAUGGUGAUGAUGUAGAAGCCCUGCAUGGUGGAUGCCCCCUCUGUCGGAGCUCCGGAACAGGCCCCAAGAUGGGAUCUCGUGGAUAUAGAAGGUUGCGGUGGUGGAAUUAGGAUUUUGGCUCCGUUUCUGGUCUAUUGGGGAUACGUAGGUAUAUAUAGGAGGAAGGAGUACAUCGGUGGAGCUCCGAGGGGCCCACGAGGUAGGGGGCGCGCCCAGGGGGCGCGCCCUCCACACUCGUGACCUCCUUGGAAGCUUCUUGGAGUAGGGUAUAAGUCUCCUGGAUCACGUUCAGUGAGAAAAUCACGUUCCCGAAGGUUUCAUUCCGUUUGGACUCCGUUUGAUAUUCCGUUUCUUCGAAAUACUGAAAUAGGCAAAAAACAGCAAUUCUGAGCUGGGCCUCCGGUUAAUAGGUUAGUCCCAAAAAUAAUAUGAAAGUGUAAAAUAAAGCCCAAUAUAGUCCAAAACAGUAGAUAAAGUAGCAUGGAGCAAUCAAAAAUUAUAGAUACGUUGGAGACGUAUCAAGCAUCGCCAAGCUUAAUUCCUGCUCGUCCUCGAGUAGGUAAAUGAUAAAAAAGAAUUUUUGAUGCGGAGUGAUACUUUGGCAUAAUUUCAAUGUAAAUCUUCUUAAUCAUGGUAUGAAUAUUCAGAUCCGAAAGAUUCAAGAUAAAAGUUCAUAUUGACAUAAAAAUAAUAAUACUUCAAGCAUACUAAUCAAAGCAAUUAUGUCUUCUCAAAAUAACAUGGACAAAGAAAGUUCAUCCCUACAAAAUCAUAUAGUUAGGCUAUGCUUCAUUUUCAUUACACAAAGAUGUUCCCAACUUCUAUACCCCCGAUGACAAGCCAAGCAAUUGUUUCAUACUCAAAUAAUCUCAAACUUUUUCAACCUUCACGCAAUACAUGAGCGCGAGCCAUGGAUAUAGCACUAUGGGUGGAAUAGAAUAUGAUGAUGGGGAUUGUGUGGAGAAGACAAAAAGGAGAAAGUCUCACAUUGACGAGGCUAAUCAACGGGCUAUGGAGAUGCCCAUCAAUUGAUGUCAACAUGAGGAGUAGGGAUUGCCAUGCAACGGAUGCACUAGAGCUAUGAAUGCACAACAAAAGAAAACUAGUGGGUGUGCAUCCAACUUGCUUGCUCAUGAAGACCUAGGGCAUUUGAGGAAGCCCAUCGUAGGAAUAUACAAGCCAAGUUCUAUAAUGAAAAAUUCCCACUAGUAUAAAAAGACAACUUAUGAGACUCACUACAUGAAGAACAAGGUGCUACUUUGAAGCACAAUAUAUGAGACUCACUACAUGAAGAACAAGGUGCUACUUUGAAGCACAAGUGUGGUAAAAGGAUAGUAACAUUGUCCCUUCUCUCUUUUUCUCUCAUUUUUUUAUUUGGGCCUUUUCUCUUUUUUAUGGCCUCUUUUUUUUAUUAUUAUUUGGGCUUCUUUGGCCUCUUUUUUUUCGUCCGGAGUCUCAUCCCGACUUGUGCGGGAAUCACAGUCUCCAUCAUCCUUUCCUCACUUGGGACAAUGCUCUAAUAAUGAUGAUCAUCACACUUUUAUUUUUCUUACAACUCAACAAUUACAACUCGAAACUAGAACAAGACAUGACUCUAUAUGAAUGCCUCCGGCGGUGUACCGGGAUGGUGCGAUGAAUCAAAAGUGACAUGUAUGAAAAAUAAUGCAUGGUAGCUUUGCCACAAAUACGAUGUCAACUACAAGAUCAUGCAAUGGCAAUAUGACAAAAGUAAAGUAUGUCAUGAUGAACGGAACAGUGGAAAGUUGCAUGGCAAUAUAUCUGGGAAUGGAUAUGGAAAUGCCAUAAUAGGUAGGUAUGGUGGCCGUUUUGAGGAAGAUAUAAGGAGGUUUAUGUGUGAAAGAGUGUAUCAUAUCACGGGGUUUGGAUGCACCGGCGAAGUUUGCACCAACUCUCAAUGUGAGAAAGGGCAAUGCACGGUACCGAAGAGGCUAGCAAAGGCGGAAAGGUGAGAGUGCGUAUAAUCCAUGGACUCAACAUUAGUCAAAAGAACUCAUAUACUUAUUGCAAAAAUUUAGAAGCCAUCAAAAAUCAAGUACUAUGCACAACGCUCCUAGGGGGAUAGAUUGGUAGGAAAAGACCAUCGCUCGUCCCCGACCGCCACUCAUAAGGAUGCACAAGCCAGGUACACUUCAUGCUUCAAAUUUGUUACACAACUUUAUCCAUAUGUGCAUGCUACGGGACUUACAAACUUCAACACAAGUAUUUCUCAAUUUCACAACUACUCAACUAGCACGACUUUGAUAUUAUUACCUCCAUAUCUCAAAACAAUUGCUAAGCAUUGAAUUUAUCUUAGUAUUCAAUUCACUCAAAAGAAAGUUUCACAUAUCUUGAACACUAAGUAUAUUAACAUUAAGCAAAUUACCAUGCUAAUAAUGACUCUCAAAAUAAUCUAAGUGAAGCAUGAGAGAUCAAGUUUCUUUAAAACAAAUCCACCACCGUGCUCUAAAAGAUCUAAAUAAAGCACUAGAGCAAAAACUAUCAAACUCAAAAGAUAUAUGUGAAGCACAUAGAGUAUUCUAACAAAUUCCAAAUCAUGUAUGGCUCUCUCAAAAGGUGUGUACAGCAAGGAUGAUUGCGGUAGACUAACAAGCAAAGACACAAAUAAUACAAGACGCUCCAAGCAAAACACAUAUCAUGUUGGUGAAUAAAAAUAUAGCUCCAAGUAAAUUACCGAUGGAAGUGGACGAAAGAGGGGAUGCCUUCCGGGGCAUCCCCAAGCUUUGACUUUUUGGUGUCCUUGUAUUAUCUUGGGGGUGCCAUGUUCAUCCCCAAGCUUAGGCUCUUGCCACUCCUUGUUCCAUAAUCCAUCAAAAGAAUUCACCCAAAACUUGAAAACUUCACAACACAAAACUCAACAGAAAUCUCGUGAGCUCCAUUAGAGAAAGAAAACAAAAGACUACUUCAAGGUACUGUAAUGAAGUCAUUCUUUAUUUAUAUUGGUUUUAAGCCUACUGUAUUCCAACUUCUAUAUGGUUUAUAAACUAAUUUACUAGCCAUAGAUUCAUCAAAAUAAGCAAACAACACACGAAAAACAGAAUCUGUCAAAAACAGAACAGUCUGUAGUAAUCUGUAACUAACGCAAACUUCUGGAACUCUACAAUUUCUACAAAAAUAGGAAGUCCUGGAAAAUCUGUUUAUUGAUCAGAAGCAAAAAGAAUCAACGCAAAAGCACUCUCCAGUAAAAAAUGACAACUAAUCUCGGUAGCGCUAAAGUUUCUGUUUUUCAGCAGAAUCAAAUCAACUAUCAUCGUAGGUUAUCCUAUAGGUCUUACUUGGCACAAACACUAAUUAAAACAUAAAACCACAUCCAAACAGAAGGUAGAUGGAUUAUUUAUUACUAAUCAUAAGCAAAAACAAAAAACACAAAAUAAAAUUGGGUUGCCUCCCAACAAGCGCUAUCGUUUAACGCCCCUAGCUAGGCAUAAAAGCAAGGAUAGAUCUAGGUUGUGCCGUAAUAAUAAGAUAGAUCUUGAAAGCUCAUCUCGUAUUCCCUAUGUUCGGCAGCAAGUUUCCUUUGAGGCAAGAAAAAAUAAUCAAAAGGGCUAAAUUUAGCGGGACAAAAAUCCCCAAGAUCAAUCACGGGAGGAACGGGUUCCUCCCUUGGCCCUUCAUAGUGCACAACUAUUUCAUCACUGAAAGCAUUCUUUUGGCAAAAUAUUGUGAGCUUAUACUCGAGAGAGUAUCCUAGCUCAUUAUUUCUAAGGGCAAAAUCAUUAUUAAGCUCGUUAAUGCAAUCAACUAAGACAUUGAUAGGGACCUUUUUUCUAAGGUUUUCAUUGAAAGUGACAUAGUCCGAAGAUUGAAAACGUCUAAUUUCCUCUUGAUCAUAGAGGAUUGCUUAUAUGGGUGGACGACCGGCGUCCACCCUAUAGUGCGAAAAGAUUUCUUUGGCUUCUCUUAUGAUAAAUCUAAAUUCAUGAGCCAAAAAGAUAGUAACUACGCGCUAAAUAGAAUAGUGCUCAAUAUUAGAGAAUUCUAAGAAAAUUCUCUGUAUGCAAGGGUGCAUAUGCAUAAAUUGUCUUUCAAGUUCAACCACAAGCAUAGCUAUAGCAUCCGCAAGGCUACUGGUUCUAUGAAGAAUAGAACAGCCCAUGGAAGGUAAAGCACCGACACAAGUAAAAAAUCUUGAAUAACGCCUUUGCCAAUGAUGUUACCACUACCGAUUCGAAACUUUUUGGUAUGCAAGAUGGGAGGUUCAUCGGCCGGAGCCUUGGGAUUUUCUGUAUUAUCCUUAUUGUCCAUAUCGACGAUAAUCUCCCCAAUUUCAGACAUAGCGGUAGAAAAAGUAAGGCGGAAGAAACCAAACAAAAGGGAAAGGAGGAGGAGAUUGGGAAAGAGAGCGCGAAUAAAACGGCAAGGGUGAAGUGGGGGAGAGGAAAACGAGAGGCAAAUGGCAAAUAAUAUAAUGCGAGAGAUAGGGAUUGCGAUGGGUACUUGGUAUGUUGACUUUUGCGUAAGCCUCCUGGGCAACGGCGCCAGAAAUUCUUCUUGCUACGUCUCGAGCUUGCGUUGGUUUUCCCCGAAGAGGAGAGGAUGAUGCAGCACAAUAGCGUAAGUAUUUCCUUCAGUUUUUGAGAACCAAGGUAUCAAUCCAGUAGGAGGUCACGCGCAAGUCCCUCGUACCUGCACAACACGAUAGCAACUCGCAACCAACGCUUAGGGGUUGUCAAUCCCUUCACGGUUACUUACAAGAGUGAGAUAUGAUAGAGAUCAUAUUUUUGGUAUUUUUGAUAGAUAGAUGCAACGUAAAAAGUAAAGGCAAAGUAAAAGCAAACCAAGUAAAUAAAUUGAUAUAGAUUGAUAUGAUGAGAAUAGACCCGAGGGCCAUAGGUUUCACUAGUGGCUUCUCCAAGAGCAUAAGUAUUCUACGGUGGGUGAACAAAUUACUGUUGAGCAAUUGACAGAAUUGAGAAUAGUUAUGAGUAUAUCUAGGCAAUGAUCAUGUAUAUAGGCAUCAUGUCUGUGACAAGUAGAUCGAAACGAUUCUGCAUCUACUACUAUUACUCCACUCAUCGACCGCUAUCCAGCAUGCAUCUAGAGUAUUAAGUUAAAACAGAGUAACGCCUUAAGCAAGAUGACAUGAUGUAGAGGGAUAAAUUCAUGCAAUAUGAUAAAUAAAACCAUCUUGUUAUCCUCGAUGGCAACAAUACAAUACGUGCCUUGAAACUCUUUCUGUCACUGAGUAAGGACACCGCAAGAUUGAACCCAAAGCCAUGCACUUCUCCCAUUGCAAGAACUACCAAUCUAGUUGGCCAAACCAAACGGAUAAUUCGAAGAGACUUGCAAAGAUAACUCAAUCAUACAUAAAAGAAUUCAGAGAAGAAUCAAAUACUUUCCAUAGAUAAUACUGGAUCAUAAACCCACAAUUCAUCGAUCUCAACAAACACACCGCAAAAAGAAGAUUGCAUCGAAUAGAUCUCCACGAGAGAGGGGGAGAACAUUGUAUUGAGAUCCAAAAAGAGAGAAGAAGCCAUCUAGCUACUAGCUAUGGACCCGAAGGUCUGAAGUAAACUACUCACACUUCAUCGGAGGGGCUAUGAUGAUGAUGUAGAAGCCCUCCGUGGUGGAUGCCCCCUCCGGCGGAGCUCCGAAACAGGCCCCAAGAUGGGAUCUCGUGGAUACAGAAGGUUGCGGCGGUGGAAUUAGGUUUUUGGCUCCAUUUCUGGUCUAUUGGGGAUACGUAGGUAUAUAUAGGAGGAAGGAGUAUGUCGGUGGAGCACCGAGGGGCCCACAAGGUAGGUGGGCGCGCCCAGGGGGCGCGCCCUCCACCCUCGUGACCUCCUCGGAAGGUUCUUGGAGUAGGGUCCAAGUCUCUUGGAUCACGUUCGGUGAGAAAAUCACGUCCCCGAAGGUUUCAUUCCGUUUGGACUCCGUUUGAUAUUCCGUUUCUUCGAAAUACUGAAAUAGGCAAAAAAACAACAAUUCUGGGCUGGGCCUCCGGUUAAUAGGUUAGUCCCAAAAAUAAUAUAAAAGUGGAAAAUAAAGCCCAAUAUAUUCCAAAACAGUAGAUAAAGUAGCAUGGAGCAAUCAAAAAUUAUAGAUACGUUGGAGACGUAUCAAGCAUUAAGGCAGCAAGUCCCCUUUAUCCCAACAACCUACUUACUCGGGUCUGUGCUUCUGUCACUCACGCCACCCACCAUAAGCAAAUCAUGAACAUAUUGCAAAUCCUACAGCGGGAAUCCCUCACGCUUGCGCGACACGGAGAGCACCAUAGGACAGCACCAAUAAUAAAACAUGCAACUCAAACAAUUCUUGAUCAUCAAAUAGCCCAUAGGACAAAACGGAUCUAGUCAAACAUCAUAGGAUAGCCAUACAUCAUUGGGAAAUAAUAUAUAGCAUUGAGCACCAUGUUUAAGUAGAGAUUACAGCGGGUAAGAGAGAGGUUACACCGCUGCAUAGAGGGGCGAAGAGUUGGUGAUGAUGGUGGUGAAGUUGUUGGUGAAGAUUGCGGUGAUAAUGCUGGCCACGGCGGUGUUCCGGCGCCACUGGAAGAGAAGGGGAGAGGGGGCCCCUUCGUCUUCUUCUUCCUUGACCUCCUCCCUAGAUGGGAGAAGGGUUUCCCCUCUGGUCCUUGGCCUCCAUGGCGUGGGAGGGGCGAGAGCCCCUCCGAGAUUGGAUCUAUCUCUCUGUUUCUCUCUGUUUCUGCGUUCUGUUUCACCGUUUCGUGUAUAUAUGGAGAUCCGUAACUCCGAUUGGCCUGAAACCUUCGCCGUGAUUUUUUUUCCGAAAAUUAGCUUUCUUGCGGCGAAAGAAGAGCGUCAACCGCCUUACAAGUGGGUCAUGAGGGUCAGGGGCGUGCCCUAGGGGGGGCCUACCUCGUGCCCACCUCGGACACUGGUUCGCGUUGAUUUUUCCUCCAGAUUUUCCAAAUGUUCCGAAAAGUAUCUCCGUCCGUUUUUAUCCCGUUUGGACUCCGUUUGAUAUGGAUAUUCUGCAAAACCAAAAACAUGCAACAGACAGGAAUUGGCACUAGGCACUGGAUCAAUAUGUUAGUCCCAAAAAUAGUAUAAAAAGUUGCCAAAAAGUAUAUGAAAGUUGAAUAAUAUUGGCAUGGAACAAUCAAAAAUUAUAGAUACGACGGAGACGUAUCAAUGAUCAAGUUUAUCUAUGAAUAAUAUUUGAAUCUUCUCUGAAUUCUUUUAUGUAUGAUUGAGUUAUCUUUGCAAGUCUCUUCGAAUUAUCAGUUUGGUUUGGCCAACUAGAUUGAUCUUUCUUGCCAUGGGAGAAGUGCUUAGCUUUGGGUUCAAUCUUGCGGUGUCCUUACCCAAUGAUAGAAAGGGUUGCAAGGCACGUAUUGUAUUGUUGCCAUCGAGGAUCACAAGAUGGGGUUUAUAUCAUAUAGCUUGAAUUUAUCCCUCUACAUCAUGUCAUCUUGCUAAAUGCGUUACUCUGUUCUUUAUGAACAUAAUACUCUAGAUGCAGGAAGUAGUCGGCCGAUGUGUAGAGUAAUAGUAGUAGAUGCAGGCAGGAGUCGGUCUACUUGUUGCGGACGUGAUGCCUAUAUACAUGAUCAUGCCUAGAUAAUCUCAUAAUUAUUCGCUUUUCUAUCAAUUGCUCGACAGUAAUUUGUUCACCCACCGUAAUACGCACCCACCGUAAUACUUAUGCUAUCUUGAGAGAAGACACUAGUGAAACCUAUGACCCCCGGGUCUAUCUUUUAUCAUAUUUGCUUCCAAUCUACUUUUAUUUGCAUCUUUACUUUUUGCAUCUAUAUUAUAAAAUACCAAAAAUAUAUUUAUCUUAUCUUACUAUCUUUAUUAGAUCUCACUUUCGUAAGUGGCCGUGAAGGGAUUGACAACCCCUUUAUUGCAUUGGUUGCGAGUUCUUUGUUUGUUUGUGUAAGUGAGUGGGACUUUUGAGGAGCCUCCUACUGGAUUGAUACCUUGGUUCUCAAAAACUGAGGAAAAUACUUACGCUACUAUUGCCGCAUCACCCUUUCCUCUUCAAGGAAAACCAACGCAAGCUCAAGACGUAGCAUGCUCGGUGACGAGAUCUAGAGGGAUAGGAUCGAACAGGAGGUGGAGAUGCAGCUGCCAGUACCCAUUGUCGGUGUCAAAACCAGCGGAUCUCGGGUAGGGGGGGCAGAACUGUGCAUCUAAGGCUAAUGGUAACAUGAGGCAGGGGACACAAUGUUUACCCAGGUUCGGGCCCUCUCGACGUAGGUAAUACCCUACUUCCUGCUUGGUUGAUCUAGAUGAUAUGAGUAUUACAAGAGUUGAUCUACCACGAGAUCAUAGAGGCUAAACCCUAGAAGCUAGCCUAUGAUUAUGAUUGUUCUUGUCCAACGGACUAAACCCUUCGGUUUAUAUAGACACCAGAGGGGCUAGGGUUACACAGAGUCGGUUACAGAGAAGGAGAUCUAUAUAUACGAAUUGCCAAGCUUUCCUUCCAUGCAAAGGAGAGUCCCACCCGGACACGGGACGAAGUCUUCAACCUUGUAUCUUCAUAGUCCAACAGUACGGCCAAAGUAUAUAGUCCGGUUGUCCGAGGACCCCCUAAUCCAGGACUCCCUCAGUAGCCCCUGAACUAGGCUUCAAUGACGAUGAGUCCAGCGCGCAGAUUGUCUUCGGCAUUGCAAGGCGGGUUCCUUCUUCGAAUACUCCAUAGAAGAUUUUGAACACAAGGAUCGUGUCCGGCUCUGCAAAAGAAAUUCCACAUACUACCGUAGAGAGUACAAUAUUCCAAAAAUCUAAUCUGCUGACAACUUUUCAUAGCGUGACAUCACGCUGCGGCCUGGUCAUUAUCCGAACCGUUUUCCAACCUACUAUCGCACAUAUCACGAGGCGGUUUAUCGGCACGUCUUGUCGAAGCAGAGAUCGUGUCCCCUUAUCACGGGAUUUUCAUCAAUACGGGUUUGGGUAACCCAACCGUGCCAUCAACGCGGCGCUUGGGGAACAAGCGAGUUUACCGGGCAACUGGGGAGGCGCAGGAUCCCUGCCGCCUUUAUAAAGAGAUAAGGGCUCCCCUUUUUCACCCAUGCCUUCUUCUUCCUCUGCUUAUCCAUUCUAUCUCGCCCGAGCUCUAGCGCCCAAGCAUUCGUCUUCUCUGCCCACAAAGGCCCUCCGGAAAUGUCCGGAUCCGGAGCAGGAGGCAAGUGGAUGGCCUCUACCAUCCGGGAAAAGGAUAUCAAAAAGCUUCGGGAGGCUGGGUAUCUGGCUAAUAACAUCAGGCAUCGUCUCCCGAUGGCGGGACAGAUCGUCCCAACCUCGGAACCCCAUGAGAGGGUUGUAUUCCUCCCUCACUUUGUCCGCGGGUGAGGGAGUCCUGGAUUAGGGGGUAUCCGGACGGCCGGACUAUAUUCUUCGUCCGAACUAUUGUAGCGUGAAGAUACAAGACUCAAGACUACGCCCCCUUUCCGGAUGGGACUCUCCUUUGUGUGGAAGACAAGCUUGGCGAUCCGAAUAUUAUAUUUCCUUCCUUGUAAUCGACUCAAUGUAAACCCUAGCCCUCUCCGGUGUCUAUAUAAACCAGAGAGGUUGGUCCUUAGAAGGACGAUCAGAAUCAUACACAUCAUAGACUAGCUUCUAGGGUUUAGCCUCUACGAUCUCGUGGUAGAUCAACUCUUGUACUACUCAUAUCAUCAAUAUCAAUCAAGUAGGAAGUAGGGUUUUACCUCCAUCGAGAGGGCCCGAACCUGGGUAAACAUUGUGUCCCUUGCCUCAUGUUACCAUUAGCCUAAGACGCACAGAUCGGGACCCCCUACCCGAGAUCCGCCGGUUUUGACACCGACAUUGGUGCUUUCAUUGAGAGUUCCUUUGUGUCGUUGCUGCAAGGCUCGAUGGCUCCUUCAAUCAUUGUCAACAACAUGGUCCAGGGUGAGACUUUUCUUCCGGGAUAGAUCUUCGUGUUCGGCGGCUUCGCACUGCGGGCCAAUUCGCUUGGACAACUGGAGCAGAUCGACAGCUACGCCCCUGGUCACCAGGUCAGAUUCAGAAACCUGAACUACACGGCCAAUAUCCGCGGAGACUUGAUCUUCAACGGGUUCAGGCCUGCGCCAGGAGCGCCGGACAAUCACGAUGAGCACGGCUUAGACCUGCUGUCGGAUAACGCUCGGGAUAUCACCCCUGUAGUAGCCCCGGACCUAAAUCCGGAGCAGAUUGUGUUGCCCAAGGACGGGUGGAUGGACCCCGUCCUGCAAGACGCACACUCAUCGGCGGUAGAGCCGAACACAGGCCUCACCCCUAAAGAAGCCUGUGACACUGGACCCCCGGACUCGUAUCCGGCUGUAGGUUCCAGUCUGCGCGCUCCCGAGCCCGCCGAACCUGGUUGGGCUCCAGUAAUGGAGUUCACCGCCGCGGAGAUCUUCCAGCACUCGCCCCUUGGCGACGUACUGAACUCCUUAAAAUCCCUCUCUUAGUCAGGAGAAUCUCGGCCAAACUAUGUCCGGCUCGAGUGGCAAGCAGGCGACGAAGGAAUUCGUUGCCAACCCACCACCAACUUCAUUGCCACGGUCGAUGAUUUAACUGACGUGCUUGACUUCGACUCUGAAGACAUCGAUGGUAUGGACGACGAUGCAGGAGAAGAACAGGAACCACCGCUCAUGGGGCAGUGGACAGCCACCUCCUCAUAUGAUAUGUAUAUAUGGUGGACACUCCGACGAAAACCAAUGGCGACGAGGCAAUGGAGGAUAACCCCUCGGGGAAGAAAGCUAAGCAUGGGCGGCGUCAACGCCACUCCAAGCCCCGCCACAACAAUACCGGCAUAGGAAACGAGAACAAUCUGAAUGGUGCCAAAGAUGAAUACAACCCUGAUCAACCUGCCUUCAAGCAGGCCGGACUGGCCAUGGUCGGAUACUUAGAGAGGAACAACAAUAUGCCCCCUCCGAAGACGAGGUAAGCCUUGCCGAUGAUGAAUUCGGCGUGCCUGAGGAUCCCGUGGAACAAGUUCGCUUCAAGCAACGGCUCACGGCCACUGCGAGGAGCCUGCAAGGAAAGCAACAGCAGCUCAAAGUUAACCAAGAUUUGCUCAUGGACAGAUGGACCAAGGUCCUGGCCACCGAGGAACACGGACUCGACCGCCCCGACAAAGGGCACACACGGCACAAUUUUCUACCUCAACCUAAGAAGGAGAACCUAAGGCACAUACCCCGACGUCAACAUACCACCACGAUCCAAGACAAUACGAAGGAAACACGAGGAGGCAUCCUCAAGCCUCGGCGCAAUCGUCAUAAAUGUCAAGUCAGGGAAGUUGGUGCCGAAUUCCGCGGCCCCCAGUCCGGUCAGCGGAAAAAGAACAGCUCGGGCCAAUUCGGCCCUUGCAGCAUACUAGAUCAACCAUGUGAAAUUCAUGGUACCCCCAGAAGGGCGACCAAGCAUACCAAUAGAGAAUGUCGGAUCUUCCAAACAAAACGGCCGAUCUUGCCCCCGAAACAAUGAAGGGAGGUCUCAAACAACAAAAGACCAUUCAAACAUGGUGAGGAAGAUCCCCUCACAGUACAAAAAUACGGCCGAUCGUCCCUUAUCACAUCGAUCGUCCGGACAACACCAGCCAUAGCAAUUUUAUUGCACUCACUAUCUACCCAGUGGCUUGGGGGCUCCAUUUUACAUGAGCCCCCACAGGCAUAAAACUAUUAAUAACAUCUCCUCAAAGAUGCAAGGUGCAAAGGCCAGGUUUUAACUGACUCACCAUAUUAAUGGUUGUCUUCGAAUCACCAAACAAAUACCACACUGAAGAAUAAGUCUUCAGCAUUAUCCCCUUAUAUAGUGAUUACCACAUACUACCGGGACAAACCACGUUGGCUAGAUUCAACGAGGUACAACAUCAGGCCAGUCCCGCAUGACAUAGUCACAGCUAUGGGCAAGGCCGAACCCCACCAUUAGAGUGGCAAUCAUACCGCCGCUGGAAUAGCGAGUCGUGCAUGUUUAUCAAAUUUUUAUUUGGCAGCCAAACACCCGGACACCAAUUCAGGAAUCGGAACUACUUUAUGGCAUGGUUCAGCCAGGCUCCGCUCAGGCACCCGCGAUUCAACCACAACGGUAUAUGCAGAUGCCUUUAAAGCAUUUGUCUUUACAGACUAACUUUGGCGCAGAACAAGACUGGCGGCGCGGAAUCAGCUUGGACGCACAAGGCAGGCAGUCCGGAUACACCUCAGAUCCACACACAGCCUCCUCCAGUCCGGUCACGACAGGUUCUGCCAAAAACACUCCCUUUCAUAAGCAUAAAACGCACUCAUAUGCAUAGACAUGCCAUUUUACUACAAUGCGUAGACUUAAAUAACAUUUACCGGUUUCUCAUUGACGCCUCUUUUUCACAAACAGCACCCACGCCUUGUGUUAUGCCCGAUUAUGCCAGGGGCUUCAUAGUACGGCAAUAAAGUCCGACCACCUUUUCGGUCGCUCGGCACCCCAAACAUAUAGCACUAUAUGCAUCAGCUCCGAAUCAUGUCUUGGGUCAUUAGUUGGGUUUGCCCGGCUCCCAUGUUUUGGUACCUUACGUUCCGCCCAAUCGGCUAAGGUAGCGCUGGGAGAACUACUGCGAUUGUGUCCUGGUUCUUCCGGACGAGCACCUCAGUAGAGAAAGCCGAAAACUGACUGUCAUGAUAUAGCGAGAGCUGGUCAGCUGUUCGAGAGGUUGUAAAAUCUUUAAGGAUUUAUUCCGCAUAAUGCCAUUAUAAAUGCAAAGUGCGAUGGAUCAGUCUUCCGACCAAGCGCCGAUAGAGCCCCUAGUUCGGCCUUCCGAACACUAGGGGCUGCUGAGGGAGUCUUGGAUUAGGGGGUAUCCGGACAGUCGAACUGUAUACAUCGUCCGGACUAUUGAAGCGUGAAGAUACAAGACUCAAGACUUCAUCUCGUGUCCGGAUGGAAUUCUCCUUGGCGUGGAAGGCAAGCUUGGCGAUCCGGAUAUUAUAUUUCCUUCCUUGUAACCGACUCCGUGUAAACCCUAGCCUUCUCCGAGUCUAUAUAAACCGGAGAGGUUGGUCCUUAGAAGGCCGAUCACAAUUACAAUCAUACCAUCACAGGCUAGCUUCUAGGGUUUAGCCUCUACGAUCUCGUGGUAGAUCUACUCUUGUACUACCCAUAUCUUCAAUAUUAAUCAAGCAGGAAGUAGGGUUUUACCUCCAUCGAGAGGGCCCGAACCUGGGUAAAUAUUGUGUCCCUUGCUUCCUGUUACCAUCAGCCUAAGACACACAGAUCGGGACCCCCUACCCGAGAUCCGCCGGUUUUGACACCGACAUUGGUGCUUCCAUUGAGAGUUCCUCUGUGUCGUCGCUACAGGGCUCGAUGGCUCCUCCAGUCAUCGUCAACAACACGAUCCCAGGUGAGACCUUUCUCCCCGGACAGAUCUUCGUGUUCGGCGGCUUCGCCCUGCGGGCCAACUCGCUUGGCCAUUUGGAGCAGAUCGACAGCUACGCCCCUGGCCACCAGAUGAAGUUCGGAAACCUGAACUACACGACGGACAUUCGCAGAGACUUGAUCUUCGACGGAUUCGGACCUAUGCCAGGAGCACCGGACAGUCACGACGAGCACGGCUUAGACCUGCUGUCGGACAAAGCUCGGGGUAUCACCCCCGCAGUAGCCCCGGACCUAAAUCCGGAGUAGGCUGCGCUACCUAAGGAUGGAGGGAUGGACCCCGCCCCACAGGUCGCACACUCAUCAGCGGUGGAGCCGAACACGGGUCUUACCUCUGUGGUGGCCUAUGACUCCGGACCCCCGGAUUCGUAUCUGGACGUUGGUUCCAGUCCGCGCACUCCCGAGCCAGUCGAGCCAGGUUGGGCUCCGGUAAUGGAGUUCACCGUUGCGGAUAUCUUCCAGCACUCGCCCUUUGGCGACAUGCUGGACUCAUUAAAGUCUCUCUCUUUGUCAGGAGGCUCUUGGCCGAACUAUGUCUGGCUCGAGUGGGAGGCAGGCGAUGAAGGAAUUUGUUGCCCACCCACCACCCACUUCAUUGCCACGGUCGAUGAUUUAACCGAGGUACUGGACUUCGAAUCCGAAGACAUAUGGACAACGAUGCAGGAGAAGAACAUGAACCACCGCUCACUAGGCGGUGGACAGCCACCUCUUCCUAUGAUAUAUNNNNNNNNNNNNNNNNNNNNNNNNNNNNNNNNNNNNNNNNNNNNNNNNNNNNNNNNNNNNNNNNNNNNNNNNNNNNNNNNNNNNNNNNNNNNNNNNNNNNNNNNNNNNNNNNNNNNNNNNNNNNNNNNNNNNNNNNNNNNNNNNNNNNNNNNNNNNNNNNNNNNNNNNNNNNNNNNNNNNNNNNNNNNNNNNNNNNNNNNNNNNNNNNNNNNNNNNNNNNNNNNNNNNNNNNNNNNNNNNNNNNNNNNNNNNNNNNNNNNNNNNNNNNNNNNNNNNNNNNNNNNNNNNNNNNNNNNNNNNNNNNNNNNNNNNNNNNNNNNNNNNNNNNNNNNNNNNNNNNNNNNNNNNNNNNNNNNNNNNNNNNNNNNNNNNNNNNNNNNNNNNNNNNNNNNNNNNNNNNNNNNNNNNNNNNNNNNNNNNNNNNNNNNNNNNNNNNNNNNNNNNNNNNNNNNNNNNNNNNNNNNNNNNNNNNNNNNNNNNNNNNNNNNNNNNNNNNNNNNNNNNNNNNGGAAACAAAUGGCGAUGAGGCAACGGAGGAUAAAACCUCAGGGAAAAAAGCAAAGAAUGGGCGUCGUCGGCGCCACUCCAAGCCCCGCCACAGCAAUACAGGCCCAGGAGACGAAAACAAUCCGAAUGGUGCCAAAGAAGAAUACAACCCUGAUCAGCCCGCCUUUGAGCAGGCCGAAUAGGAAGAUGAGCAGGUCAACCCAGAAGAAUAGGCGACGGACGAAUACCUAGAGGAGGACAACUACAUGCCCCCCUCCGAAGACGAGAUUAGCCUCGGCGACGACAAGUUUGGCGUGCCUGAGGAUCCCGUAGAGCAGGAGCGCUUCAAGCAUCGACUUAUAGCCACUGUGAGGAGCCUGAAAAAGAAGCAGCAUCAACUCCAAGCUGAUCAAGACCUGCUCACAGACAGAUAGACUGAAGUCCUGGCAGCCGAGGAAUAUGGACUCGAGUGCCAUACGGCUGACCGGCCACCUCGUGGCCGGGAUAAAACGGCAUAUCAGCCCGCAUACCAGCCAGCACCCCCACGCCAACAUACCACGGCCCAGGGCAAUAGGCAGGACCUGCAAGAUAUACUGGAAAACAGAGCAGGACAGCCAAGAUCGAUCUACGGAUCGCAAGGGCCUGCCUCAGCACGCGACGAUGACCGUCACGCCGGAUACACCUUCAACAAGUCCGGCCGGGCCGGACAUAGCCACCCAGAGCAAUUCAAACUGCGUAGCCACAUAGCCCGGCACAGAGGCGCAUCGCACCCCCUCUGCUUCACCGACGAAGUGAUGGAUCAUGAAUUCCCAGAAGGGUUCAAACCCGUAAACAUUGAAUCAUACAAUGACACAACAGACCCGCGGUAUGGAUCGAAGAUUUCCUUCUCCACAUUCACAUGGCCCGCGGAGACGAUCUACACACCAUCAAGUAUCUCCUCCUUAAGCUCAAAGGACCAGCCAGGCACUGGCUAAACAGUUUGCCAGCAGAUUCCAUUGGCUGCUGGGAAAACCUGGAAGACGCAUUCCUCAACAAAUUCCACGGCACAUAUGUGUGACCACCAGAUUCUGAUGACCUGAGCCACAUUACUCAAAAACCCGGAGAGUCAACCAGGAAAUUCUGGACUCGGUUCCUAACUAAAAAGAACCAAACAGUUGACUGUCCGGACGCCGAAGCCCUGGCGGCUUUUAAGCACAAUAUCCGUGACGAGUGGCUUGCCCGACACCUCGGCCAGGAAAAACCCAAGUCAAUGGCAGCUCUCACAACACUAAUGACCCGCUUUUGCGUGGGCGAGGACAGCUGAUUGGCUCGCAGCAGCACUACGCCACAUUCUGGCACUCCGGACGGCCGCGGCAAUAACGACAAGCCAUGGCGUAAUAGACAUAAGCGACAGAACAACGAUGACAGCACUGAAGACACGGCAGUCAACGCCAGAUUCAGCGGAUCCAAGUCUGGUCAGCGGAAGAAGCCGUUCAAAAGAAAUAAUCAGGGAUUGUCUAGUCUAAACCGUAUACUGGAGCGCUCAUGCCAAAUUCAUGGCACCCCGGACAAGCCAGCCAACCACACCAAUAGAGACUGCUGGGUGUUCAAACAGGCCGGCAAAAUAAACGCCAAAAACAAGGACAAGGGGCUACACAGCGACGAUGACGAAGAGCCCCGGCGUCCGAACAUGGGGGGACAGAAGAAAUUUCCCCCCUAGGUGAAAACGGUCAACAUGAUUUAUGCCACACACAUUCCCAAGCGGGAACGGAAGCGAGCACUACGAGACGUCUAUGCAAUGGAGCCAGUCGCCCUCAAAUUUAACCCAUGGUCAGCUUGCCCGAUCACCUUUGACCGUAGGGAUCACCCUACUAGCAUCCGUCAUGGCGGCUCAACCGCAUUGGUCCUAGACCCAAUCAUCGACGGAUUCCACCUCACGCAAGUCCUUAUGGAUGGUGGCAGCAGCCUGAACCUGCUUUAUCAGGACACAGUGUGCAAAAUGGGCAUUGACCCUUCAAGGAUCAAGGCCACCAAAACCACCUUUAAAGGUGUGAUUCCUGGAGUAGAGGCCCGUUGCACGGGCUCUAUAACAUUGGAAGUGGUCUUCGGAUCUCCGGAUAACUUUCGAGGCGAAGAGUUAAUCUUCGAUAUCGUCCCUUUCCGCAGUGGUUACCACGCACUGCUCGGACGAACUGCAUUCGCUAGAUUCAAUGCGGUACCACACUACGCAUACCUCAAGCUCAAGAUGCCAGGACCACGCGGGGUCAUAACAGUGAAUGGAAAUAUGGACCGCUCUCUCCAAACAGAAGAGCAUACUGCAGCCCUCGCGGUGGAAGUACAAUGCGGCCUCCUCCGACAAACCCAUCCGGCAACAACAACUUCAAGCACCGUCAAGAGAGUCCGGAGCACCCCGCAACAGGAUCAUCAGGCACGCCAAGAGCGCGACUAGUAGUCCGGCCUCCGCUUAAGCCCCAUCAAAGCAGCAUUCGUGCCACGCGUACACAAUUACGCACUCAAGAUACCAUGGGCGUAGGCGGAGGCGCAACAACGACUCAGUCAACAGUGCGGGAUAACCGCCACAUACCUUCAUAACCUGUCCUUAUUCUUUUUCAGGACAUUGCUUUAGAGCAGCCUCUUCAGAAGAGCCGGAUUGUCGGACUUACAUAGGAGAGAAAACCAAGGAGGCAACAGGCUUCGCACACAGAAGGAAACACCCAGGUGGAAUCUAUUUACGAUCGUUAUACCUGUUUUAUACAUCCUUACGCGGCCUGCCCCUGGAUAGGACAUGUUAAAUAGUCCUAUUUAUCUCCGCUUAAUGCAUUCAUUGUAAACAUACGCUUAAACGUAUUUUCAUCAAUGGGAGAUUAUAUAUAGCGUCAGCUCACUAUUCUUAUUUGAACAUUUUUCUUACAAAUGUCUCUUUGAUAUUGCAUCCGUACACUUUGGUACGGUCCGUUUGCCAGGGGGCUUCCUAUGGUGCCCCGUUCUACGGCAAAUAAAGUCCGAACACUUUAAACAGUGCGGCACCCCGAACUUAUAGCACUAUAUGCAUCAGCUCCGAAUCAUGUCUUGGGUCUACAGUUGGGUUAGCCCGGCUCUCUUGUUUUGGUACCUUACGUUCCAUUAUAUCGGCUAAGGUAGCGCAGGGAGAACUACUGCGAUUGUGUCCCGGUUCUUCCGGAUGAGCACCUCAGUAGAGAAAGCCGAAAACUGACCGGCAUGAUGAGGCAAGAGCUGGUCGCUGUUCGAGAGGUCUUAAAAUCCUUAAAGAUUUUUUCCGCUUUAGGCUAUGAAUCGGCCUUGUCCGAUUUAGGCGUAUAUAGCGCCCCAAUUCGACCCUCUGAAUUCUAGGGGCUUCGCCAAAAAUUAAAAUUAUAGACUUCUAUGGCUAAGUGAAAGUUAUAAAGCCACAUAGUCCGAUUGCCUUGUUCGCUGCGCCGGAUACCUCCUUAAGGGACUAAACAUUUGGAUAAAGAGUAUCCGGGUUUUUCCAGGAACACCCCGGUACUAGGUACGCGAUGGUGGAAGCCGACGACUGGCCUACUUUCAGAAUUUUAUAAACAGCCGCACAGAUGGUAAUAUUUUAAAUCAAAACAGUGCUACAUAGCACAGGCAACUCCGUCCUUAAAUUACAACAGCGGCAGAGGUACAUUUAGUCAAAGAUCUUGUCUUUAGUACAUUCGUCGGCCACGAGACGAGCGCCCUUCAUAACGCCAUCAUAGUACUUCUCGGGAUGGCGAUGCACCUUGCCCUCCGGCGGCCCGUCCUUCACUAGCUUCUCUGCAUCCCACUACUAGGGAAAAGCCUAGCAGCAGCGCGGGUACCGCGCUACUAAUAAGGCGCUACAGCUAACUUAUAGCAGUAGCGCGGGUGCCACCCGCGCUACAGCUAACGUAUAGCAGUAGCGUGGGUAAAAACCCGUGCUACUACUAAUCUGUAAUCUCUCGAAAAAAUUGAACUUUUUCGAAAAAAAAUUUGAUUUUUUUUUCGAAAUUUUCAAAUUUAUGAAUUAUUUUAACCUCAAAUCUCUAAUCACCCCUCAUUGCUGCUCAAUUUAAUCUCUAAUCACCCCUCAUCAUUCCAAAUCAUCUAACUUCCCGGACGGUCACCCAUCCUCUCACUACUCCAGCCUGGGCACGCUUAACUUCCGGGUUCUAUUCUCCCUCAUUUCCAAGUCUGCACUUGUUGUUUUCCUAACAAUAGUAAGAUGUCAAUCCUAUUAACCUCAGGAAUUUAGCUUGAGCAUGAAGUCACACAUUUCACUGUUUGAGUUUGAAACUAUUGUUCUAAAAAUAAUCAAAAGGGCUAAAUUUAGCGGGACAAAAAUCCCCAAGAUCAAUCACGGGAGGAACGGGUUCCUCCCUUGGCCCUUCAUAGUGCACAACUAUUUCAUCACUGAAAGCAUUCUUUUGGCAAAAUAUUGUGAGCUUAUACUCGAGAGAGUAUCCUAGCUCAUUAUUUCUAAGGGCAAAAUCAUUAUUAAGCUCGUUAAUGCAAUCAACUAAGACAUUGAUAGGGACCUUUUUUCUAAGGUUUUCAUUGAAAGCGACAUAGUCCGAAGAUUGAAAACGUCUAAUUUCCUCUUGAUCAUAGAGGAUUGCUUCUAUGGGUGGACGACCGGCGUCCACCCUAUAGUGCGAAAAGAUUUCUUUGGCUUCUCUUAUGAUAAAUCUAAAUUCAUGAGCCAAAAAGAUAGUAACUGCGUGCUUAAUAGAAUAGUGCUCAAUAUUAGAGAAUUCUAAGAAAAUUCUCUGUAUGCAAGGGUGCAUAUGCAUAAAUUGUCUUUCAAGUUCAACCACAAGCAUAGCUAUAGCAUCCGCAAGGCUACUGGUUCUAUGAAGAAUAGAACAGCCCAUGGAAGGUAAAGCACCGACACAAGUAAAAAAAUCUUGAAUAACGCCUUUGCCAAUGAUGUUACCACUACCGAUUCGAAACUUUUUGGUAUGCAAGAUGGGAGGUUCAUCGGCCGGAGCCUUGGGAUUUUCUGUAUUAUCCUUAUUGUCCAUAUCGACGAUAAUCUCCCCAAUUUCAGACAUAGCGGUAGAAAAAGUAAGGCGGAAGAAACCAAACAAAAGGGAAAGGAGGAGGAGAUUGGGAAAGAGAGCGCGAAUAAAACGGCAAGGGUGAAGUGGGGGAGAGGAAAACGAGAGGCAAAUGGAAAAUAAUAUAAUGCGAGAGAUAGGGAUUGCGAUGGGUACUUGGUAUGUUGACUUUUGCGUAAGCCUCCUGGGCAACGGCGCCAGAAAUUCUUCUUGCUACGUCUCGAGCUUGCGUUGGUUUUCCCCGAAGAGGAGAGGAUGAUGCAGCACAAUAGCGUAAGUAUUUCCUUCAGUUUUUGAGAACCAAGGUAUCAAUCCAGUAGGAGGUCACGCGCAAGUCCCUCGUACCUGCACAACACGAUAGCAACUCGCAACCAACGCUUAGGGGUUGUCAAUCCCUUCACGGUUACUUACAAGAGUGAGAUAUGAUAGAGAUCAUAUUUUUGGUAUUUUUGAUAGAUAGAUGCAACGUAAAAAGUAAAGGCAAAGUAAAAGCAAACCAAGUAAAUAAAUUGAUAUAGAUUGAUAUGAUGAGAAUAGACCCGAGGGCCAUAGGUUUCACUAGUGGCUUCUCCAAGAGCAUAAGUAUUCUACGGUGGGUGAACAAAUUACUGUUGAGCAAUUGACAGAAUUGAGAAUAGUUAUGAGUAUAUCUAGGCAAUGAUCAUGUAUAUAGGCAUCACGUCUGUGACAAGUAGAUCGAAACGAUUCUGCAUCUACUACUAUUACUCCACUCAUCGACCGCUAUCCAGCAUGCAUCUAGAGUAUUAAGUUAAAACAGAGUAACGCCUUAAGCAAGAUGACAUGAUGUAGAGGGAUAAAUUCAUGCAAUAUGAUAAAUAAAACCAUCUUGUUAUCCUCGAUGGCAACAAUACAAUACGUGCCUUGAAACUCUUUCUGUCACUGAGUAAGGACACCGCAAGAUUGAACCCAAAGCCAUGCACUUCUCCCAUUGCAAGAACUACCAAUCUAGUUGGCCAAACCAAAUGGAUAAUUCGAAGAGACUUGCAAAGAUAACUCAAUCAUACAUAAAAGAAUUCAGAGAAGAAUCAAAUACUUUCCAUAGAUAAUACUGGAUCAUAAACCCACAAUUCAUCGAUCUCAACAAACACACCGCAAAAAGAAGAUUGCAUCGAAUAGAUCUCCACGAGAGAGGGGGAGAACAUUGUAUUGAGAUCCAAAAAGAGAGAAGAAUCCAUCUAGCUACUAGCUAUGGACCCGAAGGUCUGAAGUAAACUACUCACACUUCAUCGGAGGGGCUAUGAUGAUGAUGUAGAAGCCUUCCGUGGUGGAUGCCCCCUCCGGCGGAGCUCCGAAACAGGCCCCAAGAUGGGAUCUCGUGGAUACAGAAGGUUGCGGCGGUGGAAUUAGGUUUUUGGCUCCAUUUCUGGUCUAUUGGGGAUACGUAGGUAUAUAUAGGAGGAAGGAGUAUGUCGGUGGAGCACCGAGGGGCCCACAAGGUAGGUGGGCGCGCCCAGGGGGCGCGCCCUCCACCCUCGUGACCUCCUCGGAAGGUUCUUGGAGUAGGGUCCAAGUCUCUUGGAUCACGUUCGGUGAGAAAAUCACGUCCCCGAAGGUUUCAUUCCGUUUGGACUCCGUUUGAUAUUCCGUUUCUUCGAAAUACUGAAAUAGGCAAAAAAACAACAAUUCUGGGCUGGGCCUCCGGUUAAUAGGUUAGUCCCAAAAAUAAUAUAAAAGUGGAAAAUAAAGCCCAAUAUAUUCCAAAACAGUAGAUAAAGUAGCAUGGAGCAAUCAAAAAUUAUAGAUACGGUGGAGACGUAUCAAGCAUUAAGGCAUCAAGUCCCCUUUAUCCCAUAUGCAAACAACCUACUUACUCGGGUCUGUGCUUCUGUCACUCACGCCACCCACCAUAAGCAAAUCAUGAACAUAUUGCAAAUCCUACAGCGGGAAUCCCUCACGCUUGCGCGACACGGAGAGCACCAUAGGACAGCACCAAUAAUAAAACAUGCAACUCAAACAAUUCUUGAUCAUCAAAUAGCCCAUAGGACAAAACGGAUCUAGUCAAACAUCAUAGGAUAGCCAUACAUCAUUGGGAAAUAAUAUAUAGCAUUGAGCACCAUGUUUAAGUAGAGAUUACAGCGGGUAAGAGAGAGGUUACACCGCUGCAUAGAGGGGCGAAGAGUUGGUGAUGAUGGUGGUGAAGUUGUUGGUGAAGAUUGCGGUGAUAAUGCUGGCCACGGCGGUGUUCCGGCGCCACUGGAAGAGAAGGGGAGAGGGGGCCCCUUCGUCUUCUUCUUCCUUGACCUCCUCCCUAGAUGGGAGAAGGGUUUCCCCUCUGGUCCUUGGCCUCCAUGGCGUGGGAGGGGCGAGAGCCCCUCCGAGAUUGGAUCUAUCUCUCUGUUUCUCUCUGUUUCUGCGUUCUGUUUCACCGUUUCGUGUAUAUAUGGAGAUCCGUAACUCCGAUUGGCCUGAAACCUUCGCCGUGAUUUUUUUUCCGAAAAUUAGCUUUCUUGCGGCGAAAGAAGAGCGUCAACCGCCUUACAAGUGGGUCAUGAGGGUCAGGGGCGUGCCCUAGGGGGGGCCUACCUCGUGCCCACCUCGGACACUGGUUCGCGUUGAUUUUUCCUCCAGAUUUUCCAAAUGUUCCGAAAAGUAUCUCCGUCCGUUUUUAUCCCGUUUGGACUCCGUUUGAUAUGGAUAUUCUGCAAAACCAAAAACAUGCAACAGACAGGAAUUGGCACUAGGCACUGGAUCAAUAUGUUAGUCCCAAAAAUAGUAUAAAAAGUUGCCAAAAAGUAUAUGAAAGUUGAAUAAUAUUGGCAUGGAACAAUCAAAAAUUAUAGAUACGACGGAGACGUAUCAAUGAUCAAGUUUAUCUAUGAAUAAUAUUUGAAUCUUCUCUGAAUUCUUUUAUGUAUGAUUGAGUUAUCUUUGCAAGUCUCUUCGAAUUAUCAGUUUGGUUUGGCCAACUAGAUUGAUCUUUCUUGCCAUGGGAGAAGUGCUUAGCUUUGGGUUCAAUCUUGCGGUGUCCUUACCCAAUGAUAGAAAGGGUUGCAAGGCACGUAUUGUAUUGUUGCCAUCGAGGAUCACAAGAUGGGGUUUAUAUCAUAUAGCUUGAAUUUAUCCCUCUACAUCAUGUCAUCUUGCUAAAUGCGUUACUCUGUUCUUUAUGAACAUAAUACUCUAGAUGCAGGAAGUAGUCGGCCGAUGUGUAGAGUAAUAGUAGUAGAUGCAGGCAGGAGUCGGUCUACUUGUUGCGGACGUGAUGCCUAUAUACAUGAUCAUGCCUAGAUAAUCUCAUAAUUAUUCGCUUUUCUAUCAAUUGCUCGACAGUAAUUUGUUCACCCACCGUAAUACGCACCCACCGUAAUACUUAUGCUAUCUUGAGAGAAGACACUAGUGAAACCUAUGACCCCCGGGUCUAUCUUUUAUCAUAUUUGCUUCCAAUCUACUUUUAUUUGCAUCUUUACUUUUUGCAUCUAUAUUAUAAAAUACCAAAAAUAUAUUUAUCUUAUCUUACUAUCUUUAUUAGAUCUCACUUUCGUAAGUGGCCGUGAAGGGAUUGACAACCCCUUUAUUGCAUUGGUUGCGAGUUCUUUGUUUGUUUGUGUAAGUGAGUGGGACUUUUGAGGAGCCUCCUACUGGAUUGAUACCUUGGUUCUCAAAAACUGAGGAAAAUACUUACGCUACUAUUGCCGCAUCACCCUUUCCUCUUCAAGGAAAACCAACGCAAGCUCAAGACGUAGCAUGCUCGGUGACGAGAUCUAGAGGGAUAGGAUCGAACAGGAGGUGGAGAUGCAGCUGCCAGUACCCAUUGUCGGUGUCAAAACCAGCGGAUCUCGGGUAGGGGGGGCAGAACUGUGCAUCUAAGGCUAAUGGUCACAUGAGGCAGGGGACACAAUGUUUACCCAGGUUCGGGCCCUCUCGACGUAGGUAAUACCCUACUUCCUGCUUGGUUGAUCUAGAUGAUAUGAGUAUUACAAGAGUUGAUCUACCACGAGAUCAUAGAGGCUAAACCCUAGAAGCUAGCCUAUGAUUAUGAUUGUUCUUGUCCAACGGACUAAACCCUUCGGUUUAUAUAGACAUCAGAGGGGCUAGGGUUACACAGAGUCGGUUACAGAGAAGGAGAUCUAUAUAUACGAAUUGCCAAGCUUUCCUUCCAUGCAAAGGAGAGUCCCACCCGGACACGGGACGAAGUCUUCAACCUUGUAUCUUCAUAGUCCAACAGUACGGCCAAAGUAUAUAGUCCGGUUGUCCGAGGACCCCCUAAUCCAGGACUCCCUCAGUAGCCCCUGAACUAGGCUUCAAUGACGAUGAGUCCAGCGCGCAGAUUGUCUUCGGCAUUGCAAGGCGGGUUCCUUCUUCGAAUACUCCAUAGAAGAUUUUGAACACAAGGAUCGUGUCCGGCUCUGCAAAAGAAAUUCCACAUACUACCGUAGAGAGUACAAUAUUCCAAAAAUCUAAUUUGCUGACAACUUUUCAUAGCGUGACAUCAUGCUGCGGCCUGGUCAUUAUCCGAACCGUUUUCCAACCUACUAUCGCACAUAUCACGAGGCGGUUUAUCGGCACGUCUUGUCGAAGCAGAGAUCGUGUCCCCUUAUCACGGGAUUUUCAUCAAUACGGGUUUGGGUAACCCAACCGUGCCAUCAACGCGGCGCUUGGGGAACAAGCGAGUUUACCGGGCAACUGGGGAGGCGCAGGAUCCCUGCCGCCUUUAUAAAGAGAUAAGGGCUCCCCUUUUUCACCCACGCCUUCUUCUUCCUCUGCUUAUCCAUUCUAUCUCGCCCGAGCUCUAGCGCCCAAGCAUUCGUCUUCUCUGCCCACAAAGGCCCUCCGGAAAUGUCCGGAUCCGGAGCAGGAGGCAAGUGGAUGGCCUCUACCAUCCGGGAAAAGGAUAUCAAAAAGCUUCGGGAGGCUGGGUAUCUGGCUAAUAACAUCAGGCAUCGUCUCCCGAUGGCGGGACAGAUCGUCCCAACCUCGGAACCCCAUGAGAGGGUUGUAUUCCUCCCUCACUUUGUCCGCGGGUGAGGGAGUCCUGGAUUAGGGGGUAUCCGGACGGCCGGACUAUAUUCUUCGUCCGAACUAUUGUAGCGUGAAGAUACAAGACUCAAGACUACGCCCCCUUUCCGGAUGGGACUCUCCUUUGUGUGGAAGACAAGCUUGGCGAUCCGAAUAUUAUAUUUCCUUCCUUGUAAUCGACUCAAUGUAAACCCUAGCCCUCUCCGGUGUCUAUAUAAACCAGAGAGGUUGGUCCUUAGAAGGACGAUCAGAAUCAUACACAUCAUAGACUAGCUUCUAGGGUUUAGCCUCUACGAUCUCGUGGUAGAUCAACUCUUGUACUACUCAUAUCAUCAAUAUCAAUCAAGUAGGAAGUAGGGUUUUACCUCCAUCGAGAGGGCCCGAACCUGGGUAAACAUUGUGUCCCUUGCCUCCUGUUACCAUUAGCCUAAGACGCACAGAUCGGGACCCCCUACCCGAGAUCCGCCGGUUUUGACACCAACAUUGGUGCUUUCAUUGAGAGUUCCUUUGUGUCGUUGCUGCAAGGCUCGAUGGCUCCUUCAAUCAUUGUCAACAACAUGGUCCAGGGUGAGACUUUUCUUCCGGGAUAGAUCUUUGUGUUCGGCGGCUUCGCACUGCGGGCCAAUUCGCUUGGACAACUGGAGCAGAUCGACAGCUACGCCCCUGGCCACCAGGUCAGAUUCAGAAACCUGAACUACACGGCCAAUAUCCGCGGAGACUUGAUCUUCAACGGGUUCAGGCCUGCGCCAGGAGCGCCGGACAAUCACGAUGAGCACGGCUUAGACCUGCUGUCGGAUAACGCUCGGGAUAUCACCCCUGUAGUAGCCCCGGACCUAAAUCCGGAGCAGAUUGUGUUGCCCAAGGACGGGUGGAUGGACCCCGUCCUGCAAGACGCACACUCAUCGGCGGUAGAGCCGAACACAGGCCUCACCCCUAAAGAAGCCUUUGACACUGGACCCCCGGACUCGUAUCCGGCUGUAGGUUCCAGUCUACGCGCUCCCGAGCCCGCCGAACCUGGUUGGGCUCCAGUAAUGGAGUUCACCGCCGCGGAGAUCUUCCAGCACUCGCCCCUUGGCGACGUACUGAACUCCUUAAAAUCCCUCUCUUAGUCAGGAGAAUCUCGGCCAAACUAUGUCCGGCUCGAGUGGCAAGCAGGCGACGAAGGAAUUCGUUGCCAACCCACCACCAACUUCAUUGCCACGGUCGAUGAUUUAACUGACGUGCUUGACUUCGACUCUGAAGACAUCGAUGGUAUGGACGACGAUGCAGGAGAAGAACAGGAACCACCGCUCAUGGGGCAGUGGACAGCCACCUCCUCAUAUGAUAUGUAUAUAUGGUGGACACUCCGACGAAAACCAAUGGCGACGAGGCAAUGGAGGAUAACCCCUCGGGGAAGAAAGCUAAGCAUGGGCGGCGUCAACGCCACUCCAAGCCCCGCCACAACAAUACCGGCAUAGGAAACGAGAACAAUCUGAAUGGUGCCAAAGAUGAAUACAACCCUGAUCAACCUGCCUUCAAGCAGGCCGGACUGGCCACGGUCGGAUACUUAGAGAGGAACAACAAUAUGCCCCCUCCGAAGACGAGGUAAGCCUUGCCGAUGAUGAAUUCGGCGUGCCUGAGGAUCCCGUGGAACAAGUUCGCUUCAACCAACGGCUCACGGCCACUGCGAGGAGCCUGCAAGGAAAGCAACAGCAGCUCAAAGUUAACCAAGAUUUGCUCAUGGACAGAUGGACCAAGGUCCUGGCCACCGAGGAACACGGACUCGACCGCCCCGACAAAGGGCACACACGGCACAAUUUGCUACCUCAACCUAAGAAGGAGAACCUAAGGCACAUACCCCGACGUCAACAUACCACCACGAUCCAAGACAAUACGAAGGAAACACGAGGAGGCAUCCUCAAGCCUCGGCGCAAUCGUCAUAAACGUCAAGUCAGGGAAGUUGGUGCCGAAUUCCGCGGCCCCCAGUCCGGUCAGCGGAAAAAGAACAGCUCGGGCCAAUUCGGCCCUUGCAGCAUACUAGAUCAACCAUGUGAAAUUCAUGGUACCCCCAGAAGGGCGACCAAGCAUACCAAUAGAGAAUGUCGGAUCUUCCAAACAAAACGGCCGAUCUUGCCCCCGAAACAAUGAAGGGAGGUCUCAAACAACAAAAGACCAUUCAAACAUGGUGAGGAAGAUCCCCUCACAGUACAAAAAUACGGCCGAUCGUCCCUUAUCACAUCGAUCGUCCGGACAACACCAGCCAUAGCAAUUUUAUUGCACUCACUAUCUACCCAGUGGCUUGGGGGCUCCAUUUUACAUGAGCCCCCACAGGCAUAAAACUAUUAAUAACAUCUCCUCAAAGAUGCAAGGUGCAAAGGCCAGGUUUUAACUGACUCACCAUAUUAAUGGUUCUCUUCGAAUCACCAAACAAAUACCACACUGAAGAAUAAGUCUUCAGCAUUAUCCACUUAUAUAGUGAUUACCACAUACUACCGGGACAAACCACGUUGGCUAGAUUCAACGAGGUACAACAUCAGGCCAGUCCCGCAUGACAUAGUCACAGCUAUGGGCAAGGCCGAACCCCACCAUUAGAGUGGCAAUCAUACCGCCGCUGGAAUAGCGAGUCGUGCAUGUUUAUCAAAUUUUUAUUUGGCAGCCAAACACCCGGACACCAAUUCAGGAAUCGGAACUACUUUAUGGCAUGGUUCAGCCAGGCUCCGCUCAGGCACCCGCGAUUCAACCACAACGGUAUAUGCAGAUGCCUUUAAAGCAUUUGUCUUUACAGACUAACUUUGGCGCAGAACAAGACUGGCGGCGCGGAAUCAGCUUGGACGCACAAGGCAGGCAGUCCGGAUACACCUCAGAUCCACACACAGCCUCCUCCAGUCCGGUCACGACAAGUUCUGCCAAAAACACUCCCUUUCAUAAGCAUAAAACGCACUCAUAUGCAUAGACAUGCCAUUUUACUACAAUGCGUAGACUUAAAUAACAUUUACCGGUUUCUCAUUGACGCCUCUUUUUCACAAACAGCACCCACGCCUUGUGUUAUGCCCGAUUAUGCCAGGGGCUUCAUAGUACGGCAAUAAAGUCCGACCACCUUUUCGGUCGCUCGGCACCCCAAACAUAUAGCACUAUAUGCAUCAGCUCCGAAUCAUGUCUUGGGUCAUUAGUUGGGUUUGCCCGGCUCCCAUGUUUUGGUACCUUACGUUCCGCCCAAUCGGCUAAGGUAGCGCUGGGAGAACUACUGCGAUUGUGUCCUGGUUCUUCCGGACGAGCACCUCAGUAGAGAAAGCCGAAAACUGACUGUCAUGAUAUAGCGAGAGCUGGUCAGCUGUUCGAGAGGUUGUAAAAUCUUUAAGGAUUUAUUCCGCAUAAUGCCAUUAUAAAUGCAAAGUGCGAUGGAUCAGUCUUCCGACCAAGCGCCGAUAGAGCCCUUAGUUCGGCCUUCCGAACACUAGGGGCUGCUGAGGGAGUCUUGGAUUAGGGGGUAUCCGGAUAGUCGAACUGUAUACAUCGUCCGGACUAUUGAAGCGUGAAGAUACAAGACUCAAGACUUCAUCUCGUGUCCGGAUGGAAUUCUCCUUGGCGUGGAAGGCAAGCUUGGCGAUCCGGAUAUUAUAUUUCCUUCCUUGUAACCGACUCCGUGUAAACCCUAGCCUUCUCCGAGUCUAUAUAAACCGGAGAGGUUGGUCCUUAGAAGGCCGAUCACAAUUACAAUCAUACCAUCACAGGCUAGCUUCUAGGGUUUAGCCUCUACGAUCUCGUGGUAGAUCUACUCUUGUACUACCCAUAUCUUCAAUAUUAAUCAAGCAGGAAGUAGGGUUUUACCUCCAUCGAGAGGGCCCGAACCUGGGUAAAUAUUGUGUCCCUUGCUUCCUGUUACCAUCAGCCUAAGACACACAGAUCGGGACCCCCUACCCGAGAUCCGCCGGUUUUGACACCGACAUUGGUGCUUCCAUUGAGAGUUCCUCUGUGUCGUCGCUACAGGGCUCGAUGGCUCCUCCAGUCAUCGUCAACAACACGAUCCCAGGUGAGACCUUUCUCCCCGGACAGAUCUUCGUGUUCGGCGGCUUCGCCCUGCGGGCCAACUCGCUUGGCCAUUUGGAGCAGAUCGGCAGCUACGCCCCUGGCCACCAGAUCAGGUUCGGAAACCUGAACUACACGACGGACAUUCGCAGAGACUUGAUCUUCGACGGAUUCGGACCUAUGCCAGGAGCACCGGACAGUCACGACGAGCACGGCUUAGACCUGCUGUCAGACAAAGCUCAGGGUAUCACCCCCGCAGUAGCCCCGGACCUAAAUCCGGAGUAGGCUGCGCUGCCUAAGGAUGGAUGGAUGGACCCCGCCCCACAGGUCGCACACUCAUCAGCGGUGGAGCCGAACACGGGUCUUACCUCUGUGGUGGCCUAUGACUCCGGACCCCCGGAUUCUUAUCUGGACGUUGGUUCCAGUCCGCGCACUCCCGAGCCAGUCGAGCCAGGUUGGGCUCCGGUAAUGGAGUUCACCGUUGCGGAUAUCUUCCAGCACUCGCCCUUUGGCGACUUGCUGGACUCAUUAAAGUCUCUCUCUUUGUCAGGAGGCUCUUGGCCGAACUAUGUCUGGCUCGAGUGGGAGGCAGGCGAUGAAGGAAUUUGUUGCCCACCCACCACCCACUUCAUUGCCACGGUCGAUGAUUUAACCGAGGUACUGGACUUCGACUCCGAAGACAUAUGGACAACGAUGCAGGAGAAGAACAUGAACCACCGCUCACUAGGCGGUGGACAGCCACCUCUUCCUAUGAUAUAUAUANNNNNNNNNNNNNNNNNNNNNNNNNNNNNNNNNNNNNNNNNNNNNNNNNNNNNNNNNNNNNNNNNNNNNNNNNNNNNNNNNNNNNNNNNNNNNNNNNNNNNNNNNNNNNNNNNNNNNNNNNNNNNNNNNNNNNNNNNNNNNNNNNNNGGAAACAAAUGGCGAUGAGGCAACGGAGGAUAAAACCUCAGGGAAAAAAGCAAAGAAUGGGCGUCGUCGGCGCCACUCCAAGCCCCGCCACAGCAAUACAGGCCCAGGAGACGAAAACAAUCCGAAUGGUGCCAAAGAAGAAUACAACCCUGAUCAGCCCGCCUUUGAGCAGGCCGAAUAGGAAGAUGAGCAGGUCAACCCAGAAGAAUAGGCGACGGACGAAUACCUAGAGGAGGACAACUACAUGCCCCCCUCCGAAGACGAGAUUAGCCUCGGCGACGACAAGUUUGGCGUGCCUGAGGAUCCCGUAGAGCAGGAGCGCUUCAAGCAUCGACUUAUAGCCACUGUGAGGAGCCUGAAAAAGAAGCAGCAUCAACUCCAAGCUGAUCAAGACCUGCUCACAGACAGAUAGACUGAAGUCCUGGCAGCCGAGGAAUAUGGACUCGAGUGCCAUACGGCUGACCGGCCACCUCGUGGCCGGGAUAAAACGGCAUAUCAGCCUGCAUACCAGCCAGCACCCCCACGCCAACAUACCACGGCCCAGGGCAAUAGGCAGGACCUGCAAGAUAUACUGGAAAACAGAGCAGGACAGCCAAGAUCGAUCUACGGAUCGCAAGGGCCUGCCUCAGCACGCGACGAUGACCGUCACGCCGGAUACACCUUCAACAAGUCCGGCCGGGCCGGACAUAGCCACCCAGAGCAAUUCAAACUGCGUAGCCACAUAGUCCGGCACAGAGGCGCAGCGCACCCCCUCUGCUUCACCGACGAAGUGAUGGAUCAUGAAUUCCCAGAAGGGUUCAAACCCGUAAACAUUGAAUCAUACAAUGACACAACAGACCCCGCGGUAUGGAUCGAAGAUUUCCUUCUCCACAUUCACAUGGCCCGCGGAGACGAUCUACACACCAUCAAGUAUCUCCUCCUUAAGCUCAAAGGACCAGCCAGGCACUGGCUAAACAGUUUGCCAGCAGAUUCCAUUGGCUGCUGGGAAAACCUGGAAGACGCAUUCCUCAACAAAUUCCACGGCACAUAUGUGUGACCACCAGAUUCUGAUGACCUGAGCCACAUUACUCAAAAACCCGGAGAGUCAACCAGGAAAUUCUGGACUCGGUUCCUAACUAAAAAGAACCAAACAGUUGACUGUCCGGACGCCGAACCCCUGGCGGCUUUUAAGCACAAUAUCCGUGACGAGUGGCUUGCCCGACACCUCGGCCAGGAAAAACCCAAGUCAAUGGCAGCUCUCACAACACUAAUGACCCGCUUUUGCGUGGGCGAGGACAGCUGAUUGGCUCGCAGCAGCACUACGCCACAUUCUGGCACUCCGGACGGCCGCGGCAAUAACGACAAGCCAUGGCGUAAUAGACAUAAGCGACAGAACAACGGUGACAGCACUGAAGACACGGCAGUCAACGCCAGAUUCAGCGGAUCCAAGUCUGGUCAGCGGAAGAAGCCGUUCAAAAUAAAUAAUCAGGGAUUGUCUAGUCUAGACCGUAUACUGGAGCGCUCGUGCCAAAUUCAUGGCACCCCGGACAAGCCAGCCAACCACACCAAUAGAGACUGCUGGGUGUUCAAACAGGCCGGCAAAAUAAACGCCAAAAACAAGGACAAGGGGCUACACAGCGACGAUGACGAAGAGCCCCGGCGUCCGAACAUGGGGGGACAGAAGAAAUUUCCCCCCUAGGUGAAAACGGUCAACAUGAUUUAUGCCACACACAUUCCCAAGCGGGAACGGAAGCGAGCACUACGAGACGUCUAUGCAAUGGAGCCAGUCGCCCUCAAAUUUAACCCAUGGUCAGCUUGCCCGAUCACCUUUGACCGUAGGGAUCACCCUACUAGCAUCCGUCACGGCGGCUCAAUCGCAUUGGUCCUAGACCCAAUCAUCGACGGAUUCCACCUCACGCAAGUCCUUAUGGACGGUGGCAGCAGCCUGAACCUGCUUUAUCAGGACACAGUGCGCAAAAUGGGCAUUGACCCUUCAAGGAUCAAGGCCACCAAAACCACCUUUAAAGGUGUGAUUCCUGGAGUAGAGGCCCGUUGCACGGGCUCUAUAACAUUGGAAGUGGUCUUCGGAUCUCCGGAUAACUUUCGAGGCGAAGAGUUAAUCUUCGAUAUCGUCCCUUUCCGCAGUGGUUACCACGCACUGCUCGGACGAACUGCAUUCGCUAGAUUCAAUGCGGUACCACACUACGCAUACCUCAAGCUCAAGAUGCCAGGACCACGCGGGGUCAUAAUAGUGAAUGGAAAUAUGGACCGCUCUCUCCAAACAGAAGAGCAUACUGCAGCCCUCGCGGUGGAAGUACAAUGCGGCCUCCUCCGACAAACCCAUCCGGCAACAACAACUUCAAGCACCGUCAAGAGAGUCCGGAGCACCCCGCAACAGGAUCAUCAGGCACGCCAAGAGCGCGACUAGUAGUCCGGCCUCCGCUUAAGCCCCAUCAAAGCAGCAUUCGUGCCACGCGUACACAAUUACGCACUCAAGAUACCAUGGGCGUAGGCGGAGGCGCAACAACGACUCAGUCAACAGUGCGGGAUAACCGCCACAUACCUUCAUAACCUGUCCUUAUUCUUUUUCAGGACAUUGCUUUAGAGCAGCCUCUUCAGAAGAGCCGGAUUGUCGGACUUACAUAGGAGAGAAAACCAAGGAGGCAACAGGCUUCGCACACAGAAGGAAACACCCAGGUGGAAUCUAUUUACGAUCGUUAUACCUGUUUUAUACAUCCUUACGCGGCCUGCCCCUGGAUAGGACAUGUUAAAUAGUCCUAUUUAUCUCCGCUUAAUGCAUUCAUUGUAAACAUACGCUUAAACGUAUUUUCAUCAAUGGGAGAUUAUAUAUAGCGUCAGCUCACUAUUCUUAUUUGAACAUUUUUCUUACAAAUGUCUCUUUGAUAUUGCAUCCGUACACUUUGGUACGGUCCGUUUGCCAGGGGGCUUCCUAUGGUGCCCCGUUCUACGGCAAAUAAAGUCCGAACACUUUAAACAGUGCGGCACCCCGAACUUAUAGCACUAUAUGCAUCAGCUCCGAAUCAUGUCUUGGGUCUACAGUUGGGUUAGCCCGGCUCUCUUGUUUUGGUACCUUACGUUCCAUUAUAUCGGCUAAGGUAGCGCAGGGAGAACUACUGCGAUUGUGUCCCGGUUCUUCCGGACGAGCACCUCAGUAGAGAAAGCCGAAAACUGACCGGCAUGAUGAGGCAAGAGCUGGUCGCUGUUCGAGAGGUCUUAAAAUCCUUAAAGAUUUUUUCCGCUUUAGGCUAUGAAUCGGCCUUGUCCGAUUUAGGCGUAUAUAGCGCCCCAAUUCGACCUUCUGAAUUCUAGGGGCUUCGCCAAAAAUUAAAAUUAUAGACUUCUAUGGCUAAGUGAAAGUUAUAAAGCCACAUAGUCCGAUUGCCUUGUUCGCUGCGCCGGAUACCUCCUUAAGGGACUAAACAUUUGGAUAAAGAGUAUCCGGGUUUUUCCAGGAACACCCCGGUACUAGGUACGCGAUGGUGGAAGCCGACGACUGGCCUACUUUCAGAAUUUUAUAAACAGCCGCACAGAUGGUAAUAUUUUAAAUCAAAACAGUGCUACAUAGCACAGGCAACUCCGUCCUUAAAUUACAACAGCGGCAGAGGUACAUUUAGUCAAAGAUCUUGUCUUUAGUACAUUCGUCGGCCACGAGACGAGCGCCCUUCAUAACGCCAUCAUAGUACUUCUCGGGAUGGCGAUGCGCCUUGCCCUCCGGCGGCCCGUCCUUCACUAGCUUCUCUGCAUCCCACUACUAGGGAAAAGCCUAGCAGCAGCGCGGGUACCCGCGCUACUAAUAAGGCGCUACAGCUAACUUAUAGCAGUAGCGCGGGUGCCACCCGCGCUACAGCUAACGUAUAGCAGUAGCGUGGGUAAAAACCCGCGCUACUACUAAUCUGUAAUCUCUCGAAAAAAUUGAACUUUUUCGAAAUUUUUUUUGAUUUUUUUUCGAAAUUUUCAAAUUUAUGAAUUAUUUUAACCUCAAAUCUCUAAUCACCCCUCAUUGCUGCUCAAUUUAAUCUCUAAUCACCCCUCAUCAUUCCAAAUCAUCUAACUUCCCGGACGGUCACCCAUCCUCUCACUACUCCAGCAUGGGCACGCUUAACUUCCGGGUUCUAUUCUCCCUCAUUUCCAAGUCUGCACUUGUUGUUUUCCUAACAAUAGUAAGAUGUCAAUCCUAUUAACCUCAGGAAUUUAGCUUGAGCAUGAAGUCACACAUUUCACUGUUUGAGUUUGAAACUAUUGUUCUAAAAAAUUAGUAACACUAAUAUUUCUUGAAUAAUUAGUUUGACCAUAGUUUGACCACAGUUUGACCAGAUUUGACCACAGUUUGACCAGAUUUGACCAAAAUUCAAAAAAACUAAAAUAAUUAUUUAGUAACACUAAUAUUAUUGAAUAAUUAGUUUGACCAUAGUUUGACCAGAUUUAACAAAAAUUAGAAAAAACUAAUUUUUUUUUGAAUUUUUUUGCCUCUAGAUCUUAAAAGCAUCGUAGCUUUUUUUUGUUAGGUUUUUGAGGAUUUUAAAAAUGUUUAACGGGGUUCUCCCCGUUAAAUUCGGAUGUAACUUUUCGAGUAGAUGAUUUUUCAUAUAAAAAACUUUUUCAUCCGAGUUCGUAUGCAAAAGUUAUGGCCAUUUUACAAAUUUCCAGAGAGAUUUUGCAAAUAAAGUCGAAAUUCAUAUUUGUAAAUUUUCCCAACAACUAGACCACAUAUCACAUGGGAAACUUAUUUUCUUUUAUUUUUUUUGACAUUUUUAUCAUUUUNNNNNNNNNNNNNNNNNNNNNNNNNNNNNNNNNNNNNNNNNNNNNNNNNNNNNNNNNNNNNNNNNNNNNNNNNNNNNNNNNNNNNNNNNNNNNNNNNNNNNNNNNNNNNNNNNNNNNNNNNNNNNNNNNNNNNNNNNNNNNNNNNNNNNNNNNNNNNNNNNNNNNNNNNNNNNNNNNNNNNNNNNNNNNNNNNNNNNNNNNNNNNNNNNNNNNNNNNNNNNNNNNNNNNNNNNNNNNNNNNNNNNNNNNNNNNNNNNNNNNNNNNNNNNNNNNNNNNNNNNNNNNNNNNNNNNNNNNNNNNNNNNNNNNNNNNNNNNNNNNNNACUACUAAGUUGAUAGCAGUAGCGCGGGUUUAUAACCAUCGCUACUACUAUGGCAUGGUCCAGGGGCCACUUAGUAGUAGCGAGGGUUAAAAACCCGCGCUACUGCUAUCAACUUAGUAGUAGCGAUGUUUAAAAACCCGCGCUACUACUAUGGCAUAUCCCGGGGGGCACGGUAGAGACCGCUUAGUAGUAGCGAGGGUUACAAACUCGCGCUGCUGCUAUCAACUUAGUAGUAGCGAGGUUUAAAAACCUGCGCUGCUAGUAAGUAGCAGUAGCGAGGGUUUUUAACCCUCGCUGCUGCUAAGAUUCUGUGUAUAGCCUUUUCCCUAGUAGUGUCCAGCUUGCCCCAAUGCACCUUCGCACGGGCAAAGGCCCGGAAGGCACCCUCAAUGCAAACGUAUCGCUUGAUUACUUCAAGCCGCGGACAGGCAUUCACCAUCCGCUUGAUCAGGCCAAAGUAGCUAGUGGGCAGGGGCUCACCAGGCCACAUCUGGACUAUGAAAUCUUUCAUAGGCACUUCGGCCGCCCUGUGGAGUUCGACCAACUGCUUCAGUCGGUCACUCAGAGGCAUCGGAUGUUCUGCCCCAGCAUACUGGGACCAGAACAACUUCUUCGUUGAGCUCCCCUCCUCGGCACGGUAGAACACCGCGGCGUCAGAGACGCUGCAUGGCAGAUCUGCGAAUGCCCCUGGAGAGCUCCGAAUUCGGGUAAGUAAAAGAAACGCCUCCUACACAUGUUUGCUUUGCAUAAAGAAUUUCUUACCCGACGUUAUCUUCUUGGCGUCCUGGAUUUCCUGCUGUGCCUUCUCGGCUUCGGCCUUGGCAUCUCUCAUACUCACAAGGGCCUUCGCAAGCUUGCCUUCUUUCAUCAUCAGAUCAUGCUCCACGGACUCGAACUUCUUGCCGAGGUCCUGGAGCUCUUGCUGUACCUCGCCCACUCUAGCACUUUGCUUCUCGCGCUCCUUGCAUUCCAAGGCCGCCUUGUUUUCAGCCUCGGAUAGCGAUUUCUUCAGGGACGCCACUUCGGCGGUGGACCCUAUUGCACAGUCACGAUGCUUCGUCGUCAGACUAAACAAUUUCAUCUAUCUUUACAUACAUAAGAGCGGAUAAUCACUCACCUUUGCUCUCUUCGAGCCGCCUCUUCGUGAGGUCGAGCUCUCCCUGCGCCUGCUCCAGGUCCUGCUUUAGUUCGGUAUCCUCGGCUGUGCGGGCAGCAGCGGCAAGCAGCACGGCCUGCUUAUUCACAUAAAAGCUUAUUAGACUCCUGCGGAUUAUAAUUGACCCUCCAUUUGGCUUUUCUUUCCAACACCAAACAGAGUAUCAGGGGCUACUACCUAUCGGGAGGUAAUUUCACACAUUUUUAUUACUUACCUCGAAGCCCGUCAGGAGGCUUGUGCAGGCUUUGGUUAGUCCGCUUUUGGCGGACAGAACCUUUUGAAUCACGCACUCAUAAGAGUAUGGUGCUCGUCAUCCAUGGAAGCGCCUCGAAGCGCUUCCACCAGACUAUCCGGCACCACUGGCGCGACGGAAGUCCUCGGCACGGAAGGCUCGCCCUCCCUAAUGAGGGGCUUUACACCUAAAUCCGGAACCGUCAAGGGUUCCGGAACAGUGUUCGGUCGAGAGGCCGCCUUGCUGCGGCUCUCAUCGACGCGGUCCGCGGGGAUCUUGAACCCCGCGUGUCCGACAUCUGGAACUCCGCCUUGGGGCGUCUCCAGGGUCACCUCCCCCCGCUCGGGGAACCUUCGGGACAACACCUCCGUGUCAUCCGUAGGCUGAGGAGUGGUGGCCGUCGGGAGCGAGUCCAUCUCUGAAGCGCUCAGAGACCCAUCUGAAGACGACACCUCCGGAUAAGUCCUGGCCGGACUGCAUAUAUGUUCGGCGUUAUUAAACAACUAUGAAGUAAAAUCACGAUAGAGUGCGGACACUUACGAUCGCGCUAGGGGCUUCCCCCUGGGCAGCCACUCUUCCUCGCUAUGAGUGGUCGUGGUGGAGUAGUCCGGAAGGGACGUCUUUCCCUUCUUGGGCGUCCCAGCCUCCCCCUCCGGGGCGGCUUUCCUCUUUUUCUCCUCCCCAGUGCGUGGAGGUAGAGUUUCUUCUUGCUUUCCCCCGCCUCCACGGGAGGAAUCUGUUUCGUCGUCAUCGGACAACGUGGGUAUGACGGCCUUGUGUAGAGGGCCUCUCCCGGCCCCAUGGCCCGUCUCUCCUUUCCGGAUGGGGCGGCUUAUUCUUCUUCCUCCUCCUCUUCGGGGGAGGAGUGUACCUCGUCAUCUUCGGACGAGGCUUCCAGCACGACCUUACGCCGGAGACCCUUCCUGGUCCCCGGGGCCUUCUUUUCGGCCUUCUUCUCCGGUGCCUUAUAGGGCGCCAGGAUCAGCAUCUCCGUCAGGAGAGCAUUAGCUGGAUCUUCUGGCAGUGGAGCCGGACAGUCAAUCUGCUCCGCUGUCUCCACAUAGUCCUGAUCAAAUAUACACAAAUACUUAAGACUCCCCCAUGAAUGUAUUGGGAAAAACCGAAUCCGAUGGUAGUCCCAAAACUCACCGGACGCGGGGGCCGCGCUGCAUGGAGUCCGCGGUCCUCAGAUGAGGGAGGAGGUACUUCAGAGAUCUUGAACAACACCUUCCAUGUGCCCUUAUGCGUCAUGUCAUAAAGCCUCCGAAGCGUCUGGUGUUCGGCCGGAACGAACUCCCACAGAUUGAAUGCCCGCCUUUGGCACGGCAGGAUCCGGCGAACGAGCAUGACCUGGAUCACAUUGACAAGCUUGAUGUUCUUGUCCUUCAUGCUCUUGAUGCAGUUUUGGAGUCCGGUCAGCUCUGUAGGUUCACCCCAGGCCAGGCCCUUCUUUUCCCAGGAGGUGAGCCGCAUGGGGGUUCCGGAUCGGAACUCGGGGGCCGCUGCCCAAUUGGCGCCGCGCGGCUCGGUGAUGUAGAACCACCCCGAUUGCCACCCUUUGACGGUCUCCGCAAAGGAGUCGUCAAGCCAUGUGACAUUAGGCAUCCUGCCCACCAUGGCCCCUCCGCACUCCGCUUGCUGGCCGCUCGCGAUCUUCGGCUUAACGCAGAAGAUUUGCAGCCACAGGCCAAAGUGAGGCCUGAUGCGGAGGAAGGCCUCACAUACGACGAUGAACACCGAGAUGUUGAGGACGAAAUUCGGGGCUAGAUCAUGGAAAUCUAGCACGUAGUAGAACAUGAGCCCGCGGACGAAGGGGUGAAGUGGAAACCCCGGUCCGCGGACGAAGUGGGCGACGAACAUGACCCUCUCGUGGGGUCCCGGGGUCGGAAUGACCUGCCCAGCAUCCGGUAGCCAGUGUGCAAUGUCUGCGGCCAAGUAUCCAGCCGCCCGAAGAUUUGUGAUGUGCUUCUCCCUCACGGUGGAAGCCACCCACUUGCCUCCUGCUUCGGACAUGUUUAGCUGUGCGGAGAAGACUUGGGCUUGGGCGCUGGAGCUCAAGGGGGCAAGAGUGGGCAAAGGAGGAAGAAGGCGUGGGUAAAAAUGGGGAACUCUUAUCCCUUUAUAGAGGCGAUGAAAGCGGUGUGCCUCCCCACUUGCUCGUUGGGAAUCGCUUGCUUCCCAAGCGCCAUGAUUGAUGGCGUGGUGGGAUUUCCCAUACUCGUAUUGAUGAGAAUCCCGUGAUAAGGGGACACGAUCUCUGCUUUGACAAGACGUGUCAAGGAAACCGCCUCGCAAUAUGCGUUGUGGCCGGUUGUGGGAAAACGGUUCGAAUAAUGACCCGACCGUAAUGACACGUCGCGUUGCCUAAAAAGUUGUCAGCAGAUUGCAUUUGUGAAAUACCAUUCUCUCUACGGUGGCAUGUGAAGAUCAUUUGUUGGAUCCGGACACGCUUCAAGUGUUCGAUAAUUACUUUGGAGUACACGGAGAAGGAACCCGCCCUACAAUGCCGAAGACAAUACUGCGUGCCGGACUCAUCGUCAUUGAAGCCUGGUUCAGGGGCUACUGAGGGAGUCCUGGAUUAGGGGGUAUCCGGACAGCCGGACUGUAUACAUCCUCCGGACUAUUGAAGCGUGAAGAUACAAGACUCAAGACGUCAUCCCGUGUCCGGAUGGAAUUCUCUUUGGCGUGGAAGGCAAGCUUGGCGAUCCGGAUAUUAUAUUUCCUUCCUUUUAACCGACUCCGUGUAAACCCUAGCCUUCUCCAGUGUCUAUAUAAACCAUAGAGGUUGGUCCUUAGAAGGCCGAUCACAAUUACAAUUAUACCAUCAUAGGCUAGCUUCUAGGGUUUAGCCUCUACGAUCUCGUGAUAGAUCUACUCUUGUACUACCCAUAUCUUCAAUAUUAAUCAAGCAGGAAGUAGGGUUUUACCUCCAUCGAGAGGGCCCGAACCUAGGUAAACAUUGUGUCCCUUGCUUCCUAUUACCAUCAGCCUAAGACGCACAGAUCGGGACCCCCUACCCGAGAUCCGCCGGUUUUGACACCGACAGCUGCGCCCACCAUACUCGAAUUCCUAUGGCUAAGUGAGAGUGACAAAUCCCUAUAGUCUGAUUGCCUAGUUCAUGGUGACAAACACCUCCUUAAAAGGACCCAACAAUGGGAUAAAGAGUGUUCAGGUAUGUCCCAAACACCCCCGUACCUUUUACAUGGGGGCAGAAGCCGACGACUGGCCAACUCUCAGGAUUUACAUACACUAAACAGCCGCACAGGAAGAACAAACGUUCAAACAAAACAGGCAACAAAUAAUAAAAUUGCCAUUAUCCCGCAUUACAAAGAAUGGCACGACUGCCUUCAGGGAAAUAUAAUGUCUUUGGUACACUUAUCCGCCACAAGGCGGGCUCCUUUUAGUACACCUUCAUAGUACAACUCGGGCUUGCGAUGCUCCUUACCCUCCGGCGGCCCCUCAGUCAUCAGCUUCUCAGCAUCACACUUCCCCCAAUGCACCUUCGCACGGGCAAACACCAUGCGCGCACCCUCUAUACAGACCGAUCGCUUAAUGACAUCAAGCCGAGGGCAAGCGCCAACAAUCCGCUUCACGAGUCCGAAGUAACUGCUUGGAAUGGGCUCCGCGGGCCACAGUCGGACAACCAAGUCCUUCAUGGCCAGUUCGGUUGCCUGGUGCAGUUCGACCAGCUGCUUCAGCUGAUCGAUAAAGGGCACCGGAUAAUUCGGUGCCAAAUACUGCGACCAGAAAUCCCUCUCCGCAGACUUCUUCUCCUCGGUCCGGUAGAAUUGAGCAGCAUCUGAUAUGCUGCGAGGCAAAUCCGCAAACGCCCAUGGAAAGACAAGCAUUCAGCUCGUCGCUUAGCGCCCCUAUUACUAUGCAAAAAAAUGGCUUUGAGUACAAAAGGCCUUACCAGCCGCAACCUUCCGUGCCUCCUGAAUGUCCUUCAGAGCACCUCGGGCUUUCUUCCCGAGCAUCCUCCGCGGCUUGGAGAGCUUGGGCGAGUUCGAUUUCUUUCCCUAUUAAACUCUGCUCCAAGGCCUCACUCUUCUUCACAGCCUCCUGGAGCUCUCGCUCAGCUUCGAUGACCCUGGCCUCGUGUUUCUCACAAAGAGCCUGUUCGGCGGCAGCCUUCUUGUUGGCUUCAGCCAGAGUCUUCUUCAGUGCCUCAAAUUCGGCACUCGCUCCUAAAGCAUACAAUACAAAUACUUUUCAUCAGGCACAAUUACUCAUUCGUGCCGAAUUUAGGACAAAGUUUUAACAUACCUUGCUUGUCCCACAAUUGCUUCUUCACACGGCAAGUCCCUCUUCGGCCCGUUCCAGACUCUGCUUCAGUCCGGACACCUCCGCAUUAUGAGCGGCGGUCUUCUCUGCAGACGCCUGUUUUCAAACAAAGGGAUAUCUUGAUGCCCCUUGAGUGAAGAUUGAUUCUGCAUAAUAGAGUAAGAUCAACUAAAUAUUAGAAUAUCCAUCGUUGUUGCCUUGGCGUUUAGGGUAAUCCCUAUUUGAUGUGGCAAAUCCUAUUCGGCGCUUAGCACGCCGAAUAUAGGNNNNNNNNNNNNNNNNNNNNNNNNNNNNNNNNNNNNNNNNNNNNNNNNNNNNNNNNNNNNNNNNNNNNNNNNNNNNNNNNNNNNNNNNNNNNNNNNNNNNNNNNNNNNNNNNNNNNNNNNNNNNNNNNNNNNNNNNNNNNNNNNNNNNNNNNNNNNNNNNNNNNNNNNNNNNNNNUUCUUCUGUAAAAGUCCAAAAAAGCAUGAUUCAACAAAAGAUCGAAGUCGCUUCCUCGAUUAAUUGUACUAACCACGGUAACCAACUUUCUUUUAAAAACGGCGAUCCUUUUCUUCAUACACGUGAACUUUUUUCAAAUUCAAACACCAUUUUUUCAUCCAUGAACUUAUUUAUUAAAAAUUAGUGAAAUAUAUUUCUCGAAACAUGUGCACUUUUUUUCAAAUUCAUGAACUUUUUCCUUAAAUCCAUUAACUUUUUUCAAAAACCGUGCACAUUUUUCAAAACCUAUGAAGUAUUUUUCAAAAUUGGUGCUUUAUUUUUUCAAAAUGAAUGAACUCUUUUUAGUUUGGUGAACUUUUUUUUAGAAUUCGUUUACCAUUUUCCACAAUUAAUGAACUUUUUUUCAAAAUCAAUGAACUCUUUUUAACUGGGUGAACUUUAAAAAAUAUGGUUGAACAUUUUUCAAAAUCGAUGAACUUAUUAUCUAAUUCGUUGAAUUUUUAAACAAACUAUGAAAUAUUUCAAAAUUUUGAAUUUUUGUAAAAGUUAAUGAACUAUUUUAAAAUUUGGGGAGAGGUUUUUUAAAAUAUAUUAACAUUUUUUCAAAUUCGAUUUUUUUUGUAAAUUCAUAAAUUUAUUCCAAAUUUCGUUAACAUUUUCCUAAAUUUCAUUAACAUUCUCAAAAUUCCUGAACUUUUUUCAACUCGAUGAUUUUUUUUCUUAAUUCGUGAAAUUUUCUCAGAUCGAUUUUUUAUUUCCUUGAAAAUUUUCCAAUUUGUAUAAGCCUUUCCAAAUUCGUGGUUGUUUUCACUAGUGAUCUGUGUUUCAGAGCACCAUACUGGGCCGGCCCGCUACAGGUCGCCUGUGACGCGGAGGGUGCCGGCAAAGGUGCUGAAGGUGCCCGCAAACUGCUCGCACACGUCAAACUGCUACGCUUUUGCUGAAGGGCGCAAACUUCGAGCGUUCAAGCACUGCCAAGCAUGCCACUUUUGUGUUCCCUCAACCAGUUUUUUAUAUUUUUCUAUUUUGCCAUUUCCCCACUUUUUCUGUUUUUUAUCUUUUGCUUUUGCUUUUUAUUUUGUAUUUUGUAUUUUUUUCUUUUUUCCUUUUCUUUUCUUUUAUAUUUUUUCGCUUUUAUUUUUAUCCUUUGUAUUUGAAAAAGUAUGAAAUUCCAAAAAAAAUCAUGUUCAAAAAUUAUUCAUGGUUUUCAAAUUUUGUUCAAUUUUAGAAAAUUUGUGCACAAUUAAAAAAAUCAGCGUAUAUCACAAAAAUAUUCAAUGUGUAUUUAAAUGUUGUUCAUCGUUUAGCUAGAAAUUGUUCAGUGUAUAUUACGAAAAUGUUCAUAAUGUACCACAAAAAUGUUGAAUGUGCUUUAAAUAUUGUUUUGCGUAUAUCACAAAAAUGUUCACUGUGUAGUUAAAAUUGUUCAGCUUUAUUACAAAAUUGUUUAAUUUAUAUUUGAACAAAAUUGUUCAGCCUUUUCCUUCUCCCCACACAAGGUGUUGGCUUUUGUAACUGGACAUGAAAAAGAGCAGAGCCGGCUUGUGUUACUGGUUCAGUGGGGAGAUGGAAAAGGGGGCAUUUGUUGCCUGAAAAACUAACCUGUGUCACUGUGUGUGUGUGCUGCUGCCCUGUUUUAACUCGUGUCCAUUUGCUGGAACACCUUGUGUGCGUGUGAGCAUCCACUGAGACCAAGGCGAGAGGAAGACAGGAGAGGCAGGUUGGAUGAGAACGGCCGAGCAAGCAUCAGCGCCAACAGCCCUGUUCAUCUACGUCGUCGUCCUUCUUCAGUGACCAGCUCCAACAGCAAUUUUGGUGCAGCCUGCAGGAAGUUGCUGCUGUUCUUUGCCCAUUUCUCGUGUCACCUAUUCAUGUCUCAGUUAAUGACCACUUCACAUGCAAUCCACAGUAAUUUCUUCAGGUUCCUAUGCAGGCUGUUUGUAACUUGCAAGGGCAAAGCACUGUCAGUACCCUAAUUUUUACUGUCAGAAAAAUGUCUGAGUCUGACCGAUGUUGCCCACAAAGCAAAAUCUUCAGCCAUCAAACAAGCUCAUCUUUUGAAUCAGCCAAAGUGUCUAUGGUUCAAUUGGCGAUGAGGCAUAAGCCGCCUGUUACAACACUUUUGUCCACCAAGGCAGUAAAUCCCUGAAACGUGAUGCAAAUCCAAGGUUGAGCUAUGAACCAGAAUGUGAAUCCACUUCAGUUGUUGAGCGAGAAUCUAUCUUCUCUUUCUCGUUGAUUGAUGUGGUAUGGCCUCACACUGAAUUAGGAUCUCCUCGGUAGAAGUAUUCUUCAGUACUAUGUAGGCUGUAACUGAAACUUGCGACAUCAAACUUGUCAUCAGGCAAUUUCCUUCGACAUCUGCAUUACUUUCAUAUACAUAUUCUUUUUCCUUCAGCAAAAGUGAAAGCUAAUUUUAUUUCUCUAUAAUGCAGAUAUGUUGAUUGGGAAGGGAGAAUUACAAGGCACAGUUUUCAUGGCAACUUAUAGAUACUGCAAAUAAGAUUCUGAAACCUUGAGUUAAUGCAACAAGCGUUCAUCUCGCAGAGAAUGAGAUGGUAACCAGCUUGCAGCAUGAGAAUAUUCUCUCCAUAAUUGAUUCAACUUUGAUGCAGUCUUGUCUUGGUGUACGAUUAUAUGCACCAGGGAAGCUUACAGUGUUUUAUGGUAAAAGCAUCAAGAUGAAAUAUGCCUUCUAUUUGAUUCCUAAUCUCUUAGUAAGUAGCCUAAUACUCCCUCCGUCUCAAAAUAAUUGACUCAACUUUUAAUAAGUGCUUAUUUUGUGCUAACUUUAUAAAGUUAGUACAAAGUUGAGUCAGUUAUUUUGGGACAGAGGGAGUACUAUGUAACUCCAACUAUUCUUCAGGCGAGUGUGAGAAUAUUCAGUCUGAAUUGUUUCUUCACAUCACAAAAGGUGCCUGAAUUUCUGCAUCAAGUUGGUGUUACUCGAUCUGUGAUCUCAUGGUAAGUUAUCCACGGUAUGCGUCAUUGUAGAUGCACCUGGUUUUGAUGUUAUCAAAAAUAAAAGUGAGAAUUUUGAAUUGCCUUUCGCACAUUGUCCGCCUUUUGCAUGGUUUGCACAUAGACGACUAUUUAUCCUGAAAGACCGCAGCUUGAGGAAUACACCUGCACCCCCAUGACAUCAUGGUGGAGACCGGCCGGCGUGUGCAGCCGGAGGGUAACAAGCUCUGGAAAUAGUCCAAAGAUCUUCAGAUCUGGACUCUCCACAUCUUUUGAUAAAAGGGUGAGGUUCGGAAGAAGUGAGGAACCGAUCUUUGCUCAAAGCCCAGGUUGUUUGCGCGACAUGUGUAGAACAUGGGAGUUGUGUAGGGGGCACAUAACCUUCGAAGCAGCUGGUGCCCUCAUCAUACUUACUGGACAGAAUAGUAGAACCGUCCAUGACUUGGAUUUUCUGCAGUUUGGCCAAAGACUCCACGCGAGCUCUUAUCGAGCUAGCAGUAUAUAACCAUAAAAUUCCGCUGAUGCGGAGCUUCCUCAACCCUGUCAGGUUGCUGAUAUAUGUCCCGUUUAGUGUCACAGACCCCCAUUGGGUACAAGUGAUUUGGCAGGAUCAAGCUUGAGUAGAACCAAGAUGCUUGCAUGUCAUGUUGUUUUUGAGGAAAAUGUUCUUAUUUUAUGAUGAUGAUGAUGUCAUGUUUCAUUCGGAAGCCAUGGAUAAUCAUUUCAUUGUGCCAGAGUAUUUGAUGUUCCGUGAAAAUUUAACUUGUUUAAGGCAGCAGCAAAAAUUCGAUUUUGUUAUGCUUCAUUUCAUCACAGAUUGUUUGUUAUGCCCAAGGAUAGAAACUAUUAUUUUUUGCUCAGAUUCAGAAGUGGAACUUCCCUGAAAUUCACAUCUCUGCAAGUGAUAUGACUACUCACCUGAACCUGUCUGAAAUCUUUGAUAGAAAGUGUUGUAUUCAAAUACAUCAUGUUGAAGGCUGAACUCGAUUAAGCUAGUAUCUAAAAACGAGAGAAAUGAUCAGUUGUUCUGAAAGUAGUUUUCUCUGGAUGCCACCUUCAGGUUGGAAAAAAAAAACUGUGCUAGCUUUACAAUUGGAUCUGAUCAGCGAGAAUCCACGCGAUGAAGCAACUUGGUGUCAUUUCCGUCAGUAGCACAGGAGCAGUGCCCGAGCGGCGGCGAGGUUGAACAUCGAGUGCACCUACCGCGUACAGGAGCAGCAGUAGCACAUCAAAGUGUCCUCCUUGGUGCAUCAAGGGUUUGGAAAGGCUGAAGAAAAUAUUCUGCAACAGUUUGGACGACUGCAGGUAAUCAAGUUUCUCCACCAACAACAGGCCUUUUUGGCUCUCAGUCGAAUACCCACGCCUGCCAAUGUCAACAAUUAGUCGUGCCACGGGAGAUCCAUUUCCCUUCCCUUUUGCGUGCACCCAACAGACUACAAAGUCACAGGACCAAAUUAAAACUCACCGGAAUAUAUAUGGUCGCACCGGACUCAGAUGGCUUUCUCCAGUCGACGUAAACCGGCAGCGUCAGGGGGUAAUCGCUGUUCAGGGAGUAUGUCAGGAAGAGAUCCUACGUGGAGAGAUCUUCGAACUGAGCGUUGCACAGGAGGCUUAUGAAGGCGCGCUAGAAAUGAGUUGCAAACGCAAGCCUUGUUUUCAUCAUCAAACAAGCAGUGAAGCAUGGUUAGUACUAGUAGUAUCAAUUUAAUUUAGUUGGGCAAGUAUAACCAAAGCAAAUUGAGAGUGUGUGGGUGUCACCUGGUGGGAGAAACAG
rnacentral:lncRNA from 1 species